UUGCAAGAAACUAUUGGAAAAGGAGUUGGGAGGAAGAGAGAAGACAGGGAUGCUUAUAGACUCAAAAAUGCGGAUGCUUCGAUCAGUACAUAUAUAUAAAUGGCCAACUCUGAAAUCGAUCACUGCGUUGGGUUACUUCAUUAACCUUGUCAGGUUGAUAAUAAUAGAGUGUCCAAGUAUGGAGUCAUUUCCUGACCAUGAGUUGCCAAAUCUCACCUCUUUAACAAAUAUCUGCAUAGAAAGGUGUACAAGUAUGGAUGCAUCCUUUCCUCGUGGGCUUUGGCCUCCCAAAUUGUGUUACCUGAGAAUAGGAAGGUUGAAGAAGCCCAUCUCAGAGUGGGGCCCACAGAAUUUUCCAACAUCACUUGUUAACCUAAUAUUACAAGCCGGACCAUAUGAUGACAUGAAAAAGUUUGAUCAAUUGUCACAUCUUCUUCCUUCAUCUCUUACUAUUUUUGGCAUAGAAGGAUUUGAGAAACUGGAAUCGGUUUCAACAGGACUCCAACACCUCACCUCCCUCCAACAUCUCUUCAUUGAGUACUGCCCGAAGAUGAAAGAUCUACCACAAAACUUGUUGCCUUUGCUUCUGGUAUUGUGGAUCUAUGAAUGCCCAAAUCUGAAAGAAAAGAGUAGCAAAGGAGGAUACUAUUGGCCCCAAAUCUCCCUUAUCCCCUGCUUCAACAGAUUACACUAAGGAGAUCUUACAAGUUUAAUUUGAAGGUACAACCCUCUGUUUGCCUUGGACUUCUUUUGUUUAAAUUGAUGGCUUAUUAAUCGAGUUCGAAUGUAUUUUUCUCACAUUUCCCACACUUACAGCCAUGAAUUUUGAAAUGAAAGCAUCAAGAGGAAGUAAAAGAUCAAACUGAUGAUGGUUUACAAAGGAAGACAUUUAUAUGGUGCUGCUUCUAGUUUACAAGGUUUGUUUCUGUCUGACUGAUAAACCCUUACGCAAUCUGAAACAAUCUUUUAUGGACAGUGGUUUCCAAAAUUACUUAAUUUUUUCUUGUUCUAAAUUUGCUUGAAAUGGAAUCUUGAUUUAUAGGUGAACGACUUUACUUUCCAACAAUCAUUCAUGGAAGUUAAGUGCAGAACUCCUGCUGAUGAUCUAAGCUGUGAAGCUUCAAUGAUUUUUGUAUGUAGCAUCUUUUCAAUCAUUCAAACUAGGCCUAUUCUCUUAAUUUCUAAAGGCAAACUCAAUAGAAAUUAUUAUAUGAUAUAUUUUCUGAUAUUUACUUUUUUUCUAGACUUGAUUCAAACCAAAGAGAAAGAGAAGUGUAGGUUUUCAUGAAGUGACAUCCUGUGAGGCAUGGUUGUUUGUUUUGUAUAGGAAGACUAUGUUUGAAAGUUAGAUUAAAAACAUAACAAAAACAGAGAACUCCAUCUGCUGUUCCAAGAAGUUGAAAACAGAGUUCAUGACACUUUGACUUUCAUCAAGUGUUGUCACUUUGACUUUCAUUGACUGUUGUGAUUUUUCUUUAUUUGUUUGUAUAUUCUGUUUUCCACUGUAGAUUUUUGUGUAUUUUCUUGGGCAAAUUCCAUGGAACCCAUUUGUUGUUUGAUUUUUUUGUUUAGCCAUUGCAAGAUUUUUUUAUACUUUAAUCACAUAGAUUUCUUUUUUCUAAAAAAAACAACUAUGAGUUUUUUCCAGUUAUAAAUUACAAGAAGUAAUAGAUAAUGGUGGCUUUUUAUUUAUUUAUUUUAUUAUUUUUUUUUAAAUCGAAGUCUUAUCAGUUAAAUCAUAAGCAAAAUUAUUUGAGUGGUAGUGAUUUUCAUAGAAUUUAAAGUUUAUAUAAUGUUUUUUUUCUUAAAUGAAAAGAACUCUCAAUUGUUAAAUCAGAAAAAAUAGCUUCAAUAAUAAAUAAAAAAGUAAAAGUAAAAGUAAAACAACUUACAAUGUAUUUUUAAGUAAAUUUGGCCUAUUUUCUUUUAACAAACUAUGUUCCAUGAUUAUACAGUGGUUUUUAUGUUUUUUGGGUACUUCCUAGUAAAAUAAGAAUCAUAUUCAAGGUGUAUAGUCUUCUAUUGAAAAGACUAGAUUAUAUAAAUAGUAAUGCAACAUAAGUAUAAAGUAUUAUAAACUAUUUACAACGUCAUCAUAAAAAAACGUCUUAAUAUAAGAAAUUUCUUUUGUUUAUGGGUUGCAAAAUACUUCAUAUGUCCCAAAAUUAUUGUCUACAAACAAAAAAAACACACAAAUUAAAAAAAUAUUAAUUACCGUUAAUUUUAUUAAAUGAAUUGACAGUUUUAUCCCUUGUUGUCAGGGGCGGACGCAGGAAUACACAGUAGGUGUUGCCGAGGUUGAAAUAGGUGUUGCCGAUGUAGAAAAAUAAGGUAAAAAAAUCGAAAAAUCGAAAAUUUUUCCACUGCGGAUAGAAAAAGUAGGUGUUACCGGUGCCACACCGGGACACCUACUAGGUCCGCCCCUGCUUGUUGUAUUUAAUUCCAUGGUAGGUGAACUAAUAUUGAUGGGAUUUAUUUUUAGAAGUCUGCUAUUAUUAUGUGACAAAUCAAAAAGGAAACAUAGACUAUUAGAAUGGAACGGGGGAAGUAUUAAAACGUUCGAUUUAAUUCACUACUAGAAAACAAAUGUAAUGCCAACCGAAUUUUAGCAACAUAAAAAUUUGUCAAAAACAACAAUGUAAUAUAGACGGAUUUUUCAUGGAAUAAAAAAGCCUAAUUAUUUGGAUUUUACUAUGUUUCUAGACGGUUUAACAAUAUAAUCCAUUUCGUUGGUAAUUUGUUACAAUACUACCCAAAAGAACUCAACAUGUUUGCAAUCCCCCUUAAUUAUGAUUCCUUCUUUAAUAUAACAACGUAUUAUAAUAUUAUUAAAUUUACAAUCCUCUUGUUGUGUAAGGUCUUGAAAUGGAUCUUUACCAAUGAUCAAGCAAUCAAACAAUCAGAUUGAAUAAGAAUCGGAGUAGAAACAGAAUUGAAACAAGCUUUGCACACACUUUUAUUGCUUAAAAUGUCUGGUACAACUUGUUCUCUAUAACUAUGAACACUCUGUGGUAUCAACAACCAAUAAUGACCUACACAACCUCUAUUUAUAGGGGACAAUGACCGCAAACAGGACAUCGGCCGAAAACAGGGUUUACGGCAAACUCGCCACAAAACCGCGAACCCUAAUUUGACCUACUAUUACACCAAAAAUACUUAAAAGAACUGUUACAACUGAAAGCCUACACAAACCAUUAAUUGAGCCCUUCAAUCUCCCCCUUUGGUUUGGGGCUAGCUUGGAUUCGAUCUUUGUCGACCACCAACAUGUCUGACUUCCCCAUUUCUCCGUUCCACAUUUGUUUGUUGAUAAUGUCUGCAACCAUUGACGUAUACUCUUCGACAACUUGCUCAAAAAUUUCCUCGACAACUUUAAUCUAAUGAAGUCUCAGUUGACGGAUAUCCCAUUUCCCAAAUUGGAACAGAUCUCUCCGGUCAUAUAGAUGAAUGCAUCCAUCUUUAAGCUAGAUGACAGCAGAGGCUGUAGUUUCGUCAAAUACCCAGCAAAGCAUGGAGCUUAAGGAUCCAUCUAGAUAGUUUUGAAGCACCGGGAUUUGCUUAACCUGACUGGUAGCAUGCCAUAUCACAACUUGAAGUGGAUGACCAGUCUUGGGAUCAAUCAGAUAAGGAUAAUGCUUGAUAAUAGAUUUUGCAGUCUUCAUUGCCGGAAAUCUUUUCUUCACAUGGUCUUCUAAGAAGAGCUUAAAGUGAGUUGCCUUUGGAUCUUGUGAGGGAUUUGAAAAAGGAGCUUGAGAUAACUCUGAAAGAUCAACUCUAGUCCAAGAAUGGAAGUCAUGACAGUCUUUGUACAGUUCCAUGUUGCCACUCUUUCUUCUCACAAUCCACAUAUUUAACGUGUCAUGAAAUACCCCAAGAAGCAAUUCCGGGCCUAUCACCAUAUGUAUCUCUAAAACGUCUUUCUUUGAGAUCAGUAACAGUGAUUUUUUGUUGAUCUCCAAGUGCAUUUAGAUCUGAGCUCUUCUUAAACAAAAGUUUUCCCUUCUCAGCAGAUUCAGCAAGUCUAGCACGUUUAAGAGCGACGACGUUAGGAGCUUGAACAGGCUCUACUUCAAAAUGAUCUACAAUGCGGGACGAUUGAGCAGAUGGUGGUACGACCGGAGGAUCUUGAGAUGGCAGAAACAUAUUCGAUUCAUCAACAGGGGACUUAAACUUGUCACCAAGUUCUUCUGCCAGUUUCUUUUUCAAAUCAAAAUAACAAGCUGUGAGGAGACCAAAGUGAGUCUGAAGAUUGGAGAUCUACUUGGUGUUUAAAUUCUUAUCUUCUUCAAGAUCAAAAACUAGAGUCUUCAACAUGAUAUUUUCACUCAUAAGAUCAGCCACCUUAAUUACAAGCUCAAUGUUCUUUUGAUUUAGCACACUUAUUUCCUUUUUAAGCUCAACAAUAGAAGGAUUGUAUUCUCCUGUGAUACCUUCCCUAAACGAGAUUCCUUUGGCUCUAGGAGAAGGUACCAAACGUUGUUCCCGAGCCAAAUGCAGGGCUAGCCUUAUGGAGGCAGCAUCAAGAUCUGGCCGGGGAGGAGAGAAUCCUGUUGGAGGAGAGGAUCCACCAGCUUCAUACGUUGUGCUAGGACCUUCACUGAUAGGUUCUGAUGAGAUAAUAAUAGGAGUGGUGGUUGGAGGAAUUUGGAGGUUGUUAGAACAAAGUUCUAUUAGGAUCGUUAGAUUCUAUGCAAGUAAACAAUUAUGAAAGUAAAUAAGAACACGAGUAUGGAUUUGAAUGUGUCGUAUGAUUAAUACUUCAACACCUCAGAAGAGCUCCAUUAAGAACAUCGACUGUAGAGGUGUUUAGGGUUACAAAACAAUGAACGUGAUAAUUAACAUCGUAUUAUGCAUACAUGCAUGCGUAUUUAUACUAUAACCCUACUAGAUAAUCACGGAUGGACAGGCCCAAUCCAGAUACAAAACAUUAGGCCGAUGACGCAACACAAAUAGACUCAACAAUCCCCCCCUUUGCGUCUUUGGAGCCGAAACCUCAAUUCUGUUUAGCAACAGAAGACUUCUUCACUGUCUUGAACACCCUCGGUAUGAUGGCUAAAAGAUGAUAGCGAAAUGUAAUGUACCACCGAAGCAUAUCUGUAAAGUUCUUCUUGUCAGCUUCAGAGUUCUGCUUGCACAGAUGAAUUAUGUUGAUUAUGUGCUCCAAGCAGUUGGUAGAAAACAAGUGUUUAUCCACAAGAGCGAAUAAAAACCUGUGACCUUCGCCUUUAGUAAACAUCACAGUCAAAUGUGUUGAAUCAAUUUGACCCAUCUUCAUUUUGUUUACAUCUCCAGGUUUUGGUGUAGGCUUCACAGUAGGCUUCUUAUUCAUAACCUUCGCAAUCUCCUGAUCCAUAGUUGUAACUUCAUAGAUGUAGGAGGCCAGCAUUCUAUUUAACUGUUCCAGAAUCGGCUCAUAUUUCAUCGGAUUAGUGAGCAAAAUGUUGUAUAGUAGAAUCCAGUCAUGGGGAUUUAAAGUAGGAAGGUCUGCUAGAGAGAUAGUCGACACCGAGUUUGCAGAACCUCGAGUGAUUUUAAAACGAACAUUGAUAAAUCUCCCAGCAGAUGAGGGUUUGAGUACCUUAACAGUCACAAUCUUUUGUGCACUCCAUGUUAGGUACUGAGGUUUUCCAUACUCCAGAUAGAAGUCAAUCAACUCUCAAUCAACCUUCGGAUAAGGAAAAGGAACCUCAGCAGUGGAUUCAAAGCAAUGAAACGUGAAUGCUUUUCUUGUUAUCGGCAUAUCGAACUGCGAGUCCUUCGAGUUAUCACAGUCAAACGAAGCAACAGGUUCCAACCAAUAAAUACUUGGAAACUCUAUAGCUUGAUUGAUAAGUACCUCUCUGGUCCAUAAGGGAAACAAGACCUUCUUACAGUUCAAGGCUUCUUCUUCUUCAUUAUUUCUCCUUUCCCUAUCCUCUGCUUCCUUUGCAACUUUGAGAGUUUCAUCCAACUCUCGGUCCCUCUUCUUUUUCUUGAGAGACUCAGCAAUAGUUUCACCAACAUCACUAUCACUAUCAUCAAUGGUCUCCUUUUGCUUUUCUUUUGUAUCAAAACCUGAAGCUACAUUAUCCUUCAGUUCGGUUGUGACUCUGACUUCUGGUUGUGUAGUUUCUGUUUUCACAGUCACUUUCGGUUGAGCACUUUUGUAACAACAUAAAUUUUCAAAACAAAUUUUCCAUUUUUUCAAACAUCAAAACCAUCGUUUAAUAUUCUGAAUUCAAAUGUGUAACAAUGUCAUCAUAACAAAAUACAUCCCAUGAUCAUAAAAACAGUUCUUUCGUCAGUGUGUACAAAUCACGCUGACGCCUUCCCACGGUCCUCGCUAGUACCUGAAACACAUAACACAACAACUGGAAGCAUAAAUGCUUAGUGAGUUCCCCAAAAUACUACUUACGCACAUACGCCUUUCCAGGCCAUGACCUUCCGGUCCAUGUGUCUCAGGGGACUUCCGUCCCGAAUCGGUAAACCUUCCGGUCCUACCUGCAUCAACCUUACGGUCCACAUCACAACGCCUUCCGGCCCAUAACGUAUAUGCCUUCCGGCCCAUAUCAAGCAUAUCAUACAUAGCACAUAUAAACGAUUAACUAAUCAUAUACAAUGCAUAUAAAUGAUAACAUAUCCGACCUUCCGGUCACACAAUAAAACCCUUCCGGGUACAGUAUAGUGAGAAAACUCACCUCGUGGAAAGUCUAGAAUCUCGCGUACUCGCUAUCUCCAAAUCCCAACGACGACUCUACCACGCCUAAUCAUAAUAAAUAUCAUUUUAAUUAUUAUAGACUUCCACAACUAGACUUUACCCCUUAUCAUCAUUCCUCCGAGGGUAAAAGACCAUUUUACCCUUCCUUGACUCAAAGUCUACAUGUUGACCAAAACCCUAAAAGUCAACAAAAGUCAACCUUUUGAGUACGCGGGGUGUACAGCUUGAUGUACGUGGGGCGUACAUCGCCAACCCAAGGAUCAGGGGUGUCCACCCAGUACGCUGCAUGUACUGGGAGUUACGCCCAGCGUAACCAUCAGACUUAAGCAUUCAUCAUUUCUGGUCUUAAUCGGUUAAGCCAUUACUCCAACUUCUAGAUCCGGCUUUAUUUAAGCGCCUUUACCCAUAAAGUCGAAACCUUUAAGCCUUGGCAUGGCUGUAGAGGCUCCUACACUCCAUAACAUCUUUCUAUUCCAACUCAAGGAUCUAGAUCUCAUGCAUGGUGAAACAUUCACAUCCAAAAUUACAUUUUUAUGAGUCUACAACUCAAAUAGACCAGAAAUAUGAUGGAUCUAAGCUUAUGGAGACCAUUUGCUCAUAAAGUCUCCACCUUUGGGACCAAAACCCUAGAAAAUGGUACUUAAAGCAUAUCACAAGAACUAUAUGUCAAGAUCCGAACUUUUUACCUUAGAAUGAAGUUUCAACCUUUGCAAAGCUCGGAUCCACACUUGAACACCAACUUCUAGCCUUCCCAAUGAACUCUUCUUCUCCUUUGCUACCUUGAAAUGGCACCACCAAGCUUAGAACACUCACAAAUGGGCUAAGAACGAAAAAAAACACUCUCUUUAGGGUUCUUUCUGAGGGAUGGUGGCUGAGGAGUCGAGCCACACAUUCCUUUGAUAGCCAUCCGAAACAAUUAGGGUUUUUAGGUCUGGACUGGUUACGCCCAGUGUACCCAAGGGUGAACGCGUUCAAAUGAAGCGCGCGAGUACGCGCAUCGUACUCCUUGUACGGCCAGCGUACUCGCCUAACAUGCAAAACCCUAAAUGGCAACAAAUCAAACAUGAAGGGCUAAAUAGAAGGGUACUUGGAUUUCGGGCUGUUACAACUUUCUCCCCCUUGUUUUGGAGGUCGGAAUCCCUCCGAAACACCCUUCAUUUCAUGUAACAUGGCAAUGGUAGGAGUCAAUUUUGUGGUGAGAUGAUUCCGAAGGGUCAAAGUUAGAAUAGGAUCAUGAGCACCAAGAAUGUUGGUGAGCAAAUCCAUAACAUCACCAGCACAGCUAUGGAAAACAGCCCUUUCAGUCUAUAAUAAAGAAAUUUCUUUUUCUGCUUGGGCGAGCUGCACUUUCUGUACUUCAAUCGUAGGGGAUUGUCGUGCCAGUUCUUCCUUCAGAGCACUUUCUUUAGCGAGAUCAGCAUGAAUAGAUUCCAGCCUUGAAGACACAAAAUUGAGAAGUGAAGUGUUCUCUUUUUGGAUGGAAGAACAAACAGCUUCAAACAUGGUGCUUUCUUCUUGAAGGGACUUAGAAAGCGAAUCCACAGAGGCUUGUACCUUGGUUGCAUUUGUGUCGGCAUGCCCUUUCAGAGACUCAAGAAAAAUCUGAGUUGAUUGAACAAUCUCAGUAACAUCAGUUGAGGCCUUUUUGUAGGAGGAAGUAGAAGCAUCAACAGCUUUUGUGAAUUUUUCAAUAGACUCUGUAUAUUGUUCCAGAGCAGUUUCUAGAAAAGCUUUGAGGACCACACCACUAUAGGCUUUGCUGUCUUCAAGCAAUCGAUGAAGUUUCUCAUUAAUGCUCUGUAAAUGUUGGCUAGUGAUAGGAGCAUCAUCAUCCUUAUCAGUUGGAAGCCGAUAUGGACUAAAGUAUGUAGAGUCAUACUCAUCAUUCUCACCACCGAGAGUGGCACUGGAAUCGGUUGAGUGGGUUGGUGAAAGAGGUUUAUUGAUGAUUGGAGUUUCAGUUACAGUAGUGGCCCCCGUAUCAGAUACGUUGACUCCCACUGUCGGUUCAGGAAUCGUAGUGGUGGUGGUUUGGGAAAUUAUAUGAGGUGGUAAUGGAGUUGUAGAAAUAGGAGUAGAAGAAACUGGUGGAGGUGGUGGUAAAGAAGUUGUGGUUUAUGAUGAAGUAGUAAGAGUAGUAAUUGUAGCAACCGAAACUGGAAUAGUCUAUUUUGGUGAUGGAGGUGGGGUAGGAAUUUUGUCAUGAAUGGGUUCGGUUGGAGUUGGGGAUCUGGGAGGUGUAUUACCUCUCAGUGAUUCAUGAUGACUCUCUUCUUCUUCAUCCUCGUUAUCAUUCUCUGAGGUAGGAGGAGUGGGACUCUUGGUCCUCCUUGCCAUCUUUUUAAUCUUCUUAGGCUUAGAAGAAUCUCCUUUAUCAGACUUUCGCUUCUGGGACUUAGAAGCCUUAGUCUUUUCCUCCUCUCUUGGGUCCUUUUUUGUGGUAGCACGUUUCCCUCUGUUGCUAGGUUUGUCAACAGAUUCCAGGGCAGCCUGUUGUUCUGGAGUAAGGACUCUCGGUCCCAUAGGAGUAAGUUUUCUGUAUUCCGCCAUAACAUGACUUUCGGUUGUGACACAGCGAUACAUAGAUUCAGGAAUGGAGCCAUUAUGAGGGAACUUGAUUGGAUCAGAGAUGAUGAUUUUCUUCGUGUGAAACGAAGCAAUAGACGCGAUUAGGGCAUCCUUCAUCACAGGAAUGUCCAAAGUGUUAAUCGCCCUUCUUGUAAUAAGAGUCCAGAAGCGUCCCCAUGAAAUCUCUGAAUGCCUUGUAGAAGUAUUGAGACUCUGCACCACUUGAGACCAGAUAAUUGUCCCAUAAUCAAGGUUGAUACCAUUGUAGAGACCGUAUAAAAGGGUUAGAAAACUCUUGCUAGUGCCAUCCGAUCCACCACUCCUUUCUGCCAAACUCUUGAUGAGAAGAGUUAGCAAACCAGUCCAUUAAGAUGGUAAACAAGACUUUUAACUUUUGUGACUUUGGUGAGCACAUUCGUAUAUCCCAUCUCAUAAAGCAUUGAAAAUAACUGUGUAGUCGUGAUAAAGUCUGGUGAGAUCACUGAGGAAUCAACAUCAAGAUUCAGCAACGACCAAAACCUCCCCUUUGAAAUAGAAGCCUUCUUAUUAUGUAUGUGAAAGAAAAUACGUUCUUUGUUCUUGUCAUAUGAGGCCGUAGAGUAGACCUGCGAUAAUAGUGACAUCGGAAUGGCUUCAACUUGCGUUAGGGCUACAACCAGUGGUGAAUACUUUAAACAUUCAACAACAUGAAGCAUAUAUGAAUCAUACAAAAACGAGUUAAGUUCGAUGAUCAUACUUUGAUUUGGCUUGAUCGAAAGCAAUGUAGACGAAGCAGUCUGAUCGUGAGCAGAAGAAGAAGUCGCCAUUGUUGAACGAAGAAGGAAGAUGAACAGUUGAAACUUCCUUUGUAAUCUUGAGAGAAUAUGUUGCCGGUAAAAGACAAAUAAAGGAAAACCCCUUUAUAUACCGUUGCCACGAGAGAGAGAAUGAACAUGACGAUAAUGACGUGAUCACUAAAACGUCACCUUAAAAAGCAUGAUGUGACAGGUUGGGUACUCCCAGGUAAACGUCAGCACGCGUGGGUAUAGAGACCGUUCAAAUUCACGCGCCAAAUUCUUAUCCUCAAUCGUUGUUUGAAAUUCAGUGUUACUUCAAGAAAUAUGAUAGCCACUGGUUCAACAAAACUUGAACCAACAGCAACGUGAGUUUUGGAAAAUAAAAUUUUCGUGCAAUAGAGUGACAAACGAUAAAGAAAUAAAGCAAAUGUGUACGGGAUGUGAGUGAUGUCUCAUUAUAAGACAGAAAGCAGGUGAUCCCGGGCAAGAAUCGCUUCCUUCAAAAUCAAGAUAGACUUGAAGUGCUUGCGUGGUUUCCCGAAAAAUACGAUCAAGUGUUUGUUGAGAAACAAUGAAAGGCUUCUUUUUAAGUCAUAGGCUUAAGGUGGCUUAACUUCAACCGAACGUCGAUUCCUAAUGUAAAACCGAACAUUGGAAAAAGUACUUGUGAGACCGAUGUGGUCUGUUGAACAAGUAGAUAGGAUAUAUUUUAUAAUGACUAAAGAAGUUAUAGAAAUCUCAAAAAAAAAUUAGAUCUUUAUGGGAAGAAAAGCCUUGGUGUUACACAAAUUCAUAAAAUAUCUCGCAAAAAUAAAAAUAAGAUUUCAAUGGGUAACCAGUAAGAACUUUAAUGCAAUGAUUCACCGUCAAUUCAUUAUAGGUGUUGGAUUUUGGGUUUCACUCAGCACGUGGUGUACGUAUCUAAGAUCACAAACACAUAAAUUAUGCAACCAUAAACCUCAAUGGUUAGGACCGAGAGUCUCAAGGGUUACAGUGGUGAACCGAAAGUUGAUGGAAAAUUUAAAGAGGAUGGCUAAAGAACCGAAAGUACCUUCUGCUAUAAAGACGUGACUGAGUAGAAAAACUCUUAACUCAUAUGAGAAGAGUAAGGUAGCUCUUGACUGAGUUGACUGUAACGGCCUGAUUGGGAAGAAACGAUAAGUAUAGAUCGAAUCAUUAAGGCCUUGGUCUAAGUCGUAGAGGCGUUGGUCAACAUACAAUAGCAUGCUUCUAGGGACCCUUAACUUGUUCUUACGUAAAAGAUUGUACCUGCCUUAGCUCCAAAUUCUGUUAUACUGGUACACUUGUGAUCUAAUUAAAAGAAAGAGCAAACAAACACACCAAACAAACAAAACAAGCAAACAAACAAAAGAAAAUAUUUUUGGAAUUGUCAAAGUUUUCUGAAAAAUAAUAAAAACAGAAAGAGAAAAUAUUUUUGGAAUUUUUGAAGUUUUCUAAAAAAUAAUAAAAAUAGAAAGAGAGAAUAUUUUUGGAAUUUUUGAAGUUUUUUGAAAAAUAAUAAAAACAGAAAGUAGUUAAAAGAAUAGAGUAUAAAGAAUAUAUAACUGAAACCUUAUCUUUAAGGAGUGAAGCGAAAUAGACUAAGCAUUCAGUUCAUUUCGGUUCCUUAAGAUUCCAGAGCCGAAAUGGACCGAGCGGUCGGUUCAUUUCAGUUCCUGAAAAUUAAUGAGCCGAAAUAGACUGAGCGGUCGCUCCAUUUCGCCUGUUCAAAAUUUUUAGUGCAAGAUUUAAGAAUUCGGUACCGACUCUGCUUCCAUCAUUCCCAGACCUUGUAAAAUUUUAUUGAAACUUGCUUCAGGUAAGGCCUUCGUGAAUAUGUCAGCAAGUUGAUCAGAGGAUCGAACAAAGUGUACUUCCACGUUCCCGUCUUCUACAUGAUCCUUGAUGAAAUGAUAUCUAAGUGCAAUGUGCUUAGUUGUUGAGUGUUGCAUUGGAUUGUGACAAAUCCUUAUUGCACUUUCUGAAUCACAAUAGAGAGGAAUCUUCUUCAUACUUAGUCCAUAAUCUCUCAGUUGACUUUGAAUCCAUAUAACUUGAGACGUGCAAGACGUUGCAGCUACAUACUCAGCUUCGACUGUUGAUAGUGAAACACAGGUCUGCUUCUUGGACUACCAGCUAACAAGUUUUCCAUCAAGAAAUUGGCAUUCACCUGUAGUACUCUUUCGAUCUAGACCACAUCCUCCAAGAUCAGCAUCAGAAAAAGAUUGAAUGAAGAAUAUAGAUCUUGCAAGAUACCAGAGACCGAGAGAUGAGGUUCGCUUCAGGUAACGGAAUAUAUUCUUCACUGCCACCAUGUGAGGUUCUCUUGGAUUAGCUUGAAACCUAGCACAAUAACAAACAGAAAACAUAAUAUCCGAUCUACUAGUUGUUAGAUACAUAAGGGAACCUAUCAUUUGAUGAUAUAGUGUUAUGUCGACAACAGGUUUUGCCAGAGAUGGUGUUAACUUAGUGCCGAAUGCCAUAGGAACCUUCAUUUUUGAGUCACCCAUCAUACCGAAUUUCGUCAGUAAGUUCUUUGUGUAGGCCUCCUGGUUGAUAAAUAUACCUUCUGGUCCCUGUCUAAUAUUUAAAACAAGGAAAAAAUUAAUUGGACCCAUUGCGCUCAUUUCAAAUUUAGUCUCCAUCAACUUCCUGAUUUCAGUUGUUAAGCUAGGAUUCGUAGAGCCGAAGAUGAUAUCAUCAACAUAAAUCUAAACUAUCAUUAGAUGUUCGGCUUCUUUCUUUCAGAAGAAGUUUGGGUCAACCGAACCUUGUUUAAAUUUUGACAUUUUCAAAAAGCGAGUUAAAGUUUCAUACCAGGCUCUCGGUGCUUUCUUUAAUCCAUAGACUGCUUUAUCCAUCACAUAGAAAUGAUCAGGGAAUUUCUCGUUCACAAACCCAGGUGGUUGCUCAACAUAAACAGUUUCUUCCAAUUCUCCAUUCAAAAAUGCACAUUUGACAUCCAUUUGGAAAACUUCGAAGUUUUUAUGAGCAGCAUACGCCAAGAAGAUUCUAACUGAUUCCAACUUAGCUACAGGAGCAAAGGUUUCCUCAUAGUCUAUUCCUUCCUCUUGGCAAUAACCUUUGACCACCAAACGAGCCUUAUUGAAAAUAACAUUCCCUUCCUUGUCCAACUCAUAUCUAAAGACCCACUUCAAGCCAACCACAGAAGCAUCCUUUGGUGUGGGAAUCAGCCUCCAAACUUGUUUGCGUUCGAACUCAUGAAGUUCAUCUUGCAUUGCUUGGAUCCAAUCUGAAUGAUCAAGUACAACAUUUACAGUUUUUGGUUCAACCUUGGAAACAAACGAAUUAAACAUACAAAAUUCAACUUUAGAGAAUAGUGCAGUUUGUUUCACUUUCAAUUGAGAACAAGUAAGAACUUUUUCUGAAGUUUCACCAAUAAUCUGUGCUUUGGGAUGGUCCUUGGUCCAUUUUACUAACGGAGGAUAGUUUGGAUCAUAUGCUAGAUCUAACUCAGCGUUCACUUCAACUUCAAAUUCUGAUUCAUCAUCAUCACCUUCGUCUGUUGUAUUUCCUUUCUUCCCCUCGACUGGCGAAGUGUAAUCUGUGGCAGCAUCAAAGUUUGCAUCCUCUGUGGGAGUGGAAUUCUCCUCUUCGAUAGGACUACUAUUGGGUGGUUUUGGAGCAGUACUUUCCCCUUCGCCUGGACCUUUAUGCGGUGGGGACGGAAUUGGAUUCUCCCCCUCGAAAGAUACUUUGUUUGUUUUUGAUGCAGUUGAACUCUCCCCCUGAAACUUUGAGUCAGUAGAUGGUGGAUGACCCUUAGCUUUAGGAGGUUCACUUUCCAUCUCUUUGGCAGCUAUCUACUUAAAAAUCUACAUAGUGAAAGUGUUUCCUCACCAUCAUUUUCAUGAAUUCGGAGAGAACCCUUAUGACACUUAGAUUUUAUGGUGUAUGUGUUCUUAUCCAUGUGAAUUUGUCAAAACCAUAGUCACAAGACAAGGAUAAUGACAAAUUCAAACUCAUAUGGACUGAACUCAAUCUUAAUUUCUUGCCAUCUGGCAGUUCAAGGGUCUGCCAUUGUUUCCAAGUUGUUGUGCAACCAAUUGAGAACUCUAAGAACUCAUAUGCAAAGCCAAAUUUAAUUGGAAUGGGCAUAGAAUAUGUCAACAUGAUAGGUUAUAAACCUCAAGUCGUGUGCUAGUGAUGAACUUCAGGUUUUAUUUUUGAUUAGUUCUUGAGACUUUCAAGUCCUUUAAGACUCCCACUGUCCUCUUGACAUAUAAGACCUUCUUGUCAGAUAUUCAAGAGAUAGUGUGGAUUCUUAUCAAGACAAACAGUUCACACAAUUGGCCUUAGUUGGUCUUUGUUCCAUCCAAAACAUCACAAGUUACCAAUUUCAAAUGUACAAGAGUAGAAAACAUUUACUCUUACAUUUGACAAGUGUUUUAAACCUUUCUUUAAGAUAUGUCACUCAACUUACAGUCUUGGAGUAUGACUUUAAGACUUGAUAUGUAACGACGUAUGACUCAUCUUCUUGAUUUAACCAUUUCAACAAUUCAUAGCUCCUCUUUGUAGCUAUUAGAAUGCACUUUGAGGAUGAAUUGUGAUAAGGUAUCAAAAUCAUUAAGAUGGUCUUAAAACAUGAUACUAAAGUACUCUCCCAUCUUUUCAGAUUCGAGAAACUUUUAUCUUUCUGCCUAAGUUGAUUCUUCUUAUUUGCUUUACCAUACAUUGGAACCUUUUCCAAUGUCUCAUAAUUACACUUAAGCCUGUAAAUAUAACCAUAUUUACUAAACUUUAGUAAAUCAUGACGAAUAUUCUUAUCGAUCUUUUGUGGUGGACAUAACCAGUGCACAAGAAUGUGUACUCGAUACCUUAGUCCUUUACUUGACUCACACAUCCAUGUGAACAAGUAGUUAGUCUUAAUUUUCCAAUGCUUGAAAUUUCUCAUUCAUCAUGCUAUACAACUUACAUGAUUCCAAGUUCCGGUCAAAUUGAAACUUGGGUGAUGAGGAUCUUUCCUUAUUUGGUAAAUUUAGACAUUACCACAAAUGAAAGAAUCAAUUUCAUUUUCCAUUCUUGCUAUUAAUGGAAUCAUAUAAGCAACAAUUUUUUCACAAGCGCCAUUGUAAGGAUACAUAAAAUAAAUAAAAUAAAAAAUUUCCUUUUAUUUUAAAACUUUGCGGAAAAACUUAUCCUUACAAUCCAUAUGAAAACUUGUUGUUAUCUAUUCCUAAGCAAUAUCUCAUAAGUCCUAAGAAGUAGCUCAAGAAUCCGAUCUUCAAACUAUGCGAUAGAAAUCCAUCUACGCGAUCAGAUUCAACAUAUUCUUUCUUUAAGUUUCUUCACUUUUCUUUGAUUCUUAAAACAUCACCAUGUGACCCGGUCACAUCAUGUAUCAAGAAUCUCAGAAUAGAAACUUAGCAGAGUUAGAUAGUGGACUUUACCUGAAUUAGAGUCAAACUUAUUAACUUUAACACCCUUAGGUAAAUUGGCAGCUUCACAACCAAUUACCCUUCCUUUGGAAAUUUAACAUAUGGAUGCUUUGGUAAUGGAACAUGAGACUAUCACAGACUUAGCCUUUCUCUUUACCAUUUGGUCAACCGAGUUGACUAUGGCCGAUCCCUUUCCAUUGGGAAGAGAGAGCUUUACUGGAUAUCCAAUGUCAUCAUUGUCAAUGUCCAUAAAGUUUUAGGAAGUUGAUCUUAGCAAAUAGAUAAGAUCAUUAAGGGUCUUGUCAUAGUCUGUUUCAUAGGAGUCCCAAAGGAACUCACUAUGUGACUUAGAAAGUGAUUGAACCACCAACUUUCUCAAGACUUUGACACCCAACUCUCCCGGCUUGUCAAUAUGUGACUACAUCUCCAAGAUGUGAUCACACCUAGACCUUGCCUUGCCAAUAGGGCUUGAGUGACCUUGAACUUGUGGUUUAGGGAGAAUAAUUGGAGGAGGUGGAGGAAGUAUGAAGUUCCAAGAGAUUUUGGGAAGAUCCUAGGUGUCUAAAUUAGAUAUCUUUUUCGGAGAUAUUCAAGAUAGUUGAUUUAAAGUCCCUAAUAUAACACCCAAUAUGAAAUAUUAAGGCUAUGACCCAACACAAUACUUUUAUAACUUGGAAGAAGGAUGCCGUAAUCCAAGCUAUAAAAUAUUUAAAGGUAGGUGAAUGACGAUUCACCAAUUUCCACCAAGAUAAACGAAAUGUAUUAUUAGGUUUUAAUUGGUUUUUGAAACUCCUAGAUCUUUGAGAUUCAUUGAACUUUUCAAUGGCAUGUUUCAAUCUUGAGUGUGCCCUUCAGGUUUUAUGACUGGGAUGUCGAGGAUCACAAAACAAGGUGUGAAUAACAUGCAAAUAUACUUGGUACCCUUAAGUAUUUACCCUUUAAUCAAUGUGCCGGUUAACCACACACGCUCCACUAAUGACUUAAGCAAAGGGAAAAGUGUAAUUUCAUGGAUUAGCACCUUAUUCACAUUUUCCUAAGUAACUAAGAUUGGGUAUUUAUAAAAGGUUUAGUUACUUAGUAUUUAUCAUUAAUACUUUUAAUGAAGGGAUAAAUAUAGUCCUUGUCCUACCCGUUCGGCUAACAACCCUCCACCAGUCAAGGAAGCUGUGGGUGAGAGUGUACGCCCAUUAAACUGCCAUUUUAUAGGUAGUAACCUUAUACCCCCCUUAUAAACCGGCUUAGUGAAUGAGGCUUACUAACGGUAAGACUAAAUUUACUCUUAUACAUAAAUAUAAAUAUUAUUAACUUAUAAUAUUAUAAAGUAUAAGGGUUAAAUUUUAACUUUUAAAAUUCUAAGGGCUAACUUGGUAUUAAAGUAUUCAUAAUUGAAAACUUUUCAAAUUCCAAAACUUGAGGGCAAGUUUUGAAACUAUUCAAAACUAAUUAGUUCCAUAACUUCUGUGUUUAAAGCAGUUCUAAUUAAAAAAACUCUUCAAGUUCCAUAACUUGAGGACAAGACUCUUCAUUUUUUGUAACCAUAGCCAACUUUUAUGAGUUUUAUGAAAGUGAAAUGUGACCUUUCAUGUAACUUGAGGACAAGACUCUUCAUUUUUUGUAACCAUAGCCAACUUUUAUGAGUUUUAUGAAAGUGAAAUGUGACCUUUCAUGUAACUUGAGGACAAGUUACAAAAACACAUUUUAGAAUCAACUCUUAGAUUAAAAAGAAUUAAAAACACAUAAUCAAUUAACUUUUCUAUUAAUCUAAGCAACUCAUAAGAACAAGAUAGUUCAAAUCAAACUUUUUCAUGUAAUUAGCCUAAUGUUUUAAACUAAUACAAAACAUGAAUCUAUUGACAAUUAUCUUUGAAAUUGGAUUAGCAUGAACAUUACCACAUCAAAAACAAGUUUAUAAGGUCAAAAACAACUUAGGGUAAUGUUCCUAGUCCAAUUCCAGCCAAAAUAGCAAACAGCAAGCUGUCAGCACCCAAAACUCGUCGAGUUCAUGCCCAAUAUGAUGAACUCAUCGAGUUUUUGGCAUAAACUCGUCGAGUUUUAUGGUCUGGACAGAUUCAACUUUGGAAAAACACAUUUUCAUCAAGUAUAAGAGAAAGCAAGCCUAGACUCUAAUACCACUGAUUGGUUUUGAGCAUUCUAACACUCCUAAGUGUACAUGAAACCUUAAAUACCUUGGAUCUAUGUUUUCUCUAUUAUAAAUGCAAAUAUGAACUUUCCAAGGUAUUCAUCCUAACUAGCAUAAUAACAUUGCUUCAUAUGAAUAUAUAUUAAGUUAGAAUUACAUACCUCUUUGAUGUAGAAUGUCUUCAUGAAGCUUGAGUGCCUAGUGCCCCAAGUGUGACACCUCAAAUGGUUCACACAACACCAAAUAAACUUGGAAUAGAAUAGAGAGAAAUCCACACUUCAUGAAAAUCGGCUAGCCCUUUCUAUCACUCAUAGUGGCUGAUUUUUCCCAAGAAUGUGAUCUUUAUAUAGUGUCACAAUUAGGGUAAACCCUAAUUGUCAUGGCUUUCCAUUUCCUUGGAUCCAUAGGUUCAAAUACACCAUGGAGCAUCCUAUGAGUUUUAGCCCAACUUGAUAAUCCAUGGAGUAUUAGCCCACUAUACAAGUACGGAUGAUUUACACUAUCAACCCAUAUAUUUAAUUAGUCUUCUUUUGAUCACUUAAUUAAUCCUAGAUUAAUUCUUGAUCAAUACUAAUUAAAUAAUCUUAUUAAUAUAUUAGAAUUUAUAAUAUAUUAACAAACCUUAAGUGUUAUUUCUCUCAUUUUAUUCUAUCCAAAUGCAUGAUGCCAUGCAACCUAAAUGGACCAUGCCGGGUUGGGUCAAGUCUUACCAAUUAUAGUUAUGGACUUAGACAUUAAUCCAACAGUUGAGAGGUUUGGGUUGUUGUAAGAUCACUCGAAGUGGUUCUGUAGUAGGAGAAACAAUGUCAAGGGGAGGAUUCCCUGACACUGUCACCAUAGGAGUUGUUGUUUCAAACACUUGUUUGGUAGUAGGAGGCGUUGAUUCAAGAAUAUCAUCGGAGUCCCGUAUCUCCAUUGCUGGAUGAGCAACAUCAUCGAUAUUGUCAAGUAGCGAGUUGAGAUUUUCAGUUGACAAGUAAUCUUCACUGCUUCCAAAAUUCACCAAAAUUUCAUCCUUAUCGAAGUCAGUAAGAUCAAGAUCUUCAUACAAGUCAGUUUCUGUCACACCCUUCAUUGUAAUCACUUUCUACUGGAAAUGAUGUCAGAUCAUGUUCCUCAGCCGCAGCUACAUUGAGAACUGCUGUAUCUUCUCUUUCUUCUUCAUGUUUUGACACAGUGAUAACUUCAUCUUCUGAAAUCACUCUUUCUGAAGAAGCAUGCUUGGAGGAUAUUUUAUCAGACGAUCCAUGAGACUCAGAGCUUUCGUUUAAUUCAGCAAAUUUUACAAACUUUACAAGUGGAUAUAGUCCUUGGAAAAUGACUUUACCCUUGCGAUUUUGCUUGAUAAGCCCAAAAGUGUGAGGGCGUAGUGACUUCAUAUCUAGGGUUUCACCCUCCUUGACCAUCUCAGGAAAUUGAAUGUUGAUGGACAUUUGGAUGAACCUCGGAUACAUCAAGAAAGUAUCUCAGGUUAUUGCAUUGAUGUUCACGACGAAGUCAUCCAGGAUAAACCUUGAGAAGUUGAAGUCUAUCCCUGCAACGAGAGACGCAAUGGCUCCAGUGUUCCUUAGAGAGAUCUCAAUAGCGCCGAACCUCCUGCCAGAAAUGCAGCUCACAAAGAUAUGAGCCAGGAAUCUCCAAUAUGGUGGCAGAUGCUUCUUCACCGUGGGAGGAAAAGUGCCUUUGUAACCCAUCUUCUUAAGUACCUUCUGGGCAUCUUCUAUCCCAAUUUCAGUAGGAAAAUUUGGUUGGUCAUCAAUCAGUAACACUUGUCUGAUAAAUUGUUCAGUAAUCACAAUCUUGCAUCCUUUCACAACUGCAUCAACAGUGACUGCUGCAUCAUUGUCUCUUUUCAUUUUAGCACUCUGCCAGAAUUCCCUGAUUAUAUUAUGAUAAACCACAAGAUUCACAGUAAUAGCAGAAGCCAAGCAACAGUCUCUCAGCAUGUGGAUCAUUGAUUUGAAUUCUCCAUGUGCUGUAGGAGGAUCAGCCAACACGAUAGCCAAGUUGUCCAUAUCCGCAAAUUUCAAGUUAGCCAUUUGAUCUGCACUAAAACGAGCCAAGUAAGAAAACAAGGAUAUUUGAGCAAUUAAUGUUUUAAGUUUUCUUAAUUAAUCAAUUUAAUAUUGGCCCUAAAAAUCAUUUUGACCAAACUGGAGUUUACGGUCAACCUAGGCUUUACGGCCGUAAGCUCAGGGCGGCAAACGGAGUUUACGGUCGUAAGCUCCCGGGCCGUGAGCUUCAGCCGUAAGCUCCGACAAACAGGUUUUCCUUCGAUUGAAGCCCUAAAACCCAUCGAUUUCAUGAAGUAAACACAUAUUUGUGGUCGUUUUUGCCAUACCUUCAAGAUUGACCGAACAAUUUCUCAAAAAUAAACAAAAAAAUUUCGAAGAUGAGAGAGAGUGGGAGAGAGUUUGCAGCCGGAAAGGGAAAAGUGAAGAGUGAACGGGUUUCUGGCUGUAAACCCACUUUUUAUACCCUGUUCGAUUUUACCUGUUGUCCACACAGUGUAGUGCACAGUCCAAAUCCCAAAUAUUUAAAAAAUAAAAGUUUUUGAGGAUUUAAAAAAUAAAAUUAAAAAUAACAUAAACUAAAAAAUAAAAAUAAAAUAAUUUCUAAAAAUUUAAAAUUUAAACUUUUGACAAUUAUAAAAAUAAAUAAAUGAUAAAUAAUAAAAAUAAAAUAAAAUAAAAUAAAAAUAAAAAUACAAGAGGACUAAACUUAUCUGAACAAUCACUGAAUAUAAUUUUGUGACACAAGGAUCAAAGUUGGUAGACAACCUUAAUCCACUUGUCGGUACCUUCACCUUCAUGUCUAUGUCUGGUCGACCGCCAGUAUUGUGAUCCAUUUAAACACAAAAAAUUGUGAUAAAUUUGGACAAGCUAAUAAAGACAAGACAUUUUUGAUCCUAUAUUCUUAGAUAAAUUUCUGAGAGACCAUUUAGCUGACGACGACUAGGGAUAUUGUUGUCCACCUAAAUUGAGCAGCGAGAUCUACAGACAAUCUGCAAUUGUUCAAUUUUAAUUGUACUAGAACAUGUUUCCCGCUUCCUGAUAUGCUCCAGUAAUCAAGGACUUCCAGAAUACUCCUUACAUCGGGUGAGCAGACAAUUAUUAAGAGAGAAGAUAGAUUUAGAAUGCAUAUGCUAUACACCGAGGUCGAAUCCCUUCCAAUCACAUAGAGGGUGAAACAUAUAACUAUCUGAAGUUUUAGAGGGAUUAAGAAAAAGAAUGAUGCGUAUACUGUGUACCAGGUCGGAUUGUAAGUCACGCAAAGGAGACACUAUGUGGCUAACAGAUAGAAAGAAUUGCAUAGAUAGAGGAUGCAGAAGAAUAGAGUUGCAUAUGUUACAGUCCAGGUCGGAUCUCUCGAUUACGCAGAUGAGGUAACAUAUGACUAACAGACAGAAAGAAAGAAACUAACCUUCUACAGACCUAAUUUAUCGGAAUUCCCCAGUCACCCUAUCAAAACUGGAAUUAAGGACAGAAUUCGCACAUUGAGGAAUAGUUAAUCCACAGUUCUUGAUACGGGUUCUUUUAAUGUGACCAGUAGAUUCCCAUAUAUAUCUCCCUGCUCAACCUAUCUGAGCAUCGUACUGUCAAGCUAAAAAGAUCUAACUAGUUCAAGAUUCGUCAAGUCCUUGAAUUCCUUAAGUUCAACUCUUCCUAUUCAAGUCAAUUUAGAAUAUUUCGUGCCUACCAGCGCAUCGAACAUAGAGCAUAAAAAAUUCAGUUUUGGUACGUUACGUGGAUUCAGAUUGCCUGUUAUCACUUGAUGAUAUCACUUCCCAGCACAUCACCUACAACUAAAUCUAUCAGCAACAUAUUUUUGAUUUUUUAAUGUUUUUGGAUUUUUUGAAAUUUUCAUUUUUUUUGUUUGGUUUUUGUUUAUUUAUCCCCCUAAAUUUGUGCAUAGGAGAGAAUGAAAACACUAAAAUGCGCAAAUUCAAACUAUCCUAACCUAAAACAAAAAGUUAAUCCUCAAAACUAAUCAUUUUCAAAAAUCCCACAAGCACAUCGAAUCGAGCUUUGUUAAAAGGCUUGGUGAACAGAUCCGCCGCAUUAUUAGCAGUGGGAACCUGUUCCAACCGGAUGAGCGAACGCUCAUAACAAUCUCUGAUAAAAUGAAUUUUGAUAUCAAUGUGCUUGGUUUUGGAAUGUUGGACAUGAUUUUUAGCAAUUUGAAUUGCAACCUCAUUAUCACAGUAAAUGGGGGUUUCUAGAUAAUUCAAACCAUAAUCCAACAGCUGAUGUUGGAUCCAGAUAACUUGAGAGCAACAAGCAGAUGCAGCAACGUAUUCCGCUUCCUCUGUUGAGGUUGAAACAUUGUGUUGUUUCUUGCACUGCCACGACACUAGCCUGUCUCCAAGGAAUUGAGAACCCUCCUGAAGUAGAUUUCCUGUCAAGCUCACAGCCUUCAUAAUUACUGUCAGCAAAUGCAUAUAAAUCAAAUUCAGAAUUUUUCGGGUACCAAAGACCCAAUUUUGGGCUGCCCUUGCUAUACCGAAAGAUUCUUUUGACAACAACAAAAUGUGAAAGUUUAGGAUUAGCCUGAUAACGUGCGAAUUGACAAACUACAAACAUGAUGUCUGGAUGGCUUGUAGUAAGAUACAUCAACGAUCUGAUCAUCAAUUUGUAGUGAGUCUGAUCUACGGAUUUGCCAUCAGUAUCUGGAGUCAGCAGGAGUCUUUCAACCAUCGGCGUCAAUGCAGGUUUUGCGUAUUGAAACCCGAACAUCUCAAGAAUAUCCUCCACAUACUUAGCUUGAUGGUGCAGGAUUCUGGUUGAAUUUUGUUUGACCUGAAGCCCCAGAAACAUGGUCAUCUCACCUAAUGAACUCAUCUCAAACCUCUUUUUCAUAACGCCUUCAAACUCUUUGCAUAGCUGCGGACUGGUAGACCCAAAGAUAAUGUCAUCAACGUAGAUAUGGACUAGAAUUUGAUCAUUACCAACAUGAUUGAUGAAUAAAGUUCGAUCGAUAGUGCCAUGAGAGUAUUCAUGGUCGAGAAAAUGCUUUGUGAGAGUCGCAUACCACGCUCGAGGAGCUUGAUGCAAUCCAUACAGAGCAUUAUCCAACUUGUAGACAUGAUUAGGAAACUUCGAGUUAACGAACCUAGGGGGCUGAUCAACAUAGAUUUCUUCCUUCGCCUUGCCAUAUAAGAAGGCUGUCUUGACAUCCAUUUGGUAAACCGUGAAGUUCAUGUAGGAAGCAUAUUCAAGGAAGAUACGAAUAGCCUCCAAGCGAGCUACUGGAGCAUAAACAUCAGUGUAGUCAAGACCCUCGAUUUGUCUAAACCCGCGAACCACCAAUCUUGCCUUAUUGCGCACUAUGACUCCGGAAUCAUCUUGCUUGUUUCGAUAGACCCAACAUGUGUCAAAAGACUUUUUGCCCUUCGGUAACUCAACCAAUUUCCAAACCCCGAGCUUCUCAAAUUGAUUUAGCUCCUCAUGCAUAACAUCUACCCAACUAGGCUCAUUCAAAGCCAUUUCAAUGUUCUUAGGCUCUAUUUGAGAGAUAAAUCAAGAAUAUAGACAUGCAUUAACAUCUCCAUUAUGAGUUCUAGUUUUAACUCCGUCGCCCAGCUGACCAAUGACGUUUUCGAUCGGAUGAUCGCGUUAAAUUCUUGAGGGUAUCUCCUAGCUGAUAUCAUUGAGUGAAAUAGGAAGAUUAUGAAUGUUGAAACCUCCAUCAUUUGCUGAUUGUUCCACAUUAGAUGAAUCUGCUACGAAAGCAUUAGCAAUUUCUUCAGGAAACAGUAGUUCCAUAAAAGUUGAAGUGACAGCGGAAGCAUCUUUAGACAUGAACUCUCUUUCAACAGGAGUAAGAGGUGUAGCAUCAGCAUCAGGAGUAUCAUUUUGAACUGGAGAUUUUAGACUACCAAGUGGAACACAUGACUCCCCUCAGGUGAAGUAGAUGACUCCCCCUCAGGUGGUGAAGAGGACUCCCCCUCAGGUGGUGAAGAGGAUUCUUUAGGACGUUUGUAAACAACUUUUUCAUCUUCGUCUUUAGAAACAAUCUUCGAACCAAAGGAAGACCCAGAUGAACCAUCUGAAGACACAUUAAUGGACUUAAAGAGCGAUGUGUAAUCAAAUAACCAAUCAGGGCCCACUCGAGCAUCCAUUUCAUUUUCCUCCGGCCAGCGUAUGUCAAAGGAUUCUACAAUCUGCUUCGUCUUCUUAUUAUAAACCCUAUACGCGGUGCGUGCAACAUAUCCUAUGAAAUAACAAUCAUCAGCUUUGGCAUUGAACUUUGGGUUGGACUCUAGGUGAAGAAUCGUGCAAGGGUAGCCAAAUAUGCGAAAAUGACUGAUAGAAGGCUUAUGACCAUAUAGAAUUUCGUAUGGAGUCUUCAUCUACGCUUUGUUGAUUAAAACGCGAUUCUGAACAUAGCAAGAAGUGUUAAUCGCCUCAGCCCAAAAGAAAACAGUUAACUUGGAGUCACACAGCAUCGUCCUUGCAGCGUCUUUCAAUGUUCUAUUUCUUCUCUUAGCAACACUAUUUUGUUGAGGUACGUGAGUAGAGCUGUAUUAACACAUAAUUCCCUUUUCUACGUAAAAAUGAUCAAGAACAACAUUCUUGAAUUCUGUUCCAUUAUCAGUACAAAGCGCCUUAACCUGGUUUUUGGUUUGGUUCUCAAUCAACACUAUGAAUUUCUUUAUCAGAUCAACAACCCCAGCUUUGUUGGAUAAGAAGAAAACCCACGUAAAACGAGAGAAGUCAUCAAUCACAACCAGACAGUAUGAAUUUUUGUUGAUGCUGAGGACGUUAACUAGACCAAAUAAAUCCAUAUGUAAUAACUGGAGCACCUGACUAAUUGAGUUAACCUGUUUUCGCAAGUGUGGUUUUCUAUGAUGUUUACCCUGGGCGCAUGACACACACUUCUCAAAAGUUAUAUAAUCUAUGACAGGUAAACCACGAACCAUCUCAUUCUUCGCAAGAUGAUUUAGGUUCUUGGCGUUAGCAUGACCGAGUCUUCGAUGCCACAACAUUGCAUUCUGUUCUGAGACCUUUGAAAAGAGGCAAGUGAUUUGUUCGGGAAUGUUGCUAUUCAUAUCAAUAAUGUAAGCAUUUCCAUCCCGCUUUGAUUUGACAAGAAUCCACUCCUAUGGGAUGACAAUGCCUGGCUUGAGAAUCAUACACUCUUUGUCGGUGAAAUGAGUAGAACAUCCUUUGUCACAACUUUGUGAAACACUCAACAAACUGUCUUUUAACUCGGGAGAAAAGUUGACAUUUUCAAAGCUUAGCACUCCAUUUGUAACGGUUCCUCUCUGAGUGAUCUUGACACCUUCUACGCCCGCAAAGGAAACAUAUCCCCCAUUAAAUUAUUGAAUGUUGCUCAGUUGGGAGAUGUAUCUUGUCAUAUGUCGGGAGCAGCCGUUGUCGACGUACCAAGGUCUGAUGUCAUUCCUCCGCAACUGUCCCUACAAAAUAAGCAGGACCAUUUAGAUUUGGGAACCCAGGUCAUCACUUUCCUAGGUUGACCCUUCACUUUCUCUGAUUGAUCCUUUAAAAAUUUCAAAUUUGAGUCAUCAUUUUUAACCUUUUCAGAGGAUGCUAAUGAUUGAUUAGAAGUUAAUUUGGGCAUCCAAUGAUAUUUGGGUUUCUUAACAGUCACAUGUGGUUUUGAAAUAGGUUUCUUAUCACUUUGCAUUGAGAUUCUAGAUGUUCUACCAGAAUUGGUUGAAGAUCCGGAACUGCUCUUUGACGAAACCGAUCUUGGCGGAGCCUUGCUCGGUUUUGAAAAACUAUUUGUGACGUUGUGAUGAAACACCUUUUUGUUCUUUUGAAAAACUGCCCUUUUUCUACUUCGAUCAUCCUUCCAAUUAUCAUCCUGAGAAUGAGUUCUGGAGUACUUUCUAGUUAAUGACCUUCCUCUAGAUCUGUUAUCUCCUCUUGGUGACAUAUAAUGUACAAAAAUCCUAUUUGGACAAUUCCUAGCUAUAUGUCCACCAAUACUAUAAUUAAAACAAAUAUGUUUAUUAUUAAAACUGGUGCUGCUUUUCUCAGAUUUAUUUUCUUUCCUGACAUCCUUACUUUUCCCACAAGAACAUCUACAAGAAGCACGUUGUGAGAUAAGUGAGGGUGCAUCAGAUGGUGUAACUUGUGGAAUUAGUGUGUUUUCAUUAGAAGUAUUACAAACAUCAGAAUUAUCAAACACUUCAAAAAAGUUUAAUUCAAUAUGAGCAGAUGCAGAAGUAUCAUGAAAAACAUUGUCAUUUUUAACAUCAGAAACAAUAAAUUCUUUAUUUGAAACUAAAACUUUAGGUUCAGACUCAAUUUUGUUAUCAGAAACAGAUCCUUCAACUUCGUGCUUUGACUGAUCUAAGGAUUGAUCUGCAGGGGAAGUAGAAACAUUAGAACUUUCAACAUUAAUAACUCCUCCUGAAACAAAACUUGUUGACUUGCCAUAAACAAUGAAAGAUUCGUUGGCAAUCUCAUCAUCAGAGACAGGGUGAUACUGAUAAUUGUGAUUGAAAGGAGGAGGCACUUUUUCAUAUCCCAAACCCUUUUUCUAGUUUUGUUUGAAUUGCAGGCAAUGGUCAAUCGUGUUGGCAACUACCUCACUUGAUACAUCAUACUUUUUAAAAUCAAAAUUUCCAGUUUCAAAUUUGUCUUUUAAUGUAUGAAGCUCAGCAAUUAACUCAAUAUUUUGUCUCUUGACAUAGUCAUAGUUUUCACAUUUUUACUGUAGUCCUCCUGAAAUCUCCUAAAGUCCUUUAUUUUUGUUUCUAACUGGCCUUUAGGGGUUUUUGUCCUUUUCUAAGUUGAUAUCCCUCGUAUCUAAGGUCCUCUACUUCUCUACGUAAUGAUUCUAUUUCCUCACAAAGAAGUUUAACAUAAUCAGCACAUGCCUGAGAACAAGAAUGUAAACUUACCUCACUUUUCUUUGGUUCGGAAGUAGAAGAUACCAUUAGCACAAACUGCAUCUCCAUCAUCUUUUCUUCUGGGUCAGCUACAACAUUCUUCAUGGGAGCUUCAUCAUUGACUUGGGCCAAGUGAACAUUCUCAGGUCUUGAAAUGUUCAACACCGGAAUCUGGUCCUCCCAGUCAAAUGACUGAGCAACCAUAGCCUUUUCACCAUUGAACUGAGCACCUCCCUGAUUGUUUCCCACUGCAACCAUUGUCCCGUCAUUGUUCAAUCUUCUAUCCGACUUCGGGCAGUCACGAGCAAAAUGUCUUGGCUCGUGACAGUUGAAACAACACAGCUUCCCUUUGUUGAACCCCACCUUUUUAUCAGCAUUCAUAGCCCAAUUGUUCUUCCUAGUCUUCUUGGCAAACUGCUUAGCUCUGAAUACAACCAUAGCUAUCUGCCAUGUGAUGUCCAUCUCUUCCACAUCUUCUAGAUGAAUCUGAUCCAAAUAAGCAAAUGAAAACUGAGGUGGAAGAUCUCCAGCAACAAGAGCAUUAUAGCAGUUCACUAGUCCUGUGGCAAAGGCAAGAUUGUGAUCACAUUCCUUUGUGUUUGAGGAAGAGCCACACCUGUUACAUUGGAGUUAGGAGCAACUUGAGAAUUGACAUGCAGCUGGCUUUGCGAGUGAGGCAUGGAUGACGCAACGGUAAGGGAUUGGAACUGAGGUUGUUGAACAGCAAAUGCUUGACCUGAUGAAGGAAUGGUUGAUGAAAGAGCAUUGUUGGAGGAAAUUCCGAGAUUUGCAGUCGAGUACGAAUUGACAUGGUUAAUCUCUCACUGUUUAUCAUCAAUAUCACAAGCUUUGAUGAUCGCCAUUGUUUCAGCAAGAGUGAUGCGAUUCAGAUCCUUGGUCUUCUUAAUAACAACUACAUUCAUGUCCCAUGACUUUGGAAGAGCAUUCAACAAAUUUUUGUUUAUCUCAAAUUUAGUUAAGAAGAUCCCAACUAUAUUCAUUUCGGUAAUGAGAGUUGUGAAUUGUUGCAGCUGUGCCUCCAGGGUUUCUCCGGGAAUGUAGUUGAAUAUAUUGAACCUUUGACGCAACAUAUCCUAGCGGCUUUCCUUCAUAUCUUAAUUUCCUUCAUAUACCUCAAUCAAGGCCUCCCACAAGGCUUUAGCUGAAGUAUACUCUCUGAAACCUUGAGUUAUAUAUGGAGAUAAAGCCAUGGUCAGAGUGGCCAAUGCCCUUUCCUGUUCCUCAACUUUUUCAAAGUCUUCAUCUGUAUAGUUCUCAACUGCUUUGUCAGUUAGUUGUCCUGCAACAGUGGCGGUAAUUCGGACAGGACCCUUGAUGAUGCUUCUCCAUACCUUGAAGUCUUUCAUUUUAAUAUACUUCUCAAUCACGUAUUUCCACUCAGGAAAACCAUCUGCAAACAGAAGUCUUGGAAUGCGUGUACUUGUGCCCACGACAGAAUCCAGCUCAUGAUGAUGUGUUUGGCUUUGAGAAUCCGUUGAUUAUUAAGUUUUAAGGCAAAGAUUUAAAACAAAAUUGUCAAAAAUUCAAUUUUCGGUCAAAACUUGAGUUUAUGGUCAAGAUGGGUUUGCGGUCGUAAACUCAAUUUACGGUCGAGAGUUUACGGUUAUUGAAGCUUAGUUUACGGUUAUUGCAGAUAUAUAGAUUAUGGUUUUUGAAUGUUCUUGAGUUUACGGCUGUAAACUGGGUUUACGGUCAUAAUCUUGUGGCAAUAAACUCCCAGAAGUUCACGAAAACACGAUUUUGAAGAGGAUUCGAUCCCUUUUAACAGCGAAAGUGCCAAACCCAAUCUCGAACAGUGAAGAACACGAGUUUAAAUAGCCAAAAACUCGAUUUUAAGAUGCUUUGACACCGAUUUUGCUCUGAUAUCAAUUGUAAGGUCCUGAAACGGAUCUUUUCCAAUGAUCAAGCAAUCAAACAAUCAGAUAGAAUAAGAAUCGGAGUAGAAACAGAAUUCAAACAAGCUUUGCACACGCUUUUAUUGCUUAAAACGUCUGGUACAACUUGUUGUCUAUAGUCAUGAACCCUCUGUGGUAUCAACAACCAAUAAUGACCUACACAACCUCUAUUUAUAGGGGACAAUGACCGCAAACAGGACAUGGGCCGGAAACAGGGUUUACGGCCGUAAACUCACAACAAAACCGUGAACCCUAAUUUCACCUACUAUUACACCAAAAAAUACUCAAAAGAACUAUUACAACUGAAAGCCUAGACCAAACCAUUAAUUGAGCCCUUCAUGUAGAUAAUUUUGAAACAAAUUACCGUUGGAACUUAUAUAAAAUUUUUCUAUACUUCAAAUUAUUCACUUUGACUAAUAUUAGUGGCAAUUUGGCUAUUUACCUAUCUUCAGGGUCAAUUUUGUAACUAUUUAUGUAGUGUAGGGCAGUUUCUAUUAUUUAUAUUUUAUCGUAAUAUCUCUGUACGCUAUUUCCUUGAGAUCGAAAACAAUAUAAGUUAUGGCUUGAAGUGUUCGGCUUUGGCUGAAUAUUUUGCAUCUUCUUCGAUUAAUCGAUUUCGUAUACAUACACCUACAUUUCACAUUCUCUUGUCGCUAAUUUGCUAGUUGCGAUUCUACAUCUACCUACGACAGAGAUUAGUGUUAGCGACUAGCCUACUAUUUUCUUUGAAUGGCAUGUUCAUGCACGGAUCCUUUUCAGGUAUGUUACAAUUAUCUGUUUUGGGAGCUUCUAGGUGUUUAUUUAUGGGGAAAAACUAGACAUUGUUGUGUUAAUUUCUGUUUUGCUUCGUUUAAGUUGUUAGGUAACAUUCGAUUUCAUUUCUUUUGCUUUCCAUGUACUAUUGCCAAGAAUCCCGAGAUGAUUAAAGAAGCUGUAAUUAAACUUGUGACUUGUGAGUAUUAUAAUGGUCAAUAUAAUUUUUGUUAAUUAACUUUUUGGAAGCUGAUAUAGAAUGUUGUCAUUUCUAGGGUUAGAUGGUGUUUGGCAUAGCUUUUAAAAUAUUUUUUAUUAUUAUCUUUUUCUAAAAGUCAAAAAGAUGUUUGAUAAUCCUGAUUUUUCCAACUUUUACAAUAGAGGAAAUUGCGUCAUUUUGAAAAGUCACGUAAUCAUGACUUAACCAACUUUUACAAAAAAGACCUUUUGCCUCUCAAAAGCUAAGCCAAACACCCUCUUAUUGAAACAAACGAGCUAAUUAUUUUGAUAGAAAUUGGGAUGUUUAAGAUUGUAAGAAGAAAUGACGUGUCAUGCAAACAUUCGUUAAUCACUAGAUGUUAAUUUGCGUUUCUUUAGUAUAUUUUUUAGGAAAAAUGAAAAAUUUUCCCAUAAUUUUAAAGGUUUGCAUCGAAUGAUUCUCUAAACAAUACAUCAUGGGUUGUAUGAGUCCAAGUUAUGUAGAGUUCCACAACGAGCUUCAAUGGAAUCAGUUUCAUUGAUACUCCAUCACCUCACCUCCCUCCAGCAUCUCUCCAUUUACCUAAUAAUAUUAUUUCAAUACAAUUAUGUUUUUCCUCAAAAAUUCUGUCUUGAUAUCUAAUUGUUAACAUUGAUAAACGAAAUACAGAUUUUUUAAUGUUACUUUUUUUGUUGAAUUUAUUCGAAUCACAAAUACUGUUGAUAAUGUAUAGCCUAAUAGCCAAUUAAUAUGUUUAUCUGGUGACCCAUUUGAUCCGGGACUAAUACUCUAAUUGAAUCAGUUAAGAUUAAGUGGAUGGACCUUCGUUAAUUAAGUCGAUUUUUAACACCUUUAAAUAUGAUACUCACUAGGUGUGAAACUCGUGUAUUAUACGAGUUGAUAAAAGAAAAUAAAAUAUUAAAAUCUAAUUAAUAAGUAUUUUUUAAAAUAAUAUUUUAAAAUAAGAAAUGAAACAUAUUAAUUGCAAUUUAUUAUAAUAUUUAUUACAGUUUACUUUACAUAUAUAAGUAUAUGAUUAUGUGGCGUUUUAAUUUUAAAAUUUGAAAAAAACCACAAAUUGAAAUACGGAUAUUAUUUAUUUAAAAAAUAUCAUAAAAUGAUAAGUGUUAAAACUUAUUAGAUAUUGACAUGUGGCAAAAAAAAAAAAUCUUCAUUCAUUACAAACUAGUUGUGAGACCCAUAUAUUACAUGAGUUUAUUUAAAAAAAACUAAAUACAAAAUUCUAAACAUCUGAAAAAUAUAUUUAAAAAAAAAGAGAAAAUAUUGAAUUAUAAAAGUUAAAGUGUUUUUUUAUCUCUUUUAAAUUUAAACAAAUAAUUUAGAUAAAUAAAUAAAGAAAAUUAAUGAAUCUUUAAUUUGGUAAUUUUAAAAUUAGAAGGAAAGUUCAUUAAUGAAAUUGAUAUGUAUUUAUUAUUGAAUAUAAAUAUUAUCUACAACUAAUUUUUAACCCGUNUAUUAAUAAGUUAUUUUAAAUAAAUUAUUAAUUUAAGAGAUAUUUUUUAUUAGUUAUGUGAAAUUAUAAUCAUUGAUUCAAAUAAAUAUAUAAAUUUAAUAUUUAAUAUAUAUUAUAUAUUUUUUAUUUGUGAAUUAAUGAAAACAAUAAUUUAAAAUUUAAAAUUUAAAAUUUAAAAUUUAAAAUUUAAAAUUUAAAAUAGAAUCAUAUUAAUGAUGAAAAUGAAAACUAAUUAAUAAAUUUAAAAUGUAAAACUAAUAGAUUGACAAGUGGCAACACAUUAAUUAAAAUGUCUAAUAUGGUGACACAUGGCAAAAGAGCUACUCUUUUAUUAGUAUAGAGAUUUAAUAAAAUGAAAAAAAUUAUAAAAUGACAUGUGUAAUGAAAAUUAAUUUAAAAUAACCACAAAAUUAUAUAUGACAAAAUAAAUAAGAAUGUAACAUAUGGCAAAAAGAUCUUUAUCUAUUAGGGAUGAUUUAUAUUUGUGAAAUGCUUGUGAAUGGAUAUUUUAUUGACCCUUUUUCCUACUAUUGAUCCUAGAAUUUUGUUAUUUGUUGAAGAUUUACUUUUUAGAUUUUGAAAUCGUGAAUAUUAAUUUAGGAGAAUACAAACAACCAAUAUACAUAUUAGGGUUGUGCGCGGUACGGUUUGGUGCGGUCUACGGUCAAAACCGCACCGCAUGUGUGGUUUGAUAUUAUCGGAAACUGCAAACCGCACCGCGAAGGUUACAACCCGUGUUAUGCGGUGUGGUGCGGUUUAGUUCGAUGCGAGUGGUUUGAGUGCGGUUUGAUAAAUAACAAAAAAUAUUGUGUAUCUUAGUUUUACAAACCAAGUGUAAUUAUGUGUCUCGGCAUAUUUAUUAUAAAUUAUUUGUAAUAGUAAAAAAUAAGUAAAAUAUGACUAAUAACAUUCUCCAAAACAACAUCAAUCCAUGUAAAAUGCCAUUAACAAUUUUAUAGAAUCUAACAUCAGCUAAAACAACUUCAAACUAUUUGUGGUUUUAUAAUAUGUACUUCGGGUUCCAUUUUAGCAAUAAAACUAAACUAAUUAAAUGAGAAGGUUGAGAGCAAUCGAUAUUGUAACCUUUUGGUUAUUUACAUUUUCUUUAAGGAAUUUGUCAAGAUAUCUUACUGUCUAAAUUUUUUCAUACAAGAAUUUAGAUAAUAAGAUAUGUCAAUAUUUUACAUGUUUUGAUUAAAGAGUUUUCCAAACAAAUUUAUUAUUUAUAAAAAUGGAGGACGAUCAGUGUAACAUCCAUAAAAUUAACGCCAAAUUUAAACUUUUAAUAUCAACAGAAGAGAUCAAAUAGUAAUUGUUUACAAAACAUUUCCAAAUCAAUUAUCAUCAGAGUGUCCCAAAACAGAUCAUAAGGAUGAGGAGCGGUACGGUCACAUCUUCGGCUUCCCACGGUCUCCUGAACUACCUGAAACAAUAAACUGAAAAUUGUAAACCCGAGGGCUUAGUGAGCUACCCCCAAAAUACCAAUACCACACUGAUAAAGACCAAUUCAGUAACAAUCAAUCCAUCAACAUGCAUACUGGGCGAUCGGCGUGAAUGGUCCGCCCCACUGGGCCUACAGUCUGUCUAGAUCUAUCCCGAGCCUUCGGUAUGACUGGUCCACCACGUGGGCCUACAGUCUCCCCGGACCGCUCAUAGGGUAUGCUAGCCUUUAGCACGGAGCAGGAUCGCCUCAACCCAACCAACAAGCAGAUAACCAUGUGUCACACCCUGAAAACCGAAGGCGGAAACAUUUCCGGGGCGAACUCCAUGUUGAGUAUCAAAUCCAAUGCAUAUAGUAAGCAAAGUAGACAACCAUUACAUUACAUAUUAGAAUUUACAUAUGUUCAAAAGUAACGUGUUACAAGUGUAAUACAUAUAUAUGAACAAAAGUAGAGACGCGUCUUAUGUACGCUUCGUCUUCUCCAAAAGGAUCGCUAGGUACCUGUCUAAUGUUGACCUGAGAAUACAAGCAGUUUAAAAAUCAGCAUAAAGCUGGUGAGUUCAUAAGAUGAUGUUUUUGAAAAUGUACGAGUUCCCUUUUUGCUUUCCGAAAAGAUUGUUAUCCAAGAAAAUCCUAUAUUUUCUUAUAUGUAAAUUUUGAUUAACUGUUUUAUUACACAAAUUUUAUUAUGUACAAUUGUUAUCCAAGGAAAAUCCUAUAUUUUCCUAAAAGUAAGUUUAGUUAUUGAAUUUCGAUGUAAUGUUUGAUUGCCUUUCAUACUUGUUAUAUUAAAUAGGUAUUCUGAUAUCCUAGUGGUGUUACACUUGAAUGAACCUAGAUGCGUGCCUUCGUAUUCGUAUUUCUAUUCUUAAUCAUAUUCAUAUUUAUAUUUUAUAUUUGUAUUCGUAUUUAUAUUUGUAUUCGUAUUUAUAUUUGUAAUCCUAUUCGUAUUCGUACUCGCAUUCGUAUUCGUAUUUCUACUCCUAAUCCUAAUCCUAUUCGUAUUCGUAUUCGUAUUCACAUUCGUAUUCGUAUUCGUAUUCGUAUCCCUAUUCCUACUCCUAAUACUAUUCGUAUUCGUAUUCGUAUUUGUAUUUGUAUUCGUAUUCGUAUUCGCAGUCGUAUUCGUAUCCCUAUUCCUACUCCUAAUACUAUUCGUAUUCGCAGUCGUAUUUGUAUCCCUAUUCCUACUCCUAAUACUAUUCAUAUUUGUAUUCGUAUUCAUAUUCGUAUUCGCAGUCGUAUUCGUAUCCCUAUUCCUACUCCUAAUACUAUUCGUAUUCGUAUUCGUAUUCGUAUUCGUAUUCGUAUUCGUAUUCACAGUCAUAUUCGUAUCACUAUUCCUACUCUUAAUACUAUUCGUAUUCGUAUUCAUAUUCGUAUUCGUAUUCGUAGUCGUAUUCGUAUCCCUAUUCCUACUCCUAAUACUAUUCGUAUUUGUAUUCGUAUUCGUAUUUGUUCUAAAUGAUGAUUAGUAUGAAUUAUUCGUAGAUUAUGAAACAUAAUUUAGAUUGUAACAUUUUAUCAAGAAAUCUAUGAUUAGUCUGAAAGCUAACAUCGUAAUUCGAACUAUUUGAUAAACACAGUUUUUGAUAUUAGAACAUACAGAAUGAAAACAAUUGAAUUGAAAAUAAUAAGUUGGAGUACAAGAUUUCCUUGUAAUUUUGCUUGUAUUCCCCCCUGAAAACAGUGAAAAACAUUUGAAAAAGGGUAGGGGUAUAAACUCACCGGUUGAGGAACGCGUCAGUUUGGAUCCUAAACAUCAGUUCUGGGUUUGCAAACGCACAAGAUUCCUAUGUAUUAUGACAUGAUACAUAUUUGUAUUUAAUUAGGACUUGAUUAAUUUAUUUUCUAAGGACAUACACUUCUAGUCACGAAAACACUUAAUUACAAGCGUUUGGAGGGACCCGGGUGGCAUUUUAGGACACAUAUGGCUUGGAUAUGCUCAUAGAGGAGUUUUCGGCCUUAAACACCCCAUCCACAUGAGUUCACGGCCGUGAACUCAUGGAAGGUGUUUUUGCGUGCAAAAUGGCUUCAUAACUCAUGGAUAAUUUAGCUAGGAUUGCAUCUAAGGCAUUGGAAUGAAUUUAAACUCACUUAGGGGCCAUUUAUUGGAGUUUACGGAAGUAAACAUGGAGUUUACAGCCGUAAACUCCCCCUCACUCUAAGUCCUUGUUGAUUUGGGUCUUUAAUCAAUCACAUGUGAUUCUAAUGAUUUUUCCAAGCCUUGUAUGAAUUUUUGGGGGACUUUUAGCAUGGAUUUAGGUGUUUACGGCCGAUGAACCCCCUCAUGGCCGUGAACUCCUUGGAAGAGUGUUUUAAUAUGUUUUAGGGUCCAAAUCUUGAUUGUAGUCAUUCCUAGAAUUUAUCCCAAGGCUUCUGGUGCGUGUAAAUGGCAUUUUAACACAUUAGAAGGAGUUUACUCCCCAAGAUAAUGAGUUUAUGGCCCAAGCAUGUUCUUGGGUAGUAAACUCAAGUUUACUCCUCUAAAUUGAUGUUCAAGGUGUUCCACGGCCAAAACCAAUAUUCUACAAGUCAUAUCUAAGCCCCAAAGGUCGAUUGGAAGGGUUUUAGGGCAUAAAAACCCAUUUUAUAUGUGUUCACGGCCCAAGGGUGUUCCAGGGCCAUAAACACAUGAUUAUGGUCUUAAUCCAAGAUUUGAACUCGAAUUUGAAGGUCUAAGAUGCUAUACUAGGAGUUAGGGUGGUUACCUUGAAGAUUUAGGGCUUGAAUUUGGUGUUUUUAGACCUUAAUCUUUAGUUAGAGGAGAAAGAUUAGAGAGAGAGUAGUGAGAGAGAGGAAAGGCUUCAAAUGAAGUCUUUUGAGCUUUAAAUAGGUUGUAAGUUCGGGACACGGUGGGAUUCUACCCGAUACCGACGUUAAACGGGGCUUUUGGUCGCACCCGAUUAAGUUAUCGUAACCCGGCGGGAUAGAAUUUGAAAAUUUUCAAUUUAAUUAUUUUGGACCAUGUUCAUGAGUUUAUAAAGGAUUUGAACACUCGUGAAAUUAUAAUAAACAUAUAAGUUUAAAUAAUUCGGUCCAAAAACAAGAUCGGAACGAAUCGCCAUAGACGGGUUCAUCGGACGAAAUGGGUUUUCGGCGAUGGACAACUUCGGGUUGUCACAUUAUCCCCCCGUUAGAGGGAAUUUCGUCCCGAAAUUCAAAGAUUAAGAUACAGAUCAUGAAAUGAAAAGAGAUGUGGAUGAAUCUACUGCUUCGGUUCUUCACGCUCCUAAAUGGAAUCGGGCCUCCGCUUGACACUCCAGCGAACCCUCACUAUCGGGAUGCGGUUUUGUUUCGUACAUUUGAUCUCUCCAUCCAUGAUCUCAACUUGUUCUUCCAUGGAGGCUCAAACUUUCGUUGACUUCGGUCUCAUCAAAGGAAUUACUAAGGUUUCAUCGGGUAGAUACUCCUUAAGGACAGAGAUGUGGGAUACCGAAUGGAUGCUACUAAGUCCUGAGGGUAGUCGGCGUUUGUAGGCUACGGAAUCAAUCCUAAUGAGGAUUUCGAAAAGUUCUAUGUUCCUUGGGAUACGUGUUUCAGAAUGUAACACGCCAUCUUUCUCAUCGUUGGCUACCUUGAUGAUGGACGUUUCGAUUUCUAAUUGAGGACUAUGUUUAUGAAGAGAUUCGAAUGAAUGGAUAACAGUUUUUCUUUCAGAUUAGAAUUGAAAAAGGAUUGCAAGCAGAAGGGUUGUUGAAAAGGAAUAUACCUGAGGCAACUAUGGGAUCGGCGGCUGCCUCACCUUGUCCUAUAGCUAGGACUCUUCCAUUGUUGCCAAUUGUUGGUGCAUUGGGGCAGUUUCUCUUAUAAUGCCCGUCUUUACCGCAACCAUAGCAGGCCUGAUUGAUGCCCGCUCCGGAAGCUUGAUUUGUUGGUGUUCUACAACUCCGCGCAAGGUGACCCUCUUGGCCAUAAUUUUUGCAAAAUUUCACACGAUAGGGACCGGGGAUGUAGUGGUGGUAACUGCACUGGUUACACCACGGGAGAACGCCGGCAUAUCCGGUGAUAGGUGCUCAGGUUGGGAAACCCACGACAGAAACAGUAGCAGGGGUAGUGGCAGUGUGGACCGCCACCAUCUGUUGUUUCUUCGAGAACUCUUGUGAAGGCUGACAUUUCUCUCACGCCUCCCAAUACUUUCUUUUCUCAGCACUUCUUUCUGUCGGCUCAGGAGUGGUGGCUUCUUCCUCUACGUUCUCACUAUGGUCGAUCAAGAUUUGCGCUAGGCAUUUGGCGCUAUCGUAUGUAUCCGGCUUCGCAACUAAAACGUUCCCUUUGGUUGGCUGGGUCAACCUCCAGAUGAACCUCUCUACCUUUUUGCUUUCCGGGGUAACCAUUCCCGGACAAAGAAGCGCCAAGUCGUCAAACCUGGAUGUGUAGGCGGCGAUAUCGGAACUUUUCAUCUUCAGGUUCCAGAGUUCAUGCUCCAGCUUCUGAAUUUCACCCCGAGGGCAAUACUCUGUGUGCAGAAGUUCCAUCAUAACUUCCAAACCCAUAGCAUUGGCUACAGGUAGAGUUAGGGAUUUGACUCGGCCGUUCCACCAAGUCAGAGCUUUAUUGGUGAGAGUGCAGGCGGCAAACUUCACCUUGUCGGAUUCUGAACAAGCACAGAUCUCGAAGAUAGAUUCGAUCUUCUCUAGCCACCGAGUUAGAGCAAUGACACCUCCUGUGCCAUCGAAGAAUGUGGGUUUUUUGUUCAUAAGGUCUUUAUAGGAACACUCCUUUCGGUUUCCCUGGCUACCUUCCUGGUUUUUGAGGCUGGGGACCACCUCCUGAACUACCGGGGUUCACUUGUGAUAUGGCUGCUGCCACUACAACAGUAAAAACUGACUGAAGGGUUACACGAUCGAUUUGAAGAGAAGGUGGUGGUGGAGGAGGGUUGUUGUUGGUAUUUGAGCUGGGUCUCUUUCUUGGAGGCAUCUUGAUCUAAUAAGAUCAGGAAAGAGAGGAUGGUAAGUCCUUCGAAUUGAAUCAAGAGAUAUGAUACAGGGGACAUCUCUUUAUGAUAGACAUAGAAUUUUAUUAAGCGAUAAUGCAGGAAGGAGUUUUCAAAACAGAAUAAAUUAUCGCUAAAGGAAUGAUUGAGGAGCAACGUUGGGAUGAGGAUUUCUAUAAUGGAUUUGGCUCGAUAAAUACUCCCAUAGUAUUUCUUGUCUCACUGCAAUGACGGGUCAUUGUUUGGGUAUUGGGUAAGUUUUAGGCAUGUCGCACACCACAGUCACUCCCAAGUACAUGUUGGCCGUGUCUCGAAUGAAUAUAGUUGGCCAGGCUAUAUUGAUCCUAGACACGACUACAUAACUGCCCAGGUUUAACCGCAAGGUACAACACCCAUUUACUUAUGUUUUGUUCUACUUGUAGUUACGGAUUUCGACGAUUGGGUAUACUUGUAUACUUUUAAAAAUACUUAUAUUUUGAGGUAUACUUUUAGUUCAGAGCACUUAGGCCCCUUAGUGUUUUUAGUCUUAUACCAUGUAAGGUUUGGUAUACUAGUUCACUAUAAACAAGGGCUCUGAUACCAAUCUGUCACACCCCGAAAACCGAAGGCGGAAACAUUUCCGGGGCGGACUCCACGUUGAGUAUCAAAUCCAAUGCACAUAGUAGGCAAAGUAAUCAACCAUUACAUUACAUAUUAUAAUUUACAUAUGUUCAAAAGUAACGUGUUACAAGUGUUAUAUAUAUAUAUAUAUGAACAAAAGUAGAGACGAGUCUUCUGUACGCUCCGUUUUCUCCAAAAGGAUCGCUAGGUACCUGUCUAAUGUUGACCUGAGAAUACAAGAAGUUUGAAAAUCAACAUAAAGCUGGUGAGUUCAUAAGAUGAUUGUUUUGAAAAUGUACGAGUUCCCUUUUUGCUUUCCGAAAAGAUUGUUAUCCAAGAAAAUCAUAUAUUUUUUUAUAUGUAAAGUUUGAUUAACUGUUUUAUUACACAAAUCUGGUUAUGUACAAUUGUUAUCCAAGGAAAAUCCUACAUUUUCCUAAAAGUAAGUUUAGUUAUUGAAUUUGGAUGUAAUCUUUGAUUGCCUUUCCUACUUGUUAUAUUAACUAGGUAUUCUGAUAUCCUAGUGGUGUUACACUUGAAUGAACCUAGAUGCGUGCCUUCGUAUUCGUAUUUCUACUCCUAAUCCUAUUUGUAUUCGUAUUUAUAUUUGUAGUCCUAUUCGUAUUCGUACUCGCAUUCGUAUUCGUAUUUCUACUCCUAAUCCUAAUCCUAUUUGUAUUCGUAUUCGUAUUCGCAUUCGUAUUCGUAUUCGUAUUCGUAUUCGCAGUCGUAUUCGUAUCCCUAUUCCUACUCCUAAUCCUAUUUGUAUUCGUAUUUGUAUUUGUAUUCGUAUUCGUAUUCGCAGUCGUAUUCGUAUCCAUAUUCCUACUCCUAAUACUAUUCGUAUUCGUAUUCGUAUUCGUAUUCGCAGUCGUAUUUGUAUCACUAUUCCUACUCCUAACAUUAUUCGUAUUCGUAUUCGUAUUCGUAUUCGCAGUCGUAUUCGUAUCCCUAUUCCUACUCCUAAUACUAUUCGUAUUCGUAUUCGUUCUAAAUGAUGAUUAGUAUGAAUUAUUCGUAGAUUAUGAAACAUAAUUUAGAUUGUAACAUUUUAUCAACAAAUCUAUGAUUAGUUUGAAAGCUAACUUCGUAAUUCGAACUAUUUGAUAAACACAGUUUUGGAUAUUAGAACAUACAGAAUGAAAACAAUUGAACUGAAAAUAAUAAGUUGGAGUACAAGACUUCCUUGUAAUUUUGCUUGUAUUCCCCCCCCCCUUGAAAACAGUGAAAGACUUUUGAAAAAGGGUAGGGGUAUGAACUCACCGGUUGAGGAACGCAUCAGUUUGGAUCCUAAAUGUCAGUUUUGGGUUUGCAAACGCACAAGAUUCCUAUGUAUUAUGACAUGAUACAUAUUUUUAUUUAAUUAGGACUUUAUUAAUUUGUUUUCUAAGGACAUACACUUCUAGUCGCGAAAACACUCAAUUACAAGCAUUUGGAGGGACCCGGGUGGCAUUUUAGGACACAUAUGGCCUGGAUAUGGAGUUUGCUCUUCAAGAGUAAAAUCAUAGAGGAGUUUUCGGCCUUAAAUACCCCAUCCACAUGAGUUCACGGCCGUGAACUCAUGGAAGGUGUUUUUGGGUGCCAAAUGGCUUCAUAACUCAUGGAUAAUUUAGCUAGGAUUGCAUCUAAGGCAUUGGGAUGAAUUUAAACUCACAUAGGGGCCAUUUAUUGUAGUUUACGGCCGUAAACUCCCCCUCACUCUAAGUUCUUGUUGAGUUGGGUCUUUAAUCAAUCACAUGUGAUUCCAAUGAUUUUUCCAAGCCUUGUAUGAAUUUUUGGGGGACUUUUAGCAUGGAUUUAGGAGUUUACAGUCCAUGAACCCCCUCAUGGCCGUGAACUCCUUGGAAUAGUGUUUUAAUAUGUUUUAAGGUCCAAAUCAUGAUUGUAGUCAUUCCUAGAAUUUAUCCCAAGGCUUAUGGUGUGUGUAAAUGGCAUUUUAACACAUUAGAAGGAGUUUACUCCCCAAGAUAAUGAGUUAAUGGCCCAAGCAUGUUCUUGGGCAGUAAACUCAAGUUUACUCCUCUAAAUUGAUGUUCAAGGUGUUCCAAGGCCAAAACCAAUAUUCUACAAGUCAUAUCUAAGCCCAAAAGGUCGAUUGGAAGGGUUUUAGGCAUAAAAACCCAUUUUAUAUGUGUUCACGGCCCAAGGGUGUUCCUGGGCUGUAAACACAUGAUUAUGGUCUUAAUCCAUGAUUUGAACUUGAAUUUGAAGGUCAAAGAUGCUAUACUAGGAGUUAGGGUGGUUACCUUGAAGAUUUGGGGCUUGAAUUUGGUGUUUUUGGACCUUAAUCUUUAGUUAGAGGAGAGAGGUUAGAGAGAGAGAGUAGUGAGAGAGAGGAAAGGCUUCAAAUGAAGUCUUUUGAGCUUUAAAUAGGUCGUAAGUUCGGGACACGGUGGAAUUCUACCCGAUACCGAUGUUAAAUGGGGCUUUUGGUCGCACCUGAUUAAGUUAUCGUAACUCGGCGGGAUAGAAUUUGAAAAUUUUCAAUUUAAUUAUUUUCGACCAUGUUCAGGAGUUUAUAAAGGAUUUGAACACUCAUGAAAUUAUAAUAAACAUAUAAGUUAAAAUAAUUCAGUCCAAAAACGAGAUCGGAACGAAUCGCCAUAGAUGGGUUCUUCGGACGAAAUGGCUUUUCGGCGAUGGACAACUUCGGGUUGUCACACCAUGUGCACAUAAUUAUCAUAUAUGGCAUAUACAAACAUCAAUCAUAUCUAUCUUACUGAUCAUCAAUCAUGAAGUUCUCUAGAACACUGACCUAGUAGGUCACUAUCAUACCAAUCCCUACGGAUCAUAAAACAUAACAUACUGUCUACCCUGAUUCCAAUCUAGUAGAUCAUAAUCACAUGUAGCAUACCAUAACUAUAAUAAAUAAAGGGUCGGUCUUUGUGCCGUAGACCCUGUCGAUAUAGUGAGGAUAACUCACCUCGCAGAUGUCAACUCGGAAGGUAAACUCCAACUCUCGGAUCACUCGACACAGGCUUCACUACCUAGAAUCAUAGUUCAACAUACUCAUAAGUCCUUAACCUUCUAAGGUACUCCAUAACCCAAUAGUCAACCCCUGGUCAAGGUCAAAGUCCUCAGUCAAGGUCAACAUUCCAUGUUGACCUCAACUCGUCGAGUACACCCAGUUACUCGUCGAGUCCCUUGAAGCACAAUCAAACUCGCCGAGUCAUCGAUGUGACUCAUCGAGUUCCUUCGAAUCCCGAUCAAACCUUAAGGCCACCCCUCGAGUUCCCUCCUUGCAAUUUGAUGUAUAUACACGUGUACGUGUUCUUGGCUAAAACUCAUCCGACUCGUCAAGUUAUUGUUCAAGUCGUCGAGUCUAUGGCAAUCUUCAUCCGACUCGCCGAGUUGUUCAUCCAACUCGUCGAGUUCAUGGCCAUCUUCAUGCGACUCGCCGAGUUGCUCAUCCAACACGUCGAGUCCAUCCAGUCCUUUUUUUCCAUACAAGCCUAUUUUGAGCCAUGCAGCGGCUCAAAUUCACAGAUCCAGGUUCCUAGAGCAUACUUAUCACGUAAAGCUGCAAACUUUACGUACAUGCAUUGCUUUAAAAGCUCUUAAUGCCAAAACCAAGCUCUUAAUGGGUCUUCACGGACCAAGGGAUCCUUAAUCUCGACCAAAGCUGGAACUUUAUGCUUAUAUAACCCAAAGAGGGUCCAGAUCUGAAGUUACAACUUCAGAUCUAGCCCAUAGCUUGUCAUACCAACUUGAUAUCCUUAUAAAAACCCUAAAGCUCACUCAAAAUGGGAGGUCUAGACUGAAAUAAAUGAGGGUAAUAGCUUAAUACCUUCCCAAGAGAUGUCCACAGAAGUAGAUUCGAAUUUCCUCCCGCUUCUUGCCNUGCCUCAAUCACUUGCUUUCCCCCAAACUCCACACCAAAAUCUUAUCUCAAAGCUUCAACACACAAUGGGCACACACACACACGAGUUAGAGAUGCAAAGGGGGCUGCAAAGGGGUUGAAAGAGGCCUGAGCCUCUUUAAAUAGGGGUGCAAACCCUGGAAAUUAGGGUUUCUCCUUUCCAGCUCCUACUCGCUGAGUCCCACAAAGGACUAGCCAAGUAGCUCACUUAAUUCACGAUCCCACUCGCUGCUACUUGACGAUUAAGGCUACCAACUUGUCGAGUAAGGCCAAAACCAAGAAAUUAUUUUAUUAAGAAUAAUACCUGAGAAUCGGGGCGUUACAACUCUCCCCCACUUGAACUAGACUUCGCCCUCGUAGUUUGUUGGGAUAAAUAACGACGGGUAAUGCUCGCGCAUCUCCGCCUCCGGCUCCCAUGUCCAUCAGAUCCCUUCCGAUUAUCCCACUGUACCUUCACUAAGGGUAUUUCUUUGUUCCGCAAAAUCUUCUUCAUCCUUUCCAAAAUGGCCACAGGCCUCUCCACAUAGUUUAGGCGCUCAUUGACAUGAAUAUCAUCCAACGUCACAACUGCCUCCUCGUCCAUAACGCACUUUCAUAAUUGCGAAACAUGAAAUGUGUUGUGGAUCCGGCUAAGCUCCUCCGGAAGCUCUAACCUAUAAGCCACCUUGCCCAACCUGACAACAAUCCUGAAUGGCCCAAUAUAGCGGGGACCCAGCUUUCCCCUCUUCCUGAAAUGGAUCACACCCUUCCAGGGUGAGACCUUCAGGAGAACCAUGUCACCCUCAUGAAAUUCCAACUCAGAUCGACAUCGAUCAACAUAACUCUUUUGCCGACUCUGAGCGGUCUGCAACCGCUGUCUAAUUUGCUAUAUCAUCUAAGUAGUUUGCAGAACCACCUCAGUCCAACCCAUCAACCUGUGCCCAACCUCACUCUAGCAGACUGGGGUCCUACACCUCCGCCCGUACAACAGCUCGAAAGGCGGAGCGCCAAUACUGGAAUGAUAGCUAUUGUUGUAGGCAAACUCCGCAAGAGGCAGGUGGGAAUCCCAUCUCCCACCGAAAUCGAUGACGCAUGCCCUUAACAUAUCCUCGAGGGUCUGGAUGGUCCGCUCACUCUUCCCAUCGGUCUGCGGGUGAAACACCGUAAUGAAAUGUAACCUCGUUCCUAGUUCCUCGUGGAACUUCUGCCAAAAUCGUGAAGUAAACCUGACAUCUCAAUCGGAAAUAAUGGAAACUAGAACCCCAUGGUGAGAGACAAUCUCGCUGACAUACAGGUCGGCCAACUUUUCAGCCGACGAACUCUCCCAGAUGGCUAAGAAGUGGGCACUCUUGGUCAAUCGAUCCAUGAUGACCCAUAUAGAAUCGAACCCAUUUGACAUCUUCGGCAAUUUCGUAAUGAAAUCCAUCGUGAUCUGUUACCAUUUCCACAUAGGAAUUUCCAGGGGCUGCAGCUUACCAUGCGGCCUCUGAUGCUCGGUCUUGACCAUCCUGCAGGCCAGGCACCUCUUAACAUACCAAGCGAUCUCUGGCUUCAUACCCGACCACCAAUAGCUUACACUCAAGUCGCGGUACAUCUUAGUGGCACCCGAGUGAAUAGAAAAAUGAGACUUAUGAGCCUCCUCCAUCACUGUCUGCCUGACUCCUCCGAUCAUCGGAACCCAAACCCAACCGUAUCGGGUCAAAAGCAUACAGCUAUCCUGAACAAACCAGGCGCUUUCGCCCUUAAUCCUCUCUAGCUUCCAAUUCUCCGAUCUCAUACCCUCAACCUGGGCGUCCCUGAUCAAACUCACGAGCGGGGAAUCCACCGCUAUCCUCAUACACCUUGCUGGGGUGGAAGACCCAGCUGACUUGUGGCUCAGAGCAUCCGCAACCAUGUUCGCUUUACCCGGAUGGUAAAGGAUCUCACAAUCAUAGUCCUUAACCACAUCCAACCAUCUGUGCUGCCUCAUGUUCAGGUUCAGCUGAUCCAUGAUGUGUCUCAAACUCUUGUGAUCCGUGUAUAUAGUACAACGGACCCCGUACAGUUAGUGCCUCCAAAUUUUGAGAGCAAAGACCACUGCCGCCAACUCGAGAUCAUGUGUAGGGUAUCUCGUCUCAUGCGGCGUCAGCUGUCACGAUGCAUAGGCUGCCACUCGUCCCCUCUGCAUGAGGACUGUCCUCAACCCUGAGAUGGACGCAUCGCAAAAUACCUCAAAAUCCUCAACUCCCUCGAGGAGUGUCAACACCGGCGCCUCGCAUAAACACCGCUGCAAGGUCUCAAACGCCCUCUGCUGCUCCAUACCCCACCAGAAAUCCACCCCUUUCCUCGUAAGGCGAGUGAGGGGUACCGCAAUCUUGGAGAAAUCACGAAUGAAUCUCCGAUAAUACCCUGCUAAACCCAAGAAACUCCUGAUAUCCGAAGGAGAUUUCGGAACCUCCCACUGCAUAACGGCCUCUACCUUGGCCGGAUCAACCAAAAUCCCCUCCUGGUUAACGAGAUGAUCGAGGAACUGGACCUCUCGCAACCAAAACUAGCAUUUCGAGAACUUGGCGUACAACUGUUCUCGCCUCAAAACCUCCAGCAGCUCCCUGAGAUGCUCCUCAUGCUGCUCCCGGGUCUUGGAAUACACCAAGAUGUCAUCUAUGAACACAAUGACCGAGCAAUCAAGCAUCGGUCUGCAGACUCGGUUCAUCAAAUCCAUGAACACUGUCGGCGCGUUGGUGAGCCCAAACGGCAUCAGCACGAACUCGUAAUGACCAUAAUGAGUCUGAAACGCAGUCUUUUCCACGUCUUCCUCCCUCACCCUAACCUGGUGAUAUCCGGAACUCAAAUCGAUCUUGGAAAACCAAGAUGCACCCUGCAGUUGAUCAAAUAGAUCAUCUAUCCUCGGGAGUGGAUAAUGGUUCUUCACUGUUAACUUGUUCAACUCCCUAUAGUCGAUGCACAUCCUGUGCAAACCGUCCUUUUUCUUGACGAAAAGGAUCAGUGCUCCCCACGGUGAACUACUUGGACGAAUUAACUGCUUACCCAGCAGCUCCUGCAACUGAGAUGAUAGCUCUUGCAUCUCAGGCGGUGCCAGAUGGUACGGUGCUUUAGUGAUAGGGGCCGCACCUGGCACUAGGUCAAUCUUGAACUCUACCUGCCUCUCCGGAGGCACUCCAGGCAACUCUUCCGGAAACACAUCAGCAAAUUCCCUCACCACUGGGACCUCAGAAACGGAGAGCUGCUCUCCAACCCGUGUAUCCACCACAUACGCCAAAUAACCGACACACCCGUGCUGAAUAUACUGUCGAGCCCUGGCUGCCAAACAAAACCCUGAUCCCAUCCUGGUGCCCUUACCAUAUACUACCAGUUCUCCCCCACUUGGGGUUCGAACCACCACCCGCUGUCCCUCAGAGUUGAUCAUGGCGCCAAAACGGCUAAGACAAUCCAUCCCUACGAUCACGCAUACAUCCCUCAUGGGGAUAGGAAUCAAAUCUAUCGGGAAGGACACCCGAAAAUCUCCAACUCGCACCCCCGGUAGACCGAAGAAGCGGAAACCCCAUGCUCGUUGGCGAUCGAAACUUACAACGGACACUCAAGAUCAUCCAUCGGCACACUGAACCCUCUAGAGAAGGUCUGAGAUACAAACGACCGACUCGCCCCCGAGUCAAAUAAUACCAAAGCGGGCAAAGAGUAUACUAAAAACGUACCUGAUUACAUGUAUAAUCAAUAAGCAUAACACAAAAACAAUAACUGAGACAGAUAAUAGAAACGUACCAGCAACCACAUCUGGCACUGACUUGGCCUCCUCGGCCGUGAGCUAGAAGGCGUGACCUUGAGCCUUCAGAGGCUCCACCUUGACUAGCCUCCCAUCUCCGAUCCUCACAGCAGCUGGUGCGGAACCCUGCGUCGGCUUAGCGGCGAGCUGUGGACUAACGGCAAUCCUUGGUAUAGUGCCCCUCCUUGCCACAUUUGUGGCACCCACCUCCUGCUCUAAAAACUCCCAAAUGAGCCCUACCACACUUUCCACAAGUGCGGCUCUGCUGACCCCCAGACCAUGUAUCAGCGGUCUUAGACCGCUUAGGCGCCGACUGAGACUGUGUUGGUGCCUGACGCUGCUCCCUCAGUUGCAGCUCUAUCUCCAAUUCACGCCGCCUCGCAGCUUCCUGAAGAUCCAAAAGAGUAUCACAACGUUGUGUAGCCACAAAGUGUCGGAUGUCCGUCUUGAGCAUACUCAGAUAAUGAGUCAUCUGAGACCGCUCUAACGCAAACUCCGGGCAAAACAUAGCCCUCUCCGUGAACAUUCGGGUAAUCUCCAUCACAGACUCCCCAUCCUGUCUCGAAGUUAAAAACUCCUGAGCAAGCUACUCCCGUUCCACGCGCGGAACGUAGCGGGUGCGAAACAUAUCCCGGAACUGCUCCGAAGUAAUAGCAGCCCGCUGAUCAUCAGAAUAUGAACCUAUCAUCAAUCUCCACCAUUCUUUUGCCCCGAGCCAUAGUAGGUUCAGAGCACACCCGACCUUUUGGUCAGCAGGACAUGAGCACGUGAAGAAACAACCCUCCACGUCAGACAACCACCACAUAGCCCUGAUCGCAUCCUGUUUACCAUCGAACGUUAGGGGCUUCAUAUUAUCAAAGUCCCGAUACUGGAAAGCCUUGCCGACUCCUCCUCCAACCCCUGCUGCAGCCCGAGCCAUAGUAGGUUCAGAGCACACCCGACCUUUUGGUCAGCAGGACAUGAGCACGUGAAGAAACAACCCUCCACGUCAGACAACCACCACAUAGCCCUGAUCGCAUCCUGUUUACCAUCGAACGUUAGGGGCUUCAUAUUAUCAAAGUCCCGAUACUGGAAAGCCUUGCCGCCUCCUCCUCCAACCCCUGCUGCAGUUACAGCCGAAGUGGUUGCAGCGGCAGCUGUCUCUGCUAGAGUGGCAUAUCGCUCGUCAAAAUACUCAACCAUCAUGGUCUUAAUUGACCCAUACAUCUCUGGAAGUUGCGCUCAGAAUGCAGCAACAAUCACGUCGUGCAUGAUCUCCCAAAUCCCGACAUCCAACUCCUUGGUCGCUAUCUGAACCACGGGCUCAGGUGCUACCGGCACCUCUAAUCCUCCGUCUCCUGACCCUGAUACUGAUCCCGAUCCUGAUCCGGAUCCCGAAGCAAUACGUCUUGUCACCACCAUACUGUAAACACACUCAAUAUCUCAAACAAAUCAUAUAAUGAUGGAAGACCAAUACCCUAAAUCCCUAGGGGUUGUAACUUCCUUUCUACACGUAUGGGUCCUAUGCUUUUAGUAGUAUGGGCCCCUACUACCUUCCACACCUACCCAUAUUUGUUUCAAGUAUCACCACAACGCCCUAAACUAUAUUCAACAUAAUAUGCGCUCAACCCUCACUAACAGGGGACAUCGCCUAACUAGCAGUUGAUCCUACAGUUCCGCACUACUCACACAUCCAUGAAACAUCCAUCAUCCCAUGUAGCGCUAGUGUAUACUGGCUGCACAUAGCGCUGGACCCGAUAGACUUUCGAAUAUCCGAUCCUACACUAAGGUCGAAUCAGACAUUCUCAGGCUAUAAGAUCUUGACUACACACAGCCGUGGUGCAUACACUAAACAUCUACAGUUAUGAUGUUAAUUCCAUAUAAAAUGGUCCCUAGGCUAAUAGGCAUCAGAUAAUCAGGCAAUUCUAUCAUGCGAUUCCUGAAGAUCCCUAUCCUAGCACUAGCAUGCUGUUCUAACAUAUCAGAAUAUCAAAUAACCAUAUGGUAUUUUGGGGUUCACUUACAGACUCUGGCUGAUUGUACCCUUGCAUCCUCCNUUACAGACUCUGGCUGAUUGUACCCUCUGCAUCCUCCAUCCUUAUUUUGAAAACCAUUUUAAAACUUAUUUUCCGAAAAUCUCCUUGAUUUGAGACUGGAUUCACACAAGUGUUCCUCCAAUUCACUCAAACCAAGGCUCUGAUACCAACUUGUGACAUCCAUAAAAUUCACACCAAAUUUAAACUUUUAAUAUCAACAAAAGAGAUCAAAUAGUAAUUGUUUACAAAACAUUUCCAAAUCAGUUAUCAUCAGAGUGUCCCAAAACAGAUCAUAAGGAUGAGGAGUCGUACGGUCACGCCUUCGCCUUCCCAUGGCCUCCUGAAGUACCUGAAACAAUAAACUAAAAACUGUAAGCCCGAGGGCUAAGUGAGCUACCCCCAAAAUACCAAUACCACACUGAUAAAAACCAAUUCAGUAACAAUCAAUCCAUUAACAUGCAUACUGGGCCAUCGGCCCGACUGGUCCGCCCCGCUGGCCUACAGUCUGUCUAGAUCUAUCCCAAGCCUUCGGUAUGACUGGUCCGCUACGUGGGCCUACAGUCUCCCCGGACCGCUCAUAGGGUAUGUUAGCCUUCAGCACGGAGCAGGACCGCCUCAACCCAACCAACAAGCAGAUAACCAUGUGCACAUAACUAUAAUAUACGGCAUAUACAAACUUCAAUCAUAUCUAUCUUACUGAUCAUCAAUCAUGAAGUUCUCUAGAACACUGACCUAGCAGGUCACUAUCAUACCAAUCCCUACGGAUAAUAAAACAUAACAUACUGUCUACCCUGAUUCCAAUCUAGUAGAUCAUAAUGACAUGUAGCAUACCAUAACUAUAAUAAAUAAAGGGUCGGCCUUGGUGCCGUAGACCCUAUCGAUAUAGUGAGGAUAACUCACCUCACUGAUGUCAACUCGAAAGGUAAACUCCAACUCUCGGAUCACUCGACACAGGCUUCACUACCUAGAAUCAUAGUUCAACAUACUCAUAAGUCCUUAACCUUAUAAGGUACUCCAUAACCCAAUAGUCAACCCCUGGUCAAGGUCAAAGUCCUCAGUCAAGGUCAACAAUCCAUGUUGACCUCAACUCGUCGAGUACACCCAGCUACUCGCCGAGUCCCUUGAAGCACAUUUAAACUAGCCGAGUCAUCGAUGUGACUCAUCGAGUUCCUUCGAAUCCCAAUCAAACCUUAAGGCCACCCCUCGAGUUCCCUCCUUGCAAUUUGAUGUAUAUACACGUGUACGUGUUCUUCGCUAAAACUCAUCCGACUCGUCAAGUUAUUGUUCAAGUCGUCGAGUCUAUGGCAAUCUUCAUCCGACUCGCCGAGUUGUUCAUCCAACUCGUCGAGUUCAUGGCCAUCUUCAUGCAACUCGCCGAGUUGCUCAUCCAACACGUCGAGUCCAUCCAGUCCUUUUUUCCAUACAGGCCUAUUUUGAGCCAUGCAGUGGCUCAAAUUCACAGAUCCAGGUUCCUAGAGCAUACUUAUCAUGUAAAGUUGCAAACUUUACGUACAUGCAUUGCUUUAAAAGCUCUUAAUGCCAAAACCAAGCUCUUAAUGGGUCUUCACGGACCAAGGGAUCCUUAAUCUUGACCAAAGCUGGAACUUUAUGCUUAUAUAACCUAAAGAGGGUCCAGAUCUGAAGUUACAACUUCAGAUCUAGCCCAUAGCUUGUCAUACCAACUUGAUAUCCUUAUAAAAACCCUAAAGCUCACUCAAAAUGGGAGGUCUAGACUGAAAUAAAUGAGGGUAAUAGCUUAAUACCUUCCCAAGAGUGUCCACAGANCCACAGAAGUAGAUUCGAAUUUCCUCCCAGCUUCUUGCCUCAAUCACUUGCUUUCCCCCAAACUCCACACCAAAAUCUUAUCUCAAAGCUUCAACACACAAUGGGCACACACACACGAGUUAGAGAUGCAAAGGGGGCUGCAAAGGGGCUGAAAGAGGCCUGAGCUUCUUUAAAUAGGGGUGGAAACCCCAGAAAUUAGGGUUUCUCCUUUCCAGCUCUUAGUCGCUAAGUCCCACAAAGGACUCGCCGAGUAGCUCACUUAAUUCAUGAUCCCACCCGCUGCUACUCGACGAGUAGGGCUACCAACUCAUCGAGUAAGGCCAAAACCAAGAACUUUUUUUAUUUGAAAUAAUACCUGAGAAUCGGGGCAUUACAAUCAGGUUCUGAUCAAGUGAGUGUGUAGUUACUUUCUUCUAANACACACACACGUGCGGUGCGGUUUGAACCACGGUUUGAUAAAUAUAAACCACAAACCACACCGCAUAUUGCGGUUUCCAAAAACUACAAACCGCACCAUGAACGUUGAAAACCACACUAUGUGGUGUAGUGUGGUGCGGUUUGAUGCACACCCCUAAAUUACAUAUGUUCAAAUAACGAAUCACUUUACACAAUAUCUUUAAAAUAAUGUGAUUAGCUAGCUACAUAGUUACGACUUGUUGGGUUUAUAUUCAAAAUUAGUUUCAUAAAACUUAAAAAUUUGGCAAAUGGAAGACUUUAAUAUGAAUAUUUAAAACUAGUUUAUAACCCAUAAAUGAUCUUCUUGCAAUGUUUGGAAAAAAAAACAUGCAAAGAAGAAGGAGAACAUAACAACCUUUGUAGUCUUUGAAUCCUCAGUAGGAGGUUAGGAAGUUGAUGGAGAAUGUGAGUAGAACUCUUUCCUUUGUGAACACCAACAAUAAUCGAACUUGAUGAUGAUGUUAGUCUUUAAACUCUUAAGCUCUUAAACUUUAAGUGCCCAAAAUAUGACUUAAAGAGAGCAAAAAUAGAAGCAAAAAAUAACCUCUAACACUUUGAAAGAGAAGAAUGAGAAAGAGAUGGAAGAGCUAAGGUUUUUUGCAUGUCUUAAGCAUCCAAAAUGAAAGCCCAUGUUAUGGUAUUAAAACAAAGGCAAUACGGUUAACGUCUUAACAAUUUUAAGACCUAUACGUCCUUAAUGUUCCUCAAACCUUUAAGCCAUGCUUUCUUUUAUUUAAAAUAAUCAAAAUGUCAUGAUUCUUGUAUUAAUUCUAAUAAGAAAAAACUGCAAAAAUGGUCCCUGUAGUAUGUAUUUUUUCCUAAGGUUUAGUCUAAACCUCGAUUGUUUUGGUUUCAUGGUCCUUUUAAGGUAGUUUGUUUGUGAAAUUAGUCCACGUUACACUUGUAAAAAACUAAUCUACCCUUUUAAUUUGUUUUUCAAUUUUCUUAAAUCAUUUUUACAUUUGAUUUAAAAUUUUAAAACUAAAAACAAAAAAGAGGGGGCCCUUCAUCUCUCUCUCCUUGUAGGUUUCAAUAAAAAAAUUGAUAUAUAAAGUUGGGUAAAGAUGAUGAACCUCACAGGCACACUCCUCUGUUUCUCAUUUACUUUCUAAACACCGAAAGAAAUUAAGCACAUAUCAAAUUCGAGUAGGCAUUGAAGAAAUUAAACACUAUCGUCCCCUUCAUCUCCUUUGGCCAUGGAUCUGCCCUCACCCCUCUUGAAAACACAAUUCAUGCCAGAGAUUUCACCUAGGGGUGAGAAAAAUGAAACCGAUAAAAGAAAAACCACAAAAAUCGCAAUAAACCGCAACCAAAAAACCGAAACCUAUGCAAAAACUGUUGGUGCGGAUUUUAUUUUUUUUUUGAAAAACCAAAUUUAUUGGUGCGGUGCAGUAUUUAUCUAGAAACCGGACUACCAAAACCGAACCGCACCGCAAGCUUAUUAACAAUAAAAUAAAUCACUAAUUUAUAUUAUACAAUUACACAUAUUAUUUAAAAAACUAAUAAAUUCUAAUUUGUACAUAUAUUAUAUACUGAAUUUGUCAAUAAUUAGUAAUUAGGUAUUAGGUUUAAUAUGUGAGUUUUGUCGCUUUGUGUUUGUGACUUAAUGAUUAUGUGUAAAGUAUAAACACUAUGUGGGCUACAACUUGCAAUCUUGUAACUUCUAAGUGCAAAUUGGAUAAAAAAUGAGCUUGAAAAUAUGAGUUGAAAAUGAAGUGAUCAAGUAAACAAUAUAAAAUAACUCAAAAUUACAGCUUCUAAAUGUGUGGAAACGAAAUGACACCAUGUCAUACAAUCAUAAAAUUUCAUAUGAACAUGACGAUUAAAAAAAUUGUACUGGUGAACAUAAAAAACCGCACCAUAUGUUUGACUUGGUUUAAAAUCGACACAGAACCGGUACAAACUGAAACCGCAAUCAAAAACUGCAAAAUUGAACCAUUGAAAAACCGCACCCAACGGUUUCUAGAAUUCACAAACUGCACCUUGCGGUUUGCGGUUCGGUUUGGCCCUAAAAGCACACCAAACCGCAUCAUGCUCACCCCAAAUUUCUGUAAAGGAAAUACGAGAAUCGAUAUGAACGUGUGUUAAUCCACCCUCUCUCUAUCUUGUUGAAAUUGCACGUCCGUGUUUCCAUUUUCAGAGCUACCCAUCAAGAACAUUGACCUCCCACUAUAUUAUCUUUACAUUUCAGUCCAAAUCCCAAAUGGUAAUACUCCUAUUCAUCGUCUUUAAAAUCUUUCCCUAAACCAACCAAAUAUCAUGGUGUAAUACUAAAGUAUGCCAAGAAUGAAAAUCAAUCUUCUAAAUCUGGGUGUUCUAAUCCCGAAUUGAAAUCAUCACCGCACCAGAAAAAAGAGAUCCUCACCCAAAUUCUCCCACCCUUAUCAUUAUCAUCAUCAUUGUGACAACUACCAAUUUUCGAUCAAGUCAAAGUCAACCGGUCAAACCGGUCAACUCCUCCAACCUGCGUAUACUAGGGUUCACUUUAUGUAAUUACUGUACAACUCACUAUUUUAAUGAGAAAUCAUCAAUUGAAAAGUUUGUAUGUUUAGAUUUCUUAAACCCUAAUCGGGGUAAGUGAGGUAGCAAAGCGAUAAAACACUACUAAAUACCCUUUCGGGGGUGUGUAAAACUCUUAAAUAGGGAUAAACAGGGUUACAGAUCUUACGUUGCAAAUCUAAGCGAUCACAAAGGUCACAAACUAAGUCUCUCUCAAUCACUCUUUAUCAAUCUCUAUCUCUCCCAAAUCUCUCCAAGUAUGUGAAAUCUCUCCCAAAUCUCUCCAAGUAUGUGAAAUCUCUCCCAAAUCUCUCCAAGUAUGUGAAAUCUCUCUCAACUUUUUUAUAGUCAUUCGGGUCAUCCUGACCCUUAACUUGGUCAAAAAAUCACUAGAAAACCGAAGUUUACGCGAAAAACAGAUCUUAGGAGCCGAACCCUCCUAGGAGCCNNNNNNNNNNNCCCCCCUCUUGAUUCCCUGAACCGAGAAGCAGCCGAAGCCGAACCUCGCUGAGUAGCCGAAGCCGAACCCCGCUGAGCAACCUGAACCACGCUGACAGCUGAGACCGAGCCUUGUAGGCCAACCGAGACCGAGCCUCGCCUUCUGCUCCCUCCCCUCCUUCGCACCUUCGAUUCUCCUUUCCUUUCUCUCGGUUCCUCUUCAACAACUGAACUUUACUCUCGGUUCCCCCAUCAACUCCCGGUUCUAAGAACUGGGACCGAACCUCAGGCCCAGAAUUUCGGAAAUUGACAAUUUUUGCCCGGUUUUCAAUAUAUUUAGCGUUUUAAGCCCGAUUUUCGUGAUUUUAACAUAAGAUUUUCAUCCAAGCUCGUAUUUUAACAUAAUAAACCCUAUAUAUUCAUAUUUUAAUUAUAUUUUGGGGAAAAUCCUUGCCUAAGAAUAAAAUCUAGUGCGUAAGAUUUAUGGGUGGAGUGUUGACUUUGCCUAAGAAUAAAAUCCUUUUUCCCACCAUUAUUCCAACGACACUCUUGAACAAAAGCUAUAAAAUCCUCAUCUCUCUUCCCACUUCACUCCUACUCCAGCAAAGAGCAAACACCUUUCUCUCUCACUUCUCUCUCUCUCUCUCUCAAAUUCGAGAUUCAAGUGCUGAUCAUCAAGUUUUCUUCCACUUUUAGUAAGUGAUAUUAUCCUCCUUAUGAUUAUUUCACUUCCUCCUACCCAAAAUCAUAGAAUACUUACACAAAUGCCAUCACAUUUAUGUUAGAUCUUCGAACCUUCAAGGCAUCUUCUAAGUGUUCUUGAGUUGAACACUUCUUUUUCUUCAACAUCCAUCAACUAAGAACACACAAGGUGAGUUCAUAAACCUAUAUUUUCAUGUUUUGCUCAAGUUUUAAGUUAGGGGGGGGGGGGGGGGGGAGAAAGUAAAANNGGGGGGGGGGAGGGGAUACAAGUUAAAACACCAAGAACAUAACUAAACUCAUCCAACAGCUUUCAUCAGAAAAGUUUAACUCCAUUCACAGACUGUUUUGGUCAACUUAAAAAUUUUAGUUUUCAAAACUGUAUUAGAUGAAAAUAGUUUAACUUUAUACCUUUAAAAUGACUACUUGCACAUGCCCAUACGAUUUUUCUGCAAUUUAUAGCGAUUUUUACAAAACUGUCUAUCACUGUUGCUACGAAUUCAGACCAGUAUGAGAAUAUGGACAUUUUCACACAAGUUAGAGACAUCUAAAAAUCAUAAUAAAUUUUAUGAACAAACUAGACACAUUUUAUAAACACUUAGAGUUUACAGAUUUAGUUUUCGACUUCGUAUGAUUAUUCUGUGAUUUUUACAAAAUAAUGAAGAAAUGUCAAAAACAAGUUCACAGCUUACAACUUUCAUCACAUUUGUAACAUGGUGAGCAAAGUGUUAAUAUUUGAUGAUUUCAUAUUUUAUCUGUGUUUUCCGUUGUGGUAUAAUUAUAUAAAAGAAAAUACUCAGUGAUUGGUAAGAGUCCUUUAUCAUUACAAAUAAUACAAGAUAAGGCAUGAUAAACAUGGUUAUGUUCUUACUAUACAUUCGACUCACAUAAAAUGAAAUGGGGUUCAUCUGCAUUAAAAAUGUUUUGGAUAAACUAUAAUAGAUAUAGUUUAUGUAUCAUUUACAUUUCAAGCUCAUUACCAAAGGUUUUCAGUUCAGUGCACAUAAAUCUGUUAAUGUAUAAAUUUGUGAGACAUUCACUUCGCGUUACAUCCAAAGUAACGAAAUUAAAAGUCCUAUAAAUAUUAGACAGAGUCUCUUGUAGGGAGAACGUGAUAGUUGUAUAUAGAUCUAUAUUGGGUCUGAUGAACCCACACCUGAGCUGCAUGCAACAGCUAGACCGGCAGGUCUGGGGUGACAAAUGUCAUUUAACUUGCGACGCCUGAAGAACGUCGUAUCACGAGGCCGUCUAAGUCAUAGUAUGGUUAUAAUAACUGACAUGGGGUAUUAACAAAACAUAAGAUUUACGUGUUCUGCUUCUAAAUUUCACGAGCUUUAUGCCUAUUCGAACUUGCAUAAAUUUCUAUAAGUAUGGUAAAAUACUUGUACACAUCGGUCUUAGCUUUUAAGACUACAAUGCAUUACAUAAGGAAAAUAUUGGAUUUUCUCGAACAAACAUCACUUUUACAAGAAGAGGAUUUUAAGUAUCACUUUCAAAAGCUUAGGAACUCACCAACUUAUUUGUUGACAUUUUUUCAAAACUACUUGUAUUCUCAGGGAAUAAAUAAAACAAGUAAUCGGCCGCUUUUAAGGAUAGGACGCUAAGGCGUCAAACGUUUCAGUUCUUUUUGUCAACAUAAUGUAAUUGAUUUGGAAACAUGUGAACAUAUACUAUGAUGUAACAUUUUCAAUUAUAUUUAUGCUAGUUGUUUAUACUUUGAGCACUAUUGUAAUUGUCGUUAUGAUAGUACACAUGAAGUCCUCCACCCCCGGACAUUUCCGCCAUCCUUGGUUUGGGGGUGUGACAAUCAUCAUCAUCAUCUUCUUCUUCUUCUUCUCCUUCUCCUUCUUCUUCUUCUUCUUCUUCUUCUUCUUCUUCUUCUUCUUCUCCUUGUUUCUCACCUGCACACACCAUUUUUGAGUUUUGGUUGUCUAAGUUUUCAUUUUUACCAUCAGUGUUGCUGACAUCAUUAUAAUUUUGAAUCGCUUCCCUAACCUUUUGUUUGAUACAGACCUAUGUAGGGAUGAGAUUUAAAAUUGGAAAAUCAGACCAGAACUAGGACCAGAACCGGAACCGUUAGAACUGGAAUAUAUAGAACCGAUUCUGGUUUCAGGUUUAAAAAGUGUCUUUAUCUGGGUAAUCCGGGUUUGGAUCCAUCGGGUCCGAGUAAACCUAGUCUAAGAACCGGAACCACUUUUUGUAACAUCCUAAGAAUUGUCCUUUGUAGUCCCUAGGGAUGGAAGGGUAAAUCCAGGAAGAGCCUAAGGGCUAAAUUGUAAUUUUGGGACUAGAAGGAGUAUGCUACGCAUACAUAAGGGUACGCUGAGCGUACUAGGGCGCGCCCUAGUAUACUGGGUGUACACUUGCGUACGCUAGGCGUACUCAUAACAGAAGGAGACCCUAAUAUCUCGGGUUGGGAGCUAUAUAAACAUCCUUAUGGAUCAUUUUCUCUCCUCCUUCUCAUCCUCUAUCUUCCAGAAACAUCCCCAAACCCUAGUUCUUAUGCGUAAGAGUGAGUUGGUGGGUAUUCUGAGCUCUUGAAGGUGAAGCCAUUGCAACAAAAUAGUUGAAGAAGGAGACUGGCUUGUAGAUCUGAAGUUGUGUUGUGCCCUAGAAGCUCCAAGAGGUAAAAAGCUUCAAACUUUAUGCUUGUAGGUCAUAGAUCUAGCCUUUCUAGCAUUAGGGAACCAUUUCUUGUCACAAACCCCCCCCCCCAUUAUGGUGCAUGAUGCAUUUUGGACAAGAUAAGCUGUCCUUUAUGGACCUUGAAGAGGUCUUAAGUGAUAAAAAUGAGGUCUUAAUGGUUUAAGAUGUCCCAUACUUCGGCACUACUUGAGAGGUGAGUUAUCCUCACUGUACUCAAGGGUCUAAGGCACCAAGGCCUGCCCUUUGAUUUGUUAUUUGUGAUUGUUAUUAUUGUGAUAUGUUAGCUUGGUAUCCUGGUAGAUAGGAUGGUUAUAUGCUAGUAUGAUCUGUUGGAUCGGUAUCCUGGUAGAUUGGAUAUGGUUAUGCUUAGUGACCUAUAGUUUGGUCUGACUGUCUAUAUGCUGGUAGGAGAUUACCUGUUAUAUGUGCACAUGAUUGAUUGGUAGUUGAGGGUAUUCCAUCCCGAUUGAUGAUUGGACCCAUAGUAUCUGUUAUAUAUGUGUUGUGUGUGGGCAUUCCAACCUGAUGGUUGUGGGCUGAGUAUUCCAUCCCGAGGAUGAUUGGACUCAUAGUAUGUUGGCAUUCCAACCCAAUGGUUGAGGGACCUAGGGUAUUCUAACCCGAUGGUUGAUUGGACCCAUAGUAUGUUGGCAUGCCAACCCGAUGGUUGAGGGGCCUGGGGUAUUCCAUCUCAAUGGAUGAUUGGACCCAUAGUAUCUGUUAUAUAUGCAUUGUGUGUGGGCAUUCCAACCCAAUGGUUGUGGGUCGAGAGUAUUCCAUCCUGAGGAUGAUUGGACUCGUAAUAUGUGGGCAUUCCAACCGGAUGGUUGAGGGCCUGGGCUAUUACAUACCGAUGGAUGAUUGGACCCAUAGUAUGUUGUUUAUUAUAGUAUGUGUAUCGUUGUAUGUAUGGAUAUUUUGGGGGUAACUCACUAAGCCUUCGAGCUUAUGUUUUUCGAUUAUUGUCUCAGGUAUAGUGGAUGACCGCGAGAAGACGAAGGCGUGACCAUACACUUCCUCAAUUUAUGAUUGAGAUUUCUGGGAACUCUGAUGCUUAAACUAUUCUGAAAACACUUUGUAAUAAUUAAUGAUAUUUUGGAUAUUUAAUUUUUUUUUAAAUUGGCUUCAUUUUUUAUGGGUGUUACACUCUUAGGUGCCAGAACCGGUUUCUAUGAAACGUUUAAAACAUGCAUAUCUCUUUCGUUUUAACUUGGAUUCACAUAUUGUUUUUUUCAACAUGUAUUUUAGAGUUUGUACAUGAUUUUAGACUAUAAAUUUAUCAUUUUUAGUUUUAUAUUCAUUGAUUUACAGUCCCCCAAAGUCGAGAUAUCGAAGCUGGAAUUUUUAGUUUUUCAACCUUUUUGUAUUUUGUCAAAGGUUUAAGACCUGGAUAUCUAUUUCGUUUGAUGUCGGAUUGACCUAAAGUUUUUCCAACUUGUAGUUUAGAGUUUGUACAUGAUUUUAGACUAUAAAUUUGACAUUUUUGGUUUAAUAUUCAAUGACUUACAGUCCUCCGAAGUCGGGAUAUCAAAGCUGAAAAUUUUCAACUUUUCAGCUACUUAUUUUUGUACUUUAUAUUUUGUGAAAACGUUAACACGUGCAUAUCUCAUUUGUUUAAAGUCGGACUGACAUGCUCUUUUUUUUGGAUUGUAGUUUAGAGUUUGUAAAUGAUUUUAUACUAUAAUUUUAUCAAUUUUGGUUUUGUCACACCCCCAAACCAGACGGCGGAAAUGUUCGGGCGCUCGUGUGACUAACAAUUGAAUAAUCAUCACAAUGAAUAUAAAUGAAACAUAACAUCAUCAUUACCAUGCAUAAUAUAAUACAACUACCAUUGUUUACAUCAAGUACAUUGUUAAAAAUACAUAAGUUCUAAUUGUUAAAAGUACAAUAAGUGAUGUUACAUAAAACAAAACCAUACACACUUGCAGAUCUUCCAGCUUAAUGAUUACCUGAGAAUACAAGUUAUUUUGAAAACGUUCAACAUAUAUAAUGUUGGCGAGUUCAUAAGUAUGGUUGAAUAAAACACUUUGUAUCUUUCGUAAAAACCCAGAAAAUCCGAGAUUUUCUGUAAAUUGUCUGAAAAUGAUGUGAAAAUCAAGUAUGAUUGCAUGUGUGAAUUUCAUAGUUAUAACAUAUAUGAGUGUAGUUUAAAUUCAUUGUAUCGUGAAUAAAUGAUAAAUGUAUAUGAAUAUUUUUCCCAGGAAAUCCAAUAUUUUCUGUCUUAUAACAAUGUCUAGGUUCUUGUAUCGUUGAUUUAGUGUUUUCUUAUUCACACGAUUAAAGAAUUAGUCUUCUAUGUUUUUAAGUGGUGUUGAGACCCUACAUGAGCCGUUAUAACCUAGCUGUAGUGAACAACUAAGGCGUGGGGGGUCACCACGUAUAGAUUUAUACACAAACUCCUGCUUUCCAUCCAGGAUACUCUGAUUAUAACUACAAGCUACGAGUGUACCCUCAGAGGUGCCAACCGACAAAUCUCACUAGAUUCUCAACCUUUCCUGUUUGAUAAGGUUUUCCCCAUGUUUCAUGUUUUACGCGUAGGUUAUAGAUUUUUCCAUUCCAAAGGUAAGUAUACGAAUUCAUAAACUAUGUAGAGGUAGAUUUACGUUCUACAAGUAUGUGAAUUUUCAUUCCAAGCCCAAUUAACAUGUAAAUGGGCCACAAUGUCCAAUAACAUUAUAAAAGGGUAAUUUAGGCCCAAUAGACACGUAAAUGGGCCACAAAGGCCCAACAAACAUGUAAUCCAUAACUAAGGCCCAAAUUAACAUGUAUGUGGGUCACACGGCCGAGUAAACAUGUCAUGGAAAACAUUGGGCUCAAUAUACACUUAAUUGGACCCUUAGGGCCCAAUGGCCAAGAUCAUGAAUAUUAGGUCCAAUAAAUAGUUAUCGACAUGUUUCGUUUGUUUGUUUUACUUCGUUGUUUGUUUUAACUCGAGGUUUAUUAGAUUGAUAAUAAAAAUAUCCUUUUCUGUAAAAACGACAUUUUUGGCCAAUAACCUCCCAAUGUUUAAUUAAUGCCCAAAGUUUGUAAAAAUGACAAUUUAGUCCAUAAUUUAUCAAAAUUUGCAAUUUUGUCUAAAAUAUCUAAAAAUUUACGGUUUUAGCCCAAAAUUUAUAUUUUUACUUUUCGAAGCCUGUUUUGCAUAAAAGUGCAUUUUAAGCCCCAUAUGUAACAUCCCAAAAUUACAGGCCAAAAAUUUCAUUUUUAAUUAGGUUAUUACAUAAAAUCAGAGUGUGAAUAAUCAAAAUAUAAUAUAAUGAAGCCAUAUCAGAGUAUAAUCCCAAGGAUUUCAUGUGCGGAAAACAUAGUGUGAUGCGCUGCGACCAAGCCGGCUCCUUUCCUUUGAAACAAAGUACCUGAAACGAAAAUUAUAAACCGUAAGCACGAAGCUUAGUGAGUUCCCCCAUCAUACAACAUACCACAUAACACCAUCGAUAUCUCUCAACCGGUAACUGCCAUCGGUAUCUUUCAACUGCUAACAGGGGACUAUUUCACCCCUACCACUACCACAUAAUAAUAUGUCAUAAACAUACUGAUCACGUACUAACAUCAUAAACAUGCUGAUCAUAUACUAACAUAUCAUAAACAUGCUGAUCACAUACUAACAUAUCAUAAACAUGUUGAUCACAUACUAACAUAUCAUAAAUAGACAGAUAAGCAUUACAUGGGUUCUGUAUACCCCUUCGGUAUCUUUCAACCGGUAAUUGCCAUCGGUAUCUUUCAACUGGUAUCUGUCAUCGGUAUCUUUCAACCGGUAUCCGCCAUCAGUAUCCUUCAACCGGUAACCGGGGACCAUUUCACCCCCUAUCGCUAUCAUAUAAUAGCAUGAUAUAAUCAUACAGUCAGACAUUACUGGGGUACUGACCUACCCUUCGAUCCUAACGACCGAGUCAGGGAAGAACUAUUCCCCGCUACUACCACAGACACACAUACCAUAUCACAUAAGCAUACCAAGAUAAUUAUCACAAAGACAAUUAUCUGCCAACUACCCCUGUUGGUGGGUCGGCAUUGUGGCCUUAGACCCACCCCUAUUGGAAGGUAACUCAGCUCAUACUGCUAACGUCCCGCAGACUCAAUCCCACACUGCUGAAGUCCCGUAGACGCAGCCCCAGCUACUGGAUGACAGAUUCCCAAACUAUCGAGACCACACCCUAUUAAUAAUUGGGUCCCCACGCAUGACCAUAAAUACAUACUUGGAUAAUUACUACAUUACCCCAAGGUUGGCUUUAUUCAAGCCCAAGGCCCCAUCCAAAGGCCCAAAAGUCGACUAGGACUCAAAGCCCAACAUAUGGCCCAAUUUUCCAAAUUGGGCCCAGGCCUAUACAUGGUCUUAAUCUAAGGCCCAAUAUCAUAUAAUCAUUAAGGCCCAACUAUGGCCCAAUUUUCCAAAUUGGGCCCAACCCCUUACAUGGGCCUUGCCCUAGGCCCAUUAAAUUAUUUCAGUCCACAUGAUUAUUCUUGGAUGGCCCAUUAAUAAUCCAAUCGUCAAGGCCCAAAAGAAAAGCCCAACAAUAAACCCAAGUGAAGUUAGGGUUUCUCAUAAAAUGCCGAUUAGGGUUAAGUUUCCUACUUAACCCAUUAAGGACUUAAUCCACUAAGGACUUAAUCCAUUAAGUCCAAUAUUGCUUAGAUUAGUUUUUACCAAUGAUUAUUAUUUAAUAUCUCAAACUAUUAAAUAAUUCUCGUGUGUGUGACCCAAUUAAUUCUCAAAAUUAGGGUUUUAUUAGCAUUCGGGUUUUCAAAUCCAAAUAUUAGCCCAUUAAUCAAUUUGUUGGCGUUUUAUGUUAAUUUGGGCUUUAUUGGGCCUAUUAAGCCUGCUAAAAUAUUAUCAAUCCCAUUAGGGUUUGAAUGGGUCCAUUAGAGUCCAUUAAGCUUCAUUGGGCCCAUUAGAAUUAUGGUUGCUAGCACCCCAAACGGAUCAAUCUCACAAGGCAAGCACACCGCCACUCGACACGGCGGCCGGUGGCGGCAGCCACCACCCUACGGUGGUGGUUUGGGUUUCUUUUCAUUAUACUUUAGUUGAUUACAGCUUACAAUGCCGUAACCAAGAAUAAACACACACACUAACUACAUCAACACGCACCCAUGGCAGCUUAUGGUGGCAGCCACCACCUCACGGUGGUGGCAGCGGAUUUUCCGGCCAACAAGCUACACACAACACAUGCUAUAGAAAGAACAAACAUCCACACUCUUUUCUUGUUUUCAAAAAGGUUCAGCCACCCUCCUGGUGGCGGUUGGCGACGGUGGAAGUAAAAAACCAUGAUAGUGGCGGAGGUGAUAGCAACAUCUUGCAAUAACAGCCACCACCUCAUGGUGGUGGCGGCGGUCCUUUUGAUUCCCAGCCGAGAAACACACACCCACACGAAUGUGUUCGGAGGAUAAGUUCAACCACCCGCCUGGUGGUUCAUAACGAUGGCAGUGGGUGGAAUAGUCAUUCGACGGUGGUGGUCACACGAGAUAAGGCAGCGACAUUAGGGAGAGAAGUCGCUUGUUUGCGUCCUCUUCAGCAACUAGAGCAAUCAACGGAUAUGAUAACGGCUUCGACAUCAACUGCCGCUCGUAGAUUCAAUAGAUAGGAGAACGAGGGAGAAAGGAGGCUAAGUCCUAGUCGGAGAACGAUAACAACAACCGCACCUCCCAGCUGUGAAAACCCUCGCGACGUCGUCCCUGACUUUGGUCUUUGGUCCUUAGCACAACCCACAACAUUACCAGCAGUGGGUGGCAUACCGGUAGUGAGAUAACGACGACAGCAGGCUUGGUCUUAAGGAUCUUGAUAUCGCCGACAAGGAGAGCAGCGGCUAUAGGGUGGAGAGUGUGAGAAUGGUGAAGAUGACGGCCGCAUAUGGUCCCUAGGGUUAGGGUUAUCUUUUGCAUAAAUAUCCGGCUCAUAUGAAACAUAUUCCCAUAUUGACAUAACCGGUCCAUCCUCCUCCCAUUCCUUACAAAAUGAGUCCUAAUUUUACCCAUUUUGCCCUCAACAUUAUAAUUCUUUACAAUUCAGGUUCAAUACUUACUAAACAGCCCCUUAGCCCCCAAAAUCCCUUCAAAUGAAGUCCCAGAAGUUACCAUUAAGUCCCUACCUUCAUAAAUAAUUACGAAUCCAAUUUGAAACUUACACUUUUAGCCCCCGACUUCUAAAAAUGUGGCAAUUAACGCCUCGAGACCAACCUUUGACAUAUAAUUAUCUAUUUUAGGGCUACCAGCCAUUCAUUAAUUAUUUAAUUUAUUUAAUAAAUUAACGGGGUUUUACAACUCUCCCCUACUUAAAUUAGAUUUCGUCCUCGAAAUCAUUCCUUACCAAUCCUUACAUACCAAGCCACUCUAGCAACAUAGUCAUCUUCCCGGGCACACCCUAGCCUUCCCAGGGCAGCCGUGACCAAUCUUCGCAAAGCCCUAUAAUCCGUAGGCGAACUAAUUCCUCGCAACAAGAUCACAUCUACUCGCCUGAAUCUGUUGUCUCGAGACGGCCUAGAUCCCUGACAGACCACUCUUACUGAAUCAUUAUUGCUAAAUCCAGUCCACUUGUCUCUUAGCUGCCCACUCAUCUCCUAAUAACUCAAGGCUCUCACUAGAAAAACAGAAUCAUAGUUCCACUUAUCCCUGUGGUUCACUUAAUUCAGCCAAAACUCAGAUAAUCCCGUUGUAAGUGACUUACCACUUCCCAAUCCACUAGUUAUUUCGUCUGUAUUUGCAACAUGAAAUGCAAAUACUAAUGCUGCACAAACGCCGAAAUUGCCUGAACACUGAACUGCCUGAAGCAGUAUGUUGCUACAUAGCUGCUUACCAAAAGCACCAAGACCUCUUACGUCUUAAUUCGCUUGCCAAUCCUCUGAAAUACUGGGUUUCCACCCAGCUGCGGAGCAAAAGGACUCCCUACUUAGUCGCCUCACACGACUCCUGAACGAAAUCCUUCUAUGGAACUAGUUGCCAUUAGUUAUCAUGCCACUGUGACUCUACUACUUUUUGAUCUAACCGAUCGGGUCCAUGCGUCGAAUCCUGUCAUCAUCAAAUCCAAGACUAAAAGUGAUUGCUACCUGACCAAUGAUAGCCACAUCUCACACGUCCUUAAGCAGUCCAUUGAUAUCCCUGAUCCCAUAACUGUAGUGGCACUCCUACAGUCCUAUCACUGGCUCAACCAUAUCUAAUUCAUCUGGGUUAUUUCGAAAUCCAAUCCGUGGAUUUCCUUAUCCUUAUUGCCACACCCAAACUGGUGGAUACUACUGUUCCUUCUACGUCUUAACAACACACUCAUGCUAUCUACCAACCAAGUGAAUGAUGCGGCUACUCCCGUAAUCUCACAACACUCUAUCACUAUUUGACCAGUAGUGAAUGCUACGGCUACACCCGCAGUCUUACAACACUUCCCAUGCAACUGACCACUAGUGAAUGCUACGGCUAACCCCAUAGUCUUACAACACAUUCCAUACUAUCUGACUGCUAGUGAAUGCUACGGCUACCCCCGUAGUCUUACAACAGUUUCCAUACUAUCUGAUCGCUAGUGAAUGCUAUGGCUACCCCCAUAGUCUUACAACACUUUCCAUACUAUCUGACUACUAGUGAAUGCUACGGCUACCCCCAUAGCCUUACAACACUUUCCAUACCGGCCGAACACGCACUUGACCUAACACAUCACUAAACUAGGGUCCUAAUCCUUCUUGCUUUCUAGUAUCCCUCAGAUGACAACCUGUGCUUAGAUUCAACUAAGUCUUCACAACACGCAAGAAUUGAAGGAUUCCCAAUCCUUCUUGCUUUCUAGUAUCCCUCAGAUGACAACCUGUGCUUACCAAUCCUAGCGAUUAGUCACCGGUUAAACCUUAAGAUCGCCCAUACUCGGAAAUCUCGAUGAGUACUCUUGAAAUCUGGUCCAAUCUGACACCUCAAUCGACCUCCCGAGCUGACACUAGAGGCCUUAAUCUUCACUCUGGCUGACGAGUCCUCGUUCCCACUUCCAAUAUCUCAGUACCACUGAACACUAACUUCACUACAGAACUAUCGCUCUAACCCUGACUGAGGAUCUUCCAAACAAUACUCCUGCACAUAUCUCGACAAAGAUUCGGAAUGAUGAUGGUACACGUGGAACCCACUCCGCAAGGUACGUCCUUCUGUGGGUUCAUCAAGGACCUUUCAGCAUGCUGGAUGGCAUAUAUGAUCCUUGAUAAUCCAAACACUAGCAGAAAAUCGACCCGAGAUCUGACUUACCCAAACUUGCUCACAAUCCCAAAGCGAUACGUAUUCCCAUCAUCCAUUUAUUAGCAGUAGAAGACGACAUGCCCACAACAUCUGAAGGAAUACUGAACACCCUUAACUGUCACGAUCAACCUCGCUACCCUGCAGUAGCCUAAACCCUUGGAGCGACAAACUCCCUUGUGCACUUUCCUAUACGUGAUGCACUGACUCUGACUCUGCUGGCCUUUCACCCGAUGACCGGAAGUCAUGGGUCUCUUCCUGGGUCCCUCUACUAAACGCACCUGACACGAACCUCUUGUUCCAGGGUGCUCCUAAUUCGAUCUCGCAUCUGCAGCUUCUUGGAAAUCAUAUCCUUUAGGGUCUUACACUCUGUCACGCUUACUAGCUCACUUUCCAAUGGCUAAGCUGUAACAACUGGAACAUCAUCUUUCCCGAAACCAGGUCACAAACUUCUCCUCGAAGCUUUUCAGAUUCUCCAAGACUCCCGCCGAUUCGAGUAUGGAUCCUGUGCUUUCAGUAGUACGGGCCCAAUACUACCUUCCACACUUAUCUAUAAUUUCCUUAGCAAUCCUCCUGAAUCCUCCAAGUCACUUCCUCAAACUGGUACCCUGAAUGCUCGCCAACAGCACAACCGAACCCACUAAAGCACUUUCUAGGCUUUCCUAGGUUCCCGUACUCACCCAGUCCUCAGCUGCUGACAGACUCCCCGGUAAUGUCAACUAGCUACCUCAUGAAUAUAGCCACUCGCGAUUUAGCAUAUUCACUUAGUAGCUAGCUCACAUUACCAAGAGUCCCUCAAAGCACAAAGCAAGCAACAUUCAUACAAUAGGAAAUCUAACCAACACAUUCCAAUCAAAUCAGAUUAUCCUUCUAUCAGGAAUCUAUACUAGCAUGUAACUCCAAAGGCUCAUACAAUCAGGCAUAACCUAAACAGGCUAUCCUAUCACUGACUGAUAAAUACUAUCAUGUAAUUCAGCAAGCACAUACAACAGGAACAUAAGGCAUCUUCCUAGAUCCUUAGCCCUAGUCUAGCAUGCAGUUCUCAUAAUCGUAUCAUAACAUAACCUGCAUGGGUAUCUUGGGGAAAACAUACUUGAGCUCGGCUAAUUGCAUGCAUCACACACUUUGUUCUCAAAGUUCUUUUCCCUUUACAGAUUCUUUUCAAACUCCUUUUAUAAAAUGGUUUUACUUUUGAAAAUUUUCAUACCAAGCCCUUAGUUUGAGUUCAGACACACCUGAGAGUAUGCCCAAAUCCCUCAAACCAAGGCUCUGAUACCAACUUGUAACAUCCCAAAAUUACAGGCCAAAAAUUUCAUUUUUAAUUAGGUUAUUACAUAAAAUCAGAGUGUGAAUAAUCAAAAUAUAAUAUAAUGAAACCAUAUCAGAGUAUAAUCCCAAGGAUUUCGUGUGCGGAAAACAUAGUGUGAUGCGUUGCGACCAAGCCGCCACCUUUCCUUUGAAACAAAGUACCUGAAACCAAAACUGUAAAUCGUAAGCACAAAGCUUAGUGAGUUCCCCAUCAUACAACAUACUACAUAACACCAACGGUAUAUCUGAACCGGUAACUGCCAUCGGUAUCUUUCAACGGGUAAUAGGGGACUAUUACACCCUACCACUACCACAUAAUAAUAUGUCAUAAACAUACUGAUCACGUACUAACAUCAUAAACAUGUUGAUCAAAUACUAACAUAUCAUAAACAUGCUGAUCACAUACUAACAUAUCAUAAACAUGCUGAUCACAUAUUAACAUAUCAUAAAUAGACAGAUAAGCAUUACAUGGGUUCUGUAUACCCCUUCGAUAUCUUUCAACCGGUAAUUGCCAUCGGUAUCUUUCAACCGGUAUCUACCAUCGGUAUCUUUCAACCGCUAUCCGCCAUCAGUAUCUUUCAACCGGUAACCGAGGACCAUUUCACCCUACCGCUAUCAUAUAAUAACAUGAUGUAAUCAUACAGUCAGGCAUUACUGGGUAACUGAGCUACCCUUUGAUCCUAACGACCGAGAUAGGGAAGAACUAUUCCCUGCUACUACCACUGACACACAUACCAUAUCACAUAAGCAUAUCAAGAUAAUUAUCACAAAGACAAUUAUCUGCCAACUACCCCUGUUGGUGGGCCGGCAUUGUGGCCUUAGACCCACCCCUACUGGAAGGUAACUCACCUCAUAUUGCUGACGUUCCGUAGACUCAAUCCCACACUGCUGAAGUCCUGUAGACCCAGCCCCAACUGUUGGAUGACAGAUUCCUGAACUGUCGACACCAAAAUAACACCCAAUUUAUAAUUGGGUCCCAACGCAUGACCAUAAAUACAUACUUGGAUAAUUACUACAUUACCCUAAGGUUGGCUUUAUUCAAGCCCAAGGCCCCAUCCAAAGGCCUAAAAGUCGACUAGGACUCAAAGCCUAACAUAUGGCCCAAUUUUCCAAAUUAGGCCCAGGCCUAUACAUGGUCUUAAUCUAAGGCCCAAUAUCAUAUAAUCAUUCAGGCCCAACUAUGGCCCAAUUUUCCAAAUUGGGUCCAACCCCUUACAUGGGCCUUGCCCUAGGCCCAAUAAAUUAUUUCAGUCCACAUGAUUAUUCUUGGAUGGCUCAUUAAUAAUCCAAUCGUCAAGGCCUAAAAGAAAGCCCCAACAAUAAACCCAAGUGAAGUUAGGGUUUCUCAUAAAAUGCCCAUUAGGGUUAAGUUUCCUACUUAACCCAUUAAGGACUUAAUCCACUAAGGACUUAAUCCAUUAAGUUCAAUAUUGCUUAGAUUAGUUUUUACCAAUGAUUAUUAUUUAAUAUCUUAAGUUAUUAAAUAAUUCACAUAUGUGUGACCCGAUUAAUUCUCAAAAUUAAGGUUUUAUUAGCAUUUGGGUUUUCCAAUCCAAAUAUUAGCCCAUUUAUCAAUUUGUUGGCCUUUUAUGUAAAUUAGGGCUUUUUGGGCAUAUUAAGCCCGUUAAAAUAUUAUUAAGCCCAUUAGGGUUUGAAUGGGUCCACUAGAGUCCAUUAAGCUUCAUUGGGCCCAUUAGAGCUCCAUUGAGCCCAUUAGGGUUUCUAGCACCCCAAACGAAUCAAUCUCACAAGGCAAGCACACCGCCACCCGACACGGCGGCCGGUGGCGGCAGCCACCACCCUACGGUGGUGGUUUACGUUUCUUUUCAUUAUACUUUAGCUAAUUACAGCUUACAAUGCCUUAACCAAGAAUAAACACACACACUAACUACAUCAACACGUACCCAUGGCGACUUAUGGUGGAAGCCACCACCUCACGGUGGUGGCAGCGGCUUUUCUGGCGAACAAGCUACACACAACACAUGUUAUAGAAAGAACAAACAUCCACACUCUUUUCUUGCUAGCAAAGAGGUCUAGCCACCCUCCUGAUGGUGGUUGGCGACGGCGGAAGUACAAAACCAUGACAGUGGUAGAGGUGAUAGCAACAUCUUGCAAUUACAGCCACUACCUCAUGGUGGUGGUGACGGUCCUUUUGAUUCCUAGCCGAGAAACACACACCCACACGAAUAUGCUCGGAGGAUAAGUUCAACCACCCGCCUGGUGGUUCAUGAUGAUGACAGUGGGUGGAAUAGCCAUUGGACGGCGGUGGUGACACGAGAUAAGGCAGCAAAAUCGGGGAGAGAAGUCGCUUGUUUGCAUCUUCUUCGGCAACUGGAGCAAUCAACGGAUCUGAUAACAGCUUGGACGUCUGCUGCCGCUUGGAGAUUCAACAGAUAGGAGAAUGAGGGAGAAAAGAGGUUGAGUCCUAGCCGGAGAACGAUAACAACAACCGCGCCUCCCAGCUAUGACAACCCUCGCGACGUCGUCCCUGACUUCGGUCUUUGGACCUCAGCGCAACCCAUGACAUUACUGGCAGUGGGUGGCGUACCGGUGGUGAGAUAGCGACGGCAGCAGGCUUGGUCAUAAGGCUCUUCAUAUCGCCGGCAAGGAGAGCAGCGACUGAAGGGUGGAGAGUGUGAGAAUGGUGAAGAUGACAGCCGCAUAUGGUCCUUAGGGUUAGGGUUCUCUUUGGCAUAAAUACCCGGCUCAUAUGAAACAUAUUCCCAUAUCGACAUAACCGGCCCAUCCUCCUCCCAUUCCUUACAAAAUGAGUCCUAAUUUUACCCAUUUAGCCCUCGACAUUAUAAUUCUUUACAAUUCAGGUUCAAUACUUCCUAAACAGCCCCUUAGCCCCCAAAAUCCCUUCAAAUGAAGUCCCAGAAGUUACCAUUAAGUCCCUGCCUUCAUAAAUAAUUACGAAUCCGAUUAGAAACUUACACUUUUAGCCCCCGACUUCUAAAAAUGUGGCAAUUAACUCCUCGAGACCAACCUUUGACAUAUAAUUAUCUAUUUUAGGGCUACCACCCAUUAAUUAAUUAAUUAAUUUAUUUAAUAAAUAAACGGGGGUUUACACCUUAUUUACACUUUCGGCCCAAAUAUUGGAAAAAUUUACAUUUUUGGUUCAAUUUGAAAAUAAUUGUUAUUUCCACCCUUAAAUUUGGUUUAUUAACAUUUAUGAUCCAAACAUUGGCUAAAUAUCAUUUCUAACCCAAAACCUACAUUUUUUUUCAAUUCGGGCCCCAAAAACCAUGAGGCCCAAAUGUUGACCCAUUAAGCUUAAAUUUUCAUUUUUGACCCUUUUUAAAGUAUGUUUAACAUAGACAUACCUUUAUAUACAUGCAAGACCUGUUUGACCCUCAUGAAAACUUAAAUGACACUUUUUACCCUUGUCUUUUGUUUUCUUGACAAUUUUGACCUUUAACAAUGUUUUUGCUGAAAUCCUUUGUAUCUUAAACAUGUAAUCACUUUUGGCUUGAUAAAGUGAUGUAUAUAAUGUCAUAGUUCAUAGAUCUUCGCUCAAUAGUACUUAAAAUUUUGAGAUCUACUAAGAUCUAACACAUUUUUUUCCAAAUAAGCUAUGAAAUCACACAAGACAUGCAUAUAACACAUAGAUCUACAUAUAUUAGUUGUAUUCUCCCCCAAAAAUCAUAUGAAAACUGAAAAACAAGGGGGUAUGAACUCAAAUUUGCUUUGAUGUUUCGAUUUUGAAGAAGAAGAGGAUGAAGAUGGUGUUGUUUUUGGCCUAACUUGCUUCUUUGAUGGGAUUCUCAAAUUCUAGGAAGUUUUAAGAGUAUGAUUCAAGAAAAUAAGGUGGUAAGAGGAGUGAUUUAAGAGUAAAGAUGUGAGAAUCCAACUUAGGUUUGUAAAGAUCUUACCUAAUACGAUGAUCUUGAAGAAAAACUCUCUUGAAGACACCCACCACUUGUGAAAUUAUAAAGGAGAGGGAGAAAUUCUUGCAGAGUUGUUUGAAGUAAAUUUGAAGAUGGUGAUGUAGGUGCGUGGUCUAGCUGUGAGAAAGAAAUAGGGAACUCCUACAUGUAAAAAUGAGGUGUCAACCUCUUCCCCGUGCAAGAUUUCUUUUUUCUUUUUCUUUUUUUGUUAAGUGAUGUUGUUGGGCCGAGAACUUGGGCUAAGAGAACAAGGGUUGAUUAGUUUGGGCCUUUACUUGUUUUUACUUGAAAUUAUGAGGCCCAAUAAUUACAUUUCGGCCCAUUGGGCCCUCACAGACGUCCACGGCCCAAUGAGUCUAAUUAAAGAGGUUUAGGGUCUAUUAAGGCUAUUGGAAUUACUUAUGGUCCAACAAGGCCCAUUAGCGGUAACCGUAUUCAUCUUAGGCCCAUUAUGGCCUAAAAUUUAAGUUUCAUGAAAGUGGGUCCAAUUAGAGCCCAUAUAAGUGUUUCCAAGUCCAAAGUAGUUGAAUUUGAAUGUUUAUUGGUCCAUUAGGCUCAAUAAGGAAAUCCUAGUCCAAUAUGGAUUCAAACCGGGAUUCUUAGGGUUUUCAGACUCUUAGUUGAACACGUGAGAUGUAUUUGAAUGAGUAUAGAGUAUGAUUUUCUCUUAGAGUACAAGUUAUUGCACUAGGUGAAUGAUUACAUGAGAGUAGAAUUUCCUAGCAAAAAUGCCAGUUGUGACAUCAUCCCCCCGUUAGAGGGAAUUUCUUCCCGAAAUUCUUUUGAAAGAUAGGUUCAUGAAUGAGAGAAUAGUUGAGGGCACUUCUGCUCCAUCCGGUCCUUGUGUUCUCAUAUGAAUUCUGGUCCACAUUUAGCGUUCCAUCAAACCUCACUUCCUUAACCAUUAUCUUGAUUGGUUCUUCGACGAACCGAAGAUUCUCGUUUUUUCUGAUCUCUUCUUAAAGGAGUGAUAAGAUUUUCAUUUGAUAAGGACUUCUUUAACUCCGAGACGUGGAACACAGGGUGAACAUUGCUGAGCAGAGGAUAGCUGAAACUUAUAGGCUACCGGACUAAUUCGGGCAAGGAUCUCGAACGGUACGAUGUAUUGAGGGUUAAAUUUUCCCUGUUUCCCAAAGAGAAUCAUUCCUUUCCAGGUAGAGACUUUCAAUAGUACCUAAUCCCCGACUUGGAAUUUCAGGGGUCUUUUCCAUUUGUCAGCAUAACUCGUCUGUCUGUCUCGUGAUGCUUGAAGUCGAAACUGAUAUGGAUUAUCUUCUCUGUGGUUUCGCAAAUGGUUUCUGGUCCCGUGAGAGUACUGGCGAGUGAUUUGCAUUUAUGACCUUAAAGAUACUCGAAAGGAGUAACAUUGAUGCUCGUGCGAUAGUUUUUAUUGUAUUAGAAUUCAAUCAAGGGAAACCGGGUAUCCCAUGACUUGCUGAACUUAAACACUUAGGCUCGGAGCGUGACUUCGAGUGGUUGAAUGGUCCGUUCGCUUUGGCUAUUGGUUUGAGGGUGGUAAGCAAUGCUCGUGUCUAGCUGUGUUCCCAUAGCCUUCUAAAGUGACUGUCAAAAUCCUGAAGUAAUUCCAUUAUCCUGAUCAAAGAUAAUAGAUACUGAUAUUUCAUGAAGUCUCACGAUCUCUUUGAUAUAGAUCCAUGUUAAUCUUUCUGUCUUGUUUGAUAUCUAUAUUAGCAGGAAAUGGGUAGAUUGGGUUAACCUAUCGACGAUCACCCGGAUAGCACCCAACUCAACUCUUAUAACAGUAAGCUUCGUCUUUUGACUUUGAGGGUUUUAUCUAUCCAUGCAGUGCUUCCUCCGUGACAUUCUCCAACUUUGAUGCUUUCAAGGUCGGUCGUAGAUGUUGGUAGUGUCUUGUUCUUGCUUCGUGAGCAGACGAGUAUGUUACUGAUGAAAAUAAUGAAAAUGCUAACUAGGAAUGGUUGGGAAAACUCGGUUCGUAGGGUCCAUGAAUACUGUGGGUGCAUUCGUCAGACUAAUAGGGCUUAACAACGAAUUUGAAAUGACCGUAUCGAGUUCGAAAAGCAGGUUUUUUGGAAUGUCCUCUUCUCGGACUCGAAGUUGAUGAUAACCGGUUCUUAGAUCUAUUUUGGAGAAAUCACUAGCUCCUUGGAGCUAGCCAAAUAGGACGUUAAUUCGUGUGAGUGGGUAUCGGUUUUUGAUAGUGAGCUUAUUCAAUUCCCUAAAAUCGAUGCACAUUCAGAAGAAUCCGUAUUUUGACGAACGAGACCGGAACUCCCUAGGGUGAGAAGCUUGGUCUGAUGAAUCCUCUACUCAACCAUUCUCUUAGUUUGACUGGAUAACUUCUGAAUUUCGGCAGGAGCUAACCUAUAGGGUGAAUUGGCAAUUGAUGUGGUUCCCGAUAUGAGGUCGAUUCGAAAUUCGACCUGUCUCUCUGGGGUAUUCCCGAAAGUUCUUCGGGAAAUACAUCCAGAAAAUCGCAUGCUACUGGAAUACCUUGUAAGCUUACUUCUUCAUUGGUCUUGUCCACAACAUGAGCGAGGAAAAUGUAGUUCUGCUUGUGUAGGCACUUUUGUGCCUUAAUGCAAGAGAUAAGACGAGGAUUGGCGCCAGGUUUAUCACCAUAGAUUUUUAGAGUUUUGUGAUUGGGGAGGUGAAGGCAAACGACCUUCUUGCGACAUAUAGUAUUAGCAUGGUGGGGGCUUAACCCAACCAUACCAAUUAUCACAUCAAAACUCCUAAUAUUUACUGGCAUUAAAUCUAUUUGAAAUGAAUGGUUGUUUAGUGUUAAGGUAUACCCUACAUAAAUAUCCUUGGUUGAUUUAGUUUUCCCAUUAGCCAUCUCCACCGUGAAGGCUUCGUUUCGUUUUUGGGAUUGUUGUUUUAGUAUGUGUUCAAAUUUGUUACUAACGAAGCUUCGCUCUGCUGCACUAUCAAGUAAGAUGCUGAUGGGUUUUGAGCAUUCUAACACUUCCUAAGUGUACAUGCAACCCUAAUAAACUUGGGAUCUAUGUUUGUCUAAGAUACAUGCAAAUAAUUAUUUUCCAAGGCUUAUAUCCUAACUAGCAUGGCAUGGGGAACAUGAAUCAAAUAAAGCUAGAAGAAAUACUUACCUUGAAGUUGUUGUUGAUUGCUUGGAUUUUUAGAGCCUAGCACCAAUAGUGUGGAUGCCUCAAGUGGAAAUCACAAAUCACCACAAACAUGGAACUUUGAGAGAAUAAUCACUACUAUCUUGAAAUUUGCCCUCACCUCAACAAGUGUCAACUAGUAUCAUUUCAAGAACCAAAGCCUCCUUUAUAUAGUGUGGUGGAUUAGGGUUACAUCCCUAAUACCCAUGUCUCUUCAUUUCCAUGAGAUCCAUGGGUUAAAGCUCCAUGGAGUAUCCAUGGACUUUUUCCAUGCAAGCCUAGCCCAUUCCAAAUAAGCACUACGCCACACUAUAUAAAUAUAGAAGCCCAUUUUUAAUUAGUAAUAUCUUUGAUCUCUAAAUUAAUCCUAGAUUAAUUAUAGAUCACUACUAAUUAAAUAAUAUGAUCUUAUAUUAAUAUAUUAGAACUUAUAAUAUAUUAAUAAAUCAUAACUUGUACUAUUCUCAAAUAUUAUCCAUAAAUUGUUCGGGUGAAGUGCAACCCAAAUGGACCAUGCCGGGUCGGGUCAAGUACAUACCAAAUAUAGUUAUGGGCUUAGACACUAUAUCCAACAGUCUCCCACUUGGAUAAGUCUAAUAACUAUAGUUGCAAGUAUGACUUCAGGAACCGAUCAGCAAUCGUAGCUCUUUAAACUCUGUUGAACUAGAACGCGCCAUUUAGAUAAGUGAUCAUAUAAUCCUCUGUUCUAGAUAUCAGCCGGACAAAUACAUGGAACAUGGUCUUGCUUAUUGUCCAGCAUUUGUUUCCCGAUUUCCGAUUUGUUUGACAUAGAACUCAACUGAACACAUCAAUUUAGUUCUGACAGGGCCCGGUACAUAGGUUAAAACACAAUCAUCGAGGGGCCCAGAUUUCAGCUUCUAAUCCAAGAAGGAACNNNNNNNNNNNNNNNNNNNNNNNNNNNNNNNNNNNNNNNNNNNNNNNNNNNNNNNNNNNNNNNNNNNNNNNNNNNNNNNNNNNNNNNNNNNNNNNNNNNNAACUUUGAGAGAAUAGUCACUACUAUCUUGAAAUUUGCCCUCACCCCAACAAGGAUCAACUAGUAUCAUUUCAAGAACCAAAGCCUCCUUUAUAUAGUGUGGUGGAUUAGGGUUACAUCCCUAAUACCCAUGUCUCUUCAUUUCCAUGAGAUCCAUGGGUUAAAGCUCCAUGGAGUAUCCAUGGACUUUUUCCAUGCAAGCCUAGCCCAUUCCAAAUAAGCACUAGGCCACACUAUAUAAAUAUAGAAGCCCAUAUUUAAUUAGUAAUAUCUUUGAUCUCUAAAUUAAUCCGAGAUUAAUUAUAGAUCACUACUAAUUAAAUAAUAUGAUCUUAUAUUAAUAUAUUAGAACUUAUAAUAUAUUAAUAAAUCAUAACUUGUACUAUUCUCAAAUAUUAUCCAUAAAUUGUUCGGGUGAAGUGCAACCCAAAUGGACCAUGCCGGGUCGGGUCAAGUACAUACCAAAUAUAGUUAUGAACUUAGACACUAUAUCCAACAAAUGCGAGGGGAAAGAGUCAUUAUGUUGGAACAUACCAGUAACAACCGUUAGGUCUUGAAUUGCUUCGCCUUGACCUAGGGUUAGGACCCUACCUGAUCCUUCUGCCCCUUGACUGUUAGCCUUGGGGAAAUUGCAUCGGAAAUGGUCGGUUCCUCCACACCCAUAGCAGUUGUGACUGGCCCCAACAUUGAUGUUGUUGUUACUGUCGUUGUGAUUGUUGUUGUUGUUUGGAUGUUGAUUAUGUUGUGGAUAAUUCAACAGUAUUUGGCAGUGUGACUCUUUCAGUUGCACCUUUUAAAAUGUGGCUCCCAGCGGGCUCCCUUAUGAUGGAAAUUGCAGUGGUUGCAUUUUGGAAGGCUUCCAACAUAUGAUCUCGUUGGUGUUGAUGUAGUAGGUGUCAUGGUCGCAUGAACAACAACAACAUGUUGCUUCAUCGAGGACCCUUGAGUUGGCUGUCCAUUUCCCUUACUCCCAGACUUCCGCUUCCUGUUCUUCAGCUUUGGAGCGCCUUAAUAAGCUGUCACUUGUUGGUUUCCGUGCUCGUUCCUUCGGCUGGAGUUGUCGAUGCUAUUUCCACCUCUAUUGGUGUUGUUUGCAUUGAGUUGUGCCAUAGCAACGGUUACUGCCGCUGUUACAGCAGCUUGGAAUGUAGCAGAGUCCAUCUGCAGGAGCGGUGUCUCGUAGGUGUGCUUGUUAUUUCUGUGGGAUGCCAUUUUCCUGCUGCAUGUCGAUAAACCAGAUUGUAAGUAAUGAUCGUCAUUCAUGGUUGUACUCCAUAAAUUUCGCAUCCUGUCGUAUGAUUCUCAUUGUUUCCAUUUACAUCCCUAUGAUGUAUUUAUGAUAGCAGGUAAUCGCAGAUUUGGCAUGCUCGUUACGUCUGUCCUUAGAGUAUAUGGGUUGUUUUGGUUUCGAGAUCCUUAAGUAUCUAGCGGUCUCGAGGGUUCGGUUGUGCAUAUAAUUGAAUUUAUGCAAUAACAUGAAAUAGAGAUAGCACAUAAUUGUUUCAUUGGUAAGUACUGUCGUAGUACACGAAAGAGAGUCAUACCAGUUAGUAGGGUAAGAAAAGAAAAGGUUGAUCCUAAUUGUGGCGUAAAUUGUCUGGUGGUGGUGCUGAUGAAGUGGAUGCACCCUAGAGAUGAGCUACUUGUCGCUCGGUGUCUCGUAGUGGUGCCUCCCAAACUGACUAUCUUGCUGGGAAGUCUCCAAUUGCUUCCUGUAUUUGUCUCUCAUCUCCCUCAACAACAGUCCAUAUUUGGUCCAUUUGUUCCGAGGUGUCCUAAGCUUGGUUAUCAAUAUCCCGGGUGCGCCGGACCAUGACUAGGAGGGCCCGGUCAACUGGUCCUCUAUGACUAAGAUUGAAGAAACCUCGGUUCCUACCGUAGUAUGGUCGUAUCCCCUGCUGGUGACUCCAUCUCCAGUUAUCGUGUGCCCAUGGGGCAUGGGGCCACUGUGGCCCAUACGAUAAGUCGGUACUCUGGCCAUGUAUGGAGGAUUGAUGGCAUCAGAUUUUGCAUCCGAGGCAUCAUCGUCAUUGCCCUCGAGUUCUUCCUCUUCGAGGCCCACUACUGACUCGGCAGGUCCAUCUGCAAGUUCUACUUCAUGUUCCCCCUUUAUUUCAUCCUCUAAGUCUCCUUCUGGGUCUUCCUCUGGGUCGAGCCACCCUACUUUUUCCUGACUAGGGAGAUAGGGGUUCCCUGGCUAAUGAUACCCGUCUAUAGCGUAUUGCACGAAAGGGUAUAAAUACUAGAAACAAAUAGCACACCAAAUACUCAUAUAGUAUUUUAAUUUUGUUUUGGUUUGAUUCUAUAAGGUCUUUAGAUAAUUAAAUGGUAUGUUUUUGAUUCAUUGUUCAUCACAAUUACUCCCGAACACAUGUUGUUCGCAUUUUGAAUGAAUGUAGUUGAUCAUGCUACAUUCACCCCCAAUAUGACUACAUAACUGCUCGGGUUUAAUAGACUUUUACAGUUCUUGUUGUGUUAUUACUCUAAAAUGCACACAUAAGUAUGUAUUUUAAUUAUUAUGUUCAGAGUAGUUUAGUCUCAUUGUAUUUAUAGUUGCAUAUCUUGUAUGGUUAGAUAUGGAGUUCACUAUAAACAAUGCUCUGAUACCAAUCUGUCACACCCCCGAACCAGACGGCGGAAACGUAUGGGGCUCAUGUGACUAACAAUUGAAGAAUCAUCAUAAUGAAUAUAAAUGAAACAUAACAUCAUCAUUACCAUGCAUAAUAUAAUACAACUGCAAUUGUUUACAUCAAGUACAUUGUUAAAAAUACAUAAGUUCUAACCGUUAAAAGUACGAUAAGUGAUGUUACAUAAAACAAAACCAUACACACUUGCAAAUCUUCCAGCUUAACGAUUACCUGAGAAUACAAGUUAUUUUGAAAACGGUCAACAUAUAUAAUGUUGGUGAGUUCAUAAGUAUGGUUGAAUAAAAGUCUUUGUAUCUUUUGUAAAAACCCAGAAAAUCCGAUAUUUUCUGUAAAUUGUUUGAAAAUGUGUGAAAAUCAACUAUGCUUGCAUUUGUGAAUUGCAUAGUUAUAACAUAUAUGAGUGUAGUUUAAAGUCAUUCUAUCGUGAAUAAAUGAUAAAUGUAUAUGAAUAUUUUUCGUAGAAAAUCCGAUAUUUUCUGUCUUAUAAUAAUGUCUAGGUUCUUGUAUCGUUGAUUUAGUGUUUUCGUAUCGACACAAAUAAAGAAUUAAUCUUCUAUGUGUUUAAGUGGUGUUGAAUCCCUAUAUGAGCCGUUAUAACCAUGCAUGAUAAUGACUAGGUCGCCCGUCUUGGCAUUUUUCCAAACGCUGGUCUUGCUAAGGAUGUUGUCGCCCUAGACUGACCUAGUCUAGCUGUAGCGAAUAGCUAAGGCAUGGGGGUCACCCCGUAUAAAUUUAUACACAAACUCCCGCUUUCCAUCCAGGAAAUUCUGAUUAUAACUACAGGCUACGAUUGUACACUCAGACGUGCCAACCGACAAAUCUCACAAGAUUCUCAACCUUUCCCGUUUGAUAAGAUUUUCCCCAUGUUUAAUGUUUUACGCGUAGGUUGUAGAUUUUUCCAUUCCAAAGGUAAGUAUACGAAUUCAUAAACUAUGUAGAGGUAGAUUUAUGUUCUACAAGUAUGUGAAUUUUCAUUCCAAGCCAAAUUAACAUGUAAAUCGGCCACAAGGUCUAAUAACAUUAUAAAAGGGUAAUUUAGGCCCAAUAGGCACGUAAAUGGGCCACAAAGGCCCAAUAAACAUGUAAUUCAUAACUUAGGCCCAAAUUAACAUGUAGGUAGGUUGUAAGGCCCAGUAAACAUGUCAUGGAAAACAUUGGGCUAAAUAUACACUUAAUUUGGCCCUUAGGGCCCAAUGGCCAAGAUCGUGAAUAUUAGGUCCAACAAAUAGUUAUCGACGUGUUUCGUUCGUUUGUUUUACUCCAUUGUUUGUUUUUCUCGAGGUUUAUUAGAUUGAUAAUAAAAAUAUCCUUUUCUGUAAAAAUGGCAUUUUUGGCAAUAACCUCCCAAUGUUUAAUUAAGGCCCAAAUGUCUAAAAAUUUACGGUUUUAUCCCAAAAGUUAUAUUUUCACUUUUAGAACCCUGUUUUGCAGAAAANNNNNNNNNNNNNNNNNNNNNNNNNNNNNNNNNNNNNNNNNNNNNNNNNNNNNNNNNNNNNNNNNNNNNNNNNNNNNNNNNNNNNNNNNNNNNNNNNNNNAAGGUUGAAAUGUGCCAAAACAGUUUCCAUAAAACUAUUUCUGGAUUUCUAUUCAAUUAGAGGAUUGAAAAUAUAAAUUUCAAGCUUAUUGGGCUAAAAAUGAAAAUUUCGGCCCAAGUAGGCCCAUUAUGCGAAUUUUUCUGUUUUGAAGGGCCAAAACUGUGAAUUUCUGUAAAACAGUGGACUAUAAGUGUCCCAAAUCCUUUUCAAAGGUUUAAAAUGCUUUUUAAAUUUAAAAAGGACCAAAGUUGCAAAAAUUUUCCAAUUUGGGCCAAAAUUGUCAAAAUUGCGAAAAGAAGGGCUAAAACCGAGAAAAACUGCAUUUUCAGGGACUUAAACUGUUUUCUAUGAAAAAUAUGCUGGAAAAUAUUAAUUUCAAUAAUUUUUGGUGUUAAAAUGUCAAGAAAAAUAGUUUAAGGACCAAACCGGUAAAUAUUGCAAUAAAAGGGUUAAAAAUGUAAAUUUUACAAAUACUGAGGGGCUGAAAACAGAAAUAUUUCAAGGCUAAUUCAAUAUGUACAAUUUGACCAAAUAAUGACACCUCGAAUAUCAACGAAAUACAACUCAUUACAAUACCAAAAGUCGUUGUUAAACGAAUUGGCUCGGUCUCGAGCCAAUGGAAAUCUACAACUACUAACUCUUCGACACUACGAAUUAUACAAGUAACGUUUGGUAAUACAUAUACAUACGAGUGUGCACAGACGUCUACGCACCAUCUUCGGGCCCCAAAAGUGUAAAAUCUUGCUUGUUGGGCCUAGCUAGCCCAAUGACCUGAUCUUAAGGCCCGAAGACACAUAUUUUCUACGGAGUGUUGAGUUUUACCGACUUGGCACCACGUAGAGUGACUUUCAAUGGCUUGUACCACUGGUCCCCAAGGGUCCAUGGUAUUGCUAGAAAAGUCUGCAUAUUUUACGAGGCGGGUCGGGGACCCCUCGCACGCAUAUUUUCCCCAACCGGUUAAUGGAGUCAUCGGGGUCUUCGUGACCUCUUUCUCUUCGGAUGUGGGACUACACCUUGUCCGGGCGAUUGGAUAACGCGAUUAGUACUGACGACGCCUUCGGGAAUCNUUGGAUAACGUGAUUAGUACGGACGACGCCUUCGGGUUCGUUAGUAUAACUAUAAACUGGGCGUUUGUGUAAUGCGGGUUUGUAGUAAAUAAUCAAUGCUCGAGAACCUUCCAACGUCGCCUGGGACCGACACUGCUAUUUUCAUAAUGUUUUCAACGCAACUUAAUGGAUUCCAAAAGAGCUAGGGGAACAUCGGGUUUCCCUAGGGUUUUUAUUACAUACAGAUUUGAAACGCAUACAUCUUCAAUGAACAUUUUUUUUUAGUAUAGAAACAAACAAGCAUACCUAUGGAUCUUCACUAAUGUUUUCGAAAGCUUUUCUUUUCAGAAAAUAUCGGAUUUUCUGGUGGUUUUUCAAGCAAUAUAAACAUUCGAUUUCAAACACUACUUAUGAACUCACCAACAUUUCAUAUGUUGACGUUUUUCAAAAUACUUGUAUUCUCAGGGAAUCAGUGAAUCAAGGGAAAUCAUACUCAGUGACGGAUGCAGUUUAUUUUUGUAUGAAUUGAACAAACUAAUUUUUGGGAAUGUAAUGUCUUAAACAAUGUAUGACAUGUAAACACUACUGGUUGUACUAUGUUGAUGAAUGGUGACGAAUGUUGUUUUGUUUCAUAUAUAUUCAAUGUUGUGGUAUUCAAUUGAGUCACGACAGCCCCCGGACGUUUCCGCCGUCUGGUUCGGGGGUGUGACAUUGGUCCAAUUUGAAAAUAAUUGUUAUUUUCACCCUUAAAUUUGGUUUAUUUACAUUUAUGAUCCAAACUUUGGCUAAAUAUCAUUUCUAACCCUAAAACUUCAUUUUUUUCGCAAUUUGGGCCCCAAAAACCGUGAGGCCCAAAUGUUGGCCCAUUAAGCUUAAAUUUUCAUUUUUGACCCUUUUUAAAGUAUGUUUAACAUAGAAAUACCUUUAUAUAUAUAUAUGUAGGACCUGUUUGUCCCUCGUGAAAACUUAAAUGACACUUUUUACCCUUGUCUUUUGUUUUCUUGACAAGUUUGACCUUUAAUAAUGUUUUUGCUUAAAUCUUUUGUAUCUUAAACAUCUAAUCACUUUUGGCUUGAUAAAGUGAUGUAUAUAAUGUCAUAGUUCAUAGAUAUUUUCUCAAUAGUACUUAAAAUUUCAAGAUCUACUAAGAUCUAACACAUUUUUUUCCAAAUAAGCUAAGAAAUCAGACAAGACAUGCAUAUAACACAUAGAUCUACACAUUUUACUUGUAUUCUCCCCUAAAAAUCAUAUGAAAUAUGAAAAACAAGGGGGUAUGAACUCACCUUUGAUUUGAUUUUUCAGUUUGGAAGAAGAAGAGGAAGAAGAUGGUGUUGUUUUUGGCCUAGCUUGUUUCUUUGAUGGGAUUCUCAAAUUCUAGGAAGUUUUAAGAGUAUGAUUCAAGAAAAUAAGGUGGUAAGAGGAGUGAUUUAAGAGUAAAGAUGUGAGAAUCCAACUUAGGUUUGUAAAGAUCUUACCUAAUAUGAUGAUCUUGAAGAAAAACUCUCUUGAAGAUACCCACCACUUGCGAAAUUAUGAAGGAGAAGGAGAAAUUCUUGGAAAGUUGUUUAAAGUAAAUUCGAAGAUGGUGGGGAAGGUGUGUGGUCUCGGCCGUGAGAAAGAAAUAGGGAGGGAAGAGAGAGAAGCGACCUUUGCAUGGAAGUAUGAGUGUAUGUUGAUACAUCAGAGGUAAUUAGUGUGGAAGUCCUACAUGUAAAAAUGAGGUGUCAACCUCUUACCCAUGCAAGAUUUCUUUUUUUUCUUUUUUUGUUAAGUGACGUUGUUGGGUCGAGAACUUGGGCUAAGAGAAAAUGGGUUGAGUAGUUUGGGCCUUUACUUGUUUUUACUCGAAAUUAUGAGGCCUAAUAAUUACUUUUCGGCCCAUUGGGCCAUCAUAGAUGUCCACGGCCCAAUGGUUCUAAUUAAAGAGGUUUAGGGUCCAUUAAGGCUAUUGGAAUUACUUAUGGACCAACAAGGCUCAAUAGCAGUAACCGUAUUCAUCUUAGGCCUAUUAUAGCCCAAAAUGUUAAGUUUCAUGAAAGUGGGUCCAAUUAGAGCCAUAUAAGGGUUUCCAAGCCCAAAGUAGUUGAAUUUGAAUGCUUAUUGGUCCAUUAGGCCCAAUAAGGAAAUCCUAGUCCAAUAUGGAUUCAAACCAGGAUUCUUAGGGUUUUCAAACUCUUAGUUGAACACAUGAGGUGCAUUUUGAAUGAGCAUAGAGUAUGAUUUUCUCUUAGAGUACAAGUUAUUGCACUAGGUGAAUGAUUACAUAAGAGUAGAAUCUCCUAGCAAAAUGCCAGUUGUGAUAGGUUUCAUAUUCAAUGACUUAUAGUCUCCCGAAGUUGGGAUAUCAAUAUGUAAAUUUUCAAAGUUCAACCCACUAAUUAGUAAGUAACUGACAAAAACAUUCGGUUUUUUUUUUCGAGUUUUCCGAUUCUAAACCCACUUUAUCCGCUUCCAACCUACCCACUUUGAUUUUCUGGGUUUUCCGGUUCUAGACCCACUUUACCCGGUAGGGUACUCGGAACCGAAUCGGAACAGUUCCUCUAUACCAGUCCAGUUUCCGGUUCUACAAAAUUCCAUUAACCGGUUCUGGGUUUUUCGGGUCCGGAUCCAUCCACUCCGGGUUUGGACUCACUUUCAUCCCUAGACCUGCGUAAGGGCUUCUGUCCAUGUUGUUCAUCAUUGAGAACACACACGAUUAGGGCUCCAUCUUCACUCAAGAACAUAUUAGUGUUUUUAUUACCACUAAGUUGUCACAACUCUAAACCCAUUUUCUCAACAUUACCAUCAAAGAAAUUAGUGUUUUUAUGAAGAACGGUUAACUUGUGUGUGUUUUCUCUCUGAUUUGCAAGUCCAGUUUAAGAGUAUGGUGGUAGACAGUGCGAAUGAUGAUGUGAAGCGGUGUUGGUUGUCGAUGAACUGUAAUAAAUAUGAGGUUGCAGGUGGUGUGGAGAUGGUGAAACGCUGACAGACCAGUGGGAAGAAGAUGAUGGACUAGCUGUUUUUUUUUUGGUCUUGGAGAGAGAGAGAGAGAGGUUUAUUUUUUAAUUAUUUAAAUAGAUAAAGAACGAAAGAAAAAUAAAAAAUAAAUAUAUAAGGGUAUUACAGUAAUUUAGUUUUCAGGGGGACUAAAACCACAUAGAAACAUGAGCAAAAGGAUCACGAAUCCAAAAAAAUUGAGGUUUGGACUAAACCUCGGAAAAAAUGCAUACCACAGGGACUAUUUUCGCAAUUUUGUCUUUGUAUAAAGAUAUAAAAGAAGACAAAAAUUUAUAAAUUUUGUAAACUUCUUUUAUAAAAUAUAAACUUUGGUUUUUGGCUAAAAGACAAAAAUCUUACUAGUCUAAAAUAAUGUACAUGACUUAAUAAAUCAUACCAAAUGAUAUAUAUUAUGUUACUUGGUAAUGAACAUCAAAAUUUCCAUGAAAUAAAUAAUUUCCACUUAAUUAUAAUAGAUUACUGAAUAUUUAUUAAAAUCAAUUUCUAAUAAAUAAUCAAUGGUAUCAAGUUGUCAGUGUGACCAUUUAUGAUCAUAUGUUAAUUAGUAAUAUUACCUUAAUAUAACCCUUGGAUAUACUAGAUCUUUCAUGCCUAUACCCAUUUGAAAUGAUAUUUAAGAUGUUUUAUUUAUUUAUUUAUUUAUUUAGUUAUGUAUUUUGGAUAACUCAUUUAACCAAGGAGUAAUACUACCUAAACACAUUACAACCUAUUGAAAGUCGAAUGGUUCAAGUGGUUAGAUAUUUUUUAAAUAUGUUGACUUUAAUUUAUUCUGCAGUCUCUAAAUUUUAGAGUCGGACUGAAAACAAAACAAUAAAAAAGGAGACCAAUCCAUCAGUUGUUGCAAUAAAUUGAAGUCGCAAAACCUUGUACUCGUUUCCGUAUAACUUUAUAAUUCCUCUUGAUUUCUAUAGUUUUUUUUAACCUGCACACAAAACAGGGUUACAUAUACACAUCUAAAUUUAAGCAACUCAUUUAGAAAGUACUCGAAGCUGUUGGGUCUCUGAUUAUUGAUUUCAUACUAUAUAUGGUGAUACUGAUUUGCUAAUUUCUUAAAAAAAUAUAAUCCUGGUGUAUUUAUGUGAAAUAUUAUUAGUCCAAUGAUCAUGGGUGGUAGUUGAGUACAUGGAGAAUGAGGAAAUGUUGUUUUCCUUGUUGCUCUUUUUAUAAUUCCCAAUGUAUGUGGGUGGCUUUGAUUUUUGUAAAGCUUCAAUGCUUUUUAUAUAGCAUAUUUUCUAUCAUACAAAACUAGGCACAAAUGCACAAUCUCUUCAUAUCCUUGGAAUUGCAAACUUGUUUUGCAUUUAGAAAAACCUUAAAGGCAUACAUUUAUCCAUUGUCGAAUUAAUUAUUCUUUAAAGUCAAAUUCUUCAAAGAUUUAUUUUCUAACGGUCACUUCUUUUUCUAGAUUUAAUUGAACCUGAGAAGACGAAGAGUUUUUGUUUCCAGCAAGAGACACCCUGUGCAGCAUAUUGAAAGAAUACAACUAUGAUAUGUUAGAACAUUAAUUGAAUUUGUUUAAGUCAAGCUUUGGAAAUGAAAAUGGAAUUAAAACAUAGCAAAAAACAGAAAAUACUCUUGUGUCUCAUAUAGUUGAAGGUUUAAGUAUGUGAUUUAUGUAUACUUGAAACUAUUAUUUUCUCUUUCUUGUUCACCAUUUAGUGAAAUUAAUAUCAACAACAUUCAUCUUCAGUUAACUACUCAUAUUAACUUUGACUUUUGUUUUUUUUUUUUUAAAUUAUUAGAUUGUUUAAAUAAUUUAGCAAUGAUAAACAUCUUUUUAUUUGGGGGUAUUUUUGGGUAUUAGAAGCUAUUUAAUAUGUUACAACACAGUUCUAGGGUUAUUGUAGGAUGUUGUCCUCAUCUUCUGUCACUGGUAUUCGUUGUUGCUUUUGAUUUGUUGUUGCUGUUGAUUUGUUGCUGCUGUUGAUUCGUUGCUACUGUUGAUUCGUUGGUGAUGUUGAUUCGUCAUUGUUUUUCAUUCGUUAUCCGAUUGAUUGCUUCCGCUGGUUUGUUACUCCUUAUUCUCAGAUUCUUAUACUGUCUUUGUGGCUAUUUAUUCAUUGUCAACAUGGCCGGAAAGUAUGAUUCCCUUCAUUCAAUCGGUACUCGUUUUGAUGGAAAGAAUUAUAUUGUUUGGAUGGAAAGAAUUAUACGUAUUGGAGUUACGUUAUGAAGAACUUCCUUCGUGGGAAGAAUAUGUGGGGCUAUGUCACUGGAAAAAAAAGCAAAACCCAUAGUGCCUCAAACUGAGAAUUAUGAUUUGUUGCUUGAUGCAUGGGAGACUAAUAACUCCAAGGUCAUUACUUGGAUCAAUAACUCUGUUACUCAGUCUAUUAGUAUGCAGUUGGUUAAACAUGACACAACAAAAGAAGUUUGGAAUCACUUGGAGAGACUGUAUACUCAGUCCAACUUUGCUAAAAUAUAUCAGUUGGCACAUGAUAUUCGUGCCCUUCAACAGAAUGACCAGAGUAUUCAAGAUUUCUAUGUUGCUAUGUCUGAUCUGUGGGAUCAAUUGGCUCUUACUGUAUCUAAAGAGUUAAAAGAUUUCCAGCCUUAGAUUGCUAAGAGGGAAGAACUGUUGGGUUUUAAGCAAUCUAACACUUCCUAAGUGUGCAUGCAACCCUAAUAAACCUUGGAUCUAUGUUUUCUUCUAAAAUACAUGCAAAUAAUAAUUUCCAAGGUUUCUUCCUAACUAGCAUAGCAUAAGGAUUAUGAAUCAUAAAACUACUAGUAGAAAUACAUACCUUUUAAUGAUGGUUGAUUGUUUGGAGUUUGAGAGCCAAGCACCAAUAGUGUGAAUGCCUCAAAUGGAAUCACAAAUCACCACAAACACUUGGAAANNNNNNNNNNNNNNNNNNNNNNNNNNNNNNNNNNNNNNNNNNNNNNNNNNNNNNNNNNNNNNNNNNNNNNNNNNNNNNNNNNNNNNNNNNNNNNNNNNNNNNNNNNNNNNNNNNNNNNNNNNNNNNNNNNNNNNNNNNNNNNNNNNNNNNNNNNNNNNNNNNNNNNNNNNNNNNNNNNNNNNNNNNNNNNNNNNNNNNNNNNNNNNNNNNNNNNNNNNNNNNNNNNNNNNNNNNNNNNNNNNNNNNNNNNNNNNNNNNNNNNNNNNNNNNNNNNNNNNNNNNNNNNNNNNNNNNNNNNNNNNNNNNNNNNNNNNNNNNNNNNNNNNNNNNNNNNNNNNNNNNNNNNNNNNNNNNNNNNNNNNNNNNNNNNNNNNNNNNNNNNNNNNNNNNNNNNNNNNNNNNNNNNNNNNNNNNNNNNNNNNNNNNNNNNNNNNNNNNNNNNNNNNNNNNNNNNNNNNNNNNNNNNNNNNNNNNNNNNNNNNNNNNNNNNNNNNNNNNNNNNNNNNNNNNNNNNNNNNNNNNNNNNNNNNNNNNNNNNNNNNNNNNNNNNNNNNNNNNNNNNNNNNNNNNNNNNNNNNNNNNNNNNNNNNNNNNNNNNNNNNNNNNNNNNNNNNNNNNNNNNNNNNNNNNNNNNNNNNNNNNNNNNNNNNNNNNNNNNNNNNNNNNNNNNNNNNNNNNNNNNNNNNNNNNNNNNNNNNNNNNNNNNNNNNNNNNNNNNNNNNNNNNNNNNNNNNNNNNNNNNNNNNNNNNNNNNNNNNNNNNNNNNNNNNNNNNNNNNNNNNNNNNNNNNNNNNNNNNNNNNNNNNNNNNNNNNNNNNNNNNNNNNNNNNNNNNNNNNNNNNNNNNNNNNNNNNNNNNNNNNNNNNNNNNNNNNNNNNNNNNNNNNNNNNNNNNNNNNNNNNNNNNNNNNNNNNNNNNNNNNNNNNNNNNNNNNNNNNNNNNNNNNNNNNNNNNNNNNNNNNNNNNNNNNNNNNNNNNNNNNNNNNNNNNNNNNNNNNNNNNNNNNNNNNNNNNNNNNNNNNNNNNNNNNNNNNNNNNNNNNNNNNNNNNNNNNNNNNNNNNNNNNNNNNNNNNNNNNNNNNNNNNNNNNNNNNNNNNNNNNNNNNNNNNNNNNNNNNNNNNNNNNNNNNNNNNNNNNNNNNNNNNNNNNNNNNNNNNNNNNNNNNNNNNNNNNNNNNNNNNNNNNNNNNNNNNNNNNNNNNNNNNNNNNNNNNNNNNNNNNNNNNNNNNNNNNNNNNNNNNNNNNNNNNNNNNNNNNNNNNNNNNNNNNNNNNNNNNNNNNNNNNNNNNNNNNNNNNNNNNNNNNNNNNNNNNNNNNNNNNNNNNNNNNNNNNNNNNNNNNNNNNNNNNNNNNNNNNNNNNNNNNNNNNNNNNNNNNNNNNNNNNNNNNNNNNNNNNNNNNNNNNNNNNNNNNNNNNNNNNNNNNNNNNNNNNNNNNNNNNNNNNNNNNNNNNNNNNNNNNNNNNNNNNNNNNNNNNNNNNNNNNNNNNNNNNNNNNNNNNNNNNNNNNNNNNNNNNNNNNNNNNNNNNNNNNNNNNNNNNNNNNNNNNNNNNNNNNNNNNNNNNNNNNNNNNNNNNNNNNNNNNNNNNNNNNNNNNNNNNNNNNNNNNNNNNNNNNNNNNNNNNNNNNNNNNNNNNNNNNNNNNNNNNNNNNNNNNNNNNNNNNNNNNNNNNNNNNNNNNNNNNNNNNNNNNNNNNNNNNNNNNNNNNNNNNNNNNNNNNNNNNNNNNNNNNNNNNNNNNNNNNNNNNNNNNNNNNNNNNNNNNNNNNNNNNNNNNNNNNNNNNNNNNNNNNNNNNNNNNNNNNNNNNNNNNNNNNNNNNNNNNNNNNNNNNNNNNNNNNNNNNNNNNNNNNNNNNNNNNNNNNNNNNNNNNNNNNNNNNNNNNNNNNNNNNNNNNNNNNNNNNNNNNNNNNNNNNNNNNNNNNNNNNNNNNNNNNNNNNNNNNNNNNNNNNNNNNNNNNNNNNNNNNNNNNNNNNNNNNNNNNNNNNNNNNNNNNNNNNNNNNNNNNNNNNNNNNNNNNNNNNNNNNNNNNNNNNNNNNNNNNNNNNNNNNNNNNNNNNNNNNNNNNNNNNNNNNNNNNNNNNNNNNNNNNNNNNNNNNNNNNNNNNNNNNNNNNNNNNNNNNNNNNNNNNNNNNNNNNNNNNNNNNNNNNNNNNNNNNNNNNNNNNNNNNNNNNNNNNNNNNNNNNNNNNNNNNNNNNNNNNNNNNNNNNNNNNNNNNNNNNNNNNNNNNNNNNNNNNNNNNNNNNNNNNNNNNNNNNNNNNNNNNNNNNNNNNNNNNNNNNNNNNNNNNNNNNNNNNNNNNNNNNNNNNNNNNNNNNNNNNNNNNNNNNNNNNNNNNNNNNNNNNNNNNNNNNNNNNNNNNNNNNNNNNNNNNNNNNNNNNNNNNNNNNNNNNNNNNNNNNNNNNNNNNNNNNNNNNNNNNNNNNNNNNNNNNNNNNNNNNNNNNNNNNNNNNNNNNNNNNNNNNNNNNNNNNNNNNNNNNNNNNNNNNNNNNNNNNNNNNNNNNNNNNNNNNNNNNNNNNNNNNNNNNNNNNNNNNNNNNNNNNNNNNNNNNNNNNNNNNNNNNNNNNNNNNNNNNNNNNNNNNNNNNNNNNNNNNNNNNNNNNNNNNNNNNNNNNNNNNNNNNNNNNNNNNNNNNNNNNNNNNNNNNNNNNNNNNNNNNNNNNNNNNNNNNNNNNNNNNNNNNNNNNNNNNNNNNNNNNNNNNNNNNNNNNNNNNNNNNNNNNNNNNNNNNNNNNNNNNNNNNNNNNNNNNNNNNNNNNNNNNNNNNNNNNNNNNNNNNNNNNNNNNNNNNNNNNNNNNNNNNNNNNNNNNNNNNNNNNNNNNNNNNNNNNNNNNNNNNNNNNNNNNNNNNNNNNNNNNNNNNNNNNNNNNNNNNNNNNNNNNNNNNNNNNNNNNNNNNNNNNNNNNNNNNNNNNNNNNNNNNNNNNNNNNNNNNNNNNNNNNNNNNNNNNNNNNNNNNNNNNNNNNNNNNNNNNNNNNNNNNNNNNNNNNNNNNNNNNNNNNNNNNNNNNNNNNNNNNNNNNNNNNNNNNNNNNNNNNNNNNNNNNNNNNNNNNNNNNNNNNNNNNNNNNNNNNNNNNNNNNNNNNNNNNNNNNNNNNNNNNNNNNNNNNNNNNNNNNNNNNNNNNNNNNNNNNNNNNNNNNNNNNNNNNNNNNNNNNNNNNNNNNNNNNNNNNNNNNNNNNNNNNNNNNNNNNNNNNNNNNNNNNNNNNNNNNNNNNNNNNNNNNNNNNNNNNNNNNNNNNNNNNNNNNNNNNNNNNNNNNNNNNNNNNNNNNNNNNNNNNNNNNNNNNNNNNNNNNNNNNNNNNNNNNNNNNNNNNNNNNNNNNNNNNNNNNNNNNNNNNNNNNNNNNNNNNNNNNNNNNNNNNNNNNNNNNNNNNNNNNNNNNNNNNNNNNNNNNNNNNNNNNNNNNNNNNNNNNNNNNNNNNNNNNNNNNNNNNNNNNNNNNNNNNNNNNNNNNNNNNNNNNNNNNNNNNNNNNNNNNNNNNNNNNNNNNNNNNNNNNNNNNNNNNNNNNNNNNNNNNNNNNNNNNNNNNNNNNNNNNNNNNNNNNNNNNNNNNNNNNNNNNNNNNNNNNNNNNNNNNNNNNNNNNNNNNNNNNNNNNNNNNNNNNNNNNNNNNNNNNNNNNNNNNNNNNNNNNNNNNNNNNNNNNNNNNNNNNNNNNNNNNNNNNNNNNNNNNNNNNNNNNNNNNNNNNNNNNNNNNNNNNNNNNNNNNNNNNNNNNNNNNNNNNNNNNNNNNNNNNNNNNNNNNNNNNNNNNNNNNNNNNNNNNNNNNNNNNNNNNNNNNNNNNNNNNNNNNNNNNNNNNNNNNNNNNNNNNNNNNNNNNNNNNNNNNNNNNNNNNNNNNNNNNNNNNNNNNNNNNNNNNNNNNNNNNNNNNNNNNNNNNNNNNNNNNNNNNNNNNNNNNNNNNNNNNNNNNNNNNNNNNNNNNNNNNNNNNNNNNNNNNNNNNNNNNNNNNNNNNNNNNNNNNNNNNNNNNNNNNNNNNNNNNNNNNNNNNNNNNNNNNNNNNNNNNNNNNNNNNNNNNNNNNNNNNNNNNNNNNNNNNNNNNNNNNNNNNNNNNNNNNNNNNNNNNNNNNNNNNNNNNNNNNNNNNNNNNNNNNNNNNNNNNNNNNNNNNNNNNNNNNNNNNNNNNNNNNNNNNNNNNNNNNNNNNNNNNNNNNNNNNNNNNNNNNNNNNNNNNNNNNNNNNNNNNNNNNNNNNNNNNNNNNNNNNNNNNNNNNNNNNNNNNNNNNNNNNNNNNNNNNNNNNNNNNNNNNNNNNNNNNNNNNNNNNNNNNNNNNNNNNNNNNNNNNNNNNNNNNNNNNNNNNNNNNNNNNNNNNNNNNNNNNNNNNNNNNNNNNNNNNNNNNNNNNNNNNNNNNNNNNNNNNNNNNNNNNNNNNNNNNNNNNNNNNNNNNNNNNNNNNNNNNNNNNNNNNNNNNNNNNNNNNNNNNNNNNNNNNNNNNNNNNNNNNNNNNNNNNNNNNNNNNNNNNNNNNNNNNNNNNNNNNNNNNNNNNNNNNNNNNNNNNNNNNNNNNNNNNNNNNNNNNNNNNNNNNNNNNNNNNNNNNNNNNNNNNNNNNNNNNNNNNNNNNNNNNNNNNNNNNNNNNNNNNNNNNNNNNNNNNNNNNNNNNNNNNNNNNNNNNNNNNNNNNNNNNNNNNNNNNNNNNNNNNNNNNNNNNNNNNNNNNNNNNNNNNNNNNNNNNNNNNNNNNNNNNNNNNNNNNNNNNNNNNNNNNNNNNNNNNNNNNNNNNNNNNNNNNNNNNNNNNNNNNNNNNNNNNNNNNNNNNNNNNNNNNNNNNNNNNNNNNNNNNNNNNNNNNNNNNNNNNNNNNNNNNNNNNNNNNNNNNNNNNNNNNNNNNNNNNNNNNNNNNNNNNNNNNNNNNNNNNNNNNNNNNNNNNNNNNNNNNNNNNNNNNNNNNNNNNNNNNNNNNNNNNNNNNNNNNNNNNNNNNNNNNNNNNNNNNNNNNNNNNNNNNNNNNNNNNNNNNNNNNNNNNNNNNNNNNNNNNNNNNNNNNNNNNNNNNNNNNNNNNNNNNNNNNNNNNNNNNNNNNNNNNNNNNNNNNNNNNNNNNNNNNNNNNNNNNNNNNNNNNNNNNNNNNNNNNNNNNNNNNNNNNNNNNNNNNNNNNNNNNNNNNNNNNNNNNNNNNNNNNNNNNNNNNNNNNNNNNNNNNNNNNNNNNNNNNNNNNNNNNNNNNNNNNNNNNNNNNNNNNNNNNNNNNNNNNNNNNNNNNNNNNNNNNNNNNNNNNNNNNNNNNNNNNNNNNNNNNNNNNNNNNNNNNNNNNNNNNNNNNNNNNNNNNNNNNNNNNNNNNNNNNNNNNNNNNNNNNNNNNNNNNNNNNNNNNNNNNNNNNNNNNNNNNNNNNNNNNNNNNNNNNNNNNNNNNNNNNNNNNNNNNNNNNNNNNNNNNNNNNNNNNNNNNNNNNNNNNNNNNNNNNNNNNNNNNNNNNNNNNNNNNNNNNNNNNNNNNNNNNNNNNNNNNNNNNNNNNNNNNNNNNNNNNNNNNNNNNNNNNNNNNNNNNNNNNNNNNNNNNNNNNNNNNNNNNNNNNNNNNNNNNNNNNNNNNNNNNNNNNNNNNNNNNNNNNNNNNNNNNNNNNNNNNNNNNNNNNNNNNNNNNNNNNNNNNNNNNNNNNNNNNNNNNNNNNNNNNNNNNNNNNNNNNNNNNNNNNNNNNNNNNNNNNNNNNNNNNNNNNNNNNNNNNNNNNNNNNNNNNNNNNNNNNNNNNNNNNNNNNNNNNNNNNNNNNNNNNNNNNNNNNNNNNNNNNNNNNNNNNNNNNNNNNNNNNNNNNNNNNNNNNNNNNNNNNNNNNNNNNNNNNNNNNNNNNNNNNNNNNNNNNNNNNNNNNNNNNNNNNNNNNNNNNNNNNNNNNNNNNNNNNNNNNNNNNNNNNNNNNNNNNNNNNNNNNNNNNNNNNNNNNNNNNNNNNNNNNNNNNNNNNNNNNNNNNNNNNNNNNNNNNNNNNNNNNNNNNNNNNNNNNNNNNNNNNNNNNNNNNNNNNNNNNNNNNNNNNNNNNNNNNNNNNNNNNNNNNNNNNNNNNNNNNNNNNNNNNNNNNNNNNNNNNNNNNNNNNNNNNNNNNNNNNNNNNNNNNNNNNNNNNNNNNNNNNNNNNNNNNNNNNNNNNNNNNNNNNNNNNNNNNNNNNNNNNNNNNNNNNNNNNNNNNNNNNNNNNNNNNNNNNNNNNNNNNNNNNNNNNNNNNNNNNNNNNNNNNNNNNNNNNNNNNNNNNNNNNNNNNNNNNNNNNNNNNNNNNNNNNNNNNNNNNNNNNNNNNNNNNNNNNNNNNNNNNNNNNNNNNNNNNNNNNNNNNNNNNNNNNNNNNNNNNNNNNNNNNNNNNNNNNNNNNNNNNNNNNNNNNNNNNNNNNNNNNNNNNNNNNNNNNNNNNNNNNNNNNNNNNNNNNNNNNNNNNNNNNNNNNNNNNNNNNNNNNNNNNNNNNNNNNNNNNNNNNNNNNNNNNNNNNNNNNNNNNNNNNNNNNNNNNNNNNNNNNNNNNNNNNNNNNNNNNNNNNNNNNNNNNNNNNNNNNNNNNNNNNNNNNNNNNNNNNNNNNNNNNNNNNNNNNNNNNNNNNNNNNNNNNNNNNNNNNNNNNNNNNNNNNNNNNNNNNNNNNNNNNNNNNNNNNNNNNNNNNNNNNNNNNNNNAUUUCUUGCAUCAUAUGCUUCUUUAUAUAGUGUGCAUGGUUAGGGUGAAACCCUAAUAACCCAUGUCUUUUCCUUUCCAAGGAUCCAUGGGUUAAAAGCUCCAUGGAUCAUCCAUGGACUUCCAUAUUAGCUUAGCCCAUUAACAAAUGAGUAUUAGCCCACACUAUAUAAAAUAUAAUAGCCCAUAAUUUAAUCAGUCUUCUUUUUAAUCUCUAAAUUAAUUCAUAAUUAAUUUAAGACUAAAACUAAUUAAAUAACAUGACUUCAUAUUAAUAUAUUAUAACGUAUAAUAUAUUAAUAAAUCGUAAGUAUACAAUUCUCAUAAAAUUAUCCAUAAAUCGUUUGGGUGAAGUGCAACCCAAAUGGACCAUGUCGGGUCGGGUCAAGUAUGUACCAAAUAAGUUAUGGACUUAGACACCUUAUCCAACAAGAACAACGCUUGGUCCAGUUCUUGAUGGCCUUGCGUUCUGAGUUUGAAGGUCUACGUGGAACCAUUCUUCAUCGCUCUCCUCUUCCCUCAGUGGAUUCUGUUGUCCAUGAGUUAAUUACAGAAGAGACCCGUAUCAAGUCUCAUGCGGAUAAAGGUUUUAAAACAACCUCUAUUCCUACUCCCGCUCCUGCUGUGCUUGCUGUUUCCUCCAACCAGUCUCGACAAAGUUCAAGGGUUGCUCAUGAUGAGUGUGCAUUCUUGCUGUUUCCUCCAACCUCUCGUCCUCCGUAGUUUGUUGAUGCUGCUGUGCCACCAGUUGACACAGAAUCUGUUGGAAACAUGCCACCAUCUGCAUUGGAUCCUAAAGUGUUUGAGAGUUUCAGACAGUAUUAGGCCUCUAAUCCCACUGUCAUGUCUGCAUCUAUGGCUUAUUCUGGGCAUGCUUCAUCUGAUACAUCAGGUAUUCCCUCAUCUUUGUGGAUUUUAGAUUCUGGUGCAACUCAUCACAUGACUCCUCAUUUGUCAUCAUUUGCUUCUUUGUCGCAAGUGUCAUCUAUUUUUUUUUAAGUCUGCUAGUGAUACAUCUAUGCUAGUUGAGGGUGUUGGGUCUGUCUGUCUCUGUUUCUCAUAUCACACUUCCUGAUGUUUAUUACAUUCCCAAUCUUACUUUGAAUCUUGCCUCAGUCAGUCAGUUAUGUAAGUCUGGUAACUGGGUGUUCUUUUCUGAUUCUGUCUGUGUUAUACAGGAUCCACACACCUAGAAGGUGAUUGGGAUCCGCUGUAGGGUGGGAGAACUAUAUGUAUUGGAGGUCCUCAGAGUUUCCAGCAUUGAUUUAUCUUCGUUUCGUUUGAGUCCUUUGUCCUCUGAGUUUUAUCUUUCACAUUCUCGUUUAGGACAUGUGUUUGUAUCACGUUUGAAUUUUUUAGCAUAUAGUGGUGUUUUGGGUCAUUUAAACUCUUGUGAUAUUUCUGAUAGUAGUGGCUGUAAACUGGAAAAAUUCUCUGCUUUACCCUUCAAUAAAAGUAUGUCUUGUUCUACUGCUCCAUUUGACAUUAUUCAUUCUGAUGUGUGGGGUCCUGCACCAGUAUCCACAAAGGGUGGGUCAACCUAUUAUGUAUCUUUUAUAGACGAUUAUACUCGAUAUACAUGGGUUUAUCUUAUGAAACACAGAUCUGAUUUCUUUGAUAUUUACAGCAAAUUUAGAGCUCUUGUUAAAACUCAACAUUCAGCUGUGAUUAAGUGCUUCAGGUGUGACUUAGGGGGUGAAUAUACCUCUAAUGAUUGCACUCAGUUACUUGCUUCUGAUAGUACCAUACACCAUUCUUCGUGUACUGACACACCUCAGCAAAAUGGUGUUGCAGAACGAAAACACCAUCAUAUUGUUGAGACUGGCCGCUCAUUGCUUAUGUCUGCACAGGUCCCUAAUGCCUUUUGGGGAGAAGCAAUCCUAACUGCUGUGUAUGUGAUUAAUCGUAUCCCUACUUCAUUGAACUCAGGAAUGUCUCCUUUUGAGAAGUUGUAUGGUCAUCUACCAGACUACUCUUCCUUACGAGUUUUUGGAUGUACUUGUUUUGUUCUUCGUCCUCAUGUUGAAAGGAACAAGUUGGGGCCAAAAUCUGCUAUUUGUGUAUUUUUGGGGUAUGGUAUUGGACAGAAGGGAUACCGUUGCUAUGAUCCUAUGAGUCAGAAGUUAUAUGUUUCCCGACAUGUUACUUUUUUGGAACAUAUUCCUUUCUACUCAAUCCCUACUACAGCCCAUAAUGUAACUCAGUCCGAUCUUUUGCAUAUUGAUCCUUUUGAUGAAGAUAUAGAGGCUCGAGAUUCAUCUAUGUCACAUGAUUCCUCAGCUCAUGACACACCCACCUCUUCAGAGGGUGCCUCAUCUCCACCUGUUCGUGAGCCUGAUCCUCCGAUUCUUGAAAUCGAGGAUCCACCUCCACCACCACCCCUCAGGAGAUCUUCUCGUCCUAUCAAAUCCACCAAGCUACCAGAUUUUUCUUACUCUACAUAUUCAGGACCGUUUGCUUCAUUUAUAGCAAGCAUUCAUCAUCCGUCUGAACCUGAAUCAUAUAAAGAAGCUGUUUUAUAUCCUCUUUGGCAGUAUGCUAUGGCUGAAGAACUCACUACUCUCCAUCAGACUCAUACAUGGGAUUUGGUUUCUCUUCCUCCUGGGAAACAUACGAUAGGCUAUCAUUGGGUGUACAAGAUAAAGACUAAAGCUGAUGGUUCUGUUGAACGGUACAAGGCUAGACUUGUAGCAAAAGGUUAUUCCCAACAGUAUGGUUUUGACUACGAGGAGACAUUUGCCCCUGUUGCAAAGAUGACGACAGUUCGUACUAUGAUUGCAGUUGCAUCCGUCCAACAAUGGAAGAUCUUUCAAAUGGAUGUCAUGAAUGCUUUUUUGAAUGGUGACCUCCAUUAAGAGGUUUAUAUGACUCCUCCUCCUGGUAUUCAACACCGGCUGGGUGAAGUUUGUCGGCUUUGUAAAGCUUUGUAUGGGCUCAAGCAAGCCCCUCGUGCUUGGUUUGAGAAAUUCUCUACUGUGAUUACCUCUCUUGGAUUUGUCUAGAGUAAUCAUGACUCUGCUCUGUUUGUUAGAUGCUCGAGUGCAGGACGGAUUCUUCUGUCCUUAUAUGUGGAUGACAUGAUUAUUACAGGUGGUGACCAUGGUGGUAUUGAGUCUUUGAAGCAUGAUCUCGCUCAUCGAUUUGCUAUGAAGAAUUUGGGCUUACUGCGUUAUUUCUUGGGUAUUGAGGUUGCUCAGUCUAAGAAAGGGUACUUUCUUUCUUAGACUAAAUAUAUAUAUAUCUGACUUGUUUACACGGGCGGGCCUCUCUGACAAUCAGACUAUUGAUACUCCUCUUGAAACCAAUGCACGAUAUUCUCCUACUGAUGGUAUUCCUUUGUCCGAUCCGAAUCUUUAUCGCACUAUUGUGGGAAGUUUGGUUUAUCUCACAGUUACUCGUCCAGAUAUUGCUCAUGCUGUUCAUGUUGUCAGUCAGUUUGUUACUGCUCCUACCUCUGUUCAUUAGGGAGCUGUUCUUCGUAUUCUGAGAUAUCUUCGUGGCACUCAGUUUCAGACUCUCUUGUUUCCCUCGACAUCUUCUCUUGAGUUACGUGCCUAUAGUGAUGCUGAUUGGGAUGGUGAUCGUCAUGAUCGUAAGUCCACCACUCGAUUUUGUGUAUUUCUUGGAGAGUCUCUCAUUUCAUGGAAGAGCAAGAAACAGGAUGUUGUCUCUAGAUCUUCUACAGAGGCUGAAUAUCGUGUUAUGGCUGUAACUACAUGUGAGAUUAUCUGGUUACGGUGGCUGCUUGCGGAUAUGGGAGUUUACAUUUCCUCAUCUACUCCCUUGCAUUGUGAUAACAAAAGUGCGAUACAAAUUGCAAAGAAUUCUGUUUUUCAUGAGCGGACAAAGCACAUUAAGAUUGAUUGUCACUUUACCCGUCAUCACCUGCAGCUUGGGACCAUUUCGCUUCCAUUUGUUUCAUCAAUAUUGCAACUUGCGGAUAUUUUUACGAAGGCUUUAUCGGCUUCUCGAUUUCGGUUCUUAUGUGACAAACUCUCAAUGCUAAUUGUUGUGGCAUUGUGAGUUUGAGGGGGGAUGUUAGUCUAUAUAUUAUUAGUCCGCUUGUUUAUGGGCCCUUUAGUCUUUAGCCCAUUAGGUUUUCUGUCUAGCUUGUAUUUAUAUCCGCUUUAUUCUUUGUAGUCUUUAUGCUUUUCUUUGAAGACUCUUGUAAUCCCUCUUUAUCAUAAUCAUAUGACAAUAUUAACACUAAUGUUCAUUUUUUUUCUAGACUUGAUUGACAACAGAACUAAAACAAAGAAGAAGUAAACAUCAUAUGCUUGAUGUUCCAAGAAGUUGAUGUCACAACACCUUGUACUCUUGUGUGUUGUAUCGUUGAGGGAUUAAGUAUGUGAUUUAUGAAAUUAAUAUCAGCAACAUUCAUCUUCAAGAGUGAUUAAAAUAGCUAAUGUAACGAUGCCUAGCUACAUAAUGUGAUAAAAAUAAUUUGUAAAGGAUUGAUAAUGAUGUAAGAACAUCAAUACAAGUAUAUACUUAACGUUUGACAAAAAUGUUUAAAAAUUGUUAAAAAUACCAAUUAAGUUGUCGUUAGAAGUGAAAUUUUUUUUUUUUUUGCAAAAACGAACCAAAAACUUGAUAUAUGAAUCCUCAAGAUUUAAACAUUCUAGAAUGAAUGAAAGAAAUAUCAAAGUUUGGGUCAAGAAAUGCAGUUUGGUUAAGACUAAAAAUGACCAAAAAUCUGAGUAGCUAACCAAAAGUUUGCAGUUUGGCUCAUAAAGGUACACAAACAAAGAUACAAUACACUUGGAAUGUUCAUAAUGAAGUGCUAGGAACAUAUCGGUAGUAAACUGAUGGAAAGAGAUCAUGUUGGGUUAAUCGAGUUGUUUACUAGUCAGCGGGUACUAAAUGGUUCAGGGGUAAAAAUGUCUUUUAACCUUCUUGGUGGACAUGAGCUUGUUGGAGUCUUUUGCUGCAAGUUUAACUUGAGAAACUUGGUAUUUUGGUUGACAUGUUCUCUCUCUCGAGAGAUGAACAUGGAGCUAAAAGGGAGGACCUGGUCAUAUGCACCAUGUGUUUCUUGAUUGCUUGAGUUAUAAAUAGGAGUAAUAUUAGUUUAUUUGUUUGUUGUACUCUCAUAUUUAAUAUAACAGAUUUAACAAUAGAGUUCCAUUUCUUUGCAAAUUACAUACAUAUAUGUGAGUGUGUGAUUGUGUAUGUCUUGUGGGGUCUGAAUCAACAGAUCCGUGUUUCAAGAAUUUCUAUUUUAGAAACUUUAAUGGCUUAAAAAGGAUAAAUGACAUAAAAGGACAAAAUGAGAGAUGUUUUCGUAUCUAAGCAUUUGUAAUCCCUUAGAAACAUUUUAGAGCCAAAAAGUAGUUAAAAAGAACAUUCUAAAACUCAAGAAAACACUUUUAGGCAAAGUAUAUUGCCUAAAUGAGAAAAUGGUAAAAAAAUAUUGAAACAAAUAGUGGUCUAAAAGGUUAAAUGAAAGUUCAUACAUGUCAUAAACACUGUCGGCACAUGUUUGGGCUAUAUAUCAUUGAGUUAAAAUACCUUAUGCAAGGAAAUGGUUAAGUGGUCAAAAAGGGGGGAAAAGGAUAAAAAAAUAUAAAAAAUGAUUAUUAUGGCCUUAUAAAACAUACUUCAUUAGCGAAAUGGAUUUGAAAUGAUAUUAGAAUGACUAGAUUGAUAUAUUUGUUGAUUAAUUAUGAGUUUUGAAGCAAGUGCUAAAUUAAAUUAACUUGGCAAAAAUAAAGUAAAUUGUUAUUUGCGAGAAAUAUGACCUAGGUUAUGAAUGGAUUCUUACGUAAUAAAAUACCAAGUAAAUAACAUAAUUCUUACGUAAUAUAAGUUUUCAACUAUUAAGACAUAAAUUUGUGGUUUAUACUUUGUUUCUCAAGGCUUUUAGAGUUAUCGGUCUAGGACCGAAAUCACUAUGAUCUCGGUGGUACUUGGACCGAAAUCACCAUGUGAUUUCGGUGGGCUUAAUGAUGUUUUCAGUUGGGCUGGGCUUUAGUAAUUAGGUAUUAGUAUAUAAUGUGUUAUUUUCAUCCGUGAAGAGAGUUAGUCAUUCGGUUUUAUCAGAGAGAGAUUUAGAGAGCAUUAACAGUUAGAGAAAAAUCGUUUGAUCUUAUGUACCCGACUAUUAAUCAAUAAUAGUGUGCAUUGAAAUCUGAUGAUCCGUGUUUGUGUUCUUGAUUCGUAUUUAUUGUUUUGUGUAUAUCAAGGUGUUUUUCGGAGGAGGUGGGGUUUCUUUACAAAUUAAGUUGGUGGGGAUUGUGGCGGAUGGCCAGAGAAAUUUUGUGUCAGAGAGGCCUCUUCAGAAUGAUGACCCAUGAUGCAAUGCUUGAACAUUGAUUGCUUUCAAUGCUUUAAUCCAGCUCUUAUACAUACAUCAUCAAUUAUUGAUCACCAAAGACAUAAAUCAGCAAAUCGCAACAAAAAGGUUUGAUUCCUUUUUGGCCCUUUUUCGCAAUUAUAAAUCGGACUUGAUCAAAUUUGAAAAAUGAGCAAUUCAUAAGCUUAAUCAAUAACAAUUGCGCUCGACCCCAAAUUCGAAGGAAUCACAAAUGUUAAAGGAUUGUUGUUGAUGAAAAUCAUAUCUAGGUUUUUGUUAAAGAGACCAGGCCACAAUGGCCCUUUGAAUUCAUUGAAACAAAGGUCGACAAUUUGAGGCAAUGGGAGGGACAUGAUGAUGGAAAAGAAAGGACCCACGAACCGAUUGUUACUUAGGUCAAGCUCAACCACUAAUUAACGUACAUGGAAAUACAACCUAUAUGGUAAUAGGUAAAAUGGGAUUAAUUGAACAUGUAAAAUUGGACUUUUAGCACCUAAACUACUAGAAAGAAAGAUAAGAGGCCUUAAAAGACAAGAGUUUGUAGGGCUUUAGUGUCCUUUUCAUGUCGAACUCUUUAGAAAUUACUAUAAAUGUUUAUUUUCUGAUAUUUAUUUGUUUUAUAAACCUAACUGAACCCAAAGAGAAAGAAAACUUUUGGUUUUCAAGAGACAUCCUAUGAAACUAGAUUAUAUUAACACCACAUUUUUUUGUCUAGAAAAACUAUGUUUCAUACUUAAUUAUUAUUCAUGUCAUUAUAUUUUGAAGUUUGAUAUAAAUUGAUAAAUGAACGACAGACAUUUGUUCAGCUUAAUUUAAAUAUUUACUCAAAUGAGAGUCAUCAAGCAUAACAAUUUUUUGACUAAAUUAUAUUAAAUACAGUUUUUUACAAUUUUAUCUAUUAAGAUCACAGGGAGUUACACCAUUGCUGUUUACUAAUUUUUUGUUCAAACCCUGACACAGCCAUAACUGAUUAUUAGAGGCCCGACCAUAAAAGUUCGACUUGGGCCCGCAACUGGUUAAUUAAAGAGCCAGUCAGGUCCCAAUUUUGGCACCUCUCUAACUAUAAUCAACUGAUUGUGCAAAAUGUUGAUCGAUAAUAUAAAAGAUUGUUCAAUCAUCAAAAGUUAUCUACUACUUUUAUAUGUGCAGUGGUUGAUACUCAUGUUGUCAGCUGUGGUGGCUAGAAGGUGCAAAAUAAAUAUUAAAAUUGUUUAGGCUUCAAAAUAUUACCUACUUUUUAUAUCAAUUGUAGAGAAGUUAACUUGCAAGUUAUCAAUUGCCAGCUACAAUGUACAAAAGUUUAUUAUAGAUUCAUUCACUAAUAAUAAAUAUAGACCAAAUGUUCACAUGAUUGGGCCUUUAGGUAGAUAAUUCAACUGCUGACUUUUUAAGGACUAAUUCAACCUCUAAGUUAUAUGCUUAUAAAAAUCAAAGAAGUGUUAAUUGAGUUACAGGGCUAAUGAAAAGUAAAUAAAACAAACUGAGCUGAAUAGUGGAGACAACUUCACCCAUCUAAACACUAAAUUCACAAUUGACAAUCAAGAUAACAAAUAGCUUGUAUAAAAGAUUAGAGACAACGAAAGAUUUUAAGGGAUAGAGAAUAGUGGUCAAGUAGAUAAGCUACAAACUAGCCAUUAGCAAUGAAACUAUUUCAGUGCCCAAAAUAAAAACAAGCUAUGCAAGUUAAGUAAGAAUAUAGAUAUAGAAAUGAAACAAAAUUUUAUCAUCAAGAGACAAAAAAAUGAAAGAAAAAUGAAAGCUUAUUCCAGUUAUUGCUUAUAGGUGUGGCUAAUUAAGAAGUCAAUGAGAGAUCACAUGUACCUCUGAUUGGAAAUACACAUUAAAAUGUAGCCAAAAGACUACCUAUGAAACAUUUGGACAAUUGACCUAACAAUGGAUUUAACAUGCAUCAUUCUUGUUUGCAGAUUUCACUCAGGCAUUUUAUCAAAUAUAUAGCGUGCAUGUAAAACCAUCAAACAGAAUCUUGUCAGACUGACAAUCAGUGAGCAGAGAAACUCAAAACGGUUGUUGGAACUUGAUAAUGAAAACAAAAAAGUCAAAAACCUUAGCCGCAUUGCCUAUGAAAAAUCAAUUUUCUUUGAUAGGCAGAGAAAUACAUGGAGAUAUACACAUAUACAUACACAGUGAAACAUUUACUUCAAUACAUUUUAAAAUGAAUACGUUUUAAUCUGGCAAUGAGACAUACACACAGAUAUGUUCUGUAAUUUUUUUUAAUAUACAUAUGAGACCGUUAAUAAAAGAAAAAACUAAAAUGAAAUAAACAAGUUGAGCUAGAACUAUUAUGUGUUUUUUAUGAUUACAAAUUUAGUUACCAAUACAAUAUAUAGGUCUAGAAAAUGGUUGAUUUCGAAAAAAUAACAUCAUUGAACAUAUUUUGGAUUUUGGAUAUGUGGAAAAAUGCUGAUUAUUAAAAUUGUUUAAAAUAAAAAAUUACAUACUCCCUGUUUAUGUUGUCAAGGGGUUGAUUCGCAUGUGCUGGCUGCUACCUAGAAGGUGAAAAAGAAUAUUAAAAUUAUUAAAGAGUUAUUACCUACAGCCUACUCCCUUAAUUCUAUAUUGUUGAGUAAACGAGUGAUUAAAUUCAUUUUGGCAGCCAGCUAGCUAAGAGGUGGAAAAGAUAUUAUAAAGUGUUGACCUGAACAAUGACUGAAAUCACUAUAAAGAAUGGCCUGAGUCGUUCUUUUUGGUGCACUAAUUUUAUCUGCAUCCCCACCAUACAUACAUACCAAGUGCUUCCAUUUUUCCUGUCCACUAUAAGUUAGUGAUGGCUGAAAUUGUUGUUUCUGCCUUCUUUUCAUUGUUCUUUGAUAAGCUGGCCUCCGAAGCCUUGAACAAGAUUGCUCGUGCCAAGGGAAUUGAGUCCGAGCUCAAGAAACUGAAGAGGUCACUAAUCCAGAUCAAAAAUCUCCUUUAUGAUGCUUCUCGGAAGGAGCUGACCGAUGAAGCUGUAAAAGAAUGGCUGAAUGGUCUCCAACAUUUGGCUUACGACAUUGACGAUGUACUUGACGAUUUGGCAACCGAGGCUAUUGAGCAUGAGUUGACCGAGAAAUCUGGAUCCACCAGCAGCAAGGUAAGAAAGCUAAUCCCAACUUGCUGCACAAAUUUCUCAUUAAGUUCUAGGAUGCAUGGCAAGUUAGAUGAUAUUGCCACCAAAUUACAAGAACUGGUAGAUGCGAAAAAUAAUCUUGGUUUAAGUGUGAUAACAUAUGAAAUGCCAAAAGUUAAAAGAUAUGAGGCCAGUUUGGUAGAUGCACGUGCUAUAGUUGGACGUGAAGGUGAUAAGAAUGCAUUGGUUCAAAAGUUGUUAGGGGGUCAUGAUGAAUCGUCUAGUCAAAACUUUAGCAUUGUCCCUAUAGUCGGGAUGGGUGGGGUGGGUAAAACAACUUUAGCCAGACUUUUGUAUGAUGAAAAGGACGUGAAGGAUUACUUCAAAGUCAGGGCUUGGGUUUGUGUUUCGGAUGAGUUCGAUAUCUUUAGUAUAAGCAAAGUGAUUUAUCAAUCUGUGACGGGGGAAACCAAGGAAUUUACAGAUUUAAAUUUGCUUCAAGAAGCUCUUAGAGAGAAACUUAAGGACAAACUAUUUCUAAUAGUGUUAGAUGAUGUAUGGUCUAAAAGCUAUGCUGAUUGGGAUAAGUUAGUGAGCCCAUUUCUUGUGGGGGCUCCUGGAAGUAGAAUUAUCAUGACAACUCGAAAAGAGCAAUUGCUUAGAAAGUUGGGUUAUGCUGAUUUAGUCCCACUUCCUAGUCUGUCACAUGAUGAUGCUUUGUCUUUGUUCGCUCAACAUGCAUUGGGUGUAGAUAACUUUAAUUCACAUCCAACACUUAAACCACAUGGCGAAGGGUUUGUGAAAAAAUGUGAUGGCUUGCCAUUAGCGUUAAUAGCACUUGGAAGGUUAUUGAGGACAAAAAAAGAUGAGGAAGAAUGGAAGAUGUUGUUAGAUAGUGAGAUUUGGAGGUUAGAAAAUGCAGAUGAGAUUCUUCCGGCUCUUAGACUGAGCUAUGAUGAUCUUUCUGCCUCCUUGAAGCAGGUGUUUGCAUACUGCUCCUUGUUCCCCAAGGACUAUCUAUUCAACAAGGAGGAGUUGAUUCAGUUGUGGAUGGCAGAAGGGUUUUUGCACUACUCUACUACCAGGAAGUCCAUGGAACGCUUGGGUGUCGAAUAUUUCGAAGAGCUGGUUUCGAGGUCAUUUUUUCAACAUUCUUCUGAUGACAAAUCAUUGUUUAUGAUGCAUGACCUCAUGAAUGACUUGGCCAUGUCUAUUGCUGGAGAUUUUUUUUAAGGUUAGAUAUUGGUAUGAAGGAGUACAGUAGGAAGGAAGCUUUGCCAAAGCACCGCCAUAUAUCAUUUGUUUGUGAAGAGUACAUGGCUUACAAAAGAUUCAAGUUGGUCAAAGGAGCUAGAAGUUUGAGAACAUUUUUAGCAUUGUCUGUUGGGGUGGUACAAAGUUGGGGGAUAUUUUACUUAUCAAAUAAGGUCAUCAAUGACUUACUUCAGGAGUUACCAUUGUUAAGGGUGUUAUGUUUGAGUGAUCUUAGUAUAAGCGAGGUACCAGAAGUAGUCCAUAGUAUGAAGCACUUGCGCUAUCUUAAUCUAUCUCGAACUCAAAUCACCAAUCUACCAGAAAACGUCUGUAAUCUUUAUAAUUUACUGACGCUGAUUGUUUUUGGCUGUAAGUAUUUAGUUAAGUUGCCCGAGAACUUCUCAAAGCUUAAAAAUUUGCAGCAUUUUGACAUAAGGGAUACUCCGCUUUUGAAGAAGAUGCCCUUAGGGAUUGGUCAGUUGAAAAGUUUACAGACUCUCUCCAAAAUCAUUAUUGGAGGUGAAUCCGGCUUCGCAAUAACCGAGCUUAAGAACUUACAAAAUCUCCAAGGGAAAGUUUUUAUUGAGGGGCUGGGAAAUGUGGAAAAUGCAAUGGACGCACGUGAGGCGAACAUCUCACAAAAUAGACUUAGUGAGUUAGUGUUGAAUUGGGGUUAUGGGUUUAAUGUUUCUCAAACGGAGACACAUGAAAAGGAGGUCCUUAAUGAGCUGAAGCCUCAUAAUGGCACACUAGAAAAACUCGGAAUUGAGUCAUAUAGAGGUAUAGAGUUUCCAACUUGGAUUGGGGAUCCAUCCUUUUGUCGGUUGACUAAAGUGUGGAUAGAUGGCUGUGAAGAAUGUACAUCUCUACCAAGACUAGGGCAACUACCAUCACUGAAGGAGCUGAUUAUUGGUGAGAUGAGUAAGGUGAAGGUUGUAGGUUUGGAGUUUCUUGGGACCGACCUUGCCUUUCCUUCACUUGAAAUCCUACGGUUUAAAAGUAUGUCAGGGUGGGAGGAAUGGUCAACAAAUAGUGGGGCGUUUCCUUGCCUUCAAGAGCUUCGUAUUGAAUAUUGUCCUAAUCUGGUUCGGGUCGAAGUUGAGGCACUGCCUUCACUAAGGUUUUUGAAACUAAAAAAAUGUGGUCAUGGUGUCUUGAGAAGCCUUGUUGAUGUAGCUUCAUCACUCACCAACUUGGAAAUAUAUGAUAUUUCAGGGCUUACUGAUGAACUUUGGAGAGGUGUAAUAGGGUAUCUUGGGGCGGUAGAAGAAAUAAGCAUCAUAGGGUGUGAUGACAUAAAGUACGUGUGGGAAUCAGAAGCAGAGGCAAGCAAGGUUCUUGUGAAUUUAAAAAUGUUGGCUUUAAGAAAAUGUGAAAAUUUGGUGAGUUUAGGGGAGAAAGAGGAGGAUAAUAGUGGAAGCAGCCUAACAUCUUUUAGAGAGUUGGGAGUAUCGGAUUGUAACAGCUUGAAGCAUUGCAGUUGUCCAAAUAACAUGGAGGAUUUGUAUCUUCGAAGGUGUGAUUCAAUUACAUCCGUCUCCUUCCCAGCAGGAGGAGGGCAGAAGCUCGAGUCACUUACCAUCACAGAUUGCAAGAAACUAUUGGAAAAGGAGUUGGGAAGAAAAGACAAGACAAGGGUUCUUAUAAACUCAAAAAUGCAGAUGCUUGAAUCAAUAAUAAUAGCUAAUUGGCCAAAUCUGAAAUCCAUCAGUGAAUUGAGUUGCUUCAUUCACCUGAACACAUUAUAUAUAUCAAAGUGUCCAGGUAUAGAGUCAUUUCCUGACCAUGAGUUUCUGAAUCUCACCUCGUUAAAAGAUCUGACAAUAAUAGAUUGUACAAGUAUGGAUUCAUCUUUUCCUCGUGGGCUUUGGCCUCCGAAACUAUGUUACCUUAAUAUAGGAGGGUUGAAGAAGCCCAUCUCAGAGUGGGGCCCACAGAAUUUCCCAACCUCACUUGUUAGCCUAGGAUUAUAUGGCGGGCCGUCUGACGAUGUGAAAAACUUUGAUCAAUUGUCUCAUCCUCUUCCUUCAUCUCUUACUACUCUUUACAUAAAUGGAUUUGAGAAACUGGAAUCGGUUUCAACGGGACUCCAACACCUCACCUCUCUCCAACGUCUCAUCAUUCAGAAGUGCCCAAAGACCAUAGAUCUACCAGAGAAAUUGUUGCCUUCACUUCUGGUAUUGAGAGUAGAAGGAUGCGCAAAUCUGAAAGAAAGGAUUAGCAGAGGAGGCUCCUAUUGGCCCCACAUCUCCCUUAUCCCCUGCAUCACCACAGAAGAGUAAGGAGUAAUUACAAGAUUAACACAAAGGUACAACCCUCUGUUUGUCUCGAACUUUUUUUUUCAGUUUCAUUCUAUAUAACUUAAAUAACUGAUUUAUUUAUCUCAGUCAAAUAAUUUUUCAUAUAUAAUCUUAAUACAAAUAUGCAUUUCCAUAUAUUUGUGAAAGUGAAACUGUUAUGAACAGAAAUCUUAUUUAUCCUUUUGAGGUGCACAUCUACAAAAUUUUACUUUUAAAUAUCUUACUGAUCCAGUUCAAAUCUAUUUUUCUCACUUUUCUAAACUUACAGCCAAGCAAUAAAAGAUUAAAGGUCGAUGGAUGUAAUGAUUUUUGAAAUGAAAGCAAAUAAAAGAUCAAGCUGAUCAUAGUUUACAAAGGAAGACAUUUAUAUGGUGCUGCUUCUACUUUACAAGGUUUGUUUCCAUCUGACUGAUAAACCCUUAUGUGAUAUAAAACAAGACUUUAUAUGGACAGUGAUUUCCGAUAUUUACUUCAUUUUUUCUUGUUCCAAAUUUGUUUGAAAUGGAAUCUUGAUGUAUAGGUGACUCGGUCUCUUCAUGACCUUGAUGUUGCAAACUUGUUUUGCUUUUACAAAACUCUUUAAAGGUAAACAUUUAUCUCAUUGUCAAAUUGAUUACUUAAUUUCUCAUGUCAAACUCUUUACGAUUUAUUAUAAGAUUAAUUUUCUGAUAUUUGUUUGCUAGACUAGAUUGAACCCAAAGAGAAAGGGAGGUUGUGGUGAUCCUAUGAAGCUUUGUCAAGAAUUAUUAACACCACAACGCUUUCAUCAGUAGUUUGCUGGAAAGAAUGUUUGAGAGUUCAAUUAAAAACAGAACAAAAACAGAGCACUCCAUCUGCUGUUCCAAGAAGUUGAAAACAGAGUUCAUGUCAUUUUGACUUUCAUUGAGUGUUGUCAAUGAAAGAGAUUAGGGUUAGCGACAAGACUACUAUUUUCUUUGUAUGGCAUUUUUAUGCACCGAUUCUGUUCAGCUAUGUUACAAUUAUCUUUUUUGGUAGCUUCUAGGUCUUUAUGAACGAAAAAAGCAUUCAUUGUUGUGUUAAUUUCUGUUUUUCUUCAUUUGAAUUUUGUAGGUAAAUUUUUAUGCACCGAUUCUGUUCAGCUAAGAUGAUUGAACAAGUUGCAAUUAAGCUUGUGACUAUUGUAAUGUCGUUAUAACUUUUGUUAAUUAGUUUGUUGGAAUUUGAUAUUAGAAUGUUGCAAUUUCUAGGGUUAUUGAAAAAAAUGAGCUAAUUGUUUUGAUAGAAAUUGGGAUGUUUAUGCAUUUUAGGAAAGAUGACAUGUCAUGCAGUGCAGGCAUACAUUACUCACUAGUUGUUAAUUUUAAAGGUGUAACUAAGUAGCUGCCAUAAUAUGUUUUACAUGUAUAGCUUCAAGGCGCUGGAUGUUGAUGGACAUUACUUUAUCAUCUUGCUUUAAUUAAGCUGUAACUUUGUUAUGUGCUUUUUUAUAUUUAACUAUUUGACUUCGUUACCUGCUUCUUAAAGCUCUGUAUCUUUGAUGAGCAUGAACAACAGCAAAUAUCAUAUAACAAGAGAAAAGGUAAAAAUCAUCUUCUGAUUAUACUAGAAUCAAUGUAUCAUAACCUUCUUUUUUGAAAACUCACAAUCUUUAUUGUUUUAUACUUUUUGUAGGCAUUAACUCAUGUUUCAGGAAUAGACCAGAAUUGUGACUUUAUAAAGGUUAGUUAGAGAUUCUUUUUAUUUUAAAGGGUAUAUAGCUUUUCUACAAAGGACUUGAUUGUUCUUUUGUGAUCAGCUAAUGUUGCAUUCUAAUUUAAUGAAGAUCAGUUUUCUUUUUUUGUGUAGCAUCUAUUCAGUCAUUCAAACUGGGCUCAGUCUCUUGAUAACCUUGAUGUUGCAAACUUAUUUUGCUAUCCCAAAACAUUUUAAAGGUAUACAUUUAUCUCAUUGUCAAUCUGAUUGCAUAAUUUCUAAAGGCAAACUCAAUAUAUAUAUAUAUAUAUAUAUAAAUUAUUAUAUGAUUUAUUUUCUGAUAUUUACUUUUUUCCUAGACUUGAUUCAAACCAAAGAGAAAUAGAAGUUUUGGUGUUCAUCAAGAGACAUCUAUUCUCAAUCCGUUCUCCAAUCUAUUCUCAAACCCAACGCCACUGCAGCAGAUGUUUGGAAGACUAUUGAAGACCUGUUUCAUGAAAAUAAAGAGACUAAAGCCAUGGAAUUAGAUGAUGAACUUCGUUCUAUCACCAUUGGCGAUUCUACAGUUAUGGAAUAUUAUACACGUAUCAAGUCCAUCUCUGAUCUUCUUGCUAAUAUUGGAUCCCCAGUACCCGAAAGAAACCUCGUUAUUUAUGCCAUCAAUGGUUUAUCUCAGAAAUUUGCCCAUGUCGUCACCACCAUUCGACAUCAAAAACUGUUUCCUACUUUCCUUGAGAUGCGCUCCAUGUUAACCCUUGAAGAACGGUCCAUGGCAAAAGAUAACUCCCGUCACGUUCAAGCCUCACAUCAAGACAAUGCAUCUUCACCAACCAUUCUCACCACCGAGCACCAAAAUCGCCCCUCUCAUUCUCGAUUAAAUACCACCGGAGGUAGAGGUGGUGGUCGGAAUCAACGUGGCGGCGGCAGGGGAGGUCGGAACGGCGGGAGAGCUAGCGGAAGGCAGGGACGAUCUGGAGGCGGAGGCUUCGCACGCGGUCNNUCUCCCUGGAUGACGUUCUCGCAGAUUCAAGGUCAACACCAGCAUCGUGGGCUAUUACCUUCUCCACCAAUUCAACAAUUCCCAUGGCCCAAUAAUCAAUACUCAAAUUCUCAACACCAAUGGCCCAAUUCGAAUUUAGCCCAUCAGCAAGCUCUUUUCUCCAUGUCUCAGCAGCCCAAUAAUCAGUCCAACAGCUGGCAAUGGUUUCAAUACCCGAAUAAUAUGGAUCAACCGACCACCUUACCGCAAACAUUUAACACUAUGACUCUUCAAGACCCAAACAAUGCAGAUUGGUAUAUGGACACCGGGGCAACCGCUCAUCUUCACGCCGAUUCAAGUAGUCUCAAGUCCUUUAAACAUAAGUGCACUAAUUCAAAUAUAUCAGUUUUAGUCGGCAAUGGGUCUCGUAUUCCUGUCACCAAAAUUGCUCACUCUACUCUAGCUUUAAACCUUUUCGCACCCUUAUUUUAAAAAAUGUUCCAAUCACUCCCCAAAUUAUUAAAAAUCUUGUUUCUGUUCGUCAAUUUACUCGUGAUAAUAAAUGUUCUAUAGAAUUUGACAAGUUUGGUUUUUCUGUGAAGGAUUUUCUCACCAAACGCACCCUCCUUCGAUGUGAUAGCACCGGAGAUCUUUACCCAGUCACCAAACCGAGUCCUCAAGUCUUUCUCAGUCUCAGCUCAUCAUUAUGGCAUCAAAGACUCGGUCAUCCUAGUCAACCUGUUCUAAAACAAUUAAUUUCUAGCAAUUCCAUUUCAUGUAAUAAAAAUGAUUCGUCAUUUCUUUGUCAUGCGUGUCAACUUGGCAAGCAUACUCGUUUAUCUUUCUCGUUAUCUAAAACUCACACUUUAUUUCCUUUUCAAGUUAUUCAUUCGGAUGUAUGGACUUCACCCUUGCAAAGUCAUAGUGGAAUAAAAUAUUAUGUUGUUUUUAUUGACCAAUUUUCUCAUUUUGUGUGGGUGUACCCUCUUAGACUGAAAUCAGAUGUGUUCUCCAAAUUUCUUCAUUUUCGUGCAUAUGUCAAAAAUCAAUUCAACACCGAUAUUCAAACAUUUCAAUGUGACAACGGAAAAGAAUAUGACAACUCUCUCUUUCAUCAACUUUGUGACACCAAUGGCAUACACAUUCGUUUCUCAUGUCCAUACACUUCCCAACAAAAUGGGAAAUCUGAGCGUAUGCUUCGUACUUUAAAUAAUAUGAUUCGUACCCUUCUUUUCCAAGCUCAUCUUCCCCCCACUUAUUGGGUGGAAUCUCUCCAUAUGUCCGCUCAUCUCUUGAAUAUUCUUCCAUCCACAUCUAUCCACAAUAACACGCCAUUUCACAGACUCUUCAACAAACACCCGUCCUACUCUCAUCUUCGAGUGUUCGGGUGCCUGUGCUAUCCUCACCUCAAUACAAUCAAUAAACUUGAGCAUCGAUCAGUCCCAUGUAUCUUUCUUGGGUAUCCCUCUAAUCAUAAAGGUUUUUGUUGUCUCAAUCUUCAUUCUAAAAAAAUAAUCAUCUCACGACAUGUCACCUUUGAUGAAACCAUUUUUCCAUUCGGCUCAAUGACCCCGGACCAUCCCCCCACUUAUGAUUUUCUUAAUAUAUCUGACUCCCUCAAUUUCUUUAAUGAUCCCACCAUCACUUCCCAUUCUCAUUCGUCUCCCCCUAUUCUGUCUCCUGUUGGUGACACCUCCACCGACGACGCCGUUGUCUCUGUCGACCAAAACAUCCCUGUCGACGUUGCUGCUCCGACAGCUCCCCUUUCGUCCAUUGAUGCAACUCCAGCUGCCCCUUCGAUUCCUUUAAAUCAUAACCGGUCCACCGUUUCGGGUCCUUCUAGUACUCAUCCUAUGACCACUCGUGCUAGACUUGGUAUUCAUAAACCCAUUGAUUGUCUCAACCUUCAUACCGACAUAGUUUCUAAUCCCUCCCCUCUUCCUAGAAACUAUUCUGAAGCUUUCCAAGACCCUAAUUGGGGUAAUGCCAUGAAAGACGAAUAUGAUGCACUUAUUUCUAAUGGAACUUGGGUACUUGUACCUCAGCCUCAAAAUACUAAUGUUGUUAAUUGUAUUUGGCUGUUUAAAAAGAAACUUAAUGCAGAUGGCUCUCUUGCUCGAUAUAAAGCACGGUUGGUUGCUAAUGGACAUAGUCAAUGUCCAGGCAUUGAUUGUGAUGAAACUUUUAGUCCGGUUGUUAAACCUGCUACUAUUCGGACAGUUCUUAGUAUUGCCAUCUCUCAUUGUUGGCCAGUUCAUCAGUUGGACGUUAAGAACGUUUUUCUUCAUGGCCAUUUACAGGAAACAGUUUAUAUGCAUCAGCCACCGGGUUUUCGUGAUCCCUCUGCUCCAGAUCAUGUAUGCUUAUUACAACGAUCUCUUUAUGGUCUCAAGCAGGCUCCUCGUGCAUGGUACCACAGAUUUGCUUAAUAUAUCACUCAGUUCGGCUUCACUAACAGCAAAUCUGAUUCUUCUUUAUUCAUCUACAACAAAGGGAGUCACAUAGCCUAUCUUUUACUUUAUGUUGAUGACAUUGUGUUGACUGCUUCAUCCACAGGUCUCUUACAGCAGAUUAUCACCACCUUACGUGCCAAAUUCUCCAUGACUGAUUUGGGUGCUCUCAAUUAUUUUCUUGGUAUAUCUGUCGUUCGAGAUCGUCAUGGCAUGUUUCUCUCUCAACAGAAAUAUGCCACAGAAAUUUUGGACCGUGCUAAAAUGUCUAAUUGCAAACCUGCUGGAACUCCAGUCGAAACAUCUGCCAAAUUUGAUGGCUCAGGCCCUCCUAUUGUUGAUCCAACCUUAUAUCGUAGUCUUGCGGAUGCCCUUCAAUACUUGACUUUCACUCAGCCGGAUAUAUCUUAUGCAGUUCAACAAGUGUGUCUAUAUAUGCAUGAUCCUCGAGAACCUCACUUUACUGCUCUCAAACGGAUCCUUCGAUAUGUUCGUGGCACUCUUGAUCAUGGAUUACAACUCUAUGCUUCUCCUGCUUGUGGUUUAGUUGCUUACUCUGAUGCUGAUUGGGCAGGCUGCCCUACCUCUCGUCGAUCCACAUCUGGCUAUUGUGUCUUCCUUGGACAGAAUCUUCUCUCUUGGUCUUCCAAACGACAGGGUACCAUUUCCAGGUCUAGUGCUGAAGCAGAGUAUCGUGGUGUUGCGAAUGCCGUUGCCGAGACUAGUUGGCUUCGUAACUUACUCCAAGAGCUCUUUUACCCUCCUCUGACUGCUACUCUUGUUUACUGUGACAAUGUUAGUGCCAUUUAUCUAUCUACCAAUCCUGUUCAGCAUCAACUCACCAAACACAUCGAGAUCGACAUCCAUUUUGUGCGUGAUAAAGUGGCCUUGGGCCAGAUUCGUGUUGUUCAUGUUCCCUCUUCAUCUCAAUACGCUGAUAUCUUUACCAAGGGGCUACCGUCUACUCUGUUUCUUGACUUUCGGUCCAGUCUGAACAUCCGUCUGCGACCUCUCGUUCGGACUGCGGGGGGCUGUUAGAUGUAUAUAUGUAUAUAUCUUAUAUUUAGUUUGUAUUUGGUUGGGCUGUCCAACAUUGUAUUUAGCCCAUUAUGUAUUAUUAUGGUAUUAUAUAUACGUGAGAGGCUCAAUGCCAAUUCAUGGGAAAAUAUUCACGUUAACACUUUGAAGCAGGGUUGUUUGUUUUAUCUAGAGAGACUACGUUUUAGAGUUAGAUUGUAAACAAAACAAAAGCAGAGAACUCCAUCUGCUGUUCCAAGAAGUUGAAAUCAGGGUAAAUGUAACUUUGACUUUCGUUGGUAGAUGUAUAACAUUAGUAACUCAUUAUACUUUCUUUGAGCAAACUAACUUCCAUAAUUCCAAAUAGUAUUUGAUUGACACCUAAUGAAACUACCAUUGUAAGUCUACUGUGAACACCAGACAUUUUAAUUGAGAGUAAUGUCCUUUAGGGACUUCCACCUCCAAAAUGAUAAUCCUAUUCAAGGAGUUUAGCAUUCUAGUGAAAGACCAGAUUAUGCUGAUAGCAAUGCAACAAUAUAAUCAUAAAGCAUGUAUAUCAUUAGAAAAUUUGUGCCUCAGGAAUCUGAUAUUCUAUAUUGUUAACGGGCUUCAGAUAGUAGGGUUGAAGAAGCCCGUCUCAGAGUGGGGCCCACAGAAUUUUCCCAACCUCACUUGAUAACCUAACAUUAUAUGGCGGCCCAUGUGAGUAUGUGAAAAACUUUGAUCAAUUCUCACAUCUACUUCCUUCAUCUCUUACUAUUUGAGAAACUGGAAUCGUUUUCAACCAGAAUCCAAAGCCUCACCUCCCUCCAACAAAAAAUAUGAAUGCAUUCAAAUCAAGAAUCCUUUUGAUAAUGUAUAGCCUAAUAGCUACCAUGUGACAAUGGCAAUUAAUAUGUUUAUCUUGUGACCCUUUUGAUCCAUGACUAAUACUAAGUAAAUCAAUUAAGAUUAAGUGGAUGGACCUUCAUCAAAUAGGUCGGCUUUGACACCUUUAAAUAUGAUACUUUGUUAUAUUUUUUAAAUGCUUGUGAAUAUAAUUCUUAUUGACCCUUUAUCUAAGGUCUAAGGAUUGAUCCUAGAAUUUUCAUUAUUUGUUUAAGUUAUACCUUUUAGAUCUUUGAAAUCAUGAAUCACUUUACACAAGAACUUUAAAAUGAUUUGAUCAAUUUAUUAAUAGCUAUCUACGACUUCACCCAUUUGAAAAUGAUGAUUAAUAUGUUAUUUAUUUAUUUAUUUCGAUGACCCAUGUAACCGAGGAUUAAUACUCAUUAAACACAUUACAAACUAUUGAAAGUCAAAUGGGUCGAGUGGAUAGAUGUUUUCUUAAAUAGGUCAAUUUUAAUUUAUUCUGCAAUCUCCAGUUGAGAAUUAGACUGACUGAAAACAGAACAUAAACAGAGGAGACCAUCUGUUAUUACAAAAAAUUGAAAUCACAACACCUUGUAUUCUUUGCCGUAUAAUUUUUGACUUUCAUUGGUAACAUGAUAAAUUUAGUAAUUCAUCAUGAUUUCUGAAAUUUAUUAGCCUGCACACAAAACAGAGUUUGUUAAAAACCUUAUUUUUGAUCAUCAAAAUAAAUAAAUAACAAAAAAACAAAAAACAUAUUAAUAAGGGUAAGAUGGUCUUUUCUAUAGACCAGGGACCACCGGUGUAAAAAAUACAAACCACAGGGACCAACCAUCUCAAAAAUCCAAUACUGGUACCAAAACUAUGAAUUAGGGAAACCAAGGACCAUAUGUGAAAUUUACUCUAAAUCGAAAUUUUGUCCAAUGACAAAUGCUGAGGCAGUUCUGAAAUUUCCGUGUCCGCCGGCUUCAGUUCUUUGAGUCGUCACAGUAAACAUCAUGGAGGAGGAGAUCAGACGGCGGAAGCCUCUCGUCCGCAAUGUUUAUCUCAGUAGAAAUGUAACACGAAAUGGCGGCCGGAAUCAGAUUCGUCGGAGUUGGAGAAGCGGCGGAAUCAGAAUAGGGGGCAUGAAAUAAAAAGAAUUUUGGUUCCCUGGAAUUUUUACAUCGACAAGAUUCAGUUUGAUAUGUUUCGGUAAACAAUUUUUUAAUCUAUCAUGUUUUCGUUGAAACUUCUCAAUUGCAACUUGCAACUUUUGGGGCCACAAAUAUGUAGUGUGCAUUAUUCAAACCUUUUCACUACUGUAAACAAUAAUCGAAAUCGAUCUCCUGGUAAACCCAUUUCUUUCACAUCUCUUGGAAAUUGAAAUCAUUCUUUCUUUGCAUCCAUCCCAUCCACAUCUCUACUAUAUACUCUGCUCUUACCAUAAAUAAUGGCUGAUCUGAAAGCAUUCUUUCUUCUUCCUUCCUUCUUGACAGUGGUCUUUGAAAAGCUGGCAUCUGAACCCUUGAAAAAGAUUGCUUGUUCCAAUGAAACAGAAAACUUUAUCCCACGUUGAUCAGGAAGGCCAUUUAUAUCAUGAUCCAUGUACCAAAAACCAUGUAAAUUCCACCCUUACAUUUAUUUACGUCUGCAGAUGAUAUUUGAGCAAAUCAAUUCCCUGAAAACCAAUUGAUAAUUGAAAAAUAUAAGACCCAGAAUAACUUAUUUUCCUUCUGUACUACAACAUUCUGCUUUCAUUUCUUUUUAUUACACCAUUAUACUUCAAUUUUUCUUAUUAAGACAUUGUACAUAGAAAAACCUACAGAUUAUAAUAGUGAUCAAUGUUUUGUAUUAGGAGGAAAUGAAGGUGUAGUGCUAUUUCUUGCAUUUAACCAAAAGAUAUAUAGAAAAGCACUUGCCUGGUCUUCCUUGGUCAUCUUUCUCGCGGCCUACAACAGAAACGAGAACACAUGAUGACAUGGCACAUCAAAUGUCAUUAUAAGCACAAAGAAAGUAGUUUGUGUCGUUUUUAUUUUUAGUAUACAUGUAAAGUAAGGGAGAAUGAAAAGAUCAAUUAGAAAUCGACUAUAACUUACCUGGAGAAGUAACAAUCUCUUUAAGAUUUAUGACAUUCUCAUAAUACAACUUCUUUAAGAUUUUGAUCUCACGAACGACAGUUAUUGAAAACUCUAUUUAGAUAGUAGAUUUAGGUUUAAGACAAAUUAUGUAAGUAGUUGUUUAACAAUUGUAGAGGAAAUAAGUUUUUUUUUUGUUUUUGCAGAAAAAGGUGUCUUGUACCCUCCCUCUCGUUGUCCAUUCGUAUCCUCUUUAGAGCAACAAUUUCACCGGUUCUGAUUUCUCAAUCCAUGCAUACUUGACUGAAAGAGCAUCGUUAUAACAGAAAAUUGUAAGUUCAGGUAAAAAGGACGUCACAAGCAAGACAAGAGUACAAGAUAACUUACAUCACAGACCAAAAGUAGACUGUAGGGAAAUUUAGGGUUUGUGGUGGAGAUCUGGAUACCAACUUGGAUCGUGAUAUCACUUUUCGAACUAAUAUUUCUACCCUAUGCCUAGGUUACUAGAAAUUCAGUCUAGAAUAAUCCAAGUGGACACUCAUGAUUCUAGGCAUAGAAAUUGUAAGCAGAUAUGCAAGAGGAUUCUGUGAAAGUAUAAUGAAAAACGAGAGCUUAAGAUCGUAACCCUCUUCUGAAGAGGAAGAACUGUUUAUAUAUUAAACGAGAUUAGAGUUUCAUUAGCGUUGGGCCGUCAUUAGUUGUUUUGGAAGAAAGUCAUGAUAAUCCGGAUUUAAUGAGGAUUUAGGGUUACUAAAACUAACAAGUUUCGUUAGUUUUACCAUAAUCACCCUCAAGAAAUUGAAUUUUCCACUAUGUUCCUAUAUGUAAAAUUCGGUGAGGUUUUGGGGCGUUGCCCCUCGACCCCACUAAAGGGUCGCUGCCCCAAGACCCCCGACUAGUCGUCAAACCGGCUUCUAAUUCGAUCUUAUAUAUGUGUGCACUCCGCACAACCCCGUACAUAUAUUAGAGUACAAAUUAUGAAGCCCCUUAGCUCACAUGUUAGUUCCAGUUACUUAAAAUGACAUGGUGACACUAAAAUCACCAACAUAGAAGUGUACUCUUUAUCUGCUUUCAAACACCUCAUGAGUUCUACAUGAGUUCUACAGGACUACUCUUUGAUUGUUUUAUGGAAGUAAGUUAAUUGCAUAAGGGUAAAAAUGGAAUCAAUUUUUUUGUCCCACUGAAUAGUACCAUUUGGCUCAAUAACCUUCUCAUUUCUUGUGAAAUUUCUCUUGACUGUUCUCCUAAAAGAACUCAAGGAGAUCCACAGCCACCAUGAAGCAGAAAGGAAACAUCGGUAACCCUAUUAAUAAAAGUGAGGAAAGAAAAUCAAUUUAGCCAACAACCUUUGUAUCAAUAGAUUUGAAAAUAAUCAGUUUAAAAGAAAAUCAAAGUUCGAAUUGCUUGCUACAAGCUGAUUGUAAGUGUUGGUGGGUUUUAAUUAGGGAUCAUUUAUCGGUCUAGAUUCUGAGUGGUGUGUUUCUACUCCUACUUUCUUUUUGCAGCAAGUCAAAAGAAGGAGAAAAUCGCAGAAGAAAGUCGACCCAAGAAAUUGGAAGAACAGAAUCGAGAAAUUAGAACAAAAUCAUUUUCAAAACCCCUAACAAUACAUGAAUGAAAAACAAAUUCGAACUCACAUAUAGUAGUGUAACGACCCGUUCCCGGUAUGCUAAUUUAUUGGUAAUUGUUGUGAGUUUUGCAAGAGGAACUCGGCGAGUUCAUAGCCUGACUCGCCGAGUGGGGUCGCGGCUGAGAGCACGCGUGAGCCGGGGACUCGGCGAGUCCAUAUCCUGGACUCGGCGAGUCCAUCCGUCUGGGUGAAACCCUAACUCCCGGGUUCUUGCUCACUAUUUAAACCCCAUUAUAGCCUCCAUCUCGUCACUUUCCCCCUUAGAGCACUGUGAGAAACCCUAAACCUUCCUCUUGUGAGCUUAUAUGUGAUCUUGUUCCAUUUUGUGAAGGGGUGAAGAAGGAGAAGAAGAAGGAAGCAAGGAAACGAGUUCUAGUGCCAAGAUCCAAGGUCAAGUGUGAACUUAUUCAGGUAUUUUCGGAGUUCUCUUCUGGUUUUAUGCUUAAACUUCCAUUAGAGCUCUUUUAAGGGCUAUUUGAUGCUUGUUCCAAGCUUUAUGCUUGCUUGAUUGUGUUAUUAAGCCGAAAUACCUUUGGAUCUGAGUGUUGGGGUGUUGAAGAGUCCAGAUCCACUGUCUUUUUGGGGUUGCAUUGCUUAUAAGCCAUGGAUCUACCCUUAUUAUGCAUAUUUUAGUCUUAUUUCCCUCUUUCAUGUGGUUGUGCACGUAAAGUUGGAAACUUUACGUGGUAAGACAGCUUAAUGGACCUAGAUCUAUCAUUUGCAUGCGUUGGAUUCAAGAGAAAUCGAGUAAAAAUAUGUUGCAUGGCGGCGACUCGGCGAGUCGGAAGAACGACUCGACGAGUCAGGUCGCGAGUCCCGAGUUCUUCAGUUUCUUCAGUGUCGAGUGUACGAGGUGAGUUAGGGAGUGGACUCAGCGAGUUAAGAGUAGACUCAGUAAUGGAGGGACUCGGCGAGUUUGUUCAUACAACUCGGCGAGUCCAAGGCAAUCUCCUUGAGGAUUAAGAACAACUCGUCGAGUCUGUUCAUCUGACUCGGCGAGUCGGAUGAAGAUCAUCUGAGUUCUUGGAUCAAGAGGGUACUCGUCGAGUCGAUGCCACACUCGACGAGUANNNNNNNNNNNNNNNNNNNNNNNNNNNNNNNNNNNNNNNNNNNNNNNNNNNNNNNNNNNNNNNNNNNNNNNNNNNNNNNNNNNNNNNNNNNNNNNNNNNNNNNNNNNNNNNNNNNNNNNNNNNNNNNNNNNNNNNNNNNNNNNNNNNNNNNNNNNNNNNNNNNNNNNNNNNNNNNNNNNNNNNNNNNNNNNNNNNNNNNNNNNNNNNNNNNNNNNNNNNNNNNNNNNNNNNNNNNNNNNNNNNNNNNNNNNNNNNNNNNNNNNNNNNNNNNNNNNNNNNNNNNNNNNNNNNNNNNNNNNNNNNNNNNNNNNNNNNNNNNNNNNNNNNNNNNNNNNNNNNNNNNNNNNNNNNNNNNNNNNNNNNNNNNNNNNNNNNNNNNNNNNNNNNNNNNNNNNNNNNNNNNNNNNNNNNNNNNNNNNNNNNNNNNNNNNNNNNNNNNNNNNNNNNNNNNNNNNNNNNNNNNNNNNNNNNNNNNNNNNNNNNNNNNNNNNNNNNNNNNNNNNNNNNNNNNNNNNNNNNNNNNNNNNNNNNNNNNNNNNNNNNNNNNNNNNNNNNNNNNNNNNNNNNNNNNNNNNNNNNNNNNNNNNNNNNNNNNNNNNNNNNNNNNNNNNNNNNNNNNNNNNNNNNNNNNNNNNNNNNNNNNNNNNNNNNNNNNNNNNNNNNNNNNNNNNNNNNNNNNNNNNNNNNNNNNNNNNNNNNNNNNNNNNNNNNNNNNNNNNNNNNNNNNNNNNNNNNNNNNNNNNNNNNNNNNNNNNNNNNNNNNNNNNNNNNNNNNNNNNNNNNNNNNNNNNNNNNNNNNNNNNNNNNNNNNNNNNNNNNNNNNNNNNNNNNNNNNNNNNNNNNNNNNNNNNNNNNNNNNNNNNNNNNNNNNNNNNNNNNNNNNNNNNNNNNNNNNNNNNNNNNNNNNNNNNNNNNNNNNNNNNNNNNNNNNNNNNNNNNNNNNNNNNNNNNNNNNNNNNNNNNNNNNNNNNNNNNNNNNNNNNNNNNNNNNNNNNNNNNNNNNNNNNNNNNNNNNNNNNNNNNNNNNNNNNNNNNNNNNNNNNNNNNNNNNNNNNNNNNNNNNNNNNNNNNNNNNNNNNNNNNNNNNNNNNNNNNNNNNNNNNNNNNNNNNNNNNNNNNNNNNNNNNNNNNNNNNNNNNNNNNNNNNNNNNNNNNNNNNNNNNNNNNNNNNNNNNNNNNNNNNNNNNNNNNNNNNNNNNNNNNNNNNNNNNNNNNNNNNNNNNNNNNNNNNNNNNNNNNNNNNNNNNNNNNNNNNNNNNNNNNNNNNNNNNNNNNNNNNNNNNNNNNNNNNNNNNNNNNNNNNNNNNNNNNNNNNNNNNNNNNNNNNNNNNNNNNNNNNNNNNNNNNNNNNNNNNNNNNNNNNNNNNNNNNNNNNNNNNNNNNNNNNNNNNNNNNNNNNNNNNNNNNNNNNNNNNNNNNNNNNNNNNNNNNNNNNNNNNNNNNNNNNNNNNNNNNNNNNNNNNNNNNNNNNNNNNNNNNNNNNNNNNNNNNNNNNNNNNNNNNNNNNNNNNNNNNNNNNNNNNNNNNNNNNNNNNNNNNNNNNNNNNNNNNNNNNNNNNNNNNNNNNNNNNNNNNNNNNNNNNNNNNNNNNNNNNNNNNNNNNNNNNNNNNNNNNNNNNNNNNNNNNNNNNNNNNNNNNNNNNNNNNNNNNNNNNNNNNNNNNNNNNNNNNNNNNNNNNNNNNNNNNNNNNNNNNNNNNNNNNNNNNNNNNNNNNNNNNNNNNNNNNNNNNNNNNNNNNNNNNNNNNNNNNNNNNNNNNNNNNNNNNNNNNNNNNNNNNNNNNNNNNNNNNNNNNNNNNNNNNNNNNNNNNNNNNNNNNNNNNNNNNNNNNNNNNNNNNNNNNNNNNNNNNNNNNNNNNNNNNNNNNNNNNNNNNNNNNNNNNNNNNNNNNNNNNNNNNNNNNNNNNNNNNNNNNNNNNNNNNNNNNNNNNNNNNNNNNNNNNNNNNNNNNNNNNNNNNNNNNNNNNNNNNNNNNNNNNNNNNNNNNNNNNNNNNNNNNNNNNNNNNNNNNNNNNNNNNNNNNNNNNNNNNNNNNNNNNNNNNNNNNNNNNNNNNNNNNNNNNNNNNNNNNNNNNNNNNNNNNNNNNNNNNNNNNNNNNNNNNNNNNNNNNNNNNNNNNNNNNNNNNNNNNNNNNNNNNNNNNNNNNNNNNNNNNNNNNNNNNNNNNNNNNNNNNNNNNNNNNNNNNNNNNNNNNNNNNNNNNNNNNNNNNNNNNNNNNNNNNNNNNNNNNNNNNNNNNNNNNNNNNNNNNNNNNNNNNNNNNNNNNNNNNNNNNNNNNNNNNNNNNNNNNNNNNNNNNNNNNNNNNNNNNNNNNNNNNNNNNNNNNNNNNNNNNNNNNNNNNNNNNNNNNNNNNNNNNNNNNNNNNNNNNNNNNNNNNNNNNNNNNNNNNNNNNNNNNNNNNNNNNNNNNNNNNNNNNNNNNNNNNNNNNNNNNNNNNNNNNNNNNNNNNNNNNNNNNNNNNNNNNNNNNNNNNNNNNNNNNNNNNNNNNNNNNNNNNNNNNNNNNNNNNNNNNNNNNNNNNNNNNNNNNNNNNNNNNNNNNNNNNNNNNNNNNNNNNNNNNNNNNNNNNNNNNNNNNNNNNNNNNNNNNNNNNNNNNNNNNNNNNNNNNNNNNNNNNNNNNNNNNNNNNNNNNNNNNNNNNNNNNNNNNNNNNNNNNNNNNNNNNNNNNNNNNNNNNNNNNNNNNNNNNNNNNNNNNNNNNNNNNNNNNNNNNNNNNNNNNNNNNNNNNNNNNNNNNNNNNNNNNNNNNNNNNNNNNNNNNNNNNNNNNNNNNNNNNNNNNNNNNNNNNNNNNNNNNNNNNNNNNNNNNNNNNNNNNNNNNNNNNNNNNNNNNNNNNNNNNNNNNNNNNNNNNNNNNNNNNNNNNNNNNNNNNNNNNNNNNNNNNNNNNNNNNNNNNNNNNNNNNNNNNNNNNNNNNNNNNNNNNNNNNNNNNNNNNNNNNNNNNNNNNNNNNNNNNNNNNNNNNNNNNNNNNNNNNNNNNNNNNNNNNNNNNNNNNNNNNNNNNNNNNNNNNNNNNNNNNNNNNNNNNNNNNNNNNNNNNNNNNNNNNNNNNNNNNNNNNNNNNNNNNNNNNNNNNNNNNNNNNNNNNNNNNNNNNNNNNNNNNNNNNNNNNNNNNNNNNNNNNNNNNNNNNNNNNNNNNNNNNNNNNNNNNNNNNNNNNNNNNNNNNNNNNNNNNNNNNNNNNNNNNNNNNNNNNNNNNNNNNNNNNNNNNNNNNNNNNNNNNNNNNNNNNNNNNNNNNNNNNNNNNNNNNNNNNNNNNNNNNNNNNNNNNNNNNNNNNNNNNNNNNNNNNNNNNNNNNNNNNNNNNNNNNNNNNNNNNNNNNNNNNNNNNNNNNNNNNNNNNNNNNNNNNNNNNNNNNNNNNNNNNNNNNNNNNNNNNNNNNNNNNNNNNNNNNNNNNNNNNNNNNNNNNNNNNNNNNNNNNNNNNNNNNNNNNNNNNNNNNNNNNNNNNNNNNNNNNNNNNNNNNNNNNNNNNNNNNNNNNNNNNNNNNNNNNNNNNNNNNNNNNNNNNNNNNNNNNNNNNNNNNNNNNNNNNNNNNNNNNNNNNNNNNNNNNNNNNNNNNNNNNNNNNNNNNNNNNNNNNNNNNNNNNNNNNNNNNNNNNNNNNNNNNNNNNNNNNNNNNNNNNNNNNNNNNNNNNNNNNNNNNNNNNNNNNNNNNNNNNNNNNNNNNNNNNNNNNNNNNNNNNNNNNNNNNNNNNNNNNNNNNNNNNNNNNNNNNNNNNNNNNNNNNNNNNNNNNNNNNNNNNNNNNNNNNNNNNNNNNNNNNNNNNNNNNNNNNNNNNNNNNNNNNNNNNNNNNNNNNNNNNNNNNNNNNNNNNNNNNNNNNNNNNNNNNNNNNNNNNNNNNNNNNNNNNNNNNNNNNNNNNNNNNNNNNNNNNNNNNNNNNNNNNNNNNNNNNNNNNNNNNNNNNNNNNNNNNNNNNNNNNNNNNNNNNNNNNNNNNNNNNNNNNNNNNNNNNNNNNNNNNNNNNNNNNNNNNNNNNNNNNNNNNNNNNNNNNNNNNNNNNNNNNNNNNNNNNNNNNNNNNNNNNNNNNNNNNNNNNNNNNNNNNNNNNNNNNNNNNNNNNNNNNNNNNNNNNNNNNNNNNNNNNNNNNNNNNNNNNNNNNNNNNNNNNNNNNNNNNNNNNNNNNNNNNNNNNNNNNNNNNNNNNNNNNNNNNNNNNNNNNNNNNNNNNNNNNNNNNNNNNNNNNNNNNNNNNNNNNNNNNNNNNNNNNNNNNUGCAUAUUUUAGUCUUAUUUCCCUCAUUCAUGUGGUUGUGCACGUAAAGUUGGAAACUUUACGUGGUAAAACAGCUUAAUGGACCUAGAUCUAUCAUUUGCAUGUGUUGGAUUCAAGAGAAAUCGAGUAAAAAUAUGUUGCAUGGCGGCGACUCGGCGAGUCGGAAGAACGACUCGACGAGUCAGGUCGCGAGUCCCGAGUUCUCCAGUUUCUUCAGUGUCGAGUGUACGAGGUGAGUUAGGGAGUGGACUCAGCGAGUUAAGAGUAGACUCAGUAAUGGAGGGACUCGGCGAGUUGUUCAUACAACUCGGCGAGUCCAAGGCAAUCUCCUUGAGGAUUAAGAACAACUCGUCGAGUCUGUUCAUCUGACUCGGCGAGUCGGAUGAAGAUCAUCUGAGUUCUUGGAUCAAGAGGGUACUCGUCGAGUCGAUGCCACACUCGACGAGUAGCAGCAUGUAGAGUUGAGAAGUGAGAGUAGGACUCGGCGAGUUGGGUGGCCCAACUCGGCGAGUCAGCCCCAUCAGUAAGUUGACUUUGACCAAGGGUAAAAGAGUCGUUUUACCCCAAGUGCAGUGUUUAGUAUUUGAUUGAGUGUGUUCAUGGACUUGUAGCCGAGGAGUUUCGGAAGCAGCAGCCGGUAGCUUUCAGACACACACACUCAGCCGCCAGUUUACGAGGUGAGUUCCCUUUUCAGUAGGAACGGGUCUAAGGCCACCAUGCCGGCCCGUUUAGCUAGCAGUAGUAUCCGGAUGUUAUCCGAUGCAGUAGUUAGCAUGUUUGAUGCCUUUGUGGCUCAGACAAGAUUAUGUGUGUUCAUGUUAGUGAUAUGUUAUGCUAUGAUCAGUCAGCUUUGGACUUCGGUCCGAUGUCAGCUUCGGACUUCGGUUCGAUGUAGGGGACAAGGUCCCGGUUAGCUUCGGACUUCGGUCCGAUGUCAGCUUCGGACUUCGGUUCGAUGUAGGGGACAAGGUCCCAGUUAGCUUCGGACUUCGGUCCGAUGUCAGCUUCGGACUUCGGUCCGAUGUAGGGGAUAAGGUCCCAGUCAGUCAGCUUCGGACUUCGGUCCGAUGGAGGGGGCAAGGCCCCGUAUGUGCUUGAUAUAUUACUGUAUGGUAUGUGGUAAUUUGGGGGAGCUCACUAAGCUUCGUGCUUACAGUUUCAGUUUUGGUUUCAGGUACUUCCGCAAGCAAAGGGAAGAGCUCUGGAUGACGGCAUCGCACACACCACCGCCUCAGCUUUAGCCUGGGAUUGAUUUAGAUGUUUGAUCUGAUGUAGUAUGAUAUAGUUUUUCCGCACAGUAUUUUAUCAUGUUUUGGAAUACAUCACGUAUGGUUUUAUUAUAUGAUGCUCUGAUUGCAGUUUUGAUUAUAUUAAAAACAAAAAUUUUUGGGUCGUAUUUUUGGGUCGUUUCAAGUAGGGCUCUGGUUAUGAUCAAUUCUACAAGAGUUUUGAAGAAAUUUAUUCUUAGCUGCAAUUUUAGGGGAAGAGGAGGAGAAACCUUGAGUCAAUCUCUUAGUCCAGGCGGAUGAAGCUUCUUGUCAGCUGAUUUUGCCUGAAAAAUCGAUUCCAGUUAGCAAUACAUGAAGCGAAAGUGGAAGCAGAGGUGCAGUAGAUUCCUUCUGGAACCGAUUGUUUGCGACAGAGAAAGAAGUGGGAAGGUGUUUUGUGUAGCUCCAAUCCAACGUUGAAUCAUGAGGUGUGUCAGAAUUUUGGGAAAAAUCAUACUCUUGAAUGUGAUGCGGUUCUUGGAAACGGGAGCAUAAUAUGUAUCGGGGGAAUUUCGGAGAAGAAAAAAUUGUAGCACCUGGUUUCUGAUACGUAAAAUUUAUCUUUGCAUUUUUCAUUUUUAGCCUUGGACUCGGCGAGUUGUAGGUCCGACUCGCCGAGUAGAGACGGGAUCCGGAGCGUGUUUAAGUUGCCGACUUGGCGAGUCCAUAUUCCGGACUCGGCGAGUCCAUAUUCCGGACUCGGCGAGUCACCGCUGUCUGAUGAAACCCUAAUUCUAAGGGUUUGCCCCCUAUUUAAGCUAGCUUGUGCGGCCCAAGCUCGCCCCCUUUCACCCUUAGAGCGCCCUACAUAAAACCCUAACUCGUUUCUUGUGAGAUUGAAGUGAUUAGAGUGAUUCCUUGAAGUUUUUGGGAGAAAAAGGAGAGUGGAGCAAGAAGAGGAGAAGGAGACCAGAUAUCUUGGUGCUAUUUCAGAGUUCUUUGAGGUAUAUCUCUACUCCAUUCUGUUUGUAUGCUUAAAACCCCAUUAGAGCACCUUUGAGCUCUUCUUGAACCUUUUUCCAAGCUUGUGCAUGAAGUAGAAUUCGUAAUAGGUUGAUUAUCCACUAGAUCAAGUCAUGGUUGAGCUCCAGAAGCUCAGAUCUAUAACCUUUAUGGGAGUAAAUUGCUUGAAUGUCCUAGAUCUACCUUCUUAGCCCUUAUUUCGCCCUUAAUCCCCAUUCUAUGCAUUUCUACACGUAAAGUUGGAAACUUUACGUGAAAAUCCUGCCCUAAGAACCUAGAUCUAUGAAUGGCAUGAGCUGGAUCCAAGCAGAAUCGCGUGUAUAGUUUUGCAUGUGGCCGACUCGGCGAGUCGUUCAUCUGACUCAGCAAGUCGAGUUGCGAGUCCCCGAGUUUCCCCCCUUUUCGCAAUUGCGGGUUGGGAGUAAUGAGUCGUUAGGUGUGACUCAGUGGGUCGGAAGCUAGACUCACUCAUGAAGUCACUCGGCGAGUCAAUGCCAUGACUCGGCGAGUUCAAGGCAACCUUCUUAGAUCAAGAACAGACUCGACGAGUUGUUCAUACAACUCGGCGAGUCAUAGCAUAAAGUGUUCAUCGGAUGAAGAUGAACUCGGCGAGUUGUUCAUACAACUCGGCGAGUAGGAUGAAGGACUAUUGGCCUUGGGUAUAGAAGGAAAACUCGUCGAGUCUACGUCUAACUCGACGAGUAGAGACGAAUUUAUGGUCAGACUAAGGGAAAGGGACUCGGCGAGUUGGCAAGCCAACUCGGCGAGUCUGGUCAACUGGCAGUUGACUGUGACUUGACUCUUGAUUUGUAAGGGUAAAUGGUCAAUUUACCUUGAAGUCGGUUAGCAGUAUUUGACUAAGGGUUUUGUGGGAAUUAUAGUCGGAGGAUUUCCGGAGCGGCAGUAGCAGCAGACAGUCAGUUCCCACACAGAUCGGCAAGGACUUUGAGGUGAGUUUCCUUCCAGUAGUAACGGGUCUAAGGCGCCAAGGCCGGCCCGUAUAGACGAGAUGUUAGUAUUAGAGUGUGGGCCGAGCCCGUAUCUCUUGGUUGAGUUGAUUAUGAUAUAUGCCAGUAUGAUAGAGAUGUCUAUACUCGUUGUCUGUGUGAUACUUGUAUAUUAUGGGUUAGCGGCUGAGUGUGGGCGAGGCCCGUAUCUCUCCGAGAGUGGAGUGUGGGCGAGGCCCGUAUCUCCCAGAUAGUGGAGUGUGGGCGAGGCCCGUAUCUCCCGACUAGCAGAGUGUGGGCAAGGCCCAUANCCGUAUCUCCCGACUAGCGGAGUGUGGGCAAGGCUCGUAUCUUCCUGAGUGUGGGCGAGGCCCGUAUCUCCUAGAUGUACGUUGUAUGCUUGCAUGGUAUGAGGUAUUAUGGGGGAACUCACUAAGCUUCGUGCUUACAAUUUUCAGUUUUGGUUUCAGGUACCUCUUCGUCGAAGGGGAAGGAGUUAGCGUGGUAGCGGUACAUCACACACACACCUGUAUUCCGCAUUAUGACAUCUAACUGGGAGAUUGUACUCUGAUAUUUGUAUGAUUAUUAUAGUGUUGUAAAUAUCGGCCUAGGCGGCGCCUAGGCGCUUGGCGGUCUGCAACUGAUUACAAUUAGGGGUGUUUGGCGGAAAUUGGUCAUAAUCGGUUUAGGCGGUCUUCGACGGUCCUUGGCGGUCCUCGGCGCUCCUAGGCGGGAAAAUUUUCAAAUUUUCAAAUUUUCAAAAUUUCAAAUAUUACACCAAAAUUAACAAAUUUUCAAAAUUUUAAAUUUUUAAAUAUUGAAAAUUUCAAAUAUUAUACCAAAUAUUUAAAAUUUUCAAAUUUUCAAAAUUUUAAAUUUUCAAAUACUAAUUUUUGUAGGAUAUAUUAAAUUUUAAAAUAGUUUUAUUAGUAAUUUAAGGCACCCGAUUAAUCCCCGAUUAAUCUCCGCAAAACCGAUUAAUCGCUUGACCCCAGUCCACCGCCGAGCGAUUUUUAGAACCAUGGAUUAUUACAAUGUUUCUGACAUGCAACAUCUUUUGUGAAAUGAAAUGGUUAUUGAAUGAUUUGUUUCUAAAUGUUUUGCUAAGUACAUGUUUUAAAAAACGAAAUUUUUGGGAUGUUACAAGUUGGUAUCAGAGCCCUGGUUUGAGGGAUUCGAACACACCUGCGGGGGUGUUUGAACUCAAAUCGAGGGAUUAGAAGAUUUUGGAAAAAGAAAAUGUCUUCUAAAAAGCUAGUAAAGGGUUCUAAGAAAGAACGAAGUGUGUGAUGUGCGCGACCGGCCAAGCUCAAGUAAGUAUUCCCCAAAGUACCCAUACAAGCUUAUGUUAUGCUUAUCAGUUUCAGUAGAACAACAUGCUAGAAUAGGACUAAGGAUCUAGGAGUGAUGCCUUAUGUUCCUGCUUUAGGUGCUUCAGUGUGUGAAAAGUCGCAUGCUAGGAUUGAGUAGACAGUAGUAGGAUGGCCUAUUUAGGUUAUGCCUGAUAGUGCGAGUUUAGCAUUGUAUGCUAGUUCAGUUUUUCCCUACGAGGAUAGAGUUGCUUGAGAUUGUUGUCUUUAUGUCCAAAUGCUUUUUGCUUUGUGCUAUGUGGGCUUUGAAGUGAUAGGAGUUAGCUGUUAGGUGAAUACGUUAAAGUCACAUGUGAUCAGGGUUGAAUACUCUCAGAGUGUUGGAUUUGACCCUAUUGCGUAGCUCUUGUUUGAGUCCUAACCGUGGUAGGGAUGAGUCCUUUACUCGAAGGAUUAUCCGAGCCUCGUCACAUGUAAUUGUAUUCAGGUAAUAGCUAAUUGGCAUCACCAAGAGGCCUUCAACAGCUGAGGACUAGGUUGGGUGGAGUCAGAGGUUUCCUAGGGUAAGCCUAGGAUAGGAGUAGCAGAGAUCAGCGGUAGUGAAAGGGACCUGGUGGAGUCAAGGCAGUCCUUGGAGAAGGUACGGAUAGAUGUGGAAGGUAGUAUGGGCUCGUACUACUGAAAGCAGAGGAUCCAUACCCGAAUCGAGGAAUGCCAAGAUAAGACCAGGGAACUUGUAGUAGGUGUGAUCCCUCCAGAGGUAUCAGUAUCGCUAACAGUUGUUAUUUCUUUUGUAUUUNNNNNNNNNNNNNNNNNNNNNNNNNNNNNNNNNNNNNNNNNNNNNNNNNNNNNNNNNNNNNNNNNNNNNNNNGCGAGUUCAUCGCGUCUGAGAUCACCAGAGGCAUCCUUGAGUCGACCCCCAUCAUCUUCGGGUCGAUCAAGGAGGGGAUAUCGGAGUUGAUGGAGGAUCGCCUCCGGGCAUUCAGGAGCGACAUGGCAUCUGGCCAGUCGGGAUCUCGCACCCUGUCCUUCAAGGACUUUCGGGACAGUGGUGCGCUGUAUUUUCAUGGGGCGAAGGACCCCAUAGCGGCCAGACGAUGGAUUGNNNNNNNNNNNNNNNNNNNNNNNNNNNNNNNNNNNNNNNNNNNNNNNNNNNNNNNNNNNNNNNNNNNNNNNNNNNNNNNNNNNNNNNNNNNNNNNNNNNNUGUGGCCGACUCGGCGAGUCGUUCAUCUGACUCAGCAAGUCGAGUUGCGAGUCCCCGAGUUUCCCCCCUUUUCGCAAUUGCGGGUUGGGAGUAAUGAGUCGUUAGGUGUGACUCAGUGGGUCGGAAGCUAGACUCACUCAUGAAGUCACUCGGCGAGUCAAUGCCAUGACUCGGCGAGUUCAAGGCAACCUUCUUAGAUCAAGAACAGACUCGACGAGUUGUUCAUACAACUCGGCGAGUNNNNNNNNNNNNNNNNNNNNNNNNNNNNNNNNNNNNNNNNNNNNNNNNNNNNNNNNNNNNNNNNNNNNNNNNNNNNNNNNNNNNNNNNNNNNNNNNNNNNNNNNNNNNNNNNNNNNNNNNNNNNNNNNNNNNNNNNNNAGUUGGCAAGCCAACUCGGCGAGUCUGGUCAACUGGCAGUUGACUGUGACUUGACUCUUGAUUUGUAAGGGUAAAUGGUCAAUUUACCUUGAAGUCGGUUAGCAGUAUUUGACUAAGGGUUUUGUGGGAAUUAUAGUCGGAGGAUUUCCGGAGCGGCAGUAGCAGCAUACAGUCAGUUCCCACACAGAUCGGCAAGGACUUUGAGGCGAGUUUCCUUCCAGUAGUAACGGGUCUAAGGCGCCAAGGCCGGCCCGUAUAGACGAGAUGUUAGUAUUAGAGUGUGGGCCGAGCCUAUAUCUCUUGGUUGAGUUGACUAUGAUAUAUGCCAGUAUGAUAGAGAUGUCUAUACUCGUUGUCUGUUUGAUACUUGUAUAUUAUGGGUUAGCGGCUAAGUGUGGGCGAGGCCCGUAUCUCUCCGAGAGUGGAGUGUGGGCGAGGCCCGUAUCUCCCAAAUAGAGGAGUGUGGGCGAGGUCCGUAUCUCCGUAUCUCCCAGAUAGAGGAGUGUGGGCGAGGCCCGUAUCUCCCGACUAGCGGAGUGCGGGCAAGGCCCGUAUCUUCCUGAGUGUGGGCGAGGCCCGUAUCUCCUAGCUGUACGUUGUAUGCUUGCAUGGUAUGAGGUAUUAUGGGGGAACUCAAUAAGCUUCGUGCUUACAGUUUUCAGUUUUGGUUUCAGGUACCUCUUCGUCGAAGGGGAAGGAGCUGGCGCGGUAGCGGUACAUCACAUACACACCCGCUUGUAUUCCGCAUUAUGACAUCUACCUGGGAGAUUGUACUCUGAUAUUUUUAUGAUUAUUACAAUGUUUCUGACAUGCAACAUCUUUUGUGAAAUGAAAUGGUUAUUGAAUGAUUUGUUUCUAAAUGUUUUGCUAAGUACAUGUUUUAAAAAACGAAAUUUUUGGCUCGUAUUUUUGUGAUGUUACAAAAACGUAUAUUGAAUCCAAUGACGGUGAAAAAAAACGUUUAGAGACUGUAUAACAGCCGAUACCAGCCUGCCAUCAGAAGCCAAACUAGGGGUGAGCAUGGUGCCGUUUGGUGCAGUUUUCGGACCAAACUGAACCGCAAAUCGAUAGAUGCAGUUUUUAGACCAUCUCCAACUCAUUUCUAUUUUCCCCCAUAAAUAGAGUAACAAAUUGGGCAAAUCGUGUUUCAUCUUCAACCCUACUGCAUCUUCUACCCCAUUUUUACUCCAAAAAGUAUAUUCCUAGAAUAUUCCAUUUUUAUAACUUAUAUAUAUUGUCAAAUACACUCCUCUACUAAUUAGAUAUUAACAAAUACUAUAUAUAAUAUUUUUUUCAUUACAAAAUUAUCACAAAUUAUAUUAUCAUAAAUAAAAUGUUUAUAUAUAAUAAUUUUAAAUUAAUUAUUACUUUAUUAAAAAUAAUUUUUAAAUAAAUAAGAUUAUAUUUGUAAUAAAUAUAUCAAGAUCACAAUCAUAUUUGAUUACUAUAUUUCAUAAAUUAUGUUAUCGUAUUUCAAGUCUUUAGUAUAUAUUUAAUUUUCUUAUAUAAAUUCGAUAAAUAAAUAUUAAACUCUAUAUUUAUGAUUAAUUAAUAUAAAUUAGUAUAUAACAUGGUAUUACAAAUAUCAAAUACUACAUUUAAUUAUAAUUAUUAGACAAAAAUAAACUAAAAAUGUACAAAAUAAAAACGAAAGGGUCUAAAAUUGGCAACCGAAAAUUCAACUCCAUUAUUGAAGAUAUGAAUAGUAUAACCCCAAAUAUGGGGAUACUAUUCAUAUCUCUAAAAAUGGAGACGUAAAUGGGGUUGAGUCGGAGGGGAGUGGGGGAAGAAAUGAAGGAAAAUAAGAAGUUUGGAAUGAGUUGGAGAUGCUCUUAUAUAUGUAAAACUGAUUGGUACGGUUUUCUAUUCGGUUUGGUUUUACAGGCUUUUUAUGCGGUUUUCAGUUAUUUUGGUGUUGUUUUGGUUUUUAACCGUACAAAAAUGAUUGUGUUGUUUUUCUUUUAUUAAUAGGAUUAAUUUAACGUCCAAAACUUAAAUUCCAAAAAUGACGAGGGGUUAUUUUUUAAUAUAGUUUAAAUUAGAGUCUAAACCCAAAACACUUUUUAACUUAACAAAAUAAAAAUAACAAGUUUCAACUCAUUAAAACUUUAGUAGAUAACGGCUUCAUGACUAAAACAAAAACCCAAUAGCCCACAAUGGUAGAUUGGUAGGACACUAAACAACUGCCUAACUUUCAACCUUGCAUCUCAAACCAUUUUUAUAGAAGAGCUUCUCUUUUCUUUAUACCACAGAUGUGGAACAAACAAUCAAACAAGUGCUAACUUCUUUUACUGUGAAUAUUCAUAGUUAAUUUUGUUAUUUUUGUUUGUUACUGUAUAUUUUCAAAUAUAAAGAAUAUCGACAAUCGUGAUUUAAAAGAAAUAAAAUUAUAAACUACAAAAACUUUUGGAUUUCUUUAAAGCNNNNNNNUAUAUAUAUAUAGAGAGAGAGAGAGAGAGAGAGAGAGAGAGUUAUGUUCAUAUAUAUAUCUAACAUCUAUUGUGUGAACCUAUGAACCAAUCAACAUUUAGAUAAAUUAAAUUAUGAAUUAAUCAAUAAAGAAUAGUAUACUUAUUAUAUAUACAAUUGAUUUAUCAUCCAAAUAUAUAAUCCCUAUAAUGAUGGACCAGUUUCCUUAAAUCUCUCCAGCGUCUUAACAACCCUACCUUGGGCGUGUUCAUCAACUCCAUUUCACAAUCGCCAACGAAAUUUCUCAUCACCAUAUUUUAACAGCACCACCAUCAACAUUAUGUAGUCGAAAUUGAUGAUCUUUUAACCAUAACAUAUCUCCUAGAAGCCCUUGGAUCUCAUUUGCACCAUCUCUGGGAUCACACACAAACUCGCUAUCGAUCAAGCUUGAUCAGACAUCACCAUUUUCGGUCCAUCAGAGGACCUUGUUGAGUCGCUGUCCUUGAAUCUCCGUUGCACAACAGAAUUGCUGCUGAGCCGAUGACACAUAUCCAAGGGACAACCGCUGAACAACAACACCGAAUGUUUGAUUUUUUACCCCUAAAAUUGUUCCUUAUUUCUUUCAAUCCAAGUCUUCUCUGUUGGGUAAUCUUGAUGGGUUAAGCUGGGUCACGGGUACGGGUUCAAAUGGGUCGGGUCGGUUUCCAUAUGCACAAGUUGGAUAGGUCAGACUUAGUCUAAUAAUGACCUAGUUUGAAGGGGUUUCAAAACGUGGACUUAGUAGUCCUAUAUUUGUGGUUCUUAGCUGAUAGUUUAUUCCUGUUUCUUAGCAUGUUUACCAGUAUAAGUAGAGUAGAAUUUCUUCCAUUUGUAUGUACGUAUAUUUUCUGUUUUCUAUGUAAGAGAUAAUCCAGAGAAAUGGUGUGUGCAUGAUUGUUUUUCUUGGGUCUGGACCAACAUUCUCUUAUAUUAAUUAUAUUCGACACAAUCUCCCCUGAAAACUAUCUUUUACCUGUUGAAUAAACCAUUUGUGCUUGCUUUCCUUCAACAUGUAACAGAAUCAUGUGAGAGAGUAAAGUGUAGUAGACUAGUAGGCUUUAUGUGACAAGUUUUGACAACUAUAAUCAACCAUUCUUCACAUACCAUGCUUUUAUUAUAACCAUAAAUUAUCUUUUUUUUCUUUUUUUUUUGCUUAUAACAUUACUAACAAAAGAUAAAAGAUAGCAACUUUGUCCUUUACGUAUCAGUAUUACAAUAAAAAGGGAUCAAUAGCUUUAAAUUACAGCCGCCAAUAUUUCAUUUUUUUAUAAAUAACCAUGUGAAAAUAUGAAAUAUUUGUUUCACUUUGCUUUUGGUUGACCUUGAAAUGUUUGUAGUAACCUACUCUCUUACUCUGAGAAUUUGAUUAUAUUAUUCCAACAUUCACACCUCUUUUGUUUGAAAUCUAUCCCCACCUUUUUUUAUUAACCAUCUAAUGUAGAAAACAAUGCUCUUCACAAGAAAGAGGGAUUAACAUCAUAUUGCAUUCGUUAAUAACCUUAAAGUGGUCAAUUUAAUAACCUUAGGAAAUAAGGAACUACAUAUUUCUUUUAAUAUUAUAUUUAUUAUUAAUUUUUUAUUUCAAAAUUUUAUGCAUAUUAGUUCAUAUUUAUGCAUAAAGUGGCUUAUUAUUUUACUAUAAAAUAUUAAUCGAGUGGAUCUGAAUAUGAUUUUAUAGUUUUUCUAAUUGAAGUUACAUAGAAAUGGUUAGUGUAUACCAUAUUCUAUUAGAAUUGUUGUAUUGUGUAUCUAUUAUUAAAUUUUGUUUUAUUAUUUGUCAUAUAAAAACAUUCUCACAGAAUCUUAUUCUUACAUAAUUCGAUGGUAUGAGAGUUAUUCUCAUAGAAUGCUCGUUUUCAUGGCAAUUUUUCUUAUAGAAUACAUGAAGGGAUCAUGAUGAUCAAGGGUCAGAAGGUUGCAUGAUGCUGUGUUGGAUGAAGAUGAACAAUGAUCAUAGGGGCCGACACAGGAAUUAGUAAUAGGGGUUGCACAAUUUUUUUUCCCGUCACACAUAAUAUAAAAUAUUUAAAAAAAAAAAAUCCGGUCAAACAUAAUAUGAAACAUCUAUUCAUCUAAUACAAUUUUUUUUUCUGGUUAAACAUAAUAUAACAACGAUAUACUAGAAUUUAAAUUUGUCAUCUUCGUCCAUACAUCUUUUGAAACCGCUCCAUUACUUUUUCAUUCUCAACUUUCGCAAGUGCUUCGGUGUCGACAUUACACAACAAUGCGUCGUUCAAAAAUUCAUCGCCAAUUUUGUUACGCAAGUCGGUCUUCAAGAGCUUCAUCUUUGAAAAACAUCUUUCUACACUUGCGGUCGCUACAGGUAAUAUCAAAGCCAACUUUAAUAUCUUAUAAACCAAAGGAUAAGAUCGAUGCUUCCCCGUACUAACCAUCAAACGAGAAAGGUCAGAAAUUCCUUUCAAACUAGCGAAGCGCUCAUCUUUGAUGCAAGAGUGAUAAAAUAUCUCAAGUUGUCCUUCAAGGUCUAUCAUAUCUGAAUCAUCAAAGUCAUACUUGUAUAACUUACCCAACUUCAAUAACUUUGAUUUGUCAAAUUGUGCAAAUGAAUCACAAGGGCUCAAAGCACCCAUGUAUUCUAGUAAUUGGGUGCUUGUUUCACUAAAUCAAUCGCGAUAUUCUGUAAGUUGCAUAUCUACCACCAUGUAGAAGAUUUCAACCUCAAAAUGAAACCUAUUAGUCUUUGUAGUCCUACAGUUUCUCGCACCAAUAUACAACUCUUCCAUAUCCAAAGUAUCAAUUUCGUGUGUUUCACAAAAAGAGGAUACUUUUGGCAAAAUGCUAGCAAACCCUAUGUUUCUAAAAGAUUGCAAUGCCUCCAUUGUCCCUCUAACCAUCGAAGCCGCUUCUAAAAUGUCUAGAUCUUUUCUUUGAAGUUGCUUUGACAAUGUACCCGUGAGGUGUAAAAUGUCAUACAUCAUAUGUAAGUAAAACACGAACUCAUAUGAUUUAAAAUAUGUUAAGAUUCCAGAUGCUUGUUGACAGUUUGCCAAUGACCCUCCCUCAUCUUUCACAAAAUUUAAAACUACAAGAACAUUCGUAAAUAACUUCAUCAAACUUGUGAGUGUGUUGAAAUGUGAACCCCAUCUUGUUUCUCCCGCUCAAACAAGUGUAGUCUCUUGAUUUAACCCUCUUCCGGUUUCAAGUUCACCACUACACAAGCCUUUUUGCACCCUUUCUCUUGCUUGCUCUCGUAGUAAGUCUUUUCUUUUACACGAUGCACAAACUACAUUAACCACCAACGAAAUUUGCUCAAAAAAGUCACUAACACCAUCAUGCUUCUUUGCUACAGCCACAACUACUAAUUGAAGUUGGUGUGCAAAGCAAUGUACAUAAAAAGCCGUGUCAUUCUCUUGUAAUAUCAAAGCUUUCAAACCAUUGAAUUCCCCUCGCAUAUUGCUAGCCCCAUCAUAACCUUGUCCUCUUAUCUAUUAAAAUUUAAAACAAUUAUAUAUAAAUUAAAUUGAAAUAACAAAAAAGUAAAGAAUAAAUUACCUGACUAAAACUCAACUUAUUACUUGUAAGUACUUCAUUUAUGGCGUUUUUGAGUGUCAAAGAAGAUGUAUCCUUCACGUGCACUAGACCUAUGAAUCUUUCUUUCACAAAGCCAAGAGUAUCGACAUAACGCAAAACAAUAGCCAUUUGUUCCUUUUUUGAAACAUCACUAGAUUCAUCAACUAGUAAAGCAAAAACAUCUUGACCAAUCUCUUCACGAAUACUCAAAAGUACUUCUUGUGCAAAACAUUGCACAAGUUUCUUUUGAAUUUUAGGGGAAAUUAGUUGAUUGUUUUUUGGAGCAUUUUCUAAAGUAUUUUUGAAAAUAUCUUCACUAGUCUCUCGAAUGGCUUUUAACACUUCAAUGUAUAGCUCUCUAUUUUCCGAGUUAACCGACUCGUCAUGACCACGAAACUGUAACCGGUUUUCAAUAAAAGUCUAACAACAAUAAUAGAAACAUGUAAUCGAGCUUUAUAUUUAUGAUCCUUUGCUUCGGUUUGCCUCCUCAAGACUACAUUGAUAUCUUGUUUUUCCCUCAUUAAAAACUCACACUUUUCUUUUGCUUUGUUGUGAAAACUAUCAAUACCACCCACAUGAGUCCGAAAUGCAUCUUUUUUAUUCCAAGUAUCAAAACCUUGAGACACAAAUGCAUCUCUCCCUCCUUUUUGUCCCAUGAGGUCCCCACACAAAUAACAAUAUAAACAAUAUGCACUAUUCUUUUUCACACUAUAUUCCAACCAAUCAAAGUCAUCAAACCAUGAAGGAACGAAUCUUCUAAAUCUAUCACCUAUUUUUUUUAGGAAACUUAUGUGCCCUUACUUGACACGGUCCUUGAAGCAAAUAUGCUCUUCUUACAUCAUCUCUUAUAUUUGGUUUGUAACUUGUAAUCAAUGGCCUAUCCGCCGGGUCCUUUGGAAGAUCCUUCAAGUCAACAUUAUCCUUAGGUUGGUUAGAGCAUUGUGUUUGUGGAGUUGCAUUAGAAAACGAAGGGAUUGAUUGAUUGGUGAUUGGUGUUUGUGGAGUUGCAUUAGGAUUAGAAAUGGAAGGCAUUGAUUGAUUGGUGAUUGGUAUUUGGGAACAUUCUUCACCACUUUCAUUAGGAUUAGGUCUUUGUCUUUUGGUAAAAAAAACCACUUAGUUUAACCUAUAAAAACAUAACAAUGACUUCAAUAAAACAACUUGCUUUCACCUAAUCAAACAAUAAAUUCAAUAAAAACAUAACAAUUACACCUAAUCAAACAAUGACUUCAAUAAAACAAGUUGGUUUCACCUAAUCAAACAAUAAAUUAAAUAAAACAUAUCAAUUUCACCUGAUCAAACAAUCAAUUCAAUAAAACAAGUUGCUUUCACCUAAUCAAAUAAUAAAUUCAAUAAAACAUAUCAAUUUCACAUAAUCAAACAAUCAAUUCAAUAAAUAACAUAGCAAUAUAACCUAAGCAAACAAUAUAACUUCAACAAAACAAAUCAAUUUCACCCAAGUCAAUCACUAACUUAAAAAAAACAUAUCAAUUUCAAAUAUCUUAAUGAAUUGGUAAUUGGUAAAACUUACUUGCUUCAUUAUGAAAUCAAUCAAGACAUCAAGUAUUGUGAAUUGUGAUCGAUCCUUUUAUGAAAUCAAUCAAGCCUCAAGGUCGAUUGAUCUGUGAUCGAUUGAAUUUUGGAGGCAAAAGUCGAGUAGUCGUGCCUCGUGCGUCGCCCCUGCCCCUGCCCCUGUGUAAUCUUCGAUCGGAUUUUUUUUUCUUUCAACCGAUGGAUUAAUUACAAAUUUACAAUUAGGAUUAUUGGGCUAUCUUUUUUACAAGAAAUUAGCCCAAUUGCUAAUGUAUCAAAUUAAGUUUCAUUUGGGUUUUAGGGCCUUAGACAAUUGGACUAUUAGACUACAAUUGAAUAAAACAUUUGGCUCGUUAUUUUUAUUUUUUUCGUUCGGUAAUUCCCGAAAGAGUGACAAUAUUUUUUCUAUGUAGUUGCACAAUUUUUUUAGUAGUUGCACGAUUUUUUUUACGUAGUGUCACAAUAGGUAAAAAUUAAAAAAAAAAAAUUCUACUUCGUACGCGGAAGCUAGGUGUUACCGGUGCCACACCGGGCACCUAGCUAGGACCGCCCAUGAAUGAUCAUCGAUCUUCACAAACUUGAAAACAAAAAAAGUAUUAGACAUUGUAUGCUUCAAUAAUUCUUUUGUUGUAUAAAAAAAUAUGCUGUUAUAGAUUUAGAAAACUAUAUAUUCUUUAAAAUUUACUUUGGUUGCAUCAAACAUUUGUGGUGUUAUAAAGAUAGAACACUUCAAUUCCUCAAGAAUUCUUUAGUUGUAUACAAAAUGAAACAUAUUAAACAAUUUCAUAAUCAUCAAUUUAAAAGAAUAUUUGAUUUGUUGCUAAGUUAAAAUGAUUCUUUAUGCUAAAUUCUAAAAGGAUUUUUUAUUCGUUGGCAUGUUCAACUUAUUUUCAAUCGUUAUUUCUUAAAAUCAAGUUAAAGUGGAUGGUAGAAUACUAUAUUCUUCAAGAAUUUGUUAAUAUUUCUUUAAAAAUUGUCAAAUUAGUUUUCAACGUUUGAUUCCUAUUGUCAUAUAAUAUUAGGAUUUGUAUUAAUUUUUAUUUGAUUUCAUUUGAUUUUUGUAAUUACUUUGACUUAGUUGCCUAAAAUAUAGUUAAUAUUAAUUAUCUCUCUUAAUAAAAUUUCAAAUUUCCCCUACAAUUAAUUAAGUGAAAUUAUCUAAUAAAUGACAUCCCAUGUUAAUACAAUUUACCAUAAAAUCACAUUCAUUCAUUUGUUUUAAUCUAAUGGUCAAAAUUUAGUCAUACAUUCACAUAAUAUUUAUGAUUUACAUUUGAUCCUAACCCUAUAUAUAUAUAUAUAUAUAUAUAUAUAUAUAUAUAUACACACACACNUAUAUAUAUAUAUAUAAGGCUAGGUUCAAAUGUUUCUAACAACUAUUGUGUGCUCGUAUGCACAAAUCUGGACCAAUGGAUGGAAUAUAAUAAAUGGUCAUGAUAUUAGGGUCUAUAAUAUUAUAAUAGGGUAACAUGUGCCACAUAAUCAUACAAAUUUCAGCAUAAUGGUAUUCUAGUCAAUUAACCUAUAUUAAAAAAGGAAAUUUUCGUAUUUUAAGGAUAAUUAAUUCCCGUUUUUUUUUUAAUCUGAUUUUUUUAUAAAUAAUUCGAAUUUAAUUUUAAUAUAACUUUUAGUAAAAAUCAAUUUUAUUCUGUCAGAAUGACAAAAAGUCAACCAUAAACUAGUAGAUAUAUUUUCGAUUUUAUUCAUGCAGAAUAUUGUUACAUUCAAGAUAUAUUUUUUCUUUAAAUUAACAUGCUUAAAGACUUAUACAACAUAUUAUCAAUAAUAUUAUUUUCUAAAGAAUACAGAUUUUAUUCUUUAAGAAUAACGAAUUACAUUAAUUCAUAAAGAAUAAGACUAUAAACAAUUAUUACAUUCAUUCUGAAAAAAAAAAAAAUUUAACCUAUAAUUGUUUAAGAUUUACAUUUAAUCUUAAAGAUUAAAACUAAACAUGGUUACAAAAAAAAUCUAACAAAAGAACCAAUUCAUUCUGAAAGAAUAUUACUGUUAAGAAUCAUAAUAUACGUUAUGGCAGAAUACAUUCUGGUAUAAUACACUCUCGUUCUCUAUAUUUUCUUCUUUUUCCACUUCAAAACCUAUAUCCACAAAUAAAAAACAUAAUCAAGUUUCAAAUAUUAAAAAGUUAAGUUUAUUCUAAUAGAAUAAAAACUAUAAAUUCUGACAGAAUGUAGUAGAAACUACAAAAUCUAAAAAGUUAUAAUAGAGUAUAAAAAUAUAAAUUCUGAUAGAAUGUUGUAGAAAUUAAAGAAUUAUAAUUUAUUACCAUAAAGAAAAAAUAAUCAACUUUCAAAUAUUAUAAAAUUCAAUUCAUUCUAAGAUGAUAAAAACUAUAAAAAGUAUUAUAUAAAAUAUUCUGACAGAAUACAUUUUUAUAAAUAAAUUCUGACAUAAUAUACUACAAAAUGCACUUAAAUAAUAGACUUAUCUUCUAAUUUGCCAAUCUAUAUGUAAGAAUAAAUUGAUGUGAAAAGGAAACAUCAACAAUAUUAAGUCAAAAGGAACAUCUAAGAUAAAAAAAAUCAUCUAUACAUAAUAUGUUGUUCCAAUUAACAUAUGUAAUUAAUUCAAAGUUCAUGGAAGAACGAAGCAAAAUGAAUUAAGAGCAAAAAUAUCUUCUAUGUUUACCGCUGAGGCAAAUAUUAGCAAAAUAAAGUAAUUUAAUUUAAGUCCAUGCAUACAUAUACACUAACCGACUAUAUUAUGGCUAUGUUUACCUACAGUUAAUCCCAAUUCAAAGUAAUAUAAUAGAAAUUCAAGCCAAACCUUAAUCAAAUGAACUAAAACAAAAACUAUCCCAUUGAGAUUAUUUCAAGCACACCAUAUGCGAUUUAACUAAUAAAACCUUAAAAUUAACGACAUAAACUAUCAAAAUAAUUAUAAGACAAAAUUGAGGAGGAAUUAUAAGAACCUGUCUAUGAAGAUGAGAUGUUGACAGAUCCUCCGUAACAAGACCAACACAAUGAAGAAAUAAAUUGGCUGCCAAAAUCAACCUGGAGAGAGUCGUUGGUGGAGUAUUGUUCAACAAACUCGACUGAGGGGCUGCUGGAGGUGGGCGACGUUUGUGGAUGGAGCUAUCAGAUGUGGGUAUCGUUCGUAUUGGUCGAGAAUGAGAAUGAUGUUAUGGCAGACGUUUUAAUAGGUAGAUUAGGUUUUUAAUGAUAAAUAAAAAUUGAUCCCUUAAAUAAAGGGAUAUCAAUUGUUAAUUUUGGAUAUUAAUUAAUACACGUGUAAUAUUACUAAUUUACCCUUUUUAAUUUAAUUAAUGAUUAAAUUAUUGCUAAAUUCUCAUUGGUUCAUAUUUGCACACAAUAGUUGUAGAAAACAUAUGAACCUAGCUCUCUCUCUAUCUCUCUCUCUCUCUCUCUCUAUAUAUAUNUAUCCAAAUUUUUGUGUGGGUUUUAUAAGCAAACUAGUGUGUGUGUGUGUGUGUGUAUAUACACACACACACACUAGCCGUUUACCCAUGCCAAGCGACAGAUGCGAAUAAUUUUUUCAUAAAUUAGUUUCUAAAGGCGAUAAAAGUAUCUGAGGGUAGUAUCGCUUCCAUUUAGUGGGGUUAGAAGAAACCAAAUGACCUCGCAUUAAUCCUUGUAUUCGAUCGGAUUCCACAUAAAUUUUUUUCAAAAAUCUUUGUAUAUAUAUUUUCUUGCACAAAUAUCUUCUUUAUUAAAAAAAAGGAAUCAACAUUGAUCUCUCUCUCAAUAAUGUUAAUCAUUGUAUCAUCAUCACUGAACCAUCUAUUGAUUUCGGAGAUGUACCUGCAAAGCUAUCACAAAAGAGUGGAUAUGAGAAAAUGGGAAGCUAAAAUCCUCCAUAUUGCCUUGGGAGGCAAGACAUAUCGUGCAUCCUGAAACCGUUUUAUCUCAUUAAUAGUAAUAUGUUAUCCAUCCGAAUCAAUAUUGAUAACUUGUUUGUCACGACCCUUGUAAAUAUACAUAAACACAUAUUUCAUAGAGAAUACUCUUGAGAAAACCUCAAAAUUUAAAAAUAAGACACAAUGUAUUCCAUAUCUUUUAAAUUCGUGGGUCAAAUGGAAAAACUGAAAGGUUAGGUUAAAAAGGGAAAAUGCUACGUUAUAGAAACACCGACUAGUUUCUUUUGGAUGAACUUAUAGUAGUUUCUUUUAGGAACAUGUCCUAUUCUUAAGAGUUGCAUUUUGGGAAUAUCUUCUACAUACCUCAUAACGCAUCGGUUCCAAAUAACUCACAAUCUAUCUGCAACUAUUAAUUACCAAUAAAUGUCAAGCUUUGAUUGUUAUAUAGGUGUUCAUGUUGAAUUGUUUUUUUUCAUACACAUGUCAUUCUAAAGAUCAAAUAACAAAUACGACAUUUUUUUAAUUAAAAGUAGUGAAAUUUUCACAAAAAAACACUUGGUUUUCAACCCUUUAUGUAACGUCCAGAAAUUUCAACCAAUUUAAAAUUAUCAAAAACAACCCGAUUCCAUUAAAUUUAUUACAAAAAGGUUUUCAAUACAAUUUAUUUUAAGUAUUCCCAGAAUCUCAUCACAGCAUAAACACGAGGAGCGGUACGAUCACGCCUUCGCCUUGCCACGGUCUCUGGAAGAACCUGAAAAACAUAAAACCACAACUGUAAGCCCGAAAGCUUAGUGAGAUAUCCCCAAAAUACCAACCACAUAUACCAUACACGCAUCACAUGCCAUAACAUAUCUGAUCACAGAACAGCCAUGCACUUCGGGUCUACUGUGGGACUGGUCCGCCGCACCGGCCAACAGUCCACCUGGUCCACCCUCCGAGUCUAGUCAUAUACCUCGAGUCUACAAUGUGAUUGGUCCGCCCGCACCGGGCCUUCAAUCCACCUGGUCCACUCUCUGAGUCUACAGUGUGACUGGUCCGCCCGCACCAGGCCUUCANAGCCUAUCCGGACCGCUCGCUGGGCCUUCGGGACAACCGGUCCGCCCUGGGUAUCUUGGCCUACAGCACAAAGCAGGACCCGCCUCAACCCAACUCCAGUCCAAACAACCAUGUGCACAUAAACAUACAAUCAUAUAACAAUUCACAGUCAACAAGCCGAUCAAACAGAUCACAUAACAUAUCAUCAUCCUAACCAGGAUACCGACCUAACCGGUCACUAGCAUAGCAUCACCCUACAUCUCGGGAUACCGAUCUCAACCAGGUCUCUAACAUAUACCAUCCUAGCUACCAGGAUGCAAACAUAUCAAAGCAAUAACAUAACAACAAAUACCCGGAUCUCAAUCCGAUAAGGGCCGGCCUUGGUGCCUUAGACCCUGUUGAUAUAGUGAGGAUAACUCACCUCGAAACUGCCGACUGAACAGAUAACCCAAGCUGCUCCGAUCACUGAUACGAUCUCCACCACUGGACAACCACCAAGGCACUGAACUCAAAACAAUAUCCAACAAUUACCAAAAUGCCCCUGGAAACCACUAGUAAACCCUUGGUCAAAGUCAACCCCUGACUGACUCUACUCGCCGAGUCAACCCGAUGACUCGCCGAGUCCCCAUGCUCAGAAAUUCCCCAAUCCGCGACUCAACUCGCCGAGUCACCCCGAGACUCGCCGAGUUCAACAACUCUGAGUCCGCUCACACACAACUCACCGAGUCAUCCCCUUGACUCACCGAUUCACGGCUCAACCAGAAAAGAUUGGGACUCUUCGACAAGACUCGCCGAGUCCAAGAACAGACUCGUCGAGUCUAAGGCUAUCUUCAACCUACUCGCCAAGUUGUUCUUCCAACUCGUCGAGUUCCAAGCCAUCUUCAUCCAACUCGCCGAGUUGUUCUUCCAACUCGUCGAGUUCCAGCUCAUCUUCAAGCAACUCGUCGAGUCUACCCAUGUGACUCGCCGAGUACCACCGGUCUGAAUCCAAAUAGAAGCAUUCCAGGCCAUGCAACUGAUCCAAAACAUAGAUCUAGCCUCUUACAACCCAUCCAUCACGUAAAGUGGCAAACUUUACGUGAAUCGAAAGAGAUCUAGGCCUUUUACACUCUAGGGCUAGGGUUUGGGACAUGAUGGCUUCACUAAACACUCAAACACAUAGACUUUAUGCAUAUUUGGACCAUACCACUCCAGAUCUGAGGUAGCAUCCUCAGAUCCAUCUUCCAAUCCCGAAUAACUCAUGAAUUACACCCAAAAACCCCAAAACAACCCUCAUGGAAGACAAUAAGGGGGAAAAGAGCUCAAGACAGAGGAUCCUUACCCCCAAGAUGAGCCUAAGCUGAUGUAGACUCCAGAUCUCCAAGCCCUCUUGAUGCUAUCCUCGAAUUCCUCCCUCUUCUCUUCACAAUCCUUUCUUCCAAGCUUCAAUCCUCUCAAUAAUGGAGUUUAUCACGAAAUUAGGGCUUCUGGAACUCAAGGGAUGAUAAGGAGGCUGGGGAGGAAACAUAAUGUUCUUUAUAUAGGGCUCAACCUCCGGAUUUAGGGUUUUCUCCAUUUAGUGCCUACUCGCCGAGUCGGCCACUUGACACGCGAUCAAGUCGCGACUCUACUCGCCGAGUCCACCCAUGGACUCGCCGAGUCGCUCUUUCCCAUAUUACUCUUUUAGCCCUUCAACUUUACUCUUGAUAUUUCGGGAUGUUACACUUUAUCCAUAAACAUGGCAUGUUGUCUGAUUUUUAGAAGUUUGGACUUAAUAUGUUGUUUUUAUUGAACUAUAGGGAUAUUUUUGUAAUUUAAUCUUUUUAUUAUUAUGAUACAUGUAAAUUAAAUUAUAUAAGAAUUAUACUUUAGUUAUUUUCAUACAUAAUUCAUUUAUUAAAAAACAACUUAACUUUGUUGCCUUCGACCCCUUAGUAUAGUGAGGAUAACUUACAUCUUGAGUAAUGCUGAAAUGAACAGAAAGCCUCCAAUUGCUGUCUCGUCGAAAAUCAUGAACUAUUCAAAUAAUAACGAAUAUUAAGUCAAUAAAUGGAUAUACUAAUCUUGACUAAGAAUCCCCAUAGUCCAUUUUUCCUUUUCUCUAAUUUGGGCCAAGGCCCAAUAUCAAAUUCACUAUCUGAAAGUCCAUAUACACAAGCCCAUUAAUGGCCUAAUUUUCCAAAUUUGGCCCCACUUCCUAAUUGGGCCUUAAUCUAAAAUCCAUUACCAAAACUGGCCCAAAACAUCAUUGUUCAGAAAGUCCAGCAAGGCUCAUUCCAAACUAGCCCAAGAGUGGCCCAAGCCUUAAGCCCAAAAUGUCGAAAGCCUAACAGAGGAUGUACGCGGGGCGUACUCCUCUGGUACGCUGGGGCAUACUCUUCCUGAUGUUGACCACCAUCGGGGUGGUUGACUCAGUAUGCUGGGCGUACCGGAUUUACACGGGGUUUUGCUAAAACCCUAAUAAGUACUAAAUGGCUUAAGCACUUAAGCCCAAACUUGAGAUCCAAUGACCAAAUGUGCCUAGGACUCAUAAAGUCACAAACUUUAACAAUUUGGGCGUCCAAAAAACUCUUAACACUUGGUCUUAAUCCAUUAAGACCUUCCUACUCCAUGCAUGGGACAUCUUAAGCCAUUGGGGCCUCAUUUUUAUCGCUCAAAACCUCUUCAAGAGUCUAGAAGGAUACUUUAUUUCGUCCAAAAGGACACCAUGCACCAACUUGGGACUUUUGGGACAAGAAUUGGCUCCAUAAAGCUAGUAUAGCAAGAUCUACUUCAUAUAAGCAUAAAGUUUGAAGCUUUUUACCUUCUGUAGCUCCUAUGGCAUAAGGAAACUUCAGAUCUACAAGCUUGCCUUCCUUCUCCAACUAUUUGAUGCAAUGACUUCACCUUCAACGGCUCAAAACACACACUAAGGUGCUGUUUUUUUUGAAGUCAAAAUGUCUGCAGUCUGCAGACCACAUCUGCAAGCCUCUACGGCAGAAGAGGUGGACCAAAUGUCUGCAGUCUACAAUAAGAAAACUGUUUGUUUUUAAUGUCUGCGGCUGUUGAAAUAAAUUGAAUUUUCAAACUUAAUUUCAUGUUAUAAACAUUAAAAAUGCAUUUUCAGCAAAAAAAAAAAGUAAGAAAAAAAACUGCACGGUGGCCCAUGUUUUUUUUGGUUUACGUUAAAAUGAGGUCUAAAGACCUUUAAAGACAGUGGCCCAUGUCUGCACCAUGAAGACCUCGUGCAGACGUUUUUCGAUGUGCACACUUCUAAAAAACAAACACUCUGCGAGGGCAUAUGUCUGCGUGUUGUUUGCAUGGUGUAGACAAAAGUGGUUGCACAGAUCUUCACAAAAAAGCCCCUAACUCACACUAACAAACAAAACUAGGGUUUGGGACGUUUCUGGAAUAUGGAGGCUAAGAAUGAUGAGAGAAAAUGAGCCAUAAGGAUGUUUAAAAUAGCCCCCAACCGUAGAUAUUAGGGUUUUCCUCCUAACGUAAGUACGCCCAACAUAUACAAGUUUACACCCAGCGUACUAAGGCGCACCUUAAUACGCUUAGCGUACUCUUAUGUACGCUCAACGUACUCCUUCCUGGUCCAAAGUUGCAACCUUGGCCCUUAGACUUAUCUUGGCUCUACACUUCCAACCUCAAGGACUACACGUGACAGAAUAAUGAUAGAAGGGAGGAUUCGGAAAUACCUAUGAACAUCUUGGGAUGUUACACCUGUUGAAGCACACACCACAUUCUUUAUGUCGAAAAAUAAAACUAAAUUAUGAUUUCUUUAAAACACAUCCCUCUAAUGGUUUGAUUUAAAACUGAUAACUGACUUGUUUUAAUUUAAUGGAUUGUAAUCUUUAACCAGAGAAAUGUUUCAAGUCUGAUAAAGAUAGUCAUGCUUGUUGGUACAUAAAUAUUAAAAAUAGUGAUUUGAUGUAGAAAUAAAGGAAAUAGAAAGUGAGAAAAAUACGACUGUUAUUGGAAUUAUGCAUAUUAAAGUCUUGAGAUUCAUUCCUUACAUUGUACGAUUUUUUGAGGGUUUUAGGAAAAGAAACCUUCAAAGUCAUAAAUAUAAAGUCAGUUUCUUUAAAUUGAGAAGAUUCAGUGACAGAAAUACAAUGUUUAAGAAAAAAACUUGCUCUUUUUAAAGAUUACAUCAUUAUUGUUCCAAAGACCUGAUAAAUGUAAACCCAAAAAAUUUAGUUAAAAAGGAAACAAUACGGAUGCUAGAUUCAAAGAAAACACAUAUGCAAAAAAGAAGAAAAGGGGACUAAAUAAAGAUGUUUACCGGUCGGAUUUUAGCUGCAUUUUAUAGAGAUUGAAUGUAUAUUUUGCUCAAUUUCACGAUAGAAAAUAACUGAUAUCAGAAGGCACAAACAUAGAUGUGUUUCUGGGGAGCCAAAAUCUCUUGUUCGAAUAGAAGUUGGGGAUGCCGAUUUAGGGUUGAAGCUCUUUCAAAUUUUGGUGAUGUUGGUGGUAGUGGUAUUUAUUAUAUUUUCCUAGACUUCUUCGUCCAUGGAAAAUCGAAAUUAGACAAAGAAUGAAAAGGAUCAAAAUAUAAAUUGAGAUUUGAAAAGGAGAAAAAAAACCAUGCAUAACCUGGAGCUGAUAUUACCUAGAACAAUCAAAUGAGUUUGCGAUGGUCUCCGAUUAAUGAGUUUGAAGAUUAUGGCGGCUAGGGUUUUUCGCUGCACCGAUCGUCGAGGAGGGUGUCUAGGUGGCUAAAGAUGGAGUAUGGUAUGGGUAUAGGUUUGUGAUGGUCUCUACUUAAGGGGGGGGGAGGAGGAGAACACUGAUGGUUGAGUGUCUAGUGAUGGCGGUGUAAUAGUGGUGCGACGGUGGUGCUGUGAUACGGAGCUGAUGACGAUGGUGGUAUUAGAUGUGAGGUGGUGGAGACAAUGCUGUGAGGUGGUGUUGGUCACUGGUUAUGAAGAAAGAGGAGAGUGGUGGUGGAGGUAAAUGCGUAGAUAGUGAAUGGAGAAGAGCGUAUCUAUAUCUAUAUAUCUAUAUAUAUCUAUAUGUAUUUAUCUAUAUCAUAUCAUCAUAUCAUCAUACUAUAUUAUAAAGGAAACAUUUUUUUCUUUCACCACAUUCAUUUGAAACUCCUAUUACUUUUCAAUUUCUUUCUAAUAAUAGUUAUAAGUUGGUUAAUAAGGUCAAAUAAAUAUCAAACCUAAAGUGUAAUCAUAUCUAAACUAAAUUUCAAUAUUAAAAUAAUACCUUUACUUCUACUUAUUAAGUGAUUGUUUUUAAACUUUUAACACAUUAUACUUAAUUUAUUAGUUUUAAUAUAUUGUUAGAUGUAAACCAUUAUCAUUUUAAAGAUACAACUUUAGAACAAUUUGUAUAAAAUACUUAAAUUAUUAAUUUUAAUAUAACACUACAUGAUCAACUUAAAUAUAAAUUUUAAUUUAACUUAAACAAGCCAAAAAAAUAUUUUGUAAAUAGUUAAAAAGUGAUUAGUUGUAGUGCUAUUAUAAUAAUGAAGAUAAUUUGGUUAAUAAGGUUAAAUAAAUAUUAAAACUAAAGCGUAAUCAUAAAUAAUCUAAAUUUCAAAUUUAAAAGAAUAUCUUUACUCAUACUUAUAAAGUUAUGUCUUUAACUUUUAACAUAUUAUACUUAAUUUAUUAGAUUUAAUAUGUUGUUGUAUGUAAACCAUUAUCAGUUUAAAACUACAACUUUUGAACACUUUUGACAAAUACUUAAAUUGUUAUUUUAAAAAUAUAUAACAUUACAAUGUCAACUUAAAUAUAAAUUUCAAUUCCACUUAAAAAACUAAAGAAUAUUUUGUAAAUAGUUAAAAGUGAUAAAUUGUAGUGAUAAAUGCAAAAACUAAAUUGUAAUCUCAAUUUAACUAAAAUAUUUCCUAAAGAUAUUUUUAUAAUCAUUAAAACUUUUCAAACAAGUAGCUUAAAAUAACUUACAAUAACAGUAGUUAAAAAUAACUCUAUAUAAAUGAUUAUAUUGUUACCUUUAAAAUAAAAAAACAAUGUUUGAUGUUUUAAAUAAUUAUAAUAAUAAAAAUUAAAACAUUAAGCAAAUAAAUAUAAAAAAAUUAAUUAACAAUAACAACAACUAUAAAUAACAUUACACCAUAUAUUAUAUUUAAUUUUAUUCAUGUGUAACUCGCGGGUAGAUGUCAUUUAAACGAUUGAGAUUAUGCAGUUAUAAUAGAUGUAUAUAUUUUCUUAUAAUUCAAAAUAAUCAAUGUAUUAUAUCAAUUUAGUAUAUGAAUUAUUAUAUCAAAUUUAACAACAACAUUAUUGCUAUAUUAAAAAACAUAUAUUUGUAAAAGCUUCAUCUAUAUAGGUGUUUAUAUGCUACACGCAAGCAUUCGCCUAGUAUACUUAUAAAGGAAACAUUUUUCCUUUCACCACAUUCAUUUGAAACUCCUAUGAUUUUUCAAUUUCUUUUUAAUAAUAAUUAUAAUUUGGAUAAUUAGGUUAAAUAAAUAGUAAACCUAAAGUGUAAUUAUAUAUAAACUAAAAUUCAAUAUCAAAAUAAUAUUUAUACUUCUACUUAUAAAGUUAUGCUUUUAACUUUUAACGUAUUAUACUUAAUUUAUUACUAUUAAUAUUGUGACAUCCCCAAUUUCACGGUCAGAAAAGACCGAUUUGUUUAUGCUUUGUUUUAUAAAUCAGAGUGAUCGUUUAAAGAAAACGGUUGCGGAAUUUGUUCCCAAAAUAAAAUAUGAUAACCAUUUAUCAAAACAUUUCUCGAAAAGAAUGUAUUUUCAUUAAAUAAUAAAACCUCGGGAUGUCAUGUUCGUUACAGACCAAAAGCAUAAACAAUAUAAAAUAGAUCUUACAAUAGUUAUUUAUAACUACUGAUCUAUAAUCCCAAAAUCUCUCGUCAAGUCCACCAACUUAUACCCUUGUGCCAUUACCUGUAAUGAAAAGAAAACUGAGUGGGUCAGGCUUGGGAGCCUGGUGAGCAUAUAGGGUUUUCAACCCACAAUAAUAUAAUUAUUAUAUCUAAUCAACAAACAAUCAACCCAAUUACCCAUCCCCAUUAUCUUCUUAAGGUUUUACCCUAAGAACCAACUAUCCUUCCUUCAUUUAUUCGUAAGGAAUUGGCACGAAUUCCAUUGCUGCCAAAGCUUAUUUAUCAAGUACUAAAUCCAUAGUUAUCUGGCGCUAACUCCAUAGUCACCAAGGUUCACAUAACAAGCGCUAACUCCAUAGUUGCCAAGGUUUACUCUACAAUAGGCGCUAACUCCAUAGUCACCAAGGUUUACUCUACAAUAGGCGCUAACUCCAUAGUCACCAAGGUUUACUCUACAAUAGGCGCUAACUCCAUAGUCACCAAGGUUUACUCUACAAUAGGCGCUAACUCCAUAGUCACCAAGGUUUACUCUACAAUAGGCGCUAACUCCAUAGUCACCAAGGUUUACUCUACAAUAGGCGCUAACUCCAUAGUCACCAAGGUUUACUUAACAAGCGCUAACUCCAUAGUCGCCAAGGUUUACUCAACAAGCGCUAACUCCAUAGUCGCCAAGGUUCAUCAAAUAGGCACGAAGUCACAUCGUCGCCAAGGUUUAUACAAUAGGCGCUAACUCCAUAGUCACCAACUAUUCCAUCUACCUAUGUUCUACCCAACAAUUUUGUAGAUAUAAAUACUUACACAGUUUAAAUCAUUUAACACCUGUAUAAAACUCCAAUUUCCAUGCCCAUCUCAAAUAGACAAAUAACAUAUAAACACAUAGCACGUAUUUCAUAGCAAAUACUUCAUAUUGAUGUGUUAGAAGAAAGUAACUACACACUCACACAUAUAAACAACAAUAUACUUAAUACACUCAAACCAUACUUGUAUUAUUAUCGUGUUUAUGAAAGGUAGUAUACACUCACUUGAUCAGAAGAUGAUCGGACAGCACUACGACUUGCAGAAGUAGUAAUCCUCAGCAGAUCUGGAAGAUCUCUUCAAAAAUCGAACUUCUCGCGGGCAGAGCUUCGGCUCGGGAACCGCACUUCUCGGGAUCUUCGGGAUCUCGGGACUUGCCUCGGGGCUCGAGAAUAAUACCGGGGCUUCGGGGUAUUUCUGGCACGCAAAUCGAUGCAAAACGGGAGAGAGAAGAGAGAAAAUAGCAACCCUAAACGGCUGGCCCUUCAAAUCUAUUUAUAGGGCAAAUUUGGCCCUUGCCACGUCGUGGCAACCUUUUUCCACGUCGUGGGCUUGGUCGUCACUGCAUGCGUCAUCCCAAGUUGCAUCUGGGGGCCUCCCGGAGGUGUCAGGAGACUUGCCACGUCGUGGCACUGCUUGCCACGUCGUGGUCUCUGACAGUUUUGGGGUUUCGCGCCCCGAACUUCAGAAAUUCAUAACUUUCGCAUACGAACUCCGUUUUCGACGUUCUUUAUAUCGCCGCGAAGGUGAGAUUAUGCUCUACAAAUCUUGUUUAGACUCCAUUGGCUAAUUUUGAAUUUAUUUUUAAUAUAUUAUAAGUAUAAUACUUAUAUAUUAUCUUUAGUAGGCCGGGACAGGAAAACUUCGUUAUAAACUCAUAACUCCUUCGUUUGAUGUCUGUUUUCUUCCGUCUUUCCGUCGUUGCACUACUAUUUCAAUUAUCAUUUAGAUCACUAAGGAUAGAUAUCUAUCUACCUUAAAUUCACUAUUUACGUCUCGCUGGGUCGCGCUAGGUCGUGCCGGUUCUGUCGCGAAACUUCGACAGGUCAUAACUUCUUUGUUAUAACUCGGAUUUCAGCGUUCUUUAUAUGCACGGAAACCUUGUGACAUAUACUACAACUUGGUUAAGAUUAAUCCUUCUAGAUAAUCUUCCUUCAAAAAGUCAUUUUUGACGCUUAUUGUCUCUAAAUUGACCAGCCCUGAUCUACGGGCGUUACAAAUAUAUUGUUGGAUAUAAACCAUUAUCAUUUUAAAGAUACAAUUUGUUUAAAGUAAUUAAAUUAUUAAUUUAAAUAUAACAUUAAAGGGUCAACUUAAAUAUAAAUUUUAGUUUAACUUAAAUAACUCAAAGAAUAUUUUGUAAAUAGUUAAAAGUGAUAAAUUGUACUGUCUUUCUAAUAAUGAUUAUAAGUUGGUUAAUAAAGUUAAAUAAAUAUCAAACCUAAAGCGUAAUCAUAAAUACACUAAAAUUUAAUUUUAAAAUAAUAUAUUUACUUUUACUUAUAAAGUUAUGUCUUUAACUUUUAACAUAUUAUACUUAAUUUAUUAGAUUUAAUAUGUUAUUGUAUGUAAACAAUUAUCAGUUUAAUGCUACAACUUUUGAACAGUUUGGACAAAAUACAUAAACUGUUAACUUGAACAUAACAUUAUAAUGUAAACUCAAAUAUAGUUUCACUUGAAAAACCAAAGAAUAUUUUGUAAAUAGUUGAAAAUGAUAAAUUGUAGUGAUAAAUACAAAAACUAAAUUGUAAUCUCAAUUUAACUAAAUAUUUCCUAAAUAUAUUUUUAUAAUCGUUAAAAGUUUUUCAAAUGAGUAACUUAAAUAAACUUACAAUAACAAUAAUUAAAAAUAACUCUAUAUAAAUGAUUAUAUUGUUACACUUAAAACCAAAAAACAAUAUUUGAUGUUUUAAAUAAUUAAAUGAUAGAAAUUAAAGCAUUAAGAAAAUAAAUUUUAAAAAUUUAUUAACAAUAACAACUAUAAAUAACGUUAAACCAUAUAUUAUAUUUAUUUUUAUUCAUGUGUAACUCGCAGAUAAAAGUGAUUCAAACGAUUGAGAUUAUGAAGUUAUAAUAGAUAUAUAUAUUAUCAUAUAAUUUAAAAUAAUCGAUAUAUUAUAUCAAUUUACUAUACAAAUUAUUAUAUCAAAUUUAAUAACAGUGUUAUAGUUAGUGGUAUAGCCAGGAUUUUGUUUUAGAGUAGGCCAAAUAAUAUAUAAAAUAUGAAUGAGUGGCAAAAUUAUUCUAACGAUAACCAAAUGUAACUAUAUAUGCAUUCUUAUCUAAAUUGUUUAUAUAAGUUGCAUACGAUGUUAUCUUACAUUAAUAAAAUAAUCUAAAAUGGAGUUUAAUCGACAUAGACAACAAUGUAUUAUCAUAUACUAAUUUCAAUUUUUGAAUAGAAUAUUCCAUAUCGCAACACAAAUUCUUUUUAUUUAACAAAAAUAUAUAUUAUCAAUACCAUAUAUAUGUAACUUUAAUUUUGUGUGGGUGCUGUUGCCCUAUAUUGGCUACGCCCGUGCUGUAGAUGAGCAAUCUUAAAAUUUAUUGUCCGUAUAAUUACUAAAUAGUAGUUAGGUAGAUUUUAACAAGAACGUUGUAACUUAAAAAUACUUAGUAUUAAAUAAAAUCUUAUAAUUUUAAGUUUAUUUUAAAAAAAUAGACGGGGACCUUACAUUUUUUUUGAGUAAAUUACUAAAAUCGUCCCUAUGGUUUGGUCAAAAUUUCACGUUUGGUCCCUAACUUUUUUUUUGCACUCGGAUCGUCCAUAUGGUUUGAUUUCGUUGCGUUUUUCGUCUCUAUGGUUUGAUCAAAAUUGCAUGUUUGGUCCUUAAUUUUAUGUAAGUGUGGGACGAAAAACGCAACAAAAUCAAACCAUAGUGACGAUCCGAGUGCAAAAGAAAAAUUAGGAACCAAACGUGAAAUUUUAACCAAACCAUAGGAAUGAUUUCAGUAAUUUACUCUUUUAUUUUUUUUCAACUUUAUCUAAACAAAAAUGUAAAACACCUCAUCGUCAAUACUCAUCAAAAUUUUGACCAAUGACGAAUCAUAGGCCCGUUCAGAAAUUUCCUUCUCCGUCGCGAAAUCGUCGUCGGCUUCGAUUCUUUGACUCUUCAGUCUUCACAUUAAACAUCAUGGAGAAGGAGACCAGACGGUGGAGGAUUCUGGUCCGCAAUGUUUAUCUCUGUCGAAAUGUAGCAAAAAUUGUUGGCUGCCGGAAUCAGAAUCGUCAAAGUUGGUAACAUUGGAGAAAUGGAGGAUGUAGAAAGAGAAGAAGGCCAUGAAGAAUAGAUGAUUUUUGUCCUCAUGGGCUGACAGAGGAGUGGGUUCAGUUGUUCGUCCUUUUUCUAUGAUUGAAAGAAUUAUGGGUUCAUGGAAUGUUUACAUCAACAAAGAAGUUUCACUUUGUAAUGUUUAGGUAAACAAUUUUUAAUCUCUUUUAUCUUUUCGUUGAAACUCCUUAAUUUGCAACUUUUGGGCCCACAAAUUUGUAGUGGGCAUUAAUUUAAUCUACAUCUUUACUGUAAACAAUAAUUGAAAUCGAUCUCAUUGUUAAUCCAAUUCGUCAACAUCUCUUGAUAAUUGAAAUAAUUUUCUCUUUGCAUCCACUUCAUCUACAUCUAUACUAUAUUCUCUUCUCUGCUAUUGCCAUAAACAAUAAACAAUGGCUGAAAUCGUUCUUUCUGCCUUGUUCACAUUAGUCUUUGAAAAGCUGACCUCUGAAGCCUUGAAGAAGAUGGCUCGCUCCAAGGGAAUUGAUUCAGAGCUUAAGAAAUUGAAGAAGACAUUAGACCAGGUCAAAGAUCUGCUUAACGAUGCUUCUCAGAAGGAAGUAAUUGAUGAAGCUGUUAAAAGAUGGCUGAUUGAUCUCCAACAAUUGGCUUACGACACUGAUGACCUGCUUGAUGAUAUCGCAACAGAAGCUAUUCAUCGUGAGUUGACCCGUGAAACUGGAGCUUCCGCCAGCGUGGUAAGAAAGCUAAUCCCAAGUUGUUGCACAAGUUUCUCACAAAGUAAUAGGAUGCAUGCCAGGUUAGAUGAUAUUGCCGCUAAGUUACAAGAACUGGUAGAGGCGAAACAUAAUCUUGGUUUAAGUGUGAUAACAUACGAAAAACCCAAAAUUGAAAGAGAUGAGGCAUCUUUGGUAGAUGCAAGUGGUAUCAUUGGACGUGAAGAUGAUAAGAAAAAAUUGCUUCAGAAGCUGUUGGGGGAUACUUAUGAAUCAAGUAGUCAAAACUUCAACAUCGUGCCCAUAGUUGGUAUGGGUGGGGUUGGUAAAACAACUCUAGCUAGACUUUUGUAUGAUGAAAAGAAAGUGAAGGAUCACUUCGAACUCAGGGCAUGGGUUUGUGUUUCUGAUGAGUUCAGUAUCCUCAAUAUAAGCAGGGUUAUUUAUCAAUCAGUGACCGGUGAAAACAAGGAAUUUGCAGGUUUAAAUCUGCUUCAAGAAGCUAUUAAAGAGAAACUUCAGAACAAACUAUUUCUAAUAGUUUUAGAUGACGUAUGGUCUGAAAGCUAUGGUGAUUGGGAAAAAUUGGUGGUCCCAUUUCUUGUGGGGGCUUCUGGAAGUAGAAUAAUCAUGACUACUCGGAAGGAGCAAUUGCUCAAACAGUUGGGUUUUUCUCAUCAAGACCCUUUCCACAGUCUAGACCCUUUACAGCGUCUAUCACAAGACAAUUCUUUGUCGUUGUUUGCUCAGCAUGCAUUGGGUGUGGAUAACUUUGAUUCACAUCCAACACUAAGGCCACAUGGGGAACAGUUUGUGAAAAAAUGUGGGGGCUUGCCUUUGGCUUUAAGAAUACUCGGGAGGUUAUUGAGGACAAAAACAGAUGAGGAAGAAUGGAAAUAUCUGUUGGAUAGUGAGAUAUGGAAUUUAGGAAAUGGAGAUAAGAUUGUUCCUGUUCUUAGACUAAGCUACAAUGAUCUUUCUGCCACUUUGAAGCUGUUGUUUGGGUACUGCUCCUUGUUCCCCAAGGACUAUGAGUUUGACAAAGAGGAGUUGGUUUUGUUGUGGAUGGCAGAAGGGUUUUUGCACCACUCUGCUGCAAGAAAGUCAAUGCAACAGUGGGGUCACAAAUGUUUUGAAGAGUUGCUAUCAAGGUCAUUUUUUCAACAUGCUCCUAAUGACAAAUCGUUGUUUGUGAUGCAUGACCUCCUGAAUGACAUGGCCACAUUUGUUGCUGGAGAUUUUUUUUCAAGGUUAGAUAUUGAGAUGAAGCGGGAAUUUAGGAAGGAAGUUUUGCAAAAACACCGACAUAUGUCACUUGUUUGUGAGGAUUACAUGGUGUACAAAAGGCUUGACCCAUACAGAGGAGCUAAAAAUUUGAGAACAUUUUUAGCAUUGUCUAUUGGGGUGCUAAAAGAUUUGGAAAAUUUUUACUUAUCAAAUAAGGUCCUGAGUGACUUACUUCAGGAUUUACCAUUGUUAAGGGUCCUAAGUUUGAGUAAUCUUAGCAUAAGCGAGGUACCAAAAGUCGUCGGUAGUAUGAAGCACUUGCGGUAUCUUAAUCUAUCUCGAACUAGAAUCGCAAAUUUACCGGAAAAUGUCUGCAAUCUUUAUAAUUUACAGACGCUGAUUGUUUCUGGCUGUAAAAUGUUAACUGAGUUGCCCAAGAGCUUCUCAAAGCUUAAAAAUUUGCAGCAUUUUGACAUGAGGAAUACUUGGAGGUUGAACGAGAUACCCUUAGGGAUUGGUGAGUUGAAAAGUCUACAAACUCUCUUCAGUGACAUUGGCUUGGCAAUAACUGAGCUUAAGAACUUGCAAAAUCUCCAUGGGAAAGUUUGUAUUCCGGGGCUGGGCAAUGUGCAGAAUGCAAUGGAUGCACGUGCGGCGAACUUAUCGCAAAAGAGGUUUAGUGAGUUAGAGUUGAAUUGGGGUUCUGAGUUUAAUGUUUUCCGAACGGGAACACUUGAAAAAGAGGUCCUCAAUGAGUUGAUGCCUCAUAAUGGUACUCUAGAAAAACUCAACAUUGUGUCAUAUAGGGGUAUAGAGUUUCCAAAUUGGGUUGGGGAUCCCUCCUUUCGUCGGUUGACUCAUGUGUCAAUAGAAGGGUGUGAAGAAUGUACAUCUCUACCAAUGCUUGGGCAACUACCAUCACUGAAGGAACUGUUUAUUGGUGGGAUGAGUAAGGUGAAGAUUGUAGGUUUGGAGUUACUUGGGACCGGCCUUGUGUUUCCUUCACUUGAAAUCCUACGGUUUGAUAGUAUGUCAGGUUGGGAGGAAUGGUCAACAAAUAGUGGGGCGUUUCCUUGCCUUCAAGAGCUUCAUAUUGAAGAUUGUCCUAAUCUGGUUCAAGUCUCACUUGAAGCACUGCCUUCACUAAGGGUUCUGAAACUAAGAAUAUGUGGUCAUGGUUUAUUGAAAAGACUGGUCUACGUAGCUUCAUCAAUCACCAAGUUGGAAAUAGAUGAUAUUUCAGGGCUUACUGAUGAGCUGUGGAGAGGUAUGAUAGGGUUUCUUGGGGCAGUUGAAGAAAUAAACAUCAGGGAAUGUAAUGAAAUAAGAUACUUGUGGGAAUCAGAAGUAGAGGCAAGUAAGGUUAUUAUGAAUUUAAAGAAGUUGGAUGUAUAUUCUUGUUCAAAUUUGAUGAGUUUAGGGGAGAAAGAAGAGGAUAACAUUCAUAGUGGGAGCAGCCUAACAUCCUUUAGGACGUUGAAAGUAUGGAAAUGUAACAGUUUGGAGCACUGCAGUUGUCCAGAUAGCGUGGAGGAUUUGGAUAUUGAAAGUUGUGAUUCAAUUACAUCCGUCUCCUUCCCAACAGGAGGAGGGCAGAAGCUCAAGUCACUUACCAUCACCGAUUGCAAGAAACUAUUGGAAAAGGAAUUGGGAGGAAGAGAGAAGACAAAUUUGAAGCCGAUUAAUGAAUUGAGUUGUUUCAUUUACCUCACCACGUUGGCAAUAUCAGAAUGUCCAAGUAUAGAGUCAUUUCCCGACCAUGAGUUGCCUAAUCUCACUUUGUUAACAUAUCUGAAAAUACAAAAUUGUAUAUGUAUGGAUGCAUCCUUUCCUCGUGGGCAUUGGCCUCCGAAAUUGUGUCGGCUUGAAAUAGGAGGGUUGAAGAAGCCCCUCUCAGAGUGGGGCCCCCAGAAUUUUCCAACAUCACUUUCUAACCUAAAAUUACAUGCCGGACCAUAUGAUGGCAUGAAAAAGUUUGAUCAGUUGUCACAUCUUCUUCCUUCAUCUCUUACUAUUUUUGGCAUAGAUGGAUUUGAGAAACUGGAAUCGGUUUCUACGGGACUCCAACACCUCACCUCCCUCCAACGUCUCAUCAUUCAGAAGUGCCCAAAGACCAUAGAUCUACCAGAAAACUUGUUGCCUUCACUUCUGAGUUUGAUAAUAUUCAAAUGCCCAAAUCUGAAAGAAAGGUUCGGUAGAGGUGGCUCCUAUUGGCCUCGCGUCUCCCUUAUCCCAUGCUUCAAGAUAGAUGGAUACUUCCAUAAUUAAUAUGAAGGCAAGCCCCGCUCCUCAGAUACCUUUUGUUAGUUAUGCAUAUAUUAAAUAACUAAUUCAGCUCAUUCAAACAAAUUUUCUCAAUAUACUAUAUCGGUACAACCAUACAAGUACAUAUUUUCAAAAGUUCAUGUGUGCCUCAAUAUUUGGUUUGUAACACGGAUAUGCUUACUGAUUUCAGAUUUUACCAUUUCAUUUUGGAAUGAAUGUAAUUAGGAUUGUAACAUGGAAGGGUCAUGAUGGAAGCCAAAAUGAAUCAAAAUGGUUAACAAGUUAGAUACUUUGAAAUUAUAAUGUACAAGCAAACAAUUUGAAAUUCAUAUUAUGAAUACGUUCAAAUCAUGAAUCGUUUUGAUGAUGUAUCACUAUCACCCAAUACCAACCAGGUUUUGUACACAUUUUGAGAAUGCCAAUUAAUAUGUUGUCCGUCAAUGAUGCAUUUGACCCACGAUUAAUGCUAAUGUAUUUUUCAUUAUAUAUGUCCAUUUUGAUGCCUCUAAAUAUGAUUCCAUAUAUUUGUGAAACCAUUAAGAUCAUAAAUCUUAUUUAUCUUUUUAAGAUUUUGUAAAUAUUUGAAAAUUUUAAUUUUUAGAAAUAUUUAAUUUAAUCAUAUCUUAGUAUUCAGUUCAAAUGUAUAUUUCUCAGUUUUCCACACUUACAGCCAAGCAAUACAACAUGAAAGGUCGGUGGAUGCAAUGAAUUUUUAAAUGAAAACAUCUGAGGAAAUAAAAUAUCAAAUGAUGAUGGUUUACAAAGAAAGACAUUUAUAUGGUGCUGCUUCUGGUUUACAAGGUUUGUUCCUAUCAGACUCACAAAAACCUAUGUUGUCUGAAACAAGCACUUAUGUGGCCAAUUAUUUCCAAAUUUUUUACUUCAGUUUUUCUUGUUCUAAAUUUGUUUAAAAUGGAAUCUUGAUGUACAGGUGAAUGACUUACUGUCCAACUAUCAUCCAUGGAAGUUAAGUGCAGAACUCCUAAUGAUUGAAGCUGUGAAGCUUCAAUGCUUUUUACCUGUUGCAUCUUUUCAAUCAUUUAAACUAGGCUCAAUUUCUGUAUAGCCUUGAUGUUGUGAUCUUGUUUUGCUUUUACAUAAAAACUAUGUAAAGCUAUACAUCUGUCUCAGUUCCAAAUUGAUUACCUAAUGUCUAAAGCCAAACUCUAUAGAAAUUAUUAUAAGGUUAAUUUUGUGAUAUUUUCUUGUUUUAUAGACUUUUGAUUUAACCCAAAGAGAAAGAGAACUUGUUUUCAUCAAGAGACAUCCUAUGAAGCUUGUGUUUGAAAGUUAGAUUGAAAACAGAGCAAAAACAGAACUCCAUCUGCUGUUCCAAGAAGUUGAAAACAGAGUCCAUGUAACUUUGACUAUCAUUAAAUGAUGUAUAACUUCAGUAACUCAUUUAGCUUUCUGAUAAUGAUUAGCUUGGAUUUUUUUUUUUUUUUUUUUUUUUUUUUUUUUUUUUUUGCUUUUGUCCACUCUUGAUUGACACCUAAUAGGGAGUUAUGUCCUUUGGAGAAGUUCCUCCUGUAAUGACAAUGAGCAUAUGGUCAGUUGUAGAUGCUAAAUCACAAGGAAUCAUCAUGCCUUUAGGCUCACCUUAUAUUUUGUGAAGUAAAGUAAACUUAUGUUUGGAGUCAUAGUUUAUGGUGUUAACUGCUCUUUUACAUAGAUUCCUGGAACCACUCAAAUUUGGUACUACACAUGCACACUGUUUUUCUUUUGUAAAAGCUUCUCCUUUAUUACUGUCACUAGUUUAAUUAUGAAACAAAAAAUGAGUUUUGUAACCGAGUUAACACUAAAAAACAAACUAACGGCUGUUGAAAAACUUUAUAUGACACAUUAGCAGUAAGAGCUUCGACAGUCACAACCAUCAUCUUCACUACAUACAACUGUCAUAGCUGAUGACGACCCAAACACCCAUUAACACCCAUCAGCUAAGGCCAUUAAUAUCAUGCAUCGGCUGUUAAACAAACUAAUCGUAAGAAACAAAAUUUAUCAUGAUGAUUCACUUCAUGUAUCAAACAUGCUAGAGUGACAAUCUCACUUAAAUAUAACUUAAAAUGAUGGCUUUAUGUAUACUGUUAGUAGCUUGUUACACAAAAUUAAGUCUUUAAUUAUAAUGUAUCUCUAUUUUCCCUGCUCCAAAUUUGGCACUGAUGAUUUGUGAGUAACACUUGUUAUUUACUAGUCUAUGAUUUUAGAACGCCAAGUUUCCUCUGUAUUUAUAGUAUGUAUCAUACUAUUUUGUGUGAUUACUACUUCUACCUCAAAUACAAAAUAUAUAAAUUUAUUUCUAUGUAUUUUGUGUGAUGUUCCAAAUCUACAUGUACAACAACAAAUAUAAACAAAUAUAAAUGACUAUGUUUUGACCAACUAUAAAAAUUGAAGUAAAAGAUAAAUAGAAGUAUCCUACAACUAAAGACUAAAAAACACAAGUUUUUGUAGAAGAACAAGAUACCACCGUUUGCUUCUUUGUUUUCCAAGAGAUUGGAGACCCACCCAAAAGGAGUAGACAACCCGUUCGAGACCUUCGUGUAAAAGCACAUCCUAACCAAUCUAAGUCACAUAGUAGACAACUAAUUUAGUGCAUCCAGUUCUAGGAAUUAAAAUACCUUGACCUAGUGUCCCUUUGAGAUAACAAAGUACACAUGAGGCAAUUUCCAUGUGUCUUUGUCUAGGCCUAGUUUCUUGUAAAUAUAAGUCGACUUUAAUCCGAGGAAUCUCCACAUUUGUCUAGUUGAAGAUUUUGUUGCAUCGGAAAAGGACUUGGUUUACACCCCAUCAUACCACAAUCUUUUAAUAUGUCAAGAGUAUAUUUUAUUUGACUCAAGACAAAAUCUUUAGGUGUUUUGGCCACUUCAAUGCCAAGAAAGUACUUCAAUAACUCCAAGUCCUUGAUCUAAAGUUGACGUUAAGAUAGUCUUUCGUCUCUUGGAUUUUUGUUGCACUAUUCCCCGUGAUGAUAACAUCAUCAACAUAUAUAAGAGUAGCAACAUAAAUAUUACCAUUUCAUGUAUCAACAACGAAGCAUGAACAUGUGUUUGUUCAUAGCCCACAGAAAGUAAAGCCAUAGUAAACUUUUGGUACCAAUGGCGCGAGGCAUGCUAUAAGACAUAAAUAGACUUCUUCAACCUGCAUACCAUUGUUUCUCCCUCUCUGGCAAACCCUUCUGCCACCUUCAUAUAAACCUCUUCUUCAAGACCCCCAUGUAGAAAUGCAUUGUUUACAUCAAUUUUAUGUAUGAUCCAGUCUUUCUUAAUAGCUAUAGUAAGAAGUCUUACAGUAACCAAUUUAGCAACAGGAGCAAGUGUAUCAUGGAAAUCGAUUCCCUAGACUUGAAUGAAACCUUUAGUUAUCAGUCGUGCCUUAUAUCUCUCAACUUCGCCAUCAUGUUUGUACUUUAUCUUGUGCCCCCAUUUUGAGUCAAUGGCAUGCUUUUCUUCUGGUAAUUCUUGAAGAAUCCAUGUCUUGUUUUCUUCCAAUGCCUUUAUUUCGUUUUGCAUUGCCUCCCUCCAUUUCUCACUUUGAACAACUUGUUUGAAAUAUUUUGGCUCAUCAUUUAAGCUGAUCGUUGUUAAAAAAGCUUUAUGUUUAUUAAAAAAGUUUUUAUAAGAAACAAAAUUAGCUAUCAGAUGUACCAUAGAAGAGUCAUGAUUUUGCGGGGUCCUUGUGGGGUUUAUCGAUGGCAACAUGUUGACAACAAAGUCUUCAAAUAUUUUCGACAAUGUUCUCAUUCUUCUUUCCCUUGGAAGACUUUCUGGUUGUGGCAUUCUUUCCAAACAAACCCGAAUUCCUUUCCCGAAUCACACAAUUUUUCCGGCUCAAAAACCUCUACAACUUGUUCAUGCGGACUUAUGUGGUCCGAUCACACCUACAUCUGUUGGAGGGAGUAAAUAUUUUCUCCUUUUAGCGGAGGAUUUUAGCCGGUGGAUGUGGGUUUACAUGCUAUUGGAGAAGUCUCAAGCCUUGAAUGCUUUCAAACGAUUCAAGUUGAUGGUUGAAAAGAAUCCGGGUUAUCAAAUGAAGACACUUCGAACGGAUCAACGGGGAAGGUUCACUUCAAAAGAAUUCUCAUUAUUUUGUGAAGAAAAUGGUAUUCAUAGGCAUAUUACAACACCAUAUUCGCCUCAACAGAAUGGAGUUGUAGAAUGGCGAAAUUGGUCCAUUAUGGACAUGGCAAGAAGUCUGCUCAAAGGAAGAAAUCGCCCGGGAGGGUUUUGGGGAGAAACGGUUAGACGUUAUCUUUUCAACCACCUACCAACAAAAGCACUUCCCGACAUGAUGCCGUAUGAAGCAUGGUUUCUCAAAAAGCCCAACCUUGAACAUCUAAGAGUUUUUGGUUGUGUUGCAUAUGCUAAACUUGUAGGUGGUCACUUGAAGAAGCUUAAUGAUCGAAGUAAAAAGAUGAUGUACUUAGAUGUGGAAGAUGGAACUAAAGGCAACCGUUUGUUUGAUCCGCACGACCGAAAGUUGCGAGUUAAUCGCGAUGUUGUUUUCGACGAAAAAGAAGAAUGGAAUUGAUAGAAAAACAAAGAAGAAGAGAUGGCGACUCCUAAUACCUUUACUAUAAUUGAGCCACAACCUCAAAUACAAAUCGAAACACCUCAAAAUGGCCCUGAAAUCAACCCAAAACAACCAAACAGUCCUGGAAUCGAUGUUAUCCAAGUUGGACAACCAUAUGUUGAAUUUGACGAGCCUGAAUCAGCCCCACAAACUCCUGUCUCAGCCCCUUUGUCUUUAGCCUCACCCCAUAUGGAAAGCCCUUCUAGUGAGAUUGGCCAAGGGGAUUACGUCCGUUAGCCGAUAUUUAUUUUGACGCCGAAAAUGUGUUCCUUAAACCCGAAGAGUUGUUGAUGAUUGCAGCGGAUCAACCCUUGAAUUUUAAAAAGGAUGUAAUCUCUAAAACAUGGCAGGAGGCUAUGCAAACAAAGUUGGAUGCAAGCGAGAAGAACAAGGCAUGGCAACUUACCGAUUUGCCACCCGAGCACAAAGCAAUUGGUUUGAAAUGGGUUUUUAAAGUGAAGAAAGACAACUUGGGAAAUGUGGUGAAGCAUAAAGCCCAACUUGUAGCAAAAUGAUUUGUACAAAAGGAAGGAGUCGACUUUGAUGAAGUUUUUGCACCGGUAGCACGACUUGACACCGUAAGGCUCAUCCUUUCCUUAGUAGCUCAACAUACGAGGUUGUCCACCAUCUCGAUGUCAAGUUGGCUUUUCUCAAUGGAGAUCUCAAGGAGGAGGUCUAUGUUACCAGGACAUGUUGAUAAAGCACACAGUCUCAAGGUAUUCAAGCUCUACGAAUCUUUUUAUGACCUACGACAAGCUCCUCGAGCUUGGAACAUUCGUUUGGAUAAAAGCUUAAAAAGGCUUGGUUUUACAAAGAGUUCACAAGACCCACCUGUUUACAAAAGGAACUACUAGAAAAACAGCCUUUUACGACGCUCAUUGCGCGUCGUAAAAGGCUCAGACGACGCACAAAUGCGCGUCAAGGAAGGCCCUGUCAUAAAGAGAGACGACGCGCUUUUACGACGCUCAUUUACGACGCGCGUUUACGACACGCAAUGCGUAUCAAGGAAGGCCCUGUCAUAAAGGAAGACGACACGCGUUCGCGUGUCGUAACCUUACGACGCGCGUGUUAAUGACACGCAAUGCGUAUCAAGAAAGCCCCUGUCAAGAAAGGCCAUGUCAUAAAUGAAGAUGACACACAUUUUUGCGUAUCGUAAAUUUAAAUGUUUAAAAAAAUAAAUUUAUAUAUUUAUUAAUUUUUAAAUUAAAUUUGCAUUUAAUUUCUCAUAAUAGAAAUAAAACACCAUAUACAAAAAAUACAAUCCACUGCACAAAAAUUAAUGUCAUACAAGAUACAAAAUAAAAUAUAAUAAAUAAGUAAUAUAAUUCAUUGCAUAAAAUGUCAAAUACAAAUAAUCAUCGAUAACUAUAUAACCUAAUACUACAUUGCUAUUAAGGGACAUCAUCAUAACUCACUUGUAACACCCCAAAGUUUGGAAAGCUAAGAAAAGUAAGAAAACCUCAAGUUUAAGGGGAGACACGGCGAGUCCAUGGAUAGACUCGACGAGUCUGAGCGGGAUCCGGGUUGAAGUGUAAGCGACUGACUCGGCGAGUCGGCCAAGGAGACUCGACGAGUUGGGNNNNNNNNNNNNNNNNNNNNNNNNNNNNNNNNNNNNNNNNNNNNNNNNNNNNNNNNNNNNNNNNNNNNNNNNNNNNNNNNNNNNNNNNNNNNNNNNNNNNNNNNNNNNNNNNNNNNNNNNNNNNNNNNNNNNNNNNNNNNNNNNNNNNNNNNNNNNNNNNNNNNNNNNNNNNNNNNNNNNNNNNNNNNNNNNNNNNNNNNNNNNNNNNNNNNNNNNNNNNNNNNNNNNNNNNNNNNNNNNNNNNNNNNNNNNNNNNNNNNNNNNNNNNNNNNNNNNNNNNNNNNNNNNNNNNNNNNNNNNNNNNNNNNNNNNNNNNNNNNNNNNNNNNNNNNNNNNNNNNNNNNNNNNNNNNNNNNNNNNNNNNNNNNNNNNNNNNNNNNNNNNNNNNNNNNNNNNNNNNNNNNNNNNNNNNNNNNNNNNNNNNNNNNNNNNNNNNNNNNNNNNNNNNNNNNNNNNNNNNNNNNNNNNNNNNNNNNNNNNNNNNNNNNNNNNNNNNNNNNNNNNNNNNNNNNNNNNNNNNNNNNNNNNNNNNNNNNNNNNNNNNNNNNNNNNNNNNNNNNNNNNNNNNNNNNNNNNNNNNNNNNNNNNNNNNNNNNNNNNNNNNNNNNNNNNNNNNNNNNNNNNNNNNNNNNNNNNNNNNNNNNNNNNNNNNNNNNNNNNNNNNNNNNNNNNNNNNNNNNNNNNNNNNNNNNNNNNNNNNNNNNNNNNNNNNNNNNNNNNNNNNNNNNNNNNNNNNNNNNNNNNNNNNNNNNNNNNNNNNNNNNNNNNNNNNNNNNNNNNNNNNNNNNNNNNNNNNNNNNNNNNNNNNNNNNNNNGACUCAGCGAGUUGGUCAGGACAGGACUUGGAACUAGUUGGACUCGGCGAGUCAUGGACUGACUCGGCGAGUCGAGUCACGAAUAAGAAAGACCCUAAGCAUAUGAACUCGGUGAGUCGGUAGGUAGACUCGGCGAGUAGGGUUGACCUGGAAGGUUGACUUUGACCAGGAUUUUGACCUUGACCAGAGUUGACCUAGUGACCUUUGGAGGUCAGUUGGACUAAGUGUUAUAUUGGCUUUUGAAGCUCGAAGAGCUAUUGGAGCAGCAGUUCGAAGUCAGAGGUUAGGUAGCAGUCAAAAGGAUUAGCAACAUCAGUUCAGCANUUCCAGUAGGAACGAGUCUAAGACCACAAUGCCGGCCCGUUCAGUUAGCAGUAGUUUCCGGACUUCGGUCCGAUGCAGUAGUUAGUAUGUUUGAUGCCUUCAUGGCUCAGACAGGAAUUAUGUGUUAUGUGUUCCGGGCAACAGCCCGAUGUAGUAUGCAGUAUAUGUGAGAAUGCUAGUUGUUAUGUUAUGCUAUGCUGUAUUCAGUCAGUUAGCUUCGGACUUCGGUCCGAUGCCGUCAGUUCCGGACUUCGGUCCGAUGCAGGGGACAAGGUCCCAGUUAGUUCCGGACUUCGGUCUGAUGCAGUCAGUUCCGGACUUCGGUCCGAUGCAGUCAGUUCCGGACUUCGGUCCGAUCCAGGGGACAAGGUCCCAGUCAGUUCCGGACUUCGGUCCGAUGCAGUUAGUUCCAGACGUCGGUCCGAUGCAGGGGACAAGGUCCCAGUCAGUUCCGGACUUUGGUCCGAUGCAGUUUCCGGGCUUCGGCCCGAUGCAGUGGGCAAGGCCCAACAUGUGUUUAUAUGUUAUUGUAUAGUAUGUGGUAGAUUGGGGGAGCUCACCAAGCUUCGUGCUUACGGUCCAUAUGAAUUUGAACUUGUCAUAAACUUUGGUUUUAACAAAUUUACAUGGAUAGGAACACAUACACCGCUCAAAUCUAAGUGUCAUAAGAUUUCCUUCUUCAUGAAAAUGAUUGUGAUAAAAUGCUUUCACUAAGAAAGAUUUUAAGAAGAUAGUGAUUGUAAAAUUGCAUUCUCGAAUUCAAUUAUGGUUACGGCAUCCCUUUCCAUAAUUUGAAUUGUGAGGUUUGGCAAUUAGUCUUAAUUGUUUAGACACACAUAUGAACUAUCGAAGGCAAAGGUGUAUAAGUUCAAGAAGCAUUGAUAAAGGAUUAUCAAAGCACUAAGUAUUAGAAACAUGAACUUAAGAAAUUCAAUAAGUAUUGUUUUCUGAAAGUUAAGAUGUUUAUGAAUACAUGUCGAAGCUAGUGGGAGCAUAAGUGUUAUGUUUUAUAAUAAUCAUCAUGAUAGUGGGAGCAUAAAUGUUAUGAUUGUAUGAUUAUUAAGGAAAGUAUUGCAAGGUUAGCAAUAUUAAUUAUAGAAAACAAGAGUCAUACUUUGCAAAGUUGUAAGAGUUGAAAGGUUGUUUUGCUAUAAUUAAGGGAGAGAAUAUUAUGCUUCAUUUCAAAUCUAAAGGAUUAGGUUGAGAAAUGUUAAUAAAUUUAGUCAAAGGUACAUAGUGUGUUCUUAAAAUUUCGAUUAUGAUUACGGCAUCCCUCUUCACAAUUCGAAUUUUGAGAACAUAGCAAAUAAAACAUUAUGCGUCGUGUCCCAUACGCUUCGGGUAUAGGAUCGAUUGCAAAUGCUUUAAUGUUUGACCAUUCUAAAAUUUUCCAAAUGUCGAGCNNNNNNNNNNNNNNNNNNNNNNNNNNNNNNNNNNNNNNNNNNNNNNNNNNNNNNNNNNNNNNNNNNNNNNNNNNNNNNNNNNNNNNNNNNNNNNNNNNNNNNNNNNNNNNNNNNNNNNNNNNNNNNNNNNNNNNNNNNNNNNNNNNNNNNNNNNNNNNNNNNNNNNNNNNNNNNNNNNNNNNNNNNNNNNNNNNNNNNNNNNNNNNNNNNNNNNNNNNNNNNNNNNNNNNNNNNNNNNNNNNNNNNNNNNNNNNNNNNNNNNNNNNNNNNNNNNNNNNNNNNNNNNNNNNNNNNNNNNNNNNNNNNNNNNNNNNNNNNNNNNNNNNNNNNNNNNNNNNNNNNNNNNNNNNNNNNNNNNNNNNNNNNNNNNNNNNNNNNNNNNNNNNNNNNNNNNNNNNNNNNNNNNNNNNNNNNNNNNNNNNNNNNNNNNNNNNNNNNNNNNNNNNNNNNNNNNNNNNNNNNNNNNNNNNNNNNNNNNNNNNNNNNNNNNNNNNNNNNNNNNNNNNNNNNNNNNNNNNNNNNNNNNNNNNNNNNNNNNNNNNNNNNNNNNNNNNNNNNNNNNNNNNNNNNNNNNNNNNNNNNNNNNNNNNNNNNNNNNNNNNNNNNNNNNNNNNNNNNNNNNNNNNNNNNNNNNNNNNNNNNNNNNNNNNNNNNNNNNNNNNNNNNNNNNNNNNNNNNNNNNNNNNNNNNNNNNNNNNNNNNNNNNNNNNNNNNNNNNNCGCAUUUACGACGCUCAUUUACGACGCGCAAUUACGACGCGCGUUUACGACACGCAAUGCGUAUCAAGGAAGGCCCUGUCAUAAAGGAAGACGACACGCAUUCGCGUGUCGUAACCUUACGACGCGCGUGUUAAUGACACGCAAUGCGUAUCAAGAAAGCCCCUGUCAAGAAAGGCCAUGUCAUAAAUGAAGAUGACACACAUUUUUGCGUAUCGUAAAUUUAAAUGUUUAAAAAAAUAAAUUUAUAUAUUUAUUAAUUUUUAAAUUAAAUUUGCAUUUAAUUUCUCAUAAUAGAAAUAAAACACCAUAUACAAAAAAUACAAUCCAUUGCACAAAAAUUAAUGUCAUACAAGAUACAAAAUAAAAUACAAUAAAUAAGUAAGAUAAUUCAUUGCAUAAAAUGUCAAAUACAAAUAAUCAUCGGUAACUAUAUAACCUAAUACUACAUUGCUAUUAAGGGACAUCAUCAUAACUCACUGAAGGUCUUGGAACAAUGUUCUCAUCAUUAACUCUUACACCAACCUUGCUUUAGUAGAUGACUUUCACACAAUCAAUAUUGAAAUAGAUGCUGCCCGGGCCACCAUAGAUGCUGCCCGAACUUUCCGAGUUCAAACUUCCAUUGUUUGCUUCAUCUCUGCUAACCUCUUUCUGCUUCAAGAACACAAAAGAAAAUGAAACCAUGAAAAUAUCACAUGAAAUUUAAUACCCUCAUAAAAUGAUAUUAGGAUUAAGGGAGUUGAAGGUACUUGUAUUCUUCGAGGAAACAACUAUCAUCAAGAUCAUCUUCUAAAUCUUUGAGUUCUUCUGUCUUGUUAUCGAUCCGAGAUUUGGUUUUAGGUUUGGAAUCUUCGUCUUCUGCAGGAGUGAAGGGAUCGGGUUUGAAGGCAGAGGGUUUGGGAGGUAAGUUCCUGAGUUUUCUUUGAAUAUCAUCCCAUUGAGUUGAUACUCCUUCAACAUCUUUGUAGACAAAGUGAAGAUCAGCUUUAUCACUUGGCUCCCAAGAUCUCUACAUGCAUAAGGAAUAAUGGGUAUUAAGACUUAAGAGAUUACAUAAUAAAAGUUAUAGAAUCUGAAUUACAAUAUAGAUCAUACCUUCAUAUAUCUUUCCUGCCCAUCAAAAGCCAUUUGUAGUUUCAGCUGACUUCUGGUAGAAGCUAGGAUUUAAAAAAAGCAAUUAAGUUAGCUUUAUCAAAUUUAAUACAUGAAUUUGGUAACUUUUUAAGGAAAUUGAUAAAAUAGUAAGAACAUGUGUCUCCAAAGAGCCGAAACCUCCUUCAGAAUCAAGAAUGUUGAUUAGCCCUUCCAAUCCUCCCAUGAUUGACUCAAUGAGCGACUCAACAUAUAAAACUGCAUCUCGACCAAUUCUAGUUAACUGUAUCAACCAAUCAAUAUUCAGUAAAUUUCCCUUCAAAAGAUAAAAUAAAAUUUACAUAUAAAAUUUAGAGUAAGUUACAAUUUACAGUGGUGUCCAGGUCAAGAGCAUGAUAUUAACUGCAUUGUCGACUGUCAUUCCAGGUAUAACCUUCAUCAACACUUGCACAACGUAUUCCCUCUUGUUGUAGUUGUCAUUGUGUAGCAUCACUCUAUAUGGUGGUGCCAUUUUCCUUGAUUUCCUAAAAAAACAAAAAAAAGGUAAAUCGACCUAAUCUUUUACUAUAUGCAUUUCAAACUUUAUUAAAAGUGAUACAAUACCUCAAGUAUGAACAUUCCUAAUUGUAUGAAUAUUGAAAAUCAUACCUGGAACAUCCAUCCAUAACUAACUGUAUGAAUAUUGAAAAUAAUACCUAAUUGUAUGAACAUCCAUCCAUAACUAACUCAAGAUCCUGUUUCAAUAUCAAUUGCAAGAAUAGAACAAUCUGGAGAACCAGUGAGGAUCACUGAUGACAAAAACACACAUUCAAAAUCAAGUUUAAAGAAACAGCAACUAUGUUGCUACUGAGGGUAAAAAGUAAAUUACAUGGUUCAAGAGUAUAUAAAGUAUAAGGCGGCUAUUGUCGCCGCUCUCUGGGACCCACGAGCUAGCAUUCUUGGAGGUGGUCCAUGUUGAGGAGUUUUAGGAGCAGUAGUUGAUUUUGAAAAAGCAGAGGUUAAAGCUGCCAUGGCUGAUGCUCUUUGGGUGGCCCCACUAAGUUUAUUUCCUGGGGGCUUAACAUCUUGGCUCUGUUGUAAUAAAAUAAUAUGAUAGGGGCCACUUAAAAAAAAUUAAUCCAAAAAAAUACCUUUUUAUAUAAGAAAUGCCUCUGCUACACAGCCUGAGCCGAAGAGUUGCACAACCUUCUUGUGGAAUGCAUUUCCGUGAGCCUGGUUCCAUUGAGAAAGAGAAAAAUGAGAUACAAAUUAAUUAUUAAUUAUUAAUACAUAUGUAUACAUACAGUAGUUUUUGCAGGAUCCCAUGAGAAAUAUGUUGUGAAGAAGCAAGGUUCGUUUCCCUCUGUUACUCUGUAUAAUAUGACAGAUGGGGACAAGGAAUCCAUAGAUGCAGCCAGCUCUACAUAUUUCUGAAAUCAACUUACUAAAAAAACAUACCAACCAAUACAACGUAUAAUUUUGCAUUUGUAUAAUUAUUAUUAUUAUUAUAUGUACCUCGCCAGUUUCAAAAGCGUUUUGUUUUUCCGUUGACUGUGCUAAAUGACCAACCCAAACGAUGACCUCAGCAUGUGUAUCUAAUAUCAAGACAUCCUCUGGAAACAAGUCAUCUUGUUCAAAGCUGUGAACUUCUUCAAUCUCUAACUUUCCUAUAGAGGAAAAUAAGAUGAUAAAAACAGUUGGUGGAUAUAAUCAGCAAAAAUGGACAUGUGAAAGAUAGAUGAUGGUUGAUGGUUUUGAAACCUUUAUUGCUUAUUACUUCAAACAAGUGAGGUUCACGGAUGAUUUCCUGUGUUACUUUGCUACUUGAGUAGCUUUGUUUUCCACCAAGUGCAAGCCAGAAAGCUAAGCUCUCUUUUCCUUCUCUAGAGAAGUUUACAGGUACUCCAGACUAAAGAUAUAAGAAAAAAAGAGUUGAAUAAAUUAUCAAGGAUUGGAAAGGGGUAUAAAAGUAAAUAAAGAUGUAAGAUCAAUAAUUUAAAAAGCAUACCUUCAAAAGUUCAACAACUUUUGCUGCUAAUUGCUGCUGUUCAGGUGUACUCUGGUUUCCAUACCAGGUAGAAACCAUUGUACUGGAUUGUAGGAUAAAGCAGCUAUAUGAAUUUAAAGAUGUUGCAACCUGAAUGAGAUUAUGUAUGCACAUUGUCAAGUCNCAUCCUCUGGAAACAAGUCAUCUUGUUCAAAGCUGUGAACUUCUUCAAUCUCUAACUUUCCUAUAGAGGAAAAUAAGAUGAUAAAAACAGUUGGUGGAUAUAAUCAGCAAAAAUGGACAUGUGAAAGAUAGAUGAUGGUUUAUGGUUUUGAAACCUUUAUUGCUUAUUACUUCAAACAAGUGAGGUUCACGGAUGAUUUCCUGUGUUACUUUGCUACUUGAGUAGCUUUGUUUUCCACCAAGUGCAAGCCAGAAAGCUAAGCUCUCUUUUCCUUCUCUAGAGAAUUUUACAGGUACUCCAGACUAAAGAUAUAAGAAAAAAGAGUUGAAUAAAUUAUCAAGGAUUGGAAAGGGGUAUAAAAGUAAAUAAAGAUGUAAGAUCAAUAAUAUUUCAAAACUAAAUUUAUAUAUAAUCAGCAGUGCAACAAGUAAAAAAAGCUAUUAUAUUUAUGGUACCUGAACAGGUUUGCAUUUCAUAGAGUUGAACAUUGAAGUAGUUUGUUGAACAACUGUUUUUUGGUCCUCCUGUGAUCAGACAACAUAACAAGUCUUCAUCCCAAAUACACAAUUAAAGAUUUUUUUUUCUUAAAAAAAAAAAGAAAAGAAAUAAUAUGGUUUUAGUUUACCUGGAUGCUAUCCUUCCCAAUCCAACAGCACAGGUAGUGAUCUUCUUUCUUUUCAUCAGAAUGGUAGGAGUAAAGACAAAUAUAGCAAUCUCCACUAUAAAAUUUUCCAAUAUCCUCCUUGGGUAAUUCCGUCUUUUCUUCACCAUCAAUACGCCAUACCUAAAGAUCCCACAAUUAUUUUAUCUUUCUACAUUAAAUCUAAAUGUAGCAACAAGUUUAUGAUCUAAAACCUCAAUUUUUCCAUUUUCUCCAAGCAAAGGUGGAACUUCCUCCUCUACAGGAGCCGUUUUUGUCUGACCUUUGGCAAAAGCACCUUGUUGCUUCAGCAGAGCUAGUCAUUAGAACAAGAGUAGAACUUAGGGUAAGUUUUAGAAAAAGUCAAAACUAGCCCUAGAAAACUCAAACACCCAUGUCCCAUGUAACAAAAAUAUAUAUAAGAUAUAGAAUGAAUCUACCUGCUACUUUUCCUCUAGUUUCCUCAGGAGCAGAAGCUGCUGAAGCUACUGACCAAGAAGCAAAGUUGGAUUUAAAUGAACUUGUCUCAUGACCUUGAACAAUACGGGUUACAGGAGUUGACUUUGGCAGAUUUUCUUUGAGAAUAAACUCCUACAAGUGGUGGUUAUAUUAUAUAGGGGAGAAUCAAUAACAGAUACACAACAUAAAAGAUAAAAGAUAGUAAAAGGUAUAAGAGGGAGGAACCUCAGCAGCAUGCAUGACAGAUUUUUUAUCUGGCAAUGAUGUUGUUCGACCAACCCAAAUGAAUAAAUCGGUGCCACAGUAUAAAAGAUAACAUCUGUCAUUAUGUAAUGAUGAUUUUGAAAGUUCGUCUUCUAUUUCCUGAAAUUGACCUUUAACAAUGCUGCAUUCAAAAUAGUUGGAACAGUUUCAAGAUUUAUAGAUUAAUUUAAUGUACCCUAAUUGACCAAAAGAGUAAAUAGUACUUGUUACAUGUUACGAUUAAACAUUACAACUGAAAAAAUGGAAUUAUACCAGUAAAGUUUGGGGGGAGUUUUUUCAGGAAUUAUAUCAUCAUCACUUGAUACUUUCUUGCCGCCUAUAGGAGCAAAUCCACCAAAGAGGGCCCAAAAUUCAGCUGAUGGCCCCUCUGAUUGUAGCUUUCCCUCAUCUGCAACAUAUUUAAGAGAAUGAAAAACAGAAUAUAAUAAUAAUAAGUUAAUAAGAAUGAUGAUGGAUGGAUAAUUGAAUGUAUACAUUCAGUCAAUUGAUAGAUCAUCCAAUCAUAAAUAUUGAAAAAAAGGUAAUGAACAAGGAAGGGAUAGAACUUGGCUAACAAGUGCCCUACCAACAAUUGCAACAUUGCAGUUUCCCUCAUGAUAUAUUUCCUUCAUAUUCUUAACAACAUCUAAUGCUUUGAACCUUUCUUGAACAUUCGUGUUGGCCCCAUUGAACAUAAAGAUUUUAUCUUUAGUGUCCAAUAUGAACAUUUCAUCAUGAUUCAGGGUGGAGCGCGUAAAAGGGACCUGAAUAAAGAGCAGAAAGAUGUUUCAAAAGAUGAAUAAACAAUUGAUCUAAAAUAUGUUUGAAUUAUAUAUGCACCUGUUUCAAUCUGACAACUCGUUUUCCUUUACAUGUGUACAACCGUGGUUCAGGCUUUUCUUUUUCUUCUUUUUCUUCUCCAUCUUCUUCUUCUUCUUUUUUUCUUUUUCUUCUUCUUCUUCGGGUGUUUUGACUUCAGAUCCAAAACCUCCCUCAGGUGGAAUUAAACAUGGUUUAAAGUAUGACAAAAACCUAUUAGAUUCAUGACCUUGAAGUUCUCGAUACUCUACUGCACGAUUGCUAAGAACUGAAUCAAGCUCAACAACUUUUACAGCUGCUGCUCCAGCUUCAUCCUAAUUUACAUCAUGAAUUUGACUAUUUGUUACAGAUAUACACACAAGAAAUUUACAAAAAAACAUAGAAUGAAAUACCUGAUUAGCAUCUUUUCCCAACCAGAAAUGUAUAUUGUAAGUGUAUGCACCUGCCUUUCCAGUAGUCUGCAAGUAAACAAAUUGUUGAUAUGAGUAUCAAAUUUUACCAAUCUUAAAAUAUCAAGAUCCUUGAUGUAUUUUUGAAGUACCAAGUGCUAACAAUCUAGACCCUUAUUAUAAAAAUAAUACCUCAAAAAGAUUAUAGAAAAAAAUUUCAAGGUAACGGUACCUGUAGGAGAGAGAUUGACCACAAUUUCGUUGUUACUAUCUUGAAACCCUAAAGGAAUUUCAUGUCAAAGUCAAAUCCUUACAGGUUAAAUUCAGUUGCAACCAACCAGAAAUUAAUGAUGAUGAACCAACCAACCUACCAAAUUUUUUCUUCGUAUCUUCACAUAAUCAAUCAUAUGUAUCAUCUUCAAGUUGUUUGUAGUUCACCCUGUCACCAGUUUCUUCAUUUUACACAUCUUUUCUUCAACGAAAUCUUUUGAUGUUCAGUCUGACAUAAAAACAAACGGUUGGUGUGCACGAUAAGUGUUUGGAUACCGUAGAGAAAAUCCUUAAUUAGGGGAUUUUCACCUUUUUUUAAAACAAAUAGUAAAAUAGAGAGAAUGAUAAUAGAGAUAAUGAUACGAACUAAGUACACAGAUGUAAAAUUUCUAGUAAAUUCAGAAGAAAUUCAUUAAGUUCUUACUUUUUGUGAAGCAACCCCUGUUCUUGAAACCUUCAUAGCCAUGCCACUUUCCCCAUUUUGUUAAAUUUUUCUCUGGUUAAAUGUACAAAAAAAAACGAUAGUUAAGCAAACAGAACGAGAUCUGUAGUGGUGUAGCUAGAAAAAAAACAUACAUUUUGUGGAUUUAACAACCACAUCUUCAAGAACGAUGAAGGAGAAGAUAUGUUGGUGGUGAAAAGACAGUGGUGGAAUACAGCAGCUAGAGAGAGAAAAAUAGGAGGUGUGCGUUGAAGGUGUUGCUUCGGUAUGCUAGUGGUAGAGACGGAGGUGCGAUGAGUGAUUUGAGGUGUACAUGCGUGAGGCCCGACGGUUGUGAAUGGUCGAUGGCUGUGUAGGGUUAGAGAGAAUAAGGGAGAUCGAGAAUCGGUCUUAGUCAAUCGUAAAAACUAAAUAAAAAACUAGGGUUAAAGGAGGUUGAAGUUGAAGUAAGAAAUGACUAGUACUAGGGUUUACUGUGGAGCUUUAGUUAUCGGAUCCAAGUGUAUGGCGGCUCCAUCAUCGAAGGAUUUGGGAGGAAGAGGUAAACAUGAAAGAUUGCCUGAUGCUAAUAUCAUUCAUACAACUUCUUGAUGCUUUCGCCUCCUUCUUCGAUCUCUAGAUCUCUCGACGUCAUUGGAAAGAUUAAGGAAUAUCAUAGGUGUUCGAUUAUAUUAAAGGUGCUAGCCUGAAGCAGGGUUUUUAAUUUUUUAGGGUUGCAUUUCCCCCUGAAUGCGCGUUCUAUUAAAAUUUAUAAAGCGACAUCGUUAGACGACACACAUUUUAUCAUAGGUGUGUUAGAAAAUCAUGGGACCAUUCUAUAAAUGAACAUAUAUAUAUUGUUAUCAUUUAAAUCCAAAUAUUGUGGCAAGUGUAUAAGAUUGUUGAUGGACCGAUAUUCACUUACCAUUUGUGGCUUGAGAUCCCGGUUUGACUCAAGAUUCUCAAGAUCCCUUCCAUCUCUCACAUUAGGGUUUAUCUCCAUCUAUAAAUAUAUGUGAUGAGGAGCAAAUCAAAGUGAACGAAAUUACUUCACAAGUUCGUUUUUUUUUUUUAUUGCAAAGGGUUCUUAGAGCUGUCUUGAGAUCAACUGGAAAACCAAGCUUGUUCUUCAGAUCCAAAAGCUUCAAUGGAAGCAGGUACAAAAUCUCCUUCACCUAUUUUCUUUUAUCCAGAUUCGAGUUUAAGAUCUGGUCUUGAAAGCUUCCACAUAUAUAGAAUAAGUUAAUAAAAACUAACAAUUGGUAUAAGAGCUUUCUCGAAUUUGGUACUAGAAAUUUUAUGUUGGUUUAAGAUCUAUAACAUUAUAUUUAAACAUACCUGGUUCUUCUUCAUUACGUCGUGAAUUAUAUAUUUCUUCAUAUGCCUGAUUUUUCUUGACUGUUGAUUGAAAGAAGGGUGUGAGAUAUUAUAUUUGUACUAGAGAUCGCACGCUUCGUUAAAUAUUUUAUUAUUGUAUGUACUCAAUGCAACAACUUUGUUUGACAACCCAUUUGCUUUUCUGCUUGCUUUCUGACGUUGUUUUUCAAUUGUCAAUUUUCUACUAUUGAUUUUGACAAUGACCAUUCAAUGCUUGAAACUUGUACUAUAUGCACUAAAUUUCAUUAAUAUAUAACCAGACUUUGGUUCAUGUUUUGGUUGAAUUUACUAUUUAGCGAAAUUCAUGGUUCAUAAUAUUGUCCUGCGUGAAAAACUAAUAUUGUUUAGGUAAUUGGGUAAGAUUUGUCUGUGAGAUUAUUUUUUUUUGUAUAAUAUUCGAUCUUAUUAAAAUAACGACAACAUUUAUUCUCUUUUAAGUUAUUAUACAUAGAAUACCUUCAUUGAUAAAUCAACUUUAUUUGUUUAUAUUAUUUUGGUAUCGUUGUAAAAGAAAAAUAAAUAAAUAAAAUACUUCUAUGUUAUUAUCGUUUUAUUUGUUUAAGGCUUUAUUGUGUAAAUUAAAACUGCAUGGUUAUUUUAAAGUACUCAAUUUAAUAGCAGUUUAUUAUUGUCAUGUUCAAGUUAAUAAAUCUGUAUUUUAUUUUUUACCCGGUCAUUUUUUUUAUGGUUCGUCAAUAAAUUCAGUUGUGACAUUAUUUAUUUUCUUAGAAAAUUAAUUUUCUAAGAAUCUAAAUAUUACGGUUUAUGUGUUUAUUGUUGCGGAUACCAAUCGACCCAAAGGUAGGUUGAUAUUUUGUCGAAUAAACACAUAUAUGAUAAUGAAUAUGCGACAAUUAUUUUUGGUUACAUGUCGUUAACAAGUCAAUCCAAAGAGGGGCUUGUUAAACGAGAUGAAUUAUUGUCAAAUAUUAUUAUUAAAUUUUAUGGUUUAUGUGUUUGUUAAUGCGGAUAUUAAUCGACCCAAAGGUAGGUUAAUAUUUGGUCGGAUAAACAUACAUAUAUAUAGUGGUAAAUAUAUGAUAAUUUUUGGGUUUCAUGUGAUUAAUUAGUCAAUCCAAAGAGGGGCUUAUUAAUUAACAUGUUUUAUUGUCAAUAUUUUUACUACUAUAACAAGAUAUCUCUUAAAAAGUUAAUAUUGUUGUUCAAGGACUUGAUAUUAAUGUUGUGUUGAUACCUUGUGAUGUCAUAAUUUGAAUUUUAUUGAUUAUAGUUAUGGUUUAAUGAGCAUAAAAACUAAUUAAUAUUUUGUUCUGAAAUACAGCAAAUGCUAAUUGUGGCAUAAUAUCUUCCAACUUGAAUCACAUUCCAGUUCUCAAUGGAACUAACUUCAAGGAAUGGAAAGAGAACAUUAUGUUAGUUCUCGGCUGCAUGGAUCUUGACCUUGCACUUCGGAUUGAGCAACCCAUCCUUACUGCCACAAGUUCAGUGGAAAAUAAAAGGGAUGCUGAAAAAUGGGAUCGCUCAAAUCGCAUGAGUCUAAUGAUCAUUAAGCGCGGCGUUCCAGAAGCCUUUAGAGGUGCAAACGAGCAGUCUAUUAAUGCUAAAGAUUUUCUUGCUGAAAUUGAACAACGUUUUGCAAAAAAUGAUAAGGCUGAAACAAGUACUUUUUUGCAAAAGAUGAUUUCAAUGAAGUAUAAAGGCAAAGGAAACAUAAGGGAGCACAUCAUGGAGAUGUCUCAUCUUGCUUCAAAACUUAAGGCGUUGAAACUAGAAAUUUCUGAUGAUUUUCUAGUUCAUUUGGUAUUGCUUUCUCUUCCUGCACAAUUUAAUCAGUUUAAGGUCAGUUACAACUGCCAAAGGGAUAAAUGGACUCUUAAUGAGCUCAUUUCCUUUUGUGUGCAAGAAGAAGAAAGGAUGAAGCAGGAAACAACUGAAAGUGCUCAUUUUACUAGUACCUCUAAAGGUAAGGGCAAAAGAAAGAGAAAAGAAGCUGCUACUAAGGGACCAGUGCAAAAGAAACAACAUUUAGGCAAUGAUCAAAAGAAAAAGGAAUCGGGACCUCCUAAAUGCUUCUUUUGUCAAGAACCUAGUCACUUGAAGCCGGAUUGUCCAAAAUACCACGCUUGGCGAGUUAAGAAAGGUAUAAUCCAUGCUUUAGUCUGUUCUGAGGUUAAUUUAGUUUCUGUGCCUAGAAAUACUUGGUGGAUAGAUUCUGGUGCUACUACUCACAUAAGUGUUUCUAUGCAGGGUUGCCUGAACUACCGAAAACCAAAUGAUGUUGAAAGAUAUAUCUAUGUGGGUGAUGGCAAGCAAGUUGAAGUCAAAGCAAUUGGCACAUUUCGUUUAUUACUAGAUACUGGUUUUUAUAUGGAUUUUCAAGAAACUUGCAUUGUACCGUCUUUUAGACGCAAUUUGGUUUCUGUUUCUAAAUUGGAUAAAUCUGGUUAUUAUUGUUCUUUUGGAAAUGGUGAAUUUAAUUUGUCUUUAAAUUCAAAUAUUAUCGGUAUUGGUUCUCUAACGUAUUGUGAUAAGUUAUAUAUGCUUGAUAUUGUUACUUCAUAUAAUGAAACCUUGCACGUGGAUUCACGUGGUACUAAGCGAAAAUUAAAUAAUGAAAAUUCAGCAACAUUAUGGCACAAACGCUUAGGCCAUAUCUCAAAAAUGAGAAUUGAUAGGCUUGUGUCAGAUGGAGUGUUAAGUAACCUCAACUUCACAGAUUUAAAAAUUUGUGUUGAAUGCAUCAAGGGAAAACAGACAAAAACCAAAAGAUUAGAUGCCACUAGGUCUUCAGAUGUCUUAGAAUUGAUACAUACAGAUAUUUGUGGACCAUUCCCUUCGGCUUCAUGGAAUGGUCAACAAUAUUUUAUAUCAUUCAUAGACGAUUACUCACGUUAUGGGUAUCUAUAUCUUAUUCAUGAAAAAUCUCAGUCACUGGAAGUGUUCAAAUCUUUUAAACUUGAAGUUGAGAACCAACUUAAUAAAAAGAUUAAAUGUGUAAGAUCUGACCGUGGUGGUGAGUACUAUGGCAGAUAUGACGGAUCAGGUGAACAACGUCCAGGACCUUUUGCUAAAUUCCUAGAGGAAUGUGGAAUCGUCCCACAUUACAUAAUGCCAGGUUCGCCUAGCAUGAAUGGUGUAUCUGAAAGACGCAACAGAACUCUUAAGGAUACGGUAAGGAGUAUGAUAAGUCAUUCUACUUUACCAGAGCCACUUUGGGGUGAAGCACUUAAGACUGCAGCUUACAUUCUGAAUAGAGUACCAACUAAAGCAGCUGUUAAAACACCUUAUGAGCUUUGGACAGGGAAAAAGCCUUGUUUAACUCAUCUUCGUAUCUGGGGAUGUCCAGCUGAGGCAAGGCCUUAUAGGCCAAAUGAAAAGAAAUUGGACUCCAAAACCGUUAGCAGCUACUUCAUUGGCUAUUCUGAACGAUCCAGGGGUUAUAAGUUUUAUGAUCCUGCAACAAAAUCAAUUUUUGAAACAGGAACUGCAACGUUUUUUGAGGAUGUUGAGUUUGGGGGGAGAAAUAAGGUUAGAGACAUUGUCUUUGAGGAGGAAUCAAUCUCGAUUCCUACUGUUACUUUUGACAAUACACAAAUUAAUGUGCCUGUCGGAGAAGAAGUAAUUCAGGAACCUCAACAAGACAAUGUUAUUCACUCUCCUGUUCAUAAUGAACAACCUCAACAACCUCAACUUAGGAGAUCCACUAGAGAAAGGAGAAGUGCAAUCCCUUCGGAUUUCCAUGUAUAUCUCCAAGAAAAUGAAGAACCAGAUGGAAUGAUUGAAAAUGAUCCAAUCAACUUCUCUCAGGCCAUGCAAAGUUCAAAUUCUCAAAAGUGGAUUGAUGCCAUGAACGAGGAGUAUAAGUCCAUGCAGGACAAUAAAGUUUGGGAUCUUGUUCCAUUACCUGAAGGUACGAAGCCUAUUGGUUGCAAAUGGAUUUUUAAGACCAAAAGGGAUUCAAAAGGUAAUGUGGAAAGACAUAAGGCACGUCUUGUAGCUAAGGGCUAUACUCAAAAGGAAGGAAUUGAUUUUAAAGAGACAUUUUCUCCAGUUUCAACAAAAGACUCUUUUAGGUUGAUCAUGGCACUAGUUGCACAUUAUAAUCUUGAGUUACAUCAGAUGGAUGUUAAGACAACAUUUCUCAAUGGUGACAUUGAUGAAACUAUAUAUAUGGUGCAACCAGAAAACUUUGUAUCGAAAGAAUCAAAGGAAAUGGUUUGCAAACUAAAUAAAUCUAUCUAUGGACUCAAGCAAGCCUCCCGCCAGUGGUACCACAAGUUUCAUCAGAUAAUUGUCUCAUUUGGUUUUGAGGCAAAUAUAGUAGAUGAUUGUGUAUAUCACAAGUUCAGUGGGAGUAAAUAUAUUUUUCUGGUCUUGUAUGUUGAUGAUAUAUUACUUGCCACCAAUGAUUUAGGGGUCUUAUAUGAGACCAAGAAAUUUCUUUCGAAGCAUUUUGAGAUGAAAGAUCUUGGGGAAGCCUCAUUUGUAUUAGGAAUCCAAAUUCAACGAGACAGAUCUCGUGGAAUUCUAGGAUUAUCACAAAAGAGCUAUAUUGAAAAGAUCCUUGAAAGAUUUGGCAUGCAAAACUGCAAACCAGGAGACACCCCUAUUUCAAAAGGAGACAAAUUCAGUCUCGAUCAAUGCCCUAAAAAUGACCUUGAAGUUAAAGAGAUGCAGAAGAUUCCUUAUGCAUCGGUUGUUGGGAGUCUUAUGUAUGCUCAAGUGUGUACACGUCCCAACAUAUCUUUCAUUGUAGGGAUGUUGGGGAGAUAUCUAAGCAACCCAGGUAUGGACCAUUGGAAAGCAGCCAAACGGGUUUUAAGAUAUCUACAGAGAACAAAAGACUACAUGCUCACGUAUAGGAAAUCAGAUGUUUUGGAGAUCAUUGGGUACUCUGAUUCUGAUUUUGCUGGAUGCCAAGACAGUUAUCGAUCCACAUCAGGCUACAUUUACUUAUUAGCAGGAGGAGCUAUUUCAUGGAAGAGUGCUAAACAAACUUUAGUAACUUCUUCCACCAUGGCGGCAGAAUUUGUAGCAUGUUUCGAGGCAUCAGAUCAUGCAAUAUGGCUGCGGAACUUAGUCACGGGGCUGCGUAUUAUUGGUAUUGAAAGACCACUAAAGUUGUAUUGUGACAAUAAGUCAGCAGUGUUGUAUUCCAACAACAACAGAAGUUCCACAAAGUCAAGGCAUAUUGACAUUAAGUUUCUUAUUGUUAAAGAAAGAGUGCAAAAUGGAAAAAUCGCAAUAGAGCACAUCGGGACAAACUCCAUGAUAGCGGAUCCGCUCACGAAGGGAUUACCUCCCAAGGUCUUUCAUGAGCAUACUACACACAUGGGUGUGAUAAAUAUUGAUGAUAUUUUGUUUUAGUGGGAGUUUUACAAUUUAUUUUUGGGUGCUUUAUUUUGGUUUAAGAACAAUUAUGUUUUUCUGUACAGACUUAAGAAUUCGGUAAAUUUCAUUAUUAGUUGCACUUAUUUGAAGUUUGAUCUCACUUCAAGUUAAAGAGGAACUCGUCGGAAAUCAAUUUUGAUUUUGUGACCACGCAUCAUGUUUAAUCUAUGUCGUUAGUUAUACUUAUAUAUGUGACCAUUGAUGGUUUAGUUACAUACAUUGUAACAAAGACCGCAUUGAUCCUAUACAUUUAUGAUUAAUGGACAAGACUAUUUAAGGGUACCAAUAUCAUGAUAACAUACAUUAAAGCGCUAAUAUGGUUAUAUGUACAUUUAUAUAUUCAUGGUCUAGUGGGAGAUUGUUAGAAAAUCAUGGGACCAUUCUAUAAAUGAACAUAUAUAUAUUGUUAUCAUUUAAAUCCAAAUAUUAUGGCAAGUGUAUAAGAUUGUUGAUGGACCGAUAUUCACUUACCAUUUGUGGCUUGAGUUCCCGGUUUGACUCAAGAUUCUCAAGAUCCCUUCCAUCUCUCACAUUAGGGUUUAUCUCCAUCUAUAAAUAUAUGUGAUGAGGAGCAAAUCAAAGUGAACGAAAUUACUUCACAAAUUCGUUUUUUUUAUUGCAAAGGGUUCUUAGAGCUGUCUUGAGAUCAACUGGAAAACCAAGCUUGUUCUUCAGAUCCAAAAGCUUCAAUGGAAGCAGGUACAAAAUCUCCUUCACCUAUUUUCUUUUAUCCAGAUUCGAGUUUAAGAUCUGGUCUUGAAAACUUCCGCAUAUAUAGAAUAAGUUAAUAAAAACUAACAAGGUGCCCUCCGUGUUUUUUUAGACACUAAUUUUAGGGCACGUGGAAAUGCGUAUCCUAAAUCCUUUAAAUUUUGCCAGAGAUGACAUUAUUUUUUGGACACACACAGUUGCGUAUCAUAAAUCACCGGGUGUCAUGGUUUGCGCGUCGUAAAAGGCUGUUUUUCUAGUAGUGUCGAAAGACAAAAUUCUUAUUAUUGGUGUAUAUGUUGAUGACUUGAUCAUUACCGGUUCGAACAUCAACGACAUUACUGAAUUCAAGGAACAAAUGAAGAAAGAAUUCAAAAUGAGUGAUUUGGGAUUACUUUGUUACUACCUUGUAAUCAAAGUUUCGUAAAGGAAGUAGGGAAUAUCUUUGCACCAAACGGCUUAUGCAAAGAAGAUUUUAGAGCAAUUUGGGUUGCUAGAUUGCAAUCUGACAACAUCACCAAUGGAACCUAAGUUAAAAGCUAAGAAGGAUGAAGAUGGUGAAAAAGUUGACCCAUCCGAAUAUAGGCGAGUGGUAGGUUGUUUGAGGAACUUGACUCACACUUGACCUUACUUAUCAUUUUCUGUUGGAAUUGCAAGUCGUUUCAUGGAGGAACCAACCACUUUAUAUUUUCAAGUUGUGAAACACAUCUUAUGAUACGUGAAAGGAACUGUUCAUUAUUCAUUAUGGACUUAAAUAUGGAAAAGAUCGUGAAAUUGAAGAUUUGGUUGGUUUUACUGAUAAUGAUCUCGGAGGUGACCCUGUUGAUAGCAAGAGCACAAGUGGGAUGAUUUUCUAUCUAGGAAGAAAUGCAAUAAUUUGGCAAUCCCAAAAGCAAACGAUUGUUGCUUUGUCCACAUGUGAAGCUGAGUUCAUAGCAGCUACAACAACAACAUGUCAAGCCAUUUGGCUUGCUAAUCUCGUGAAGAGCUCACGGGACAUCAUAUCAUGCCUAUCACCUUAUACGUUCAUAAUAAAUCAGCAAUCGCAUUGAUAAAAAAAUCACGUGUUUCAUGGUCGAAGCAAACACAUUGACAUUCGUUAUAACUUCAUACGAGAAUAUGUAGAACAUUGGCAAAUUAUAGUGGAAUAUGUCAACUCGAAGGAUCAAUUGGCGGACAUCUUUACAAAGGCUUUAGUAUACGUGAAACAUGGUGAAUUGCGAAACAUGAUCGACGUGACGAUUCUCGAGCCAAGUUCGGUUUAAAGGGGAGAAUGUGAGUGUAAACCUAACUUAGGUGACUUGGGUAUGGACCUGACAUGAGUAGCUACACCACCCUCUUCUGUUGACAAAUGAAUGCCUCCUUUGUUGACAAUAACAACUAGAAAUGGCAGCCACUUUAUCUCAUACAAUGAACACAAUAAAUUGCCAUGGUACUUAUAGUGGCUAGCUUUAGUAUAAAUAGAUAUUGUAAUCUCAGUUGUAAGGCACCACAAAACAAAGAGUGAUAGAGAAAUACUUAGAGUGAGUAUAUGUAAUACAAGAUUCUUUUAUUUUCUUGUAAUAUUGAGCUAGUAAGCUCCUCCUUUUGUUCUAGUUUUGAAUAAAAGUGUGUUUCAAUCCCAACAAACAAUAUAUGUGUGAUUAAUCAUAUUAUACAUUACAUCCCCAAUGAACGAGUAUUGAAGGGUAUAAGCGUCAUUUUAUAAAACCUGAUUAGAAAAUAACGAUAGUAUGCCACUUUCGACACAAAAAAUUAAAAACUACACGCCCAACAAAAUCUGCUUGCUUCCCUAUAUUAAUAUUUGAAAAAAAAUGGAUAUUAGUCAUCUUGAUAAAAUAUUGUAUUGGUAGAGAAAACUAUUAAAGUAAAAACAACAAUUUUGAAGUUCUUUACCUUUUUUCUGGAUAGGACGAUUACAUCUGCAAGUGUAAUGGGUCAAGGAGGAGAGAGAUAGCACUAUGGAUGCAUCAUCAUUUUACGUUGCAACUGCCAAGCAUUGUAAGAGUUCAAAGGUAUGGCCAUUUGGGUUUGAGAGCGAAGCACCGGAAUCUAUUAGGGUUUGAGGGUGAUGAAAAACUGAUAUACUAACCUAAAUUAUCCAUGUUAUAACGAAAAACUCGAUAACAUUGCAGCUUGAUUACGUUCCAGAUUCUUUGCUAGUCAAUCGAAUUCAAAUAGAAAGAGGAUUAUAUUACCGAUUUAUUGGAAUAAGAUCAUAUACCAAAGGAAAGAUAAUGGGAUAAAAAUCUGAGCCAGAGUCUAAAGCCGAAGGGCAAAAAUGGUAUUUCACAUUUUAAAAUACUGAAUGUGGAGGAGAUGACGCGUGCCUUAAAGGUACUCUUUCAUUAUAAUAGGAGAGGAGAUAAAUUUUCCUACAUUUUUCUUUACUAAGAUUGAUAUAAAGGGCAGUUACACCAGCCGCUGACUCGCUGGUUACACCAUAACUGAUUACGGGAGGCCCAGUAAUAAAACUUUGGCAUGGCAAUUGUAACAGUUAAUUAAAGGCCCAGUUAUCUACAAUUGCCUUUUAUAUUCUGCAGUGGUUGAUAAUAGCUAGAAGGUGCAAAAUGAAUAUUAAAAUUGUUUUAGCUUCAAAAUAUUACCUACUCCCUUUUAUAUAUAUCAAUGUUCCAGAAGUUGACAUGAAAUUUGUCAACUGCCAGCUACAAUAUACAAAAUCAUAUUAAAGAUUCACUCACUAAUAAUAUUUACAUACCAAAUGUUCACAUGAUUUGGCCUUUAGGUAGUAGAUUAUGCAACUGUUGACUUUUUAAGACUAAUUCAACCUCUAAGUUAUAUGCUUAUAAAAAUCAAAGAAAUGUUAAUCGAGUUAUAGAGCUAAUGAAAAGUAAAGAAAACAAAGUGAGCUGAAUAGUGGAGACAGUUUCACCCAUCUAAACACUAAAUUCACAAUUGACAAUCUAGAUAGCAAAUACCUUGUAUAAAAGAUUAGAGACAACAAAAGUGGUAAGAGAUAAGAUCUUGCAAAAAAUAGUGGUUAUAACGUGUCUGUUUUUGUAUUCAUUGAGAUAAAUAUUGCUACCUACAAUGCUCUUAUAUCAAACAGUUCAUGAAGCGAUAUUCAGAACUUCAAAUCCACAAUCCAAAUUUUCAGAAUUAAUAUGGUCAAGUAGAUAAGCUACAAACUAGCCAUUGGCAAUGAAACUAUUUCAGUACCCAACAAAAAAGCUAUGCAAGUAUGAAUAUGGAUAUUGAAAUGAAACAGAUUGUUAUGCUUAAACUUUGGAAAAUCUAAAUUUGGUUCAUCAAACAGAUUAAUCAGCUUAAAUCCAUCAAUUUUGCAACUUGAGUUUCAUAUUCAUCCACAACCACCAUUGACGUCAUCAUCAAGAGUAAACAUGUUACAAAAAAAAUGAAAGCUUAUUCCAGAUAUUUCUUAGGCGUGGCAAAUUAAUAAUUCAAUGAGAGAUCACAUCAUUCUUGUUUUGAGAUUUCACUCAGGAAUUUUAUCAAACACAUAGCGAGCAUGUAAAAUUACCAAACAGAAACUUGUUCAGACGGACGAUCAGUGAGCAUGGAAACUCAAAACGCUUGUUGGAACCUUAUAAAGAAAACAAAAAAGUCAAAAAACCUUAGUUGCGUUGCCUAUGGAAAAUCAACUUGCAUCGAUUAGUAGAGAAAUACAUGGAGAUAUACAUAUAUAUACAUACAUACACGCUGAAACAUUUUCUUCAAUUAAUGGGUGGUCAAAAUCUAGAGAUAAAAUUGAUUAGAAUACAUUCGUUGCAACUUGUUUUCAGAUGAAUACAUGUUUUAAUCUGGCAAUGAUAGAUACACAUAGGGAUAUGAUUCAUUUGAAAAUGCCAAGAAAACGGUGUCAGCUGCUUGGAACAUGUAAAAAAUCGUUAUAAGAUAUGUUGUCCUACAAAAUGACGGAUUAAUUACUCUAGAAAAUAGUUGAUUAAGAAGAUAACCUCAUUGAACAUAUUUUGGUUUUUGGAUAUAAAUGAUGUUAUUAGAUGUAGAACUCAAACUUCCAUAUUAGAAACAUAUUUAAAAAAAUCGCUUAACUAAUUUCAACUGAUGUGGAAAAAUGCUGAUUAUUAAAAUGAUUUGAAAUAAAAAAAUCACAUACUCCCUGUUCAUGUUGUCCAGGGGUUGAUUCGCAUGUGUUGGCUUCCACCUUGAAGUGCAAAGUAAUAUAAAAAAUAAAGAGUAAACGAGUGAUUAAAUAAAUAUUGUAUUUUAACAGCCAGCUAGCUAGGUGGAAAAGAUAUUAUAAACUGUUGACAUGAACAAUGGCUUGAAAUCAAUAUAAAGAAUGGCCUGAAUCCUUCUUUUUUCUGCACUCAUUUUAUCUGCAUCCCCAACAUACAUACAUACCAAGUGCUCCCAUUUUACCUGUACACUAAAAGCGAUGACUGAGUUAGUUGUUUCUGCCUUUUUUUCAUUGUUCUUUAAUAAGCUGACCUCUGAAGCCUUGAACAAGAUUGCCUGUGACGAGGGAAUCGAGUCUGAGCUCAAGAAGCUGAAGAUGUCAUUAGAUCAGAUCCAAGCUCUGCUUAAUGAUGCUUCUCAGAAGGAGGCAACUAAUGAAUUUGUUAGAAGAUGGCUGAAUGGUCUCCAACAUUUGGCUUACGACAUAGACGAUGUUCUUGAUGAUCUGGAAACCGAAGAUAUGGAACGUGAGUUCACUGAGAACUCUGGAUCCACCAUAAGCAAGGUAAGACAGCUUAUCCUGACUUGUUGCACAAAUUUCUCACUAAGUUCUAGGAUGCAUGGCAAGUUAGAUGAUAUUGUCACCGAGUUACAAGAACUAGAAAAGGCAAAAACUAAUCUUGGUUUAAGUGUGAUAACAAAUGAAAUGGCAAAAGUUAAAAGACAUGAGGCCAGUUUGGUAGAUGCAAGUGUUAUAGUUGGACGUGAAGGUGAUAAGAACGCAUUUGUUCAAAAGUUGUUAAGGGGUAAAGAUGAAUCGUCUACUCAAAACUUUAGCAUCGUGCCAAUAGUUGGUAUGGGUGGGGUAGGUAAAACAGCUUUAGCUAGGCUUUUAUAUGAUGAAAAGGAAGUGAAGGAUCACUUCCAAGUCAGGGCUUGGGUUUGUGUUUCUGAUGAAUUUGAUAUUUUUAGUAUAAGCAAAGUGAUUUAUCAAUCUGUGACUAGGGAAACCAAGGAAUUCACAAAUUUAAAUAUGCUUCAAGAAGCUGUUAGAGAGAAACUUAAGGACAAACUAUUUUUAAUAGUGUUAGAUGAUGUAUGGUCUGAAAGCUAUGAUGAUUGGGAUAAGUUAGUGGGCCCAUUUCUUAUGGGGGCUCCUGGAAGUAGAAUUAUCAUGACAACUCGGAAGGAGCAGUUGCUUAGAAAAAUGGGUUACACUCAUCUAGAGCACUUGCCGAGUCUGUCACAUGAUGAUGCUAUGCGUUUAUUUUCUCAACAUGCAUUGGGUGUAGAUAACUUUGAUUCACAUCCAAUACUUAAGCCCCAUGGUGAAGGGUUUGUAAAAAAAUGUGAUGGCUUGCCUUUAGCUUUAAGAGUACUUGGACGAUUAUUGAGGACGAAAACAGAUGAAGAAGAAUGGAAGGUGUUGUUAAACAGUGAGAUUUGGAGGUUAGGAAAUGGAGAUGAGAUUGUUCUGGCUCUUAGACUAAGCUAUAAUGAUCUUUCUGCCUCUUUGAAGCUGUUGUUUGCAUAUUGCUCCUUGUUCCCCAAGGACUAUGUGUUCGACAAGGAGGAGUUGAUUCUGUUGUGGAUGGCAGAAGGGUUUUUGAAACACUCUACUACAAGCAAGUCCAUGAAAAGCUUGGGUCACGAAUAUUUUGAAGAGCUGUUGUCUAGGUCGUUUUUUCAACAUUCGUCUGAUGACGAAUCAUUGUUUAUGAUGCAUGACCUCAUGAAUGACUUGGCCAUUUCUGUCGCUGGAGAUUUUUUUUUAAGGUUAGAUAUUGGGAUGAAGGAGUACGGUAGGAAGGAUGCUUUGACAAAGCUCCGCCAUAUGUCAUUUGUUUGUGAGCAUUUCAUGGUUCACGAAAGGUUCAUGCCACUCAAAGGAGUUAAAAAUUUGAGAACAGUUUUAACAUUGUCUUUAGGGGUGGUAAAAAGUUGGGAGAUGAUUUUCAUAUCGAAUAAGGUCAUAAAUGACUUACUUCAGGAGUUACCAUUGUUAAGGGUCCUAAGUUUGAGCAAUCUUAGCAUAAGCGAGGUGCCAGAAGUCGUUGGAAGUAUGAAGCAUUUGCGGUAUCUUAAUCUAUCCCGGACUGAAAUCCAGAAUUUACCGGAAAAUGUUUGCAAUCUUUAUAAUUUACAGACGUUGAUUGUUUCUGGCUGUAAGUAUUUAUUUAAGUUGCCCGAGAACUUCUCAAAGCUUAAAAAUUUGCAGCAUUUUGACAUAAGGGAUACUCCGCUAUUGAAGAAGAUGCCCUUAGGGAUUGGUGAGUUGAAAAGGUUACAGACUCUCUCCAAGAUCAUUAUUGGAGGUGAAUCCGGCUUCUCAUUAACCAAGCUUAAGAACUUGCAAAAUCUGCAUGGUAAAGUUUUUAUAGAGGGGCUGGGAAAUGUGGAAAAUGCAAUGGACGCACGUGAGACGAACUUCUCGCAGAAACGACUUACUGAGUUAGUGUUGGAUUGGGGUUCUGAGUUUAAUGUUUUUCGAACGGAAACUCAAGAAAUGGAGAUCCUCAAUGAGCUGAAGCCUCAUAAUGGCACUCUAGAAAAACUCCGAAUUGAGUCAUAUAGAGGUAUAGAGUUUCCAAAUUGGGUUGGGGAUCCCUCCUUUUGUCGAUUGACUAGAGUGUCGAUAGAUGGCUGUGAAGAAUGUACAUCUCUACCAAGACUUGGGCAACUACCAUCACUGAAGGAGCUAUUUAUUGGUGAGAUGAGUACGGUGAAGGUUGUAGGUUUGGAUUUACUUGGAACCGGCCUUGCAUUUCCUUCACUUGAAAUCCUACGGUUUGAGAGUAUGUCAGGGUGGGAGGAAUGGUCAACAAAUAGUGGGGCGUUUCCUUGCCUUCAAGAGCUUCAUAUUGAAGAUUGUCCUAAUCUGGUUCAAGUCUCACUUGAAGAACUGCCUUCAUUAAGGGUUUUAAAGGUAAUAAAAUGUGGUCAUGGUUUAUUGAAAAGCCUGGUUGAUGUGGCUUCAUCAGUUACUGUGUUGGAAAUAGACGAUAUUUGGGGGCUUACUGAUAAAUUGUGGAGAGGUGUGAUAGGGUAUCUUGGGACAGUUGAAGAAGUAAGCAUCAGAGGGUGUGAUGAAAUAAGAUACUUGUGGGAAUCAGAAGCAGAGGCAAGUAAGGUUCUUAUGAAUUUAAAGAAGUUGGAUUUAGGAGAAUGUGAAAAUUUGGUGAGUUUAGGGGAGAAAGAGGAGGAUGAUAGUGGGAGCAGCCUAACAUCAUUUAGGAGGUUGAGAGUAUGGGAUUGUAACAGCUUGGAGCAUUGCAAUUGUCCAGAUAGUCUUGAGUCAUUGAUGAUUCAUGGUUGUGAUUCAGUUACAUCCGUCACCUUCCCAACAGAAGGAGAGCAGAAGCUCAAGUCACUUUCCAUCACCGAUUGCAAGAAACUAUCCGAAGAAGAGUUGGGAGGAAGAGAGAAGACAAGAAUGCUUAUAAACUCAAAAAUGCAGAUGCUUGGCUCUGUAAUUAUACAUAAUUGGCCAAAUCUGAAAUCCAUCAAUGAAUUGAGUUGCUUCAUUCACCUCACCUGGUUGACAAUAUCAGAGUGUCCAAGUAUGGAUUCAUUUCCUGACCAUGAGUUGCCAAAUCUCACCUCUUUAACACAUCUGACAAUUCAAAAGUGUAAAAGUAUGGACGCAUCCUUUCCUCGUGGGAUUUGGCCACCGAAAUUGAGUUAUCUUGGAAUAGGAGGUUUGAAGAAGCCCAUCUCAGAGUGGGGCCCACAGAAUUUCCCAACCUCACUUGUUAGCCUAAGAUUAUAUGGGGGACUAUAUGAUGAUGUGAAAAACUUUGAUCAAUUGUCACAUCUUUUUCCUUCAACUCUUACAUAUCUUGAAAUAAAUGGAUUUCAGAAACUGAAAUCGAUUUCAAUGGGACUCCAACACCUCACAUCCCUUCAACGUCUCUACAUCUUCAACUGCCCAAAGGUGAUAGAUCUACCAGAAAGAUUGCUGCCUUCACUUCUUGUAUUGUGGAUUGAAGGAUGCCCAAAUUUGAAAGAAAGGAUCAGAAGAGGAGGCUCCUAUUGGCCCCACAUCUCCCUUAUCCCCUGCUUUGAGAUAGACUCUUUAAUAACAAGUUCAACUUGAAGGUACGCCCCUCUUUGUGCCUUUGACUUCAUUUAGUUUUAUUAUGUACAAAUUGAACAAUUGAUUUGCUCAUUCAAACAAAUAUAAUCUGUAUACAAGUAUGUAGUUCCUCAAAAAUUAUGUUUGUGUCUAAAUCUUUAGUUAACAUGAAUUUGCUUACUGAUUUUUGGAUUGUACUGUUUUAUUUUUAGUUUAUGAAUAUGACUAUGGUUAAUAUGGUUAUCGUCAUAGAAGGGUGAUCACCAUGAAUUGCAAAAUGAAUGAAAAUGGUUACCAAGUCAAAUACUUUAGAAUUGAAAUAAGUAUUAAAUUUGAACAGGGAUUUGUUGUAGAAUUAUCAUUAUUUGUUAACGUUGUAAUAUACCUUAAUUAUGAAAUCAUGAUAAUAAUAAUAAUUUAAUAAAGUUUAGACAAACCGAUACAAAUAUGUUUAAAUCAUGAAUAUAUUCGACGAUGUAUCAUCUAAAAACUACCAGGGUUGUACCCAUGAAUAUAUUCCAUUUUCACACCUUUAAUUCUUUAAAUAUGAUUCCAUACAUUUGUCAAAUUUCAUUUGAACACUAUUUAAUUUAAAUUCAUGGCUUAUUAAUUGAUUUGAAAUUUAUUUUUGUCAAAAUUCCACACUUACAGCUAAGCAAUAAAACAUGAAAGGUCGGAGUCUGCAAUGAAUUUUGAAAUAAAAGCAUUAGAGGAAAUAAAAGAUCAAAUAUUGACUUACAGGGGAAGACAUUGAUAUGGUGCUGUUUCUGCUGUACACGGUUGGUUUCUGUUGGAAAACAAACCCUUAUGUUGCCAGUGAUUUCCAGAAUUUACUUCUUAUUUUCUUGUUCUAAAUUUGUUUGAAAUGGAAUCUUGAUUUAUAGGUGAAUGACUUACUUUCCAACAAUCAUCCAGGGAAAUUAAGUGCAGAAGUCCUGUUGAUGAAGCUUCAAUGCUUUUUAUGUGCCAACAUCUUUUCAAUCAUUCAAACUACGCUCAAUCUCUUCAAAACCUCUUUGUUGCAAUCUUGUUAUGCUUUUACAUCACUUUGUAAAGGUCUCUAUUUAUCUGAUUGUUAGAUUGAUUGUCUAAUUUCUACGGUCAAUGUCGGGAAAAUAUCACUGUAGCCCUAUAAAAUCUUGCCUUUUAUUUUAAAAGGCCCAUUGUAUUUUUUUAGUAGCCUAGGGGCUUAAAGUCCAAUGUUACAUGUUAAAAAAGCCAUUAUCGACAAAAUGUAAGGGUGAACCAGUCAUCUUUUAUAAUCCUCCAUAGCUUCAAAUAAACUGAACUACAAGUCAAACCCUUAAUCUUUGUGUUGCUCUAUUCUUAAUGGUAUUCCCUACGUGAACAAGAGUCCAACUUCUGGGGAUUUAAUCGUGUUUCGUUUCAAGGAAAUAUUUGUGCAAAACAACCACAUGAAUGAAAUACUCGAAGUGGAAUCUUUUCUGAAUGCUUGGUCCAUUUGGGUCAACCGAGACGAAAAAAGACCCCAAAGGAAUCAAACCUUUUUGUUGUGAUUUUCUAAUAUAUGUUUUUGGUGAUGAAUAAUUGAUGACAUAUGCAUAAGCCUUAAAAGGGUCGUCCACUUAAUCAUUAUCAAACAUGUCGUACGUUACAAGUUAUCAAUGCUUAUUUCUGGCAUACGAGUCAUCAUUCAUGAGUAUCACCACAAAGAAACUCAAAGCAAUCAACAUGAUGUUCAAGCAUUGCAUCACAAACCAUCCUUCUGAAGAGGCAUAUCUGAGAGAUAGUUUUUUUGGUCAUCCACCACAAUACUCACCAACUUAUUCUAGCUUACAUCCAACACACUUAAUUUGUAAAGACAUGCCACCUCCUUCGACAAACACCCCGCUAUAUUUGUGUUGGUUAGCAACAACAAUAGUUCUUCCAUCGUGUGUGCGAAGUUUGCUAUGCUUGGUAGGAGUCAUCCUCCUAAGUUGUUCUUCACAAAGACUACCACAAAAGUUGUGGUCGACCUCAAAUUCGAAGGAAUCAUAGACGUUAAACGAUUGUUGUUAAUGAAAAUUGUAUUUAGAUUCUUGUUAAAGAUCUGAGGAGGCAAUGGCCCUUCGAAUUCGAUGAAAUGUAUGCUGACAAAUUUUAGGCUAUGGGAGGGACAUGAUGCCGGAAAAGAGAGGUGUAACACCCCAAAAUUUUCAAACUUUAAAAUGCUAUGGUUUUAAAAUCUUUUUGGGUAAUAAUACAUAUUAAAAAUAAAUAAAUUAAUUAAUAAACAAAUAAAUAAAAUGGUCCCACAAAAACAGUUAAAAUUAAAACUUUGGGUGUUACCAUUAAACAUCAUAUAACCAUAGCAAGCAAAUACGAAUUACAUCAAUAACAUUAAUAAGGAACUUGACAAGUUCCACUCCAUUCUCUAUCUCUUGACUUCUAACUGUCAUCUAAAAUAUUUUCUUCUUAAUUGCAACCUGGAAUACAUGGCAUUAAAAAGAGAUAUGUAAGACAAAAAUGUCUCGUGAGCUACGUGAGUUUUAGACCAUAAAACAAUUUCGAUCAUUUUCAGAGAAAAACUUCUUUCAUGCAUACCGUAAAACAUUUUCAAUCAUAUUAAUGAAAAAUCAUUUCAUACAUAGCAUAACAUAUCAUAUCAUAAGUAUCAUUUCUUAGCUUAUCAUUUCAUUAGCUUCUUUUCCAUUUUAAUUCCAUUUCCCUUUUUCAAUUAAGGGCUAAUUCCGACAUUAAACUGUUGCCAUUUUUAUACUUAGGUCCUAGCAAUAUCCACAAGUCUAUACUAAGGUGGAAAUAACAAAAUCAGUCCACCAAGUCAUCAUUCAUGUUAGGACAUCUAUCUCGUGAAGGGGAUCAGCUACCCCGAUAUAUUCCUUUAUAUCCCUUAUGGAGACAUCAUGGCAAGAGCAAUAUAUUCAUUUCAUUACUUUCGAAUUCUUUCCAAUUUCUUUCAUUUCUUUUUAUUAGUUUCCAUUUCUUGUCGUUACUUUCCAUUCUUUACAUAUUUCAUACAUUAACAUUAAAAAUUCAUUUCAAAAGCAAAGCAUCUAUAUUUCAAAACAUUCGAUCUUCCAAAACGUUCUUUUCUUUCAAAAACAUUCUUGCAUUCAAAGCAUUCUUUCAAAAAAUCAUUUCCAAAAACAUUUGACACUUUCAUUUCAAAACCAUUUCAUAUAUCAAAUAAUAGUGUUUCAAUAUCAUAAAAUCAUUUUUCCAUGUAUCCCAAAGUGGGAAAAUGCCAACAAGUACUCACCUUAAUCACAAGAAGGCUAGCUAGCCCUCUUCUACUUCCUUUCCUUAGAGCAGCACUUUCGAACACUACUUAUAUAUCAAGUAGGUGAAAGUAAAUCAAAUGACCAAAAUACCCCUCAAGGGUCCCAUUACUAAAUUUUACUUCUUUAAACUAUUUCUUAUGAAAAACUAUGAACAUAGGCGAAAACCACGCUUAAAUCCAAGUUCAUAUGCAAAAGUUAUGAGGAAAAUACUAAACUUUAGAUUUUUGUUCUAGUUGGACACUCUGUUGUCUGUGUGUGAGCCGCGUGCCUGACAACGCAGGCAUGUCCCGUAGCAGCCCAAAAAAUCACUUUUGAGUCCUGAACUUGUUUGGGUGGUUUUGGUCUUUUAGGUAACCAUUGUUAACACCUUUAAAGGUUUCCAAACACUACUAGAGGAUGUUUUAUCAUCUCAGAAUAUUCAACUUAAUUCAUUAAGUCCUCAAUCAAAAUGCUAAGGUCAUAAUGCUUAUAAACACUCAAAUAAAAGGGUUUAAAGAGGUUUGAUAAUCGAGUAAUGAAAUGAAAUCAGAGUACUAAAGAAUUAUGAACACCAAGAGUAAAUAUAAUCCUGUUUCAGCUCGAUUCUGCUUUUGAAUACAAAGAGUUUUUAGACAGAAUACAAGGUGAAAAGUUCUUUGUAACUCUAAGUAACAACCCCUAUGUGACAACCCGACAUUUUUACAUUGUGAAAUCGAUCCAUAUAUCUAUAAUUCACGUGAUAUUAGCAUCUUUUAGCAAUAUGUUGGGUCCGCACGAGUGUCUUAGGCUUAGUAUAUCAUAAAUAUGGACCAUAGGAAGGGUCAGGAGGGGUGUUACACCGUAAAAUCUAGCCAAAGACACCAAGAGGGGUGUGUGCGGCCGCACACUAGUGUGUGCGGCCAGCCAGCCGCACACCCAACCGCAAACCCCCUUCAGCCUCACACUCGACCCUAUAUAUAGUAGAGAACCCCUUCCAUUCACUUUUGGCUGCACUCUCUUCCUCUCUCUACUUUCUCUCUCUAAAAACAUCACCUAAAAACACCUAGAAGGCCUCCAAAACGGGAAGAACAUCAUCUUUCAACUUGUUAUAGAGGUAAAACACUUGAAUCCAAGCCCAAAACUCAAAAUGUUCUUCGUGUUCUUCACUCCUUGAAGGAGUGCGGCCGCACACCUUCAUCAUGUGGUCGCACACGUUCAAAACACCCUCCAAAGUGAGAGUAUGGUCACACAAUCGACACAUAAGACUCAAACAAGGAGUGUACGGCCGCACACCCCUGUGUACGUGUUGGGAAUAAAACCCUAAUUGAGAUUUGAUGAACAAGAUGCGGAAAAUAAGAACAAACACAAAUAUGAAGAUUAUGUUGAAUGAUCACUCGAUUUAUUGAAUUGUGAGGAACAAAUUACACUUAAGAAAUAAGAAUCUAACUCUACAGAAACCUCACAACGUGGCGGCUACAUUUUGCCUCACUCCUUAACCCUAAUAAUGAAUAAUACAUGACUAUUUAUAGGAAAAAGACAAGUCUUGGGCUUUUAACCUAGAACUCAUCAAAGGGGCCCAUUGCCAUCAUCCAUGGAGUGCUUUGAAACCCUACAAUCUCCCCCUCAAAGUAUGGAAUGGAUGACAAUGCUUUAACUUCCAAAACAAGCAUCUAGCAAAUUAAAAGAUUUGCAACGAGGAAUAUAUGAAGCAAUCCACGAAUCUUGAUUCUUCAAUAGUCUUCAAACACGGGCUCUAGGAUAUAUAAAUCAAGCACUGAAGUAAUGUCUUUAAACUUCAUUUUCGAAUGUAAUCCCAAAGAAUCUUCAUGAAAACCAAACCCGCCAUAAAAACCCAUUUCAGAACAAAGAAACUGAAUCACUUCUUGUCUUUGAAGAGCUCCCCCUCCAAGUCACAACGAUCUUCAAAUAAGCUAAUGAUAUAAGCCAUCAAAAAAUAUCAUGUAACAACCCAAACUUUAAGAUUCGUAACGCCACUUGAUCGAGAAAAUACAAGAAGUCGGAGAUAUAACAAGUCCUUAGCAGAGCUCGAUGAAAAACUUCCGCUGUAAAGGAUACUUCUCUGUAAAAGCUUUAGUAGAGCUCGAUGAAGAACUUCUGCAAUAAAAGCUACCUUCAUAAUUCUACCACAAGCUUUAUCAAAAAUCUUCAACUUUGAAAAGUCACAAAUCUAAUUUCGAAUGGCCAUACCAAAUUCUCCCCCGAUUUAUAAUCAAAAACAUGAUUAUAAAGCCUUCAAAUGGUCAUGAGAAUGAUCUUGAAUGGAUAAAAAUUUACUAAGCUCCCCCGUGACAAAAUGAUAUUAACGAUGAAGUAUAAAAUCCGAAAAAGUCGUGAAAAUUUGACGUUAUCACGAAAAACGACUUUCCGAACCGCCAAGACUUGAUGGAAUCCAUAAUUUUCUGUUCACAAAAAAAUAUGUGCGUUAAAGAAUUCAAAACUGUUCACCAGCCCUCAAAUUUGUAAACUUUUCUGAAUAUAGGGCAGAAACUGUCAUUUGUUGAAAGUCAGGGGACUGAAAUGGUAAUUUAGCAACAUUAUCCCAUUGAUUUUGUAACAAAUUCAAAAAGGGAUGAAAACUGUCAAUAUGCUGAAGUUAUAGGGACCAAAAUUGAAGCUUAACACCUUCUUCCUCAUUUAGACGCCUGAUAAAAAGGAUGCAUCGACUGGAACAAAUGCGAGACCCCAAAAUUGAUACCCGCGAAUCAUACUUUCGUUCCAAGUACUAGGAUCAUUUGAGAGAUGUGAGAUGCGAAUCGACCAUUCGUUCCAAGUACAAGCAACCGAAACCAAGUUCGGCCAGGUUUAUNCAAUGUCGAUGAAAAUCAGUGUGACCCUGAAAGCGAGCAUUAUAAGCACCGAAUAUAUCAACAACAAACAGUCGAGUCAGAAACCGAUCUUAAUUUUGACUUUCGUUAGGAAAUAACUGCAACCCAGAAUCCCAGUCCCGAUUCCUAGACCAUUCGUAGGUAAGUUCAUUCAUAUUGAUUUUGACUUCCAAUUGAAGAAGAUAAUCACAAUACCACAGUCAGAGAACGUUCGUAGGAGAAGAACGAGUGGUUAGCAGCAAAACCUUCCAACCCAAAUUAACCUUUUGAAUUGCCGAUGCGAAUCAGAGUUUCCUUGUGUGCGAGCAAUACAAGCUCCAAAUCCGACUCCAGCCACUGAUUCGCUGUGAAUCACGAUCAACAAACAUUCGCAGGUUGAAGAUUUGCGGGUAAGUCUGAUUCCUUCAUAGUUAACCCCGAUUUAUAGUCAAUUUUGACUUUUUGGGUUUGACCAUUCAAAUCGAGAUACAGUACAGUUCCUUCGUUCACCAUCAGUUCCUCAUAGGACUUCAAGAUUUGCAUUCGACAAACAUAAAAUCGAUUCUCCAAAGAUCGAUUUCACUCAAGGAUCAUCAGCAAUUUCCAAGUUCGACAUGAAUCAAAUUAAUAAUCAUGAAAUCAAAUUUACGAUAAGAGCAGGAACGAGAAAAUUGAUGAAAAACAAGAUCUUGGAUUAAGACAAACAAAAAUCGAUUCUUGAUAAUUGAUGUUCACACGUUGAAACCAUUAACCUCAGAUGAUUAACAAAAAAAUCAUCAAUUGUAGAUUUAGAAUAGAAUACUAAAUGAAUGAAAUCAAUUGCAAGUGACGCAUACAGGAUCUUGAGAUAAAAUUGGAUAUGCGGCUCAUGAAUAGUGGAAUGGCCAAGAUUUUGGGCCACAAAAAAAUCGAUUGAUUUUUGGAUUAAGCGAGCAAACAUAUCUAAUAUGAACAGAAGAACGAAUCUGAUUGAAAUAAUACCAGAUGAACAGUAGAUGAACAGCAUAAAUUCCCAUGAACAGUAACUUGAACAGAAUUUUGAUUCCAUAUCGCCAAAACACCAAUAAUCUUCAAUAUAUGUGCAGAAAAUCACCAAAUCAAGAACCGAUACUUCAAAAAUCAAUAGAUCUUCAAAGACCUGCUCUAAUACCACUUGUUGGGAAUAAAACCCUAAUUGAGAUUUGAUGAACAAGAUGCGGAAAAUAAGAACAAACACAAAUAUGAAGAUUAUGUCGAAUGAUCACUCGAUUUAUUGAAUUGUGAGGAACAAAUUACACUUAAGAAAUAAGAAUCUAACUCUACAGAAACCUCACAACGUGGCGGCUACAUUUUGCUUCACUCCUUAACCCUAAUAAUGAAUAAUACAUGACUAUUUAUAGGAAAAAGACAAGUCUUGGGCUUUUAACCUAGAACUCAUCAAAGGGGCCCAUUGCCAUCAUCCAUGGAGUGCUUUGAAACCCUACAGUACGGCCGCACACACACCCUGUACAGCCGCACAAUCUAGUGUGCAGCCUCACACACAAGUCUGGCCGCAUUCCCCAGCCGCACAGUCAUUUUUGUGGAUAUACACCCACCCUAAGACUCAUAUUUAGCCUUAAACUUGCGUAAAUCAUUGAGUGUAGAAUACGGGACACUUAGUCCUAGUGAUUAGAAGUCCUUGGGGAAAUUUCUCAUCAUUUUAUUCAUGAAACACCCUAGCUCUAACUUAUAUAUGUGUCACCAUAUGAUUAAUAUGGGCUACUUGCGUUCAGAGCAUCCAUUGACACUCGACACUCAUAACGAUAGCACACUUGAACCCUACGUCAAACGGUGAGUUCAUACCCCCUUAAUUGACCUUUCAAAUGUUUUUAAUUGUUUUAUGUGGGGGGGGGGGGGUACAAGUUAAAUCCAAUACACUGCAAAACCAAUCACACGUGAUUGAUGGCUUACUAUCAUAAGGAUUUUUACAAUUUAAAGUAUUUUAUCAGAAAAAUUAUUGCAACUGUUUAUCAAACUCAUUUUCACAAAUCAAUUGUCUUAAAACCAUUUUUUUUUAACAUUUUCAAAACCUAAAAUUAUUUCCAAAUCAUAUCUACACUAAUAUAUUUAUAUAAAUAGGUAUUGAAGGAUUUAGAACUGAUAACUGACCUUAUUUCAUGUUCUUGUUUGAUUGUGGGCUUAGGGUAUUAGGUUAUAUGUUCGACUGUCGUUUAAUAUUUAGUUAUAUAUCUUGUAUAUUUGUGUUAGAUAUAAAAGUCUUCAUUCUAGAUUGAUACUUCUACAUGCCAACGACACUAAAUCAAGGACUCAUUUUAACUAUAAUAGGUAUAGUUAAGAAUUACUUCUCAUUUUGGAUAUCACUAUGAUACACACUAUGGAAAGUAGAAAUCUAAGGCUAUAUGUACAAAGUACAAUGCGAAGAGAACGUUAUACACCAUACACUAUACUAAGAGAACACUAUAUACCAUACGUAAGAGAAUACUAAAACAGAAUUAUAACGACUGAAAAAUUCCAACCAAUUUAAAAUUUUCAAAAACAACCCGAUUCCAUUAAAGUUAUUACAAAAGGUUUUCAAUACAAUUUAUUUAAAGUAUUCCCAGAAUCACAUCACGAAAAAAACAUGAGGAGCGGUACGAUCACGCCUUCGCCUUGCCACGGUCUCCUGAAGAACCUGAAAAACAUUAAACCACCACUGUAAGCCCGAAAGCUUAGUGAGAUAUCCCCAAAAUACCAACCACAUAAACCAUACACGCAUAACAUGCCAUAACAGCCUAUCCGGACCGCUCGCUGGGCCUACAGCCUAUCCGGACCACUUGCUGGGGCCUACAGCCUAUCCGGACCGCUCGUUGGGCCUUCGGGACAACCGGUCCGCCCUGGGUAUCUUGGCCUACAGCACAAAGCAGGACCCGCCUCAACCCAACUCCAGUCCAAACAACCAUGUGCACAUAAACAUACAAUCAUAUAAGAAUUCAUAGUCAACAAGCCGAUCAAACAGAUCACAUAACAUAUCAUCAUCCUAACCAGGAUACCGACCUAACCGGUCACUAGCAUAGCAUCACCCUACAUAUCAGGGAACCGACCUUAACUAGGUCUCUAACAUAUACCAUCCUAGCUACCAGGAUGCAAACAUAACAUAACAGCAAUCACGCGGAUCUCAAUCCGAUAAAAGGGCCGGCCUUGGUGCCUUAGACCCUGUUGAUAUAGUGAGGAUAACUCACCUCGAAACUGCCGACUGAACACAAGCUGCUCCGAUUACUGAUAAGGUCUCCACCACUGGACAACCACUAAGGCACUCAACUCAAAACAAUAUCUAACAAUUACCAAAAUGCCCCUGGAAAUCACUGGUCAACCCUUGGUCAAAGUCAAAGUCAACCCUUGGUCAAAGUCAAAGUCAACCCCUGACUGUCUCACCUCGCCGAGUCAACCCGAUGACUUGCCGAGUCCCCAUGCUCAGAAUUUCCCCAAUCCACGACUCAACUCGCCGAGUCACCCUGAGACUCGCCGAGUCCAACAACUCUAAGUCCACUCACACACAACUCACCGAGUCAUCCCUUGACUCACCGAUUCUCGGCUCAACCAAAAAAGAUUGGGACUCUUCGACAAGACUCGCCGAGUCCAAGAACAGACUCGUCAAGUCUAAGGCUAUCUUCAACCUACUCGCCGAGUUGUUCUUCCAACUCGUCGAGUUCCAGGCCAUCUUCAUCCAACUCGCCGAGUUGUUCUUCCAACUCGUCGAGUCCCAGCCUAUCUUCAAGCAACUCGCCGAGUCCACCCAUGUGACUCGCCGAGUACCACCGGGUCUGAAUCCAUACAGAGGCUUUCCAAGCCAUGCAGAUGAUCCAAACCAUAGAUCUACCCUUCCUAAGGCCAUCCAUCACGUAAAGUGGCAAACUUUACGUGAAUCCAAGGAGAUCUAGGCAUUUUCACUCUAGGGUUUGCGUUUGGGACAAGAUAGCUCCUUCAAUCACUCAUUAACAGGGACUUUAUGACAUACAAGACCAUCCCAAGCUUAGAUCUGAAGUAGCAUCCUCAGAUCCAAGCUUCUAUCUCCAUUUAGAUGUCAUAUCAACCACCACACAUGAGCCCAUGAAGAAAAUAGCUUAAGGAAAUGGUUCCUUACCCUUAGAAUGAGCCCAACCAACUAUAGAUUCCUGAUUCCCCCAAGCUUCCUGAUGCAAGCCUCCAAUAUUCAAGCUUAAAGCACCAAAUAUCCUUUUCCAAGCUCUAAUUCACUCAACAAUGGGGUCUCCUCACGAAUUUAGUGCUUCUGGAAAUCAAGGAAUGAUAAGGAGGCUGGGGAGAAGAUAUGAUGUUCUUUAUAUAGGGCUCAACCUCCGGAUUUAGGGUUUUCUCCACUCAGCGCCUACUCGCCGAGUCCAUCCGCUGACUCGCCGAGUCGGCCACUUAACACGCGACCAAAGUCGCGACCCUACUCGCCGAGUCCACCCAUGGACUCGCCGAGUUCCCCUUCCCAAUUUACUCUUUUAGCCCUUCAACUUUACUCUUGAUAUUCCGGGAUGUUACAAUUCUCCCCCACUUAAAUUAGGCUUCGUCCUCGAAGCCUGCGACAACUCAACUCUAGAAAUACUCCCGCAACGCGCCACCUGGCAUUAACCCAACCAGAUUCCUCAAAACACAACCAUAGAACCAGAAACUCACUUUCUCCUUUCUUACGGUGUCCUGACCACCGUCUCAAGCUGGCCACCGGCUUUACCCUCUGAUAGCCCCACUUAACAACUAAGUACUACUCAUGAUGCAACAUUGCUCCAAAUCGCAACCAUCACUCGCCCCAUAUGAGCUAGAUAAUAACCAUGCACCACUGGAUUUCCGAUCCGAGUCCAACUCUAACCAUUUCACUGACAGAAAGACACAUUCUUCAGAGCAACUCCCAUGAGUUCUCCUCUUGCAAUCACAUACACAUGCUGAACUAGCUCUAGCGACCUCGGGUUGGGAAAACCCGUUACACUGAUGACAUCUCUAAACAUCCCCCAGGAUGAACCACUACUGCAUACACAAUUCCCUGAUCAGAAUCACACUGAGAGCCCAAGACUCCCUCCCUGCAUCCCUUCCGAGCCUCUUGGCUCUACACCCGUGGCAUUCCUUCCGCGACCUCAGCAGACAUCCCAAACUGGAUGUGAUUCCAUUCCACUGCCGCAAACACGCUGCUCAAUGACCAUACUUUGAUCACUCUAAUCAUAACUCUGCUCUGCCGCUUUCACUUCUGUGAAUUUGCACUCCCUCUCGGAGUUACACUCCUCUCUCUUUCCUUCACCAAGGAAAUCCACUUGGCCGCCUUGUCACUCUGACAAGUACCACGGUGCUCGCCCAACGCUACACCACUCCUUCAUAGCGUAACCGCUAACCAUCCAACACACAUGCUCUGACUCUGUUCGCAGGGACUCUCAAUCCCAUGCACAAUCUCCACUAAUUAAGAUCAAUACCCGGGGCCAGACCUUCUAAUGCUAUUACACCGCACAUACACAGUCCAUAUCCUCGAACUGAUCUAACAAUGCCUGCAGAGUCUUCAUCAUGACAGGACCGCCUCACCAGGCCUUCAGCCAAUCUGGACCACUCUCAGAACCUUUAGCCAAUCUGGACCGCUCUCACUGCCUUCAGUCUGGCUGGACCGUCCUCCGAGCCUUCGGCCUGACUGGUACGCUGACCGACCUUCAGUCUAUCCGGACCGCUCAACCAGCAUUCCUCAUUCCGAGUUAUCUCUCCGGUAAAUCCUCCCAUGCAUAUUGUUCUAGCCCUCUAGGGGUUCCGAACUCUAUCUCCAUCACACAUAAUCGAUCCCGGCCUGAUCCCAGGCCCUCCACAAUCAAAUGCCCUAGGUCUGUAUCCCGCCCCGCAUGCCCGACACUUCCUCCUACCAGCCUACACUUUGGGCUGACAGAACACUGCUGAAUCCCAAACAGCUAAGCAACCUCACAUGCUCAUCGAUCUUCCGGAGAAUUUUCCAAUUCUCCCCCACUUAUAGCACUGACUAUCAAUCACCGGUCGCUAUCACCGACCACCCAAAACAACCCUGCACAAAACCAACACUUACACGUGGAUUGAUUCCCACUAGCACUAACAACCUUAAUAAAAUCCCAUUUCCAAACUGAUCAUCCCGCUCGAAAGAAAAAUCAAUCUACAGCUAACCACUCCUCAGAAAGCAGAUGCUACCCGGCCUUCAGACCAAUGCCAGAUUUCCACUAUAAACCCCUCAUGAAAGAUAACCAACGAAAUUCCCAUCACUAACCCAUAACCAUACCAUAACUCUCAAAGAACAACGAAUACCACACCGAAAAUCACACAAUGAGACUAGCAGAUAAACAAUAUCCACAAUAAUCACAAGAUAAUCUAGACAUCAAGAAAGAAACAUACCCGCGACUGCAUCCGACACUGCUCUUGGGGGCUCCGCUCCACCCUGACCACCACCUGUGAUCCUUAAAGUGGUCGGUCCUGGAGCCUGCACCGGUCCUGCAGCAAUCUGUGGACAGUUGACCCUCAAGUGUCCAACCUGAUGACAAUGAUAACAAAUCCUCAAAUCUCGAACCGGCGCUGAUUGCCGACAAUCCCUCGCAUAGUGCCCCUCCUUUCCGCACUUGCGACAUGCACCACCGGACCUACAAACUCCGGUGUGACUCCUCCCACACUUCCCACAAGUGUGGCUACUCAGAUCUCCCANNNNNNNNNNNNNNNNNNNNNNNNNNNNNNNNNNNNNNNNNNNNNNNNNNNNNNNNNNNNNNNNNNNNNNNNNNNNNNNNNNNNNNNNNNNNNNNNNNNNNNNNNNNNNNNNNNNNNNNNNNNNNNNNNNNNNNNNNNNNNNNNNNNNNNNNNNNNNNNNNNNNNNNNNNNNNNNNNNNNNNNNNNNNNNNNNNNNNNNNNNNNNNNNNNNNNNNNNNNNNNNNNNNNNNNNNNNNNNNNNNNNNNNNNNNNNNNNNNNNNNNNNNNNNNNNNNNNNNNNNNNNNNNNNNNNNNNNNNNNNNNNNNNNNNNNNNNNNNNNNNNNNNNNNNNNNNNNNNNNNNNNNNNNNNNNNNNNNNNNNNNNNNNNNNNNNNNNNNNNNNNNNNNNNNNNNNNNNNNNNNNNNNNNNNNNNNNNNNNNNNNNNNNNNNNNNNNNNNNNNNNNNNNNNNNNNNNNNNNNNNNNNNNNNNNNNNNNNNNNNNNNNNNNNNNNNNNNNNNNNNNNNNNNNNNNNNNNNNNNNNNNNNNNNNNNNNNNNNNNNNNNNNNNNNNNNNNNNNNNNNNNNNNNNNNNNNNNNNNNNNNNNNNNNNNNNNNNNNNNNNNNNNNNNNNNNNNNNNNNNNNNNNNNNCAAUCUCAUCACGCAGGAUCUCACGAAUCCUCGCAUCCAACUCGCAUGUGCUCAUCUGACCAAUAACUUCGGGCGGCAUAGACCCGCCCGGAACUCCCUCUGUUGCUCCUGAUCCUGACCCGAUCCACUCCCAGCAUGCCUCGGAAUCUCCAUACUGAAAAACACCACAAAAUCUCAGACACUUCCCACUAUCCCGGGAACCAACUCUCUCAACCCAACCCUAGGGGUCAUGGUUUCCCUGAUACGUGUACGGGUCCUGUGCUUUCAGUAGUACGGGCCCAUACUACCUUCCACACCUACCCAUAUUUGUAUGAAGUACUACCACAACACCCUAGGAAAACAUGCAUAACAACGCUCAACCCUCACAACUAGAGGAACACUGGAAAUCUCUCACAAGGAAACCCUAGGCUACAGGCAUCACAAAUCAGGCAACAUUAUCAUGAAAUCCUGAAGAUCCCUAGCCUAGCACUAGCAUGCUGUUCUAUCAAAGCUCAAAAACAAAUAUCAUGUAUGGUAUUUUGGGGUUACUUACUGGCUCCGGCUGAUCGUACCUCCGCGUCCUCCUUUACUCAUUUUGAAAACCAUUUUAAAUUCUCUUUUGAAAACUCUCCUUGAUUUGAGACUGGAUUCACACGAAUGUUCCUCCAAUUCACUCAAACCAAGGCUCUGAUACCAACUUGUAACGCUCUAAAAAUUUCAACCAAUUUAAACUUUUCAAAAACAACCCAGUUUCUUAAAGUUAUUACAAAAAGGUUUUCAAUACAAUUAUUAUCAGAGUCUUCCCAGAACCACAUCAUAAAACAUAAACAUGAGGAGCGGUACGAUCACGCCUUUGCCUUGCCACGGUCUCCUGAAGAACCUGAAAAACAUUAAACCACAACUGUAAGCCCGAAAGCUUAGUGAGAUAUCCCCAAAAUACCAACCACAUAUACCAUACACGCAUAACAUGCCAUAACAUAUCCGAUCACAGAACAGCCAUGCACUUCGGGUCUACUGUGUGACUGGUCCGCCGCACCGGCCUACAGUCCACCUGGUCCACCCUCUGAGUCUAGCCAUAUACCUCGAGUCUACAGUGUGAUUGGUCCGCCCGCACCGGGCCUUCAAUCCACCUGGUCCACUCUCCGAAUCUAGCCACAUACAUCGAGUCUGCAGUGUGAUUGGUCCGCCCGCACCGGGCCUUCAAUCCACCUGGUCCACUCUCCGAAUCUAACCACAUACAUCGAGUCUGCAGUGUGAUUGGUCCGCCCGCACCGGGCCUUCAAUCCACCUGGUCCACUCUCUGAGUCUACAGUAUGACUGGUCCGCCCGCACCGGGCCUUCAGUCGGCCUGGUCCACUCUCCGAGCCUCGGCACGUCUGGUCCGCCCUCUUGGGGCCUACAUCCUAUCCGGACCGCUCGCUGGGCCUUCGGGAUAACCGGUCCGCCCUGGGUAUGUUGGCCUACAACACAAAGCAGGACCCGCCUCAACCCAACCCCAAUCCAACAACCAUGUGCACAUAAACAUAUAAUCAUAUAUCAAUUCACAACCAAUAAAACCAAUCUUAGCAGAUCAUAUACAUAGCACAUCCCUACCAGGAUUCCGACCUAACCGGUCACUAUCAUAGCAUCAUCCUAUAAACCAGGAUACCGACCCUAACCAAGUCUAACAUAUACCAUCCUAACUAUCAGGAUGCAAACAUAACAAAGCAAUAACAUAACAACGAUACCCGGAUCUCAAUCCGAUAAAAGGGCCGACCUUGGUGCCUUAGAUCCUGUUGAUAAGGUCUCCACCGCUGGACAACCACCAAGGCACUUAACUCAAAACAAUAUCCAAUAAUUACCAAAAUGCCCCUGGAAAUCACUGGUCAACCCUUGGUCAAAGUCAAAGUCAACCCCUGACUGACUCUACUCGCCGAGUCAACCCGAUGACUCGCCGAGUCCCCAUGCUCAGAAUUUCCCCAAUCCGCGACUCAACUCGCCGAGUCACCCCGAGACUCGCCGAGUCCAACAACUCUGAGUCCACUCACACACAACUCACCGAGUCAUCCCUUGACUCACCGAUUCACGGCUCAACCAGAAAAGAUUGGGACUCUUCGACAAGACUUGCCGAGUCCAAGAACAGACUCGUCGAGUCUAAGGCUAUCUUCAACCUACUCGCCGAGUUGUUCUUCCAACUCGUCGAGUUCCAAGCCAUCUUCAUCCAACUCGCCGAGUUGUUCUUCCAACUCGCCGAGUUCCAUCCUAUCUUCAAGCAACUCGUCGAGUCCACCCAUGUGACUCGCCGAGUGACACCGGGUCUGAAUCCAUAUCGAGGCUUUCCAAGCCAUGCAGAUGAUUCAAACCAUAGAUCUACCCUUCCUAAGGCCAUCCAUCACGUAGAGUGAUAAACUUUACGCGAAUCCAAGGAGAUCUAGGCAUUUUCACUCUAGGGUUUGGGUUUGGGACAAGAUAGCUCCUUCAAUCACUCAUUAACAGGGACUUUAUGACAUACAAGACCAUCCCAAGCUUAGAUCUAAAGUAGCAUCCUCAGAUCCAAGCUUCUAUCUCCAUUUAGAUGUCCUAUCAACCACCACACAUGAACCCAUGAAGAAAAUAGCUUAAGGAAAUGGUUCCUUACCCUUAGAAUGAGCCCAACCAACUGUAGAUUCCUGAUUCCCCCCAAGCUUCCUGAUGCAAGCCUCCAAUCUUCAAGCUUAAAGCACCAAAUAUCCUUCUCCAAGCUCUAAUUCACUCAACAAUGGGGUCUCCUCACGAAUUUAGGGCUUCUGGAACUCAAGGAAUGAUAAGGAGGCUGGGGAGAAGAUAUGAUGUUCUUUAUAUAGGGCUUAACCUCUGAAUUUAGGGUUUUCUCCACUCAACGCCUACUCGCCGAGUUCAUCCUCUGACUCGCCGAGUCGGCUACUUAACACGCGACCAAAGUCGCGACCCUUCUCGCCAAGUCCCCCCCAUGGACUCGUCGAGUUCCCCUUCCUAAUUUGCUCUUUUAGCCCUUCAACUUUACUCUUGAUAUUCCGGGAUGUUACAAGAAUGUGAUGCACUAUCUCUCUAUACGACCUAUCAAUAUGUGAUCAUCGGAUAACCAUCGCCUUCUGGAGGAAGAGCGACCACUACGUGUAUAGAUCUAUACGGGACAGAUUUUCCCCCUUCCCGACUGCUAGCUACAGUCCGAGCCUUUUGGCCCAGGGAUGACAAAUUCUACUACACUAUUGGUGACUUGGAGGGUCCGCCACUGUAAUACUAUCACUCAGUAUGAUCUGAUACGGGUUCACAUUUAAACUUAAAUUGGAAACACAUCCCGGGGUACAUACAAAAUUAACUCUAACCGAAGUUUACAUUCACUAUUACAUUUAACUGGCAGGGGCGCUGCUGGAGUGAAACCCUAUUUCUUCUCUAUAAUGAACAAGUUUAAAACUGUAUAUUCAUUAUUGACACUCUCACGAGAAGGCUAUUACAUUUACAAAGAAACGAACUUACAAAUAACCUAGUUUUGAUGAAAUACUACUUUUUCUGGAAAAUAUAGGAUUUUCUAUGAAUUAAGCUAGUUUCAAAUUUUAAUAACAGACAUUUCACUAACAAGAAUGUAAACACUUUUAUACAAGCAACGACACUAAAAUACUUAUGAACUCAUCAGCUUUACACUGAUACUCGUUUUCAAAAUAACUUGUAUUCUCAUGUCAAAAAUAAAUAGGUAGUGAAGCAACUUUUGGGAAGAUGGAGCACAUAUAAGACUCAUCUUUUAUUUUGUUCAUACUUUUGGUGUCUACUUAAAUGUAUAGAACACACAUGUAUUACAAUUAACAUAUUAAUAUAAUGAAUGUUGUUGCUUGUUUUUACUAUUAUGCAUUGUUAUGAUACUGAACAUGAAGUCCUCCACCUAAGAACGUAUUCCGCCGUUCUCGGUUUUGGGGCGUGACACCCUAUUUAUAGGAGAACUAGAAAGCAUACAAAAAAUACAAAGGACUCAACAUUACAGUUUCAAAACACAAAAUGCAUUUGUAAAUAACUUUACUUCACCUCCGAAUACACACAAUCUUCGACACCUUACAAUAUAUUUCGACUCUUACAAUCUCCCCCUUUGUAAGCAGUGUCGAAAUCAGGUUGUGAAAAGUUGAGCUGCUUGGUGUAACACCCUUCUUGUCUUGAAAUACCAAUUAACAUCCUUCUUUAUUUCUGCUUUCUCCUGUUCACUAUUCUUCGCACAAUUGUUCAUUCUGAUCAACAAAUUUGUGUAAUGCGAAGAAGUGAACCUUUCAAUUUCAUUAACUUGAAACAUAAAUUUCGUUGAAGUACCCUUCUUGUUCUUUCCAACGAACACAAUCCCCAAGGGCUUCAAGCAUAUCUCCCCAUCUUCGUAAUCUUUAAGAAAUGACUGAUUUUUAAUCAUUGACUUGGGAACCGAAAAUUUCUUUCCCAACGUUGUAGCCAAAUCAAUAUCAGUGAUAGCCAGGGCUCCAUAAUAACCAUCAAUGAAUAUCAUCAAGUGUUCGAAACCUAUCAUGAAGUCUUCUUUGUUAAUCUGCUGCACCUUCGAAUAAUCAGUGGACUUCAAAAUCUUUGCAACAAUUAAAAGAUAAUACAGCAACUAAGAAAUCAAACAUCAAAUUGUUUGCUCUUACUGCAAUAUAUUUGUAAUUUUAUAGCAUCCCUUUGAACUAAACAUCCUUGGUAACAGUCAUCACUCGAACAAUUUUUACCAAGGACCUAAUUAGUUAUUGCAGUCCAAAUUUCAAUAGUGGUCACAUGCCGGUAUUUGAAAUCGUGGUUAUCGCAGUGGUAUAGAAGUGAUAUAGCGGUUUUUUAAUAUUAAGUAUAGUUUAUAUUAUAUAUUUAUACAAAAUUUAUAUAUUAGAUUAUUAAUACUAUAUGGAAUUAAUAUCAUAAAAAAUCAUAUAAAAACAUAACAUAAUCAAUAUAUAAUAUUUUAAUAUAGUUAUAUGGAAACUAAAAAAUAUCAAAAUGUCAUUACAGCUCAAGACGUUCGUGGUUUCUAAGUACUGAAACAGACGAGAAAGGGAAGUUGUCAUUUGUUGAUUUGUAGUUUGUAAUUAAUUAUAUUUAUUAUUUUGACUUAUUUAGACAAAAAAUGUAGUGGACUAGUUAAAAAAAUAAAGAUUUAAUAUUGAAAUAACACAGUCGUUUUUUUCUUUGUCAAAGUAGCCCGAUAUGUACGAAAUUAUAAAAGCGGGUGUAGUGUCGCUAUAGCGUUGAUGAGUUUCACGGUAAAUAGCGGCCUAUAGCGCCGCUAAUAGCGCCACCGAUAUUUUUGGACACUAUUUCAAAAUAGCGGUUCAGUAACACCAUAAAACACUAUAGAGCCGCUAUAGCGCGCUAUUGAUAGCAUAGCCAAGGACCAAACUGAUUCUUCUAACUGAUUAAUAUCUGUGUUCUCAAUAUCAUAACUCUUCUUCAGAACCUUUUCAAACGAAUGCAUUUCGCCAGAAAGCACCGUAGCUUCAAUGUAUUCAUAUUUAAAAUACUUAGCAAGAUCUCCUUUGUUCAUCCUAAGAGGAUCACUCUCUCUGAGUCGAAGUAUGCUUUGUAUUUUCCUUUGCUUUUCCAUUUCAAGUUCAGCAACGUCCUUCUUCUCUUCUGCUGUAGGUUCUUGUAAAAUAUCCUUCACUUUAUUUUGCAACUCUUAUGUGGUAGGUGGUGGUUUCGAACUUGAUCCCCCAGCAACUGAACCACCAAUAACAAUACCUUUCAUUAUAGGCCUUGUAGUUGUUACUGUGGAUGUCAAAAUUGAUGAAGUAGAUACCAAAGAAAUAGGAAUAUGAGUUGAAGAAACCUUUCCCGCUACUUUUGCAUCUUCAUCAUUUGUUUUUGAUGAACUACCAUCAUCUCCGAACAAUGAACCUCUGCCAACACCAAUCCUCUCUCCCCCUUGCACCCCUGUUGAAACAGGUGGGGCAUCCGUUGGCAAAAUAGUCACUAUUUUCGACAAUGGAGCUAACUCUUUAUGAAUAGCAGAUUCAAGAUCAGAAAAAUUUUGUGUCAGAAGCUCCGGAUUGAGCACCGAAGAGGACACCAAAUUCGAUUUAAGCACCAUCCCUUUCAAUUCAACUAGCAAUUGAUUUAUGUUCGAAAAGCUCUUAACAUCAUCCACAAACAUCUGUUCAACCUUCGGACCAAGUGUUUCAUAGUACUACUUAACAAACUUGGUAACAGCAUCAACGAUGAUAUCAACCUUCUGAUUAAGAGAUGCAUAAGCUUGUUGUAUAACCGUAAUCUCAUUGCUUAUAUCCACCUUAAGUUCUUGAAGUUUGAAAUUUACAUAUUCACGAACUUUCUUGACAUCUUGAAUAAACAAUAUGUGAUAACUGUGCCUCCACCCUUUAGAUUAGAAGAAAAAGUUGAUAACUGUGCCUCCACCCUUUUCUCGUUGUUUCGAUCAGCAUCUUGAAUAGCAUCGUAAAGACGAUUUUUGUGAUGUUUCGACAACAUAUCAACCUCCAAACUAGAUACCAAAUGUUUACCUCCUCCAUCAGCUAUCAUCAACAUAAAUUUAAACAAGCAUUAGAUGAUUUCCAACCUUCUUUCGAAAAAGAGUAGGAUCAACUGAUCCUUGUUUAGAUUUCGAAAGUUUCAAAAAGUUGGUUAAAGUUGCAUACCAGGCUCAUGCUGUUUGUUUUAACCCAUAACUAGCUUUGUCUCGGAUAUAACAGUGAACAGAAAAUUAUUCAUUAAUAAAACCUAGAGGUUGUUCCACAUACACAAUCUCUUCAAGUUCACCAUUAAGAAAUGCACAUUUGAAAUCCUUUUGAAAAAUUUCAAAGUCUUUAUGUGCAGUAUAGGCUAAAAAUAUUCGAACAACCUUGAGUCUUGCAAUAGGGGAGAAGGUUUCUUCAUAAUCUAUACCUUCUUGUUGCAAAUAACCUUUUACUACAAGCCUAGCUUUCUUUCGAACAAUAUUACCAUAUUUGUCUGUUUUAUUUUUGAAAAUCCAUUUUAACCCAACAAUCGAAACAUCUUUUGGUUUAGGAAUUAAUCUCCAAACAUUGUUUCUUUCGAAUUCAGCCAAUUCAUAUUGCAUUGCAACAACCCAAUCUGAGUGUUGCAUUACAUGCUUAACUGACUUUGGUUCAAUUUUCGAAAUAAAAACAUUAAACAUGAAAAACUCUUGACGAGCAUUAAGUAACUCAUUCUUUGCACGUAGUUGAGCUCUAGUUAGCACUCCUUCCUAUGGAUCUCCUAUCACUUGUUCUUUAGGAUGACUUUUAAUCCAUUUAUCCAUUGGAGGAUAUGUGGGAUCAAAAUCUAAUGGUGCAUCUUCAAACAUUUCUUCAGUCUCGGUACCUGCAACAGAAAUGUUAUCAUUUAAAUCAUGAAAAUUUUCAUCUUGAUUAUGAUUCAAUAUAUUAAGCCCCCCCUCGACAAUUGAAAUUGAAUUUCCAUGUUGCUUCCCCUUAACAUUAUCAUCCAUUCUUUGAAUCUCCCCCUCGAAAGAAUGCUCCCCCUCCACUUGAUCAUGUGGCACACUUUCGCUAUUUCCAAAAGAAUGGAAUGUCGAAUUUUGAUCUACAACAUCUUGAGUAAGUGCCAAAGAGUCAGAAUAUUUUGUUGAUUAGGUAUUUGAUUAUCUUCAGCAUUAACUUCAGCAUCAGCAGCCCUAUCUAGAACACCAAAAAUUAAAUCAUAAUCAUAAUCAGAUGAAUGAAGACUUUCAUUUUCAUCCUUUGAUUCAUUAACAAUUGGUUUUUGUUUAAAACUCAUGUCAACUUGUUUGAUAUAAUAAUCAUCAAAAGUUAAGUUGAAUGUUUCUUCAAUUUUUGUGUUCGUCUAUUCAAUACUCGAUAUGCAACCGAAUUAUGAGAAUAACCCAAGAAAAUUCCGGCGUCAGCUUUGGACUAAAACUAUGAAAGAUUAUCCUUGAGAUUCAUGAUAAAACACCUACAACCAAAAACAUGAAAGAAUUUGAUAUUAGGUUUUUGGUUAUUGAUAAUCUCAUAAGGAGUAAUGUUGAAUCUACGAUGAAUGAACGAUCUAUUUUGUGUAAAACACGCAGUUAAGACAGCUUCGGCCCAAAGAUAUGGAGGAAGAUUCGCAUAAAUGAGCAUUGUUCUUGCAGUUUCGCAAAGAGAUCGAUUUCACCUUUCCACAAUACCAUUCUGUUAAGGUGUAUAUGGUGAAGAAAAAUUAUGCGAAAUUCCCUUUUCAGUUGAAAACGAAUCGAGAACAUGGUUCUUAAAUUUAGAAUCGUUGUCACUUUUAAUUGUUCGAACUUUCUUCUUCAAACUCGUUUCGAUUUUCUUGAUAAAAUCGAUCAUUACUUGAGAAACUUUAGACUUUAACCUGAGAAAAUAAACCCAAGUAAAUCAAGAAAAAUCAUCAAAAAUAACCAAAAAUACCGUUUCUUGUUGAGGGUUUCAACCUUUAAUGGUCCACAUAGAUCAAUAUGAAGUAAUUCUAGUGGUUUGACAAUCUUUGAAUCAAUGAUAACUGGAUGACCUUGUCGAUGUUACUUCCCUUGUGAGCAAGCUGCACACAAAGUAUCAUUAUCAAACUUUAAAACAGGUAAACUUCUUAACGGAUCUUCUACCACCAAUGUGUUAAGAUUGCGAAAGUUCCAAUGUGAAAGCCUUUGAUGCCAAAGCCAGCUAACAUUUGAAGAAGCUUUCGACAGUAAGCAUACCGAGGGUUUCCUGACAAUAGGAUGGAUGUCGAGAGUAAACAUGUCGCCUUUUCGUUUUGAUUUCAGCAAGACUUCCUUUGUUUGAAUGUUCGAAAUCACACUUCCUUCUUCGUUAAACACCACUUGAUUGCCACUGCCCACAUCAAGUUGCGAAACACUUAUCAAAUUAUGUUGAAGACCUUCGACAUGUGCUACUCUGUUGACUGUGAAUUGUCCAUUUGUGAUUUUCCCAUAGCCUCGAAGAUGACAUUUGUGGUUGUUUCCAAACUUCACGACCCCAUCAUUCUCUAAAGUUCGAUAAUCACGAAGAUUCUCCUAUCGACCAGUCAUGUGACGAGAGCAACCACUAUCAAUAUACCAUUGUUCAUCAUAUUUCUCGUCACACAAAAUCUGCAACUAAUGAAAGAAUUUAGGCCCCCAAGGCUGUUUGGGUCCUUGGUUAUUAGUUUGAAAAAUAUUGUGAAACGAAGAACCUUUAAUCCAACUACGAACUUUUGUUUUGAGACAAUCAACUAAGUCUACUUCAUUAGUCAAAGGCACAGAAAAGUAAUUAUUCUUUGAUUUAAAAUCAACAUUGACCUUUUCCAUUUCUUGCUUAGCUUGAUCACAGCAACCGAUGUCUUUGGCAGAGAUUUCCACUUUUAACAGAAAUAUCCGAGUCUUGUGAAGAUGAACUUGCUUUCGAUGAGUCAUUCUAAUAUUUCUCAUAUUCAUCCUCAAUCAUUUCUUGUGAGAAUUUCGAAGAUUGAAAUUUCUUUCCUUUUCCUUCCAACUAGUGAUUGAUGUUCUUCACAUUUUUUUUUCCUUUAACAAAUGAAGAUUUGACAGGUUGUUUUGAGGGUGGAUUUGGAAAUGUAGUUGGAGUAGGCUUGAAUGAAUCGAAUUUCCGACCUUAUACAUGUAACUUCUCAAAGUGUCUCGUUGGUUUUCGUGCUGAGAUAUGUGGAGUAUAAUGAUUUUGAAAACAAUUUUGAUAGCCAAAAUUAUUUCUUCGGAAAACAGAUUGUGGUUUCAUGGAUUGUUUUAUAUAAGAAACUUGAUGAAACUUUGUUUGAGCAUUCGAAGGAAAAACUUUUCAUUGAAAAUUAUUUGAAGAAAACCUUUGAUUUGAUUGAUUGUUAUGAAAAUGUUUGGUUUGCACAUAAUUCUCAUGAAAAUAUUUUUGAGCUUAAGAAUUGGAGACAGAUUUUUGUUAAAACAAAUUCUUUGUUGUUGAAACAGGCUCCUGUUUCGCAAAAGACUCUUUUCGAGAUUUUUGAGUAAACUAAGAUGUUGAUUUGGAAUUAUGAUUUGCCUUAUUUGCUUGCUUCUUUUCAAAAGCUGUUUGAACAUAUUUAGACUUUUCCUAUUCGGAAGAUUUGUUAAGGGAAACACUUGAUUUCUUUGCAGACAAAAUGUUAUUCCAACACACUUUCGUUUGAGCUUGUCUCUUUGAAAUGUUUUUAUCUUUCGAAACUUUAUCAACUUGAUCUUUAAAAUUUUGUGAAUGGAUUUUGACUUUUUGAGAAACAUUUUCAUCUUUCUUAGAAACACCUUUUGCUUUUUCAGUUUUUACAACCAAAACUUGUUUUGAUUUGUCAGUCUUGUCAUUCUUUUUGACAUAUGUUGAUUUUUCAGACCAGUUUCAAGUUGGUUUUUAUCGUUAGAAGACGUACGAAUUUUUGGUAAGAUUAUUUUCAACGGUACUUUGAUUCAAAAAGAACACUUCAUUUGAAUGUUCUUGUUAUCUUCUUCAACUAACUUGUUAAAUUCAGGUUUGAUUUUGUCAACAUUCCCAGAUGUGACAAACACCUGAUUUGGGAAAAUGACGUCGUCGGUGCAUUUAAAAUUUGGAUACAAAACCAUAUUUGUUUCGAGAUAAUGAGCACCUUUCUCUUUCAUCACUUUGUUAAAGUUUUAUGUUUUGUCAUACACUUGAUCUUCAACUAUUCGAGGUAUCAAUGUUUCUUUCAAAGCUUUAAGAUCUUUUGUUACUGUUGAAACUUCAUCAUCAUCAUCAAUGUCUGUUUGUUUGUCUUCAACAGUCACAUGGUCAUGAUCACAAGUUUUCGAAGUUGAAGGUUGAUCAAUGUCAAUUUUAACCUCGUAAUUUUUAGAUUUAUCUUUACUUUUAACCUUUGAAGUGACAUUAAUGACAGACAACUGACAACAAUCAAUUUCUUCCUCUUCCUCAAUUUCACUUAUUUCACUGAUAUUAUCAUAAUUAUCUUUGAGAUAAGCAAAAUUAGAUUGAGAGUCAGAUUUUGAAUUCUCAGUUCUUUCCAAAAUCUUGAUUUGUUCAUUUUUGGUCAAAGUUUCAUUCACAAUGUUAAGCAACUCAGUUGCAUCUAAAUAUUCAUCUAAUUUCACUACUCCAUAAGCAUACCUAUUAUCUGGAACUUUAUAAAAAUCAUUUAUGGUCUUUUUGUAGUCAUAGGAUAUGCUAUCAAUCUUUUCUCUUUCAAAAGUUAAAAACGGCAACAACUUCUUAUGUUGUUCUUUUCUUAUAUCAGAAGAGUGAUGCAAAGCAGUCAAUUUAGCAUAUAGUCUUUUAGCUGAAUUAUAAUAGAUGUUUCAUUGAGAUAACAAUAAUUUGACAUCACUAUUUAAAGAGUACCUAUCACACAUAAGAAUGGUAAUUUGCAUUUCUAGAUAUUCGAUUUUUAUUUUCUUCGUAUCUAACUGCUUUUGAACCUCUAGUAACUGAGUACUAGAUUUCUUUGCCUCGUUACUAGCCGAAAUAACCAAAGUAUCAAAAUAAGCAACGGUAUCAUCAAAAGCAAAGAAUUCAGAAUCAUAAGUACUCAAAGGAAUAUCGAAAUAUUGAAGAAUAAAACAUACCUUCGUUGUCAUAGGUGAUUUGUCUCCACUCUUGGUCAUGAAACAACGACCAGUCGCCUCUUCUUCAUCAUCUUCCUCAAACUUUGCAUACAUCGCCCCAUGCGUAGGAUUAUGCAUCUCCUCGUCAUCAGAGUCGGAAGACCAAAUUUGAUAUGUUCCUUCAUCCUCACCUUCUCCUUUCGCCACCAAAGACAUACCCUUUGCUUUUGCCCUUACUUCCUCUAGACGUUCGACAUAAUAUGCUUCAUCUUUAAUCUUGUUUUUCUUUUCCUCUUUCUUCCUAAGCAUACAGUCACUAGCCAUGUGAUUUGCACCAUGACAAUAGUGACAAUCGAUUCCAGAGUCUCCUUUGAGUUUCUUUUCGACCUUUAUCUCUUCAACUUUCACAUCAUUCUUCUCAAUCUUUUUCUUCUACUCUCCUCCACUUUUGUCAUGAAGUUUCCUUUUCCAUCACUUGGUUUCGACUUUGGAUUAAAUGGUUUCUUGAAAAAAUUCUUUACUCUAUUGUUAGAGUAAAAUGCAAAAGCUUCAUCAUCAGAAUUUACCUAAAACUCUUCGUCAUUAGAAUCUUCCUUCUCAACUGACUCUUUCUUAGUAACUUUCGAUACCAAUGCAAGUGGUCCUCCAAUAUUCAUUUUUGAUUCCUCAACAAUUUCAUUUACUUAUCCUUCAUGAGUUUUUAGUAAAUUGUACAAAUCAUUUAGAGUUGAAGUGUUGAAACUCUAGUGAGUUUUCACCAUCAGGCUUACAUUCCUCCAUUCCUUUUGUAAUCUCAUGAUGAAAGUAGGAUUGAACUCCAUGGUUGAUCUUGUAAUUCCAUAGCUGUUGCACUCUUAAAUGAGUUCGUUUAACAGAUCAUAGUAACCUUCAAUAGAUUCACCAUCCUUCUAUUCGAACUCUUUCAACUCAAUCAAAGAAUGCUUCACAUAAUUAAUAUUCGUCUUUUCACUCCCUUGAAAAUUGUCUUUGAGAGUAUUCCAGAUUACCUUAGCAGAUUUACAACUCCUGACAUAGUUGUAAACAACUGGAGGCAAUGCUCCAUGCAACUCUUUCAUACACCUUUUCUCAUUCUUCUUCAGUCUUUCAGUCAGAUCAUUAAUAGUUGGAGAUGUAGCAGAUGAACCAAUAUUUUGAACAUUCCUUGGUGGAAGAUUGCUUCCAUCAAUACAAUCCCAAAGCUCUUCAUCCAUUCCAUUCAGAUAAUCCUCCAUGUGAUCAACCCAUUUAUCAUAAUAUUCUAGAAUAAGCAUAGGAAUCUUAGUUGAAGAUCCUAGCAGAUGAGAAACCGAUGUCACAGUGUUUAUAUUGAAAUUUGCCAUUGAUGAACAAAUGAAUUCUCAGAAAAACUUCAGAAAUUUGAGAAUUAUGAAAUGAAUUGUUCCGAAAAGGCAAACAGAACAGUCGAUUAAUCAAACAAGUUGCAUAAUCGAAUUACAACUGAAGAUCUACGAUGAUUUUCAAUAUCAAAAGUGUGUAUAUUUCCUGCUCUGAUACCAAUUGAAGAGGUUUGAUAAUCGAGUAAUGAAAUGAAAUCAGAGUACUAAAGAAUUAUGAACACCGAGAGUAAAUAUAAUCUUGUUUCAGCUCAAUUAUGCUUUUGAAUACAGAGAGUGUUUAGACAGAAUACAAGGUGAAAAGUUCUUUCUAACUCUAAGUAUCAACCCUUAUUUAAAGGAGAACUAGAAAGCAUACAAAAAAUACAAAGGACUCAACAUUACAGUUUCGAAACACAAAAAGCCUUUGUAAAUAACUUUACUACACCACUGAAUACACACAACCUUCGACACCUUACAAUGUAUUUCGACUCUUACAGGGUUAAGAGCUUAAGUUGAUCAAGAACACUCUUUAACCAAUAUGGCUUACUCCCAAAAUCAUUUAAUACAUCAUUGGGUGUUGUCAAGUACAUAAAACUACCAUUAGUCUCAUUGCAAGUACUUAAUACAAAUAUGAAAUCCCCAAUUCCAUUCCAUGUUUCCCAAAUUGCCCUUUUGGCCAAAACAAUCACUAGUGCUAGAACCUUAUUAGCAUCAUUUCAUGUUUGUGUUCCAAUAUCAGCUUUAUAGUGUCAAUUCAUAUUCGUGAGUUUCAUUCACUUCUUAGAUGUCAAUCUUUAGGUAGUACUCUAUACAUUUCCCAAAUGCCCUAUUAGCCACAAACUCCAUGGAUUCAUCCAAAAAUCAAUCAACACUUAGUAUUUUUCAUCCAAAUAAUUCUAAUAGCAUCCAUUCAUGGUUAUGAACUUCAUUUGCUCAACAAUUUCUCAACUACAAAGGAUUCCAUUGUUUCAUCAUAUUGUCCCCAAAUCCAUUUAGAUCCUAGCUUAUACAUGAUUCUACCAUCAUUUAUAUGUUUAAUUAUUCCAACUGGAUUCAUUGUCAACAAACAACAUCUAGGUUAUAGAAUAUAUUCCACUUUAACAUUUAAAAAAAGAAAUCCCCAAACUGGAUUUCUAGGGUUCAUGAGGGUUUUCACUCGAAUCCUCAACUCUGUCAAUGGGGUGAUUGGAUUGAGAUUGGGACUAUCAAAACAACUCAAGGGAAGUUAGAAAACUAAACCCUAAACCUCAAAUUAGAUGAAAAUCACAAAUAACUCUCAAUCCAUAAAUGAAAUUCGAAUUCAACACUAAGGGAGGAAGAAAGUGUGACAACCCAAAAUUUCCGUUAGUUUUAACGUCGAAAUUAAGUACGUCAAAAAUUAGCCAAAUUUAUCCCAAAAUAUUUUUGACCGGAUUUAAACCUAUUGGAAUAUUUUAAACAAUAUUCGUCAAGUGAACCAAAAUUUAGGAGGUAUAAUUUUAAAAUUUGUCGUGUUUAACGGUAGUCGUGAAAAACCCCGUUCGCGGUUGAUGUCAGGUGGACCCCCAACCAGGCCAUAAACUCCACCCUAUAUAAGGGUUGAGUGGGUUUCAUUCCAACCCUUUUCACACCUUAGGAGUCACUCUCUCUCUCUCUCUACUUUCUCUCUCUAAAAAUCGGGUUUUGGUCAAAAAUCGCCCCUUCGAGCUUCAAAACGGUAAGUUAACCUUCCUAGCUUGUUGUUUAGCUUAUCACACUUGCAAAUUCGUGGCUUAAACAUCCUAAAACCCCAAGAACAAGAGUUUACGGUCUUGGGAGCAUCCCAUAACCAUAAACACCUUGAAAGAGGGUUUUGAUGCCCAAAAACCCCUCCAAACCACUUAUAAUGCUUAGCAAUGACUUAGGGCUUACAUGAAAGGACUUAGAACACCAAAAUCUUAACAAAUGGGGAGUAAACAUGAGUUUGUGGUUGAAGAACAUUCUUGGACCGUAAACCCAUCUUCAAGGACCAUAAACACCUUUUUGGGUGUUAAAUUGCCCCUUAAACACCCCCAAAAGCUUCCAUGAGUGCCUAGAGCCUUGUAAUCCUUCAUUUGAUGCACCAAAACACAUGAUUCAUGGACUAACAUGAGUUUACUACCAUAAACUCAUGUGUUUAAGGUAGUAAACUCACCAAGAACACCUUCAUAGACCAUAAACACCUUUCCAAGGUGUUUAAGUGCCGUUAACACCUUCCUAUGGCCAUAUAAGUGACUAGAACCUUGCCUACAUAACCUAGAACCACCAAAAAACAAGAGAAAUGGACUAACAUGAGUUUAAUACCGUAAACUCAUGUGUUUACGGCCGCAAACUCCUCAAGGAGUGGCCCAUGGACCGUAAACUCCCUAUUGUGUCCAUUUUGAGCCCCAAUCACUUCCUUAGCCCUUCAUUCGACUCUAGCAUGAUUCUAUGAGUGAGAUAAGACCUUUAAACAUCCAAUGACACCACUACCAUGAUUUUACGGCCGUAAAAUCAUGGGGGAAGUGGUCUUGAAACCGUAAACACCCAUAAGGGUCAUCAUUUGAAGAGUAAACUCCAAUGUGAGUCCAUACACACCUUAUAUGCAACCCUUGGUACUUCUAGCACUUGUAGCAAAGUGUUUUUAUGUAGUAAGACAUCCUCACUUUCUUAAUUAGUUAUUAAAUGACUAAUUAGAUACUUAAAUGUAUCAUUACAUGUUAAAUAGGAUUCGCGUGUGUGGUCAAGUCCUCACUUGACACUUAGCAUCCUAUACUGUCCAUUCAUCUGAAACGCCAAUGUCAGGUGAGUUCAUACCCCUGAAUUAACCUUUUAAAUGUUUUUACAUGCUUUUAUGGGGGGGGGGAUACAAGUUAAAACAUGCUAGUUAUCAUAUCAAUCAUAUGUGAUUAAUAACCCGCAUGCACAGGGAUUUAUCACACUUUUAGUUGCUUUACCAAGUAUAAUACCAUAGAUGGUUUUCCAAAACGUCUUUACUUGUUUAAAUCUUUUCUCAAAUUAUCUCUCGUGUUGUAUGUUUUACUUCUACACCAGUUACAACAGUGUUUUAAACAAAGGUUUUCUUUACUUAUUUUGUGUUAUCAAAUUAUAUUCAAAACAUGUUUAUGAACGGUUUUCAAAGCUUGUUUUACAUAAAGAUAUCAAGUCGUAAAUUCUUAUUUUUAAAGGUUUUACCAAAAUUUUCUUCUAUACUUCUAUACUUCUACUUCGUUAAAUGCAUGCCUGUACUUGUAUAGUUAUAUAAAUAAUGUAUAAAAGACUUAGGAAUGCUAGUUCGCCCUAUUUCCUUUUCCUCGUUGGGAUGUGGUUUGGUGGGUAUCGGAUAUCCGUCCGAAGGUCAUUUAAACAUUAGUUAUAUAUCAUGUAUACACGUAUAGACAUAAAGGUUUACAUCGACCAGUUCAUUUCCCUUGGGUAGCAAGGGCAUCCUUCCAUUCAUCAUUCAUAGAUCAGAGACACUAGUAACUAUUAUAGGAAUAGUUAGGAGGUUCUAUUUACUCUUUCUAGUACAAGAAUUCCAAUGGAGUCAGUUCAUUCGCGAGUCUAUAUCAUUUCCCCAGCGCCUCUAAUAGAAUUCAGAAUACGAGAUGCAUCCUCGGGACACGGAUCUCCCCGUCGUCAAGUUGGUAACCAGAGUCUCCUGGAGGGAGAGCGGGCAUUGUGUGUAUAGAUCUAUAUAGGACUGGCACUCCCUCGCCCUGACUGCUAGCUACAGUCCUCGGCCUACCAAGCCAAAGGGUGACAAAUGUCACAUUUAUUCCGACGCUUUUAGGGCGUCAAGUACUCUAGUGUCAAUCAGUAUGGUUACGAGUAUCUCCAUGUUUACCUUAUAAUUCAUGAGCUUAAGCUAACGAGAAUUAACACUGUAUUUAUGAAACAACACUCUUAGGAUUACUCUUUGUUUUAGACUUUGCUAGAUGUAUCGUUCAUUUGAUACUUUCUGGGGUCUGUGUCCCUUUGUUUUAGACCUUGCUAGCUGUCUCGUUCAUUUGAUACUAUAUGGGGUCUAUGUUUGUUUGUUUCAGACCUUGUUGGAUGUAUCGUUCAUUUGAUACUGUCUGGGGUCUGUGUUUCUUUGUUUUAGACCUUGCUAGUCGUAUCGUACAUUUGAUACCAUCUGGGGUAUGUGUUUCCUUUUGUUAGACUGAACCAGGUGUAUCAUUCAUUCGAUACUCUCCUGGAGUCUAUGAUUUCUUUUGCCUUAGUCAGCAGUAUUUCCUGCUGAGGCAUAUGNUCCCCUAGUAUUUUUACUAGUGAUAUUCUCCUACUUUCUUUAAAGUCAAAUACCGUAUUUUUGUAAUGAUAGUAUUUCAAGGAAAAUUUCUCUAACACUAUCGAAUCUUGGUAGAAGACUGCUUUUAAUUAGAAAAUAUAGGAUUUUCUGGAAGGGACGCUAAUACACCGUAGACUCUAAACUACUACUUUUUAUAAAAUUAUUUUGAAUAAAAUGCUUACUUACACAAAUGACACUAAAUACUUAUGAACUCACCAGCAUUUAUAAAAAUGCUGAUACUCACUUUCAAAAUAACUUGUAUUCUCAGGUCAGCGACAGACAGGUACACCUGGGAGCUUUUGCGAAGUCAGCCUAGAACCGAGCUGCAUCUAUACUAGUUUAUGCAUUACUUUAAUGUCUCUAUGAAAUGUAACUUAUGUAAAACUAUUACUAUUAAUGCAAUGGUUGUUGUACUUUGAUUACUAUACUGCAUAUGUUGUGAUACUUGACAUGACAUCAUCCACCCUAGAACGUUUCUGCCGUUCCGGUUUUGGGGUGUGACAGAUUGGUAUCAGAGCAUUGUUUAUAGUGAGCUCGGUAUAUCAAUUCAUAAAAGAUAUACAACAUAUAAAUACAUAGGGAUAAAACUAUCUGACCAAGAAUUAUACUUUAAAAUAUAACCAUAUUUUACCAAAGUAUAAGAACAUCCAGAAUCUAAACACUCGAACACAAGUAUCACAAGAAGAACAAGAAUAAAAGUCUUCGGAUGUUGAGCAUUACCGUCAAACCUGGGCAGUUAUGUAAUCGUAAGCUGGAAUAAAUGUAACCUGAUCAACUACAUUUAUUCAAGAUGCGAUGAACGUGUGCUUGGGAGUGAUAGUGGUGUUGCAACAGGUCUGAAACUUUACCAAAUAGGAAUGCUAGAGCCAAACAUAAAGUUUAAAAUGCUAUUGGAGUAUUUUGGAAUACUAAAAGACUCACAUUAAUCCCAGAAUCGUAUUCAGAAGUUAAGAAUCAAACAAGAAAUUAAAAUACCAUAGGGGUAUUUUAGGAUCCAUAGAUAACCUUGUGUGAAAAACUAAAAAGAUCCCUUAUUGAUAUACCUAUGAUUACAAAGGGUACACUUCCAAGGUUAUAUAUAAUAAGGAUCCCAUAGACUGAGAAUGUGUGGUUUCGCUCUAUUUCCUUUUCCUCGUUGGGAUGUGGAUAUAGAGUAGUAUCACAUAUUCGAAGGCCUAUCGGAUCUAAGCUAUAUAUGAUUUGUGUACCCUAUGUAAUUUUAGCAGGACUCGAUAUGGAUCACUCAGUGAAAUGCUAAUAAUCUCUUAGGAUUCUUUAGACAUUUCCAUUCUCGCACGAACCCUGUAGAAAACCCUAUCCAUUUCAGUGCUCGACAGAAGAGUUGAUUCAGAUCUAGGAGAAGUUCAUUGAGAAUAUUUCCAGUUCGGAAAUAAAUGAACUAGGACGAGACUAUUGAAACCACCAAGUGCCUAUACCUUUUUAGGGACAUCAGUGGGAAAUUCGCCUGAACUUCUGAGAUUUCCAGUCAUCCAUCAUGAAGUGAUGACACUCAGAGUCAAGAUCGGAAGUAAGGCGGAAUAGAAAUUCAAUAUGUCUUCACGAGAAAAGAACCCUAGGUCACUAUCCGAAGAAAACCAACGUCGGUCCCAGUCAAGGAUAUGAGGUAGACAGAAAGAGCCAGUACAUGGAACCCGAGAAGUGUCUUUUCCUCGUAUUCGUCAUGCUAAUACACCCAUAAAAUAAUACAGUUUAGUGAGUUAGUGAUUACACUACUCACACUAUGUGUUAGGAAAAUCGCCUUUUCCCCGUCACAAGUAAUACGAUUAGAUCGGAUCUCAAAACCUUGAUUGAGAACGUUUAGCCAUAAGCCUUCAUGAGCAUUUUCUUCUGUGAUUUCGUUCCGAACUUCCCUCAAAUCUUUCCAAAGCCGGAGAGUGAACCUUUCCAGCAUAAAGAUAAUCUAGUAGGAACGACUCCCAUCUUAUGGCUUUCCGAUACUCUUACUCCUACCUUGAAUACCCAGACUAUAUCAUAGGGAUGUAGGUCGACACUCAGACAACCAAUAUCCGAGGCGCGGGAAAAAUUUAUGCCUAAUAUAGUAAGGAUAGAUACGUUCAGGUUUAACCAUCAUCUCUCAUCAGCAAGUGUUCCUUUCCAUGUAGGAAAACCAUGCCUCCGAAGAAGCGUAACCAAUCCGCUGGCAAGAAACCUACUCUCCUAUUCGAUGAAGCUAUGAUCCAAGCUACAGUCUUGGUAGCCGUAGCAGCUGUCAUGGCUCAACUGAAUGCUAACAAUGCCAAUGUUAGCAAGAGCCCUAUCGGAAUUCUCAAUCCUAAGAAUGAACGGCAGCAACCAACUCCUGCAUACCCAGCCACCUAAGAAACGCAACCAACCCCACUGAAGAGAAAGUUCAAGAGAGAGGAAGGAAGUACCUCGACUCAAGGACCUUCCGAAGGGCAGCAAGCUGAGACAGUCAAUACCCCUACCAACCCUUCCAUCCUGACACCUACAAGACCAUACCUAGGAAGCCAAAGAAUGGCGACAGUCACGGAUAGGCAAAGUUGUAAAACAGAGAGAAGGAAAUGAAAUCAUCAAGCUCGAAAGGAGCGCCAACGACUCCACAGACUUGCCGUGCAACAGCAGCAAGCGGCAACCCCCACCCCUUCAGCAUCAGCACGACCCAUUUCACAAGUCCCUAGCAUCGGGACCAACCCUACACACAAAGGUGGUGAUAAAGUCGGAUUCUUUAAAGGGAAAUUUUCAAAGUGGAGGAACGAGAAGGGCACCCGUGUCCACGUAAAUCUGACUAAGCACCUCACUCCCACCACCAAUACUAGUACGAACCAGUCAUGUCACCAGUGCGGUGAGAUGGGACACCUCAAAAGGGACUGUCUAAUAAUAAAGAACUCUGGUGCAGACGGGAAGAUACUAAGGAUCACUGCUGCAGGAGAAACGACAAGGGUGCAGGAGGAGCCUAACCCUAAUACCUAGGAGAAUCAUCACUAAAACUGGUAAAAUUUUGGUAUGCCUCUCAAUCCUAGAUAACUAACCGAGAACAUAAAAAAAGGCUAAUUCUCAAUGUGAUUACUUCCCUGUUAAGGCGAAAGUCGCAGCACUGUUAUAAAAUUAAAAAUUUCAUCAGGUAGAGCUAUUAUAGCUCUACAUAUACAUUAAAGCCAUGUAUAAUUAAGAUGGACAGACCUAGAGUGAGUGAUGCUGCCUCAUUUCCUGUUCCUCGUUUGGUUGUGGAUUUAAGGCAGAGUCACUCAGUCAACAGUCCUCCCCACCUUAAUUAUACAUGACGAGUAUAUGUUAGGCGAUUAUAGAAAGGCCUCGUGAGAAUCCAUUCAUGAAAGGUACACUAUUCAGAAACACUCAGGACCCUCUACAGUUCUGUGUCAACUCUAUCGGUCCAAGUAUCCACGACAGUGAUACACAGGACGAAACCCGAGACGCCUAAAACUUUUGUGCCCGUUCAGCACAUGGCCCUAUCGGCCCUCAUUCUAUAUCAUGUCGAAGUAUGCCAACUUUGACGACCUAUCAAUCAUGGUUCGAAUUCGUGCAACCAUGUGUAAAUCCUAGUGCUGUGUAAAAAGAACUUUCAUCGUAGCCAUUUCGGCAAAUAAAGGUUCUUCCGAACCUAAAAAUAAUGAAGACUAAUGUGAUCCAUCAGUCGUCCCUCUUAUUUAAAACCUUCCGAAGUACCCAGGAGAAAGGUCCCACACGCUGUUAACCAAACCCUCCUUAGAUAGAUAGAAACCGAAGCGAAAGACACUAUAGGCACUCCAGAAGAUGAUAACCACCCGAAACCCACUCCGUAGAACCCGAGAAGGACCCUUCGCACCUCACAAUCAGGUUCGUGAAUCAAGAGGAUAGAAAUCAUGAGACUGACUACUAUAACUGAGUAUAUGCAUAAGGGUGGUAUAUAAUUGAGAUCAAAAAGAUUUAAGAUGUGUGCUUCCUCCCUACUCCCUGUUCCUCGUUGGGUUGUGGGUCUGGGGUGGAGUCGCACAACUGAACAUCCUGCCGACCUCAAUUAUAUACGGCUUACAUACACCAAGUAUUAGUGGUUAAGCCAAGUAUGAGCCCUACCACGAACCUCAUAGUAAAGCCCUUCAUCCUAUCCCAUGGAAUGGGAGCUAGAGUCAAGAGAACCCCGCGGGUUGAGCUACUAUAAUGACCACAAACUCGAAAUUUGUUGUCACCCCGGUUAAGACAACAUAGUAGCUAACACCCUCAUUUGGUAAAGAAAUCUGAGUCGUAGGAGUCAAGGACAUUGACUAAGACCAUCCAUUCACGCUUAAUCCCACAAAUUAAGCAUCUCAGCAGAGUCCCCAGAAAACCUGGAAGCUGUAACAAGUUGAACUCUAAGAAGAGUGGAUGAGGAAAAAUUAAAAGUUCCGAGCAACAAAACCCUAUACUUCUAGACUUAAUCUAAAUCAAGGAAACGCAUGACCCGCGGAAGAGUGGCUGCAGAAGAUGCUCGCACUACUUAGGCACUUCGUCCACCCCGUUACUGACAAGUAGUGCCUAAGACACUCCACCUCCUCACGUGGUAGAAGUCACCGUCACCCUGUAGACGAUAGAUUGCAUUCUCCGAAGUGAAUACUAGAAUGCUAAGAACCACAGGAUAACCUCCGCAACCAGAAUACUUGAAUAAAGUACAAAAGUAGGUUGCGUUAAGCCUUAUAACCCAGAUCCCAAUGAGAUUGUAGACUUGACACCAGUCUAGGUGUUAGUCGAUGGGUUAUAUAAGAACAUGCGCUUUCUGCUACUGGAAUAAACCGACGCCUUAGAGAAUAGGGCAUGUCUUAGAGAUUCAUUGGACUACUAGGUGUUCCAAGAAUACUAUCUCACACAGAAAUAGUAGAACCACCUCCCGAGAUAGUUCAACACUUCAGAAAAUCUCUAAGAACUAAGUUAGCCUAAGCAGAGGCUACUAUCCAUGAAACAGCAAAGCAAGUAAGAGCGUGAUUCCUUCCAAGUAAAGAAUCAUACUGUGAAAGCGUCUGUUAAUUAUCAGCAAAGAAAUCUAAAACUCUCUAACCAUCGUCUGCUAAGGCCCUAUCUCAUUAACUUGGAGAGUCUCCGUUAGAAACACCUCAAGAAUCAGAAGUGCAGGUCCAUUUUGCACUAAGAUGAGAUAGAUUCCACGAAACCAAUUACAUGCCAGUGUGUAGCCAAUACAUCCGAUGGACCAGAAAACCUCUAAAAGCCAAUCACUAGGAAACACGAAUUCGAGGAUAACCCGUGCCUUCUAAGAACCAACCCGAAGAACUACACCCCAGUAUGAGAGAACGUUUGGAACUUCAAAAUGGCGAUCACACCAGUGAUGAUCCCACCAUAGAAGUGCAUUAUGUUCUGAGAACUGAAAAGCUCUAUCUUUCCGAGAGCUUAGGACCAUUCGAGAUUCUUUAUAAGAAUUGGUCCAACAUUUGUCAGACCACGACUGCUUUUGGAAUUCCAUAAAUUCCACCAUAGUCUAUUCGCGUCUCCAGCAUGGACAACGUAUUUGUCCGACGUGACUUGAAUUAACCCACUCGUCGUAAUAACAAUCAUUCGAAACCCUAACAUCGUAUAAAAACUCAUAGGAAACUGCAUACCGAGGAAUCAAGCGAGCGUAACGGAUCCGCAUCCCACUAGUGAAGCUUUGCUGGAAUGCCAAGCGAAGAUCGGAGUUCACUUAGGAGUGCGAGGACCAUUCGAAUAGGAAGUGCCCUCAUCUCAUUACUAGAUCAUUCAUGCCUACUUCUUUGCCUAAAAUCUAAUUUCGGGACGAAAUUCCCUCUAACGGGGGGAUGAUGUGACAACCCAAAAUUUCCGUUACUUUUAACGUCGAAAUUAAGUACGUCAAAAAUUAGCCAAAUUUAUCCCAAAAUAUUUUUGACCGGAUUUAAACCCGUUGGAAUAUUUUAAAUAAUAUUCGUCAAGCAAACCAAAAUUUAGGAGGUAUAAUUUUAAAAUUUGCCGUGUUUAACGAUAGUCGUGAAAAACCCCGUUCGCGGUUGAUGUCAGGUGGACCCCCAACCAGGCCAUAAACUCCACCCUAUAUAAGGGUUGAGUGGGUUUCAUUCCAACCCUUUUCACACCUUAGGAGUCACUCUCUCUCUCUCUACUUUCUCUCUCUAUAAAUCGAGUUUUGGUCAAAAAUCGCCCCUUCGAGCUUCAAAACGGUAAGUUAACCUUCCUAGCUUGUUGUUUAGCUUAUCACACUUGCAAAAUCGUGGCUUAAACAUCCAAAAAACCCCAAGAACAAGAUUUUACGGUCUUGGGAGCAUCCCAAAACCGUAAACACCUUGAAAGAGGGUUUUGAUGCCCAAAAACCCCUCCAAACCACUUCUAAUGCUUAGCAAUGACUUAAGGGCUUACACGAAAGGACUUAGAACACCGAAAUCUUAACAAAUAGGGAGUAAACAUGAGUUUACGGUCUAAGAAGAUUCUUGGACCGUAAACCCAUCUUCAAGGACCAUAAACACCUUUUUGGGUGUUUAAUUGCCCCUUAAACACCCCCAAAAGCUUCCAUGAGUGCCUAGAGCCUUGAAAUCCUUCAUUUGAUGCACCAAAACACAUGAUUCAUGGACUAACAUGAGUUUACUACCAUAAAAUCGUGUUUUUAAGGUAGUAAACUCACCAAGAACACCUUCAUAGACCAUAAACACCUUUCCAAGGUGUUUAAGUGCCGUUAACACCUUCCUAUGCCCAUAUAAGUGACUAUAACCUUGCCUACAUAGCCUAGAACCACCAAACAACAAGAGAAAUGGACUAACAUGAGUUUACUACCGUAAAAUCAUGUGUUUACGGCCGUAAAAUCCUCAAGGAGUUGCCCAUGCACCGUAAACUCCCUAUUGUGUCCAUUUUGAGCCCCAAUCACUUCCUUAGCCCUUGAUUCGACUCUAGCAUGAUUCUAUGAGUGAGAUAAGACCUUUAAACAUCCCAUGACACCACUACCAUGAUUUUACGGCUGUAAACUCAUGGGGGAAGUGGUCUUGAAACCGUAAACACCCAUAAGGGCCAUCAUUUGAAGAGUAAACUACAAUGUGAGUCCAUACACACCUUAUAUGCAACCCUUGGUACUUCUAGCACUUGUAGCAAAGUGUUUUUAUGUAGUAAGACAUCCUCACUUGCUUAAUUAGUUAUUAAAUGACUAAUUAGAUACUUAAAUGUAUCAUUACAUGUUAAAUAGGAUUCGCGUGUGUGGUUAAGUCCUCACUUGACACUUAGCAUCCUAUACCGUCCAUUCAUCCGAAACGCCAACGUCAGGUGAGUUCAUACCCCUGAAUUAACCUUUUAAAUGUUUUUACAUGCUUUUAUGGGGGGAAUACAAGUUAAAACAUGCUAGUUAUCAUAUCAAUCAUAUGUGAUUAAUAACCCGCAUGCACAAGGAUUUAUCACACUUUCAGUUGUUUUACCAAGUAUAAUACCAUAGAUGGUUUUCCAAAACGUCUUUACUUGUUUAAAUAUUUUCUCAAAUUAUCUCUGGUGCUGUAUGUUUUACUUCUACACCAGUUACAACAAUGUUUUAAACAAAGUUUUUCCUUACUUAUUUUGUGUUAUCAAAUUAUAUUCAAAACGUGUUAAUGAACGGUUUUCAAAGCUUGUUUUACAUAAAGAUAUCAAGUCAUAAAUUCUUAUUUUUAAAGGUUUUCCAAAGGUUUUAUCAAAGUUUUCUUCUAUACUUCUAUACUUCUACUUUGUUAAAUGCAUGCCUGUACUUCUAUAGUUAUAUAAAUAAUGUUUAAAAUACUUAGGAAGGCUAGUUCACCCUAUUUCCUUUUCCUCGUUGGGAUGUGGUCUGGUGGGUAUCAGAUAUCCGUCCGAAGGUCGUUUAAAUAUUAGUUAUAUAUCAUGUAUAUACGUAUAGACAUAAAGGUUUACAUCGAACAGUUCAUUUCCCUUGGCUAGCAAGGGAAUCCUUCCAUUCAUCAUUCAUAGAUCAGAGACACUAGUAACUAUUAUAGGAAUAGUUAGGAGGUUCUAUUUACUCUUUCUAGUACGAGAAUUCCAAUGGAGUCAGUUCAUUCGCGAGUCUAUAUCAUUUCCCCAGCGCCUCUAAUAGAAUUCAGAAUACGAGAUGCAUCCUCAGGACACGGAUCUCCCCGUCGUCAUGUUGGUAACCAGAGUCUCCUGGAGGGAGAGCGGGCAUUGUGUGUAUAGAUCUAUACGGGACUGACACUCCCACACCCUGACUGGUACCUCCAUGUUUACCUUAUAAUUCAUGACCUUAAGGUAACGAGAAUUAACAUUGUAUUUAUGACACAACACUCUUAGGAUUUCUCUUUGUUUUACACCUUGCUAGAUGUAUCGUUCAUUUGAUACUGUCUGGGGUCUGUGUCCCUUUGUUUUAGACCUUGCUAGCUGUAUCAUUCAUUUGAUACUGUCUGGGGUCUGUGUUUCUUUGUUUUAGACCUUGCUAGCCGUAUCGUACAUUUGAUACCGUUUGGGGUCUAUGUUUCCUUUUGCUAGACUGAACCAUGAGUAUCAUUCAUUCGGUACUCUCCUGGAGUCUAUGAUUUCUUUUUCCUUAGUCAGCAGUAUUUCCUACUGAGGCAUAUGUUAUUUUCCCCUAGUAUUUUUACUAGUGGUAUUCUCCUACUUUCUUUAAAUUCAAAUACCGUAUUUUGGUAAUGAUAGUAUUUCAAGGAAAAUUUCUCUUUAAAACAUAACACUGUCGAGUCUUGGUAGAAUACUGCUUUUAAUUAGGAAAUAUAGGAUUUUCUAGAGAGGAUGCUAAUACACCGUAGACUCUAAACUACUACUUUUUAUAAAGUUAUUUUGAAUAAAAUGCUUACUUACACAAAUGACACUAAAUACUUAUGAACUCACCAUCAUUUAUAAAAAUGCUGAUACUCACUUUCAAAAUAACUUGUAUUCUCAGGUCAGUGAUAGACAGGUACACUUGGGAGCUUUUGCGAAGUCAGCCUAGAACCGAGCUGCAUCUAUACUAGUUUCUGUAUUACUUUAAUGUCUCUAUGAAAUGUAACUUAUGUAAAACUAUUACUAUGAAUGCAAUGGUUGUUGUACUUUGAUUACUAUACUGCAUAUGUUGUGAUACUUGACAUGACGUCAUCCACCCCAGAACGUUUCCGCCUUUUCGGUUUUGGGGUGUGACAGAAAGUAUACCUUGAACCACUUGAUUUCUUCACACCUUGCACCAAAUGAACCUAGAAAGCUUGAAAUCGAAUCCUAGGGGUUAUAUUAUGCUUGAAUCACCAUUUCUUAACUUUAUUUCUCCUCUCAUCGAUCUCAUAUGGCUGAAAUAAAGAGGGUGCACUCUUAUUUUCAAAAUUUUCAUAAUUGGUCCCUAUAGUUUAUAUUUUUUUUCAAAUUUUCCUUAUUUCAUUUAUUUUCACAUUUGUCUAAAAUUGUGACAUAAAAAGUCCUCCUCCAUCCAUUAUAUUAAUUUGGUUGUCCUUUCCACUAACUAAGUCAACCCUUUGAUCAACCAACUUUGCCAAUUUGACACUUUUAGCCCUUAAAAUUUUAAAAUGUUAUUAUUUUUACUUCUAACUUUCUAAACGUCAAAUCAAUUAAUGAUAUGAUUCAUAUUUGAUGAUUUAACUAUAUAAAUCAUCUCAUUUAUUUACGUUGUUAAUUUAAGGACCUAGUCUUAAUGUAACACUUGAAUUUGGUAAGUUUCAUAUUCAAUCUCUAAUUUACAAAAAAUGUUUGCAAAAUUUGUCCUUAAGCUAGUACGUAGGGCGUGCUGAGUGGUACGCUUAACGUACUAGCCUUUUUUGUUCGUGAAGCUCAUCCACAUACAUUGGGCAUAUGUGGAGUACGCAGGGUGUACGUGAGCUAUUAUGAAACCCUAAUUUUUAGGGCUUGCACACUAUAUAAACCAUGUGAUAGCCUCAUGUUGUCAUGUUUACCCAACCUCUCUAUCUUUAAACACUAAUUUCAUCCCUUAUCUUUUAAGUGCUUUUGAGCUCUUGUGAAGUAUUUUUGGUGUGUUUUUGUGCAUUCUUGAAGAGGAAGGAAAAGAUUAUAAAAUUAUCCUUUGGAGAAGAGCCUAGAGAUCCAACCUUAGCUUCUCCAUUUUGUGGUUUUUGAGGUAUAAAGUUCAUAGCUUGAUAACUCAUUAAAUAGAUCUUCUUUAGGCUUUUUUAUGUCAUUUGGUCCCUUUUGGUUAGUCCUUGUGAGCUAGGGUCAUUUCUGGAGUUUAACCUUUUAGACCUGGACAUAUUAAGGGUUCCUUAAGCAUAAAGAUGAAAACUUUAUGGUAUUUAUGGACUCAUUCAUGUGUUAAGUCAUUUGUGAAGCUCUUUUGAGCUCUAGAUCCCCAUUAAGCCAUGCAUGCACAUAAAGUUUCCAACUUUAUGUGAUAAAUCAUCUUUCGGGACCAGUUUUGAGAGUAUAGAGUAGGGACUAUAUAGAUUAAGAGAUUUUUAAUGUAGGUUGGUCAACUAUGGAGUAAGUUUGGCGUAAAAGAUGGUACGUUGCACAUACUAGCCCCAGAGCAUAUAUGCUAAGUGUACGACCUGAGUACACCCAAUGUACUCAACAUAUGGGCUUCGUAGUUUGGGCUUCUCGACUUUAGGUCACGUUUGGGCUUUAGGUGAUUAAGGCCUUGUUGGUCCAUCAUGUUUAUUUUUGGCUGAUGUUUUUAUUCUGGUCUGUUUCGGUUGAAGGGACACGAAGGGGUUGGGCCCAAUUUCAAAAAUUGGGCUAUAUUUGGGCCUUGGAUGAUCAUUUUGGAAUUUGCGCCUUAUGGAUAGUUGGUUUCGGCUUUGGCCUUGAGCCAGGCUAAGCAAAGGGUAAAAAGGUAUUUUACCCUAGUUUGGACUCAUAAUGUGAUUCGAGAUCUAACUAUUAAUUGGAUGUUAUUUUUAUGAUUGAUAGCAUAGAGAUUUUUAGCGGGCCAACAAUGAGAGAUUUAUCUAUGAGAUUCACCAGUCUAAAGUGAGUUUCCGCGGUGGGUUUAGCAGGUCAAAGGCACCAAUGCCGACCCAUGAUUAUUGUCUUAGGAUGCUAGAUGUUUUCAUAACUCUUGCAUGUGUUGUGUGCUGGUAUGUUUGCCGAGCGAGGCUCGACGUCGGGCGAGGCCUGAUUUAAUGCCCUGUCCCAGAUUGUUUCCAUUUUGGGGUGGUGAUCAAUGAUUGGGUAGUAGUAGGCUUAGGGUAAUUAAAGAAGUUAGUUUUGAGACUUAUUCGGAGGUGGAUGAUGUAUAUUGGAUGAUUCGAGUAUUCGGUUUGUGUUUUGGAGUUAAAGGGGUAUUUUGGUAGUUUUCCAACUUAGGAUUCUAUAAAGGGAUGUUCGUUCGGGAUAUGGUAAGGUGGGUACAAGUAGAUUGAAGUAUAGAGCUUCUAGUUACCUUUUCAUGGAUAUAAGGAUCGUCGGAAUCGGGUUUAUAGCAAAGGAGUUAUGAUCUUUGGAGUAUUUAGGGUUAAGGGGUUAAGCAGUACAUGGGGUAUACAACAAGGUACGCUUAGCGUACAAGCGGUGAAGCAAGUACGUGAGGCAUACCAAGUGAUACUCUUAGCAUACUCAUGUGAUGGUGUUGAUCAGGGAUUCGUAGGUGUACGCUGGGCGUACAUAAGUCUCCGCGGGUGUACGUUCAGAUCUUGAAAACCCUAAUUUCCGGGGUUAACUGCUAUUUAAGCAUCCUUAUGGACUUGAAACCCUCAUUUUAUCAGCCUCUUUGUCCUCCUUACCCUACACUAGAACCCUAAUUCCAUACUUGUAUGUUUUUGAGGUUAGAAGGUUAAUUUAAGGUGGAUUUUGGUGCUUUGAAGGAAGGUGUUCAUCCUUUAAGCUUCAUCAGAGGAGUAAAGGCUUAUAGAUCCAAAACCCCAUCAUAUUUUGGCAUUUAGUUGAGGUAUAAAGUCUUGAACUUGAUGCUUCUUAGCGUAGAUAUCUUUUGGUUUGGUUUAUAAACCCUUUUUGGUUCCAUUGAUGAGAUCUUAUGAUUUCAUAUUGUUUUUGAAGUUUAGACUUGCCACUCUUGGUGUUAUUUUGGUCCUUGAGUCAUAAAGUUUUCAUUUUUGGGGUUUAGAUCCAUCCAUGCAUGAGUUAGGGCCAUUUUAUAGUAGAAUGUUGUAUUUUGAGUUUGGGUUUAUUUAGGGCAUUUAAAGUCGCCAAGUCAGUGACUUUAUGGGUCUACACAUUUAGUAUGACUCAGAUCUGUGGUUUGGACCUUUGGCCUAAGCAUUAAGUGCUUUGUGCUUAAUGGCAAAAGUGGGCUUAGUAUUGCAGUACGUUGGGCAUACAAUCCUGUACGCACAGCCUACAAGCCAUCAAGCAUGUACGUGUAGCAUACAGCUGAGUACUGAUGGGAUCUAUACAAAAGAAUAUCCUAUGUGCUCAUGAAAACCCUAAAGCUUGGAUCUAGGUUUCUCUAUUGUACAUGUAAUUCAUCCAAGACUUAAGAACCCUAGAUCUAGCAUACAUAUUUCGAGAUUAACAUAUAAGAACAGAUCUAGAUGAUUACCUUUUCAAGAAUGGCUUGAAUCUCUUCAAGAAUGCUUGAAUCUUCUUUCCUAGGAGCUUAGAGUCACAAAUGUCACUCCUCUAAUGGCUUACAAAUACCACAUACAAGAGGAUAAUAUCGGAAAGAGGGGAGGAGCACCAAAAACGUCCAAGGUACGCAAGGGAAUGCUUAGCCACGUUUUUUGGGAGCCCUAGGGGUCUAUUUAUACUUGUGUGGGCUACUAGGGUUUCAGGAGAAACCCUAAUUCUCUGCUUAGGCCUUAAGCAACCCAUGGAACCUUUCUAGAAGGCCCUUAGACGAAAAUCCUAUGGGCUUCCCAUAGAUUCCGUCCAAUCUCCUUUCCUUUAGGAAUCCAUAGCCCACAAUGUAAUUAUCUUAUAAUUAUAAUAUUAGUCCCUAAAGUUUAAUUAAUCUCUUUUAGCCACAUAAUUAAUUUAUUAAUUAAUUCUUGUCUAAUAUUAAUUAAACUUUAUGAUUUAUCUUUUGAUAUAUUAUUCAUAUAAUAUAUUAAUAAUCAUAAUUAACCUCUUUCUUCAUAAAUCAUCCUAUCAAGUUGCUUUGGUGAAGGCAACCCAAAAGGACCAUGAACAACCAGGUUAAAUACUUACCAAAUAUAGUUACAGGCUUAAACACUAAUCAAACAGUCUCCUACUUGGAUAAAUCUAGUAACUAUAAAUGCAAGUUUUAUCCGAUUAGCAAUUGUAGCUCUCAAAGACACUGUCGAACUCUGAUCUUAUCAAUAACCUGUCCUUUAGAUAAGGGAUCAUAUAUUCCUGCAUUAUAGAUAUUGUAUAGACAUGAUACAUGGAUUAUAAUCAUUAUAUCAGUCUAUGUGUUGUUUCCUAAAUUCCGAUUUAUGAACACUGACAACAAACGACAAUUGAACACAUCAACUUAGUCCUGGCUUGGCCAUGCGCUUAGGGAGUCAUCACUAAAUCAUUGAGGGGCCCACAAAUAUCGUUUUUAUCCCACUUUGGGUAAAAGGAACAGAUAAACUUCGACUCGAAUGCUUGCUUGUACCUGCUCAUCAAAUUACACACACCAAUAUGUUUUAUAACACCAAGUUACUGUUGCGUUUACAUAUUAUCAAUGUGCAACCGACUUGCAGAAUAGAACUCACACAUCUCAGUUUCAAGAAUAUAAGAUAUUAUCGUCUCACCAAUCACUCGUGAUAAAAUCCAUGAAUCGAUCCAAGUGAUCAAGGGUUUAAUCCAAUACUCUAAUCUUAUAGCAACACUCAUGAACUCUGCAGCAAACUUGUGUUAUGUCUAAACGCUUUAGACAAUCUACAGUCGGAUUCAUGACAGUUUUCUUUCAUACCUACUUCCAAAGUAUGAGCGACUGUGGAGGAUUUGAAUAAUCUUAUUAUUCGGGAAUUCAAAACAUGCAAAGUGAAACACAAGAAUAAUACUAAACCUAUAUGGCCCCAAACCUUUGAGUAUAAAUAAAACAUUUUAUUUAAUCACCAUAUUGAUUACUCAUUAUUUGUUGUUUCGGGUAAUCAACUUCUUACUUGAAUUAUAACAACAAUUGUCCCAUGCACCAAGCAUGCACACUAUGUUUUACCUAUGGUCUUUACUUUGUGAAAUAGAUCAAAUGAACACAUUUCCAAUGAUUCUCAUUUCACAAUUCCUAAUCCUAAUCAUUAGUGUAAGAAUACAAAAUUCUCGCCACUACUAGAAUAUGUUAGAUUCUAACAUUUUAUGAAACGGUCCUUUCGUAAUGUCACAGCGCCAAAGUCAGCAAGACUUUGCCAAUGAAAUUACAAAGUACUCUAUUGGAUAUUGUUACAAGACAAUCCCAUAGAUGUGAAGUCUCACAUUGAAAGUGCAUUCCUUUGAACAUCCUUCUUGCAUAAAACUUUCUAAUCUAGACAUAGAUUCUUAACGUCUAACUCCCAAUAAGGAAACAUUUCCAUAUAUGCCAUAUGACAACUCAUUCUAAAUAGAAUCUUAUCUAUUCAUUAUAAAGUCAAUGUGGUCAAUCUAUAACUAUACUUCCAACUGUCCACAAGCGACCAAUCUUUGGCGAACCUUAGAUUGUCCUUGACAGUUGUUUAAUUAUUUUAGUCAAAUCUUGUUCUUGUCCUUUUUCCCUCUUAGUUCCCUAGGCAUUUGGAAAAUUUUAGAACAGUUAAAUAUUACACCAUAUGCAAUCGAUCCUAUACCAGGAGCGUAUGGGACACGAUUCAUAAUGUCUUACAUAAAGCCAUGAUACUUUAUCACCCAUUUGCCAUAAUAUUUCUAUUUUCCACGUUCUCACAAUUCGAACUAUGAAGAGAAAUGUUGUAAUCAUAAUCGAAUUUUUGAGAGCACAGUUAAUAUAUUCUUGACUAAAUUUAUUAAAAUUUCUCGAUCUAAGCUUUUAGAUUGGAAAUGAAGUAUAACAUUCUCUCCCUUAAUUAUAGCAAAACAACUUUUCAAUCCCUGCAACUUUGCAAAGUGAAACUUUUGUUUUCUAUAAUUAAUAUUGCCAACUUGAAACACUUAAAAUAAUAAUCAUGCUCCCACUAACAUGAUGAUUAUAUCCAUUCCAGCAUAACAUUUAUGCUCCCACUAGCUAUGAUACGUAUUCAGAAAUCAGCUAAACUUCUAGAAAACAAUACUUAUUUGCUUCCAAAGUUCAUCUUUUCUAAUACGAUAUGCUUCGAUAAGCCUUUAUCUAAGCUUCUCAAACUCAUACACCUUUCCUUAGAUAGCUCACAUGUGUGUCUAAACUAAUUCAUGACUUAUAUUACUAAGUCCCAAAUGUUCAGACUAAUCGCUAAAUCUCACAAUUCGAACUAUGAAGAGGGAUUCCGUAAUCCUAAUCGAAUUUGAGAAUGCAAUUUACAUAAUUGUUAUCUCAUUAAAAUCUAUCUUAGUGAAAGCGUUUCCUCACAAUCAUUUUCAUGAAGGAGAGAACCCUUAUGACACUUAGAUUUUAUAGUGUAUGUGUUCCUAUCCAUGUGAAUUUGCCAUAAUCAUAAUCAUAAGAUAAUAUUUGUGACAAAUCCAAACUCUUAUGGACAGAACUUGUUCAUUCUUGAUAUCUUGUCAUCAAGGGUUCCACCAUUGCUUCCAAGUUAUUUAGCAGCUCACCUAUACUAGUCAAUGUACUUUCAUUAAACAAGGUGCUUUCUUUUAUGCAGUCUAUUGAGAAUUCGUAGAAUUCAUAUGCAUAGUUUAAUAAACUGGAAUGGCCCAGAAACAAGAAUAUGUCAGCAUGAUAGGUUGCAAACCUCAAGUCGUGUGCUAGUGUUUAAUAAUAGAUUUACUCUUGAUUAGUUCUUGAAACUUUUCAAGAUCUUUAGGACUCCCACUGACCUCUUGACAUAUAAGAUUCUCUUGUCAAAAAACAUUUCUUGACAAAUAAAUAUUCAAGAGUUAGUGUGGAUUCUUAUCAAGACAAAACACUACACACAAUUGGUAUUAGUUGGUCUUUGUCUUAUCCAAGACUUCACAAUUUACCAAUUUCAAACAUGCAAGAGUAAGAAAAAACAAUUUUCUACUUCACAUUUGAAGAGUUUGUUAUAACUUAAGACGUGUCACUCAAUUCACAAUCUUGGAGUAUGACUUUAAGACUUGAUUUUGGAACGAAGUAUGACUCAUCCUUUUUAUUUAACCAUUUCAACAAUUUCCGGUUCCUCUUCUUAGCCAUACUAGUGCACUAAGAUGUCCUUAGAGGAUUAAUUGUGAUAUGGUUUCAUAAUCAACAAGACGAUCAUAAAACACGAUACAAAAGUAAUCUCCCUUCUUCUUAGAUUGAAGAAACUUUUAUCUUUCUGCCUAAUUGAUUCUUCUUAUUCGUUCUCUCAUACAUUGAAACUUUUCAAUGAUUCAGAAUUACACUUAAUCGUGUAAACAUAACCACACUUACUAGACUUUUAGUAAAUCAUCGAAUCAUGCGAUCGAAAUCCAUUUCUUUGCGAUCAGACUCAGCUCACUUAUUCCUUUAAGCUUGCUCUCUUUUUCUUCAAUCCUACAAAACACCAAAUGUAAUCUUAUCACAUCAUGUAUUAAGAAUCAAACAUAGGAACUUAUAGAGUUAGAUAAUGGAUUUUUCCUGAAGUGGAGCCAUACGUCUUGACUCUCCCAUCUCUUAGAUCUCUCAGGUAGACAUGGCAACUUCAUCUCCAAUGCCCCUUCUCUUGGAAAUAAAAGCAAAUUGACUCUUUUGGAACAGCACACAGAAUUACCUCAGACUUUGCCUUUCUCUUAUGGUCAAACUUUUUGACCAUGACAUGCCUUUCGUUUCCAUUGCCUAUGUCCAUGGAGGUUUGGAAGGCAGAUCUACCAAUCAACUUUGCUUCUCCAGUGCGCCAAAUCAUUUUUGAUUCAGCAGCAACAAGCAAAUAGGUGAGAUUGAUGACGGUUACGUCGUGGUCUAUCAUAUAGUACUCUCUUAUGAACUCACUAUAUGAGUCAGGAAUCGAUUGAAGAACCCAGUCAAUAGCCAGCUUCUCACAUACAGUGACUCUUAACAUUUUUAACCAUUCAAUGUGCGACUUCAUCUUUAAGACGUAUGCACACACUGACUUUCCUUCUUCAUGUUUACUUGCCAAAAGGGCUUGACUGAGCUCGAACUUUUCAAGCCUUCGAACUUGUGGGUCAGGGAGAACAAUAGGAGGAGGUGGAGGAAGUGAAGGGUGAUCUCUUGUUCCUCGAUCGAAUCGUGGAAUAUUAUCUUCAUGUGGAAGGCUUGUUCCAAAGGAUUUGGGAAGACCAUAGUUAGAAUCAGACAUCUACAAAACGAGAGAAAAUUUAAGUUAGUUGAUUGAGUCCUUAAUAAAACACCCAAAUGAGAUAUUAAGGCAAGGACCCAGCACAAUAUUCUGCAACACGGAAGAGGGAUGCCGUAAUUUGGUCACAGAAUAUUUGAAGGUUAGUGAAUGACGAUUCACUAAUUUUCCACCAUGAAAAAUGAAAAGGAGAUUAUGUUUUAAAUGUAUUGAAAACUCUUAGAUCUUUUUAGAUUUGUUGAACUUUUAAAUGGUAUGUUUGAAUCUCGAUAUGCCCCUCGUUUUGUGACUCGGAUGCCAAUGAUCACAAAAUAGGGUGUGAAUAACCAUGCAUAUAUACAUGGUGCCCCCAAUGUUAUAGUUACCUAAUCAACGUGUCAGUUAACCACACACGCUCCAUCAACCUAUGAAAAACAUCGAGUCACCCUUUGCUUAGAGCCCAUUUAGUGUGUCGGUUAACCACACAUGCUCCACUAACGUCUUAGCAAGGGUAUAAUGUGUAAUUUCAUGGAAUUGCAUCAAAUUCACUUUUGCAUGAAGUAACUGAGAUUGGGAAUUUUGUAAAAACAUUUAGUUACUUUAUAAUUCAUUGUACUUUUAAUGGAAAUGGUUUGCCCUAUCCUACCCGUUCGACUAACGACUCUCCACCAAUCAAGGAAGUGGUUGGUGAGAGUGGACACCCAUUAAACAGCCAUUCUAUAGGCCAUCACCUUAUAACCCCCCUCCCUUAUAGAUCGGCUCCGUGAAUGAGGCCUAUUAACGGUAAGACUAGCAUCUUUACUCAUACAUAUAUAAUAUUAGACUUUUAAUUUUAUAUAUACAGUAUAAGGAUGUAUUUUACACUUUUAAAAUACUAUGUGGUCUAAUUUAAUCGAAUUAUACUUUUAAUGUAAUUAAGUAUAAACCAUAUUAUUUUGGAUUUAUUAACUCUCUUUUAAUUAUAUAUUUAAUUAACUUAAUAAAACCAUAGGGGUGUAAUUUGAACUUUUCAAACAACUAGGUUUUUAGAAUUUAACAUUUCAAAAUUAAACUUUUAAUCAAAAAAAUUUAAACUCCAAAACUUGAGGACAAGAUUUGAAACUUUUCAAAACUAUCUAGAUCAAAUUACAAAUAAUUAAAUUAAUCAAAUAAUUGGUAACUAUCUAAAUUUGACCUAAUUCAAUUUCUUACAAGAUAAUUCAAAAACAAAAUUACAAAUAAUUAAUAUUUAUCUUAUAAAACAAGUAAUUAUCUUAAUUUUGACACUUAUCUUCUAUUUUAGUAAGAAUAAUCACCAAAUAUUUUGUAAAAUUCGGAUUUUAUUAAUGAAAAACAUUUUUGGUAAUUAUCUAUCAUCAAAAUCAAUCGGUGCGGUGCAUAAAGCUCGUUUUAGCGUUUGAAACGCUUUUUCUUGCUUCUCUUCCCAGUCGAAGGCCACGCCUUUCUGGGUCAAUGUUGUAAGAGGUUUCGCAAUUUGUGAGAAGUUAUGUAUGAAUCUACGAUAGUAGCCAGCAAGGCCUAGAAAUUGACGAAUUUCCGUAGGCGUCUUCAGUGCUGACCAGUUCUCAAUGGCCUUAAUUUUGGAAGGAUCCAUGUGGAUUCCUUCUUCGCUGACCACGUGACCUAAGAAUUUGACUCUUCAGAUCCAAAAUUCGCAUUAGAGAACUUCGCGUAGAGCUUCUCUGAUCGUAGCGUUUCUAAGAUCAACUGCAGGUGUUUACUAUGCUCCUUUCCACUACGAGAGUAGAUAAGUAUGUCAUCGAUGAAUACAAUGACGAAUUGAUCCAAGUAAGGACGGCACACCCUAUUCAUUAAAUCCAUGAACACUGUGGGCACAUUAGUCAAUCUGAAUGGCAUUAAUACAAACUCGUAGUGUCCGUAACGAGUUCGGAAGACUGUCUUUGGAACAUCCUUCUCUAAUACUCGCAACUGGUGAUACCCGGAUCUCAGAUCAAUCUUUGAAAAGUAAUUAGCGCCUUGCAAUUGGUCGAAUAAAUCAUCUAUGCGAGGAAGAGGGUAACAAUUCUUGAUCGUAAGCUUGUUGAGUUCUCUGUAGUCGAUGCACAUACAGAACGAUCCGUCUUUCUUCUUCACGAAUAAGACUGGUGCUCCCCAUGGUGAGAAACUUGGUCUAAUAAAGCCCUUGCUGAGCAGUUAGUUAACUUAGUCGGAUAGUUCUUGCAUCUCAGCUGGUGAUAAUCGAUAAGGCGGCUACUAGGGUAGCUCCUGGAACUAGGUCGAUUCUGAACUCGACUUGUCGUUACGGAGGUAAUCCCGGUAGUUCUUCUGGAAAGAUAUCAGGAAAGUCGCGUACUACUGGGAUGUUCUUUAGGUCUUUCGUUUCUUGGUUUACAUCGACUAUUUGAGAAAGGAAUACAUGAUAUUCCUUUCGUAGGUACUCAUGGGCUUGCAUGAACGAGACGAUACGAAGAUUUGUAUUGGGUUUGUCUCCGUAGAUCAAUAAGGUUUCGUUAUUCGGUAGGUUCAUACAGACUGCCUUCUUGAAACACAAAAUAUCGGUACGAUGGAGACUCAACCAGUCCAUGCCUACAAUGACGUCGAAACUCUUGAUUAACACUGGUAUGAGGUCGAUUGGAAAUGAAUAGUUAUCUAGCGUGAGAGUAGAACCUAUAUAAAUCUCAUUAGAACUCUCUGUCUUUCCGUUAGCCAUUUCUACGACGAAGGUUUCUUUUAGUACUUGCGGUGCUUGAUUAAGUAAGUGUUUAAUUUUUUGGUUCACGAAGCUCCUCUCUGCUCCACUAUCAAAUAGGAUACAUGCAUACAAGUUAUCGAGGAGGAACGUACCCGUGACUACUGUGGGGUCUGCCACGGCUUCAUUAUGGCCAACAGCAAGUAAUCUCCCUGCUCCUCCUGCAUUCCCCGCUUUAGGACAGGUUUUUUUGAAGUGCCCUAUAUCGCCACACCCAUAGCAGACCUGGCUUACUCCCGUAUCAGGGACCUGGGUGAUGGGUCUGGGUGGUGCUUUGCAAAACCGGAUAGUAUGGCCCUACCAGUCACAAUUAGUGCUGUGCAUUUCCCAACAGGGGCCAUUGUGAUGGAAGUUGCACUUAGUGCACCUGGUAGACUCCCUGCAUAUGGCUUUGCUGGUAUAGGGGUAACAGGAUUUGUGGCAGCACGGACAGCCACAACCUGUUGGUUCUUGGAAGAGGGUUGAGCUGACUUGCCCUUCUUUCGGUCCCAGGGCUUCCUCUUGUUGUCGACUGCUUUGGCUGGUGCUGAGACAACAGUUGUAGUUGUCAUUGAAGGAGGGACCCCAUGAUCGAUAAGCCUUUGGGCCAAUUGUUUGGCACUAUCAAAGGUUGCACAGUUUGAUGCUAGAACAUUCCCUUGAUACGAGGGUACCAAACCCCAUGUAACACCGAAAAUUUCAAAACAAUUUUUCGUUUAAAAAUAAUUGUUUAAUUCUUAAAAACACUUUGCUUAAAUCUCAUUCAUAAUCGAAUUACAAACCAUAACUCCAUUUUCACUUUCAUAAUAAACUAGGAUCCUCAAAACAUGACUCUUUCUCUGGUGUGUACAAUCGAGUCGGUGUUGUCCCGUGAUCCUAAGAGAAACCUGAAACACAUAACACAAAACACUGUAAGCAUGAAGCUUAGUGAGUUCCCCAAAAUACCACACAUAACACAUAUUACCCACUCGAGGCUAUAACCCUGUGGGUCUGUGGACCCUACUCUGUGAACCUUCCGGUUCUAACUCUGUGAACCCUCCGGUUCUAACUCUGUAAACAUGCACAACAUAAAUCACAUAGAAAUAAUGCAGUACAACACAUAACAUACUUAGCAUACAAAUACUCUGUCACAUAACUCUGGUUACCUACUCAAGGUAAAGUAUAGUGAGAAGACUCACCUGGCAAGCAGGAAGCAGAUAUCCUCACGCUUGCAUCUCGAACUCGCCACCAUCUAUCACAUAAGGCAAAAGCUCUCUUGAACAUAACUCUUGAGACUAGACUCAAUCCUUUCUUGGCACCCUCUUAAGAGUAAAAGACCAUUUUACCCCCUUCUUGGUCCAAAGGCCACAUUGCUGACCAAACCCUAAAAGUCAACAAAAGUCAACGGUCAAACUUUGAUCCAACUCUCCGAGUGCACUCCAUUGACUCGGCGAGUACACACAUGUCCACUAACUCUUUGUCCCGCUUGGUACGUCGAGUCCCUCCCUAUGCUCGACGAGUCAUACCAGACAGGAAUCGCGGGGCCACCCCGACUCAACUCGCCGAGUCUCAAGAACAACUCGGCGAGUACCGCCUUGAACUCCAGUCCUCUAACCCCCUCCUGACUCACUGAGUCAUCCCCCAACUCGGCAAGUCUAUUCACUGAGCAAUUUACGUGAAACCCUAACCCUACUCGCCGAGUCUCAAGAACAACUCGGCGAGUUCAUGCCAUGCACAAACUCUACUGACCUCCUGAGGUCAGAUCUGUUUCCCCAAACCAUAGAUCUGGCCUCCCCAAGCAUGAAUGUCACGUAAAGUUCGAAACUUGAUGCUUGUAUAACCACAACAAGGCAUAAAAAGGAGAUUUAGUCCCAAAAAUGGCAACCUAAGGCCAAUAACCCCAAACUGGUCCAUAAAGCUCCAAGGGUCAAGGUCUCUGGACCUCUUUGAGUCCAGAUCCAAGGCACAAACUCGAAGAGGGACCAUUUGCUUCACAUAAUCACUCUCCAAAGGGGUUAGAAAACCCUAAAUCUAAUGAUCAACACCAAAACUGAAGGAGGUUCGAACCAUUACCUCAAAAUGAUGUCUCUGAACUCAGGAACUGCUUGAAUCGCACCUCCUCUUUGCUCUUGUCACCUUCUUCUUGCUAAGCCAAGGUUUCAAGGAUCAAAAGUGACUUCUUCUCCCUCACAGCAAUUUGGCUCACUUAGGGUUCUCUUAAAUAGGCUCCAAACCCGGGGGAUUAGGGUUUCAUUAAACAGCAUGGACUCGCCGAGUCCGGACGUGAACUCGGAUGAACAUCCACGACCCUACUCGGCGAGUCUUGGCUCCAACUCGCCGAGUUCCUCCGCAAAUUCCAAAAUAAAUAAAUAAAAUAAUAUACCUGGGAAUCUGGAUGUUACGAUUCUCCCCCAAUAGAAUCAGACUUCGCCCUCGAAGUCUCACUCUGGAAACAACUUCGGAUGCUGCUCACAUAUCUCACGCUCCGGCUCCCAAGUAAGCUCUGACCCUUUCCGGUGCUGCCACUGGACCUGCACCAGAGGCACUUCCUUGUUCCUCAGAACCUUGAUCUUUCGAUCCCGAAUAGCCACCGGUCUCUCAACGUAGUUCAGGCCCACAUCCACCUGAAUAUCCUCUAAUGGCACUACUGCCGACUCCUCGGCUAUACACUUUCGCAGCUGCGACACAUGGAAAGUGUCAUGGAUCUGACCUAGCUCUGCAGGUAGCUCCAACCGGUAGGCUACCCUGCCUACCCUCGCGAUCACCCGAAAAGGACCGAUAUAUCGGGGCCCCAACUUGCCCCUCUUCCUGAAUCGGAUCACUCCUUUCCAAGGAGAGACCUUCAGGAGUACAAAGUCACCGACCAAAAAUUCGAGCUCGGACCGGCGCCUGUCCGCAUAACUCUUUUGGCGACUCUGAGCGGUCAACAACCUCUGCCUGACCUGUUGUAUCUGCUCUGACGUCUGAAGCACGAUCUCUGUACUUCCCAUCACACGUUGCCCUACCUCUCCCCAGCAAAUGGGGUCCGAUACCUCCUUCCCUACGACAGCUCAAAUGGUGUCAUACUGAUGCAGUAAUGAUGGCGGGUGUUAUAGGAAAACUCUGCCAAGGGAAAAUACGGGCCACAAUUUCCACCCGAAAUCUAAUACACAAGCCCGAAGCAUAUCCUCGAGCGUCUGAAUCGUUCGCUCGCUCUGAAGUGUCCACAGACAUCACCAUGGUAAACUCUAGCUCAUUUCUCAUAUUCAUCUUCGAUACCGAGCACCAGGUCAGCUUUUGGCCCCACAGCUGAACCCCCAAAGGUCACACAUAACAUGAUCCAAAAUAUCUCACUAACUUCCUCCCCGUGACCACUGUCACGGCCCAGUGACACGCAAGUCACGAAAUUCCCUUUUCCUCAAAAAAAUACAAUCCAAUCGAAGAUCGACUCAUCUCUAACCUUUGGCGUCUGCUGUGCAUAUUCUCCCGCGUGCCUCACUGACCCUCCCGACAGAGACGGAGACCCCAGUCUCGCCCCGGUUUAACCACUAGGCUCCAUAAACUCAACACUAGGGCUACGCAAGCCUAAAACUCUUCUGCAUCAUGCACUUAUCGGAGAACACUCCAUCAUCACACUCUCUUGCCGUCUAGUGGGUACUAUGGCUUCCCGCAACAUUACGACAGCCUCUGACUAGUGAGUACUACGGCUCCCCGUAGUAUCACAACGCCAACUAACUAGUGAGUACUACGGCUCCCCGUAGUACCACNCUGUAGCAUCACGACUCUCUCUCUCUGGCUUGUGAGUACUACGGCUCCCCGUAGCAUCACAACACCCUCUAACUAGUGAAUACUACGACUCCCCGUAGUAUCAAGACUCUCUCUCUCUCUCUGGCUUGUGAGUACUACGACUUCCCGUAGCAUCACAACACCCUCUGACUGGUGAAUACUACGGUUCCCCGUAGCUUCACCCUAUACUCUCAUUCUCAUUACAACGCCACACUAUGUUCACUAACUCAUGCACCGAAGACUAUCAUAGAUAGUUACACACACACUUGCCCCGAUAUGCAUUACAGACUCUGGCGGCAACCGCCAUAACACAGAACCUACCUUUGCGGAGAUCCACUUCCUUAAAUAAUCCCUCUUGAUGACAAUACACGAAGGGCUCCCACUGGAACCGUGGAUACAUGAUACAUCACUAGUCAUCUUAAACCCAAGACUCUAAAUAACUCUGAAAUCGGGACGCUAUACGCGGAAACCACGGAACACCCUAACAGAGCAUCACAAUGUCCUGCCUCUACCACUGAUUCCCUUACUCCCAGCACCAUACACAUACAACAAUACAUUUCCUCUGAAUCCCAUAAUAAUUUCCUAUUUCACUCAAUGCGCAACUUCAGUGCAUCCAAACACUCAAUUGGAAUACAAGGAAGGCGCUAACCCUUCAGAACACACUGAUGAUCCUCCGAAACCCUUUCCACUACUGCUCAAAAUCCAAGCAAGAAUACACAUCCCAGCCCGGGAGUUGGCUACUCGACAAUCUUCUACCCAUAUUUCAACCCAGAAGUUCUCAACUGCCCAUACCAUCAUUACGAGUCUUCCACUUGAAACGACUCUGACCACCACCAGAUUCCUGACCAUUGACCACCCGCCGUGGAGACACCCAUCCUUCUCUCAGACAUAUACCACAUGCAUUAUCUCGCCCUGCACCUUUCCUUGAUCACCAAUGACCCUGAUCUCAUGAAUUCAAGCCGCAGGUUUCUGUAUCCAACCCCUAACCGCUCUUGCACAAAUCUCUGGUUCUCUCAAUAAACCACCCGGUUCUCCCCCACUUAGGGUUCGAACCAUCACUAUCUGACACAUCAACAACCUCACGAACUAUUUUCACCAGCAAUAACGCACCUGCCCCUGGAAAGUGCUACGCAACGCCCGAUAAUCCCCUUUAAGGAAAUCAAUCGAUCUCAUAACUCUGAACCUCAGAUGAAAUCCUCAAGAACUUCUCGUCACGACUGCCUCUAGUCGUUCCAAGUCUCGUACCAAUCCAAUACCAAACAACUCAACUGUCCAAUAACAUCACUGACUCAUAGACUGGACCACGAAAUCAUCAUACUCCCCCACCUCGACUCAUCAACCGACGUUCCAACACAUGGAUCAUCCCAAGAACAGGGACCCACUCCCAUAUUCAAUACCCAACAUAGAUAGAAAAACCACUGCACUGAUUAACUCGACUGGACUCCCCACUGAUACCUCUACAAUACGCCCUACUAUACUCAAAUAGGUGUAACGUGGUCCUCGACUAUCUCAGUCCCAACUGACUAUCUGCUCAUGGUAAAUCACUGCCUCGCGGCACACAUGCUACCUGAUACUCUGAUGGAAAAUCAUCAUCAAUGACAACCUGCAGGGUUUACCCCCAAACCCAAAACUUAAACAUCAUGCCUCUCAUGUUCCGCACACGAACAUAAAUAGCACCACCCAGGUCAUAGAAGGUGACAUCUCCUCUAUCGACUGAUUGCUCAACUCAGACCGAAAUUCUCCCCUCCCUCUAACUCCUUACCAAAAUACUCUGAUAGGCUCUCGACCUCCCUCUCAAGGGACGCCUCUUCGAACUCAAUCAUGGCCCACAGGCCUAAAACCCAUAGCGUCCAAUCUCUACCUCAUCAAUCGUGACCGGAUAACCGGAGAACCACAAGCAUCAUUCACUACGAACCAUGGUACUCAUCCCAUGACAUCUCUUCUCAAUAUGCUCCGGUGUAUGGUACCCGAACCAUAGCAUCACUCCUCCAUCUGCUCCGAUGUAUGGUACUCGAACCAUAACAUCACUCCUCAAUCCGCUCCGAUGUAUGGUACUCGAACCAUAACAUCACUCCUCAAUCCGCUCCGAUGUAUGGUACUCGAACCAUAACAUCACUCCUCAAUCCGCUCCGAUGUAUGGUACUCGAACCAUAACAUCACUCCUCAAUCCGCUCCGAUGUAUGGUACUCGAACCAUAACAUCACUCCUCAAUCCGCUCCGAUGUAUGGUACUCGAACCAUAACAUCACUCCUCAAUCCGCUCCGAUGUAUGGUACUCGAACCAUAACAUCACUCCUCAAUCCGCUCCGAUGUAUGGUACUCGAACCAUAACAUCACUCCUCAAUCCGCUCCGAUGUAUGGUACUCGAACCAUAACAUCACUCCUCAAUCCGCUCCGAUGUAUGGUACUCGAACCAUAACAUCACUCCUCAAUCCGCUCAUUAGAACCUUCAGAAUACUCCCUGUAUCAAGUAUGGGUCCUCUGCUUUCAGUAGUACGGGCCCAUACUACCUGCCACAUCUACCCAUACUUUCCACACGGACUAUCCCGGAGCUCCUAAGUAGCUGCUCGACCUUCUCGUUCACCAAUUCCGGCGCGUGCUCGCUCCCCAGCGAAAUUCUCUACUCUGCCAGCGCACUCAUCUGGCUAAGGUUACUCCCUAGGCUCUUCCUAGAUUCCCACACUUCUCUGCCAUCAGCUGCUGAAGAGCUCCUAAUGAUGCCAGCCAUCUACCUCCUGAAUAUCGUCAUAUUCGCUUGGUAGCUGACUCCCAUCAUCGAGAGUUCCACAAAGCACGAAGCAAGCAGCAUUCGAGCAUCGAAGAAUACAUAGGACUCACUCUGGGUGAUAACUCCGCUUGCUCUGCUCAUCCUCGAAAGUACCACCGAACUCUGCAACUCUUCCCCUCGUGGGUUCUAACUAUUCUUUCGCUAAGUACCACGGUACUCAUCUAGGUAUCUCCCCUAGAUUACGCCUCUACUCAAAUCCCCUAAAGGAUUCCAACUAAAUAUUCUCACUCAUCACAUACUCAAAAGCACAUCGGAUAUAACAGCAAUCCUAGGCUAAGGCAUCACAAAUCAGGCCACUCUAGUCCUAAGAUAUGAAAUACCUAGCCUGUCUCUAGCAUGCAAUAAUAUCUCAUAAAGUGCAUCAUAAAUAUCUCAUGACACAAAAGUAAGGGUAUUUCGGGAAAUCACCGUUCGGGCUCUUGCUGAUUGUACACACUACUCUUUCUCGCUUUCUCUUUGAACUCUUAUUCGCUUUAGAAAAUUAUUUCUUUGAAAACUUUUCUUACUUCCUCAGUUUGAGUCCAGAUUUACCCGAAGGUGCAUCCGAAUCCCUCAAACCAAGGCUCUGAUACCAACUUGUAACACCGAAAAUUUCAAAACAAUUUUUCAUUUAAAAAUAAUCGUUUAAUUCUUAAAAACACUUUGCUUAAAAUCUCAUUCAUAAUCGACUUACAAACCAUAACUCCAUUUUCACUUGCAUAAUAAACCAGUAUCCUCAAAACAUGACACUUUUUCUGGUGUGUACAAUCAAGCGGGUGCCGUCCCGUGAUCCUGAGAGAAACCUGAAACACAUAACACAAAACACUGUAAGCACGAAGCUUAGUGAGUUCCCCAAAAUACCACACAUAACACAUAUUAGCCACUCGAGGCUAUAACUCUGUGGGUCCGUGGACCCUACUCUGUGAACCUUCCGGUUCUAACUCUGUGAACCCUCCGGUUCUAACUCUGGGAACCUUCCGGUUCUAACUCUGUAAACAUGCACAGCAUAAAUCACAUAGAAAUAAUGCAGUACAACACAUAACAUACAUAGCAUACAAAUACUCUGUCACAUAACUCUGGUUACCUACUCAAGGUAAAGUAUAGUGAGAAGAAUCACCUGGCAAGCAGGAAGCAGAUAUCCUCACGCUUGCAUCUCGAACUCGCCACCAUCUAUCACAUAAGGCAAAAGCUCUCUUGAACAUAACUCUCGAGACUAGACUCAAUCCUCUCUUGGCACUCUCUUAAGGGUAAAAGACCAUUUUACCCCCUUCUUCAUCCAAAGGCCACAUUGCAGACCAAACCCUAAAAGUCAACAAAAGUCAACGGUCAAACUUUGACCCAACUCGCCGAGUGCACUUCGGUAACUCAGCGAGUACACACAUGUCCACUAACUCUUUGUCCCGCUUGGUACGUCGAGUCCCUCCCUAUGCUCGACGAGUCAUACCAGACAGGAAUCGCGGGGCCACCCCGACUCAACUUGUCGAGUCUCAAGAACAACUCGGCGAGUACCNNNNNNNNNNNNNNNNNNNNNNNNNNNNNNNNNNNNNNNNNNNNNNNNNNNNNNNNNNNNNNNNNNNNNNNNNNNNNNNNNNNNNNNNNNNNNNNNNNNNNNNNNNNNNNNNNNNNNNNNNNNNNNNNNNNNNNNNNNNNNNNNNNNNNNNNNNNNNNNNNNNNNNNNNNNNNNNNNNNNNNNNNNNNNNNNNNNNNNNNNNNNNNNNNNNNNNNNNNNNNNNNNNNNNNNNNNNNNNNNNNNNNNNNNNNNNNNNNNNNNNNNNNNNNNNNNNNNNNNNNNNNNNNNNNNNNNNNNNNNNNNNNNNNNNNNNNNNNNNNNNNNNNNNNNNNNNNNNNNNNNNNNNNNNNNNNNNNNNNNNNNNNNNNNNNNNNNNNNNNNNNNNNNNNNNNNNNNNNNNNNNNNNNNNNNNNNNNNNNNNNNNNNNNNNNNNNNNNNNNNNNNNNNNNNNNNNNNNNNNNNNNNNNNNNNNNNNNNNNNNNNNNNNNNNNNNNNNNNNNNNNNNNNNNNNNNNNNNNNNNNNNNNNNNNNNNNNNNNNNNNNNNNNNNNNNNNNNNNNNNNNNNNNNNNNNNNNNNNNNNNNNNNNNNNNNNNNNNNNNNNNNNNNNNNNNNNNNNNNNNNNNNNNNNNNNNNNNNNNNNNNNNNNNNNNNNNNNNNNNNNNNNNNNNNNNNNNNNNNNNNNNNNNNNNNNNNNNNNNNNNNNNNNNNNNNNNNNNNNNNNNNNNNNNNNNNNNNNNNNNNNNNNNNNNNNNNNNNNNNNNNNNNNNNNNNNNNNNNNNNNNNNNNNNNNNNNNNNNNNNNNNNNNNNNNNNNNNNNNNNNNNNNNNNNNNNNNNNNNNNNNNNNNNNNNNNNNNNNNNNNNNNNNNNNNNNNNNNNNNNNNNNNNNNNNNNNNNNNNNNNNNNNNNNNNNNNNNNNNNNNNNNNNNNNNNNNNNNNNNNNNNNNNNNNNNNNNNNNNNNNNNNNNNNNNNNNNNNNNNNNNNNNNNNNNNNNNNNNNNNNNNNNNNNNNNNNNNNNNNNNNNNNNNNNNNNNNNNNNNNNNNNNNNNNNNNNNNNNNNNNNNNNNNNNNNNNNNNNNNNNNNNNNNNNNNNNNNNNNNNNNNNNNNNNNNNNNNNNNNNNNNNNNNNNNNNNNNNNNNNNNNNNNNNNNNNNNNNNNNNNNNNNNNNNNNNNNNNNNNNNNNNNNNNNNNNNNNNNNNNNNNNNNNNNNNNNNNNNNNNNNNNNNNNNNNNNNNNNNNNNNNNNNNNNNNNNNNNNNNNNNNNNNNNNNNNNNNNNNNNNNNNNNNNNNNNNNNNNNNNNNNNNNNNNNNNNNNNNNNNNNNNNNNNNNNNNNNNNNNNNNNNNNNNNNNNNNNNNNNNNNNNNNNNNNNNNNNNNNNNNNNNNNNNNNNNNNNNNNNNNNNNNNNNNNNNNNNNNNNNNNNNNNNNNNNNNNNNNNNNNNNNNNNNNNNNNNNNNNNNNNNNNNNNNNNNNNNNNNNNNNNNNNNNNNNNNNNNNNNNNNNNNNNNNNNNNNNNNNNNNNNNNNNNNNNNNNNNNNNNNNNNNNNNNNNNNNNNNNNNNNNNNNNNNNNNNNNNNNNNNNNNNNNNNNNNNNNNNNNNNNNNNNNNNNNNNNNNNNNNNNNNNNNNNNNNNNNNNNNNNNNNNNNNNNNNNNNNNNNNNNNNNNNNNNNNNNNNNNNNNNNNNNNNNNNNNNNNNNNNNNNNNNNNNNNNNNNNNNNNNNNNNNNNNNNNNNNNNNNNNNNNNNNNNNNNNNNNNNNNNNNNNNNNNNNNNNNNNNNNNNNNNNNNNNNNNNNNNNNNNNNNNNNNNNNNNNNNNNNNNNNNNNNNNNNNNNNNNNNNNNNNNNNNNNNNNNNNNNNNNNNNNNNNNNNNNNNNNNNNNNNNNNNNNNNNNNNNNNNNNNNNNNNNNNNNNNNNNNNNNNNNNNNNNNNNNNNNNNNNNNNNNNNNNNNNNNNNNNNNNNNNNNNNNNNNNNNNNNNNNNNNNNNNNNNNNNNNNNNNNNNNNNNNNNNNNNNNNNNNNNNNNNNNNNNNNNNNNNNNNNNNNNNNNNNNNNNNNNNNNNNNNNNNNNNNNNNNNNNNNNNNNNNNNNNNNNNNNNNNNNNNNNNNNNNNNNNNNNNNNNNNNNNNNNNNNNNNNNNNNNNNNNNNNNNNNNNNNNNNNNNNNNNNNNNNNNNNNNNNNNNNNNNNNNNNNNNNNNNNNNNNNNNNNNNNNNNNNNNNNNNNNNNNNNNNNNNNNNNNNNNNNNNNNNNNNNNNNNNNNNNNNNNNNNNNNNNNNNNNNNNNNNNNNNNNNNNNNNNNNNNNNNNNNNNNNNNNNNNNNNNNNNNNNNNNNNNNNNNNNNNNNNNNNNNNNNNNNNNNNNNNNNNNNNNNNNNNNNNNNNNNNNNNNNNNNNNNNNNNNNNNNNNNNNNNNNNNNNNNNNNNNNNNNNNNNNNNNNNNNNNNNNNNNNNNNNNNNNNNNNNNNNNNNNNNNNNNNNNNNNNNNNNNNNNNNNNNNNNNNNNNNNNNNNNNNNNNNNNNNNNNNNNNNNNNNNNNNNNNNNNNNNNNNNNNNNNNNNNNNNNNNNNNNNNNNNNNNNNNNNNNNNNNNNNNNNNNNNNNNNNNNNNNNNNNNNNNNNNNNNNNNNNNNNNNNNNNNNGAUCACCCGAAAAGGACCGAUAUAUCGGGGCCCCAACUUGCCCCUCUUCCUGAAUCGGAUCACUCCUUUCCAAGGAGAGACCUUCAGGAGUACAAAGUCACCGACCAAAAAUUCGAGCUCGGACCGGCGCCUGUCCGCAUAACUCUUUUGGCGACUCUGAGCGGUCAACAACCUCUGCCUGACCUGUUGUAUCUGCUCUGACGUCUGAAGCACGAUCUCUGUACUUCCCAUCACACGUUGCCCUACCUCUCCCCAGCAAAUGGGGUCCAAUACCUCCUUCCCUACGACAGCUCAAAUGGUGUCAUACUGAUGCAGUAAUGAUGGCUGUUGUUGUAGGAAAACUCUGCCAAGGGAAAAUACGGGCCACAAUUUCCACCCGAAAUCUAAUACACAAGCCCGAAGCAUAUCCUCGAGCGUCUGAAUCGUUCGCUUGCUCUGAAGUGUCCACAGACAUCACCAUGGUAAACUCUAGCUCAUUUCUCAUAUUCAUCUUCGAUACCGAGCACCAGGUCAGCUUUUGGCCCACAGCUGAACCCCCAAACGUCACACAUAACAUGAUCCAAAAUAUCUCAUUAACUUCCUCUCCGUGACCACUAUCACGGCCCAGUGACACGCAAGUCACGAAAUUCCCUUUUCCUCAAAAAAAUACAAUCCAAUCGAAGAUCGAAUCAGCUCUAACCUUUGGUGUCUGUUGUGCAUAUUCUCCCGCCGCCUCGUUGACCCUGCCGACAGAGACGGAGACCCCAGUCUUGCCCCGGUUUAACCACUAGGCUCCAUAAACUCAACACUAGGGCUACGCAAGCCUAAAACUCUUCUGCAUCAUGCACUUAUCGGAGAACACUCCAUCAUCACACUCUCUUGCCGUCUAGUGGGUACUAUGGCUUCCCGCAACAUUACCCCAGCCUCUGACUAGUGAGUACUACGGCUCCCUCCCUCUGACUUGUGAGUACUACGGCUCCCUUUAGCAUCACAACACCCUCUGACUGAUGAAUACUAUGGCUCCCCAUAGUAUCACGACUCUCUCUCUGGCUUGUGAGUACUACGGCUCCCCGUAGCAUCACAACACCCUCUGACUGGUGAAUACUACGACUCCCCGUAGUAUCACGACUCUCUCUCUCUCUCUCUGUGGCUUGUGAGUACUACGGCUCCCCGUAGCAUCACAACACCCUCUGACUGGUGAAUACUACGACUCCCCGUAGCUUCACCCUAUACUCUCAUUCUCAUUACAACGCCACACUAUGUUCACUAACUCAUGCACCGAAGACUAUCAUAGAUAGUUACACACACACUUGCCCCGAUAUGCAUUACAGACUCUGGCGGCAACCGCCAUAACACAGAACCUACCUCUGCGGAGAUCCACUUCCUUAAAUAAUCCCUCUUGAUGACAAUACACGAAGGGCUCCCACUGGAACCNNNNNNNNNNNNNNNNNNNNNNNNNNNNNNNNNNNNNNNNNNNNNNNNNNNNNNNNNNNNNNNNNNNNNNNNNNNNNNNNNNNNNNNNNNNNNNNNNNNNNNNNNNNNNNNNNNNNNNNNNNNNNNNNNNNNNNNNNNNNNNNNNNNNNNNNNNNNNNNNNNNNNNNNNNNNNNNNNNNNNNNNNNNNNNNNNNNNNNNNNNNNNNNNNNNNNNNNNNNNNNNNNNNNNNNNNNNNNNNNNNNNNNNNNNNNNNNNNNNNNNNNNNNNNNNNNNNNNNNNNNNNNNNNNNNNNNNNNNNNNNNNNNNNNNNNNNNNNNNNNNNNNNNNNNNNNNNNNNNNNNNNNNNNNNNNNNNNNNNNNNNNNNNNNNNNNNNNNNNNNNNNNNNNNNNNNNNNNNNNNNNNNNNNNNNNNNNNNNNNNNNACCAUUGACCACCUGCCGUGGAGACACCCAUCCUUCUCUCAGACAUAUACCACAUGCAUUAUCUCGCCCUGCACCUUUCCUUGAUCACCAAUGACCCUGAUCUCAUGAAUUCAAGCCGUAGGUUUCUGUAUCCAACCCCUAACUGCUCUUGCACAAAUCUAUGGUUCUCUCAAUAAACCACCCGGUUCUCCCCCACUUAGGGUUCGAACUAUCACUAUCUGCCACAUCAACAAUCUCGCACCUGCCCCUGGAAAGUGCUUUCACCAUGGUUAGUGCUGGUGCCCGUUCCAGCUCCACUGGCAUCACCAGAGUAUACUUGAGUCAUAGCUGCGGUCACAGCCGCAGUCACAGCAGCCAGAAACAUCACUGCAUCGAUCUGCGGAGGGGGUGGUGGUGGUGGAGUUUGAUUUACAGGCAUGCCUCUGGUCGGAUGCUUGCGAGGCGGCAUCUUUUACUGAAAGUUUACAAAGAUGAUGAUAAUAGUAAGAAUCAAUUGUAAGUAUGAUAAGAUUGAUCCAUAGACUAAAUCGCCAUAGCCCAACCAUUAGAAUGAGUGUAUGAUUGAAAUAGAGACACAACAACAGAGUAGGGAAACACAAGAGUAAAGACUUUCCAAUAGAUUAGCUAGCUGCCAAUAUUACUGGUAUUAAUGAUGUAAAUGAGUUCGGGAAAAAUGACCUAACAGUAGGUCUUACAUCAAACCAUAAGGGAAAAUGUUGACAGCUUAGAAAUCCAGUUAAAGUACUUGAAAGAUAGGAAUAUUUUACAGACAAGUGCUUCGUAGAGCACAGAAAAGAAAGGCUAUUCCUUAAACCAAAAGAAAAGAUGAGUCAAACAUCUUCUACUGGCGACGGGCAUUCCUCGAGUUAACCCUCAGAUCCGCCAGUUAACAUACCAAUUCUUGAAGAUGUCGCUCAUGAGCCCUCUGACGCAUUCAAAGUUCUAUGACUUCUGCUCGGGAUGCAGCUAGCCCUUGCUGCAGAGUCUCAUUGGUUCUCCUAGUCCUUUCCAUAGCCUCUUCAAGAUGGAAAAUGCGGACCGUGUUAACACCUGAAUUGGCGUCCACUUCCAUGAUUCGGUCGAUGGCUGCUCGACCUUGCUCAUCAUUCCAAGCAAAUCCUGCGGACCAUAAUGGGCAGGACUCGAUCAGCUGAGCCACCCUCACUUACAUUGUAAAAGCUUUGAUCCCCAUUGUAGGGUAAAGGUUGACCCUGUUCAUCACUCCAACGAUUCAAGUUUGUCGCCCACAAGGGUGUGGGACCUUGAAAUGAUGGUCGGGGGUUGAGAUAUGGGACUUGAACUUCUUGAGGUAGGUUGUUGACUUCUGGUUCGGAGUCAGAACCAUCAGAAAAUCCUUCUGUGAGGUGAUCAUCCAAAGGGAUUGGAUGAUCCUCUUCUGGCUCUGCUUCAAUCCAUCCAGCAAUACCUUUGUUUGGGAAGUACGGGUCGCCAGGAGGAUGGAAUCCAUCCAUGAUAUCUACGUGAGAAAAGGGGUAUAAGAAUCUAAUAUAAAUACACGUACUACUUAAGAUAAUUAUAAGAUGAUCCUUACUAUUUACUUCAAUACAUGCAUAGUGCAUACCAAUUAUAUGAAAUCAAAACAGGAUAUUCUUUCAAAUAGGUAAUCCUAACUCCAAAUCCACAACAAAACAAGGAAUAGGAAGUAAAGCAAAGAACACAGAUUCUAAGUCUAUAACACCUUAAUCACAUAUAACCUUAGCGUAUCCACUUAGCAACUAUUGACCUACUAGUAAAGACAUUUUUAUUUCUCAAAUAAGUAAUUGUAGUAACACAAAAUACUCCUAUAGUAUUUUAGGUUUAUUUUUUGUUCUAAUGUUCUCAUUGUAGUAGUGUGGGUAAGUUUUUAGACUUGUUGCAACCUCACAACCAUUCUUGGGCAUAUGCUAAUCACUUCUCGGACCAACAUAGUUGAUCAGGCUAUGUCAUUCCCAGAACUGACCAUACAUCCCCAAGUCUACUUGUGAUGUUCAACAAUCGUAAUACUUUUAUUCUGUCCUAGUGACAUUGAUUUUAGUAUGAAUGCAGGUGUGUAUACUUAGUUAAAUAUUUUAUUAUUUAAAAGUAUAAACUCUUGGUCAGAUUAUUUUAAUCUCGUUGUGUUUAUAGUUUGUAUAUCUUUUAUAGGUUGAUAUACUCGAUUCACUAUAAACAAUGCUCUGAUACCAAUCUAUCACACUCCAAAACCGGAACGGUGGAAACGUUCUGGGGCAGAGGACAUCAUGUACAGUAUCACAACAAAGCAUAAUAGUAAACAAGCAACAACAUCAUCCAUUGCAUUAAUAAUACAUUUUAAUACACAUGUGUUUUGUAUAGUUUAAAAGACACCAAAAUAUGAAUCAAAAUAAAAGAUGAGUCUUGAAUGUGCUCCCUCUUCUCAAAAGCUGACAUCGGUACCUGUCUACUUAUGAAAUGAGAAUACAAGUUAUUUUGAAAGAGUUUAUCAGAUUUAAAGUUGGUGAGUUCAUAAGCAUUUUACUAUCAUUUUUUGUAUAAAAAUGUUUGUAACAGUGUAAUGUAAGUGUUUGUAAUUGUUUGUAAAUGUUUGCACUUCCUAGAAAAUCCUAUAUUUUCUACUGAAAUGUAAUCUUCUACCAAGACCCGACUAUUUGUAUGUUUGUUCUUUUGUAAAUGUAUGAGUUUUCCCAAGUAUAGCUAUCAUUAUCAAAAUAUAGUUUACAUUAUCGUUUAUGUGAGAAGAUCACAAAAUAAAUGCAGUAGGCAAAACAAUGUUUUAUCUCAACAGUGGCACUACUGACUAUAAGUUGAUAACAUAAAGACUCCAGGUAGUAUUAAAUGUGCUAUACCCCUCGGGGAGUCUUAUUGCCUUUUAUUCUUAGUUGGUUAAUUAAAGGUUUAGAUGUGAACUGGUUGUAACCAUGUUGAUUGACGACUGAAUACCUGACGACCUUUCGGUGUCAUAAAAUAGUAAGGUGACAUUUUGUCACCCCUUAGCCUUACUCGCUAGGACUGUAGCUAGCAGUCGGGGUGUGGGAGUGUCUGUCCCGUAUAGAUCUAUACACACGAUGCCCGCUCUCCCUCCAGGAGACUCUGGUUACAGUAUGAUACAACAAUGUCUUGUUGUAUCCGGAAUAGUAUGUCACAUUCUAGUUAUCUUAUUCUAAUGUUUGUAUAGUAUAUUCUAUUCUAUUUGAUGGGUUUUAUACAAACAAUCCUAUGUGUGCAUACAACACUAGAUUUGGAUCUAUGUUUUCUCUAUUAGAUACACAACUUUAUGAACACAAGAAGAACCCUAGCAUGCACCUAGGUAUUUCGAAAUCUAUGUAGUAGAAGGGAUUACAUACCUCUUGUUCUUAUCAGGGGCGAAACACAGACAUUUUAACCGGAGGGGCCGAAACCGGUAUUCAAUAUUUUUUUUAUUUAGAUGUAGACUAUGUAAUAUAAUUUACUAAUAGUAAACAAAAUAAUAAAUUAUAAUCACAAUAUAUAACUAUAUUUCGAUAAAAAAAUAAACUAAUUAUUUCAACUUUAGUAAAAUUUAUUUUUCAAAAUUAGUAAUUAUAUAUUAUUGGCAAUUAGCAUAACAAACAUUAAAUAACAUUAAAAAUAAUACAAACUUAUAGCCUAGGUCUUUCGAGAAAAAAACUCAUGAUAGCCUAUCUAGUUCUAUUAAAAGUAGUACAUCCUAGCUAAUUCUUUAAAAAUGGUGCAUAAAACGUCACUUUUGAGGGAGAGAAAUGUGAAGAAAGAGAUAACAUAAGAUAUUAUUGAUCCGCUUCAGUAGAAAGCAACGACAAUUGAGGUAGUGAGGCCAGAAAGCAACGGCAAUGGAGGUAGUGAGGCCUCACUGAGAUGUAAUGUAGCGUACGAUGGAGAAAGCCCUCCGGCGGCGGACUGCAGAGGUCGAUUUCGGAGUUGUUGGUCGCUUGAACGGAUGAGGGGGGAGACAUGGAUCAGCAGAGGAGGACAAAAGAGAGCUAGUAGUGAGCAUUCCGGCGGCAGUGAUAUAUCCUAGUUGGAAGUCCGGCGGUAGCUAUGUUUUCCGGCGAGAAAUCGUUUUUAUUUAUUUAUUUACUUUUUUCGACAGAGAGACGAGUUUUAUUCUAUAUUUUCUGAAGUUCGAUGUGAAUAGAAUGGAUAUCAAUAUAGUUUUUUUUCCUAAUUUAUUAGAAUUCUAAAUUUACUCAAAUUCGUUUGAUGUUUUCAAAUUUAGUUAAAUGUGUUAAUUAUUUAUUUACCUUCCGUUUUUUGGAUUGUUAUGAGAUUAUCAAAUAUCAAAUAUUAUUGUCUUUUUGGUUUAGAGUUAUUUAUUUAAAAUUGCAUAUAGUAUAUCAUGAACAUAGGGGCCAAAUGGUUAGUCAACAAAUAAAACCAAGCUUUUAUAUAUAACAUUAGUAUUAAGGAGGUUAAAAAUCAGGGGGGCCAUGGCCCCCUCUGGCCCUAUAGAGGAUCCGCCUCUGGUUCUUAUAUUGUAAUAACAACACAAAUCUUCAAUCUCUUUGUCUUGGAAACCAAGUACCACAAGUGUAGUACCUCUAAUGGCUCACAAACACCACAAGCAAAUGGAGAGGCAAGAGAGAGAGGGGGAGAGGCAAAAAUCGGCUCUAGGUCUUCUAAGGAUCAAGUGGCCGAUUUUCUAAGGCCUAAAGGGUCUUUAUAUAGGGUAGAGAUUAGGGUUUCAGUCAUCAUCCUUAUCUGGUUACUUGCCCAUCAAGCAGCCCAUAAGAUAAGCCUUGAAUCCUUAUCAUGGACGAAUUAUAAGGCCUUAUCACCUUGAAUUCGUCCACCACAUCCUUGGGGCAACCAAUGCCCUAAUUUGCAACUAUCACAUAAUUACAAUUCAACCCCUCUAGUUUAAUUGAUUACAUUUGAUCACAAAAUUAAUUCUUAAUUAAUUACUGACCAAUAUCAAUUAAACAAAAUAUGAUUUCUCCUUUAAUAUAUUAUUCUUAGAAUAUAUUAAUAAAUCAUAAUAACCUCUUUCUCUAUUAUUUCUCCAGUCAAGUUGCAUUGGUGAAGACAACCCAAAAGGACCAUGCACAACUGGGUCAAGUACUUACCAAAUAUGGUUACGAGCUUAGACACUAAUCCAACAGUCUCCCACUUGGAUAAGUCUAGUAACCACAAAUGUAAGUAUAACUCGAUUAGCAAUCGUAGCUCUCAAAGACGUUGUCGAACUCUGAUCUUAUCUGCAACCUAUCCUUUAGAUAAGGGAUCAUACAGUCCUCUGUUUUAGAUAUCGUGCGGACAAUCUCAUGGAGCAUAGUCAUACUUAUUGUCCAGCAGGUUGUUUCUCGAUCUCAGAUUCAUUUGAUAUAGAACUUAAUUGAACACAUCAACUUAGUCCUGACCGGGCCCGGCACAUAAGUCAAAUCAAAUCAUCGAGGGGCCCUAAUAUCGCUUUUACCCUCUUAGGAUAAAACUAACAGAUAAACUUCGACUUAUAUGCAUUUACUACUCACUAAUAAAAUUAUACACAGCAAUGUGUUUUAUGACAUCAAUUUACUGAUGCGGUUUUGCAUUAUCAAUGCACAAUCAAUUAGCAAACAAUAAACCAUAUAUCUUGGUUUUAAUACCAUAUGAUAUUAUCGUCUUGCGAUCACUCGUGAUAAAUUCCAUGAAGUGAUUCCAACAAGCACGGUUUAUUCCAAUGCUCAAAACUUAUUCAUAAGCACUCACGAACGUUGUAACAAACCUUUGUUAUGUCUAAUACCUUUCAGACAAUCUACACACCAAUUCAUGACAGUCUUCACUCAUACCUACUUCCAACAUAUGAACGACUGUGGACCGUUUGAAUAAUUCGAUUAUUCUAAAUUAACUCAAUUAUUCCAGAAGUCAAAACAUGAAAAGCAAAAUAAUAAUUAACCAAUCAACAUAAGACAAUAACUAUACUAAUAAAUAAUACUCCUUUAUUUAAUCAUCAAAUGUCAAUUACAAUUACCUAUUACACGUUUCUAAACUAUCUAAUCCAAACUAACAUCGUCCUUCAGCCCAAUGCUCCAAGCGUGCUGCAAGUGCUUAACCCUACUCAGUCCCUUCGUAAACAAAUCUGCUGGGUUAUCCUCUGACGAUAUCCUCUUAACUACGAGGAGUCCUUCUUUUACCUAAUGUCUAAUAAAGUGAUAUUCUCUGUCGAUAUGUCGAGAUCUACCAUGACCCCUCGGUUCCUUGGUCAAGGUAACCGCUCCUUCAUUAUCACAGAAAAUUUCCAUAGGCUCCUUUAUGGCAGGUACAACUCCAAGGUCUCCAAUGAAGUUCUUCAACCAUAUUGCCUCCUUUGAUACUUCGCUCGUUGCAAUGUACUCUGAUUCGCACGUUGAAUCAGCUACGGUUUCUUGCUUGGAACUUUUCCAAGUCACUGCUCCUCCAUUAAGGGUAAAAACCCAGCUCGACUGUGAACGGUAUUUGUCCCUGUCGGUCUGGAAACUGGCGUCACUAUACCCUCGCACCUUUAAGUCAUCACUCCCUCCGAGGACUAGAAACCAUUCCUUGGUCCUCCGAACGUACUUAAGGAUAUUCUUGACUGCAGUCCAAUGUGCUCUGCCAGGGUUCCCUUGAUAUCUAUUGACCAUGCUCAAAGCGAAGGUCACAUCAGGGUGAGUACAAGUCAUAGCAUACAUGAUUGAGCCAACUGCGGAAGCUUAAGGUACUCGGCUCAUCUCUUCUAUCUCGGAUUCAGUAGUCGGACUUUGAGUCUUACUCAACUUGGCAUUACUUUGGAUCUUUAAUUCUCCCUUCUUCGAGUUUUCCAUACUAAAACGUUUUAGCACCUUGUCCAAGUAAGUAUUCUGACUAAGUCCUAUUAGUCUCUUACUUCGGUCUCUCACUAUCCUUAUUCCCAAAAUAUAGGAAGCCUCUCCGAGGUCCUUCAUAGCGAAGCACCUCCCGAGCCAGGACUUAACUUCCUGUAGUGUCGGGAUGUCGUUUCCUAUGAGUAAUAUGUCAUCGACAUACAAUACAAGGAAGCUAACAAUACUCCCACUGGCUUUGACAUACACACAUGAUUCAUCUUCUCUUCGUACAAAUCCAAACUCUUUGACUUUCUCAUCGAAGCAAAGAUUCCAUCUGCGAGAUGCUUGUUUAAGUCCAUAAAUGGACUUCUCAAGCUUGCACACUCUAUUGGGAUGCUUCGUAUCGACAAAACCCUUUGGCUAAUCCAUGUAAACAUCCUCAGCCAACUUCCCAUUAAGUAAAGCGGUUUUGACAUCCAUUUUCCAUAUUUCAUAAUCAUGAAAUGCAGCAAUGGCUAGCAUCACCCUAAUAGACUUUAUUUCAGCAAUUGGUGAGAAGGUCUCCUCAUAGUCAACUCCGGGAGUUUGAGUAAAGCCCUUCGUAACCAACCGCGCCUUAUACGUGUGCACAUUCCCAUCCAUGUCCGUCUUCUUCUUGAAGAUCCACUUGCACCCAACCGUCUUACGUCCGCGCACAUGGUCAACCAAACUUGGUUGUCAUACAUGGAGUGAAUUUUGUUGUCCAUCGCCUCGUUCCAUUUCGCAGACUCCGGGCCUGCCAUGGCUUCCUUAUAGCUGUUAGGUUCAUCUAGAUUUACUAGUGUACUAUCACUAAUAUACGUGUCCCCUUCGGUAGUAAUAUGAAAACCAUACAACUGGGGUUGAACUCUAACUCUUUCGGAACGUCUAAGAGGUAAGGAUUCGUCAAUCGGUUCAACCAGAGUUUCCUCCUCGGGUUGAGCAUCAGUGUUAGAGGUUCCUUCAUCACUCGACUCUUGAAUCUCUUCAAGAUCGAUUUGCCUCCAAUUGUCCCCUUGGCUUAUGAGUUCUCGCUCUCGGAAAACCCCUCUCCUCGCAACGAAGACAAAAUUUUCACUCAGUCUAUAGAAGAGAUAUCCAAAGGAUUUCUGCGGGUAGCCGAUGAAAAUACAUCGCUCACUACGAGGUUCGAGCUUGUCGUGAGUCUCUCGUCUUACGAAAGCCUCGCAACCCCAAACCUUGAUAUGUGCCAACGAGGGAGCUUUCCCUGUCCACAUCUCGUGAGGUGUUUUGGUAACCUUCUUUGUAGGGACUAAGUUAAGGAUAUGGGCGGCAGUCUCUAAGGCAUACCCCCAGAAUGAGAUAGGUAGUGAAGCACGACUCAUCAUGGAACGAACCAUGUCCAAUAGGGUUCGAUUACGCCUCUCAGCCACACCAUUCAACUGCGGUGUCCUAGGCGGCGUCAAUUGCGAAACUAUUCUGCAUUCCUUGAGAUAGUCGUGGAAUUCAAGACUUAGGUACUCUCCUCCUCGAUCGGAUCGAAGCAUCUUGAUUUUCCUGCCCAAUUGAUUCUCCACUUCUUGUUUAAACUCUUUGAACUUUUCAAAGGUUUCUGACUUGUGCUUGAUUAAGUAAAUAUACCCAUAUCUACUAUAAUCAUCGGUGAAAGUCACAUAGAAGCGGUUCGCAUCCCUUGUGGUGGAUCUAAAGGGCCCACACACAUCGGUGUGUAUGAGAUCCAAUAAACCCUCACCCCUUUCACAAGUGCCAGUGAAGGGUGACUUGGUCAUCUUUCCUAGUAAACAAGACUCGCACACAUCAUCAUCCCUAAGGUCGAAUGACUCCAUCACUCCAUCCUUUUAGAGUUGGGCUAUGCGUUUCUUGUUGACAUGUUCAAGACGACAAUGCCACAAGCAUGCUUUAUCCAAACCAUUGGAAGAAUCCACACACAACACAUCAUUUCCUAAGUUAUCUACAACCAUAACAGUUUCAUAAAUUCCAUUACAAGGCAAUGCUUCAAAAUAUAAGACACUAUUUAGAUAAGCAUAAAUUGAACCUUUCUCAUUAUCAAACGAAUAUCUAAAUCCUUGUCUAAACAAACCAUGAAAUGAAAUGAUGUUUCUUGCCAUAUCUGGCGAAUAGCAACAAUUAUCUAAAUCUAAACCUAAUCCAUUACUAAGCGCUAAAGAAUACACUCCAAUCUUGGUGACAGGCGAUGAUCUUUUGUUUCCCAUGAUUAGAUUUAUUCUUCCAUGCUCCACAUCUUUAUUUCUUCUUAGUCUCUGCAAAUCAGAACAUAUGUGAAAACCACAUCCUGUAUCAAGAACCCAAGAAAUAGCAUGUGAUGAAUCAUUAGAUUUAAUUGUGUAAAUACCUGCGAAAGACGACUUGAUAUUCCCAUCCUUGAUGGCUUGCAGAGAUUCCGGACAGCUUCUCUUCCAGUGCCCUAUUUUGUGGCAGUGGUGGCACUCUGCCUCCUUCGGGUUUGAGUUGGGCUUAGUAGAACCAACUUUGGUUCCACUAGAAGAGGUACCAUCUUGGGGCUUUCCUUUGUGGUGGCUCUUUGAAGGAGCCUAGCGCCUUCCUCUUUUUGCCCUUCCCUUGCCCAAUGGCCAAAACAGGAGCAGUGGGUGGAGUGGGAGUUGAUGCAACAGACUUGUCCUUGAGGUUGCUCUCAGCAGUCCUUGGAGUUUGCUUAAGGUGACCUCUUCUUUGUUCAAGUGGUAGGUCAUCCUAAAUUGGUUGUAGCACGAGGGCAAAGAGUGGAGAACGAUAUCGAUACCUAAAUCUUCCCUAAAGUUAACAUUUCACUUGCGAAGACGAUCAACAUACCUCUGCAUCUUUUGCAAAUGUGAGGUUAGGGACUCUCCACUCCCCAUCUUAGCGGUGAUCAUGUUGGUGAUGAUCUCAUAGCGCUCUUGCCUUGCAAUUUGGUGGUAUCUCUCCAGUAAAUCUUGGUGCAUUUCAUAGGGAUACAUGUCCUCAUAGGACUUUUGGAGUUCAAGAUUCAUAGUGGCCAGCAUAAUGUAAUGGAAUUUCGUUGCAUCACGCCCAUGGGCCUCAAAGACAGCCAUUUCUUCGGGAGUAGCGAUUUCUGGAUUGAUCUUUUCAAGAUUCUCGUCGAGGACAUAUUCUUUUUCCUCGUAGCGAGCAAUCAUGCGAAUGUAUCUUAUCCAUUUGUUGAAAUUCGAUCCGUCAAAUGUCACCUUUUAACAUAGGCUCAUUAGUGAGAAUGAAUCAGCAGCAACGUUGUUGGCAUUUGCGUUAGACAUCUGCAAAUAGAAAGGAACAAUGUUUGAUUAGAAUUGAAUCCCUAAUUAAACACCCAAAAUGAGAAAUUAGGGCUAGGAUCCAACAACAUUAUUUACAUAUUAGAAAAGGGAUGCCGUAAUCCAACAUGCAAAUAAUUUGGAGGUAAGUGAAUGACGAUUCACUAAUUCUUCACCAUCAAAAACAUAAAGGCUUAGGUUUUAAAUGUAUUGAGAAUUCGUAGAUUCCUUUUGAGAUUCAUUGAACUUUUCAAUGGCACGUUUAAAUCUCGAUAUGCCCCUCUCGUUUGUGACUAGGAUGCUGAGGAUCACAAAGCGGGUGUGAAUAACCAUGCAAAUGUACAUGGUGCCCUCAUUGUUACAGUCACCUAUUCGAUAUGCCGGUUAACCACACACGCUCCAUCAAACUAUGACAAACAAUAAGCCACGCUUUGCCACCUUUUCUUAGAACCAAUUAGUGUGCCGGUUAACCACACACGCUCCACUAACUUCUUAGCAAGGGUGCAAAGUGUAAUUUCAUGGGAUUGCAUCAAUUCACUUUUGCCUAAAGUAACUAGGAUUGGGAAUUUUGUAAAAAUCGUUUAAUUACUUUAUAUAGGUUCAUUAUAAUUAUUAAUGAAGAAACGAUUGCCCUAUCCUACCCGUUUGUCUAACGAUCCUCCACCAAUCAAGGAAGCGGUGGGUAAGAGUGGAUACCCAUUAAACGGCCAUUUUAUAGGCCAUAACCUUAUACCCCCUUAUAGAUCGGCUUCGUGAAUGAGNUUAUAUAUAUAUAUAUAUAUAUAUGUAUAUAUAUUAAUCCUGUAAUAAUAUAAUAGUAUAGGGUGUAUUUUAACAUUUUAAAAUACUAGGGUUUUAAUUUCAAUUUAAAAUUUUUGAAAUUUAUAACCUUUAAAUUAAAAUUUUAAAUAUUAAAACUCUUGAUUUAAUAAUUAUCUAAAUUAAACAAUUAAUUUAAAUUACUAAGGCAGUGUUUGUUUUUUGUCUGUAGAUCUGCGUGACCUCUUCUGUCUGCGCUGCGCAGACCAUACGCCGACAUUAGCCUUCGCAGACUGUUUGUUUUUAUGAAGACUGCAGACCUAAAAACGUCUGCGCGCCCUCUUCUUGGCGUAGAUGUAGACCAGAGUCUUCUAACAUCUUCAGACAUCUUCUAGCCUAAAAAACAUAUAUAUAUUUAAUUUUUUUCAAGUUUUCUUUAAUUUAUAUUUUUUCCAACUUUAUUAAUGAUAAACAAUUUGAAAAAAAAAAUACAAAACUUAGAAAUAAAAAAAAAUAAAAAAAAAACGUUCGACGAUACAAACAUGAUAUUUUUGAUAAAUUUAUAAAUAAGGAUUUAUUACAAUAAUAGUCGUUGAAGUUGUUUAUAUAAAUAUGAAAAAAAAAAUCAUAAUAUAUUCUUAUAUUUUUUUGCCAAAUUUUGUAAAACAUUAUUUAAUACAACAUCGUCAAUUUCUCGAGAAAAUAUUUAUGAUAUGUUUUUAAUGCAUUUAAUUGAAAAAAUCGAAGUUUAUUUCCAUCCAUUUAUGUAUACAAAUUCUUUGAUCGCUAAUUAUAAUGUUUAGUUAUAACUUUGCAACAAAAGUUGUUGGUUUUUAUCAAAUAUACGUUAAUUCAUACCAUUUUUAUUUUUAUUUUUUAGACAAUAAUACAUAAAAGUUGAUCUAGAUUCGUUAAUUAUUUAUAACAAAGUCAUAAAAAUAUUAAAAAAUCACUUUGAAGUUUAAAAAAUCAGUUUAUUUAAAUUUCAGUUUAUUUUAGUAGCCCGCAGAUUUUAAAAAAACAAACAGUCUUCUUUUUUCAGACUGCAGGCGUUUGGCCCAUCUCAUCUACUACAGAGGUCUACAAAUGUGGUCCGCAGACUACAGACAUUUUGUCACAGAAAAAACAAACAGCACCUAAAUCAUAAAGGAUUAUCUUAAAUUAAACAAUUAAUUUUAUCCUACUCCCUUAAAUCCCUCUAGAUUUCGAAAGUCAUGGGAUGGGAUAAUUCAAAAUCUUUGAUUACCAUAUUUAACCAUUAAAAGAUAAUUACAAGAUAUGAGAUUAUCCACAUCCCUAAAAUUUAGGAUCUUAUCUUGGGGAGGAGGCAUAUUUCAAAAAUCCUAGGGUUUGCAAACCCUAGAUUUUGAAAUCUUGGGCACUAAGGAAAGGGUUUCAAAAACCCUAUCAAUUUUCGAAAACAGGGUUUCAAGAACCCUAAUUUCAAAAUCUUGCCUCCUAGGUUUUAUUGGCCAUAAACCCUAAAGUGUCAAAUUCAUACAAUUGUAUAAUUCUAAUUGAAAACAAUUUAACCAUAAUCUCUGAUACCACUGAUGGGUUUUAUACAAACAAUCCUAUGUGUGCAUGUAACCCUAGAUUUGGAUCUAUGAUUUCUAUAUUAGAUACACAACUUUAUGAACACAAGAAUAACCCUAGCAUGCACCUAGGUAUUUCGAAAUCUAUGUAGUAGAAGGGAUUACAUACCUCUUGUUCUUAUAUUGUAAUAACAAUACAAAUCUUCAAUCUCUUUGUCUUGGAAAGCAAGUACCACAAGUGUAGUACCUCUAAUGGCUCACACACACCACAAGCAAAUAGAGAGGCAAGAGAUAGAGAGGGGGGAGAGGCAAAAAUUGGCUCUAGGUCUUCUAGGGAUCAAGUGGCCGAUUUUCUAAGGCCUAAGGGGUCUUUAUAUAGGGUAGAGAUUAGGGUUUCAGUCCUCAUCCUUAUCUGGUUACUUGCCCACCAAGCAGCCCAUAAGAUAAACUUUGAANCCUUUAACAAGGAUAACCAUUGCCCUAUUUUGCAACUAUCACAUAAUUACAAUUCAGCCCCUCUAGUUUAAUUAAUUACAUUUGAUCACAAAAUUAAUUCUUAAUUAAUUAUUGACCAAUAUUAAUUAAACAAAUAUGAUUUCUCCUUUAAUAUAUUAUUCUUAUAAUAUAUUAAUAAAUCAUAAUAACCUCUUUCUCUAUUAUUUCUCCAGUCAAGUUGCUUUGGUGAAGGCAACCCAAAACGACCAUGCACAACCGGGUCAAGUACUUACCAAAUAUGGUUACGAGCUUAGACACUAAUCCAACACUAUUGUAUAGUGUAUAGUAUGUAUUGUUUCUCGUUAUAGUAUUCUCUAUCUGUUUCUCUUUAUAGUAAGUAUUGACUCAUGUAUGAACGGACUCUUUGUAUGUUUCAUUGUACUAGAAAUAGUGAGUAAUGACUUCCUAAACGAUACCUAUUAUAGGUUACUAGCAGCAUUGUUUGUAUGACUGAGUAUGUUGAACUGAAAUAAAAGCUUUUAUGUCUAUACAUAUAUACUAAAUAUAUAACUAAGGAUCAAAUGACACUCGGACAAACAAUAGGGUACUCUAAGUCCACAACCAAACAAGGAACAGGAAAUAAAUUGAGUUAUCAGUCCUAAGUCCUUCAAACCUUACUUAUGCAUUAGACAUGGUUUUGACAAUAUAUAAGUUUGAAAGAGUUGAAAGAAAAGGUUUGGCAUGUAAGAACAAGUUUGGUAAAGAGUUUAGUAUUGUAAAAGAGUUUGAUAAACAUUUUGAAGUAGUUUGUUUGAUAACAAAGUUAAAAGUAUAGUAAAUCCAUCUGUUUGAUAGUUGUUAAUCACAUGUGAUUGAUAUAAUAACUAUAAUGUUUCAACUUUUAUCCCCCCCCCCCAUAAAAGUAUUUAAAAUUAUUUAAAAGGUUGGUUAAGGGGUAUGAACUCACCUGUAGUGAGUGAUGCGAAUGAAAGAUCGGUAUAGGAUGCUAAGUGUCAAGUGAAGACUUGAGCACACAUGGAUUCUAUUUAACAUACAAUGACACAUAUAUGCAUCUAAUUAGUGAUUAAACAACUAAUUAAGCAAGUAAAGACACCCUUGGACAUGGAAAAACACUUUAAUUCAAGUGCUAGAAGUACAAAGGGUUGUAUCUAAGGGUUGUAAGGCCUCACAUAGGAGUUUACGACCCAAUGGUAAGACCACCAUGAGUUUACAACCCAUGGGUUUAUGGCCCAAUGAGUUUACGGCCGUAAACUCAUGGUAUCUUGUACCAUUCUGGGUGUUAAGGUCCUAUGGUCUUCUUGGAAGUGUUCUAGACUUAGUUACAAGGCUUAGGAAGAAGUAGUAGCAACAUUGCACCACUAAUUAGGGUUUACGGCCAAGGGAGAUUGCCUUGGCCAUAAACACCCUUUUGUUCUUGAUUUCUUGAUUUUUUCAAGGUGUUUAACAUGUGAUUCAAGUAUAUAACAAGCUAACGGUAGUGUACUUACGAUUUGAAGGAAAAUGAGGGUGUUUUCGGCCUAAAAUACUUAAGUGUUCUUGAUGUUUUUGAUGAUCUUGAAGAUCUAGACCCAAAAGAUGAAAUUUUUGGAUGAAUUCAAGAGUGAAUCAAGAAGAAGUGAUGUAUUAACUCACAAAAGGGAAGGAUUCACUUACAUUUUUGAAGUUUGGAAGCAAAAGCCUUAUGAUCCUUGGGAGAGAAAUCGAGUUCUAGGCUUGGAAAUGUGAAAAGUGAUUGAAAAGUGACUAAGGACCAUAUAUAUAGCAUGGAGUUUACGGCCACCAUGAGUUUACUACCGUAAACUCAUGGUUCCUGGCCGUAAACUCCUCUUUUGAGGGUUUACGGCUUGCUUGAUAGUUUACAACUUCAACUGGCACUUCCUUUCACUCAUUCCUUUGGUGUACUAAUCUCAGAAUGCUCAAACAGACUCUAAACAAUGCUAAAAGUUAGCAAAAACAAGUCUGACUUUGAUUGAAUUGCAUGGUUUGUACAAGAUAGAAAUUUCGGGUUGUCACAGUGGUGCUCGUGAAUAUUCGCCAACCUCAAAUUAGGGUGGCAAACCAAUGAGGUUCUUUCUGUGAAGAAGGUCUGUGAGCCAUGACGGCUCAUUGGGCGUCUUCCGUUUCCCUAUCUGACCACAUGUGCGUUGGGUAACGGAUUCAGCUAGGUCUAAAUGGUAAAUAUGGGAUGCACUAGUCCCCGGAGUCCUCAUUAGCCAAGGACCCUUUCCACGAAGGUGGUAUGGAUGAUAAUGUUCUCUUCAUGGAGAGACUAGUGGAGUAAGAGGAGUGGGUUCCUCUUCAACAAGAUCCUCCUCAUCUUCAGAUGGACCAUCGUCAUAAAUCUCCUAGGCCUCCUAUGCUAUGUCCUUUCAGCCAUCUCCUCUUCCUCCUUAGGCUCAUCUUCUCCCUCGUCUUCCUCAGGGUCGUCUUCUUCCUCGUCCUCUGAUGGGUCUUCUUCCGGAUCAUCCUCCUCCGAAUUAGCUGGUGCGUCGUGGGAAAAAUAUGGGUCUCUAGCUAAGUACAAUGGAACUUCAUGUAGCUCAUCAGGAUCCUCGAUGCGAAACCAGUCUUCGGUAGUCCAACCAUCUACAUAAAACGGUUUUAAGUGGAUUAGUAAAAUAGUUUAAAUAUUUUAUAAGUGAUUUAAGGUUGAUACAAGGGAUCUAGGGUACUAAGCUUCAGCAACAAGUCUUGAGAACAUUCUUCAACUUCUAAAACUCUCAACCGUUGUAGUCUGUUAAACUCCUUGCUCAAGGUACAUAGGAGUGCAUUCUAGGUGUAUUUGUGCUAUGGCUUAUGUACAAUACUAACCUUUAAUUGAGGUGUUUUACCUAAAGGGUUGAGUUGGUAGUUUUAGUUGAAGGGAUGCUUAGAAUUUUUAUUAAGUGUUCUCAUUGCGGGUCAGAGUAUAUAUAAACUCUUAUAUAUUAUGGUUGGUGGGGUUUCUAGUAUUAUUAAUUUUUGUUUUAUACUUCCCAACUACUGAACACAGACAGAGGCUAGACAUGAAGCAAUGGAGGAAAAGACCAUUUUAGCAUUUAAGCACUUCUGAAAUCCAACAACCCUAUGCGGCCCUUCAAACCAGAUUCCCCGUACCAUAAACAGUCAAGAAGUAGUGUUAUUAAUAAUAAUACUUUUAUUAGAAGCUAGUUGCUAUAGUUAUAUUCCUCUUUCGAGGAUACGAUUUCUCUAUAGCCAAUUUAGCUCUGAUACCAAUCUAUCACACUCUCGGCCAAGGAGGCGUAACAACAAUGAACAAAACAACAUUUUCAUUACAACUUCAUGUUUUCAUAAAAGGUUCUUACUAAUAAUAAUAUAAUAAUAUGAGUUUGCCUUAAUAGUUAGGCAUAACAGUGCAAAAGUAGAGAAUUAAAGUACUUGCAAGCCACGUUUUCGAUGUCUGAGUAUGCCCGAAAUUUCACUGAUUUCCGGAGAAUACAUGUAUUUUGAAAGUCAGCACGAGUUUGGUAAGAGUCACAGGUUUUCUGCUAGCCGUAGUAAUAAUAUUUUUAAUAGUCCAUAAGUAUUUUCUUUGUAUAAAUAACAAUAGUUGAAAAAAUGUUUGUCCUGAGUCUUUAAAAUCCAAAAUAUAUCUUUGUAUAAGUAAAUCCAUGCUUUUAUAUUUGUAAUAAAUCCUUGAAAGUCAAAUGUACACAUUGUAUUAGUAACCUCUAUACUUAAAAGUAGUUUUGAAAGCAACCAAACCUAUGGUUGUAGUGAGAAAGAGAGAGAUUAUUCGUAUUAAUGUCUUUAGUGAGUUCUAUAAUCGAUUUAUGGAUGAAAGUACCCCUCCCUACAACGCCUCAGUGGACGUCGUAGUAACGAUCGUAGACACAUAUCACCUGCUACGAUUGAUCAGUCGAAGGUUGUAACUAACAAUCGCAGGUGGGGUUGUUGACCCCAUAUAGAUCUAUACAUAUGUACCUUGCUCCAAAGAUUAACGAUUAUAGCAGUGUGGGGCAGGCUAAGUGAUUAUACUCACCUAAUGAAUAAAUUAGCGUCUCACUCAAAGUCAUUAACGAAAAGUUUGUGAAUAGCUCUCCCCCGUAACUUAAUUAUAAUUAAGUACCAGUCAUAAUGAAUUUCGAAGUAUUGCAUUUGUAAAAUCCGAGUAUGGUUGACGUAUUUAUAAGAGUAUAAAUUACUCGCUUUUAUAGGGAAAUGAGUUCAACAUAACGAUCUUGUAUAAGUGUGUAAAGCCUCUUGCAUAAAAGUAUUCAUGGGUAGUAGUCUUUGAAACUAUGAAAUACUUUAAACUUGUAGCAUGCAUAUAAUAUAAGACUUAUGUAUUUGUAUCAUUAAUACUACAUAGAACAUGUAUUCUCCCCCAGAACAAAUAAACAUAAAAGAGGGGUCGUAAAUCUCACCUCGAUAUGCGGUUAGCAGGUUGUUUUUUAAUAUUAAAAUCUAAGAACCGGGGCGAGUUUUUGUGUAUUUGAACGUCCAAGAUUAGCUAAGUCUUGAUGUUUGAAAAGACUAUGGAAGGCUUUGAUGAUGAUGGAAAACACCCAAAGUGGUAGAAAUUCCAAGGUGAAGGAGUUCCGUGAUUAAAAAGUUCUGAGGCUUGUUGAAACUCCGAGACUAUAAAAAUCUGAAACAGUAAAAAUUCUGAGAUGGAUUUAAAAUCUGAAAGUAGGAGGUCCAAGAUGAGAAAAAUCUGAACCAUAUGGAAAUUCAAAAGUCAAAAGCUCCGAAAAUGAGAAAAAAUCCAAAACUGCCAAAAUCCAAAGUGAAGCUCUAAAGUGGUAGAAGAUCCGAGGAUCAGAAGAGGCUGAAGUCAGAAAGGGUCCGAAGUUGGGUGGAUUCCAAAGGUGGCAGACUUUCGAGUCGGGUGAGGUCCGAGACUCAGGAGGGUCCGAGACAGAAUGGGAACUCCAAAGCUAUUGAGUCCGAGAUCAGAGGGGUCCUAGACAUAAAGGAGCUUCGAGACUGCUGAGUCCGAGAUCAGCAGGUCCGAGGUUAGCAGAUCUGAAAUGGCAGAAACUCCAAAAUUGGCUUGUUGUUUUUAGUUUUCUUCUCCCAUUUCGAGUGGGGUUCAACAAAAUAAAGGGUUGGGAUGAUAUGGGUGUUUAAUGAAGAUGUUCUAAGUGUGGUGAGAAGUGAUUUAGGAUAAUGGAAUCAUUUUGUGAGUUGGUUACUAAAGGAGAUACAGCAGAGAUUUAUAAGAACUUGGGGGAGAUUUGUAAGAAACUUGCAAGGUUUGAUAGAAGAUGUGAAUGAGCUAGGAUGGUGAAGAAUGAAGGAAAGACGAAUUCUAUUUGUAGUAGUCUGGAGUAUUCACCUGGCCAAGGAGGCCAUAAUCCUUCAAUCCCAUCAGGUCCAUGCUUGUAUCUUUGGAUGGAGUGUGAGCCAAAGAGAAAAGAAGAAUGGGGGAGGCUAGGUGGGAUAUUUUCAAGGAAAAACCUGAUGAUUGUCCUUCCCAAAUCUAGUGGGUCCCAUCAAAGGGUUACACCCUUAUUAAUGUGUAACAUCAUGUUUAUUAAAUAAAUAAAUUGAUAAAACUGAGGAACAAAUAGUCUCCCUAAAAUCCAUAGUAUUUAGUGGGGGUGUUGGUUUUGGGAAGCCAAUGUCAUAAGUUGAAUUAUUCGGGGGUUAAAUUAUAAAUUUGAGGUUUAUUUUGUAAAAAUUUUAGAAGAUAAGGGGAUAUUCGGUAAGUAUUAGACUUAAUUUGUAAAGGGAUUUAAUGUGUCUAAAAUACACUAGUUUUAGUCCUAUUUUUUAAAUAUAAUUUAGACACACAAAAGGCAAUGUACCUAUCAAUUGGUGGUAUAGUUAAGCAAGAAGAGUAUCGUACACAGGGAGCAAUAAUUAAACUAACUACUAGAAUUAUCUAAAAAAACAAAUAAUAAAAUAAAAGAGGUUUUCUCUACUUUUGCAAGACUAGAAACUUAAGCACUUCACUAAUACUCAAACAAAACAAUUAACAGCUAAAGCGAAUAAAAAUCAACUAAAUUUAAUAAUUAAGGAGACUUCUGUUCAGGUUCAACUUACUUAUCCUUAUGGUUAAUUUUAUGGCAAGUGCAAUGGAUUAAUUUCUCAUUGGCUACCGAUUAAUGUGAUUAGGUUCAUGUUCAGUAUUACUAAUCCUUAGAAAACAAAUCAAUUCAAACAGUGGCCAAUUAGUUAAAUUAAUGAGUUUACUAGUUUAUUGAUUCGGGUUAAGUAAGACUUGUAGUUAGCUAAUUAAAUUACUAAUUCAAUUAACUUCUUGUAUGGUUGUUCGUCACACAAGCUCACACAUUGAUUCAAACAUGAUGUAAACACUAGAUUAAGAAAAAAGAAUAUAUUUGUACCUUUCGAUCUCCUCAAAAUUGAAUGCUAAGGUUGAUCCUCGAGUUCCAGAGCUCCAUCAACACUCUCAAUCGCAAUUCAGUCUCCAAGGGUUCCAAAAAUAGUCCUUGUCUCGUAAGUUUAUGCCUAUUAAAUAGUAUUCUGAAAACAGGGGGGACUCAUCGAGUCCAUAGACUGACUCGCCGAGUCCCUCAUUUAAAAUCUGUGCGCGAUAAGGCACCCAAUGGUUCGUGAAUGUUCGUUCCUACUCGCCGUGUUCAUUAGGUUUUUGACUCUUUUUCUUCUUUCUUCAAUUCUCGAGCUACCGAUUGCAUUUCCCGCUUCCUUUUGCUUCCGAACGCAUCUUUUAGGCUGAAAAUAAAAUUUAAACAUAACUAAGUAACUUUUGUUCAUUAACUUAAGUAACUUUUGUUCAUUAACUUAAAUAAAAUAGCCAAAAAGUAUUAAGAUUCUACACAAAAUAUAUAACUACUAUGCACAUAUCAGACUUCAGGAGGCAAGGUUAAAAAGGUAAAAUAUGGACUCGCUUUGAAAGAAAAAGGGAAGGGAGGAACCAAACAUGGUACUAUGGAAAUUAGUUAAGGGGACCGGGUAUAUAAACCCGUCACCCAAUCUGGAACCCUAAUGCUAAAGUGGAUCUUCACCUGCUAAUCCCACUUACACGACCUUCGACGCCGCACCACCACCUCUGUUGAGGUAGCCAACCACCAAAUUCGUCGUCGAGCGUCGUCCUUUCCAGCGAGAACAGGUCAAUGACAUGGAUGAUGGGUGGAUCCGCCACUUACCUUCUCUUCUUCUUCUUCUUAUUCUGCCUUUUGCAGCCAUCCACAAAUGCAUCUUGAUGGUCGUCGAUGCUACUCCGACCACCUUUUGCCAACUGUUAACGUGUCGUCGCCGCUGUAUGGCUCGUUUUUGUUGCUCCGGUCACCGUUUCUAUCCCGAAGGGCUACCGGUUUGUGUGUACUUUUUCUUGGGUAUGUUGACAUGUUUUUGGGCAGAAGACCAAAAGGAAGCAUCGCCACCAUCGGAAGUUGGUGGCUGUCACAGCAAUCUGCCGCUGUUUCCAGUAGCAUUGGUGCUACUGUCGGCAAACGCCACCAGGUGGGUGGCUGGGGUGCAUUUUCCAAAUUAUGAACGUGUGUUUGUGUUGUGUGUGGAUUUGUUUGGUCGGAAAAUCGAGAACAACCACCACCACCACCGUGAGGUGGUGGCUGCCGCCAUGUACCACCGCAGGCCACCACUAGGGUGGUUGUGUGUGUGUGUGUGUUUAUGUUAGUGACUGUGUGUUUAUUUGAGAUUUUUAUUGUAUAUUGUAAUCGGUGUCGGAAUAAUAAAAGAAAACUCAUAAUCACCAUCGUGAGGUGGUGGCUGCCGCCACCAGCCGCCGUGUUGGGAGGCGGUGUCCCAUGUUUAUGUUUUGACUCGUUUGGGAUGCUUGGACAAAAAGGGCCUAAUGAACACUAAUGGGCCUAACGACUUAGCUUUUGGGCCUAAUUGGAUUGUAAUGGUUUGGAAACCCUAAUUAGGGCUUAGAAAACCCUAAUUUUGGAAUUAUUGAUUUAGACUUAUCGGGACCCGCAUUUUGGACCAUUGGAGUGUAGUUAUGACUCAAGCUCGAUUUCAUUGUAUGUUUGGACUUAAUGGAUUAACCCCUUAAUAGAUUAAGUAGGAACACUUAACCCUAAUCGUCAUUUUAUGUGAAAAACUCUAAUCGGGCGUGGGUUCUUAUUAGGCCACUUAUUGGACUAAGCUGUUGUGGGCCUUUUUGGGCCAAUUGGGAACAUAUUUAUGGAAUAAGGGAGUUAUUGGGCUUUAGGAUAAGGCCCAUUGGAAAGGCUUGGGCCCAAUUUGGAAAAUUGGGCCAUAAGUGGGCCAUGAUUGGGCCUUAAUGAUUAUGAGAUAUUGGACCCUCGGAAUGCUAAUUGUUUGCACUAGAAUAAAUGGUUGGGCCUCAAGAUAAGUCCAUAUAGAGGUUUGGGCCCAAUUUGGAAAAUUGGGCCAUAUGAUGGGCCUUGGUUGAUUAUUGGGCUUUUAGGCCUUCAGAGUGUGAGGUUGGGCCUUGGUUUUGAACCAAGCUAGGUUAGGGGUAAAAUGGUCCAUUUACCCCAAGUGUAGCUGUAUGGUUAUGUAUUGGAAACCAACUAUUAAUUGGUUGUUGUUUUGAUGUUGAUAGUUCGGGAAGUUGUCAACCAGUAGCUAGGGUUUUAUCCGUGGGACGUCAGCAAUGCGAGUUGAGUCCCCUCACCAUACCAAUGGGUCUAAGGCACUGAGGCCUGUCCAUUUUAUGAUAUGUGAUAUGCUAGCUAAUUAUGUGGAAGACCUCGGGGGGUUCCCGAGGCAGUAGACUAAGACCAUGUAGGGAUUCCCAUGGCAAUUAGUUAUAUGCGUUAUUUGGUAUGCUAGCUAUUAUGUGAUAUGUGGUAUGCUAGAUAUUUCUAUGAUAUGCUAUGUGUUAGUUGACUAUGUGUUUCUUGCAUAGAAGACCUCGGGGAGUUCCCGAGGCUGUUGGAUAUAAGAUCAUGUGGGGGUUCCCAUGGCAUUCAGGCUAAGACCAUGUGGGGGUUCCCAUGGCAGUGAUCUAAGACCAUGUAGAGGCUCCCAUGACAUCUGGUGUAAGACCAUGGAAGGUUUCCAUGGCAUAUUUAUGUGUUGUAUGUAUGGCUUAUAGGGUUUGUAUAUGUGUACUGUUAAUUGAUUAUGUGUUAUGUUGAUAUGAUAUUGGUAUGGAAGACCCCGGGGGGUUCCCGAGGCAGUUGGAUAUAAGACCAUGUGGGGGUUCCCCUGGCUUCCCUGUUUAAUACCAUGCGAGGGUUCCCAUAGCAGUGGGCUAAGACCACGUAGGGGUUCUAGUGGCACCCAGUGUAAGACCUUGGAGGGUUUCCAUGGCUUCCCUAUAUGUUUAUAUGCAUGGAUUGUCUAGUUGAUAUGAUUUAUGUGAUUAUGUGUAUAAGACCUUAGAGGUUUUCCAUGGUGUCUCUACGUAUAUGCAUGGUUAUGCGAUUGAUAUGGUUUAUGUGAUUAUGUGGGGUAUGCUCUGGGGAACUUAGUAAGCUUCGUGCUUACAGUUUUGUUUAUGGUUUAGGGUAUCAUUGUUUAUCGCAGUGCACACACCCGUGUUUCCGCAAUAUAUGAUUUUGAGACGAACUCUGAUGAAUGUUUUUAAUUAAUCAUGUUUUUGGAAUGUUUGAAUUUAAAAAUAUAUAUAUAUUGACUGUAUUGAAAAAUGAAAUUUUUACCCUUGAUUUUUGGGUCGUUACAAGUUGGUAUCAGAGCCUUGGUUUGGUGGAUUCAGACAUACUAUAGGGUGAGUCUGAACUCAAACUGAGGAUCUGUAAAGUUUUCAAAAAGAAAAAUGUUUUCAAGGAAAAAGUUUUCUAAGACAAGAAAGGGUGUGUGGUGCAUGCAAUCAGCCUAGCCCAAGUAAGUUUCCCCAGAAUACCCAUAUAUGAUAUCUGUUAUGAAUUGGUUUACGAAUUUGUGAAUCGUAUGCUAGUUAGGGCUAGGGGAGAUGCAUGUAUAUGUUGUAUGAGCUGGUAGACUUGCAUGCUAGUGCUGAGUAAUCAGCAAUAGAUUGGCCUGAUAUGUGGUGCUUGUAGCUUUGGGAAUAUUGGAUGCCAUGCUAGAAUGAGAAAAAUUGUUGGUAUUAGUAACUGCUAUGUAUAUGAUUUUAAAAUUGUAUACGGUUAGUAUCUUAUAGCCUUAGAAUAAUUGAUUUGGCCUUAUUUUCUGUUCCUCGUCUGGUUGUGUUCCUAGGAAUAAUUGACUUGGCCUUAUUUCCUGUUCUAUGUAUAAUUUGCAUUCAUAAGGCAGCCGACAGUAAGGAUAGAUAGAUGUGGAUAGCACGAGUUGUGGCAUGUGGGCUGAAUGUCCUAUGAUAGUUCUUUGGAUCGGAUUGCUACUGCAUGAAUGUUGCUUGCUUUGCGCUUUGUGGAAUUCUUGAGUGAUGGGAGUCAACUACUAAGUGGAUAUGACGAUAUCCAGGAAGUGGAUGGUUGGCAUCAUAGGGAGUUCUUUAGCAGCUGAUGGCAAGGCGAGGUUGGGAACCUAGGGGGAUCCUAGGAGGUCCAUCGGUGGAUAUUGUGUUGCUGUUUAGCAGACAUUUAGUACAUCAUGGGAGUAAGUGACUUAGAGGAUUCGGGAUGAUUCUGGAGGAAAGUAUGGAUAGGUGUGGAAGGUAGUAUUGGGCUUGUACUACUGAAAGCACUAGAUCCAUACUCGAAUCGGGGAAAGUCUUGGAGAAUAUAAGAAGUUUGGGAAGGAGAAUUCUUGGUUAUGAUUGGACCGUAGGGAUAGCUGUUGUGCAUAAUGUGGAUGAGCACGCAAGGGGAAGAACCAAGAUUUGGUUUUGGCUCCGGUGGCGAGCCAGUUAGCGAAAGGACUGCUAGGAUUUUGAGUUCGCCUUGGAUCUCUUGUAUUAGGUGGCAAGGAUUGAUUGUGUGAUCUAUUUCACUUUCAGGAUUGGAGACUAUGUCUUGGGAGUAGUUUGUAGUCGGAUUAGGGUAGAGGUUGCUUCAACUACAUCAGUUCAGCCGUGAAUCAUUGAGUUGGUGAGUGUGCCAUGGUGUGAGACCCUGAAUGAUAUGAUUUCUAGAGCUCAAGAGCAAGGAUUGAUUUGGAGCACAUUAGGAAGAGGGGACUAGAUCGGGUGCCGAUAUUGGAGGGUCUCGGAAAGAGACCCAAGAGUUCGGGUCAACUUUUGAGAGACCAGCAGGGCCGGAUUCAGUUGCGGGAAACUGCACGAGGGAGUUUUUUGUUUCAAGGGUUUUAGUAUGUGUACCUUUGGGUUUGUUUCCCUACUUGUGUUUGGUUUAUACCUUCAAACAUUUUCAUAUGUUAUUUGCAUACCAUGAGUUACAGGGUGUUUAGUGAAAGGUCGUUCCCUCUUUGCUCGUUUGGGGCAUUCAAUGUUAUAUGGGUCUAUGGUCAAGAUUGGUUCAGGGAUGUAUUGUGGAAGAUCUACUUUCAGGAUUGGUGACUCAUCCAUUAUGCUAGGGUCAGCUUUUAAUAGCUCCAUGGGAAGUGGUCUACUAUGAAGGCUUUGGUUGGGGCAUCGGGUAUUUGGACUUCAAGAUAUAAGUGUGGCAUCAUUUCAAGACGUCUGAGAUUACUAGUUUCGCUAAGAUUCCGGAAGUGUUCAUCUGAUCCUUAGGGGUUGUGUGGUCUUUGGGGGUUUGGGCCAGUAAUAGAACACUAGCACGAGUAAGCAGCAGGUUGUCAACAGUCUGCUUAUUAAAGAGUAAAAAGGAUUGGGAAUUCUUCAAACCUCAUGUAUUGUGAAGACUUAGUCGAAUCUAAGUGGGGGAGAAAUGUACAGGUAUUCAGGACAGGGGCAGGUAUGAGAUCGAGAUAGGUUUCUCAUCCCAUCGAGGAAAAUAGCGGUCAAAAUGGCUAUUUCGUUGGAGGGUUGUGUGAGUUUGGAGUUCGGUAAAACUCCCCGUCAUGUGAAUCGCAACCUUUUGGGGGACUAAUAACAGAAUUUGGGCAAGCAGGUCGGGGAUCCAGUCAUGAAUUGAGUUCAGUUCGAGUGUUUGGUCAAGUACGUACUUGACUCUAUAUGUGUUUUGAACUGAUAGAUUAGGGGUAAGGUAUCGGGCUAUGUUUGUAUUAGGAUGAAAGUGUUGUAAGACUACAGGAGAGCCGUAGCAUUCACUAAUGGCCAGUUGGGAUGAAAGUGUUGUAAGACUACGGGGAGCCAUAGCAUUCACUAAUGGUCAGUUGGAGUGAAAGAGUUGUAAGACUACGAGGGAGCCGUAGCAUGCACUAAUGGUCAGUUAGGAUGAAAGUGUUGUAAUACUACAAAGGGAGCCGUAGCAUUCACUCAUGGUCAGUAGGGUGAGAGUGUUGUAAGACUAUGGGGAGCCGUAGAAUUCACUAGUAGUCAGAUAGUGUGAAGAGUGUUGUAAGACUGUGGGGGAGUCAUAGCAUUCACAAGCGGUCAGAUAGUGAGGGAAGUGCCGAAAGACUAAAAGGUAGCUAUCGCAUUCACGGAUUUGUUCGGACAACUUAGGCCAAUGUGGGCCAGUUCGCAAGGUUGUGAGUAGGUCAUAACAUAAUUGGAAGCAUGGAACAGUAGGUUGAUGGAGACCCGGUAUGAUGUAAGACUACAGUUAUUUCUGGUAGCAUUCACCUUUUGCGUUGGAUUCAGUAGUGAUAGUUUGUCAUACUAUCAUGAUUGGAUGGAUCAAAUGGAUUGAAGGAGCCAUGAAUGGUUGUAUAGAUAGGGCAGUUAUUAUUAGACGAUGUAUCCUUCGGAGGUUGCAUGAACCUGCUACGUGUGUUUUUGGCCUAGCAAUCAGUUAUGUAUCCGAUGUUUCGAGUAGUUGACAGAUAAGGUUGAUGGGUUUUAGCCAUAAGAACUUUCCUAUUUGCGCAUGCAAAACCCUAAUGCUUGGAUCUAGGCUUUCUAAUUAAACAUGCUUUGAAUCCAAGACUUCUAACAACUAUUUAGGAGUAAUAACAAUAUUGAAACAGAUCUAGAAUCAUACCUUUGAAUUCCUUGUUGAUCUUGUUGUCUUGGAGCUUCUAGAGUCACAAUUGUCACUCCUCUAAUGGCUUACAAACACCAAAUAGCAAGGAGGAUGAUUUGGGAGAGAGGAGAGGGGAGGAAAUCGGCCAGGGGUUCUCUACUUUAGAUGAAGUACCGAUUUCCUUAUGCCAUAGGGUCUAUUUAUACUUGUAGACUCCUUAAGGGUUACAACCUAAACCCUAAUUGGAUAAUCUUCUCUUAAGGCUAUCCAAAUCCAUUCCUUAGAUAACUCUUGGACGAUUUGAAGCAAUCCUUAGCUUCUAGAAUCCGUCCAAUCCAUAUCUAUAUGGAUUUACAGUCUAAAGUUUAACUAUCAAACAAUUGACAGUUUAUACCCUCUUAUUUAAUUAAUCUCAUUAAGUCACCAAAUUAAUUCCAAUUAAUUUUAUGACUUAUAUUAAUCAAAUAACAAUAUAUUAUUCUUUAUAUUAUUCUCAUAAUAUACUAAUAAUAUUUACUCUCUCUUAAUAAAUCAUCCUAUCAAGUUGCUAUGGUGAAGGCAACCCAAAAGGACCAUGCACAACCGGGUCAAAUACUUGCCUAAUAUAGUUGCAGCCUUAGACACUAUUCCAACAGUCUCCCACUUGGAUAAGUCUAGUAACUAUAUGCACAAGUACAAUUCGGUUUGCAAUCGUAGCUCUCAAAGACGCUGUCAAACUCUGAUCUAAUCAAUCUUGUCCUUUAGAUAAGGGAUCGUACAGUCCUCUGUUAGAUAUCAUGCUGACAAUCCUAUGGAAUGGUUAGUCAAGCAUUUAGGUUUCUCGAUCUCUGAUUUAUUUGACAUAGAACUUAAUCGAACACAUCAAUUCAGUUCUGACCGGGCCCGGCACAUAAGUCAAAUCAAAUCAUCGAGCGGCCGAGAUAUCGCUUUUACCUUCUUAGAUAAAAGUUACAGAUAAACUUCGACUUAUAUGCAUUUACUUAUUCAUUUACCAACUAUACACAACAAUACGUUUUAUAACACCAAGUUACUGAUGCGUUUUCGUAUUAUCAAUGUACAAUCAAUUAACAAAUAAUAAACCAUAUAUCUAGGUUUUAAGACUAUAUGAUAUUAUCGUCUUGCGAUCACCUUUUAUAUCGUAUUCCAUAAGGUGAUUCCAGCAAGCGCGGGUUUAUUCCAAUGCUCAAAACUAGUUCAUAAGCACUCAUGAACGUUGCAGCAAUCCUUUGCUAUGUCUAACACCAUUUAGACAUUCUACACACCAAUUCAUGACAAUCUUCAUUCAUAUCUACUCCCAACAUAUGAACGAUUGUGGACCAUUUGAACAAUUCGAUUAUUCCUAAUAAACUCAAUUAUUCUGGAAGUCAAAACAUGCAAAGUGAAACAAUAGCUAAACAAUUAACAUAAGAUAGUAACAUUACUCAUAAAUAAAACUCCUUUAUUUAAUCAUCAAAUGUUAAUUACAUUUAUCUAUUACACGUUUCUAAUACUAUCUAAUCUAUGCUAAUAUCAUCCUUCAGCCCAAUACUCCUAGCAUGCUGCAAGUGCUUAACCCUACUCAGUCCCUUCGUAAGCGGAUCUGCUGGGUUAUCUUCUGAUGAUAUCCUCUUCACUACGAGUUGUCCUUCUUCUACACGAUGUCUAAUGAAGUGAUAUUUUCUGUCGAUAUGUCUUGAUCUACCAUGAUCCCUCGGUUCCUUGGUCAAGGCAACCGCGCCUUCGUUAUCACAGAAAAUCUCCAUUGGCUCCUUUAUGGCAGGUACAACUCCAAGAUCACCGAUGAAGUUCUUUAGCCAUAUUGCCUCCUUCGACGCUUCGCUCGCUGCAAUGUACUCUGAUUCGCACGUUGAAUCAGCUACGGUUUCCUGCUUGGAACUCUUCCAUGUCACUGCUCCUCCAUUUAGGGUAAAGACCCAGCCCGACUGCGAACGGUAGUUGUCCCUGUCGGUCUGAAAACUGGCGUCACUAUACCCUCGCACCUUCAAGUCAUCACUCCCUCCGAGGACUAAGAACCAUUCCUUUGUCCUCCGAAGGUACUUAAGGAUAUUCUUCACCGCAAUCCAAUGUGCUUUGCCAGGAUUCCCUUGAUAUCUGCUAACCAUGCUCAAAGCGAAGGCUACAUCAGGGCGAGUACAAGUCAUAGCGUACAUGAUUGAGCCAACUGCGGAAGCGUAUGGUACUCGGCUCAUUUCUGCUAUCUCAGCUUCGGUACUCGGACUUUGAGUCUUACUCAAUUUGGCAUUACUUUGUAUCGGUAGUUCUCCCUUCUUUGAGUUUUCCAUACUAAAACGUUUUAGUACCUUCUCUAAGUAAGUAUUCUGACUAAGUCCAAUUAGUCUCUUACUUCUUUCUCUUACUAUCCUUAUUCCCAAAAUGUAAGAAGCCUCUCCGAGGUCCUUCAUAGCGAAGCACUUCCCGAGCCAGGACUUAACCUCCUGCAGAGUCGGGAUGUCGUUUCCUAUGAGUAAUAUGUCAUCGACAUAUAGAACGAGGAAGCUUACUAUACUCCCACUGGCUUUGACAUAUACACAAGAUUCGUCUUCGCUUCGUACAAAUCCAAACUCUUUGACUUUCUCAUCGAAGCAAAGAUUCCAUCUGCGAGACGCUUGCUUAAGUCCAUAAAUGGACUUCUCAAGCUUACACACUCUAUCCGGAUGCUUCGGAUCCACAAACCCCUCUGGCUGAGCCAUGUAAACAUCCUCAGCCAACUUUCCGUUAAGGAAAGCGGUCUUGACAUCCAUUUGCCAAAUCUCAUAAUCAUGAAAUGCGGCAAUAGCUAGCAUCACUCUAAUAGAUUUAAUCUUCGCAACUGGUGAGAAGGUCUCAUCAUAGUCAACUCCGGGAGUUUGAGUAAAGCCCUUCGCAACCAAUCGCGCUUUAUAUGUGUGUACGUUUCCAUCCACGUCGGUCUUCUUCUUGAAGAUCCAUUUGCACCCAACGGUCUUACGUCCGGGCACAUAAUCAACCAAAUUCCAAACUUGGUUAUCAUACAUGGAUUGGAUCUCGCUAUCCAUUGCCUCUUUCCAUUUUGCAGACUCCGGGCCUGCCAUGGCUUCCUUAUAGCUAUUAGGUUCAUCAAGAUUUACUAGUGUACCAUCACUAAUAUACGUGUCCCCUUCGGUAGUAAUAUGAAAACCAUAAAACUGGGGAUGAACUCUAACUCUAUCGGAACGUCUAAGAGGUAAGGAUUCGUCAAUCGGUUCAACCGGAGUUUCCUCCUCGGGUUGAGUGCCAGCGGUAGAGGUUCCUUCAUCUAUCGACUCUUGAAUCUCUUCAAGUUCGAUUUGCCUCCCACUGUCUCCUUGGCUUAUGAGUUCUCGCUCUCGGAAAACUCCUCUCCUCGCAACGAAGACAACAUUGUCCUUCGGUCUAUAGAAGAGAUAUCCAAAGGAUGUCUGCGGGUAGCCGAUGAAAAUACAUCGCUCACUUCGAGGUUCAAGCUUGUCGUGAGUAUCUCGUCUUACGAAAGCCUCGCAACCCCAAACCUUGAUAUGUGCCAACGAGGGAGCUUUCCCUGUCCACAUCUCGUGAGGUGUUUUGGCAACCUUCUUAGUAGGGACUCGGUUAAGGAUAUGGGCGGCAGUCUCUAAGGCAUACCCCCAAAAAGAGAUAGGUAGUGAAGCACGACUCAUCAUAGAGCGAACCAUAUCCAAUAAGGUUCGAUUACGCCUUUCUGCCACACCAUUCAACUGCGGUGUCCUAGGAGGCGUCAAUUGUGAAACUAUUCCACACUCCUUGAGAUAAUCGUGGAAUUCAAGACUUAGGUACUCUCCUCCUCGAUCGGAUCGAAGCAUCUUGAUUUUCCUGCCCAAUUGAUUCUCCACUUCAUUCUUGAACUCUUUGAACUUUUCAAAAGUUUCUGACUUUUGCUUGAUUAAGUAGAUAUACCCAUAUCUACUAUAGUCAUCGGUAAAAGUCACAUAGAAGCGGUUCCCAUCCUUCGUGGUUGAUCUAAACGGUCCACAUACAUCGGUAUGUAUUAGGUCCAAUAGACCCUCACCCCUUUCACACGUACUCGUGAAGGGUGACUUAGUCAUCUUUCCAAGUAAACAAGACUCGCAUGUGUCAUCUUCCCUAAGGUCGAAUGACUCCAACACUCCAUCCUUUUGGAGUUGGGCUAUGCGCUUCUUGUUGACAUGUCCAAGACGACAAUGCCACAAGGAUGCUCUAUCCAUACUAUUGGAAGAAUCUAUGUUCAAAACAUCAUUUCCUAAGUUAUCAACAAUCAUAACAGUUUCAUAAAUUCCAUUACAUGGUAUAGCUUCAAAAUAAAAGACACCAUUUAGAUAAGCCAAAAUAGAACCAUUCUCAUUAUUAAAAGAAAAUCUAAAACCUUGUCUAAACAAACCAUGAAAUGAAAUGAUGUUUCUAGCCAUUUCUGGCGAAUAGCAACAAUUGUUCAAAUCUAAACUUAAACCAUUCCUAAGCACUAAAGAAUACACUCCAAUCUUGGUCACAGGCGACGAUCUUCUGUUCCCCAUGAUUAGAUUUAUUCUUCCAGCCUCCACAUCCCUAUUUCUUCUUAGUCCCUGCACAUUAGAACAAAUGUGGUAACCACAACCGGUAUCAAGAACCCAAGAAAUAGCAUGAGAUGAAUCGUUAGAUUUAAUUGUGUAUAUACCUGCGAAAGACGGCUUGAUCUUUCCUUCCUUGAUGGCUUGCAGGUACUCUGGGCAGCUUCUCUUCCAAUGUCCUAUCUUGUGGCAGUGGUGGCACUCUGCCUCCUUUGGGUUAGGGCAGGGCUUAGCAGGAUCAACUUUGGUCCCACUAGAAGAGGCACCAUCUCGGGCUUUAACCUUGCGAUAGUUCUUAGACGAAGCCUUCCUCUUCUUUCCCUUUCCUUGUCCAAUAGCCAAGACAGGAGCAGCGGGUGGAUUGGGAGUUGGUGCAACAGACUUGUCCUUGAAGUUGCUCUCAGCGACCCUCAAGAGACCUUGGAGUUUGCUUAGGGUGACCUCCUCUUUGUUCAUGUGGUAGGUCAUCCUAAAUUGAUUGUAGCUCGGAGGCAAAGAGUGAAGCACCAUGUCGAUCGCCAAGUCUUCCCCAAAGUCAACAUUCAACUUGCGAAGACGGUCGACAUACCUUUGCAUCUUUUGCAGGUGCACGGUAAGAGACUCUCCAUGACCCAUCUUAGCGGAAAUCAUGUUAGUGAAAAUCUCAUAACGCUCUUGUCUCGCGUUUUGGUGGUAUCUCUCCAAUAAGUCUUGAUGCAUCUCGUACGGGUACAUGUCCUCAUAGGACUUUUGGAAUUCGGAGUUCAUGGUGGCUAUCAUGAUGCAAUGUACCUUCGUUGCAUCGCGCUCAUGAGUUUCAAAAGCGGUCAUUUCAGCCGGAGUAGCGAUUUCAGGGUUGAUUUUCUCGAGCUUCUCAUCGAGGACAUACUCCUUAUCCUCAUAGCGAGCAAUGGUGCGAAUGUAUCUUAUCCAUUCGCUAAAGUUCGUCCCAUCGAAAGUGACCUUUUGACAAAGGCUCAUCAAUGUGAAAGAACUAGCAGCAGCGUUGUUUGCGUUCGACAUCUACAAAUAGAAAGGACAAAGAUAGAUUAGAAUAUGAAUCCCUAAUUAUCACCCAAUAAGAAAAAUUAGGGCUAGGAUCCAACAACAAUAUUUACAUAUUAGAAAAGGGAUGCCGUAAUCUAACAUGCAAAUAAUAUGAAGGUAAGUGAAUGACGAUUCACUAAUUCUCCACCCAAAAAACCUAACUAUAAGUCCUAAAUGUAUUGAGAAUUCCUAGGUUCGGAUGAGAUUCAUUGAAACUAUUCAAUGGCAUGUUUAAAUCUCGAUAUGCCCCUCUUGUUUGUGACUGGGAUACCGAGGAUCACAAAGCGGGUGUGAAUUACCAUGCAAAUUCACAUGGUGCCUUCAUUGUAACGAUCACCUAUUCGAUGUGCCGGUAAACCACACACGCUCCAUCGAACUAUGAUAAACAAUGAAUCACCCUUUGCCACCUUUGCUUAGAACCAAUUAGUGUGCCGGUAAACCACACACGCUCCACUAACUUCUUAGCAAGGGUGCAAAGUGUAAUUUCAUGGGAUUGCAUCAAUUCACUUUUCCUAAAGUAACUAAGAUUGGGAAAUUUUAAAAUAUGUGUAGUUACUUUGUAUUACUUAUUAUACUUUUAAUGAGAGGAUGAGGUUGCCCUAUCCUACCCGUUCGGCUAACGACCCUCCACCGAUCAAGCAAGCGGUGGGUGUGAGUGUACACCCAUUAAGCGCCAUUUUAUAGGCCGCAACCUUAUACCCACCUUAUAGAUCGGCUUCGUGAAUGAGGCCUACUAACGGUAAGACUAGAAUUUUAGUUAUAUAUAUAUAUAUUAUUCUUGUAAUAUUAUAUUAGUAUAGGGUUGUAUUUUAAACCUUUUAAAAUCUAGGGUUUGAAAUUUAAAUUGUCUAAAUUAAAACUUUUAAUCACAAAAUAUAAAUUUCAAAACUUGAGGACAAGUUUUAAACAUUUAAAACAUGGAGGAUCAAAUAACAAAUAAUUUCAAUUAACAAUUAAUUUCCUAAUUAUCUAUAUUUGAUUUAUUCAAGAUUUCUUUCAAGAUAAUUACCAAAAUAAUCAAAAUAAUUAAUUAAUUAUCAUAUAAGGAAAUUAAAUAUUUUAUUAGUUGAUAAAUAUCUUUAAUUAGAUCAAGAUAAUAGUCAUAUAUAUCAAAAAAUCGGAUUAGGGUUGAUCUAAUAUGAUUAAGGUAAGUUUCCAUAAGAUAAUCAUGAAGAAAUCCCGAAUCUGGCCAUUCCUGACGCUUGGACUCGCCGAGUGCACCAAGGGACUCGCCGAGUCAGGCCAACUCGCCGAGUCCACUAUGGAACUCGCCGAGUCCAUGACUCAGAAACACAAAAAUCGAAUUUUGCAGUUUAGUUUCAGACAAUUAAGCAACAAUUUAAUGAAAACCAAGCUAGGCUCUGAUACCACUGAUGGGUUUUAGCCAUAAGAACUUUCCUAUGUGCGCAUGCAAAACCCUAAUGCUUGGAUCUAGGCUUUCUAAUUAAACAUGCUUUGAAUCCAAGACUUCUAACAACUAUUUAGGUGUAAUAACAAUAUUGAAACAGAUCUAGAAUCAUACCUUUGAAUUCCUUGUUGAUCUUGUUGUCUUGGAGCUUCUAGAGUCACAAUUGUCACUCCUCUAAUGGCUUACAAACACCAAAUAGCAAGGAGGAUGAUUUGGGAGAGAGGAGAGGGGAGGAAAUCGGCCAGGGGUUCUCUACUUUAGAUGAAGUACCGAUUUCCUUAUGCCAUAGGGUCUAUUUAUACUUGUAGACUCCUUAAGGGUUACAACCUAAACCCUAAUUGGAUAAUCUUCUCUUAAGGCUAUCCAAAUCCAUUCCUUAGAUAACUCUUGGACGAUUUGAAGCAAUCCUUAGCUUCUAGAAUCCGUCCAAUCCAUAUCUAUAUGGAUUUAAAGUCUAAGUUUAACUAUCAAACAAUUGACAGUUUAUACCCUCUUAUUUAAUUAAUCUCUUUAAGUCACCAAAUUAAUUCCAAUUAAUUCUAUGACUUAUAUUAAUCAAAUAACAAUAUAUUAUUCUUUAUAUUAUUCUCAUAAUAUACUAAUAAUAUUUACUCUCUCUUAAUAAAUCAUCCUAUCAAGUUGCUAUGGUGAAGGCAACCCAAAAGGACCAUGCACAACCGGGUCAAUUACUUGCCUAAUAUAGUUGCAGCCUUAGACACUAUUCCAACAAAGGUGAGAUCGGAGAAAUCUCAGUUGCUUUCGAAAAGUAGCUAGUGAAAACAAGAUGAUUUGGAGUGAUUUCAGUUAUUUGGGGUCCGUGUGUGGAGUUUCUUGUCAUUCGAGGCAUAUACUAAGCUGGUUACAGUUGGACUAAGUAAUAUCAGAAUUUGAAUAGCCAGUUGGGAGAUAAGUGCAGUAAACUUGGGAAUGUUUCGGUGUAGGCAAUUUGUCAAGGAGACAGACCAUCUCGAGACUUCAGGUUUCAGAUGGAGUAAAUGCGAUCAUGUUGCUAGAAAUUCGUUUAUCUUCGGGUUUUAGAACCUGUGGGGGAUGGUUUUGGUUGCCCUGGGAAGGCUGGGGUAUGCUUAUGGUUUCGACCAUGUCGUUUGAUUUGUAGGAUGUGUAAGGUAUGGUAAGGAAUGAUUUCGAGGACGAAAUCUAAUUUAAGUGGGGGAGAAUUGUAACAUCAUGUUUAUUAAAUAAAUAAAUACAUAAAUUUGAUGAACGAAUAGUCGCCCUAAAAUCCAUAGUAUUUAGUGGGGUGUUGGUUUUGGGAAGUCAAAUGCCAUAAGUUGAAUUAUUCGGGGGUUAAAGUAUAAAUUCGAGAUUUAUUUUGUAAAUAUUUUAGAAGACAUGGGGAUAUUCGGUAAGUAUUAGACUUAAUUUGUCAAGGAUUUCAGGAUGCAGUGUUAAAAAGGUAAAAUAUGGACUCACUUUGAAAGAAAAAAAGGAAGGGAGGGACCAAACAUAGUAUUAUCGAAAUUAGUUAAGGGGACUGGGUAUAUAAACCCGUCACCCAUUCUGGAACCCUAACCCUAUGGUGGAUCUUAAACCGCCACUCCCACUUACUCGACCUCCGGUGUCGCACCACCACCUCCGUUGAGGUCGCCAACCACCAAAUCCGUCGUCGAGCGUCGUCCUUUCCGGAGAGAAUAGGUCGACGACAUGGAUAAUGGGUGCGUCCGCCACUUACCUUCUCUUCUUCUUCUUAUUCUUCCUUUUUCAGCCAUCCACAAACGCCUCUCGACGGUCUUCGGUGCUACCCCGGCCACCUUUUUCCAACUGUUAACGUGUUGCCGCUGUUGUAUGGCUCGUUUUUGUUGCUCCGGUCAUCGUUGCUAUCCCAAAGGGCUACCGGUUCGUGUGUACUUUUUCUUGGGUAUGUUGACAUGUUGUUGGGCAUAAGACCAAAAGGAAGCAUCGCCACCACCGGAAGUUGGUGGCUGUCACCGCAAUCCGCCGUUGUUGCCACUAGCAUUACUGUUGCCAUCACCAAACGCCACCAGGUGGGUGGCUGGGGUGCAUUUUGCAAAUUAUGAACGUGUGUUUGUGUUGUGUUUGGAUUCGUUUGGUCGGAAAAUCAAGAACAGCCACCACCACCACCGUGAGGUGGUGGCUGCCGCCAUGUACCACCGCUGGCCACCACUAGGGUGGUUAUGUGUGUGUUUAUGUUAGUGAGUGUGUGUGUGUGUGUUUAUUUGAGAUUUUUAUUGUAUAUUGUAAUUGGUGUCGGAAUAAUAAAAGAAAACUCAUAACCACCACCGUGAGGUGGUGGCUGCCGCUUCCUGCCACCACCAACCGCCGUGUUUGGAGGCGGUGUGCCUUGUUUAUGUUUUGACUCGUUUGGGAUGCUUGGACAAAACGGGCCUAAUGCAACACUAAUGGGCCUAACGACUUAGCUUUUGGGCCUAAUUGGAUUGUAAUGGGUUUGAAACCCUAAUUAGGAUUUAGAAAAUCCUAAUUUUGGAAUUAAUUAUUUAGACUUAUCGGGACCCGCAUUUUGGACCAUUGGAGUGAAGUUAUGACUCAAGCCUGAUUUCGUUGUAUGUUUGGACUUAAUGGAUUAACCCCUUAAUAGAUUAACUCCUUAAUGGUUUAAGUAGGAACACUUAACCCUAAUCGUCAUUUUAUGUGAAAAACUCUAAUUGGACUUGGGUUCUUAUUGGGCCACUUAUUGGACUAAGCUGUUGUGGGCCUUUGUGGUCCAAUUGGGAACAUAUUUAUGGACUAAGGGAGUUAUUGGGCUUUAGGAUAAGGCCCAUUCAAAAGGCUUGGGCCCAAUUUGGAAACUUAGGCCAUAAGUGGGCCAGGAUUAGGCCUUAAUGAUUAUGAGAUAUUGGACCCUCGGAAUGCCAAUUGUUUGGACUAGAAUAAAUGGUUGGGCCUCAAGAUAAGUCUAUAUAGAGGUUUGGGCCCAAUUUGGAAAAUUAGGCCAUAUGAUGGGCCUUGGUUGAUUAUUGGGCUUUUAGGCCUUCAGAGUGUGAGUUUGGGCCUUGGUUUUGAACCAAGCUAGGUUAGGGGUAAAAUGGUCCAUUUACCCCAAGUGUAGAUUUAUGGUUAUGUAUUGGAAACCAAUUAUUAAUUGGAUGUUGUUUUGAUGUUGACAGUUUGGGAACAUGUCAACCAGCAACUAUGGUUUUAUCCGUGGGACUUCAGCAGUGCGAGGUGAGUCUCCUCACCAUACCAAUGGGUCUAAGGCACCAAGGCCUGCCCAUUUGAUGAUAUGUGAUAUGCUAGCUGAUUAUGUGGAAGACCUCGGGGGGUUCCCGAGGCAGUAGACUAAGACCAUGUGGGGGUUCCCAUGGCAAUUAGUUAUAUGUGUUAUUUGGUAUGCUAGCUAUUAUAUGAUAUGUGGUAUGCUAGAUAUUUUCUGUGAUAUGUUGUGUGCUAGUUGACUAUGUGUUGCUUGCAUGGAAGACCUCAGGGGGUUCCCGAGGCAGUUGGAUAUAAGACCAUGUGGGGGUUCACAUGGCAUUGCAGGCUAAGACCAUGUGGGGUUCACAUGGCAAUGAUCUAAGACCAUGUGAAGUUCCCAUGGCAUCCGGUGUAAGACCAUGGGUGGUUUCCAUGACACCUUUAUAUGUUUUAUGUAUGGCUUUUAAGGUUGGUACAUGUGUACUGUUAAUUGAUUAUGUGUUAUGUUGACAUGAUAUUGGUAUGGAAGACCCCAGGGGGUUCUCGAGGCAGUUGGAUAGAAGACCAUGUAGGGGUUCCCCUGCCUUUCCUGGUUAAGACCAUGCGAGGGUUCCCAUGUUAGUGGGCUAAGACCACGUGGGGGCUCUAGUGGCACCCGGUGUAAGACCUUGGAGAGUUUCCAUGGCUUCUUUAUAUGUUUAUAUGCAUGGCUUGUGUAGUUGAUAUGAUUUAUGUGAUUAUGUGUAUAAGACCUUGGAGGGUUUCCAUGGCGUCUCUAUAUGUCUAUAUGAAUGGUUAUGCGAUUGAUAUGGUUUAUGCGAUUAUGUGGGGUAUGCUCUGGGGAACUCACUAAGCUUUGUGCUUACGGUUUUGUUUAUGGUUUCAGGUAUCAUUGUUUUGGAAAGGAAGGGCUCAGCUUGAUCGCAGUGUACACACCCGUGUUUCUGCAAUAUAUGAUUUUGGGACGAACUCUGAUGAAUGUUUUUAAUUAAUCAUGUUUUUGGAAUGUUUGAAUUUAAAGAUAUAUGCGUUUUGACAGUAUUGAAAAAUGAAAUUUUUACCCUUGAUUUUUGGGUCGUUACAUAAUCGCGUAUUAGUAUCCAUAAUCGUGUGCAUUAGGAUUCGGGUGUCGAGAAUUUUUUUCAAAUAUACCGACGGAUUGGAUUUAAUUCAAGGAUUUCAAAAACCCGAACGGAUUAGUUUUUGGAGUUACAGAAUUCCGGGAAAUCGCGUUUGAAGUUUUGCGUCAAAACGGCUCUCGGUGUCCGUUUUCGUGAUUUUUGUAAAUAUUUUUAUUAAAAAUAUUUCGAGUAUGAAAUUAAAUAAUAGUCUAUAGUCUGAUUCCAAAAACGCUCUCAUAAAUCCCGUCGGCAAUGUGUAAGUACAUUAACGGUGUGAAAUUGUUUACUUUGAACAGGUAAAACCAACGUUAUACCGGUUUCAUUUCUUAAAACGGUCGUAUCUUUUGCAUACAAACUCCGUUUUGGACUUUCUUUAUAUUUUUGAAAACAUGGGAAUACAUACUAUGAGUCUAAAAUAAUUGCUUCACCCAAAACUGCUUAUUACAAAUUUCUAGUUUUUUCAGACGUAUUAACUAGCGUUGUAGUUUAAGCGGUUUGAUUGUUUGUUGAUUCAUACAUUUAGAAGCAAAGUAUCUGUAAGAACGUGAAUUUUCAAAACAAUUUUUCACUUUUAAUCAUAUAAUCUUCAUAAUACAUUUCAUAAAACAUCAUUUAUUUAGUUUACAAAACAUAACACUGUGUUUAAUCAAUUAAUAAUCCAAGAUCCUCGAAACAUAAAUCUUUCUCUGGUGUGUACAAUCAAGCUGGUACCGUCCCGUGAUCCUGAGAAAACCUGAAACACAUAACACAUAACACGGUAAGCACGAAGCUUAGUGAGUUCCCCAAAAUACCACAUGCACAUAUUAGCCACUCGAUGUUGUAACUCUAGUAGACCUUCCGACCCUACCCAUAUUGGCCUUCCGGUCCUAUUCUGUUGACCUUUCGACCCAACUCUGUUGACCUUCCGGUCCUACUCUGUUGACCUUCCGGCCCAACUCUGUUGACCUUCCGGUCCAAACCCUGUCGACCUUCCAGUCCGAACCAGGCAACUCAUAACAUAGCAUAUCACAUAAAACAUAUAUCACAUAUCGCAUAUAAGCACAUACGACCUUCCAGUCACACAUAAUUACCACUCUAGGUAAGGUAUAGUGAGAAGACUCACCUCGGCUGGCAGUUAACUGACAAGCACUCGAAAUUCUUGGACUAGCCUCCGCCUAACACAUUAGACAAGCAUCUUAAUCAUUAUCCAUCUUAUUACUCAUUUACACCUUAAGUCCGCUUUUCUCUUUUAACCCUCGGGAUGGGUAAAAUACCAUUUUACCUCUCCUUGAUCCUCCUGCCCCUUAUUGACCCACCCAUGAAGUCAACAGAAAGCCUAUCUGAGUCAACUGUCAAGGUUGACCUGACUCGCCGAGUGCACACCUGUGACUCGCUGAGUCCACUCGUAUUCUCCAUGUUCUUCCUAGGGUUCACUCAGCUCACUGAGUUGACACCCAACUCGAUGAGUGAACAUUGGGUCCAGGCUGCUAGGUCACACCCGCUAUGACUCGGCGAGUCAUCCUAUGGACUCGACGAGUCGGCUCCAUCGGAUUUCUCAUUCAGCCACCUGAGGUCAGAUCUGUGAAACUAGCUUAUAAAUCCAACCUCCUAGCAUCCAAAAGUCAUGUAAAGGUUUAGCCUUUAUGCUCAUGCAUCACAUAUCUAGCUCUAUUUGACAAAAUGACCCUCUUAAUGGUGUUUUAGGCUCAACAAUCUAUGUGACUGCAUAAAGCUAGAAUCAUGGGACUCUCUGGACCUCUCAAGGUCCAGAUCUGAUUUCUAAGCCUCAAAGGGACUUCACACACUUCAUAACUCAACUUAAAAGAGGGUGAAGAAACCCUAAAUUCAUGAGAUCUACUAACCAUACGAAAAUAGGUAUAGAUUUAUGCCUUAAAUAGCAGCCUUGAAUGGAAUAGCAGCAUAUCUGAGCUCCUCAAGUUGAUCUUGCUUGAAUAGCCUCCCUCUUCCUUUCAAGAAUGCACCAAGAUGAUGAAAUUAGCCCCCUUCUUCUCUCUAUGAUCUCUGAAUCAAAUAGGGUCUCUCAAGGGAAAGUGUGGUCGCAAAUGAAGGCCAUAAGAGUUUUUAAAUAGAUCACAAACCCGGACAAUUAGGGUUUUCCUCAGCAAUGCUGACUCGGCGAGUUAGAUACCUGACUCGUCGGGUCCAUCCAUUUAACACCUCACCAAGUCGCGACCCUACUCAACGAGUGGAGGCACUUACUCGUCGAGUCCCUCCAAAAUCUUUAAAUUAAAUAAUUAAAAUAAUACUGGAAAACCGGAUGUUAUAGUAUCAUUUGAUAUCAUAUAAAGUGGAAUUGAAAUUGUUUAUAUUUCCGUAGAUGAAAUAAAAUCGAACGAGUUAGGUUACUAACAGAUUUUUCCGUAACUUAGUCGCUCUUAGUUUAUGUCCUAAAUUUUGGGAUGUCACAUUAUUCCACUGAAACAAAAUCCUACACAAAACACGUGCGAUACCCGACUCAAGAUCAUACCCAAAAUCAAUUCAAUACUCCACUCACAACCCGAGAUUCACGAAUCUGCACUUGCAAUUCACACCACAACCUUCCGAUUUCCCGAUGAACCCUCACCUGAUCUAAAAUAAUUACCCUCAAACCAUUUAUGAGACUACCAGUCUCCCACCUGGUCCAACCACCAGGUUCCCUAGCAUAUGAACAACAAGGUUACCCAGCGUAAAAACCCCUCUGCGCCACACACUGAUCCCCCACAUGAUCCUGCAACUCAAGACCCGACACAUUGAACCAACGGUCUCUACCAGGACCCGCCUGAUCUAUCAUUAUCACAUGAGCCUUGCCCAUGGGUCCUACUCCUCUAAAGUUAUACAGACCAGCCUCCGACCCGGACCUCAAUGGUCCUCAAGAAUACUCCUCGACAACCCUAACCGACGUGCCCUAGGAAUGAACCGAUUCCCCAUCAUGCUCGACCAUUUCUAAUAAUGGUUUACCUUGAACUGGUGAUUGCUACGAUCCCAUCGCAGUCUUAUAACACCUCCAACCGACCAUGAUUACCACUCAUGGCCUUACCAUACCCAAACCAACACAAUACCAUGCAUCCUAAGUUGAAUCUUGCAACCAAGCAGGAGUGUAGGUCAAGCAUUGAACCCCACGGCCUAAUAUGAACAACAAUGAAGAUGCCGACUUGUGCUCAGGAGUUUCCUGAACCCCCUACCAACACAACCUCAAUCUGAACUGCCACUUAACUCUCCCCCACAUGGACUCGACGAAGGUUUCCCACCUUCUAAUCCAUAUGGAUUUCCGAUCCAUCUUUCUUAAUUGGCGUGAACCGUCCAUACCCUAUGCUGAACAAUACUUGCGUUCCCUUGCUAACCAAAUUCAUUGAUAAUCUGAUUCCUGAAACUCUGAUGUAUACCCUUGAAAUCUCAACCUACCUGAUAAUCUAGAUCACCUCCCACGAUAUUAUAAGCUCGAGAUUGGCAAAAAACAAUCAAUUAUAAGCUCGAGAGUGAUUAAUGUGGUUUGGACCACCUAAUGUGCUUUUGGCCAUCUAAUGUGCUUUUGACUACCUUAUAUAUGACGUCAUAAAAACCCAAUACGAUGUUGUUUUGAUAUUUAGUUUUGGUAUGGUAAUUAUUCUAUUUUUAUAUUAAAAAACAAAAAAAAACAAAUCAAGCUUAAAAAUUCAAAUUUUUCAAAAGCAAAAAACAUUGUUGAUUUCUAGAACAACUCGAUUCUUUUCGAGUUUGUUAAUUUUAUACACCUCUAAAAUGGGAGCUAUUAUAACGCGAAAUUGCUAAUGACUAAACUCAAUAUGUUUGUUUAAAAGAUAAUUCAAUAAUUGGAUAUUGAAGACCAUGUGCCUAUUUAACAUCUACGUGAAAAAUAUCUAAAGGAGACUGAGGGCUUGUUUGAUAAUGAUGCUAACUCAGUCAGAAAGGAGGACUCGGUCCUCAAUCAGAAGUUGGUGCGUUUGAUUUGGGUUUUUUAUCCACAGACUCGGUCCAAAGAAAUUUGAGGAUUCGAUCCAAAGAAAUUUGAGGAUUCGGUCCUCAUCUCAAAACCUCCUGACCGAGACCAAGCCUCAUAUUUUCCCUCCUUGCCCUUCACUUUUUGUAGGUGCCUUCUUCUCCAUCGCAUCAUCUCCACUCCACCGGCGAAAUUACGUUCUUCAGACUUCAAUACUCGGUCCACUGAAAUAAAGAGGCUGACUAAAAAAUUGACGCCUUUUGCCCUUGCCCUGGACGCAGCUCUCCAGAAACUUCAAUCGAUCCAAGCAACGCUUCCUUCCUUCCACCAUCGGUCAGAAACUUCAAUACUCGUCCUCUCUAUCGUUUCUAUCUAUCAUCUUCAUCCUCGUUAAAAACCUCCAUUGCCACCAUCCUCUUCACCGUCGACCACCUCCUUUAUUGUGAACCCCCUGAAGCAUCUCAAAUGGGUCGAUUUCUUUUCAAUUGCAGUUAAUCCCUUUGGAUUCUAUCAAUUUCGACUUUCCAAUGCUUCACGUGAAACUGCACAUAUUUGUUGGUUUGCUCAUUUUCAAUAGAUACGGACCGCAAGGGAAACAGGUGCACUCCAAGAAGCAAAGGAUAAGCUUCAAGGGCAACUGGAAGACCUCACUUUGCAUUUACAGUUACAGAAAUAGUUGAAGGUAAUGUAAACUAAACUAAACUCCAUUUGAGUGAUUAAAUAUUUGUGGUGUUAAAUAUUGUGAUGAAUAUGAGAAUGGGCUAAUGAUGCAGAGUCGGCUGGAAGAAGCAAAGGGUCUAGAAUGAUGUAUAUGGAUUGGAUGAAGAACAAUAUUAAACAGAUGCAUUACUCAUUGUGUGCCUGUUGUUAGAAAUUUGGAUAGCUUCUUUGAAUUGCAUAAUUAGGUGUCUUACAGCUGUGACAACCUUUGUCCCCUGAGUUCAAGUUUUUUUUCUUUUAUAGGUGUAUGAUUUGUUUUUAUAAAUUGUAACAAGGAUCAUUGUAUUUCAUAUUUUAUAGCAACCAUACAUGAUAAUGGUUCAAUCCAGGUACAUAUGAAUGCAAACAUGUGUUCCGUUUUAUAGUUUUCAAUUGGUAAGAAGGGGAAGACAAUCAAGAGAUAUGUUGAUUUUUUUUGUUUUAAUCUUCAUGUUCCUGAGAUUAUUGCAUACAUGGAGUUAAUUAAUAAUAUAUUGUGAUUUGAGAUUAUUGCAUAAAAAUAUUAUUAUAAAAAAUAUUGUUUGAGGGUAAUAUGGUCAUUUUGCACAGUCAGUCAGAUGUAAAAUCAAACAGCAAGUCUCAGUCAGAAGUUAACUCAAUCAGAAUUUCUAACCCAAUCAGCUUCUAACCCGAUCAACUCUAAUUCAGUCAGCAACUAUCAAACGACCCCUGAUUCUUCCACGCAUCAAUUGAUAUUUAAAUUUAUUAACAGUUAUACCCUUAUACCAUUUUUACUUUCUUCCUCUAUCUCUCACACACACAAGGACACAAUCUAUUAUUUCGUUUUAAAAACCUAGUUUUAUCUACACAGUACCAUUUCAUAAGUUUCACUAAGUCACCUGUAUUCACCUCUUUAAUUUCAAUGGAAGAAAAGCCGACGAGCUCACAUCCUUACAAUCAAUUCUCCGGACACAAUCAAUUCCAUGAGAAGUUUAACUGAAAUCAAAACAUCCACCAUCGAUCCAAUUGAUUUUAAAUUGAACAAUUGGUCUCCAAUCAAGGUGAACUAUUUCACAUGGCAUGCAUUUAUAGACAGAAUUCCAACCCGUACAUCUCUUGCUUUUCUUCAUAGGAAACAAAUGACCAUCUCUAAGCCUCAUGCACAUUCACAAAAUCAACAUGGGAGGAGUAUCAUUGGUGAAAUCAAAACCACAUCUUUUGUUUGGUUUAAGUAUAGGAACAAAUCACACAGUAUUGACUAGAAUAGUGAAAUACCAGGUGUUAUUCCCCUUUUGCUCCAUUUCACAUGUAAUUGUACGUUAUUCUCAGUUUUUGGCACUAUAUAAUCUCGGUCGUUCAAAAAAACUUCAUUCACCGAACAUAUAGAGUAAACGACUACAUAUCAACUACAUAAAGAACUAAAAAAAUCCACCAAGUGGGAAGUAGUUGGAAGCAUCAUUUGAUGGUGUAAAUGGGGCCAUGGUUUGUUCUCAUUCCCUUGACUAUCUCCCUUGGUUCCAUUACUUCGAGGUUUGUUCCCUUUCCCAUUGAUAUCAAAAUUAUAGAUGAAGGAUAUACUCCAUGGCGGUGGUGGCGGAGUUUGCAAAAAAAAAAAUCAUUUAGGUUUUCCAUGGAUUAAAAUAAACCCAUAACAUCUUCAAAUGGCGAAGAGAUAGGUGAUUGAUUUGAGAGUCUUUCUAGUUAUUGUUGUUGUUUGAUCAAAUAAGAGGAUGAGGGAAAAUAAUUGUUCACAGCGAAUGAAAUGGUGAUGGAAAAGAGAUCUAUCUCUAUGUGUGAGAGUGUGUGAGAGAUAAGGGGGUAGACACAGGUUUUGAAACAAAAAGGAUGAAGCUUUAUCAUUCUUUGAUAGUUAUAAUUAAAAUAAGGGUAUAAUUGUCAAAUAAUAUAAAUAUCAGUGGAAGGAUAAAAAAUUAACGUGGAAAUAUCACCCCCUUAUGUAAAGGUUUAUGAAUUGAGAGGGUAAUCAGUUGUUCUCCAUUUACAUAUUUUUUUUACCAAACGCCUUUAAAGUGAUCAAAUCCUCUCUAAUAAAUGAAAGUUUUUUUUGUCACAUGUCACAUUCUUAUAUAAUUUGCCAAAUGUCAUUUUGUGAUUAUUUUGAAUUAAUUUUUUUUUCACAUGUCAUUUUAUAAGUUUUUCUAUUUUAUUUAAUUCCACAUAAUAUUUUAAUUUAAUACUUGCAAUAAAUGUAGCAAUAAAUUGAUAUCAAUUUCAUUAAUGAACUUAACUUUUAAUUUCAAAUUUCUCAAAAUUAAAGCUUAUUAGUUUUUUUAUUUAUUUAAAUUAGUAUUUGUUUAAAUUUAAAAAGAUAAAAAACAUUUCUAUUAUAAUAAUUCUAUCUUUUUUAUUUUCUUAUAAAUUCAAAGUUCUCACAUAUUUUGACCUUUAUAUAUAUAUAUAUAUAUAACUCAUGUAAUACAUGGGUCUCACAACUAGUUUAUUAAAUAAACAUCAUUUUUAUUGACGAUAUAUUGUAGUGUCGGUUGCUAUCUCUUGUUUUUUAAAUUAAGAUCAUAAUCGAGUAUUGCUUGACUUUCCUUCAUGAAUUUUUCUACCUAAUCCACUCAAAAUAAGCCUUAGGGCUCUUAAUCGAGUACCUAAUCCACUCAAAAUAAGACUCCAACUGUAGCCAAAUCAAAGAUAAUCGCGAAGAAUUUUAAUAAAGGUAUGUUGUAUGAUCCAAUAUUUAACAAGGCUUUUGUGUGAUUGCUAUCAGUUGUUCCAAAAUUGGGCUUCAUUUUGAUAGUGAUUUUAACAAAGUAUCAUAUUUUAGUCAUAUAUUGAUAUUGAUUUUACUUUAUGUUCAAUCUUUAUAUUAUGAAUGGUUCAUGUGUGCAUGUUUCAAGGUUAUUUGUAUGUUUGUAUGAUUGUAUCUACUUUUAUGCUUGAAAUCCAUUGUGAAUGCUUAUUGUACACUUUGAUCAGGUUACUAGAUUUAAGACCAUCCAUAAGAACUACAAAUUAUAUGUAAUUUCUAAAUUACUUUUGGUAAUUGUGUAAAGUUGUUAAUGUCUUCAAUUUCUUUUAAUAUGUUAACAUGAAUUACAGCUAAUUUAGCUUUCUAUUAUUCUUAUGACGUUAUCAUUUAUCAUUAAUGGUUAUAAUAGGUUCCAAAUGAUUUAUAAAACUUUAUCGAAAUGUAUGAAUACUUUUUUUUUUUAUAACCAAUACAAGAUUCUUAUUUUGAAGACAUUAAAGAAUUAUACUUUAUGUUUUGGACAAAUGAUAUUUUUGGAUAGAUUCAACAUAAAUCCUCGGAAUAAAAAAGAUAGAAUCUUUGAAGCACCCUUGGUUGAAUGAUCAUUAAGACAAGCUAGAAGUAAUACUGAUAUCUUUGUUUGUAUUUGUACGCUUGUACAUGUAAGUAAAUUAUAAAUGGAACUUACAUUAAACUAAACUCUAUUCAUUAUUCCUAACAAUCAACAACAAAGUUAAAAUGAACUUCAUCUUAAGUCAACAACAAUGUUUACAUUUUACGCAUAAUUGUUUAGCAAGAUCUAAAUCUAAUAACAGAAUUGCUUUGAAAACGUAAAUGCACAUACAAAAAUAUAUAAAAAUAAUAACACAAAAUAAUACAAAAAGACUUACAUUCACCAAUACCAAGAUAAAAAAAAGAAAAAAAAAACAACCAAUGAAGAAGCUAUACAAUACAUAAAAAUAAUAAUAAUAAUACAAAAAGACUUGCAUUCAAUUCAAAUGAACACCAAUACUAAUGUACAAAAUACAACCAAUGAGAAAGCUAUACAUGAAUUACCGGAAAACAACUCCGGUGCACCGGAUUUUAACCGUGUACCUUUCUUUUGCAGUUUCUGACCCCUGUCACUAACUUCAAAAUCAGCCCCAAGUAUGAGUCUAUGUCUCUUUGUUUUCCAAACUAAUAUCUUAAACCUAACCGCCGUCGCCAAAUCCACCCUGAAUACCGGCGGUCUACCACCAGUGAUGUUCACGGCUGCAUCCCACGGCACUCCUUGCGUGUCCGUCCAGUUUUUCCGGCGUGCUUUUUUUUGAUGUCCUUGAUAAAACCCUUUGAGCACGUAAUUGGAAAUAGGGAUUCCAUUUCCAUUUGAUUGGUUGAUGUAAUAAUGUAAAGUGAUGUUGAGUGGGUCGUAGAAAAUACCUUUGUCUUUGUUCUCGUUGUCGAGCUUCAGAUCGAGGUAGAUGGAUUGAUCGGAGGUUGAAUUUCGGGUUUUAUUGAGAGCGGGAAUGUAAACGUCUUGGAUGGAACAAACUGGAUUGGAAGUGCGUAAGCUUAGCCACAGAAAGAGUGAAGUGAGACCUAAGGUUAGUAUGAAGCUGAAACAACACCUGCAACAGCCUGAUCCGUUAUCGGGGCGGCUGUAGUCCGACAUGGUUCAGUUGGGGUUCCGGCGAAGAGAGAGAGAGAGAGAGAGAGAGAGAGAGAGAGAGAGAUCGCACUGUUUUGAAGGUAAAUUCUCCCCAAUGAUGGGGAAACAGCCGAGUAAUUUACAAGUGGCUUAAAUAAUAAAUAUCUCGUGUGAACGCAGCCAUUCAUUCUCAACAAUGGAAGCUUACUAGCUUAUGUUGUAUGUCUUCAUCGUUAACAUACCUCAAGGGUACGAGUCAGGGUUAAGUGUACGGGGUUGGGAAGCCUACUCCUGAAGACGAUUGGCGUGAACGAAGGAACAGAAUUCAUCGAUUUGGAAAUGAUCAGCGAUUGGAAAUGGCGAAUCGAGACGAUAUCGACGAGAUAUCGGCUUGGAAGAAAGAUAUACGGAUUUUAGGGUUAGAUUUUGGUGUUUGAGCCUUUGAAAUAUGUGGAUCGAUUCACAAAAGAAAAAGAAAAGAAAAUAGAGGUGUGGGUGGCCAGAAAUAAAAACGAAGGGAAGGAAGAAAUAGGUUGGGCUAAGAAUUUUAAUUCAUGGGCUCAAAUUUAACGGGCUCAUUCUGAAUUGGGUUGUCAUGCUACGAAUUCCCGACCUAAGUAACUCGACAACGAACGAACAUGAGUUUUCUUAUUGAAAAAAUUCGUUAAAUGGCCAAAAAGAAGCGUUUUCUCAAAGAAAAUGACCAUGAAAAAAAUCUGACCAUAGGAUCCUUCUGUGGAUCAAGUGAUCCCUCUGAGAAAAUGGAACACCUCUAUGGAUCUUGGGUUUUGUAAUUUCUUUUUCGUUUUUUUUUUUUUUUCGUUUAUUAAUAUUAUUAUUAUUAUUAUUUUAUUCACAUAAUGUAUUAUGUGAUUAUUGUUAGAAAAUUUGGUUGUAGAAAGGCUUGGAAAUUCUGAGAAUUGUGAUUAUCACUUUCAAAUCGAAGUAUUUGGUGGUACUCACAAAUCCUCAAUUGGAUAAGACUUAGAGAGACAAGAACCGAGAAUGUUUGAUGAUAUAUUUUCGUAUGUACCAGAAAAUGAGACCAAAACCAACUUUAAUAUCUUUGUCUGAUAACUGUCAUAUGACAGUUUUAAACUGUCAUAAAACCAUAAAAACUGUCAUAAAAACGGAUAUAUGGAUAAGGGUCAAACCAAUGGUCAAUUAUCUGAAAAAUCAAUUUUCGAUCCCAGCCAGGGGCUCUGCCCCUUGGACCCCGCUCCCAGGGGCGCUGCCCCCGGACCCCCGUUCGUUUAGGGGCUUCGCCCCUAAAUGACAGUGUACUUUGAAACUUGAUCAAACUUAACACAAGUGUGUACUCCACACCUUCCUUACUUGUUUAAUAUUUAUCAAGAUCAUUUUUGGUCAACACAAAGUAAUCUCAUUACACUUAAAUAACAUUGAUGAUCAAAAUCACCAACAAUUAUUAUGUAAAAAAUUGACAAAAAAAUGAUAAAAAUAAUAAACUUAUGUUUAAUAUCAGUCUAUAGAACUAUUUGAGAAUCCACAUAGAACUGUUAUCAACGAAUCAAUGUACACUUAUAAAGAUAAGUGUACACCUAUACGGUUCAGUGUAUAAAUUGUCAUACCAGUUAAAUAUUAUAUCAACUCAUCCUGGUAUUGAAAAAUAUAAAAAUGGCCUCCAAUGCACCAACUUCUAAGAAUGCAAAUAUAGAAAUUGAAGAUGAGCUCAUGUUAUAAAAAAAUGCAACUCUUUACGAAAAUUGAAUGAAUGAUGUUUAUUUUAAAAUGGGUUUAUUAUGAAGUUUGUAUAAGACAAAAAAAACUAAUAUUCCUACAGAGUAUUGUUAAUUCCGUAGCAAAGUACUAUUAAUUCUACAGCACUGGUUCGAUUUGCAUUACUAUUUUAUCAACUCCGCAGCAAAGUACUGUUAAUUCCGCAGUACUGUUUCGUCUACUAUGUAUCAAAUGGUGUUCGAUCCGCAGUACUAAUAUUUUACUAUAAAUUCACUUUAGUAUGCGUAUGAUUUUAUCUAAUUUUCACCAUUUCUUUCAUUCAUUUUUUCUGGACACCAUCACAUUUUCACUCACAAUGGGUUCCAGAUUAUGGAGCGCUGAGGAGAUCGUACGUCUAACACAUGUGUAUAUUACUGUGUAUGAGAGCAUCAGUGUAAAUGAUCCAAGUUUUUCGACCCGUUUAACUUAUACCUACAACAUUGAUCCUCAAACCAUUGCAUGAAACUAUCGUAACAUUGUUGCUGUCACAGCUAAAUGGUAUGAAGUAAAAAACAGAAAUUUUGAUAAUCAACGAUCUUUAUAACAAAAUUGAUGAUGAAUGGCUCAAUGAAGAUGGUGAAGUGAUAUUGGAGGCAUCGAAAGAGGAUAUACAAAUCCAUUAGUGAUGGGUCGGAAUUCAAGUAUGAAGCCCAUUGGAGUCUUAUAAAAGAUCUCCCGUACUUUUAAAAUCUUUUGUAGUACGUUAUUUUGAUGUAGUUGGUUUUAUUAGGUUAUUUAAUUAGACGUAUUUGGUUAUUUUAAGGUUAUUUAUACGUACUACUUUGUAUAAGGUUAUUUUUAUGUAAUUGGUUUUUAUUAGGUUGUUUUCAUCGUCUGUGUAAUACAUGGAAACAGAUAAAAACACUUUAUUCCAAAAACUAUAAACACUACAAAUACAUGGAAACAUAUAAGACAACCCUUACAAAUAAUAAGAUAAAGUAGUAGCAAACAUUACGCAUAAAAUAUUACAGUCUACAUGAAAUACUUGUUUUUUUUUUUCACUACAUUCCAAACGUCAUCAUAUUCGAACUCACUUUCAUCACGCUCCAUAACGUAAUGCUCUUUAACAAAUUGUAAAUUUUUUCAUCAUCUGCGUAAAAACGUGGCAUAUUUUUAAUAUAAUUAUAUCAACGAUUGAACCAUGUGACUUUUUCCUUUAAUUCCAUCCACUUAGUAACAACAUCUUCUUUAAGGCGGUGUUGUUCUUUUCCCAUCUGGCCAUCUCAUGGUUGAACAAACCUGUGAUGCGGGUCCAUUCAUCACCUAUAAGGCAAUGAGGCAAAGCUAUUGGUGUCACACCCUUGUUAACGUUCAUCCAACAUCAUGUUAGAAUCAUCACCUUUGUUUUCGUCCAUGGACGUGGAGCAUCGGCUGAUGGCGCUGCAUUUGAAGAAGUUGGUACAUUAGUGGCCAUUUCAGAAUAAAGGUGUUAGUUUAUUGAAUAAUGAAUGAUGAUUUAAAUAAGAUAAACGAACAAGCUUUGACAAACUGACAAUAAGCUCUGCAAACUUGCAAACAGCUCUGCGGACUGACCAACAGCUCUGCGGAAUGACAAACAACUCUGCAGACUGACAACAAGCUCUGCAUACUUGCAAACAACUCUGCGGCCUGACAAACAGCUCUGCGGAUUAAUGGAUACAAAUUUCAUUUAAAUUGGACAAGCCUUUUAACUUUGAGAAAUUAUGGAAAGUUGUGAAAAUGAGUUCCUUCAAUGAGGUGUUAAAAAAUGUUUCUCCAACCUACUGAUUUUCUUUCAUAAUCCGCAAAUAAUCAAUCCUAACACCUUCACGUGCAUUAAGAAAGAUAUGUACGAUCGUUUCCAAAUUUUGUUUUAUGGCAUUAGGAUGCAUGGUAUGUAAUCAUUUAUACUAAAUUUUUGGUUAUUUGAAGUUAUUAACCGGCUACUAUUCUUAUAUUUUCUUGCAUAUUCGUACGUUUCUCACGUCUAUGAUACCAAUCAUAUUCGUUUGUCGCGUACCGCUAAUUGAGACUUACAUAACAUCCAUGUACAUUGCAGUUGCUUUAGAUGGAAAUCAUGAACCCCUACUUAUAGUAGUUUCUUUGGGAACCAUACAUUGUGACGAAUCAUGGGUAUGGUUCAUGAGGAGGUUGAAAGAAUGUUUAGGUGAUAGUAUGGAAGUUGGUUUCAUAAGCCAUAUGUUUGACUCUAUCGACUUCGCAGUACAGAGAGUCUAUCCUGGUUCAUAUCAUGGUUAUUAUUGUAAAAAUAUAGCUGAGAAAAUACGGGCUUCCACCGGAAACAAUACAGUUGUGGAGUAGUUGUUCUAGAAGACAUGCAAAACAUAUAAUGUGUGAUUUUUAUGGGAGUUUGAACACCUUACAAAAUGAGGUGGAUGAGAAUGAUCUUCACUGGGUUGACAAUAUUGCCAUUGUAAAAUGGGUACGGGCAUUUUUCCCUAAGUACGUUUCAAUGUGAAAUUCAUUGACAUUCCCGAUGUCGCCAAUUGGAUAAUGAGAAAUAGGCAUGAGUUACAAAUAACAACAAUCAUUCAAAUGAUCCAUGACUUCAUGCAAGGAGUGUAUUGUCAACGUGCUGCAUUCGGAUGUAAUAGUGAUAUGUUUUAAUAUAAAUUAUUGCAUCAUAAUUUUUAUUUGAUGAUUCAGUUAAUUUCACAGGGGAAUUUCAUGGUCUUCUGACCCCUUAUGCACUUAAGGUGCUUCAAAAAAGAUUUAUCAACUCCGAUGGUUGUAGGGUUAGGCAUAUUGUUGACGACAGAUAUGAAGUGAGUAAGUAUUUAACCACUAAAUCCGUGCAAUUAGAUCGUGACAUUUGUACUUGCGGGAAAUGGCAAAAUUGCGGAAUACCUUGUCAUCACGCUAUAGCAUCAUUACAAAGGCUUGAAAUUGAAGAAAUCCAACUUAUGGUAAAUUAUAAGUUAACUACUGCGGUGUAUCGAAAUGCUUAUCAAACUGAGAUAGUGAAUCCUAUUCCAAACCUUAUGCAUUGGGAAAUACCAGUUGAAAGUGUUUCCAUCUUACCUCCACGACAAUUUACUUGAACUGUAAUGCAUGGAUGACAACUAAUAUUAGUUUCUAUUUACUUUUAUGUUAAACUUAGUUUUGGUACGUUGACGUUGUUAUAUUUUAAUAAAUAAUGUGUACAUUUUAAUUAUUAAUAUUUACCUUUUAAUAAAAAAAUUGUAAUAUAUGGAUCACAAUUAUUGGUUAAAGACAGCUCUGCGGACUAAUAAAAGCUCUGCGGACUAACAAACAACAUUGCGGACUGACAAACAAAAUUGCGGACUGGCAAAAAGCUCUAAGGAAUUGAAGAGUAUAUAAAUAGUCAUAAAUGAUCGUUGAAUUUUUCAUAAAGAAUUGCAUUUUUUUAUUCAUAAUAUGAGUUCAUUUUCAAAUUUCUAUAUUUGCAUUCGUAGAAGUUGGUGCAUUGGAGACCAUUUUUAUAUUUUUCAAUACCGGAGUGAGUUGAUAGAAUAUUUAACCUAAGUUGCACGGAAACGGAUACGGCAACGGGAAACGGAUACGGAACGGAAACGGGAAACGGAAAAACUCAAAAAUUCAAGAUACAGAUACGGCACAGAUACGACAACAUAAUAUAUUGAUGUAGUUGAUCCUUGUGUUUCUUGUUCUUGAGAACUAGAAGCCAUAACAAUCGAUUUCUGAAUUCGUGAGUGGUGAAUUCUUUCUUGUUCUUGAUCGUCGAUAGCCAAGUGCGCAAGCAGUAAACUGUAAAUGAUAAUAUAUUGAAUCGAUUAAAAAUUUAAGGACUUAGGGAGGCAGCGAUCGGUAAUAGACUAUUAUAGUUAUAGGGUAAUCUCGUAUAGCCCAUUACACCAUUAUCCUAUUUGGACUAAAGAAGCCCAUGCAAAAAAAAGGAAACUUUGUGGAAACUUACCCUAUACGUUUCUUGAAACCCUUGAUACGUUUAGGAAAUGUUUCCUUCCGUUUCCGUUUCCUCCAAGUAUCAGAUACGGGUACGACUACUUGAAUGGUGUUUCCAUGCAUCAUUGUAUUUAACCGAUAUGACAAUUUAUACACUGAUCAGCAGAACUAUAUACUAAUCCGCUGAUAACAGUUCUGUAGAUUUCCAAACAGUUCUGUGGAUUGAUAUUAAACAUAUGUUCAUUAUUUUUAACCUUUUUUCUUGUCAAAUUUUGUACAUAAUAAUUACAUAAUACCUUAUGUGAUUAAAAAAAAUUAAUAUUAAUAAACGAAAAAAAAAAAACAAAAAAAAUUAAUAAAAAACCUAAGAUCCGCAGAGGUAUUCUAUUUCCUCAGAAGAUUUACUUGAUCCAGAGAGGGUGCUCUCCGGAUCCUAUGGUCAGAUUCCGAAAUCCGUUUUUUCAUCGUCAUUUUUUUUCAAAAGAACCCCUAUUUUUUGGUCAUUUACCGAAUUUUUUCCUUAAUCUCUUUCUUAUUUAUUUUUAAAACGUGUUUGUGUGAUUUUUAUUUUGUAUUUGAUUUUAACCUGAUUUGUAUGGAGGUUAUAUUUUGAAUUUAGUUGACUUGGUAAAAUGUUGAAUUUAAUGUAGUUAAUAGGUUUAACCCUAAUCUUUAUGAAAACUCGAAUGUCAUAUGCUAACGUGUGCUUAAUUUUAAAACUAUUAAUUUUCCAAAUAAAUUUGAUUUUUAACUCGCACUUCAAACUAAAACUAAUUUAACUAAUUUAACGAUAAAGAGAUUAUAUUAAAUACCAUUCAAGUUGUUCAUUAAUAUUAUUCAUUUUUUAGUUUAUUUAUUUUAUUUUAUAUUUAACGAUAAAUAAACUGUGCUAUUAAAUAUAUCAUUCAAGUUGCUCACUAUUACUUAUCAUGUUUUAUUUAUUUAUUUUAUUUAAUGUGAGUCUUCUAUAACACCCGGUCUCAGGUAUACAUUUAAAUUCAAGUUAAACUUCAUAUUUUACUCUUGGACUUGGCGAGUUGGAGGUUCAAAUCGUCGAGUAGGAUUGACUCCAGGUUGGGGAAUUAAGUGACCUACUCGACGCGUCGGUAGACCGAAUCGGCGAGUAGGAGCUGUCUGAGUGAAACCCUAAAUUGGAGGGUUUGCACCAUAUUUAAACAUCUUAUGAGGCUUCCACCCCAGCUUCCAUCACCUCUAGAGCAUUACACCUGAAACCCUAAUCCUCCAUAAGUGAACUUGAGCUUUCUUGGUUGUUUUGAGUGUUAUUUGGUGUAUCUUGAAGCUAGUGGAAGAAGUGGAAGAUAGAAGACUCAAUGGAGAAGGAGUAGAUCCGGGAGCUACACCCCAUUUGCCAUCUUUUCUGGUAAUCAAGCUUACAACUUGGUCUUCUUUCUCUUAGAUCUAUUUGUCCCCAUAUUAAGAGGGUUUUGGCUCAAAAACCUUGGUCCUUGAUGUUGGGAUGUCCCAAGUGGUUCAUAUCUCAGAUUGAGGUUCUAAGGAGCAGUACAUUGCAUAAAGAUGCAAGCUUUAUGGCUAUGAUAGCCCCAUGCAUCUUGUAGACCUCAUUUUUGGGUGUUUUGAGCUUAAAGUCCCAUGCAUGGACGUAAAGUUCAUGACUUUACGUGUUAUAUCAAUUGUAGGAGCCCAGAUCUGCCUUUUAAAUGAGUUUUGCACAACAAAAAUCAAUUUAUGGACAUGGACAUUAGUCGACUCAGCAAGUCGUUCUUGGGACUCGGAGAGUCGGGGGUUUGGUUUCUCCAAUCUUUUAUGAUUCGAAGGAAUCCAAUUUAGUUUAGACGGGAUUUAGAUGAGCCCAGAGGAAGGACUCAAUGAAAUAGACAUAGUUAUGGACCUGGAAACAAGGGACUCGGCGAGUUUAUGAACGUACUCGGUGAGUCCAAAGCAAUCUCCCAACCCAUGAAGAUGGAAUUGAUGAGUUGUUCAUACAACUCGGCGAGUCACAGACUAGACAUGCUCAUAUGAUGAAGAUGAACUCAAUGAGUUCAAGGAGGAACUCGACGAGUAAGUCAAAGAUUGUCCCGAUGAUAUGAUUGAAGGAGAGCUCGUCGAGUUCUAGCUAGACUCAAUGAGUAGAGUUGGGUUGGGGACAGGUGAAAGAAUAGGGACUCGGCGAGUCGAGUCAACUGUAAGUUGACUUUGACCAGGAUGUUGACUUUAGCCAGGGGUAAAAUGGUCAUUUUACCCUAAGAUUAAUUAUCAGUUUUUGACUUAGUGUCUUUAUGGAAAUUAUAGUCGGACAGUCGCUGGAGCAGCAGACAGAGAUUUCUCACUCAGAGUUUUAGCGGUCAGACAUACGGGGUGAGUUUCCCUUCAGUAGGAACGGGUCUAAGGCACCAAGGCCGGCCCGUUUAUGUAGUUACAGUAUGUCGGGGUAAGUCCGAUGUCGGGGUUAUCCCGAUGCAAUUUAUAUGUGCAAUUUAUGUGUUUAGUUUAUUCCGGACUUCAGUCUGAUGUCAGGGUGGUCCCGAGAAGUAGUUAUGUAUGUUUGAUGUCAUGCAUGUUUAUGUUAUGUGUUAUAUGUUCCGGACUCCGGUUCGAUGCCGGGCAAGUCCGAUGCAGUUUAUGUGAAUAUGUUAUAUGUUUACGUUUAUGUUAUGCUCAGUCUAUUCCGGACUUCGGUCCGAUGCGGGGCGAGGCUCAAGUUAUUCCAAACUAAGUUUGAUGCCGAGCGGGGCCCGAUGCAGUGGGCGAGGCCCAUUAGUUGUAUAUGUGCUUUGUAUGGUAUGUGGUAGUUUGGGAGAGCUCACUAAGCUUUGUGCUUAGUUUCAGUUUUGGUUUCAGGUACUUCAGCUAGCAAAGGGAAGGGAUUGAGCUGAUGGCGUGACACACACACCACAGUUGAUUAUCCUAGGCGUUACUAUGAUAUUUUAUGAGACAGUUAUUUGUUGACAGAUUUUAUGAGAUUCGAAAUAUAUGUUUGAUGAUUUUAUUUUAUGAUGAUGAGAUUAUGUGUUGUCAAAUGAUUUUAAAAACAAAAUUUUUGGCUUGUAUUUUUGGGAUGUUUCAAGUUGGUAUCAGAGCCUUGGUUUGAGGGAUUCGGGCACGCUUUCGGGUGUGUCUGAACUCAAACUAAGGACUUUGUAUAGAAAUUUUCAAAAGGAAAAUCAAUUUUUGCAAAACAAAAGAGUUUUAGAAAAAGCAAAAAUAAUUUUUAAAAAGAAAAGAACUUUGAAAAGAGAAAAGGGUGUGAUGCAUGCAAUCAGCCGAGCUCAAGUAAGUAGUCCCAAAUUACCCAUACAAGUUUAUGCUAUGUUAUAAUUAUCAGCUUUUUUAGAGCAGCAUGCUAGAUUAGGACUAAAGAUCUAGGAAGGAUGCCUUAUGUACCUGCUAUAUGUAUUUUAGCUUUAUGAGAACUGCAUGCUAGUACAGAUUAGUCAAGAUGAUAGCCUGAGUAGUAUAUGCUUGAUUAUGUGUACUCGAUGUCCGAAUGCUGCUUGCUUUGUGCUUUUAGGUGUUUUAGUUGUCUUUCACUAACUAGUAAAUGGAUAUUUUACGUUGCAUAUUGCGAGGAUUAAAUAAUUUCAAAAGGUUAGGUCUAGCACUUUUUCGCAGCUCCCACUUGAUUCCAACCGUUGUAGGGUAGGAUCUCUCAUUCAAAUAAUUAUUUAGUCUGAGUAAUAUGUAAUAGUAUUCGCGAGCUAGUUAGGGGAAGAAAGAAGGGACUUAUUAUACAGCUGAUGGCGGAGAGUGGGAUGGUGAUUACCCUAGGGCAAGCCUAGGAUGAGAGUAGCAAAGAACAUUAGCAGUAGAAGGGACUUGGUGGAGUCAAGGCAGUUCUUGAGGAAAGUACACAUAGAUAUGGAAGGUAGUAUGGGCCCAUACUACUGAAAGAAAGGAUCCGUACUCGAAUCAAGGAAGGCUGGGACAAGACCAGGGAACUUAUAAUAUAUGUGAUCCCUCGAGUUAUAGUAGUAUUCUGACGUCUGUCAUUAUGUGUUUUCAGAAUGGUGGUUUUACACCCGAGACCAGCAGUUGGUAGUUUAGGUUAGGGGUGGCAAUCCUCGACCCAACUCGUAACCCGACACCAACUCAACACGAAAAUAAACGGGUUUGGGUUGAGAUUUUUGAGCCGCCAACCCACCAACCCGACAAUCCGUUUAUUUCAUGGGUUGGGUUGGGUUACCUGUUUGGGUUCGCGGGUCAACCCGCCAACCCGAUUAUAUAUAUAUAUAUAUAUAUUAUGUUUAAAAAAUAUAUUUAAUUAUUUAUCAGUUUUGAAUAUUUGAUUAUCGUUUAAUCGUUUUCCGAUUUCAAAAAUGCAAAAACUUCUUUGAGUCGACUUAGCGUGCCCUAACCCCUAAGAAGCCCCUAAUCAAAAAGAUAUUCACUCUCCAGUAUCCAAAUCACAACUCCAUGCCUCUCGUAUCGUCGAUUGAGGCAUCGAUCCAUCAACUGUCGUAGUGUCGCACACAGUGUACACCACUCGUCUUCUCGUCCUCCAGCUGUCGCACACCACUCAUCGCCGUAACUCCUGUUUAUGACUUUAUGUUGAAUAUUUAAGACUUUAUGGCUUCUUUUUAUUUUUAUUUUAUAAUUUCAUUUUAAAAUGUGUUGCUUAUUAAAUGGAUUAUACGGGUUGGGUUCGACCUACAAACCCACGAACCCAUAUACUUAUACGGGUUAUAUGGGUUGGGUUGGGUUGAUGUUUUCAACCCGCCAACCCAUGACCCGCUAACCAACCAACCCACAUAUUAUAUGGGUUGGGUUGGGUCAAUAUAUUCUGACCCACCAACCCGCCAACUCGAACCCAACCCAAUUGCAAGGCCUAGUUCAGGUGUCGGGAAGGGAUCAGGUUCAGGCUCUGGAGUUGAGCACUUGGAUGAGCAGACUAGGGAGUUCAUCUCCUCAGAGAUCACACGUAACAUACUUGAGCAGACUCUUGUGAUCUUCGGUUUGAUCAAGGAAGGUAUUAUGGAGCUCAUGGAUGAGAUGUUAAGUGCGUUUCGCACUGAUGUGGCGACCAUGAUAGGGUCGCGCACGCUUACGUUCAAAGAGUUCAGGGCAUGUGGAGCUCCUGAUUACCAGGGGGCACGAGACCCCACUACUAGUACCAGAUGGUUGGCAGACGUCGCCAAUGCAUUCCGCACCAGCAGAUGUCCCGAUGGGGACAAGGUUAGGCUCACGUCCUGUCUUCUGAAGGGCAGGGCAAGUGACUGGUGGGAGGAGGUCGAUAGGGCCACUAAAGAUGAUACUAUGUUAGAUGCUAUGACCUGGGGUGAUUUCACGACCAGGUUCAGAGUCGAUUUCGCACCUGUUAUUGAGGUGCAACAGGUUGUUAGGGAGUUUCAGGACCUCUAGCAAACGACAGAGAUUGUGGAGGAGAUUACCGCCAAGUUUAGGGUGAGGGCCCUCCUUGUUCCGCAGUAUGUGGCGGAUGAGGAAAUGAAAAAGGCCUGAUACCAUGAGAUGUUGCGGAGCGAUAUCCGCCAGUUUGUGAGCCGGUCCAACUGCAAAACGCUGGAGGAUAUGAUAGCGAGGGCUCGUGAGAGGGAGAUUGAUUUAGAGAUGGAGAGAAAGAGGAAGCCAAAGAUGAUGUCUAACGCAGCAGAUUCAGGCAAAAAGCCCAAGUUGUCUAAUCACAGGUCGAGGGGACAGCAUAGCCGCAGUCGGUGUGGCAAGUGUGGCAGAUUGCACGAUGAGGUGCGCAAGGUAGGGAGUUCCAGCUGUUUCAAGUGCGGUCGGACCAGACAUAUGAGUAAGGAUUGUACAGCUUCUACCUCUACCACAACAUCUGAUCUAAUCUUCUUUCAUUGCAAUCAGAGGGGACACAAAAAUUCCCAGUGUCUGAGUCUAGCAUCAGCAGGACAGGUGGUGGCACCCGCUCCUGCUAGCUUGAGGAUUACAUACAGACGACAGGGUCGGGCUGAGGCGCCGGUAGCAAAGAGCAGAGCUUUCCAGUAGACAGCUGAGGAGGCACGAGCGACUCCUGAUGUGGUUGCGGGUAUGUAUUUUCUCCAUUACUUCUUUAUUGUUAUUGUUUAUUCUUAUGUUUUUGUGUUUGGUUAUAGGGUCGUUCUUAGUGAACAACAUUUCAGCUAUGGUAUUGUUUGAUUCGGGGGCGACCCGAUCAGUUGUGUCACUCGCUCUUAGCAGGCGGUUUAGUAGAGCUCUGGGGGAGCUGGAUUGCCCACUUGAUGUUGAGAUAGCUAAUGACAGGACCAUCAGGAUCACGAGAGUUCAUAGAGGUUUUACGCUUCGAUUUGUAGCACCCGUUUAUUUAUUAAAUAAAUAAAUAAAAUAAUGAACGAUUAGUAGCCCUAAAAUAAAUAAUUAUAUGGCAAGGCAUUGGUUUCCGGGAACCAAAGGCUACAAUGUUAGAAGGAAGGGACUAAAAAUGUUAACAUGGUUGAAGUUGGAGCAUUGGACCUUAAUUGAAAAGAAAUUGUCAAACAAGGGGUGGUUUAGUAAAUUCUGGAUUAGUUUUGUAUAUUGUUGAAGGUAGGGCUAUAUGGUAACUUGUGGGACUUCAUUGAAGAGAUCUUGGAGGCUAAAGGAAUAACAUGUGAAUUAUUGGGACUUUAUUGAGAACAAAUUUGUAGAGGAGGGGCAAAAUUGUAAUUAUUGGAGCUGAUUAAAAAGAUCCCAAGGGGGAUGGACCGGACUUGUAAAAACGGGCAAAGGUGUGAUUGAAGCGGGAUUAAAACCUGAUAAUUGCUUCUUCCCGGUUAUCAACCCUAAACCUAUCACAUUUCUAUAGCAGCCACCAUUUCUUCUUCGGGCCUUUCCAGCCGCCAUGUGUGAAGACUGUCGCCCCCACUCCGUUCGUUGUUCCGACCAGUCAGGGGUCCGUUUCCGCCGCUCCUUCGCCGCCUAACGACACAACAGCCUCAUUAUCAUAGACUUCGUGUGCAUCGGAGGUUGCUGAGACCGAGGAAUACCGUCGACGUUGUCACUGCGUGAUUCAUGAGCAGUUGGGAGCUCUCGGUUGGACCAUCGUCUUCCAUCAACACCUUUUUCUUCGUUACCCGGUGGCCGAUGUCGUGUAUGACGAAUGAGAUGGAUGGUGUGCUUUGGCCGUCGUUUCUAGUUUCCGGUCGUCACUUUUUGCGGCUGAGUUGAGAGAUAUUGGUCUUCGGAUCGGGUUUGCUAGCAUGUGUAGGUGCUAGUUCGGGUGGGAAAAAGAAGGACCGCCACCACCACCGUGAGGUGGUGGCUGUCAUCACCAAAAACCACUUGGUGGGUGCUGGUGGGUAUUCUGCAUUUUGGAGUGUGUAUUUGUGUGGCUGAGUGAUUUCAACCGGAAGAAUGGGUGGGUGUGUUUCUGUUUUCCUUGGUGGGUUUGUGUGUGUAUAGUGUAGCUUGGCCGAAAAACCGAGAACCACCACCACCGGCCACCACAAGGUGGCUGUGUGUGUGUGUGUUAGUGAGAUUCGGGUUGUAAAAUGUAAUUAGCAAAAGAAUAAUGAAAGGAAAAAUCAACCACUACCGUAAGGUGGUGGGUACCGCCUCCUGCUGCCAACGACUGCCGUGUCGGGUGGCGGUGUGCUUUGCCUCGUGGUGUUGGUUCGUUUGGGGUGCUUGAAACCCUAAUGGGCCCAAUGAAGCUUAAUGGACUCUAAUGGACCCAAUAAAACCCUAAUGGGCUUAAUAAUAUUUUAGUGGGCUUAAUAGGCCCAAUAAAGCCCUAAUUGAUCUAAAAGCCCAACAAAUUAAUAAAUGGGCUAGUAUUUGGGAUGGAAACCCUAAUUAGAGUUUGGAAAAUCCUAAUGCCAUAAAAACCCUAAUUUUGGGGAAUUAAUCGAGACAAACGGGACUUAUUAAUAACUUGGAAUAUUAAAUAAUAAUCAUUGGCGGAAAUUAAUCUAAGCAAUAUUGGACUUAAUGGAUUAAGUCCUUAAUGGGUUAAGUAGGAAACUUAACCCUAAUCAUUAUUUUAUGUGAAACCCUAAUUUCACUUGGGCCUUGAUGAUUGGGUUAUUAAAUGGGCUAUCCAAGAUCAAGCAAAUGGUCUAGAGUAAUUUAAUGGGCCUAGGGUAAGGCCCAUGUAAGGGGCUUGGGCCCAAUUUGGAAAUUUGGGCCAUAGAUGGGCCAUAGUUUGGGCCUUAAUGAUUAUAUGAUGUUGGGCCUUAGAAUGAGACCAUAUAUAGGCCUAGGCCCAAUUUGGAAAAUUGGUCCAUGUGUUGGGCUUUGAUUCCUAAUUGACUUUGGGCCUACAGAUUGGGCCUUGGGCUUGAAUAAGCCAAGCUAGGGGUAAUGUAGUAAUUAUCCAAAGAAUGUACGUAUGGUUAUGUAUUGGGACCCAAUUAUUAAUUGGGUGUUGACAGUUCGGGAAUCUGUCAGCCAGCAGCAGGGGUCGAGUGUGCGGGACUUCAGUAAGUAGGGGAUUGUGUCUUCGGGACUUCAGCAGUGUGAGGUGAGUUACCUUCCAGUAGCGGUGGGUCUACGGACACAAUGCUGGGCCACUAGUAGGAGUUGUAUGUUAGAUGAUUGUCUAUGUGAUAUCAUCUAGGUUUGCUACUACCUGAUAUGUUACAUGUUGGCAUGAUAUGUUAUAUGUGAUAGUAGUAGAGUUCGGUUGUUAGGACCGAAGGGUAGGCCAGACACCCGAGAUAUGUCUGGCAGUAUGUGAUGAUAUGUUUAUAUGCUGUGAUGAUAUGUUAUAUGCUGGCAUGAUAUGUUAUAUGUGAUAGUAGUAGAGUUUGGUUGUUAGGACCGAAGGGUAGGCCAGACACCCCAUAUAUGUUUGACAGUAUGUGAUGAUAUGUUUAUAUGUUGUGAUGAUAUGUUAUAUGCUGACAUGAUAUGUUAUAUGUGAUAGUGGUAGUAGGAGGGGAAUAGUCCCCAAGUUCGGUUGUUAGGACCGAAGGGUAGUUCGGACACCCCAAAUAUGUCUGAUAGUAUGUUUAUGUUAUGAUAUAUGUGAUAGUAGCAGUAGGGGUGGAAUAGUCCUCGAGGGUCGGUUGUUAGGACUGACGGGUAGGUCAGCACCCCAGAAUGGCUUGACAUGGGUAAGUCAGCACCCUAGAAUGGCUUGACACGGGUAGGACGGCACCCCAGAAUGGCCGCAUGGGUAGGUCGGCACCCCAGAAUGGCCGUACGAGUAGGUCGGCACCCCAGAACGGUCGUACCGGGUAGGCCGGGCACCCCAAAAUUGCCCGGCAGUAUAUAUGCUAUGUGCUUUUAUGGUAUGUGGUAUGAUGGGGGAACUCACUAAGCUUCGUGCUUACGGUUUUCAGUUUUGGUUUCAGGUACUUCGUGUUAAAGGAAAGGAGUCGGCUUGAUCGCAGCGCAUCACACUAUGGUUUUCCGCACAUGAGAUCUUUGGGAUUACACUCUGAUAUUGUUUUAUGAUAACAUGUUUGAUUAUUUCUACUUUGGUUUUAACAUGACAUGAUAUCACAGAUGUUUUAUUACACUGUUGGUUUUAUAAUGACAUUUAAAAAUGAAAUUUUUGGCUUGUAUUUUUAGGAUGUUACAAGUUGGUAUCAGAGCCUUGGUUUGAGGGAUUUGGACACACUCUCGGGUGUGUCUGGACUCAAACUGAGGACUUGGUAUGAAAAUUUUCAAAAGUAUAAUCAUUUUAUAAAAAGAAGUUUGAAAACAAAAAUUUGAAAGAGAAAAGAACUUUGAAAAGAACAAGAUGUGUGAUGCGUGCAAUCAGCCUAGCUCAAGUAAGUUUUCCCCAAGAUACCCAUACAUGUGAUGCUAUGAUAUGAUAUGGCUAUGAGAACUGCAUGCUAGAUUAGGGCUAAGGAUCUACGAGGAUGCCUUAUAUGCCUAUUAUAUGUGCUUGUAGACUUGCAUGCUAAAACUGAUCAAUUAGUGAAAGGAUAGCCUGUUUAGGUUAUGCCUGAUUGCAUGAGCCUUUGAAUUUCAUGUACAGAUUCUUGAUUAGAGGAUAGAAUGAUUUGAUUGGAAUAUGAUGGUUAGAUUUUCCAUUCUCUGAAUGUUGCUUCCUUUGUGCUUUGUGGGACUCUUAGUAAUGUGAGUAGCUAUUAAGUGAAUAUGCUAAGUCACAUGUGGCACAGGCUGGAUAAUUUCAGAGUGAUAGAUUUGACCCUAUUGCGUAGCUCUUGUUUGAGUCUAACCGCUCUAGGGAUGAGUCUUUUACUCGAAGGAUUAUCUAAUCUCUGUUGCAUGUGGCUAUAUUCAUGAGGUAGCUAGUUGACAUUACUGGGAAUCUUUCAGCAGCUGAGGACUGGGUGAGUUCGGGAACCUAGGGAAGCCUAGGAUAUAUUUCAGUGAGUUUGUAGUGAGGCUCAGUUAGACUUGGGUGUACCAGUUGAGGAAGUGACUUGGAGGAUUUGGGAGGAUUGCUAAGGAAAGUAUGGAUAGGUGUGGGUGUCACACCCCAAAACCUAGAACGGAGAAAUACGUUCUGGGGUGGAGGACGUCAUGUACAGUAUCAUAACAAUUGCAUAAUAGUUAAAACAAGCGACAACAACCAUUGCAUUAAUAUAGUGAUUGUAAAUAUAAGCGUAUUCUGUACAGUUAAUAGACACCAAAAGUAUAAACAAAAUAAAAGAUGGGUCUUGUAUAUGCUCCAUCUUCCCAAAAGCUGCACCAGUACCUGUCUAUUUUUGACUUGAGAAUACAAGUUAUUUUGAAAAUGAGUAUCAGCAUAAAGCUGGUGAGGGUGCAACCUAUGUAGAUUUCGUUAGAGCUCUCUGUCUUUCCGUUAGCCAUUUCUACGACGAAUGUUUCUUUUAGUGGUUGUGGGGAUUGCUUAAGUAAGUGUUUAAAGUUUUGGUUUAUGAAGCUUCUUUCAGCUCCACUAUCCAAUAAGACACAAGCAUAAGAGUUGUUGAGAAGGAACGUACCAGUGACUACUGUGGGGUCCGCUACUGCUUCAUUGUGGCCAAUAGCGAGGNGUUCCUCCCAUAUUCUCGGCCUUCGGACAGUGUUUCUUGAAAUGGACAACUUCACCGCAGCCAUAGCAGGCCUGGAUCACUCCCGAACCGGAGACUUGGGAGAUAGGUUUGGGUUGAGAUCUGCAAAACCGAACAGUAUGACCCUUCCGGUCGCAGUUGGUGCAGUGUAAUUCACGACAGGGGCCGUUGUGAUGGAAGGGGCACUUGGGACACUUGGGUAAGUUUCCAGCAUAGGAUUUGGCUGGUACGGGGGUAGCAGGAGUGGUGGCAGCAUGGACGGCCACGAUCUGUUGGUUCUUGGAGGAGGAUUGACUUUUAUUGCCCUUCUUCUGAUCCCAACGCUUCUUCUUGUUAUCGGUUGAUUUGGGUGGUGCAGUGUUAAUCGCCGUGGUUGUUGAUGGGGUGGAGGGAGUUUCAUGAUCAAUUAACCUCUGGGCCAAUUCCUUGGCGCUAUCAAAGGUUGUAGGACGUGAUGCUAACACGUUCCCUCGAUACGGGGGCACUAAACCCCAGAUGUAUCGUUCUAUCUUCUUGCUUUCAAAAGGGAUCAUGUUGGGACACAUAGCUACCAGGUCACAGAACCUGGCAGUGUAAGCUAUUAUAUCAGUCCCCUUCAUCUUGAGAUUCCAAAGUUCUUCUUCGAGCUUCUGAACUUCGCCCUUAGGGUAGUACUCAUUCAUCAUUAGGUCCUUUAGUGUGUCCCAGCCCAUGGCAUUGGCUGUUACCAAAGAGAGUGAUUUGACAUGGCCAUUUCCACCAUGUCAAGGCCCUUUCAGUGAAAGUGGCAGCAACAAACUUUAUUUUGCUUUCUUCAGGGCAUGAGCACAUUUCGAAAACAACUUCAGUCCUUUCAAUCCAUUGGGACAAAGCAAGGAUUCCUCCGGUCCCAUUGAAAAAUGUCGGUUUGCAGUUCAUGAAGUCCUUAUAAGUACACCCCUGCGCACGUGAGGGAAUUUCUCCAUGUUUGGAGUUGAUACCCAUUCCAGCUCCGCUUGCAUCACCGGAAUUCAUUUGAGCCAUAGCGGCUGUUACAGCUGCAGUCACAGUGGUUUGAAACAUCACAGGAUCAAACUGUGGAGGAGGAGGUGGAGUUUGAGUUGCAGGUCUGCCUUUGUUCGGACGCUUGCAGGGAGGCAUCUUUUACUGGAAGUUUAUAAAGAUGAAGAUAAUAGUGAGAAUCGAUUGUAAAUAAGUUGCGAGAGUUUCACAGACCAAACUGACAUAGUUCAGUUAUCAGAUAGAAUCAUAGCAAUAGAGUAGAAAAAAACAAAACUUCAGACUUUCUCACAAAGUGUGUAGCUGCCAAUAUUACUGGUAUUAAUGAUGUAAAAUGAAUUCGGAAAAAGCAACCUAACAGUAGGUCUUACAUCAAACCAUAAGGAAAAUGUUGGCAGCCUAGAGGCCUAAUUAGAGUACUUUCAAAGUUAGGAAUGUUUACAAACAAGUGCUCUACCGAGCAUAGAAAAAGAAAGGCUAUUCCUUAAACAAAAGGGAAAGAUAAGUAGAUAUCUUCUACUGACGACGGGUACUCAUUGGGCGAACCCUAAGAUCAGCCAGUUGGCGAACAACUUCCUGAAGAUGUCUCUCUUGAACCCUCUGACGUGCUCGGAGUUCCCUAACUUCGGCUCAGGAUGCAGCUAGCUGUUGCUGCAGAGCCUCAUUGGUCCUCCUAGUCCUAUCCAUGGCUUCUUCCAGUUGGCGGAUGCGGGCAGUGUUAAGGUUGAGUUGGCAUCAAUUUCCACGACUCUGCCGAUGGCUGCUUGACCUUGUUCGGUGUUCCUGGCAAUCCUACGGACCAUGAUGGGCAAGACUCGGUCCGCUGAUCCUCCUUCGCUUAUGUUGUAGAAGCUUCGGUCUCCGUCGAAAGGUGCAGGCUGACCCUGCUCAUUGCUCCAUUGGUUCAAGCUUAUUGCCCACAUGGGGGUGGGACCUUGAAAUGUCGGACGGGGAUUAGGGUUUGGAGCUACUGGGGGUAGAUUGUUGACUUCUGGUUCGGAGUCGGAGUUAUCUGAAAAGCCUUCAGCACGGUGAUCAUCCAAAGGGAUCGGGUGAUCAUCUUCUGGUUCCUCAUCGAGCCAUCCUCCAUUGCCUUGGUUCAGAUAAUACGGAUCGUCGGGAUGGUGGAAGCCAGCCAUGCUAUCUACGCGAGAAUGGGGAAAGAAAGGUUAAUAGACGUACUAAUCUAGGAUACUUAUAAGAUGAUCGUUAUUAGUCGACCCAAUACUUGCAUAGUGCAUACCAAUUACAUGUAACCGAAGCAAGAUAGUCCUUCGAAUAAGCGACCCUAACUCUAGAUCCCCAAUCAAACAAGAACAUGAAAUGAAGCAAAGGUCACAGAUUCUAAGUCUAUAGCGCCCUAGUCACAUGUAACCGUGGUGUAUCCACUUAGCAACUAAUCUCCUACUAAUAACGACCCUUUUUAGUUAUCACAUAUGUAGUUAAUAGAAUGCAGAAUACUCCUAUAGUAUUCUUGUCCUAACGUUCUUGUGGUAGCGUUGGUAAGGUUUUAGACUUGUUGCUACAUCACAAUCACUUUUAGGCACAUGCUAGUCACUCCUAAGGAAAUGUAGUUAAUCAGGCUACAUCCACCCUGAUGUGACUAUAUGUCUCUAAGCCAAAUUGUGAUGUUCAACAAUCUUAAUACUUUUGUUCUGUUCUAGUAUGAUACUGACCCUUUGUAUUGGUGAAUGUGUAUAUAUAUAUAUAUAUAUAUAUACUUAAUUAAAUAUUUUAGUAUUUAAAAGUGUAUAUUCUUGUUCAGAGUGUUUUAGUCCCGAAGUGUUUUUAGUUCAUAUAUCUUUUAUGGGUUGAUAUACUUGAUUCACUAUAAACAAUGCUCUGAUACCAAUCUGUCACACCCCAAAACCUAGAACGGCGGAAUACGUUCUGGGGUGGUGGACGUCAUGUACAGUAUCAUAAGAAUUGCGUAAUAGUAAAAACAAUCGACAACAACCAUUGCAUUAAUAUAGUGAAUGUAAAUACAAGCGUGUUCUGUACAGUUAAUAGACACCAAAAGUAUAAACAAAAUAAAAGAUGGGUCUUGUAUAUGCUCCAUCUUCCCAAAAGCUGCACCAGUACCUGUCUAUUUUUGACCUGAGAAUACAAGUUAUUUUGAAAACGAGUAUCAGCAUAAAGCUGGUGAGUUCAUAAGAAUUUAGUGCCGUUGCUUGUAUAAAAGUGUUUACAAUCAUGUAAUAUAAGAGUUGUAAUUAACGUCUGAGAAUAGUGGAAAUCCCUAGAAAAUCCUAUAUUUUCCAGAAUUGAGCAUUUGUAAGUUAAAUCCUUCAAGUGUGUAAAAGUAUUUCCAUUGAAACUUUCAGUUAUAAAAAUAAGGUAAUAAAUUUCAUUCAAGUAACGUAGAUGAGGAAAUGUAUUGCCGGCUGGCUGAAAUAGUGUUGCAAACUUCAAUUAGUAAUAUAUAUUUAUUUACUUCGGGAAGUUAGUUUGGACUUUAAUUCUUAGUGUGUUAAUUUGGAUAUGGAUGUAAUCUUUCAUGUAACCAAACUGAAUAAUAAUAGAGAGUCCGAUGACCUUCCCGGUCAUAAGUAGCAUAGCGAUGUUUUGUCGCCCCUGGGCCUGGUCGGCUCGGACUGUAGUUAAUAGUCGGGAUAUAAUAGCGUCCGUCCUGUAUAGAUCUAUACAUGUAGUGUUGCUUUCCUUCCGGGAAGCUCUGGUUACAUGGUAUUUGCAUAGUAGAGUGUCGUAUAGAGGGAUAGUGUGUCAUAUUUUGGAUUAGUGUAUUCUCUUGUAUUAUAGUAUAGUAAACUUUUAGUAUAGUAUAGAGAGUGUUCUCUUUAAUGUGCCUUAACUCGUAAUAGCAAUAAUUAUAGUGAAUAUCAUAGUGAUAGAGGUAGCUAGCAGUAGUCUUAACUAUACCUAUUAUAGUUAAAUAGAGUAUGGGAUUGCAUGCCUUUGAUUUACAAAGGUAUUGAAUAAGAUGAAGACUUUUAUAUCUAACACAAAUAUAUAUGAUAUAUAACUAAGAAUUCAACGAUAGUCGGACGGAUAACAGUAUACCCUAAGACCACAAUCAAACAAGAACAGGAAGUAAGGCUAGCUAUCGAUCCUAAGUCCUUCAAGUCUGAUAUAAAUAUAUUGGUGUAGAUAUAGUUUAAAAGAAAAGUAGUUUAAAAACAGUUUGAAACUCGUUUAAUAACAAUUUAACAUAGAAAAUACAUUUGAUAAUUAUCUAAAACAGUUUUGUUGACAAGUAGUUAAAAGUAUAGAAAAAUCCUUUUUGAUUGCAAGUUAUAAAUCACAUAUGAUUUGAUACUAUAACUUGUUGUAUUUAACUUGUAUCCCCCCUAAAACAUGUAAAAACAUUUGAAAAGGUUAGUUAAGGGGUAUGAACUCACCUGAAGCGAGUAGAUCGGGUGGAAGUGUCGGGUGAGCGCUUGGUGUCAAGUGAAGACUUGAACACACUUUAUGCCCCUAGUAACAUAUGAAGACAUAUGUUUACAUGUAAUUAGUGACUAAGACACUAAUUAAACACAUGUAGACAUUCUAAUGUGAAGAAAAAUCUUUGGUCAAGGGCUAGGAGGCUAUUGGGUUGCAAGGAAGGAGUGUUAGGCCUCACUAUGGAGUUUACUCCUCAAAUACUCACCUUGGGUGAGUUUAUGGUUGAGGGACCAUUUCCCCCAUGAGUUUACGGCUGUAAACUUAUGGGAGGAGUGUAUUUGUGUGUCUUAAAGUCUCUUGUAUCACUAGGAAGGUUUCCAAGGUAAAUUCCAAGGCUUGAGGGGUGUUUAGGGUUCAAAAGGGGCACUCCCUUGGAGUUUGCGUCCUAGGACCACUCCUUAGGAGUUUACGGUCGUGAACCCCAUGGUUUAUGGCCGUAAACCCUUGGACACCCCUUAUACUUCGUUUUUGAGGUCCUUAGCUCACUCCUACAAGUUUCUAUGUGAAGAUCCAAGGCUAAAUAGGGGGUUUAAGGCUCAAUUUGCAUAAUUUGAGGGAGUUUACGGCCUAAGAGUGUUCCUGGGCCAUAAACCCUCUUUCAAGCCUCCAAACAUAAUGUUUAAUGUCUAAAACACUUCAAGGGUAAAUUCUAAGUUAGCCUCUAAGCCUAAGGAAGAGAUAUGGGGGCAUUUUGGCACACUUUUAGGGGUUUACAACCUAAGAAGGUUCUUGGGCCGUAAACUCCUUGUUCUUGGCCUUCUUGGAUGAUUUUCAAGUUAUAUUGACAUGUAGUGAGUUUUAGAACAAUCUAGGGUAAGAGAACUUACAGUUUGGGAGCGGAAACUUGCGGAUUUUUGGAAGAAUCGAGCCUUGAAGAGAGAGAGAGAGAGUAGAGAGAGAGUGACUAGAGUGGUAAAGAGUCUAAGUUGGUGACCACUCAACCCUUAUAUAGGGUUGAGUUUCUGGCCAGGUGGAAGUCUACCCGAUACCAACGUUAAACGGGGCUUAUGUUCGUACCCGAUUAAAUGGUCGUAUUUUAACUUGUUUGCAACUAAAACUUUUUAAAAGGAUAUUGAGGGUGUUUCCCGUGUUUCUAAUUUAUUCCGAUCCUUAUGAAGUCAUAAUAAAAGUUCAAAUUUUAAUUUGCCUGAUCCCAAUGUUAACGGAAAAGUUUAAUAAGAACGAGUUCUAUUAACAGAAAACGGGUUACGGUGACAGAAUAAAUUUCAGGUUGUCACAGUGGGAGGUAGUAUUGGGCCCGUACUACUGAAAGCACAGGAUCCAUAAUUGAAUCGGUGAGAGUCUUGGAGAAUCUGGGAAGCUUCAGGGAAGACUUUGUGACCCAGUUUAGGGACAGAGGAUGUUCCAGUUGUUGCAGCUUAGCCAUUGGCAAGUGAGUUAGUAAGCGUGGCAGGGUGUCAGACCCUGAAGGAUAAGAUUUCCAGGAGGUUGCAGAUGCGAUAUCAAUUUGGGGCGCUUUGAGAGGAGAGGUUCAUGCCAGAUGCGUACGGUAGAGGGUCACGGGAAGAGACCCAUGACUUCUGAUCAUCAGGUGAAAGGCCAGCAGGGCCUGAGUCGGUGCAGCACGUACAUGACAAUGGUCAUGGGAGUCUGUCACUUCCAGGGUUUAGGCUGCUACAUGGUAGCGGGAUUGGUCAUGUCAGCAGAAGGUGAUCAGUAAUCCUCUAGGUGUUGCGAGUAUGUCAUCUUCUACUGCUACUAGAUGGAUGUUGGGGAUACGUAUCACUUUGGGAUUGUGAGUGAGUUGGGAUAAGUCAGAUCUUGGGUCGGUUUCCUGCUAGUGUUUGGGUUAUCAAGGAUCAUAUAUGCCAUCCUGCAUGCUGAAAAGUCCUUGAUGAACCCACAGAGGAAUGCAUCUUGCGGAGCGGGUUCAGUGUGUACCGUUAUCAUUCCGGAUCUUUGCCGAGAUCUGUGCAGGAGUAUUGUUUGGAAGGUCCUCAGUCAAGGUUAGAUGGAUAGUUCUCCAGUGAAGUCAACGUUCAGGGGUUCUACCAUGGUUCAGAUAUGGUCGGUAAUUGUCUAUGGAUGAACUUUGGAGUUCAAGGCACUAUCGUUGCUAGGACAGAGCUGGUGACAUGAAAAGGGUAGUGUCAGUCGUGGGUGUUAGAUGCACAAGUGGUUGGUCAUCUCAUGUUCAAGAGAAUUGUAUUUUCUCAUUGGCUGUGUUCGGUUAGAGUUCAGUGGUACUGCAAGAUUGGGAGUAGGAACGAGGAUUCGUCAGCCAGAGUGAAGAUUGAGGUCUAAUUGAUAGCAUGUGAGAUGGAUUGAGGUUUCAGACUGGAUUAGAUUUUAAGAGUACUCAUCAAGAUUUCCGAGGAUGGGAGAUCUCAAGGUUUAAUCGGUGAUUAAACGCUAGCAUUGGCAGGCACGUGUUGUCAUCAGUAGGAUACUAGAAGGCGAGAGGGAUUGGGAAUCCUUCAAUUCUCACGUACUGUGAAGACUUAGUCGAAUCUAAGUGGGGGAGAGACUUUUUGUAAAGUUCUCCAAAUAUGAGUUCUGGUUGCGCGGGGUGCAAUCUCUUGGGCACCUUGUCAACCAGAAGGGUAUUCUAGUUGAUCCGGCCAAGAUAAAGGUCGUGAUGUAGUGGGAGAUUCCGAGGUCUCCAACCGAAAUUCGGAGCUUCCUGGGUCUAGCAGGUUAUUAUCAGAGACUUAUACGAGACUUCUUUGAGAUUGUGGUUCCUUUGAACCGACUGACCAAGAAGUUAGUGGUUUUUCUUUGAGGGAUUGAGCAGCAGGCAGCCUUCGAGACUCUCAGACAGCGGUUGUACGAGGCACUUAUUUUCACCAUGCCAGAGGAUGUAGAUGAUUUCGUGGGUUACUGUGACGCCUUGAUCAUGGGCAUGGGUGCGGUACUGAUACAGUAGCAGGUUUUGGGAACCAGGUUAGAGUUCCGGUUAGGACCCUAGUUCAGUGAUGUGUUAGGUGGAGUGUGCAUUCGACCCGAUAUGGGAAGUGUUGUAAGACUACGGGGGUAGCCGUAGCAUUCACUAGCAGUUGGAUAGUAUGGAAAGUGUUGUAAGACUACGGGGGUAGCCGUAACAUUCACUAGUUAUCAGUUAGCAUGGGAAGUGUUGUAAGACUGCGGGUGUAGCCACAACAUUCACUAGGUUACUAGAUAGUGUGGGCGCGUUGUUAGGACGCAGAAGGAACAGUAGUACCCACCAGUUCGGGUGUAGCAGUAAGGAUAAGGAAAUCCACGGAUUGGAUUUCAGAAUUACCCAGAUGGAUUAGAUCUGGUUGAGCCAGUGAUAGGACUGUAGGAGCGCCACUACAGUUAUGGGAUCAGGAAAGCAAUGGAAUGUAUAAGAUUGCGUGUGAGAUAAGGCUACCAUUGGUCAGGUAGCAACCACUUCUAGCCUUGGAUUUGAUGAUGGCGGGAUUCGACAUAUGGAUCCGAUCGGUUAGAUCAUAAAGUUGUUAGAGUCACAGUGGCAUGAUAACUAGUUGCAACUAGUUCCAGAGAAGGAUUUCGUUCAGAAGCCGUGUGAGGCGACUAAGUAGGAGUCCUUUGCUCCGUAGCCAGGCUGGAACCCGAUAUUUCAGAUGAUUGGUGAACAAAUAGAGACCAGGGAAGUCUCGUUAGAUUUUGCAAAAUAGCCAUGUGGCAACAUACUGCCUCAGGUAGUUCAGUGUUCGAGCAAUUUUUGCGUUUGGGCAGUGUUAGUAUUCGUGUUUUAGGCGGCAAGUACACACAGAUAGCUGGUUUAUUGGGGAGUGACAAGUCACUCACGGCGGGAUUAGCCGAGCCUUGGCCAAGUGUAAGUGAUUUGCAGGGAUAAUUAGGCCUAUAAACCUGUUUUGCAGUGGGAACCUGGAGUUAUUAGAAGUUGAGUAGUCGGCUAAGGGAUAACGGACUGGUUUCAACGACAAUGGUUCGGUAUGAGUGGUCUUUCAGGGAAGCAAACCAUCUCAAGACAUCAUAUUCCAGACGGAUUAGAUGUGAACUUGUUGCGAGGAAUUCGUUCCCUCACGGAUAUUAGGGCUUUGCAAAGAUUUGUCACUGUUACUAUGGGAAGGCCAGGGUGUGCCCAUGAUGGUGACCAUAUUACUUGAGUGGUGUGGUGCAUAAGAAAUGGUAAGAAAUGAUUUCGAGGAAGAAAUCUAAUUUAAGUAGGGGAGAGUUGCAACACCCGUUUAUUUAUUAAAUAAAUAAAUAAAAUAAUGAACGAUUAGUAGCCCUAAAAUAAAUAAUUAUAUGACAAGGCGUUGGUUUCCGGGAACCAAUGGCUACAAUGUUAGAAGGCAGGGACUAAAAAUGUUAACAUGGCUGAAGUUUGAGCAUUGGACCUUAAUUGAAAAGAAAUUGUCAAACAAGGGGUGGUUUAGUAAAUUCUGGAUUAGUUUUGUAUAUUAUUGAAGGUAGGGCUAUAUGGUAACUUGUGGGACUUCAUUGAAGAGAUCUUGGAGGCUAAAGGAAUAACUUGUGAAUUAUUGGGACUUUAUUUUGAACAAAUUUGUAGAGGAGGGGCAAAUUUGUAAUUAUUGGAGCUGCUUAAAAAGAUCCCAAGGGGGAGGGACCGAACUUGUAAAAACGAGCAAAGGUGUGAUUGAAGCGGGAUUAAAACCUGAUAGCUGCUUCUUCCCGGUUAUCAACCCUAAACCUAUCACAUUUCUAUAGCCGCCACCAUUUCUUCUUCGGGCCUUUCCAGCCACCAUGUGUGAAGACUCUUGGAUUAGUGUCAAAGUCCAAGUGGGAGACUNGGGGCCCGUUGCCGCCGCUAAUUUGCCGCCUAACGACACAACAGCCUCAUUAUUGUAGACGUCGUGUGCAUCGGAGGUUGCUGAUAUUGAGGAAUACCGGCGAUGUUGUCACUGCGUGAUUCAUGAGCAGUUAGGAGCUCUCGGUUGGACCAUCGUCUUCCAUCUACAAAUUUUUCUUUGUUACCCAGUGGCCGACGUCGUGUAUGUCGACUGAGAUGUACGGUGUGUUUUGGCCGCCGCUUCUAGGUUCCAGUCGUCACUUUCCGCGGCUGACUUGAGGGAUAUUGGUCUUCAGAUCGUGUUUGCUAGCAUGUGUAGGUGCUAGUUCGGGUGGGAAAAAGAAGGACCACCACCACCACCGUGAGAUGGUGGCUACCAUCCCCAAACACCACUUGGUGGGUGAUGGUAGGUAUUCUGCAUUUUGGAGUGUGUAUUUGUGUGGCUGAGUGAUUUCAAUCGGAAGAAUGGGUGGGUGUGUUUCUGUUUUCCUUGGUGGGUUUGUGUGUGUAUAGUGUAGCUUGGCCAGAAAACCGAGAACCACCACCACUGGCCACCACAAGGUGGCUGUGUGUGUGUGUGUGUGUGUUUAUGUUAGGUCGGCACCCCAGAAUGGCCGUAACGGUAGGUCGGCACCCCAGAACGGUCGUACCGGGUAGGUCGGGCACCCCAAAAUUGCCCGACAGUAUAUAUGUUAUGUGCUUGUAUGGUAUGUGGUAUGAUGGGGGAACUCAUUAUGCUUCGUGCUUACGGUUUUCAGUUUUGAUUUCAGGUACUUCGCGUUAAAGGAAAGGAGCCGGCUUGAUCGCAGCGCAUCACACUAUGGUUUUCCGCACAUGAGAUCUUUGGGAUUACACUCUGAUAUUGUUUUAUGAUAACAUGUUUGAUUAUUUCUACUUUGGUUUUGACAUGACAUGAUAUCACAGAUGUGUUAUUACACUGUUGAUUUUAUAAUGACAUUUAAAAAUGAAAUUUUAGGCAUGUAUUUUUCAGAUGUUACACGAUUAUUUGAUGAGUGGUUCCCAGUGGAUUUGGUUUCUAUUCCCCCGCGAGGGAACAAGGUCAUAAUAGGUACUGGUUGAGCCCCAACGGGGCAGUGAUAUAUUGUGAAUAGCAGCUGGUUAGAGUUCGCACUCCCAUUUGGGGGAGAGUUAGUGAUUCAUGGCGAGAGGCCACAACGCGGACCACUUUAUUGCUCUGUAGCGAGAGCGAGACGUCACAUUCAGUAGGGCUGUGCGGGAUAUGUCGCGUAGGGGUGCAAACGAGCCAAGCUACUCGUGAACUAAUCUAGAUCGGAUCAUUAAAAGCUCGACUCAAAACCGGUUUUAAACGAGCCUGAGCUGAGCUCGAGCUUAAUAUUAAGCUCGUUUAUUAAACGAGAUCAAGCUCGAGCCUAUGUAACUAAACUCGAUUAGGCUCGCGAGCCUAAACAAGCCUUUAUAUAAUAUAAUUUAUUAUUAUUUUCAGAUAUUAAAAUAAAUACAUAUUUGUGAAAUUAUGGAUUUCAGGUAUUAGUAAACGAGAUUCUUAAUGAGCUUAAGCUUACUUAGGCACAUCAAACGAAAAAUGAGUCGAGCCCGAGCCUGAGCCGACCUUGUAUAAUUCUUUAUGAGCUCGAGCCGAGCUCAGUAAAAGAAAGCUCGAAUCGAGCCGAGCUCGAGCCUCGUAUAACUUAAACAAGCCCGAGUCGAGCCUGGCCAGGCUCGGGCUCGGCUCGACUCGUUAGCACCCUAAUGUUGCGUAUGUCAUGGAUACCCAAGAUAAGGGUAAGGCGACAGUCGAUGAUGUACUGGUGGUACGAGAGUAUCCGGAUGUAUUCCCGAAGGAUUUUCCCGGGAUACCUCUAGAGAGACAAGUUAAGUUUCAUAUUGACCUAGUCCCUAGUGCGGCUCCGAUAGCCAAGGCACCAUAUCGGUUGGCUCCUCCCGAGAUGUAGGAGCUGUCUAUACAGCUGCAGGAGCUGCUAGACAAGGGUUUUAUCAGGCUGAGCAAUUCGCCAUGGGGACCCCGAUCCUGUUUGUGAAUAAAAAGGACAGGUCGCACCGUAUGUGCUUAGAUUACCGGGAGCUAAAUAAGGUAACGGUGAAGAACCGUUACCCACUCCUAGGGGUGCUAACGAGCCGAUCCGAGCCCGAGCCUGGUCAGGCUCGGCUCGGGCUCGUUUAAGUUAUACGAGGCUCGAGCUCGAGCUCGGCUCGAUUCGAGCUUCUUAUACUGAGCUCGGAUCGAGCUCGUAAAUAAUUAUACAAGCUCGAGUCGGGCUCGGGCUCGACUUGUUUUUUUUCUGACGUGUCUAAAUAAGCUUAAGCUCGGCUUGAGCNCGUUUACUAAUACCCUAAAUCCCUAAUCCCGAAAUAUGUUUUUAUUUUAAUAUAUAAAAAAAAUAAUAAAUUAUAUUAUACAAAGGCUCGUUUAGGCUCGCGAGCCUAAUUGACUUAGUGACANUGGGCUCGAGCUCGAGCUCGUUUAAUAAACGAGCUUAAUAUUAAGCUCGAGCUCGGCUCGGGCUCGGUUAAAAUCGAUUUCGAGUCGAGCUUUUAACGAUCCGAUCUCGAGUAGCUCACGAGUAGCUUGGCUCGUUUGCACCCCUACCCACUCUCGAGGAUAGAUGAUUUGUUCGACCAACUUCAAGGAGCAUCUUAGUUUUCCAAGAUUGAUUUACGGUCCGGAUAUCACCAGAUGUGGGUCAAAGAUGAUGAUGUGCAGAAGACCGCUCUUAAAACCGACUAUGGUCACUAUGAGUUUGUGGUGAUGCCGUUUGGUCUCACCAAUGCUCCAUCCUUAUUCAUGGAUCUCAUGAAUCGCGUGUGCAGACCAAUGCUGGAUCGAUCUAUAAUAGUAUUCAUUGAUGACAUCUUGGUUUAUUCCAAGACCGAGGAGCAGCACGAGGAUCACCUGAGGGAGAUGCUAGAGACCUUGAGGAGGGAGAGACUUUUCGCAAGGUUCUCCAAGUGCGAGUUCUGGUUGCGCGAGGUGCAGUUUCUGGGGCACCUUGUCAACCGGAAGGGUAUAUUAGUCGAUCCGGCCAAGAUAGAGACCCUGAUGCAGUGGGAGGUCCCGAGGUCUCCAUCUGAGAUUCAAAGCUUCCUAGGUUUGGCAGGGUACUACAGGAGAUUUAUCUAGGAUUUCUCCAAGAUGGCAGUUCCACUGACCCGACUGACCAAGAAGUCGGUGGUGUUUCGCUAGGGUCCUGAGCAGCAGCCAACCUUUGAGAUGAUCAUGCAGCGACUGUGAGAGGCACCGAUUCUCACCCUGCUAGAGGAAAUAGAUGACUUUAUAGUCUACUGUGAUGCUUCGAUCACAGGUAUGGGAGCAGUGUUGAUGCAGCGGGGGCAUGUGACAGCUUAUGCCCCGAGACAGUUGAAGCCUCACAAGGCUAACUACCUGACGCAUGAUUUAGAGCUUGGGGCGGUGGUGUUCUCCCUCAAAAUUUGGCGGCUUUACCUUUACGGGGUUCGGUAAACUAUCUACACGGACCACAAGAGUUUGAGGUACCUCAUGGAUCAGCUAAAUCUGAACAUGAGGCUGCAUCGAUGGUUAGAUGUGGUUAAGGAUUACGAUUGUCAGAUCCUUUACCACUCGGGCAAGGCCAACGUAGUGGCCGANNGGCGGUAGUGGCUUCGAUCCAGGAUAUAUGUCUGAGGAUGACAGUGAUUACUCCACUGCUGGAGCAGAUUAGAGAGGCACAAGUUGAGGGCCUGAAGCAGGAGCGCCGGAAGUGCGAAAGGAUAAUAGGCCGAGUGGCUUCGUUUGAUUAUGACAACUGAGGAUUGUUGACCCUACAUGGGAGGGUCUGGGUACCGUACUAGGGCGGAGUACAGCAAGUGUUAAUGGAUGAGGCCCACAAGUAUCGGUUCUCAAUCCAUCCAGGGGCGACAAAGAUGUACAGAGAUCUUCGACCCGAUUACUGGUGGCCCUGCAUGAAGCGGGAUGUAGCUUGGUAUGUGGAGAGAUGCCUGACCCACAGGAAGGUCAAGGUAGAGCAUCAGAGCCUCACGACAAUAUGCAACCGUUAGACAUUCCUGUGUGGAAAUGGGAGGAUAUCACUAUGGAUUUCAUUACUAAGCUUCUCAGGACCGCACGUGGGGUUGAUUCGAUAUGGGUCAUCGUGGAUCGGUUGACCAAGAGCGUCCAUUUUAUAUCGAUCCAGGAAAGAAUAUCGGCCGAGAAUUUGACUGAGAUUUAUGUGCGAGAGGUAGUGGUACGUCAUGGAGUGCCUGUCUUGGUGGUGUAAGACCGAGAUGUCCGUUUUACUUCCAGUUUUUGGAAGUGGUUUCACGACGAGAUGGGUACUCGUCUCCAUUUCAGCACCGCUUUCCAUCCUCAAAUGGACGGACAGAGCGAGAGGAUGAUUCAGACUCUCAAGGACAUGCUUCGGGCAUGUGUGUUAGAUUUCGGUGGCUGUUGGGAUACGUAUCUUCCGUUAGCGGAAUUUUCAUAUAACAAAACCUACCACUCCAGUAUAGACGGGCCUCUCUUCGAGAUGCUCUAAGGGAGGAAGUGUAGGACCCCGAUUUGUUGGGGUGAAGUCGGUCAGAAAGUCAUGGGGAUUAUAGAGGUAGUACUUCCAGGUUUUGGAAGUGGUUUCACGACGAAAUGGGUGCUCGUCUCCAUUUCAGCACCACUUUCCACCCUCAGACGGACGGACAAAGCGAGAGGGCGAUUCAGACUCUCAAGGACAUGCUUCGGGCAUGUGUGUUAGAUUUCGGUGACAGUUGGGAUACGUAUCUUCCGUUAGCGGAAUUUUCAUAUAACAACAGCUACCACUCCAGUAUAGACCGGCCUCUCUUCGAGAUGCUCUACGGGAGGAAGUGUAGGACCCUGAUUUGUUGGGGUGAAGUCGGUUAGAAAGUCAUGGGGAUUGCAGAGGUAGUACUCAAGACCACGGAGGGGAUUCAGCAAGUCUGGAGCAGGCUCCAGACUGCUCAGAGCCGGUAGAAAAGUUACGCUGACAAACAACAUUCGGACUUGGAGUUUCAGGUGGGGGACAUGGUCAUCUUGAAAGUGUCACCCUGGAAGGGUGUUAUCAGGUUUCGGAAACGGAGCAAAUUGGGCCCCAGGUUCAUUAGUCCAUUUAGGGUUUUAGCCCGGGUGGGUCGGGUUGCAUAUCAGUUAGAUCUUCCAAUAUAUCCUAGCCAGAUCCACAACACGUUCCAUGUUUCUCAAUUGCAGAAGUGCUUAGUGAAUGAUUCAGCAGUGAUACCUCUUGAGGACCUUCAGGUUGAUGAUAGCCUAAACUACAUCGAGAGACCCGUGGAAAUUUUAGAUCGCAAGACGAAGGAGCUAAGGAACAAGAGGGUAGAAUUAGUAAAGGUGCAGUGGCAGCACCGCAAGGGUUCAGAGUGGACGUGGGAGCCCGAAGAGGAAAUGAGGUAACACUACCUAGAGUUGUUUCCCAAGGCAGCAGACUUCGAGGACGAAUUCUAAGACAAGUGGGGGAGAAUUGUAACACCCGGUCUCAGGUAUACAUAUAAAAUCAAGUCAAACUUCAUAUUUUACUCUUGGACUCGGUGAGUUGGAGGCUCAACUUGUCGAGUAGUAUCGACUUCGCGUUGGGGGAUUAAGUGACCUACUCGAUGAGUCGGAACACCAUAUUAAGAGGGUUUUGGCUCAAAAAUCUUGGUCUUCUUUCUCUUAGAUGUAUUUGUCCCCAUAUUAAGAGGGGUUUGGCUCAAAAAUCUUGGUCCUUGAUGUUGGGACGUCCCAAGUGGUUCAUAUCUAAGAUUGAGGUUCAUAGGAGGAGUACAUGGCUUAAAUAUGCAAGCUUUAUGGCCAUGAUAGCCCCAUGCAUCUUGUAGACGUCAUUUUUGGGUCUUUUGAGCUUAAAGUCCCAUGCAUGGACGUAAAUUUCAUGACUUUACAUGUUAUAUCGACUGUAGGAGCCCAGAUCUACCUUUUGAAUGAGUUUUGCACAACAGAAAUCGAGUUAUGGACAUGGACAUUAGUCGACUCGGUGAGUCGUUCUUGGGACUCGACUAGUCGGGGGUUUGGUUUCCCCAACCUUUUAUGAUUCGAAGGAAUCUAGUUUAGUUUAGAUGGGAUUUAGAUGAGCCCAGAGGAAGGACUCAAUGAAAUAGACAUAGUUAUGGACCUGGAAACAAUGGGACUCGGCGAGUUUAUGAACGUACUCGGUGAGUCCAAAGCAAUCUCCCAACCCAUGAAGAUGGAAUCGAUGGCGAGUCACAGACUAGAGACGCUCAUAUGAUGAAGAUUAACUCGAUGAGUUCAAGGAAGAACUCGACCAGUUAAUCGAAGAUUGUCCCGAUGAUAUGAUUGAAGGAGAGCUCGUCGAGUUCUUGCUAGACUCGACGAGUAGAGUCGGGGUGGGGACAGGUGAAAGAAUAGGGCCUCGGCGAGUUGGCAAGCCAACUCGGUGAGUCGAGUCAAAUGGAAGUUGACUUUGACCAGGAUCUUUGCUUUAGCCAGUGGUAAAAUGGUCAUUUUACCCUAAGAUUAGUUAUCAGUUUUUGACUAAGUGUCUUUAUGGAAAUUAUAGCCGGAUAGUCGCCGGAGCAGCAGGCAGAGAUUUCUCACUCAGAGUUUCAGCGGUCAGACAUACAAGGUGAGUUUCCCUUCAGUAGGAACAAGUCUAAGGCACCAAGGCCGACCCGUUUAUGUAGUUACAGUAUGUCGGGGUUAGCUCGAUGCAGUUUAUAUGUGCAAUUUAUGUGUAUAGUUUAUUCUGUACUUUGGUCCGAUGUCGGGGUGGUCCGGAGAAGUAGUUAUGUAUGCUUGAUGUCUUUGUGAUUCAUGCAUGUUUAUGUUAUGUGUUAUAUGUUGCGGACUCUCGUCCGAUGUCGGGCAAGCCCGAUGCAGUUUAUGUGAAUAUGUUAUAUGUUUACGUUUAUGUUAUGCUCAGUCUAUUUCGGACUUCGGUCCGAUGCCGGGCGAGGCUCAAGUUAUUCCAGACUAAGUUUGAUGCCGAGCGCGGCCCGAUGCAGUUGGCGGGACCCAUUACUUGUAUAUGUGCUUUGUAUGGUAUGUGGUAGUUUGGGAGAGCUCACUAAGCUUUGUGCUUAUAGAUUCAGUUUUGGUUUCAGGUACUUCAGCUAGCAAAGGGAAGGGAUUGAGCUGAUGGCAUGACACACACACCACAGUUGAUUAGCCUGGGCGUUACUAUGAUAUUUUAUGAGACAGUUAUUUGUUGACAGAUUUUAUGAGAUUUGAAUGUUUGAUGAUUUUAUUUUAUGAUGAUGAGAUUAUGUGUUGUCAAAUGAUUUUAAAAACAAAAUUUUUGGCUUGUAUUUUUGGGAUGUUUCAAGUUGGUAUCAGAGCCUUGGUUUGAGGGAUUCGGGCACGCUUUCGGGUGUGUCUGAACUCAAACUAAGGACUUUGUAUAGAAAUUUUCAAAAGGAAAAUCAAUUUUUGCAAAACAAAAGAGUUUUAGAAAAAGCAAAAAUAAUUUUUAAAAAGAAAAGAACUUUGAAAAGAGAAAAGGGUGUGAUGCAUGCAAUCAGCCGAGCUCAAGUAAGUAGUCCCAAAUUACCCAUACAAGUUUAUGCUAUGUUAUAAUUAUCAGCUUUUUUAGAGCAGCAUGCUAGAUUAGGACUAAAGAUCUAGGAAGGAUGCCUUAUGUACCUGCUAUAUGUGUUUCAGCUUUAUGAGAACUGCAUGCUAGUACAGAUUAGUCAGGAUGAUAGCCUGAGUAGUAUAUGCUUGAUUAUGUGUACUCGAUGUCCGAAUGCUGCUUGCUUUGUGCUUUUAGGUGUUUUAGUUGUCUUUCACUAACUAGUAAAUGGAUAUUUUACGUUGCAUAUUGCGAGGAUUAAAUAAUUUCAAAAGGUUAGGUCUAGCACUUUUUCGCAGCUCCCACUUGAUUCCAACCGUUGUAGGGUAGGAUCUCUCAUUCAAAUAAUUAUUUAGUCUGAGUAAUAUGUAAUAGUAUUCGCGAGCUAGUUAGGGGAAGAAAGAAGGGACUUAUUAUGCAGCUGAUGGCGGAGAGUGGGAUGGUGAUUACCCUAGGGCAAGCCUAGGAUGAGAGUAGCAGAGAACAUUAGUAGUAGAAGGGACUUGGUGGAGUCAAGGCAGUUCUUGAGGAAAGUACGGAUAGAUGUGGAAGGUAGUAUGGGCCCAUACUACUGAAAGAAAGGAUCCGUACUCGAAUCAAGGAAGGUUGGGACAAGACCAGGGAACUUAUAAUAUAUGUGAUCCCUCGAGUUAUAGUAGUAUUCUGACGUUUGUCAUUAUGUGUUUUCAGAAUGGUGGUUUUACGCCCGAGACCAGCAGUCGGUAGUUUAGGUUAGGGGUGGCAAUCCUCGACCCAACUCGUAACCCGACACCAACUCAACACGAAAAUAAAUGGGUUUGGGUUGAGAUUUUUGACCCGCCAACCCACCAACCCGGCAAUCCGUUUAUUUCAUGGGUUGGGUUGGGUUACCCAUUUGGGUUCGCGGGUCAACCCGCCAACUCGAUUAUAUAUAUAUAUAUAUAUAUAUAUAUANNNNUAUAUAUAUAUAUAUAUUAUGUCUAAAAAAUAUAUUUAAUUAUUUAUCAGUUUUGAAUAUUUGAUUAUCGUUUAAUCGUUUUCCGAUUUCAAAAAUGCAAAAACUUCUUUGAGUCGACUUAGCGUGCCCUAACCCCUAAGAAGCCCCUAAUCAAAAAGAUAUUCACUCUCCAGUAUCCAAAUCGCAACUCCAUGCCUCUCGUCUCGUCGAUUGAGGCAUCGAGCCAUCAACUGUCGUAGUGUUGCACGCAGUGUACACCACUCGUCUUCUCAUCCUCCAACUGUCGCACACCACUCGUCGUCGUCACUCCUGUUUAUGACUUUAUGUUGAAUAUUUAAGACUUUAUGACUUCAUUUUAUUUUUAUUUUUUAAUUUCAUUUUAAAAUGUGUUGCUUAUUAAAUGGCUUAUACGGGUUGGGUUCCACCUACAAACACACAAACCCAUAUACUUAUACGAGUUAUAUGGGUUGGGUUGGGUUGAUGUUUUCAACCCGCCAACCCGUGACCCGCUAACCUACCAACCCACAUAUUAUAUGGGUUGGGUUGGGUCAAUAUAUUCUGAACCACCAACCCGAACCCAACUCAAUUGCAAGGCCUAGUUCAGGUGUCGGGGAGAGAUCAGGUUCAGGCUCUGGAGUUGAGCACUUGGAUGAGCAGACUAGGGAGUUCAUCUCCUCAGAGAUCACGCGUAACAUACUUGAGCAGACUCUUGUGAUCUUCGGUUUGAUCAAGGAAGGUAUUUUGGAGCUCAUGGAUGAGACGUUGAGUGCGUUUCGCACUGAUGUGGCGACCAUGAUAGGGUCGCGCACGCUUACGUUCAAAGAGUUCAAGGCAUAUGGAGCUCUUGAUUACCAGGGGGCACGAGACCCCACUACUAGUACCAGAUGGUUGGCAGACGUCGCCAAUGCAUUCCGCACCAGCAGAUGUCCCGAUGGGGACAAGGUUAGGCUCGCGUACUGUCUUCUGAAGGGCAGGGCAAGUGACUGGUGGGAGGAAGUCGGUAGGGCCACUAAAGAUGAUACUAUGUUAGCUGCUAUGACCUGGGGUGAUUUCACGACCAGGUUCAGAGUCGAUUUCGCACCUGUUAUUGAGGUGCAUCAGGUUGUUAGGGAGUUUCAGGACCUCUAACAGACGACAGAGAUUGUGGAGGAGAUUACCGCCAAGUUUAGGGUGAGGGCCCUCCUUGUUCCGCAGUAUGUGGCGGAUGAGGAAAUGAAAAAGGCCCAAUACCAUGAGAUGUUGCGGAGCGAUAUCCGCCAGUUUGUGAGCCGGUCCAACUGCAAAAUGCUGGAGGAUAUGAUAGCGAGGGCUCGUGAGAGGGAGAUUGAUUUAGAGAUGGAGAGAAAGAGGAAGCCAAAGAUGAUGUCUAACGCAGCAGAUUCAGGCAAAAAGCCCAAGUUGUCUAAUCACAGGUCGAGGGGACAGCAUAGCCGCAGUCGGUGUGGCAAGUGUGGCAGAUUGCACGAUGAGGUGCGCAAGGCAGGGAGUUCCAGCUAUUUUAAGUGCGGUCGGACCAGACAUAUGAGUAAGGAUUAUACAGCUUCUACCUCUACCACAACAUCUGAUCUAAUCUUCUUUCAUUGCAAUCAGAGGGGACAUAAAAAUUCCCAGUGUCUGAGUCUAGCAUCAGUAGGACAGGUGGUGGCACCCGCUCCUGCUAGCUUGAGGAUUACAUACAGACGACAGGGUCGGGCCGAGGCGCCGGUGGCAAAGAGCAGAGCUUUCCAGUAGACAGCUGAGGAGGCACGAGCGACUCCUGAUGUGGUUGCGGGUAUGUAUUUUCUCCAUCACUUCUUUAUUGUUAUUGUUUAUUUCUUAUGUUUAUCUGUUUGGUUAUAGGGUCGUUCUUAGUGCACAACAUUUCUGCUAUGGUAUUGUUUGAUUUGGGGGCUACUCGAUCAUUUGUGUCACUCGCUCUUAGCAAGCGGUUUAGUAGAGCUCUGGGGGAGCUCUACUUGCCCACUUGACGUUGAGAUAGCUAAUGACAGGACCGUCAGGGUCACGAGAGUUCAUAGAGGUUUUACGCUUCGAUUUGUAACACCCGUUUAUUUAUUAAAUAAAUAAAUAAAAUAAUGAACGAUUAGUAGCACUAAAAUAAAUAAUUAUAUGGCAAGGCGUUGGUUUCCGGGAACCAAAGGCUACAAUGUUAGAAGGCAGGGACUAAAAAUGUUAACAUGGCUGAAGUUUGAGCAUUGGACCUUAAUUGAAAAGAAAUUGUCAAACAAGGGGUGGUUUAGUAAAUUUUGGAUUAGUUUUGUAUAUUAUUGAAGGUAGGGCUAUAUGGUAACUUGUGGGACUUCAUUGAAGAGAUCUUGGAGGCUAAAGGAAUAACUUGUGAAUUAUUGGGACUUUAUUGAGAACAAAUUUGUAAAGGAGGGGUAAAAUUGUAAUUAUUGGAGCAGAUUAAAAAGAUCCCAAGGGGGAGGGACCGGAAUUGUAAAAAAGAGCAAAGGUGUGAUUGAAGCGGGAUUAAAACCUGAUAGCUGCUUCCUCCCGGUUAUGAACCCUAAACCUAUCACAUUUCUAUAGUCGCCACCAUUUCUUCUUUGGGCCUUUCCAGCCGCCAUGCGUGAAGACUGUCGCCCCCCUCCGUUCAUUGUUCCGACCAGUCAGGGGCCCGUUGCCGCCGCUCCUUUGCUGCCUAACGACACAACAACCUCAUUAUCGUAGACGUCGUGUGCAUCGGAGGUUGCUGAGACCGAGGAAUACCGGCAACGUUGUCACUGCGUGAUUCAUGAGCAGUUGGGAGCUCUCGGUUGGACCAUCGUCUUCCAUCAACACCUUUUUCUUCGUUACCCGGUGGCCGAUGUCGUGUAUGACGAAUGAGAUGGACGGUGUGCUUUGGCCGCCGUUUCUAGGUUCCGGUCGUCACUUUCCGUGGCUGAGUUGGGGGAUAUUGGUCUUCAGAUUGGGUUUGCUAGCAUGUGUAGGUGCUAGUUCGGGUGGGAAAAAGAAGGACCGCCACCACCAUCGUGAGGUGGUGGCUGUCAUCGCCAAACACCACUUGGUGGGUGCUGGUGGGUAUUCUGCAUUUUGGAGUGUGUAUUUGUGUGGCUGAGUGAUUUCAACCGGAAGAAUGGGUGGGUGUGUUUCUGUUUUCCUUGGUGGGUUUGUGUGUGUAUAGUGUAGCUUGGCCGGAAAACCGAGAACCACCACCACCGGCCACCACAAGGUGGCUGUGUGUGUGUGUUUAUGUUAGGUCGGCACCCCAGAAUGGCCGUAACGGUAGGUCAGCACCCCAAAACGGUCGUACCGGGUAGGUCGGGCACCCCAAAAUUACCCGACAGUAUAUAUAUUAUGUGCUUGUAUGGUAUGUGGUAUGAUGGGGGAACUCACUAUGCUUCAUGCUUACAAUUUUCAGUUUUGGUUUCAGGUACUUCGUGUUAAAGGAAAGGAGCCGGCUUGAUCACAGCGCAUCAUACUAUGAUUUUCCGCACAUGAGAUCUUUGGGAUUACACUCUGAUAUUGUUUUAUGAUAACAUGUUUGAUUAUUUCUACUUUGGUUUUGACAUGACAUGAUAUCACAGAUGUGUUAUUACACUGUUGAUUUUAUAAUGACAUUUAAAAAUGAAAUUUUAGGCUUGUAUUUUUGGGAUGUUACACGAUUAUUUGAUGAGCGGUUCCCAGUGGAUUUGGUUUCUAUUCCCCUGCGAGGAAAUAAGGUCAUAGUAGGUACUAGUUGAGCCCCAAUGGGGCAGUGAUAUAUUGUGAAUAGCAGUUGGUUAGAGUUUGCACUCCCAUUGGGGGAGAGUUAGUGAUUCAGGGCGAGAGGCCACAACGUGGACUACUUUAUUGCUCUGUAGCGAGAGCGAGACGUCACAUUCAGUAGGGCUGUACGGGAUAUGUCGCGUAGGGGUGCAAAUGAGCCAAGGUACUCGUGAACUACUCGGGAUCGGCUCAUUAAAAGCUCGACUCAAAACCGGUUUUAAACGAGCCCGAGCUGAGCUCGAGCUUAAUAUUAAGCUCAUUUAUUAAACGAGCUCGAGCUCGAGCCUAUGUAACCACUACAAGAAAAAGACCCUUUUACGACGCGCAAAUUACGACACUCAAUGAUUUAUGUUACGCAAAAGAGAGUGAUGUUAAAAAAGUGUCAUCUAUUAAAAAAAUUUAAGGAUUUAGGUCACGCAUUAUUGCGUGCCCUUAAAUUAGUGUCAAAAGAAAAAAAAUUAAAAACACGGAGGGCGCUGUAUCUUAAAUGUGCGCCCUCUAUAAGUGUCGCUUUAUAUUUUUAAUGAAAGGCGCGUUUAAUAGAUACGGGGGAAAUGAAAUCCCAAAAAUUUUGAAAACCCGCUUGAAUUUCUCUCCAUUUCUCUCUCUGGCGAUCAUCCACAACCCUAGCUAUCUUAUUUUCUUUCCAUUUUUCUCUCUCACGAUCGAAGGACAAAACAAGACACAAAUUUCACUUGCAGAAGAGUUGGUGAUUUCUCUCCAUUUCUUUUCGAGUUAGGAACAAAGGCACAUAGAACGUAAAAGAGGAGGAAAAAGACACACACACACACACAUUGUGUGUGAGGUGCGGCUGCCACAACUUUCACUUCCAGAAGAGUUGCUAAGAAUUGGUGAUUCCAUCUAGGGUUCGACAAGCUUAAUCAAUAUCUCGACAUCUUACCUCCUACAUCGUAUUUCUUCAACCAUCUGUGACCAUUCUAGAGCUUAACAUGUUCUUUAGCAUUCUAGGGUUUGACAUCUGUUGAGAUUCUUUGACAUUGUUCACUUGCCUUCUAACCUUUCUCUGGAUAGGCAUCGACUCCAAGGUAAGAAUAGAUCUGUUACAUUACUUUAUACAAUCCUAUCAUCGAUUUGGUUUAAUUUCAUUUUCCAUGCUCUGAUUCUCGUCUAUUCAUAAAGAAAAUUUAUGCAUUCUAGCCAUUCGAUGAAAUGCCUGACUAAAAUUAAAAAAUUCUAGAAUCAGAAUAAGAAUUGUUAAUGUCUUUUAAAUAAACGUAUCAAAAGCAUCUUCCUUCACGUUUUUUGAAAAACGUAUUGGAAGAAAAAUUAAAUAAACAAAUAUAAAAAAAACAUUUUUCCAUAUUUUGGUAUAUUAUGCUAAUUUUCCUUCGCUCCUUUUUGGGAACAGAUGGUGUAUGUUUUGCUUAUAUACAAGUCUUGUCAUUUUGACUUAUUGAUCACAUACAUGUUUGACUUUUAAAUGACUUGAAGUAUCAGGAAUCCUUAUCUUGUUAUUUUCACUUACUGAUCACAUGAAUGACUUGAAGCAUCAGUAAGUAAACUUCACUUGUAUUCUGCAUUUGAUUGUUCAUAUUACACGUCUAUACACUUUAUAGCAAUUAUCUUGUGUUUCCUUAAGUAUAGUUUUAGCUGUUCCUGGUUUGUAGGCAUAAGGAAGGGUAAAGGGUGUACCAUGAAGCCUCUUAUCUCUGUUUGCCACCAGGUAUCUGAUAUUGGACACCUUGAUCUCCAACUACAUUGAAAAACCACCUGUCAAGUGAAGUCAAUAAAAGGAAUUUUAGGAUGAAGUGCAUACAAUACAAUAAAAAUCUUUUUUUUUUAAAAAAAAUGAAAGGUAAAUUGGGAAAGAAUCUCUGGGGUGAAGAAUUAGUUAUAUUAGCGGAAGCCUCAAUGGAACCAACUGUAAUAUAUGUAAAACAAGUGCUUGAUAUCAUAAGCAAGGCGAGCAAUAAGGGUAUAAAAGGAAUUGCACACAUACCAGGUGGUGGGUUCAUAGAUACCAUCUGUCGUGUUUUCGGUAUAGGGCUUGGUGCUCUUGUUUAUAACGACUCUUGUUCGGUUCCCCCUGUUUUUAAAUGGAUCCAAAAGGUAUUUAAGUUUUUUUUGGUAUUAAAAAAAGUUGGUUAUUUGUUUUUUUCUAAUGAUGUUUCUGGUUUUGCCCCUUUUCAGGCUGGAGGGAUUGAAGAUGGUGAAAUGAAAAGGACUUUUAAUAUGGGAAUUAGGAUGGUUUUGGUUGUUAGUAAAGAGGUUUCUGAAAGGGUAGUUAAGGAAGAAGGUGAGAUGGUGUAUCGUGUUGGUGAAGUCUUUUCAGGUAAUAAACAAUUUGACAUCAUUACCCUUGAGUAGUUUAAAAAUGGUUCUGAAUUAUUUGAUGUUUUGAAUUUUAUUACCAGGGGAAAAAGUGGAAUCCACUCCGUGAGAGGUUAGAUAGCUAUGAUUUUUUUAUUAAAGAACAAUUGUAUGUUUUUCUGUUUUUUUUCUACUUAGUUCACUAACAGACAUUACAGUUAAACUAUCUAUAGCUAGCUUUAAUUUUCUAUAGUUUUUGUUCCUACAGUUUGGGUCCUUGUACAGUUUUUGUCACUCUAAUAGUUUUAGUCCAUGUAACAUGUUGCAAUAGUUUUGGUCCUUGUGCUUUUGUCUCAUUUAUAGUUUUUAACCCUGUAACAACUGCAUUAAUUUUUCCUUGGCAAUAUGCUCACCAAAUGAUUAAAAGUUCUUUAAAGUGUUCCUUGUGGUAUAUCUUUAUUCUAAGUCAUGACUUUUUUUGAUUGAAUAACUAUGCCAGAUUCUCCACGUGAUUCAGUUCAAUUUAUUGAAUGCUCACCUUCAUCUUGCCCUCGUGCCUUGCCAGGUACCAUGUCACUUUAUUUAUAACUAUUUCAAUAAAAAAAGAAACUAACAGUUUAUAUAUAUACAUUAUAAGUAACGCUGCUUUGUUUUUUUAAUUGCAGGAUGGAAAGAUUGAAGCUGAAGUUAAACUUACUGGAAUCUUAAGCUGAGGAGCAUUACAACUAGGAGAAGUUAGAAAAUAUGGGACUACAAUUGCACCAGGACUAUAUGCACCAGUUCACCAACAUUUUUUUGUUGCUAGAAUGGACAUGGCAGUUGAUUGUAAGCCUGGAGAAGCAUACACUCAGGUUUGGAAUUUUACCUAUUAUUCUUUUUAAAGAAAACUGAGACCAUUUAAUAGUCUUAUAUAUGACACAAGCAUCUGUUGUGUUUUUUGUAUUUUUAGGUUGAAGCUGAUGUUAAAGUUGAAGAACCAGGAAAAGACAACGUUCACAACAACACAUUCUACACACAAGAAACACUGAAUCACAAGCAAUGCGGGAUUGUAAUCCGUUAUCUGCUCGCCAUUGGAUCGUAAGUCUAUUUAUAUUUAAAUUACAUGGAUUCCAUAUUUUCAAACUUUUUUUCUUUUUGUAAUUUUUAUUUGAAUGAAUUCCAAAAAUAUCCAGGUGAGAAAUACACGAACGGUGAAUAGGACCGAAAAAUUGCUAACUUUCAUGGGAGAAUAACUAUCUGGACUCAACCUUCCCAUGUAAGCUUUGCCUGCUUUACUUCUAGUAUCUUCUUUCACUAUUUGUGUACAUCUUACCUCCUGCUUACCUCAUUCUUUUGGGAGUUGUUGUUUUUGUAUGCAAGUAAGAAUAUUGGUUUAAGGUUUGUUUUUCUUUACUAGAAAAAGUAUUUGUAGAAAAGAUUAGCCAUUCUUUCUGUUUGGGCUAAGUUUAUCAUGUGGAGUACUACAAUAGGUUCUUAAUGAAUUAAGUCCUUGACCCCCAUUGGGGUGUGCUUUAUGAAGAAGAUGUAAGAUAUGCGUCAAUUUCUCAUUUUUCAUUAAUGUCUUAUCAAUCAUUAUUUAGCAAAUAGUUUAUGGGCUAUAUAUAACUGAGAUUUAAUAUUAAUAAAACAGUUAACUGGUCAUAAGUCUCACACUAUGAACAUUCUUGUCAAUAAUGCUCCUGGAGUUCUCAACCUGGUCACCGAAGUUAUAUCCAGAAAGGGUUACAACAUCCAGGUUUGGUUUUUUAUCCUUAUAGUAUAAUUUUUUAGGUGAAAUGUUUACUUUUUUUUAAAUAACAAUAUUUAAAAAUAAAAAAAUGUCAACUUAACAUGGUUAUUCUAAUGGAUUUCCAGGCAUUAGACAAGUGUCAACUUAAAACUACCAUCAUGAAUCUUCCACAUUUGCCCAACCUAAACUUUAGAUAUCAUAUUUGUCCUUCUUAAUGUUUUAAAAUAUAAAAUUUGUCCAAAUCUGUUUUUUAAAUAGUUUUUAUUAUUUAAUAAACCAUUUUUACAAUUUAAAAUCACUAUAAUUGAAAAUAAUAACUUAAUGGACCAUAAUACCCUUCCUUUUAAAAUUGUAGGAAUCUUUCCGGCGAGGUUUUAUGCUUUGGUUGUUUUCCUCAAUUCGUCUUCCACUCUUCCUCAUGAUCACCUGUGGACGUUCGCCUCUAGACAUCUUCCUUUUUGCCUUUCAUCGCUUCCUUCUUGUAAUUGUUAAUAAGCACCAGGUAAUUAUUCCCUUUCCAUAUAUCCCCUUCUUUUUUGGCAACUGAAUCAACACUUAUGCGUCUACAAUAUUGAAUUCUUGAAACCAUGUAGUAUCUUCACAAUGCCUUUUACAUAUAUGUCAUUCGAUUAGGUUAAUACUCCAAAGAAAAGACUUAAUUUUGGUUCUGCACUUCUAAUUUUCAUUUAAACCGCAGGUUACCAUACAGUGGUGUUAAGGUCAAUUUAAGAUAAUAUCUUUGUCAGGUUGUUUAUUGCACUUAGAUAGCAAUGAUAACCAUAUAAAACCAAGGAAAUUGAGUUAUUUGCUAUCAAAUGCCAAAUGUGUUUCGGUGAAUAAAAUUCCUACUGUUGACAGGAAGAGAUACAUGGAGCAAUUAGAAUACCUUUUCAAUACUUUGUAGGUAAUACUUUAGUAUAAGUCUCUAUAAUAAUUCCUUUAGAUGUAAACAAAUUGGUAUAUAACUCAAUUCUUUUCACUGGGGUUGUUUACUGUUUGAUUCAGUUGAAUUUUUUUUAUACCCAGGUUGGUGGUGGUAGCAGCAGGGGACAAAAUGCACCCACCCAGGUAAAAACUCACAUAGUGGCUUUUUGUCUUGAUUUAUCUAGUUCUAGUUGUAGAUUUGAAUGAUUUAUCGGAUGGUUUUGACUGAGUUUUCUAUGCGAGUUCAGAUUUUAUGGUUCUUUGCACAUCACAGCUGGUAAAUGGAUUCAUGUGAUUUAGAAGGUAAGGGUAUUGUUGUCUAUUUAGUUAUUUUUUAGAUUUUAAUGAUUUUAAAAUGUAAAAAAGGAUUACCAAAUAAUAAAAAAUAUUUAAAAAAUAGAUUUGGACAAAUUAGAUAUUUUAAAACAUUAAUAAUGGAAAAUAUGAUAUUUAGAGUUUAGGUCGGGCAAAUAUGAUAUUUAAACGUUUAAUAAGGUUAUAUACAGAAUUCUCCCUAACUUUUUUGGCUGGGGUUUAGUGAUUGUGUUUUUGGAAGCUGCCAAUUAUCAAAUAAAGAAGGAAGUGUACAAACCUUAGGAUAAUAACAUUUCAAUUGUUUAUAAUAUAAUUAAUAUUAUACUAUUUUCAUGACACAGAAAGUUAUAAAUGGAAGUGUUGUUAAUUACUGGGCUUGUAUCAACUUCUCAAGAAUUAUUCCAGAUGGUGCUACUCACAGUUUUUGUCAUCAGUUGCUCCAAAUGUGCCAAGAAUCUGGCAUGGUAUGUAUAUAAUCAACUCAGAUAUUAUCUUGCAUAAAUUAAAUAUUUCAAUUAUAUACAAAAUGUUGGAAAUUUCAUGAAUUUAAAAGUGAAAGUGUGGUUCAGUCUAUUCUGCAAGACCAGAUCAGGUCAAGAAGGCUUUAAAGCACGUGUAUAUAGCCACUGUAAGGCUUUAAAGCACGUGUAUACAACCACUGUGUGGCUCUUUCCAUAAACAUCUUUUGAAAAUGGUUUCUCAGUGUUUUUUUCAUGGAUGCAGUUUCUUGGAAAUUGAUCUAGGCCAUUUGAAAGUGACGAAUGAAGUUAGUUGGCAUGGACCUGCGGAAGAUCAAGCAUCUGUUCAUUGUGACUACUUUCUCGGAUUUCCUUUUCACCAGCUGUCUUGCCAUGAAUUUGGGUGAACAACCUAUCCUCCCUCCUCAUUUUUGUGACAUAAACUAAAAUGAAGUCAACUCAUGUUGCAGUUCCUUACAUUAUGAUGACAUUAAAUUUUGAUAUACGUGGGUUUAGACCAUUUAGUGGAACAAAUUUUUCUUCUUCAGAAUCCAUUAACUUCACUGCUGACAUUUUUAAAGGUGAUGCACACUUUUUUUUUCUUCUUAAUUGAUUUCUUUUACUAUGUUUUGAAACAGUUGUUCACUUGUUUUAAAGGUGAUGCACACUUCUUUUAAAGGUGUCAUUGUUCUCAUUUAGUUAGUUGUUCUCAUUUGGUAGGUUUAAAAGUAGAAUGUCCCAAUAAGAAUUAAUUUAAAAGUAGAAUGAAAAUGACAAGUGAUUUUAUGUUGUGUUUACAGGGUUGAUGAAAGCGAAUAGCUCAGGAAUUAGAAGAGGAAAAGAAAGCUCAAGCUGAAAGAGAUAAGAUGCUGCAAAUGCAAGUGUUGCAUUCUUCAUUUCAAUUGUUAGUAUACAACACAGAGUAGAUUAGAUGAAUGCAAAUUUAUAUAUUGUAAGAAAUAGAAUUGUAUGACAUUAAAUUUUAUGCAAUGGAUUGUAUUUUUUAUAUGGUAUUUUAUUUCUAUUAUGAGACAGUAAAAGUAAAUUUAAUUUAAAAAUUAAUAAAUAUAUGAAUAUAUUUUUUUUAAACAUUUAAAUUUACGAUACGCAAAAAUGUGUGUCAUCUUCAUUUAUGACAUGGCCUUUCUUGACAGGGGUUUUAAUGAUACGCAUUGCGUGUCAUUAACACGCGCGUCGUAAGGUUACGACACGCGAAUGCGUGUCGUCUUCCUUUAUGACAGGGCCUUCCUUGAUACGCAUUGCGUGUCGUAAACGUGCGUCGUAAAAGCGCGUCGUCUAUAGACGACGCACAAAAGCGCGUCGUCUCUCUUUAUGACAGGGCCUUCCUUGACACGCAUUUGCGCGUCGUCUGAGCCUUUUACGACGCGCAAUGAGCGUCGUAAAAGGCUGUUUUUCUAGUAGUGAACUAAACUCGAUUAGGCUCGCGAGCCUAAACGAGCCUUUAUAUAAUAUAAUUUAUUAUUAUUUUCAGAUAUUAAAAUAAAUACAUAUUUGUGAAAUUAUGGAUUUUGGGUAUUAGUAAACGAGCUUCUUAACGAGCUUAAGCUUAUUUAGGCACAUCAAACGAAAAAUGAGUCGAGCCCGAGCCUGAGCCGACCUUGUAUAAUUCUUUAUGAGCUCGAGCCGAGCUCAGUAAAAGAAAGCUCGAAUCGAGCCGAGCUCGAGCCUCGUAUAACUUAAACGAGCCCGAGCCGAGCCUGGACAGGCUCGGGCUCGGCUCGACUCGUUUGCACCCCUAAUGUUGUGUAUAUCAUGGAUACCCAAGAUAAGGGUAAGGCGACAAUCGAUGAUGUACUGGUGGUACGAGAGUAUCCGGAUGUAUUCCCGGAGGAUUUUCCCGGGAUACCUCUAGAGAGACAAGUUAAGUUUCAGAUUGACCUGGUCCCUAGUGCGGCUCCGAUAGCCAAGGUACCAUGUCGAUUGGCUCCUCCCGAGAUUAGGAGCUGUCUAUGCAGCUGCGGGAGCUACUAGACAAGGGUUUUAUCAGGCCGAGCAAUUCGCCAUGGGGACCCCGAUCCUAUUUGUGAAUAAAAAGGGCAGGUCGCACCAUAUGUGCAUAGAUUACUGGGAGCUAAAUAAGGUAACGGUGAAGAACCGUUACCCACUCCCGAGGAUAGAUGAUUUGUUCGACCAACUUCAAGGAGCAUCUUGGUUUUCCAAGAUUGAUUUACGGUCCGGAUAUCACCAGAUGCGGGUCAAAGAUGAUGAUAUGCAGAAGACCGCUCUUAGGACCGACUAUGGUCAUUAUGAGUUUGUGGUGAAGCCGUUUGGUCUCACCAAUGCUCCAUCCUUAUUCAUGGAUCUCAUGAAUCGCGUGUGCAGACCGAUGCUAGAUCGAUCUGUAAUAGUAUUCAUUGAUGACAUCUUGGUUUAUUCCAAGACCGAGGAGCAGCACGAGGAUCACCUGAGGGAGAUGCUAGAGACCUUGAGGAGGGAGAGACUUUUCACAAAGUUCUCCAAGUGCGAGUUCUGGUUGCGCGAGGUGCAGUUUCUAGGGCACCUUGUCAACCGGAAGGGUUUAUUAGUCGAUCCGGCCAAGAUAGAGACCCUGAUGCAAUGGGAGGUCCCGAGGUCUCCAUCCGAGAUUCAGAGCUUCCUGGGUUUGGCAGGGUACUACAGGAGAUUUAUCCAGGAUUUCUCCAAGAUAGCAGUUCCACUGACCCGACUGACCAAGAAGUCGGUGGUGUUUCACUUGGGUCCUGAGCAGCAGACAUCCUUUGAGAUGAUCAGGCAGUGACUGUGCGAGGCACUGAUUCUCACCCUGCCAGAGGAAAUAGAUGACUUUAUAGUCUACUGUGAUGGUUCGAUCACAUGUAUGGAAGCAGUGUUGAUGCAGCGGGGGCAUGUGAUAGCUUAUGCUCCGAGACAGUUGAAGCCUCACGAGGCUAACUACCUGAUGCAUGAUUUAGAGCUGGGGGCGGUGGUGUUCGCCCUUAAUAUUUGGCGGCUUUACCUUUACGGGGUUCGGUGCACUAUCUACACGAACCACAAGAGUUUGAGGUACCUCAUGGAUCAGCCAAAUCUAAACAUGAGGUAGCAUCGAUGGUUAGAUGUGGUUAAGGAUUACAAUUGUUAAAUCCUUUACCACCCGGGUAAGGUCGACGUAGUGGCCGACGCCCUAAGCCACAGGCGGUAGCGGCUCUGAUUCGGGAUAUAUGUCUGAGGAUGACAGUGAUUACUCCACUGCUGGAGCAUAUUAGAGAGGCACAAGUUGAGGGCCUGAAGGAGGAGCGCCGAAAGUACGAAAGGAUAAUAGGCCGAGUGGCUUCGUUUGAUUACGACAACCGAGGAUUGUUGACCCUGCAUGGGAGGGUCUGGGUACCAUACUAGGGCGGGGUACAGCAAGUGUUGAUGGAUGAGGCCCACAAGUCUCGGUUCUCAAUCCAUCUAGGGGCGACGAAGAUGUACAAAGAUCUUCGACCCGAUUACUGGUGCCCCUGCAUGAAGCGGGAUGUAGCUUGGUACGUGGAGAGAUGCCUAACCUACAGGAAGGUCAAGGUAGAGCAUCAGAGGCCUCAUGACAAGAUGCAACCGUUAUACAUUCUUGUGUGGAAAUGGGAGGAUAUUGUUGGAUUAAUGUCUAAGUCCAUAACUAUAAUUGGUAAGACUUGACCCGACCCGACAUGGUCCAUUUGGGUUGCAUACCAUCAUGCACUUGGAUAGACUAUAAUGAGAGAAAUAAGACACUUAUGGUUAUUAAUAUAUUAUAAGUUCUAGUAUAUUAAUAAUAAGAAUAAUAAGAUUAUUUAAUUAGUAUUGAUCAAGAAUUAAUCUAGGAUUAAUUAAGUGAUCAAAAGAAGACUAAUUAAAUAUAUGGGUUGAUUGUGUAAAUCAUCCAUACUUGUAUAGUGGGCUAAUGCUCCAUGGAUAAUCAAGUUGGGCUAAAACCCAUAGGAUGGUCCAUGGAUGCUCCAUGGUGUAUUUGUACCCAUGGAUCCAAGGAAAUGGAAAGCCAUGACAAUUAAGAGUUUACCCUAAUUGUGUAACUAUAUAAGCAUCUUAUUAUUGAGGAAAAAUCGGCCACUAGAGAUAGUGAAGAAAGGGCUAGCCGAUUUUGAAGAGUGUAGAAUUCUCUCAAGUUAUUCUAAGUGUUUUGGUGAUUGUGAUUCCAUUUGAGGUGUCACACUUGGGGCACUAGGCACUCAAGCUUCAUGAAGACUUUCUACAUCAAAAAGGUAUGUAUUCUAUCUUGUUACACUCAUUGUUUUUGUAUGCUAGAUUAGGAUAAUACCUUGGAAGUUCUUAUUUGCAUGUAUAAUAGAGAAAACAUAGAUCCAAGGUAUUUAGGGUUGCAUGUACACUUAGGAAGUGUUAGAAUGCUCAAAACCCAACAGUGGUAUCAGAGCCACGGGUUGUUUUCUGUUAUAUUGAUGCAAAUAUUUUAUUUUCAAAGUUGAAAAAAAAAAAAAAAAAAAACAUGAAGUUUGUCAAAUUUUAAGAUAAUUACUUGUUCUUGUGAAAAACUAAUUAUUUGUAAAAUUUGAAUAAUUUGCUUUAUGAGUUGAAUUAGGUCAAAUUUAAUAAAAGAUAAAAUAAUAUGAUUAUUUUAUUAGUUUUAAAAGUUUGAUCUAAAGAGUUUUAUUUUUUGAAACCUCCAUAAGUUAUGGAUAUGAAAAGGUUUUAAAAAAAAAAUUGAUUCAAAGUUUUUUUGGAGUUACAAAAUUUGGUGUUAAUGUUUUAAAGGAUUCCAUAACUUAAGAAUAAGUUAUGGAUCACCAAAAGUUUUUUGUGUUACCUUGUUUUAUGAGUGAAUUUAGAUUAAUGAAUAAAAUUAUGUGAUAGUUGGUUUUAAUCCAAAUUAAUCUAAGAAUUGAUUCUAAAAUGUGUUUUUGUAACUUGUCCUCAAGUUAUAUGAAAAGUCACAUUUAAGAAUCAUAAAACUCAUAAAAAUUGGCAAAGGUUACAAAAAUGAAGAGUCUAGUUCUAAUUAAAUGGUUUUAUGACUCCAUAACUUGUCCUCAAGUUAUGGAGGACCAAGAGUCUCUUCAUUUAAUAAAAUAAAAUAAAAAAAAAAAAAGUGUAACCUUAAUUAAUUCCAUAAGUUAUAAAAUAAAGAAAAGUUAAUUCUUUUAUUAGUUUAAAGUCUUCCAUAACUUGUCCUCAAGUUAUGGAACUUGAAGAGUUUUUGGAUUAAAACUACUUUAAACACAUAAGUUAUGGAAUUAAUUAGUUUUGAAUAGUUUCAAAACUUGCCCUCAAGUUUUGGAAUUUGUAAAGUUUUCACUUAUGAAUACUUUAAUUCCAAGUUAGCCCUUAGAAUUUUAAAAGUUAAAAUUCAACCCUUAUACUUUAUAAUAUUAUAAGUUAAUAAUAUAUAUAUGUAUAAGAGUAAAGUCAGUCUUACCGCUAGUACGCCUCAUUCACGAAGCCGGUCUAUAAGGUGGGUAUAAGGUUGUUGCCUAUAAAAUGGCAACUUAAUGGGUGUCCACUCUCACCCACCGCUUGCUUGACUGGUGGAGGGUCGUUAGCCGAACGGGUUUGACAGGACUAGAAUUCUCCCUUCAUUAAAAGUAUUAAUGAUAAUACUAAGUAACUAAACUCUUAAUAAUACCCAAUCUUAGUUACUUAGGAAAAAUGUGAAUAAGGUGCUAAUCCAUGAAAUUACACUUUACACUUUGUCUAAGUCGUUAGUGGAGCGUGUGUGGUUAACCGGCACACUAACUUGGACUUAACAAGGUAGGUAAAGGGUGACUUAAUAUUUAUCAUAGUAUCGAUGGAGCGUGUGUGGUUAACCGGCACAUCGAUUGAGGGGUAAUUUAUUAAGGGUACCAAGUGAUUUGCAUGGUUACUUCACACCUUGUUUUGUGAUCCUCGGCAUCCCAGUCACAAAACCUGAAGGGCACACUCGAGAUUGAAACAUGCCUUUGAACAGUUCAAUGAAUCUCAAAGAUCUAGGAGUUUCAAAACCAAUUAAAACCUAAUAAUACAUUUCGUUUAUCUUGGUGGAAAUUGGUGAAUCGUCAUUCACCUACCUUCAAAUAUUUUAUAGCUUGGAUUACGGCAUACCUCUUCUAAGUUAUAAAAUAGUUUGUUGGGUCCUAGCCUUAAUAUUUCAUAUUGGGUGUCAUAUUAAGGACUUUAAAUCAACUAUCUUGAAUAUCUCCCAAAAGAUGUCUGUAAUAGACACCUAUGAUCUUCCCAAAUCUAGUGAAACAAGGUUUCCUAAAUGAAGAUGAUGUCCUUUGGAAAUCAUACUUCUUUCACCUCCUCCAAUUAUUCUCCCUAACCCACAAGUUCUUGAAAAGUUUAAGGUCACUCAAGCCCUAUUGGCAAGGCAAGGUCUAGGUGUGAUCACAUCUUGGAGAUGUAGUCACAUAUUGACAAGCCGGGAGAGUUGGGUGUCAAAGUCUUGAGAAAGUUGGUGGUUCAAUCACUUUCUAAGUCACAUAGUGAGUUCCUUUGGGACACCUAUGAAACAGACUAUGACAAGACCCUUAAUGAUCUUAUCUAUUUGCUAAGAUCAACUUCCUAAAACUUUAUGGACAUUGACAAUGAUGACAUUGGAUAUCCAGUAAAGCAUUCUCUUCCCAAUGGAAAGGGAUCGGCCAUAGUCAACUCGGUUGACCAAAUGGUAAAGAGAAAAGCUAAGUCUGUGAUAGUCUCGUGUACCAUUAUCAAAGGGUCCAUAUGUUUAUAUUGCCAAGGGAAGGGGCAUUGGUUGCGAAGCUGCCAAAUUUACCUAAGGAUGUUAAAGUCAAUAAGUUUGACUCUACUUCAGGUAAAGACCACUAUCUAACUCUGUUAAGUUUCUAUUCUGAGAUUCCUGAUACAUGAUGUGACUGGGUCACAUGGUGAUGUUUUAAGAAUCAAAGAAAAGUGAAGAAACUUAAAGAAAGAAUAUGCUGAAUCUGAUGGCGUAGAUGGAUUUCUAUCGCAUAGUUUGAAGAUCGGAUUCUUGAGCAACUUCUUAGGAGUUAUGAGAUAUUGCUUAGGAAUAGAUAACAACAAGUUUUCAUAUGGAUUGUAAGGAUAAGUUUUUCCGCAAAGUUUUAAAAUAAAAGAAAAAUUUUUUGAUUUUAUUUAUUUUAAAAUAUCCUUACAAUGGCUUUUGAGGAAAAAUUGUUGCUUAUAUGAUUCCAUUAAGAGCAAGAGUGGAAAUAUGAAAUUGAUUCUUUCAUUUGUGGUAAUGUCUAGAUUUACCAAAUAAGGAAAGAUUCUCAUCACCCAAGUUUCAAUUGGACCGGAACUUGGAAUCAUGCAAGUUGUAUAGCAUGAUGAAUGAGAACUUUCAAGUUUUGGAAAAUUAAGACUAAUUACUCGGCCACAUGGAUGUGUGAGUCAAGUAAAGGACUAAGGGAUCGAGUACACAUUCUUGUGCACUGAUUAAGUCCACCACAAAAGAUUGAUAAGACUAUUCGUCAUAGUUUACUAAAGCUCAGUAAAUAUGAUUAUACUUACAAGCUUAAGUGUAACUCUGAGACAUUGGAAAAGGUUCCAAUGUAUGGCAGGGCGAAUAAGAAGAAUCAAAUAAGGCAGAAGGAUAAAAGUUUCUCAAAUCUGAAAAGAUGGGAGAGUACUUUAGUAUCAGUUUUGUGAUCAUCUUAAUGAUUAAGAAACCAUAUCAAAAUUAGUUCUCUAAGGAAAUCUUAGUGCAUUCUUAUGACUAAGAAGAGGAACUUGAAUUGUUGAAAUGGUUAAAUCAAGAAGAUGAGUCAUACUUCGUUCCAAUACAAGUCUUAGAGUCAUACUCCAAGAUUGUAACUUGAGUGACAUGUCUUAAAGAAGGUUUAAAACACUUGUCAAAUGUAAGAGUAAAAGUUUUCUACUCUUGUACAUUUGAAAUUGGUAAGUUGUGAUGUUUUGGAUAAAACAAAGACCAACUUAGGCCAAUUGUGUGAAGUGUUUGUCUUGAUUAGAAUCCGCACUAUCUCUUGGAUGUUUGACAAGGGAGUCUUAUAGGUCAAGAGGACAGUGGGAGUCUUAAAGGUCUUGAAAGUCUCAAGAACUAAUCAAGAAUAAAACCUAAAGUUCUUCACUAGCACACAACUUGAGGUUCAUAACCUAUCGUGUUGACAUAUUCUGUGCCCAUUCCAGUUAAAGUUGGCUUUGCAUAUGAGUUCUUAGAGUUCUCAAUUUGUUGCACAACAACUUGGAAGCAAUGGUAGGCCCUUGAGCUGCCAGGUGGCAAGAAAUUAAGAUUGAGUUCAGUCCAUAUGAGUUUGGAUUUGUCAUUAUCCUUGUCUUGUGACUAUGGUUUUGACAAUUCACAUGGAUAAGAACACAUACACCAUUAAAUCUAAGUGUCAUAAGGUUUCUCUCCGAUUCAUGAAAAUGAUGGUGAGGAAACACUUUCACUAAGUAGAUUUUAGCUAGAUAGCAAUUGUGAUAUUUGCAUUCUCAAAGUCGUUAGUGGAGCGCGUGUGGUUAACCGGCACACUAACUUGGACUUGUGAGAAGUGGCAAAAAGGUCUAAACAUUAUGAUUACGGCAUCCCUCUUCAUAAUUGUUUAGAUACACAAGUGUGCUAUCUAAGGGAAGGUGUAUGAUUUUGAUACAGUUUUAUCAAAACAAUCUAGUAUCAGAAAUCUGAACUUUGGUAAGAAAGUCAAUGAAGUAUUGAUUUCUAGAAGUCCAGCUGAUUUCUGAGUACAUGUCAAAGCUAGUGGGAGCAUAAGUGUUAUGCUAAUAAUCAUCAUGUUAGUGGGAGCAUGAUAAUUAUGAUAAGUAUUGCAAGUUAGCAAUGUUAAUUAUAGAAAACAAAAGUUUCAAUUGGGAAAAAGUUGUUUUGCUAUAAUUAAGGGAGAGGAAAUUAUGCUUCAUCUCAAAUCUAUAAGCUUAGAUCGUGAGGUUUUAAUCAUUUAGUCAAGGAUAUAUAUGAAUUUCAUGUUGGAAUGGCUCAACAUAAGGAAAUUCUGUAUAUGGGUCCAUUAUUUGCGUUCUAAAAUUCGAUUAUGAUUACGGCAUCCCUUUUCAUAAUCUGAAUUAUGAGAACUUGGCAAAUUGAAAUGGAAAUAUUAUAGCAAAAGACUGGUUUAGUCUUUAUGUGAGACAUCAUGAAUCGUGUCCCAUAUGCUUCGGAUAUAGGAUCGAUUACAUGUGCUAUAUUCAUCCGUUCUAAAAUUUUCCAAAUGCCUGGGGCAUUAAGAAGGGAAAAGGUUUAGAACUGGAUAUGACUAAAAGGAUUAAACAAUUGUCGAGGACAAUCUAAGGUUUACCAAAGAUUGGUUGCUCAAGGACAGUUGGAAGUAUAGUGAUAAUUCUGGAAGGACCAUAUUGACAUAAUCUGUAAGGAGGCAACUCUUGUUCAGAAGUGAUAGUCAAAAUGGAAUCUGGAAAUGUUUCAAAGUUAGAAUUUUCAAUCUGUUUAAGAUUAGGAAACUUAAUGCAAGAAGGAUGUUUCCAAGGAGCUGAUCUCCUUUGGAAUACUCUGUAAUGAUUGUUGUCAAGUCUUUCUGACUUUGUGCAUAAUCAUUACAAGAGGAUCAAUGCAUAUAAGUUUAGAAUCUAACAGAUUUCAGUAAAUGGCAUGAAUUUGGAAUUCUUGCAUUUGCAGUAAGGAUUUGGGAGUGUGAAAAGAGAAUCAUUGAAGUUAUGUUCAAUUGAUCUAGUUCACAAAGUAAAGAUCAUAGACAAACAUAGUAUGCAUACUUGGUGUGUGGCAUGACUAGUGUUUAAGAAAACAUAGUGUACAUGCUUGGAGCAUGGGACAACUAUUGUUUUAAAUUCAAGAAUAAAGUUGAUAGCUGAAACAGUAUACAAUGAAUAAUGUGUAAUCAUAUGGUGAUAAAUAAAAGGUGUUUUAUUUAUGUUCAAAGGGUUGAUACCAUAUUGGAUUCAAUUAUUAUUGUGUUUCACUUUGCAUGUUUUGACUUCCCGAAUAAACUAGGUUAUUCUUCCGGAAUGACUAAGUUAUUCAAACCAUCCACAGUCGGUCAUAUGUUGGAAGUAGAUAUGAAUUAAGACUGUCAUGGGUUGGCUUGUAGAGGUCUAAGGUGUUGGACAAAGGGCUACAACACUCAUGAGUGCUCAUAAGUUCUGAGUAUUGGAUUCAACCCGCGCUCAUUGGAAUCACUUCAUGGAUUUUAUCACGAGUGAUCAUGAGACGAUAAUAUCUUAUAUUCUUCAAACCUAGAGAUAUGAGUUGUUACUAUGAGUUGAUAGUACAUUGAUUGCACGAAAACGCAUUUGGUAACUCGGUGCUAUAAAACGUGCCUUUGUGUAUGAUUCAACAAGUAGUAGAACAAGCCAUAUGAGUCGAAGUUUAUCCGUUCCUUUUACCUUCGGGAUAAAAGCGAUAUCUGUGGGCCCCUCGAUGAUUUGAUGAUGACAAAUGGAAGUGCUCGGCCGGGCCAGGACUGAUUUGAUUUGUUCAAUUAGUCAGUCGUCAUAAAUCGGAAAUCGGGAAACAACAAAUGGACAGAGAGAAUGAUUAUAAUCCAUGUCUCAGUCCAUAUGAUAUCUAGAAUGGAGGAAUAUAUGAUCCCUUAUCUAAUGGACAAGUCACUGACAAAGGUCAGAGUUCAUCUACAAGGUCAGAGUUCGACAGAAGCUUUUGAGAGCUACGAUUGCCAGUUGGUUCCUGAAGUCAUACGCAAUAAUAGUUUUAGACUUAUCCAAGUGGGAGACUGUUGGAUUAAUGUCUAAGUCCAUAACUAUAAUUGGUAAGACUUGACCCGACCCGGCAUGGUCCAUUUGGGUUGCAUACCAUCAUGCACUUGGAUAGACUAUAAUGAGAGAAAUAAGACACUUAUGGUUAUUAAUAUAUUAUAAGUUCUAGUAUAUUAAUAAUAAGAAUAAUAAGAUUAUUUAAUUAGUAUUGAUCAAGAAUUAAUCUAGGAUUAAUUAAGUGAUCAAAAGAAGACUAAUUAAAUAUAUGGGUUGAUUGUGUAAAUCAUCCAUACUUGUAUAGUGGGCUAAUGCUCCAUGGAUAAUCAAGUUGGGCUAAAACCCAUAGGAUGGUCCAUGGAUGCUCCAUGGUGUAUUUGUACCCAUGGAUCAUGGAAAUGAAAGGCCAUGUCAAUUAGGGUUUACAUGGUGUAACCCUAACUAUAUAAGCAGCUUAUUCUUGACCAAAAUUGGCCACUAGUGUGUGAAAAGAAAGGGCUAGCCGAUUUCAUGAGUUGUAGAAUUCUCUCAAGUUAUUCUAAGUGUUUUGGUGAUUGUGAUUCCAUUUGAGGUGUCACACUUGGGGCACUAGGCACUCAAGCUUCAUGAAGACUUUCUACAUCAAAAAGGUAUGUAUUCUAUCUUGUUACACUCAUUGUUUUUGUAUGCUAGAUUAGGAUAAUACCUUGGAAGUUCUUAUUUGCAUGUAUAAUAGAGAAAACAUAGAUCCAAGGUAUUUAGGGUUGCAUGUACACUUAGGAGUGUUAGAAUGCUCAAAACCCAACAGAUAUCACUAUGGAUUUCAUUACUAAGCUUCUCAGGACCGCACGUGGGGUCGAUUCGAUAUGGGUCAUCGUGGAUUGGUUGACCAAGAGCGUCCAUUUUAUACCGAUCCAGGAAAGCAUAUCGGCCGAGAUUUAUGUGCGAGAGGUAGUGGCACGUCAUGGAGUGCCUGUCUCGGUGGUGUUAGACCGAGAUGUCCGUUUUACUUCCAGGUUUUGGAAGUGGUUUCACGACGAAAUGGGUGCUCGUCUCCAUUUCAGCACCACUUUCCACCCUCAGACGGACGGACAAAGCGAGAGGAUGAUUCAGACUCUCAAGGACAUGCUUCGGGCAUGUGUGUUAGAUUUCGGUGACAGUUGGGAUACGUAUCUUCCGUUAGCGGAAUUUUCAUAUAACAACAGCUACCACUCCAGUAUAGACCGGCCUCUCUUCGAGAUGCUCUACGGGAGGAAGUGUAGGACCCUGAUUUGUUGGGGUGAAGUCGGUCAGAAAGUCAUGGGGAUUGCAGAGGUAGUACUCAAGACCACAGAGCAGAUUCAGCAAGUCUGGAGCAGGCUCCAGACUGCUCAGAUCCGGUAGAAAAGUUACGUCGACAAGCAGCAUUCGGACUUGGAGUUUCAGGUGGGGGACAUGGUCAUCUUGAAAGUGUCACUCUGGAAGGGUGUUAUCAGGUUUCAGAAACGGAGCAAGUUGGGCCCCAGGUUCAUUAGUCCAUUUAGGGUUUUAGCCCGGGUGGGUCGGGUUACGUAUCAGUUAGAUCUUCCAACAGAUCUCAGCCAAAUCCACAACACGUUCCAUGUUUCUCAGUUGCAGAAGUGCUUAGUGAAUGAUUCAGCAGUGAUACCUCUUGAGGACAUUCAGGUUGAAGAUAGCCUAAACUACAUCGAGAGACCCGUGGAAAUUUUAGAUCGCAAGACGAAGGAGCUAAGGAGCAAGAGGGUAGAAUUAGUAAAGGUGCAGUGGCAACACUGCAAGGGUUCGGACAGGACGUGGGAGCCCGAAGAGGAAAUGAGGUAACACUACCUAGAGUUGUUUCCCAAGACAGCAGACUUCGAGGACGAAUUCUAAGACAAGUGGGGGAGAAUUGUAACACCCGGUCUCAGGUAUACAUUUAAAUUCAAGUCAAACUUCAUAUUUUACUCUUGGACUCGGUGAGUUGGAGGCUCAACUUGUCGAGUAGGAUCGACUCCGCGUCGGGGGAUUAAGUGACCUACUCGACGAGUUAGAAGACCAUAUUAAGAGGUUUUUGGCUCAAAAAUCUUGGUCCUUGAUGUUGGGACGUCCCAAGUGGUUCAUAUCUAAGAUCGAGGCUCAUAAGAGGAGUACAUGGCUUAAAUAUGCAAGCUUUAUGGCCAUGAUAGCCCCAUGCAUCUUGUAGACCUCAUUUUUGGGUCUUUUGAGCUUAAAGUCCCAUGCAUGGACGUAAAGUUCAUGACUUUACGUGUUAUAUCGAUUGUAGGAGCCCAGAUCUACCUUUUGAAUGAGUUUUGCACAACAGAAAUCAAGUUAUGGACAUGGACAUUAGUCGACUCGGCGAGUCGUUCUUGGGACUCGACUAGUCGGGGGUUUGGUUUCCCCAACCUUUUAUGAUUCGAAGGAAUCCAGUUUAGUUUAGAUGGGAUUUAGAUGAGCCCAGAGGAAGGACUCAAUGAAAUAGACAUAGUUAUGGACCUAGAAACCAUGGGACUCGACGAGUGUAUGAAUGUACUCGGUGAGUCCAAAGCAAUCUCCCAACCCAUGAAGAUGGAAUCGAUGAGUUGUUCAUACAACUCGGCGAGUCACAGACUAGACACGCUCAUAUGAUGAAGAUUAACUCGAUGAGUUCAAGGAAGAACUCGACCAGUUAGUCGAAGAUUUUCCCGAUGAUAUGAUUGAAGGAGAGCUCAUCGAGUUCUUGCUAGACUCAACGAGUAGAGUCGGUUUGGGGACAGGUGAAAGAAUAGGGCCUCGGCGAGUUGGCAGGCCAACUCGGUGAGUCGAGUCAACUGGAAGUUGACUUUGACCAGGAUGUUGACUUUAGCCAUGGGUAAAAUGGUCAUUUUACCCUAAGAUUAGUUAUCAGUUUUUGACUAAGUGUCUUUAUGGAAAUUAUAGCCGGAUAGUCGCCGGAGCAGCAGGCAGAGAUUUCUCACUCAGAGUUUCAGCGGUCAGACAUACCAGGUGAGUUUUCCUUAAGUAGGAAUAGGUCUAAGGCACUAAGGCCGGCCCGUUUAUGUAGUUACAGUAUGUCGGGGUUAGCCCGAUGCAGUUUAUAUGUGCAAUUUAUGUGUUUAGUUUAUUCCGGACUUCGGUCCGAUGCCUGGGUGGUCCGGAGAAGUAGUUAUGUAUGCUUGAUGUCUUUGUGAUUCAUGCAUGUUUAUGUUAUGUGUUAUAUGUUGCGGACUCUGGUCCGAUGUCGGGCAAGCCCGAUGCAGUUUAUGUGAAUAUGUUAUAUGUUUACGUUUAUGUUAUGCUCAGUCUAUUACGGACUUCGGUCCGAUGCCGGGCGGAGCCCGAUGUAGUGGGUGGGUACCAAGUUAUUCCAAACUUCGGUCCAAUGCCGGGCGGGGCCCGAUGCAGUGGGCGAGGCCCAGUAGUUGUAUAUGUGCUUUGUAUGGUAUGUGGUAGUUUGGGGAGCUCACUAAGCUUCGUGCUUAUAGUUUCAGUUUUGGUUUCAGGUACUUCAGCUAGCAAAGGGAAGGGCUCGAGCUGAUGGCAUGACACACACCACAGUUGAUUAGCCUAGGAGUUACUCUGAUAUUUUAUGAGACAAUUAUUUGUUGACAGAUUUUAUGAGAUUCGAAAUAUAUGUUUGAUGAUUUUAUUUUAUGAUGAUGAGAUUAUGUUUGUCAAAUGAUUUUAAAAACAAAUUUUUUGGCUUGUAUUUUUUAGAUGUUUCACUUUCUUCCUUUGAAUUAAGAGCUCUUUAUUUGUUUUUUUCUUAUAUUCUUUGUCUUUAUUUAUUAGUCGUAUUGUAGCAUUUACAUUAGGCCUUGAAAAAGUUGCAUAACGCCUAAACCAACCUUUUGACCAAAAGUUGCAUUAGGUAAAGUUGCAUUGGAUCUAAGACAACUUUUUCCUUCGAAAAUGCAACCUUUUUUUAGAUAGUUGCAAUUUUUUUUAAAUGCAACUUUUUUUAUUGCAACAUGUGUUAUGCAAAAGCAACUUUUUAAUGCUCAUAUGCAGCUUUUUUUUAACCGUUUUAGUUACGAAAAUGCAAUCUUUUUUUAUAAUAAAUUGCAAUCUUUAUUAUGUUUCUGGUAAAGAAUUGCAACCUUUCUAUACAACAUAUGCAACAUUUAUUAUGUCUUUAAUUGCAAAAAAUGCAACAUUGUUUACAGUCAAACGCAACUUUAUUUUUGUGAUUUUUCUAAUUUCAGUGUGACAUUUUUUUCCUAAUCAUAUAGAUGCUACAUAUGUUUACUACAUUGCUACAAAUAUUCAUUACUACUAAAAUUACAACAUAACAAUAAUACAUAAAUAUAUUAUAUAAUUUUAUGGUCUCCUUUGACAUGUCUAAAUUCAAAAUAACAACCAUAAAUCAAAGUCAACACAAAAUUGUCAACUAUAAUCAACUAUAUAUAUAUAUAUAUAUUAAAAACAUUCUAGUCAUGUAUUAAAAAUAGAAGAUAAAUCAUAUUAGCAACUAUCAAUCUUCUCGAGGUUGUUGUUCCGCCAACUUUUGCAUCAUGGCUUCAAGGUUUUCUUGUUGGUUUUUAAUAUCUAUUCACAUAAGUUCUAAUUCAGCCUGUAUUUUUCAUGGUUCUCUUGAAUCUCUUUCCGCAUUUCAAUCAACUCAUUUAUUCCAAGUUCAUUUGCUUUGAAUGAUUCCAUAAGUCUCACCGAAAUCAUGUAUGAUGCAUCACCACCCACUUUUUUUAUCAGUCUAUUAGUAACACCUCUACCAUAUAGUCGACAGCAUCCAUCAUUAUCUUUUUUCAUCACAAUCAUAUAAGGAUCUACGACAUCACUUUCAUUUUCUAGAUGUUCGCACUUCUUCAUUUGUUCCUACAAGGUUAUUAAAAAUGAAUAGGAUAAUUUUAGUAAAGCAUCUACCAUUAAAACAUUAUUUAUAUUGUAAAAAAACUGCCCUUUAAUGGAAAAAACAGUUUUUUAAUUGUGUAAAAGACAACUACUUUAUGUCUAAAAAUCUCCUAUCAAAAGAUUGUUUUAUGUAAAAAAACUGCAUUGUAACAUCUAAAAAAACUACAUUUUAACAUGUAAACAAUUGUACUUUAACGUAUAAAAAACUGCAUUUUAAUAUAUAAAAAAUUGCAAUUGAAUGUCUAAAAAACUACAAUUUAAUGUCUAAAAAUAUAGUUUACUAUCAAAAGGAAAAACCUAUUGUAAAAUUGAAAUACAAACUUACAAUUUUAUUUGCCGUAUCAUCAUCUGUAUCAAGACAUACAUGCUCAUCUGUCCUUUUACGUAUAUGUUCAAACAUUUGAGUUAGAGUGGGGAAUUCCUUGUUUGUAUAUUCAUUUUUCUAUACUCAUGAUAACAUAAAUAUCAAACAGAAAGUAUCAAAGUGUAGGAAGAUAAAAACACAAAUCACAAGCAAAAAGAUGACGUUAAUUACCAUCUCGUCACAAAUUCUAGCAACACUUUUUGGACUAGCCGUGUGCAUAUUUUUUGGAGAUUUGCGUAUUUCUUUUGCCCGCGAAUAGCGUUUCNNNNNNNNNNNNNNNNNNNNNNNNNNNNNNNNNNNNNNNNNNNNNNNNNNNNNNNNNNNNNNNNNNNNNNNNNNNNNNNNNNNNNNNNNNNNNNNNNNNNNNNNNNNNNNNNNNNNNNNNNNNNNNNNNACUGAAAUACAACAAAAAACAAGUCAAAUAUUAAAAAACACUAGAAAUAAAGAUAAUGUUUAUGAAAUUACCGCCACAUCUUUUUUUAUUCCAUAACACUAAUAGUUUUGAGAACUCUUCUUGAGGAAUGCAUUCAGGUUGGUUCUUUCAUCUUGUUUUAUUGUCCUUAAAUUAAUAGAAGUGUUUUUUUUCUUGAACCUACAUUUGUAUACCUUAUACGAAUUUCCAAUUGUCCCAAGAACCCAAGUUUUAGCAUCAUCGGGCACAUCGUAUUUCCCCAUAAAAAUCAGUAAUUAGUAAAAUGAAAGGAAAAUAAAAGAAGAUGGAAGAAUAAAGCUACUUAAAAACUUACCAAUGCAUACUCCUAUAUCUUAUCUUUAUGAGGAACUUUGUGCCAUGAAGUACAUGUCAAUGGGGCAUAACUAUGGGUACAAGCUAUUUCCUACUACGUCCUUCCCCUUUGUUAUCGGUUCGACGGGUUGUCCAUACUCAUUACAUAUAAUGACCUCACAUUGAUUAACUUUCCACGUGUGAACAACAUGUAACAUUGUUGGUCCUCUUUUCUUGGGUGUAGAAAUUACUACAUUCCAACAUAGAAUUAUAUAUAUAUANNNNNNNNUAUAUAUAUUUCAAUAAGAGUCAAUUGUCUAUUUUCUCCGCUUUUGAUACAAUUAUGCUUUUCUGCAUUUUGUUUGAAUACAUCCCUUCCUCUUUGCGGUCCUUUAUUCCUUAAGAUUAAUUCACUCAUACUAGUUUUUGCUCUAGAUUGUUUUUCUUUUGUUACAUUCGAAACCAAUGGAUACUUAUUAGAGACAUUUGGAACAAUCACCCAACGUUGCCUUGUUAAAUUAGCAAUUCUGUUCAUGGACAUUGGUGCAAUAUACUGUGGAUGAUUUUGCUGUAACAAAUUUACUUUUCAUUAUAUAAGAUCAACAUCAAAAUGAAACAAUUAAAGAUUUGCUAAUCUGAUUACCUUUUUGGAUACUUCAACACUUCUAGCAACUUCGUGGUAAUCUCCAUCAUUAUUAUCACCAAAAUCAGGAAUAUAGUCUAAAUCUCUAGCACCGGUAUAUAAUGGUUUCACUUGUUUUUUCUUUGAUUUUUGACUUUCUACCAAACUUGUCAAAGAAUAUGCAAUGCUUUUAAAUCCUACAUCUUUUAGUCUUGCUUGGUUUUCUUGAACCCUCAAAAGCCUAUUCUUCGCAUAAUCAUUCAUUUCUUUAUGUGUACUUUGAUGUUGCUUGCUUUAUUUUCCCAUUACUGGCCUGCUCAAAAGUGAAAUUAUCAAUUUAAGUUCAAAAUACAUAAUACUAGCAUUGUAGUAUCACUUACAUGUAAUAUUUUCCUACAAACAUAAAAUUAAAUAAAAAAAGAAACAAAAACUUGACAAAUAAGGCACAAUGCAACUCUGAUGCUUAUGAUUAAACUGAAUGUAUGUCAUAUUGACUUAGGCCUUGCUAGGUGGAAUAUAUCCAUCAAGAGAGGAAGUAAGAAAUGGUAUACUUUCAUACAUGACAACGAUACUCUAACAUAUGAUGAAAUUUGGAUCCUUCAGGUUGAACCAUCUCACAAAAAGAUGUUGAUGGAACCACUCAAUUUUAUUUGCAACUGCAAGAAAGACAAGCUAAAAUGGAUGUGUGAUUGCAAAUAAGACAACAUGAAAUUAAUGUGCUACGGUCAUUUUGAGACAUUUGAACAAUUAACUUGGUAAUCUGCUAAAUAGUUUUUAGCUUUAUGUUUUUUUUAAAACAUUUGUAAUGUAUUUGAUACAUUUUUCUUAUAAUGAAUAUUUGUUUUGCGGUUGAAUAUGAAUGUGAUUUUAGGUCACAUGUAUUUGGUUUUUCUAUAUUUUGGGCUGAAAAAAUAUGGAUUUUAUUACAAUUAAAUUUUAGUCUUUUUAAAUAAAAUCAUUUUAGUGACGGAUAUCAACGGAUACAUAUUAUGUAGUAAAAUAUUCUGUAGGCAAUUCUUAGGAAAUGAUUAUGUAGGGAAUCAGUAGGUAAUAAUGAUGUAGGGAAUCUGUAGUAAAAUAGGUUUUUGUAGGUAAUCUGUAGGUAAAUUACCAACAAAAAUUUCCAUAGUCCAUAUGUAGGAAAUUCUGUAGGCAAAGCGUGGCAACCAAUUACCCACGAGCUAUAUUCCUAUGGAGCUGUUUCCGUAAGCAAUCCGUAGGUAACCCCUUUUAUCUACAAAUUACCUACGAAAUCUGUUGUAGGUAAAUAGGUAGUUUUCUAGUAGUGAAAUAACUAAUUGUGAGACUCAUGUAUUACAUGUGAUAAUUUUAAAAAAAUAACUAUAUAUANUAUAUAUAUAUAUAAUGUCAAAAUAUUUAAAAACUUUGAAUUUAUAAGAAAAUAAGAAAAAUAAUGAAUUAUUAUGAUGAAAAUGUUUUUUUUAUAUUUUAAAUUUAAACAAAUAAUUUAAAUAAAUAAAAGAAAGUAAUGAGAUUUAAUUUUGGUAAUUUUGAAAUUAAAACGUAAGUUCGUUAAUAAAAUUGAUAUAUAUUUAUUACUAUAUUUAUUGCAAUUAUUACGUUAAAAGAUUAUAUGAAAUUUAAUAAAAUAGAAAAAUUUAUAAAAUGACAUGUGUAAAAAAAAAAUUCAAAAUAACCACAAAAUGACAUUUGACAAGUUGAAUGAGAGUGUGACAAGUGGAAAAAAAAUAACCUUCAUUUAUUAGAGACUAGUUGUUAGCCCAUGUAUUACACGAGUUAAUUUAAAAAAAAAUUAAAUAUAAAUGUCAAAAUAUUUGAGAACUUUGAAUUUAUAAGAAAAUAAGAAAAAUAAUGAAUUAUUACAAUAAAAAUGUUUUUAAUCUUUUAAAUUUAAACAAAUAAUUUAAAUAAAUAAAAGAAACAAAUAAACUUUAAUUUUGAGAAUUUUGAAAUUAAAAGAUAAGUUUAUUAAUCAAAUUGAUAUCCAUUUAUUACUAUAUUGAUUGCAAUUAUUAUAUUAAAAUAUUAUAUGAAAUUUAAUAAAAUAUAAAAACUCAUAAAAUUACAUGUGGAAAAAAAAUUAAUUUACAAUAACCAUAAAAUGACAUUUGAUAAAUUGAAUGAGACUCUGACAAGUGACAAAAAAAUCUUCAUUUAUUAGAGAGGACUAGGUAUGAGACCUAUGUAUUACAUGUGUUUAUUUAAAAGAAAAACUUAAAUAGAAAAUUUUAAACAUUUGAGAAGUUUGAAUUUAUAAGAACAAUUAGAAAAAUAUUAAAUUAUAAAAAUAAAGUGUUUUUUAUUAAAUUUAAACAAAUAAUUUAGAUAAAAAAAACAAUGAAGCUUUAAUUUAGUAAUUAUAAAAAUAUUUGUUUUGAGUCGUUUAAAAAAAUAAUAAUGGAAGUUCAGUAAGGAAAUUAAUAUUUAUUUAUUAUUGAAUUUAAAUAUAAUGUGGAAUUAAUAAAAUAAAACAACCAUAAUUUUAUGUGGAUUAAAAAUUAAUUGAAAUUAUCAUAAAAUAAAUAAUAAUCCUAUUUAAAGAAAUAGACAGGGGACCUCACGUAUUUUUUUUUUAUCUUUAUCUAAACUAAAACCUAAAAAACGUAGCUCCACAAGUACCCUAUGACGAAUCAUGGGACAGUUCAGAAAUUUCUGCACCGCGGAAUCGCCACUGGCUUCAAUUCUUUGACUUUCACAUUAAACAUCAUGGAGAAGGAGACCAGACGGUGGAGGAAUCUAUUCCGCAAUGUCGAAAUGUAACAUGAAUUGAUGGCAGCCGGAGUCAGAAUCAUCGAAGUUGGAUGGUGUUGGGCGACUCUAACCUCAUCGAAGAUCCGAAAUAACUGAUUCUUGUCAUCAUGGGCUGCCUGAGUAGUCGGUUCAGUUGUUCAUCAGUUUUCAUGGAUAGAAGGUGAAUUAUGGGUCCAUGGAACUUUUACAUCAACAAAUAAGUUUCACUUGCAAAGUGUUAUUCGCUACCCUACGUCGGUGUAAACCGUUUAAUUAAUAUAUUUUAAUUGAGAACAAAUGGAUAUUAAUAGUUCUCUCUCUUUAUCUUUCCGUUGAAACUCCUCAAUUGCAACUUUAACUUUAACUUUGUGCAACUUUAACUUUAACUUUGAGGACAUUAAUAUAAUCUGAAAUGGAUCUCACUCUUCAUCCAUUUCUGCUGCAUAUAAUUGAAAUCAUUCCCUCUUUGCAUCCGUUUGAUCGACACCUCUACUAUAUUCUCUGCUGUUACCAUAAACCAUGGCUGAAAUCGUUCUUUCUGCAUUCUUGACAGUGGUCUUUGAAAAGCUGACCUCUGAAGCCUUGAAGAAGAUUGCACACUCCAAAGGAAUUGAUUCUGAGCUCAAGAAAUUGAAGAAGACAUUAGACCAGAUCCAAGAUCUGCUUAAUGAUGCCUCGCAGAAGGAAGUAACUAAUGAAGCCGUUAAAAGAUGGCUGAAUGGUCUCCAACAUUUGGCUUACGACAUUGACGACCUACUUGACGAUUUGGCAACCGAGGCUAUCGAACGUGAGUUGACUGAGAAAUCUGGAUCCACUAGCAGCAAGGUAAGAAAGCUAAUCCCAAGUUGUUGCACAAGUUUCACACUAAGUAGUAGGAUGCAUGCCAAGUUAGAUGAUAUUGCCACCAAAUUACGAGAACUGGUAGAGGCAAAAAAUAAUCUUGGUUUAAGUGUGAUAGCAAAUGAAAAGCCCAAAGUUGAAAGAUAUGAGGCAUCUUUGAUAGAUCCUAGUGGUAUUGUUGGACGUGAGUAUGAAAAGAAUAAAUUGCUUAAGAAGCUAUUGGGGGAUAGGGAUGAAUUUAGUAGUCAAAACUUCACCAUAGUGCCCAUAGUUGGUAUGGGUGGUGUAGGCAAAACAACUCUAGCUAGAAUGUUGUAUGAUGAAAAGGAGGUGAAGGAUCACUUCAAACUCAGGGCUUGGGUUUGUGUUUCUGAUGAAUUUAAUAUCCUCAAUAUAAGCAAAGUAAUUUAUCAAUCUGUAACCGGGGAAAAAAAGGAGUUUGAAGACUUAAAUCUGCUUCAAGAAGCUCUUAAAGAAAAACUUUGGAAUCAGUUAUUUCUAAUAGUUCUGGAUGAUGUGUGGUCUGAAAGCUAUCGUGAUUGGGAGAAAUUAGUGGGCCCAUUUUUUUCGGGGUCUCCUGGAAGUAUGAUUAUCAUGACAACUCGGAAGGAGCAAUUGCUAAGAAAGCUGGGUUUUCCUCAUCAAGACCCUUUGCAAGGUCUAUCACAUGACGAUGCUUUGUCUUUGUUUGCUCAACAUGCAUUGGGUGUAGAUAACUUCGAUACACAUCCAACACUAAGGCCACAUGGGGAAUUGUUUGUGAAAAAAUGUGAUGGCUUGCCCUUAGCUUUAAUAACACUUGGGAGGUUAUUGAGGAAAAAAACAGAUGAGGAAGAAUGGAAGGAGUUGUUGGAUAGUGAGAUAUGGAAGUUAGGAAAGAGAGAUGAGAUUGUUCCGGCUCUUAGACUAAGCUACAAUGAUCUUUCUGCCACUUUGAAGCUGUUGUUUGCAUAUUGCUCUUUGUUUCCCAAGGAUUAUGAGUUUGACAAAGAGGAGUUGAUUCUAUUGUGGAUCGCAGAAGGGUUUUUGCACCAACCAACUACGAACAAGUCAAAGCAAUGGUUAGGUCUUGAAUAUUUUGAAGAGCUGCUGUCAAGAUCAUUUUUUCAACAAGCCCCUGAUGACAAAUCGGUGUUUGUGAUGCAUGACCUCAUGAAUGACUUGGCUACAUUUGUUGCUGGAGAUUUUUUUUCAAGGUUAGACAUAGAGAUGAAGAAGGAAUUUAGGAUGGAAGCUUUGGAGAAGCACCGCCAUAUGUCAUUUGUUUGUGAGGAUUACAUGGUCUACAAAAGGUUCAAGCCACUCAAAGGAGCUAAAAAUUUGAGAACGUUUUUAGCAUUGUCUGUUGGGGUGGUAGAAAGUUGGGCUAUAUUUUACUUAUCAAAUAAGGUCCUGAGUGACUUACUUCAGGAGUUACCAUUGUUAAGGGUCCUCAGUUUGAGUGAUCUUAGCAUAACCGAGGUACCAGAAGUCGUUGGUAGUAUGAAGCACUUGCGGUAUCUUAAUCUAUCUCGAACUAAAAUUAUCCAUUUACCGGAAAAUGUCUGCAAUCUUUAUAAUCUACAGACACUGAUCGUUUCCGGCUGUCAUAAAUUGAUUAAGUUGCCGGAGAGCUUCUCCAAGCUUAAAAAUUUGCAGCAUUUUGACAUGAGGGGUAGUUUCAGGUUGAAGAAGAUGCCCUUAGGGAUUGGUGAGUUGAAAAGUCUUCAAACUCUCUUCAGUGACAUUGGCUUAGCAAUAACCGAGCUUACAAAAUUGCAAAGUCUCCAUGGAAAAGUUUGUAUUGUGGGGCUCGGCAGUGUGCAGAAUGCAAUGGAUGCACGUGCGGCGAACUUAUCGCGAAUGAGGUUUAGUGAGUUAGAGUUGAAUUGGGGUUCUGAGUUUAAUUCUCUUCGAACGGAAACACAUGAAAAAGAGGUCCUCAAUGAGCUGAAGCCUCAUAAUAAUACUUUGAAAAAGCUUGAAAUCGUGUCAUAUAGGGGUAUAGAGUUUCCCAAUUGGGUUGGGGAUCCCUCAUUUCUUCGGUUGACUAAAGUGUCGAUUGAUGACUGUGAAGAAUGUACAUGUCUACCAAGACUUGGGCAACUACCAUCACUGAGGAAGCUGAUUAUUGGUUGGAUGAGUAAGGUUAAGGUUGUAGGCUUGGAGUUUCUUGGGACCGGCCUUGCAUUUCCUUCACUUGAAAUCCUACGGUUUGAUAGUAUGUCAGGGUGGGAGGAAUAGUCAACAAAUAGUGGGGCGUUUCCUUGCCUUCAAGAGCUUCGUAUUGAAGAUUGUCCUAAUCUGGUUCGGGUCUCCCUCGAAGCACUACCUUCACUCAGGGUUUUGAAACUAAUAAAAUGUGAUCAUGGUUUAUUGAAAAGCCUGGUCAAGGUAGCUUCAUCAAUCACCAAGUUGAAAAUAGAUGAUAUUUCAGGACUUACCGAUGAACUGUGGAGAGGUGUGACAGGGUAUCUUGGUGCAGUUGAAUACGUAAGCAUCAAACGGUGUAACGACAUAAGAUACUUGUGGGGAUCAGAAGCAGAGGCAAGUAUGGUUCUUAUGAAUUUAAAAAUGUUGGAUUUAAGAGAAUGUAAAAGUUUGGUGAGUUUAGGGGAGAAAGAGGAGGAUAUUAUUAAUAGUGGGAGCAACCUAACAUCUUUUCGGAUCUUGAAAGUAUCGGAUUGUAACAGCUUGGAGCAUUGCAGUUGUCCAGAUAGCAUGGAGGAUUUGGAUAUUGAAAGUUGUGAUUCAAUUACAUCCGUCUCCUUCCCAACAGGAGGAAUGCAAAAGCUCAGGUCACUUGUCAUCACCAAUUGCAAGAAACUAUUGGAAAAGGAGUUGGUUGAAUCUGAAAUCAACAUACAUAAUUGGCCAAAUCUGAAAUCGAUCACUACGUUGGGUUACUUCAUUAACCUCGUCAGGUUGACAAUAAUAGAGUGUUCGAGUAUGGAGUCAUUUCCUGACCAUGAGUUGCCAAAUCUCACCUCUUUAACACAUCUGGAUAUACAAAAGUGUACAAGUACGGAUGCAUCUUUUCCUCGUGGGCUUUGGCCUCC
rnacentral:lncRNA from 1 species